CUAAGUGUCUGAUCUCCAUUGUGUUUGUGCUCGUAGAUCCCGGUUCUUCACUUGGUGGAAUCUAGGAGUUGUAAAACUCCUCCAUGUUUUGUUUGAAGUGUACCUGUUCAUAGAGACAAGGCAGAGAUCAAGUGCAUGGGCCCUGUUGGUGGAAAACAACAACAGAACCAAAAGUGUAUUUGUUCUUCUCUAACCUUAAGCAUAGUGAGCAAGACAAAGUUGAUGGAUCAUGAGUGUAGCAUUUAAAACAUUUGUUAGAUCAGAUGGCUCAACCUAAUGGAAAGAUAAUCUAUCUAUAUUUAUGUUUUGUUUAUAUCUUCUAAAGAUUGAAUGUGCAAUACUUUAGCUUAUAUGAUUAGGAGUGUGGGAUCACGAAGGUAGUACUAAGAACAAAGAUUAAAGGACUAAACAAAGAUUAAAGAUUAAAGAGACGCAACCGCAACCAGAGGAGGCAGAUCAUCAAGGACGGAUGGGCAGACUAUGAAGGAGAAGUUGUAAGAUCAGAAGACGUUGAGUUUAAACAGAAUUACCUAGAGGAAAUUGAAACACCGAGUCAGGUAUGGAAAAUGAAGAUAACUAUAAAUGAACAGGAGGCGCUGCCAGAAGUACCGACUAUGCCACCCAACGAACCUCAGGACGAUUAAGAAAAUGGAGAGUCCCGUUCGGAGGACUUAAAAACACCGAACGCCUUGCCAAGAGGUAAACUUGGUAGUUAUCCUUUCCCUUUUAAUUAUUUCAAAUAGUUUACUUAGUUAAUCAUGUUCGUAUUAUCCUAGAAAGAAAAUAAAAAUGUGAAAAAAUAAACUGUAAGCCCCAUGUGAGUAGACGAGUGGCAUAAAACCCAUAAGUACAUUCACUGUGGUGGCAUAAAAAUAAAAUAAAUAUUUUUCUGCUUUAUAAAAACAAAAAUAUAAAAACAGGGAGUAAUAUUUAUUAAGGAGUCUCAACAUGAUAAAGGCUAGAUAUUUAUGCUAACACUUAAUCAGUUCCACAAGCUUUGUUGUCUAUUUGAGCUCCACAGAAUUUAAGAAUCAAGAAGAAUAGCAGACGGAGGACAUUCUAAUCGCUGUCAAAAUACUGCUGACUUUCAAACACACCUCUGCCACCUGCUAGCUACAUUAAGAGAAAUUACGUCAAAAUUCAGCUUGGGGGAGAGCACCCCCAUUUACCUCGAUAAGUAUUUCUAUCUAUCUUUAUACUUAUACUAUAUUAGAAUAUAAAUACACAUAACUAUGAAAAACCAAAUAAAGAUUUUAUGCUUAUAUAUAUUUUGCUUAGUGUGUUUAAUAAAUAAAUAAAGUGGCUAUGCUAAUCUGUAUCUAAUAAAACUUAAAGCAUGGAUAUGGUGAAUAGUUGCUCUGCCUAAUUUGCAAAUUUGAAGUUCUCUCUCAAGUUUAGAUAUAACUGUUAUAAUUUAAGGCUUGCUCUAGACCUAAACUUGUGGGAUGAAAACUUGAUCUGAAGUCUAAGUUGUUAAUGGUUAUGAUAUGGGAAGGUUGAGCUACUGUUUAUCUGUUCCUAGAGAUGCUAGAAUUCUGGAGAAUUUUAUCUUUGAAAAUCUUUAAAAUGUUGCAUGAUGAGUUCCUGUAUGAUGAGAGUUUAAAUUCCUACCACAGCCAUAUAUACAUGCUUGCUAGACCUUGAGCCACACAUUUACUAUUUACUGCUUAUGAGCAUUGAGUGUGGUCAAGCUGUGUAGACCCUUAGGAGCUUGUCAUGUGGUCAAAUCAAGAUUCACUUGCACGUUCACUCAUACAUGCUACUUCUACUCCGGAAGUACCAUCCACAUAUAUCCACUCAUUUCCAUCUCCAAAACCACCCAAAAGUAUUCUACUCCUAAUCCGGGAGAGAAUAACCAAAAAUAUUUCUGUUUCCCCUUGUGAAAUAAAUGCUCAAGUUAUCUUGUUACUACCACUUGCUAUAUUAUCUCAAGAGAUGAAUGCUCUAAAAAAAAGAGAGAGAAAAAGAAAAUAAAAGAUACAAGGAAAUAAAAAGGAGCAACUGCUCGGAACCUCGAAAGAAAAGAAAAAGAAGAGCAUCUCAUUCUCCUCAUAAAGUUUCAAAAGCAAGGAAGGUAUGUAUCCCCUCAAAGAGCAAAGUAGAAUUAGACUUCCACCACCAUUGUUAUCACCAUCAUCACCAUACACCAUUCAUUCGCCACACAUGCACAUCUUGAUUUGGCUUAUUGAUUUGUUUCUUUGGAUCCAUGGUUUGACUAUGCAAUAAAUGCCUUCUAAGUAUGUAUACUUUAUCUCCCACCUAUGAGCUCCAGAUAUUAAAGCCUUAUUAGAGUAGGGUGAGAGAGAAGACAAUGUCACUAUGCUUCAUACCACAAAUACUACACAUCUUGAGAGAAGGCAUAUACCAUCACUGCCUUGGUAAGGAUCCAAAAAUACCACAAAAGAGAGACCUGAGAGAAUCAUACAAGGAAUUUCUGAGUUUUAUUUGAAAAUCUGCAAAAACCCCAGAGCUAUAGCUGAUCAAGAAUAAGAGACAUGGCACUUGGCUAGACUGUUCUAUCUUUUAACCACUCAAGACAGAAGUGACGGUUACAAGUCCUAUGGUGUAGGUAAAGUAAGUAAGUUUUAAGUCUUAACAGUUUAUUGUAACUCAGAGAUGAGAUCUUGCUUAAAUGCGUGUGUACUUCUAAGAAAUGAAACCACUGCAGAAACUCUUGAGUUCAUCCUUGCUCAGGGACGAGCAAGAGGUAAGCUUGGGGGAGUUUGUUGACGGUCCUUAAGUAUCAAAUUUAAUUAUCAAAUAAACAAAGAAAAGGAUCCAAAUGAAAUUAACAUCUAGACUUAGGGUUUUAUCUGACAGAAUUCCAUGAGUUUUGGUGUUUGUCUAUUUCUGCAGGGGGUUAUCAGGAAAUAAGGAAGAAAGGCCCACAUGUCGGGAUUACAUAGAGAUAUCAACCCACCGCGCAAUUUUCUACCAUCUAGAAGACUCCAGAAGCCACGGGAAGGAAGCGGAGCCCGAAAGGGGCCAGGCCCAGGGCGCCCGCCCUGAGGACCUGGGCGCCCGCCCACCUCUGGACUCCGUUCCGGACUCUCUUCGCACACGACGUUCCACCGACCUAUUGGAUCUAGAAUAACAUAGUACCACCUCGCCUAUCGACCCAAAAACGCAUAGAGGGUGAGGACUAUAUAAAGAGACCCCCUCUGGCCCCUGGAGGAGACAAGAAAUUAUCAUAGAGAUUGAGGGGUGCCCUCGAAGGAAAACCUCUUCUCUAAAUAAUAUUUCUUUUUAGGCUUAGCAUCCAAUGUAAAGUAGAAAUAGAUCUUCUAGUUUCUACUAGAUUGAGAGAGAUAGAGUGGAGGUGUGGAUCGGAGGAAGGCCGGCCUGUCGGUGUCUACUCCGAGUUGUACCUACGGGAUCAAGUCUCCUAACCCGAGGCUUCCUUCCAAGAUUCUUCAGUAAUUCGACUUCUAAUACUAGUAAGUUCUUGUUUUAUUGUUCUUUGGUUUAUGAGUUUCCUUUAAUCCUGUUCCGGUUGAGUAUUAGAGUAAUCACUUGUUAGCGUAAACGUGGUGUUUAGGCUAGGGUACUCAUAGAUAUCCCCUGACUAGCUGGACCGUGGUAGUAGCGAGGAACGUGACAAUUCGAGUUACCUUUGCAGAUCACAUCUCGUUAGCAGGACGGGUAGGGUUAUAGGUGUGGGUCGAACAUCCUUUGUGUUGUCUAGAUUCCGUGAGCCUCCCCAAUAGAACAGUAGAUCAUCCUUACCAAGGUUAGAACGAGACUACGGUUGCAGUCUUCUCUAUACAUCACUCACAUCGAGAGACAUUCUUUGUAGCCUAAAGGGAUAGUAGCAAUAGAUUUGGUUAGUCAGAUGCACCCUUUCUCCUAGUGGUAAAAAUAUAAAUACGAUAACUCUAGAUAACCUCCCGGGUGAAAUGCUCACCGAUAUCCGUGCGCUUGCGGAUCAUUUCCUUAUUGCGUUACCAAAUAUCAACAGCGCCCUGGUCCUCAGGGCGGGCGCCCUGGGCCUGGCCCCGUUUCGCCUCCGCUUCGGUCUCGUGGCUUCUGGAGUCUUCUAGAUGAUGUAAAAUUGCGCGGUGCGUUGAUAUCUCUAUGUAAUCCCGACAUGUGGGCCUUUCUUCCUUAUUUCCUGAUAACCCCCUGCAGAAACAGAUAAACAACAAAACUUGUGGAAUUCUGUCAGAUCAAACCCUAAUUCUAGGUGUUGGUUGCAUAUUGGUCCUUUCUCUUGUUUAUUUGAUAAUUAAAAUUGAUACUUAAGAAUCGUCAACAAAUACCCCCAUACUUAGACUUUUACUCGUCCUUGAGAAAAGGAUGGUUAAGAACAAUAUCUGGGGUAAACAUUUUAAAACAUUCUCUAUAUAAUUGCAGGGUGUUAAAAAUCCACUGUGUACCAUAGUCAGGGAAGUUUAAGAUCAAGAGUAAAGAUCCUUUCUUCUCAAUCCUGUCACUUGGAGUUUUUUUAUAUUUUUGAAAGAAAGUUAGCAUACCUUUUGAUCCUCAUAGGUUCUCUCAGAUCACUCAUUAUCUUUUAUAUAUAUCUCACUGAGGCUGUUUUAUUUUGCAAAAAUUCUCAAGCAUUCUUACUUUGCAUUUAUUGCCUGAUCAAAACGGGAUCCGAGGAGGGGAAUGUCAUACUCUUAGAUCAAAGACUUUGGAAAUUAAAAUCUUUGUCAACUCUUGCUGGCAUAUUGCUUAUUAGAGGGACCAUGGGCUAUCAUUUUUUUUUCUCUUUUUUUUAAGUGGAUACCGAGGUACCCCUAAUUCUACUGCCGGACACUUGUCCAUUUUUUUCUGCGAGGUUGUCGAGCACUUGCUCCUUUUUAUUUCCUCGAAAUAUCUCUAUUUUUGCAUAGCCCAUGCCUCUAGUGCAAUAAUACUUCGGAAGAGUGAAUCUUAUUGAAAUAAUGUCUUGAUAUUGGGAGCAUGAUAAAUCUAUCAACAAGGGUCUAACUUUUUUUGAACAAACUCAAUACAGAGCAGAUAGCUUUUAUAAUCAUAAUUAAUAUUUUCAGUUUUAUCAGGCAUACAAAACACUGAGGAUGGUAGCUAGAAUUUUGAAUAUUUUGAAAUAAAUUCUCCAAGCAACAAUGAUAUCAAGAAUAAGAAACUCAUACUCUACCAUCACAUAUUUCAUAUUGACUUAAGUAACACAGGGUUUUAAAAUGAUUUUAUAAUAAUUGCAAGUUUUCAGGAAAUAUCACAGAUUGAGAUUAAUCAUGAUUAGAAAUAUUUUAAUCUUUUUAUUUUAUCAUGUCGGAAACAGUAAUCUGCAUAAUCAAGAUAUUUGUAUGUGUAACAUAAAGUGUGCAGAGUGUGUACCUGAGUGGUGUAGUUGGAGUGUGGUUGGCAUGUCGAGGGAUCUCCCCCAUACUUGUUUUCUGCUUUCUUGCCCAAAAAUAAAGUAGAGACACACAAGACAUAAUAAUAAUAAUAAUAAUAAUAAUAAUAAUAAUAAUAAUAAUAAUAAUAAUAAUAAUAAUAAUAAUAAUAAUAAUACUCUUUAUUGAUCUUGAGGCAUUUAUUACAAAAGACUGAUAGCAAACUGAUGAUAAUAGCAAACUUAAACCGAAUUUAAAGAUAGAUGACUAAGAUGCAUUGCCUCAAGGUCUAAUCUAGAUAACUUAGUGGCGCUCUAAUUCUUUGUGGUUAGAGAGCUGCCUAGUGAGGGAAUUCAUCGAGGACUGGAGGUCUAUGAUAACUCUAUCUAGCCUGCGAACUUCCUCAUCAAUAUCCAUUAUAGUCUUGUGACGCUUGGGAGUUGUCUCAAAAGCAUUGAGAGAGUGCUUCGGGGAUGCCUUUGGAGGGAUGAAACGGACUUUGGAUGCUCUAAUCCCUUCAAAGUAAGGCCUUUCCUCCUCCGUAGUGUAGCGAACGCUGCUGAUCUCUCCGCUCCGGUUGGUCUUGACUCCAACGACCCUCUCAUUGGGUCUAGGUGGAAGGAUCCUUGUGCCGAUUGGCACCUUGAUAGUGGUCUUCGUCUUGGAUGAUGAUCCUUUGAGGAGUAGGGGUUGUGGCGGUGCGGUGAGAACUGGUUGAGCAUGGUAAGAUUGGGCGGAGCUGCGUUGGUGUAAUGGCAUGGCUUCUAGCUGACGCUCUGUGUUGGCCGGGACGAGAGCACGGGCAUCGGGGUCCUCCACAGGCUCCAUGUUGAGGUUGAAGGGGACGACUUCCCAAUUAUCAUGGUACUUCUCGGCCAUUGGAGCAGCAAGGAACUAAUAAAAUUUUAAUUGAAGUAGAGCUAAUCAAGCUCUAAUUGAAGGAGAGGAGGCUUGGUGUUUGAAAACUGAGGUCAGGGGUCUGUUUAUAUAGGGGUCAAAAGGGUGCCUCUAUGGGUUGUUCGGGUUGCUCCCGUCGAUGUGCGUGCGAAACUUUCCAUCCGAGGGAUUAUUCGGAUCACCCUAAGUGCAUUUUCCAUAACAGAGAAAGUCGGGACCGAGGGGGAACAGGGGCUGGGCGCCCGCCCUCUCUCUGGCCCCUCUGUGGGCCCACUUCUCCGAGUGCGUUUCUAGAUGCGAAAUUAUUUAGAAAAAUAUAUAUAUGACCCAAAACCAUCAGACUAAAAGUGUCGGGCUCUAAUUCUCCAUGGGAAGGUAAAAAUGGACUACGUCUAUUUCUUCAAAUUCCUCAUUGGGCUCUAAAAAUAAUUUAAGACGUUGACCAUUUACCUUGAAUAACGUACCUUCGCUAUUUUGAAGUGUGAUAGCUCCGUGGGAUGAUGAAUUGAUUACCUUGAAUGGUCCUUCCCAUUUGCUCUGGAGUUUUCCAUGCCCGAAAAGCUUCACCCUGGAAUUAAAAAGUAAUACCUUAUCUCCGGGUGUGAACUCCUUCUUGAUUCUCUUGUCAUGCCACCUCUUGACUCUUUCUUUGUGGAUCUUUGAAUUAUGAUAUGCCUUCUCUCGCCAUUCUUCCAAUUCUGAUAGUUUCAUUCUUCUAUAAUCUCCAGCAACAUCUAGGUCUGUUCCAUCUCUUUAUGGCCCAGUGUGCUUUGAAUUCUAGUUCAACAGGUAGAUGGCAAGUCUUCCCGUACACCAAUUGGUACGGAGACAUUCCGAUUGGGGUCUUGUAUGCUGUCCGGUAUGCCCAGAGUGCAUCGGGUAACUUGUCUUUCCAUGCCGUUCCCAUUUCAUUUACUGUCUUCUGAAGAAUAUUCUUGAUUUGUUUGUUGGAAGUCUCUGCUUGGCCACUUGUCUGAGGAUGAUAGGGGGUAGCGACGUUGUGACGGAUUCCAUGUCUUGAUAGAUAUUGCUUGAAGCGUUUGUCGAUGAAGUGUGCUCCUCCAUCACUUAUCACUACUCUGGGGACUCCAAAUCUUGGAAAUAUAAUUUCUUCAAACAUCCUCUUUGAACUGACGUUGUCGGCAUGCUUGCAAGGUAAUGCCUCUACCCACUUGGAGACAUAGUCAACCUCCACCAAGAUGUACUCACACUUCUUUGAUGGAGGAAAUGGACCCAUGUAGUCUAUUCCCCAGACAUCAAAGAGCUCAAUCUGAAGGUUGUUGGUGAGUGGCAUUACAUCCCUUGUAUUUAUGUUUCCGUGCCUUUGACAUGGCCCACAUCUUCUGAUAUAUUGCUUCGUGUCUUCAUACAUUGUAGGCCAGUAGAAUCCACACUGCCAGAUCUUUGAAUGUGUACGGAAUGCUCCAUAGUGACCUCCAUAUGGUGAUGAAUGACAUCUGUCGAUGAUCUUCCAUCCUUCCUCAGUGGUCACACAUCUCCUGAGUAAGCCAUCACAGCAUACUCGGAAGAGGUAUGGCUCAUCCCAUAUAUGUGAACGACUUUCUUGAAUAAGCUUUUUCUUGUUUGCUCCUGGUGGUACAUACCCUGAAACCAUAAAAUUAACAAUAUCUGCAUACCAGGGGUCAGACCUGUUAAUCCCAUAGAGCAUGUCGUCCCGGACUGAAUCAUUGAUGGGGGUUUCCUGUGGACUCUUAAAAUACAUUCUAGACAAGUGAUCAGCAACAGAAUUUUCUACUCCUUUUUUAUCUUUUAUUUCUAAGUCAAAGUCUUGGAGUAAUAAGAUCCAUCUAAUCAGGCGAGGUUUAGCAUCUUUUUUAGUGAGCAAAUAUUUUAAUGCAGCAUGAUCAGUAUAAACAACUAUUUUAGCUCCAACUAAAUAAGAUCUAAAUUUAUCAAUAGCAAAGACAACAGCCAGAAGCUCUUUUUCAGUGGUUGCAUAGUUAAGUUGAGCUCCUGUCAAAGUUUUACUGGCAUAAGCAAUUGCAUGAUGUUUCUUAUCUUUAGUUUGCCCCAAUACUGCCCCCACAGCAUAAUCACUAGCAUCACACAUAAUUUCAAAAGGUAACGACCAAUCAGGGGGUUGAAUGAUUGGUGCAGAGAUGAGUGCUUUCUUUAAUAAAUUGAAAGAUGUUAGGCAUGCAUCAUCAAAUUCGAAAGGGGCAUCCUUGGCUAGCAAAAGAGUAAGUGGUCUAGCAAUAAAUGAAAAAUAUUUUAUCAAUCUACGAUAAAAACUAGCAUGGCCAAGAAAGCUUCGAAUUCCUUUUAUAUUCACAGGUGGAGGUAGUUGUUCAAUUACUUCAAUUUUAGCUUUGUCUACCUCAAUACCUCUUUCAGACACUAAGUGUCCCAGCACUAUUCCUUCCCUAACGAUAAAAUGACAUUUUUCCCAAUUAAGGAUUAAGUGCUUUUCUUCACAUCUUUGCAAAACCUUGUCUAAGUUUUCAAGACAACUAUCAAAAGUUUUUCCAUAAACAGAGAAAUCAUCCAUGAAAACUUCAAUAAUCUCUUCAAUCAUAUCAGAAAAUAUAGACAUCAUGCAUCUUUGAAAAGAAGCUGGUGCAUUACAUAACCCAAAAGACAUUCUACGAUAAGCAUAAGUUCCAUAUGGGCAUGUAAAAGUGGUUUUGCUUUGAUCAUCGGGAUGGAUUGGGAUUUGGUGAUACCCUGAAUAUCCAUCUAAGAAACAAAAGAAUGAAUGAUUCUCUAAUCGCUCUAGCAUCUCAUCUAUGAAGGGUAAAGGAAAGUGAUCCUUUCUCGUGGCUUUGUUUAGUUUUCUAUAGUCUAUGCACAUCCGCCAUCCUUUGACGGUGCGUUGCGGAAUUAGCUCGUUCUUUUCAUUCAUAAUAACUGUCAUAACUCCUUUUUAAGGAACAACUUGCACUAGGCUUACCCACUCACUGUGCGGCACAGGAUAUAUAAUCCCUGCAUGCAGCAACUUUAUGACUUCCUUUUCAACUACCUCUCUCAUAGUGUUGUUAAGUCUACGUUGGGGUUCUCGAGAGGGUGUAACGGAAGGAUCUGUUGGAAUACGAUGGGUACAAAUCAUAGGACUGAUUCCUGUAAGAUCUUGAAGUGAGUAGCCGAAAACUGAGUGAUGUUUCUCAAGAAUGGUCAUUAAUCGCAGAGUUUGAUCCUGAGUGAGUUUAUCGCUAAUGAUCACAGGGAACUCUGGAUUAUUGUUUAGGAAAGCAUAGGUAAGACCGGGUGGUAAAGUUUUAAGCUCUAUGGGAGGUUUAGGUGUUUCUGCAAACUCAUCUAAGGGUUCAGGCUCGGAAGGUUCGUCUUCUUCUUCUGUGAAGAAAGGAGUUUCGUCUUCUAAGUCUGGUUCAUUUAAAAGCUCUAGAGAUGCAGCCUUUACCUCCUCCAUAGGAUCAGGCAAAAGAUAUGACUUGGCCUUAUUGUUUAAGGAGUGUGAAAUUGUUAUUGGGAAUUUAAAAGUUUUUCCAAAAGAAAUGUGUAGCUUUCCAGUAUGACCUUCAUAAAGGAGUCUUCUAAAAGGCUGUCCUAUCAACAGGUCGAAGUCCCAUGUAUCAAAGAUAUAGAAGUUCAAAUGAACCAUGGAGCCUUCUACCGUAAGAGGUAGGACAUUAAUAAUUCCAAGACUGGGGACUAAUCGUCCCGAAGAUUCCUUUAUGACCUUUGUUGUGGGGGUUAAGACAAGAUUUUUAAAUAGUUUAAGUGCAAAGGAUUCAGACAUAAUGUUGAUCCCCACAACAGGAUUAUAAAGAGCAUUAAAUCGAUCAGAAUUAUAAGCACAGCGUAUAGUUAUAGAGGGUGUGUCCAAACGGAUCACAUCAGAGGAAAGCUCUGAUUCCUCCAACCAUUCGCUACUCAUGACUGAGAUAAGCUCUCUCAAUUGAUAUUCACUUGGUAAAUAAAUGCUAAACUGACCGUUUUGGGGUUUGUCAAUAGAAUGGUGGUUUGAAAUAUUUCCAAAAUCGGCAAAAAGAUCGGAUUCUAUAUCCAGCAUGAAGUCCGGUAGUGGAAUUUCUUCCUCUUGUGGCUCAGAACUUGGGAUAGCUAAAGUAGAUGAAGAAUUUGGCAGAGUGUCUACUUCGACUUCGUAGGUUUCAUCAUGAAGGGUAUUAUCCAUCUCAGCUUCUAGGAUUCUAUCUAGGAUCACUCUAGCGUCAUCAGCAGGGAUGCGAAAGAAAGAACCUCUAGACAUUGUGUGUAGCAUUUGUUUGUGAUUUUUCUGAAGACCUCGAAAAAAGUGAAAUAAAAGAACAGGGUCUUCUAGAUUAAGGUUUGGACCAGAUUCUAAAAGAUCAGAAAAACGUUUCCAGGAUUUUCCCAAAGUUUCAUUAUCUUUUUGUUUAAAAGAUUGGACUUCGAGUCUAAGGUCGGCUAUACGGUCAAGGGAAUAGAAAUCUAGACAAAAGUUGGCUCGUAAAACUCCCCAUUCACCUUGUUGUUGACUUACCUUCUGACUGUACCAUUGUCUAGCUUCUCCCCUUAAAGAAAAAGGAAAAAGCUUCCAACGUAAAGUCUUAUCAGAAAUGCCUUCAAUGCGAAGACAAUCACAUGUUUGCUCAAAAUCUCUAAUAUGAAGGUAAGGGUUUUCGUCUUCCUUUCUCGAAAAAGAUAGGUUUUGAAUCAUGGCAAUCAACCUAGAACUUAACUUAUACUGGGAUGUUUGGAUAGGCUGUGAUGAUUCCCAAGGUAAAAGGUCAGUUGCUAAAGGGAUUGCAGACUCAUGGAUCGAUUUAGAAUUUUGGUUUUCCAUAAGGUAAGAAUAAAGAAAAUAAAGAAAGAAUAUAAAAGAUAAGAAAAGAUAAAAGUAUAGAUACAAGCUAAUAGUAAGACUCAGGUUAUCUCAGCAACCGUCUUUCUCCCCGGCAACGGCGCCAGAAAUGCUUGUUGAUAUUUGGGAACGCAAUAAGGAAUUGAUCCGCAAGCGCACGGAUAUCGGUGAGCACUUCACCCGGGAGGUUAUCCAGAGUAUCGUAUUUAUUUUUUUACCACUAGGAGAAAGAGUGCAUCUGACUAACCGGUCUAUUACUACUAACCUUUAGGCACAAAGAAUGUCUUUCGAUGUGAGUGAUAAAUAGAGAAGACUGCAACCGUAGUCUCCUUCUAACCUUGGUAAGGAUGAUCUACUGUUCUAAUGGGGAGGCUAACGGAAUCUAGACAACACAAAGGAUGUUCGACCCGCACCUAUAAACCCUAUCCUUCCUGCUAACGAGAUGUGAUCUACAAAGGUAGCUCGGAAUUGUCACGUUCCUCACUUCUAUCACGGUCCAGCUAGUCAGGGAAUAUCUAUGAGUACCCCAGCCUAAACACCACGUUUACGCCAUCAAUGAUUACUCUAAACUCUUCACUGAAGAAGAAACCGAACCUUCUGAACCUGAACCCUUAGAUGAGUUGAGUGUGCAGAAACACCUAGACCCCCCAUAGAGCUUAAAACUUUACCACCCGGUCUUACCUAUGCUUUCCUAAACAAUAAUCCAGAGUUUCCUGUGAUCAUUAGCGAUAAACUCACUCAGGAUCAAACUCUGCGAUUAAUGACCAUUCUUGAGAAACAUCACUCAGUUUUUGGCUACUCACUCCAAGAUCUUACAGGAAUCAGUCCUAUGAUUUGUACCCAUCGUAUUCCAACAGAUCCUUCUAUCUCACCUUCUCGAGAACCCCAACGUAGACUUAAUAACACUAUGAGAGAGGUAGUUAAAAAGGAAGUUAUAAAGUUGCUGCAUGUAGGGAUUAUAUAUCCUGUACCGCACUGUGAGUGGGUAAGCCCAGUACAAGUUGUGCCUAAAAAGGGAGGCAUGACUGUUAUUAUGAAUGAAAAGAACGAGCUAAUUCCGCAACGCACCGUCACAGGAUGGCGGAUGUGCAUAGACUAUAGGAAACUAAACAAAGCCACGAGAAAGGAUCACUUUCCUUUACCUUUCCUAGAUGAGAUGCUAGAGCGAUUAGCGAACCCUUCGUUCUUCUGUUUCUUAGAUGGAUAUUCAGGAUAUCACCAAAUCCCGAUCCAUCCCGAUGAUCAAAGCAAAACCACUUUUACAUGCCCAUAUGGAACUUAUGCUUAUCGUAGAAUGUCUUUUGGGUUAUGUAAUGCACCAGCUUCUUUUCAAACAUGCAUGAUGUCUAUAUUUUCUGAUAUGAUCGAAGAAAUUAUGGAAGUUUUCAUGGAUGAUUUCUAUGUUUAUGGAAAAACUUUUGAUAGUUGUCUUGAAAACUUAGACACGGUUUUGCAAAGAUGUGAAGAAAAGCACAUAGUCCUUAAUUGGGAAAAAUGUCAUUUUAUGGUUGGAGAAGGAAUAGUGCUGGGACACCUAGUGUCUGAAAGAGGUAUUGAGGUAGACAAAGCUAAAAUUGAAGUAAUUGAACAACUACCUCCACCUGUGAAUAUAAAAGGAAUUCGAAACUUUCUUGGCCAUGCUGGUUUUUAUCGUAGAUUUAUAAAAGAUUUUUCAUUUAUUGCUAGACCACUAACUCUUUUGCUAGCCAAGGAUGCUCCUUUUGAAUUUGAUGAUGCAUGUCUAACAUCUUUCAAUUUAUUAAAGAAAGCACUCAUCUCUGCACCAAUCAUUCAACCCCCUGAUUGGUCGUUGCCUUUUGAAAUUAUGUGUGAUGCUAGUGAUUAUGCUGUGGGGGCAGUAUUGGGACAAACUAAAAAUAAGAAGCAUCAUGCAAUUGCUUAUGCCAGUAAAACUUUAACAGGAGCUCAACUUAAUUAUGCAACCACUGAAAAAGAGCUUCUGGCUGUUGUCUUUGCCAUUGAUAAAUUUAGAUCUUAUUUAGUUGGAGGUAAAAUAAUUGUUUACACUGAUCAUGCUGCACUAAAAUAUUUGCUCACUAAAAAACAUGCUAAACCUCACCUCAUUAGAUGGAUCUUAUUACUCCAAGAAUUUGACUUGGAAAUAAAAGAUAAAAAGGGAGUAGAAAAUUUUGUUGCUGAUCACUUGUCUAGAAUGUAUUUUAAGAGUCCACAGGAAACCCCCAUCAAUGAUUCACUCCGGGACGACAUGCUCUACGGGAUUAACAGGUCUGACCCCUGGUAUGCAGAUAUUGUUAAUUUUAUGGUUUCAGGGUAUGUACCACCAGGAGCAAACAAGAAGAAGCUUAUUCAAGAAAGUCGUUCACAUAUAUGGGAUGAGCCAUACCUCUUCCGAGUAUGCUCUGAUGGCUUGCUCAGGAGAUGUGUGACCACUGAGGAAGGAUGGAAAAUCAUCGACAGAUGUCAUUCAUCACCAUAUGGAGGUCACUAUGGAGCAUUCCGUACACAUUCAAAGAUCUGGCAGUGUGGAUUCUACUGGCCUACAAUGUAUGAAGACACGAAGCAAUAUAUCAGAAGAUGUGGGCCAUGUCAAAGACACGGAAACAUAAAUACAAGGGAUGCAAUGCCACUCACCAACAACCUUCAGAUUGAGCUCUUUGAUGUCUGGGGAAUAGACUACGUGGGUCCAUUUCCUCCAUCAAAGAAGUGUGAGUACAUCUUGGUGGCGGUUGACUAUGUCUCCAAGUGGGUAGAGGCAUUACCUUGCAAGCAUGCCGACAACAUCAGUUCAAAGAGGAUGUUUGAAGAAAUUAUAUUUCCAAGAUUUGGAGUCCCCAGAGUAGUGAUAAGUGAUGGAGGAGCACACUUCAUCGACAAACGCUUCAAGCAAUAUAUAGCAAAACAUGGAAUCCGUCACAACGUCGCUACCCCUUAUCAUCCUCAGACAAGUGGCCAAGCAGAAACUUCCAACAAACAAAUCAAGAAUAUUCUUCAGAAGUCAGUAAAUGAAAUGGGAACGGCAUGGAAAGACAAGUUACCCGAUGCACUCGGGGCAUACCGGACAGCAUACAAGACCCCAAUCGGAAUGUCUCCAUACCAAUUGGUGUACGGGAAGACUUGCCAUCUACCUGUUGAACUAGAGUUCAAAGCACACUGGGCCAUAAAGAGAUGGAAUAUGGACCUAGAUGUUGCUGGAGAUCAUAGAAGAAUGCAACUAUCAGAAUUGGAAGGAUGGCAAGAGAAGGCAUAUCACAACUCAAAGACCUACAAAGAAAGAGUCAAAAGGUGGCAUGACAAGAGAAUCAAGAAGAAGGAGUUCACACCCGAAGAUAAGGUAUUACUUUUUAAUUCCAGGGUAAAGUUUUUCGGGCAUGGAAAACUCCGGAGCAAAUGGGAAGGACCAUUCAAGGUAAUAAAUUCAUCAUCCCACGGAGCAAUCACACUUCAAAAUGACGAAGGUAUGUUAUUCAAGGUAAAUGGUCAACGUCUUAAAUUAUUUUUAGAGCCCAAUAAAGAAUUAGAAGAAAUAGACGUAGUCAACUUUUACCUUCCCAUGGAGAAUUAGAGCCCGACCUUUUUAGUCUGAUAUUUUCGGGUCAAAUAUAUAUUUUUCAAAAUAGUUUUGCAUCUAGAACCGCGCUCGAGAAAGUGGGCCCACAGAGGGGCCAGAGAGAGGGCGGGCGACCAGAUCAGGUGGGCGGGCGCCCAGCACCUAUUCCCCCUCGGUCCCAUCUUCUCUGUUAUGGAAAAUUCACUUAUGGUAAUCUGAAUAACCCCUCAGAUGGAAAGUUUCGCACGCACAUUGACGGGAGCAACCCGAACAACCCAUAGAGGCACUCUUUGACCCCUAUAUAAACAGACCCCUGACCUCAGUUUUCAAACACCAAGCCAUCAAGCCUUCUCUUCUUUUUCAAUUAGAGCUUGAUUAGUUCCUUGCUGCUCCAAUGGCCGAGAAGUACCACGAUGAUUGGGAAGUCGUCCCCUUCAACCUCAACAUGGUGCUUGUGGAAGACCCCGAUGCCCGUGCUCUCGUCCCGGCUAACACAGAGCGACAGCUAGAAGCCAUGCCAUUACGCCAACGCAGCUCCGACCAAUCUUACCAUGCUCAACCAGUUCUCACCGCACCACCACAACCCCUACUUCUCAAGGGAUCAUCAUCCAAGACGAAGACCACUAUCAAGGUGCCAACCGGCACGAGGAUCCUUCCACCAAGACCCAAUGAGAGGGUCGUUGGAGUCAAGACCAACCAGAGCGGCGAGAUCAGCAGCGUUCGCUACACUACGAAGGAGGAAAGGCCUUACUUUGAAGGGAUUAGAGCAGCCAAAGUCUGUUUCAUCCCUCCAAAGGCAGCCCCAAAGCACGCUCUCAAUGCUUUUGAGACACCUCCCAAGCAUCACAAGACUAUAAUGGAUAUUGAUGAGGAUGUUCGCAGGCUAGACAGAAUUAUCAUAGACCUCCAGUCCUCGAUUAAUUCCCUCACUAGGCAGCUCUCUAACCACAACACCAUUAUAUUAGGCCUUAGGCAGGAUCUUGCUAGUGCCAACAAGAAGAUUAAGGAAUUAGAGCGCCGCUAAGUUAUCUAGAUUAGAACUUGAGGCAAUGCAUCUUAGUUAUUCAUCAGUUUGCUACUAGUUAUUUGUAAUAAAUGCCUCAAGAUUAAUAAAGAGUAUUAUUAUUAUUAUUAUGUCUUGUGUGUCUGUACUUUAUUUUUGUGCAUGAAAGCAGAAAACAUGUAUGGGGGAGAUCCCUCAACAUGCCAAACACACUCCGACUACACCACUCCACGAUUCAGGUACACACUCUGCACACUUUACUUUACACAUACAUAUAUCUUAGAUUAUGCAGAAUACUGUUUCCGACAUGAUAAAUUAAAAAGAUUAAAAUAUUUCUAAUCAUGAUUAAUCUCAAUCUGUUAUAUUUCCUGAAAACUUGCAAUUAUUAUAAAAUCAUUUUAAAACCCUGUGUUACUUAAGUCAAUAUGGAAUAUGUGAUGGUAGAAUAUGAGUUUCUUAUUCUUGAUAUCAUUGCUACUUGGAGAAUUUAUUUCAAAAUAUUCAAAAUUCUAGCUACCAUCCUCAGUGUUUUAUAUGCCUAAUAAAACUAAAAAUAUUAAUUAUGAUUAUAAAAGCUAUCUACUCUGUAUUGAGUUUGUUCAAAAUGAGUUAGACCCUUGUUGAGAGAUUUAUCAUGCUCCUAAGAUCAAGAUAUUUAUUCAGAAAGAUUCACUCUUCCGAAGUAUUAUUGCAUUAGAGGCAUGGGCUAUGCAAAAAUAGAAAUAUUUUGAGGAAAUAAAAAGGAGCAAGUGCUCGACAACCUCGCAGAAAAAAUAGACAAGUGUCCAACAGUAGAAUUAGGGAUACCUCGGUAUCCACUUAAAAAAAGAAGAAGAAAAAGAGAAAAUGAUAGCCCAUGGUCCCUCUAAUAAGCAAUAUGCCAGCAAGAGUUGACAAAGAUUUUAAUUUCCAAGGUCUUUGAUCUAAGAGUAUGACAUUCCCCUCCUCGGAUCCCGUUUUGAUCAGGCAAUAAAUGCAAAGUAAGUAUGCUUAGAACUUUUGCAAAAUAAAACAGCCUCAGUGAAAUAUAUAAAAGAUAAUGAGUGAUCUGAGAAGAACCUAUGAGGAUAAAAAGGUAUGCUAACUUUCUUUCAAAAAUAUACAAAAACUCCAAGUGACAGGAUUGAGAAGAAAGGAUCUUUACUCUUAAUCAUAUACUUCCCUGACUACAGUACACAGUGAAUUUUAAUACCCUGCAAAUGUAAAGAAUGUUUUAAAUGUUUACCACAGAUAUUUUUUUUAACCAUCCUUUUCUCGAGGACGAGUAAAAGCCUAAGUAUCGGGGUAUUUGUUGAUGGUUCUUAAGUAUCAAUUUUAAUUAUCAAAUAAACAAGGGAAAGGACCAAUAUGCAACCAACACCUAGAGUUAGGGUUUGAUCUGAUAGAAUUCCACGAGUUUUGUUGUUUAUCUAUUUCUGCAGGGGGUUACCGGGAAAUAAGGAAGAAAGGCCCACAUGUCGGGAUUACAUAGAGAUAUCAACGCACCGCACGAUUUUCUACCAUCUAGAAGACUCCAGAAGCCACGGGAAGAAAACAGAGGCCGAAAGGGGCCAGGCCCAGGGCGCCCGCCCUGGUGACCUGGGCGCCCGCCCCCCUCUGGAAGCCUUUCGGGACUCUCUUCGCACGGGAUAUUCCACCGACCUAUUGGAUCAAGAAAAACAUAGUACCACCUCGCCUACCGACCCAAAAAUGCAUAGAGGAGGAGGACUAUAUAAGGAGACCCCCCUGGCCCCUGGAGAAGACAUGAAGAAAUUAUCAUAGAGAUUGAGGGGUGCCCUCGAAGGAAAACCUCUUCUCUAAUUAAUAUUUCUUUUUAGGCUUAGCAACCAAUGUAAAGUAGAAAUAGAUCUUCUAGUUUCUACUAGAUUGAGAGAGAUAGAGUGGAGGUGUAGAUUGGAGGAAGCCCGGUCUGUCGGUGUCUACUCCAAGCUUGUACCUGUGGGAUCAAGUUCUCCUAACCCGAAGCUUGCUCCUAGGAUUCUUCAGUAUUUCGACUUCUAAAUUCUAGUAAGUUCUUAUUUUAUUGUUCUUUUUGGUUUAUGAGUUUACUUUAAUCUCUUCACGUAGAGUUUAGAGUAAUCAUUGCUGGCGUAAAUGUGGUGUUUAGGCUGGGGUACUCAUAGAUAUUCCUUGACUAGCUAGACCGUGGUAGUAGUGAGGAACGUGACAAUUCCGAGUUACCUUUGCAGACCACAUCUCGUUAGCAGGAAGGAUAGGGUUUAUAGGUGCGGGUUGAACAUCCUUUGUGGUGUCUAGAUUCCAUUAGCCUCCCCAAUAGAACAGUAGAUCAUCCUUACCAAGGUUAGAAGGAGACUACGGUUGCAGUCUUCUCUAUUUAUCACUCACAUCGAAAGACAUUCUUUGUGCCUAAAGGGUUAGUAGUAAUAGACCGGUUAGUCAGAUGCACUCUUUCUCCUAGUGGUAAAAAAUAAAUACGAUACUCUCGAUAAUUUCCCAGGUGAAGUGCUCACCGAUAUCCGUGCGCUUGCGGAUCAAUUCCUUAUUGCGUUCCCAAAUAUCAACACCCUCAUGAGGAAUGCUUGGGUGAGUGCUAGGAAUACCCCUCCAGCUAGAUAGGAAUCGAUUCGAAUCGCCGUCUCUCUCGGAUAGUGAGAACUUGACUCGAGCAGCGGCAACAUAGAACUCACUAAAUAAACUUGAUUGUUGUGAUGAGAAUGUUGAUAGCUAUGUGAUAAUCUGGAUAUGGUUAUUAUUGUGAUGCUUAAAUACUCAAGUGUAUGCUUAGAACAAGUGCUAAUAUAGUGGAUAGUUGUUAAGUAAUGAACUUGCUGCUAAAAUGCUAUAAAUAUGUUACUUACAACUAAAGCUUUUUAUGCAAAAAUGUGAGUCAAACCAGUCCACAAAUAUUAGCCUUGCAUACUCCUUGGUGUCACUUUAUUUCUGGUUUAUGACGGGUAAGUCUAGCUGAGUACAUUCUCGUACUCAGGGUUUUAUUUACCCUUGUUGCAGAUGAUGUCGUUUAUCACGACUACUGUGCUAACUGUCAUCAUCCGGCUGCGGACGAUGAAUAGAUCAUGGGCAUGAUCGACCCCUUUAUCUUCAGCUAUGCUUUUGUUGGGAUGACUAUGGAACUGGCAUGUAAUUAAACUGAGUGUGUGAUGUUUCAAAACUACUUUGCUUCCGCUACUGAAUCGGUUUGUAAUAACUUGGUUUAAACUCCGAUGUGUUGUAAAACUAUGUUUUGUGUUGAAUGAAUGUAAUCUGUGAUGGCGAUGCUUGAUCAUGUACGAUCUUGGUUAUAUGUUGGUUGAAUCAAGGUCUUUAGAGAUUUCGUCGGACUACCAUGUUUAUAUGUGUUCAAGUCCAUUGGCUUGACUACUUUGUGAUCGCUAAUUCACUUGAAUUCUUAUAAAUUGGACGGUUCUGUUACAGCUGGCAUCGGAGCAAGAUUAAGCAUUUAACCAUCAUUGAUGUAUUUAAAAACAAAUGAAUUUGCUUUCUCAAACUAAUUGGCAAAGCAUAUUAUACAUAGGGUUGUUUUAAAAAUGUUUAAAUAAGAUAUACCAUGCCAGUGGUCAUACCCUUUAUGCCCAUAUAAGGACUUCUAGGUGGCCUAAUAUUACUAACACAUGGGUUUUUCCUUUCGUCGUCCAUAUGGCGUGCAAUAAUAUGGAUGCCACUUACUUAAGUGGUGAUGAAUGGAUCACAUACCUCUACGCCAUGGUAAGCAAUGUUUGUUUUCUUUCAUCGUCCAUACGGCGUGAAAUUGUUUGGAUGCCACUCACUUGAGUGGUAAUGCAUGGAUCCAUAUGCCUCUACGCUACGGUAAGUGUGAGCUGUGAGAGCAUGACCGUCCAACCGUCAGUCUAGGGGAGUGUUAGCUGUGGUUACUGGAAUAUUUACAUGUUUCACACAUGUAUAUAUGAAGGUACUUAAUUGUGGGUAGUAGGUGCAGCCACGUAUACAUGUUUGAUGUAUAUGUGGGUGUAUUCCAAAUGGGUAGUGUGCUGAGAUAUAUGUUUGGGGAUAUAUAUCGGAGUACCUAGCUUGGUUGAAGAUGAUUAGACUUUCAUUUCUGCAAAUAUACUCUUGUGGGGUUGGGCUGAAAUGAAAUUUUCUGCAGGUACACUAACAACAAAACGUGUAGACUGUGUAGUUACGUAUAAAGAGUGCACGUAUGUAUGCCACCGACUAUACCGUAGAACAUUCUUCUAGGAAUGGUAAGGACGUAUGGAACGUGCAUGCAUCAUGAAUCAUUCAUGCAUCCCUUAUGCACUACUCAAUUCUUAUAAUUCCGAAACUAUAUCUAAUUACCUCCCCUUGUAAUUAAUCUUCCUUACUCAAGUUGUGGUCUUUCCUACAGAUGGCAGCCCCACAUGCAUGUGAGACUUUUCUUGACAGGUUUGGCACUCCUACCUUGUUGUGGAGAGUGCUAAGCUCAGUGGGAUAUGAGGAACCACCUCAGUACACUUGGAUAGAGGCCGAGCAUGCUGGAUCUUUGCCUUGGGUAGAUGUCCAAAUUACAGUUCUUCCUUGUCCAAACAACCCACAGUGGCUAGGUUGGAUAGUAGAGUCCGAUGGUCAAACUUCUUGGGAGGGUGCCCAAGUAGCAGCCUUAGAAUUGCUGUUAGAAAUAUGCCAGGACUAUGGUGAUGAGCUAGUAAAUGGCCCAGGUGGAUCCUUUCCUAUAGUGAGUGUAACUGACACCUUUGUGUCUCAAAUAGGAACUGAGCCCCUAGAGAUGAGAGAAGCCAUACUAGGGUAUAGCUAUAGCCCUGCUAUGAGUGCCAUGGUGGCAGUACUUAAGCUGUACUAUGUACGCCAAGACACCUACAUAGAAGCCAUGCUAGUGCUUCAUCAAGCUCAAGUUGGGCAGCGCAAACUACGCAAGCGUGUGUGCAAGCACCGCAAAGCCUUUAGUGAUGCACAAGCUGAAAUUCAAAAGUACCAUACCGCUUUGCAAGCCCACCGCAACCAAGUUGAAAAUGCAGUUAGAGAGCGCAAUGAGGCACAAGCUCGCAUGAUGCAAAUGACUAGAGAGCGAGAUGAGGCUAUGCGCUUGGCUGAAAAUAGAGAAGCUGCUGGAGUUAGAGCUUUGUUCCAUGCUGAAAUUAGAGAGGAGGAGCUGAUCACUAGGAUUGCUGAGCUGCAGCUAGAUGUCCAUCGCCUAAAUAAUAUCAUAAAUCGUAUUCCACACCCUGUUCCCAUUAAUCAUGAAGAGGCCCCCGGUGAGGAAGAUCAGGAUGAUGGCAUCAUCUCUAAUGGAGAAUCUGAGGAAGAUAUGUAGUCUAGCGAUGGUUUCCACGCUUAUGUAUCAGUUUCCAUCUUUUUAUGUAAUGGACAUGUAAUCUGAAUUUCCAGUGAGACUCUAUGUAUUUGGCCAUGAUGCCCUUUCCUGUAAGACUUAAGUUGUGACAAUGACUCUGUGUAACCCUAUGCACCUGUAUGUGAUGCUCCAUGGUUAUGUUGUGCAUAAAUAAUUUCCAGCAAUGUCUUUAAUCCUUGUGAAGUAUGGUUGUUAAUGAUCACGAGAAUAACCAGUGUCGUGGAUGAUAUUCCCUUGUUGUACAUGAAUUAUUGUGCCUUGUAUUAUGUGAAUUUAUUUCAUUAAAUUCCAUAUGGCAUCAAUCGGGAUUCAUGACAAUUAUAUCUAUUAUCCUAAAUGGUCACUUGGUAUGCCUUGUGCAGAUGGCUCACAAUACUCGCUCCGGUCACAAUGAGGUGCCGCCACCACCACCUCCUUCCCCGCCUACGCCUGCUGAGCUCCUAGCAACUCUUGUUGAGGGCCAGCGGAUGCUCAAUGAAGCUAUGCAAACCAUGGCACAGAGAAUCGGGGUGGUCGCCAUGCCCGCCAAGGCAGAGAAGCGAAUUAGUAUAGCAACUUCAAGGAUUUCCAGGACACGAAGCCACCGGUUUUCAAGGAGGCCACUGAACCUCUGGAAGCUGAUGAAUGGCUUAACACUCUCGAGCAGAAGUUCCACUUGCUGAGGGUGACUGAAGAGUUAAAGGCGGAAUAUGCAGCACACCAGUUGGAAGGCAAAGCAGGUGUCUGGUGGAGUCAUUAUAGGACCAGCUUGCCUGCCAAUGCUGUUGUAACCUGGGAUCAUUUCCAAAUUGCAUUCAGGAACACUUAUAUUCUGCAGGGCUUAAUGACUAUCAAGCAUACCGAGUUCAUGAACUUGACUCAGGGAACCAAAAGUUUGACUGAGUAUCUUCAUGCUUUCAAUAACUUGUCUCGCUAUGCUUCUGAGUUUGUUGACACUGAGGCAAAGAAACUUGCCAGUUUCAAGAGAGGACUGAGGCCCAAGCUAUCCAAGAACAUGGCUGGUAAUAAGAGUAGCACCUUCAAUGAGUUUGUGAGUGAUGUGUUGACCCAGGAGAACUCCAAUGCUAUCUAUGCUGCAUCCAAGACCUGCAAGAGGGCCUAUGAGGCAGGUGCUUCGCAGUCAAAGGCCUCGGUGACAAACAAGUCGGCCUAUCGCCCGCCCAAUGCUGUGACAAGGUAUAGGCCGCCGCAGAGAAGUCAAAUGUGAAGACGGGGGUUCGCAAGUCCUUCACAGUUGCUCUUCCUAGGGGUGCUACAUGUGAAGGAGGUCCCAAGACUCCCCCUGAUAACCAUCCUUGCUUCAAUUGCAAACAAGUUGGUCAUUGGGCGAGGGAUUGCCCGUAUCCUAAGAGGAAUUCUGCAGCUGGGGCUACUAACCGUGCCGGCCGAGUGCACUACACCACCAUCGAGGAAAUCCCUGUAGGAGAAGUGGUUACGGCUAGUAUGUUUCUUGUCAAUCAACACCCUGCAGUUGUCUUGUUUGAUUCUGGAGCUUCACAUUCAUUUAUGAGCCAAGCAUUCGCAUCGAAGCAUGGACAGCAUGUAGUUGACCUUGACAAUCGCAAAUUUUGCAUUAGUGCUACUGGGAAUUAAAUUUCCAUCAAGCAAUUAGUGAAGGAUGUGAAUAUUUCUAUUGAAGGUCUUAACUUUUCAGCAAAUCUUGUAAUUUUGUCGGGCUUGGGCAUAGAUGUUAUAUUGGGAAUGAAUUGGAAGAGUAAUAAUGGGGUGUUAAUAGAUACCUCCACGAGGGUAGUCAUUUUGCGGGAGCCUGAUAGCAGAGAAGCUUUCUUAGUCCAACUCCCCAGAAAUGAUGACAUCCGUCACGCUGCUAAUGCUAUCAGACCACUCACUGUAGCAGAGAUUCCUGUAGUGUGUGAGUUUCUGGAUGACUUUCCAGAGGAUCUGCCUAGGUUGCCACCAGACAGGGACAUAGACUUUAAAAUUCAUCUAAUUCCAGGUACCGCACCUAUCUUUAGAAGGCCAUAUCGAAUGUCACCCAAUGAAUUGGCAGAAUUGAAAAAGCAAUUGCAAGAACUCCUAGAGAAUGGUCUUAUUCGGCCUAGUUCUUCUCCAUGGGGUUGUCCGGCUCUCUUUGUCAAGAAGGACAAGUCUCUACGUAUGUGUGUAGACUAUCGUCCGCUGAAUGCCAUGACUAUCAAAAACAAGUAUCCCCUGCAUCACAUUGAUAUGUUUUUUGAUCAAUUAGCUAAAGCUAAGGUAUUCUCGAAGAUUGAUCUGAGGUCCGGGUAUCAUAAAAUCAAGAUCCGACCCGAAGACAUUCCAAAAAUGGCUUUCUCUACCAGGUAUGUGUUGUAUGAGUAUCUAGUCAUGUCCAUUGGUCUGACUAAUACCCCUGCUCAUUUCAUGUACCUGAUGAAUUCAGUGUUCAUGCCUGAACUGGAUAAGUUUGUGGUAGUGUUCAUCGAUGACAUAUUGGUGUAUUCUGAAAAUGCCCAAGACCAUGAGAAGCACCUUCGGAUUGUGCUCACUAGAUUGCGGGAACAUCAGCUCUAUGCCAAGUUCAGCAAGUGUGAGUUUUGGCUGAAGAAAGUGCCUUUCCUAGGCCAUAUUUUAUCUGGAUACUGUAUUUUUGUUGACUCGUCAAGGGUGCAAGAGGUUCUAGACUGGAAGGCCCCGACUUCAGUGCAUGAGGUUCGGAGUUUUCUCGGUCUAGCUGGAUAUUAUCGUCAUUUUAUUCCAGACUUCUCCAAGAUAGCCAAGCCUAUGACCAAGGUGCUGCAAAAAGAUGUGAAAUUUGUGUGGUCUCAGGAGUGUGAAGUCGCUUUCACUGCUCUACGCCACCUACUGACCACUGCCACUGUUUUGGCACAACCUGACAUUGAAAAGCCGUUUGAUGUCUUUUGUGAUGCAUCUGGCACUGGCCUAGGUUGUGUACUUAUGCAAGAAGGCCUAGUCAUUGCCUACGCCACUCGGCAGUUAAGGAAGCAUGAAGCUAACUACCCGACUCAUGAUCUAGGGUUAGCAGCAGUUGUACACGCAUUGAAACUCUGGAGGCAUUAUUUGUUGGGUAAUCUAUAUCAUAUUUAUACUGACCAUAAGAUCCUCAAAUAUAUAUACACUCAGCCCGAGUUAAACAUGAGACAAAGAAGGUGGUUGGAAUUGAUAAAGGACUAUAAUCUGGAAGUACACUAUCAUCCAAGAAAAGCCAAUAUUGUAGCCGACGCUCUUAGCCGGAAGCAGCAUGUUGGACCUCUCCUAGAGAAAGGUUUCAAUCUAUUGCAUCCUAUGGUCCUGCACAACAUUGUAGUCAGUUGUUCGCUAGAAAGUCAAAUUAUAGAGCUCCAAAUGACUGACCCUGAUAUCUUCCAUAUCAAGAGAAAAAUGAAAGAGCAAGACACCAAGCAUUUUAGAGUAGAUGAGAAAGGUGUACUAUGGUUUAACGAUCGACUAGUUGUACCUAAAGACCGUGACCUACGCAACAAAAUCUUAGAUGAAGCUCAUUCUUCCAAGUUGUCCAUUCAUCCUCGUAGUAGCAAAAUGUACCAAGACUUGAAACCUCAUUUCUGGUGGACCAAGAUGAAGAAGGAGAUAGCAUCUUAUGUUGCUAGGUGUGACACUUGCUGCAGGGUAAAAGCAGUUCACCUCAAACCUGCAGGUGUAUUGCAACCCUUGUCGAUUCCGGGCUAGAAGUGGGAAGAAAUCAGCUUGGAUUUCAUUGUUGGACUUCCCCCUACCCAAAAGGGACACAAUUCCACAUGGGUGAUUGUUGACCGCUUGACCAAGUCAGCUCAUUUUAUUCCCGUACAUUCUACCUACCGACCAUCCGACUAUGCUGAGUUGUACUUCUCUCAGAUUGUUAAGUUGCAUGGAGUGCCCCACACUAUUAUUUCUGAUAGAGGUCCUCAGUUCACUGCCCUCUUUUGGGAACAUUUGCAUUUGCUCCUUGGUACAAAAUUGGUUCGCAGUUCAGCCUACCAUCCUCAAACCUCCGGUCAGACUGAGCGGGUGAAUCAGAUCUUAGAAGAUAUGUUCAGGGCAUGUGUCAUCUCUUCCAAGGGUGCAUGGGAGAAGUAGCUACCCUUAGCUGAAUUCACUUACAACAAUAGUUAUCAAGAGAGUAUUCAAAUGGCUCCUUUCGAAGCUUUGUAUGGCCGCAAGUGUAGAACUCCUCUAAACUAGGUCGAACCAGGCGAAAGGAGGUACUACGAAUUGACUUUGUCAAAGAAGCCAAAAAGCAAGUCCUCAUUAUCCAGAAAGACAUGGAAGCCGCCCAAGCUAGACAGAAAAGCUAUGCUGACCGAAGAAGAAGACCACUCGAGUUCGAAGUAGGUGAGUUUGUGUACCUAAAGGUAUCACCCAUGAAGGGAGUGAAUCGUUUCGGCGUAAAGAGGAAGCUCGCCCCUAGGUAUGUGGGUCCCUACCAAAUCAUUGAGAAGAGCGGCAAGGUAGCUUACAAGGUACAACUACCUUCGGAAAUGAGAGCUAUUUUCCCUGUAUUCCAUGUGUCUCAAUUUAAGAAGUGUCUUCGCGUGCCUGAAGAAAGAGUCGAAACAGGAUGUCUUAAGUUGCAGUCAGAUCUAUCUUAUGAAGAGAAGCUUGUGCAAGUUCUUGAUGUCAAAGAAAGGGUUACUCGAGUGAGAGUGAUUAAGCUUUUUAGGGCUUUGUGGAACCGUCAAAGUGAAAGAGAUGCCACUUGGGAAAGGGAAGACUAUUUACAAGUAACUUACCCCUCAUUCUAUGAAAAAUGGUACGUCUUUCAAAUCUCGGGAUGAGAUUUUUGUAAGGAGGAGGGCUGUAACACUCCUAGUGUUAGCUUGCACGAUAACCAUGAGCAUUGUAUCAACAUAAGCAUCAUCAUGCUCAUUCAUAAGCACCAUAUCAUGAUCACAUAUUAUCUUAUGUAUACCAUGUGUGAUUGACUUGCUAUAUGUGAUAGUAAUGUGUGACCAAUGCAUAUAAGUGCACCUUGUCUUCCAAAUUACUUUAAUCAUGUUUAUAAUAACAUUUUGAGCAAGGUUUAUGUUGGAGGUUUUGCCCAAAAAUGCCCCUAAGUCAUGGUUAGCCCCAGGUUGACCUAAUUGACCCACUAAGCCUCUUUUCAAAGAUGUUUUAUGAAACUGGUGUUAGAUUCCUUGCCUAUAAAUGACAUCUAAAGCAAAGGUGUAGUAAAUUGCAUAAGCUACAAAAGUUGUGUUGAUGACUUUUCUUGAAAAUUCAUGGAACACAUUCAAAAUUAGCUCACAAGGCAAAAAUCAGGGUUAUUUCCACACUUUGCCAAAUUUGCCUAAGUCAGAAUCGACACAGUUUCGAAGUAGGGUACUUGUGAGCUGUGUAGAUUGAAAUCCAGGCCGAGUUAGACUUUGAUCCUAUAAACAAACUUGUAGAUCUUGUGUAGCUCUAACCAAUGGAACAAAUCUGAGCCAAAACCAUCGAGUGAAUCGCGAGUAAAAUGUUGGCAAAGAUCGAGCUUCAGUCACUGGCCAUGGCGACUCAAUCGCCGAUUCAGUUUGGACAGAGCUGAUCCGCCGCCGCGUGUCCGGCCACCUGUCGACCGUACGCCGUCGAUGGCCCCUCAUGUUAGCCCCAACGUCGUCCACAAGUUGCCACGCACCAGGUGGACGCCUCAGACGCGCCAUUCACCCCUCUAGCGCUCCACAUUACGCCCGCCUUCGUCCUCGGCGAGCUCCGCCGCUCUUCGGCGAGCUUUCCCGGCCGCUCCACCGCGUCUCCGGCCAAGCCAGCCCGCCCAAAGCUCCGCCUUGACGUCCACCUCUUUUCCUUAGCCGAGCACUGGUGAGGCCGCAUUGACAACUCCGUCGCGAGCUCCACCUCGCCGGAGUUUACAGAGAUCACCGGCGACGUGGCCAGACCUCUAUAGUUCACCUCUGGCCGUGAUUCUUCUUCCUAUAGCUUCGCCUUGCUUCACUCUUGCUCGUCCGCAACCUCUACUGAGCCGCCAUUGCCUCAGUUCGCCGGCGUAACGCCGCGCAGCACCGCGACUCCGCCGUUCGCGACGGCGAGCACCCUAGGGUCCAGUAGAGCGCGAGCAAAGUAGGUCAACAUGUUCGCCUUGAGGAGAGGAACACGUAGAUGCCCUUGGAUUCGACCGAGACCUCGCCGUCGUCGAGUUUCGCCGGCGACGAGCUCUCCCCUGUAUUUGUGUCACUGUCGAGCGGGUCCCGCUGACCAGUGCGUCCCCCUGUCAGCCUCUCUCUCACACCUCUGGUUCACUGUUUAGCAGAUCCUUUGCUGUUUUUGAAAAAAUCAUAACUUGAGUUAUACAGAUCCAAAUAGUGUGAUUCCAAUUUUGCUAGAUUCUUGUAUUAGUCUAGUUUUUAAUAAAAAUAUAAAAUAUGCCAUGUUUUUGUAGAAAUAAAUACAUAUAAUUUAAUCUUAAUUAAAUAGGAGGUAAUUAUAUAUUGGGAUCUGUGAGUCUGAUGGCCAUGAAAAUUUAGGAUGUUGUUACUUAUGACAUGAAUGGGCUCUGAUAAUUGAAUCAUGAUUUUUGGAUGUCUGUUAGUGAAGUUAUAAAUAUUUCUUGUUUAAAUAGGAGUUUCUUAUGGUAUUUUUAGUAAAUAAAUUAUAACUCCUUUUAUGGCGAAACUUGCUGAGUGAUGUAAUCCUGUGUAAACAAAGCUAUGAAAAAUCUGAAAUCUGUUGUUUGACACUUGUUGAUAGGGUUUCCCAUUUAUGCCUUGAAUGCCUUUGUUAGCUUGUCAUUUUUGUAUCUCACAAUCUGCAUGUGCAAGUGCUCUGAGAAUUUUACAGUAACCCUGUGGUAGGAUAGAUAGCAUGCUGUCAUUUUAUUGGAAUUUUUGGAGCAAUUGUAAUAUAUGCUCAUUAAAUCAUCUUAAUAAUUAAAUAAAUAGAAAAGGUAAUGAUAGAAAUGAGUUUAAACCUUGCCAUGAUGUUUUAUGGUGUUUCUUAGACAUGUUCUAUGUACUGGUGCAUUUGGUUUGAACCAAUGUUGCAUUCUUAAUAUGUGUAAAAUAUUAAUUUUGCUAAUUGUCUUUUCUAGAGCAUAUCGUGUGUAGCUGAUAGCAAUUGUUUAAGAACAGCUAGAAGAUGAAGUUUUCUGGAAAACUUGACUAUACCAAACUUGUAGCUAACUUACUUAUCUACCUUGUGUCCAAAUUUCAUGACAUUUGGCUGAGUAGUUUAAGAGUUGUGAUGGUUACAAGUAGCUGCUGCGAAGUGCUUGCUCUCUGGAUUUUCCAGGACAGACAGCUAACUUUGUCUGUUUUAGCAUACUUCGGUUGGGAAUCCUUCUGGGAUGUCUAAAGAUGUUUUGUAGACCAUUUGCUAAGCUUUCCAUAAAGUAUCUACAUGCUUAGUUUGGGCAACCAGCGCCUGAGUUAUAGCUAAAACGUGUGACUAGCUAAAUCUGCCCAUGACACCAGUAGCUAAGUGUGAAUAGCUAAUGUUGAGUAGCUUGUCUAGUUAGCUCUCUACCAGAGAAGAAGUAUGCACUUACUUGUUGUUGAUGAUUCUCUUAAUAUGAGAAGCUUAUGCUCAUGUUUGUACCAUGUUUUAUGUUCCUUUGGCUGGUCAUCAUAACCUCAUGCAUCACAUGUGCAUUCCCUAUAUUUAUCACCUUGCCAGGCAUACUUAGGUGUACCCAAGGGAGUGACAGUCUUGGAGUUCGCACCGCCCGAGCCGGAGGAGCAGCAAGGGGAGCUACCUCAAGGAGCUGAGGAGGAGGAAGAGGAUCUACCGGAGUGCCCUGACCACCGUCCCUCUACCUACGUUGAAGACAAGCCCCGGAGCAUUAUAAGACUCCUAUUAUUUUGUUAUCAUGUCCAGCUAUCAAUUAACUACGGUUAUGUAUUGCUGCAUUAAGUGUUAGGCGUUGAUAUGACACCUUUGCUGCAUAUUUAACUACCUUGUCCACCUUAUACCUUACCGAAGUAGGUCCAGGAUCGAAAAAAUGCUUAGCCAUGCUUAGCUCGGUAGAAGCCGGGUGAUUUCCUGUCACCUGCGAGUGUUAGGUGGAUAUUGAAUCACGGUUGGCUAUAUUUGCUAUCGUGGAGAUAACCAUGUUCUAAUAAUGAAUUUGAGACCGGGUGGGAGGACGAUAGUGCAGCAACAAGGCAUGGAGGUCUUGGGUGUGAAUCUAUCCCCGUCUGUGUCGGUCAAGGACCGAUUCGCUGUACGUCCUCGUGUCAUGUUGAACGCAUGCCUAACACUUAGUUGGCCGGAUAAGUCGUUCCGACCGCGAAGCCUAUGAGUGCAUCUCCGGCUGGAUACCCCGUUCGGUUUAAGUGCGCACCCCGGUUGGUAGCAAGGAUGUGCGGGGAGUCAAUGGCGUAAGACCGAGGAGUCAGGUUAGAGUCCUGACCCUGGCAGAUUGGCGGUCCCUGGGGGUGCGACGCUGUAUGGACCCGAGAGUUGGUCCGGAGUUGUGCUAAAGGUGAUCCGAGCUGCCCUCAUGAGGAAUGCUUGGGUGAGUGCUAGGAAUACCCCUCCAGCUUCGAAUCACCGUCUCUCCCAGAUAGUGAGAACUUGACUCGAGCAGCGGCAACGUAGAACUCACUAAAUAAACUUGAUGGUUAUGAUGAGAAUGUUGAUAGCUAUGUGAUAAUCCAGAUAUGGUUAUUAUUGUGAUGCUUAAAUACUCAAGUGUAUGCUUAGAACAGGUGAUAAUCUAGUGGAUAGUUGUUAAGUAAUGAACUUGCUGCUGAAAUGCUAUAAAUAUGUUACUUACAACUAAAGCUUUUUAUGCAAAAAUAUGAGUCAAACGAGUCCACAAAUAUUAGCCUUGCAUACUCCUUGGUGUCACUUUAUUUUUGGUUUAUGACGGGUAAGUCUAGCUGAGUACGUACUUAGGGUUUUAUUUACGCUUGUUGCAGAUGAUGUCGUUUAUCACGGCUACUGUGCUAACUGUCAACAUCCGGUUGCGGACGAUGAGUAGAUCACGGGCAUGACCACUUCCUUUAUCUUCAGUUGUGCUUUUGUUGGGUUGACUAUGGAACUGGCAUGUAAUUUAAACUGAGUGUGUGAUGUUUCAAAACUACUUUGCUUCUGCUACUGAACCGGUUUGUAAUAACUUUGUUUAAACUCAGAUGUGUUGUAAAACUAUGUUCUGUGAUGAAUGUAUGUAAUCUAUGAUGGCGAUGCUUGAUCACGUACGAUCUUGGUUGUAUGUUGGUUGAAUCGAGGUCUUUUGAGAUUUCGUCGGACUACCGGGUUUAUAUGGGUUCAAGUCCAUUGGCUCGACUACUUUGUGGUCGCUAAUUCACUUGAAUUCUUAUAAAUUGGACGGUUCUGUUACAUGCUCCACCGACCUAAAGGACCAAGGAUAACCGUUCAAUCAAUGUCGGUUUGAUCCGACGGCCCACAUUCACCUGAGGGGACUAUAUAAGCAGACCCCCUGGCCCCUGGAGGAGAACAAGUUUAUUAUAUAGUUGAGAGGUGCCCUCGAAGGAUAUCCUUCCCUCUACAUAGACUUAGGGCUUAGCAUCCAAUAUGAGAGUAGACUAGUUCCACUAGAUUGAGAGAGAUAGAGUGGAGGUGUAGAUCGGAGGAAGCCCAGCCUGUCGGUGUCUACUCCGAGGGUGUACCUGCGAGAUCAAGUCUUCUAACCUGAGGCUUGCUCCUAGGAUUCGUCAGUAUUUUGACUUCUAAAUUCUAGUAAGUUCUUGUUUUAUUGUUCUUUGGUUUAUGAGUUUACUUUGAUCUCUUCGCGUAGAGUUUAGAGUAAUCAUCUCUAGCGUAAACAUGGUGUUUGGGCUAGGAUACACAUAGAUAUCCCCUAACUAGCUGGACCGUGGUAGUAGUAAGGAACGUGACAUUUCCGAGUUACCUUUGUAGCCCAUAUCCCGUUAGUAGGAUCGAUAGGGUUUAUACAUGCGGGUCAAACAUCCUCUGUGGUGUCUAGAUUCUGUGAGUCUCUCCAACAGAAUAGUAGAUCAUCCUUACCAAGGUUAGAAUGAGAUUACGCUUGUAGUCUUCUCUAUACAUCACUCACAUCGAGUCACAUUCUUUGUAGCCUAAAGGUUAGUAGUAAUAGACCGGGUUAGUGAGAUGCACGCUUUCUCCUAGUGGUAAAAAUAUAAAUACGAUACUCUGGAUAACAUCCCAGGUGUAGUGCUCACCGAUAUCCAUGCACUUGCGGAUCAAUUCCUUAUUGCGUUACCAAAUAUCAAAAGAACCCAUGCCGAUAGAUCAAUGUCUGUCGUAUCGGCGUCUGGCUGGAGUUCAGCUAUCCUGAUCCACUUGAGUCCGCUGGUUAUUGUCUCCCUUGGUUUUAAAACAUCGGCAUAAUAAAGUCUGAUCGGCAUAUGACCAAAAGCCAGUUGGCGAGCUAGUGCCGAUGGGUUGUAAAACUCAUAGGUGGUGCUGAUGUUCUUUCCGCUGCCAAAGCUAUUUACUGGGAUUGCUCUUGGGGUGAUGAUUGCCAUCAUCAGGACAUUGUCUUUAUUAAGAGCAUCAUCAAAGGGGUGGAAAGUGAGCGGGAAUCUGGACUCUAGGUCUUCAUAGGGCAUCCAUGCUCGCUAAUCUUUGGAAAGGCCAUCAUACAAAUUGUGGAAGAAUCGGCCGAUCUAGUUCUCGUUGGAGCCAAUACCAGGAAGGACUAUAACAGCUUCACCAUAGUUGAGGGGUGAGCGUGUUGUCGAUUCAUCAUCUGCCAGUUCAUAAUCCUCGGCAAUGUCCUGUGGGAACUGCUGUGCGAAGAAGUCAAACCGAAGGCAUUUGUGCAUGUGGAUGUUGUGCCACAUGUUGAUAAACCACCAAUGGCCUCCUAGAUUGCCGAUGGGUUCACCUAACAGGAGUUUCUCGGCAACUUGAUGGAGGAGAUGAUAGACAUAGCCCAGCGGGUAUCAGCCAAGGGGGAAUCGGUUACCAUCGGCUAACCUUUCUGCCGCCGAUAAGUAGACAGAGGUUGGUCCUACUGAUCAGCCACAGAAGAUGAAUUUGUCUAACCAUGUAUUUAGAAAAGUGGCAUGUUCUCUCUUACCGCCGAUAAGUAGACAGAGGUUGGUCCUACUGAUCGGCCGCCGAUGUUGCGGGUUUCUACUUUAUGUUCGGCCUUGCGGCCGAAUAACUGGCCAUCAUCGACAGUGACAACAUCCAAACCACUGAGCAUAACUACAUCGGCAAGCGUAGGGGAAGGUGGGCCAUGGCCAAAAAUAUAAGCAUUAAAAGUAUCUGACCAUAAGUAUGAGGCACCUAUCUGCAUUGAUUCGUUUCUUUCCAUAUCGGCAAUGGAAAGCCUGAUGCACUGGUCUAUUUUGCAUUCACCCCAAUAUACUUCAUUUGUUUUGCUGACCUUCAAAAACCAAUCUUUCCAUCCUUUGGUGGGGAUUGGUCAGGAUCAGAAUUUGUCCUUCCAAAGAUCUAAAGAAAAAUUCUUGGCCCUAAAAGGGAUCCUAUUGGUUUUUGCAUUAAUCAGAUCGGUGGGAUCUGGAUCACACAUUGGACUGAGGCAUUGGAGGUGGGGUUGUUCAGUAGGAAUGACAAUUUUCUCACUCAACUCCUAAAGUUUGAAGGUUGGAAGAACAGAAAGAAGAGGAGGGGAAAAUGCUAAGUAAGUGGACACGCAAAAAGGUAAAGAGUUAUAGUAAAGGAAUGAGAACGGAUUAACCUCAGGCACGGUGAAGUUGACAGCCAUUUCUUCUCGGAGAACGAGUCAAAGACUUGGAGGUUCUAGGGGGGUUCUUUGCUGCCCAAACACUUGAGUUCCUCGUCAAUGCCGCCGCCAGAAGAUGAAUCUGAGAAUGGAGGAUGGCAAGGUGGGGAAAGGGUGCUGAGGAAGGAAGUAUUUACAAGUUGAAGUGAGCAGGGGCAUUUUUGACUUAUCUCUUUCUUGUAUCCGUGAAAUUCGAGGGUGUUCAGGUGGAUAUGGUAACUGUUCGCAUGGUAAUCAAGGGAUUGUGCAGGUGAUUUGACAGCGAGUAAUCAUGAUUUCGGAGAUAUUCCACUGUGCAAGAUCUCUUGGUCGGCUCAUCGGCAGUUAGCUCUAACAGAAUAGUUACCGAUGAGCGUGUGUUUAGGAGAUUUGGUUUAGAUUGUUGAGAGAUUCGAGGUAUAUACUAGAGAUCGGAAUUUAAGUCGUUUGUAUUUGGUAAUUAAUUAUCACUAGAAGGAAAUAAUUAUGAAAAGGUCAUCAUUAUCAAAGAGAAAUUCGGAGCAUUAAUGACUCCAUACUCCGAAAUUAGGGGGCAUGUGUUGACAUCGUUUUUGGAGACGAAUCAGGGUAGUCAGUAUCGGCAGUCAAAGAAGUGAUGUGUCUGGCCGAUAGAAGGAUUGCCGAUAGCCAACAUUGCCGAUGAUAGGACAACAGGGAGAAGAUGUUGCUAAGUCUGGCGGCGGUUGCUGAGCAGUGUUGAUUGCUGAUAUUGAUAAUUGACGAUGCCGAUGAGAAGGAGUGUGCCGAUGAUGAUGAAAAUAUGCAGGAAAUAUGCCGAUGAUGACAAAGGGAGACAUGGGAGUUGCUAAGAAGGCAAUGGUGGUGUACCCAACAGGGCGCAGCUCCAACCAAGCACCGGUGGCUUCCAUGGUGUCGUUCCUGGAAAAAGGCAUUACCGGUAGGUCGAAUCGACCUACCGGUCUGCUUUGGCACGACGGCUAACUUCAGAAAAGAGACCCUCACUUUUGAGGUGGUUGGAUUCCGAGGCACGUACCACGCCAUCAUCGGGCACCCGGGUUAUGCCAAAUUCAUGGCUAUCCCCAACUACACCUACUUAAAGCUGAAGAUGCCUGGUCCAAAGGGUGUCAUCACUGUCAGCUCCUCCUAUGAGCACGCGUACAAAUGCGACGUCGAGUGCGUCGAGUAUCGAGAAGCUGUCAAGAACUCCACCGAGCUCGCCUCGAAGCUCGAAGCCCUGGCUGCGGAAGCCCUAGAGCCCAAACGUCACGCGGGCAGCUUCGAACCGGCGGAAGGAACGAAGAAGAUCCCGCUCGACCCCAACAACUCCGACGGCAAGGUGCUAACGAUCAGCGCCGACCUCGACCCCAAAUAGGAAGUCAUGCUCGUCAACUUUCUCCAUGCAAACGCCGACAUGUUUGCGUGGAGUCCUUCGGACAUGCCAGGCAUACCGAGGGAAGUCACCGAGCACUUCUUGGAAAUUCGAGCCGGUUCCAAGCCAGGGAAGCAGCGGCUGCGUCGCUUCGACGAGGAGAAGCGCAAGAUCAUUGGCGACGAGAUCCACAAGCUUUUGACGGUCGGAUUCAUCAAGGAAGUUCACCAUCCUAACUAGUUAGCAAAUCCUGUACUAGUUAAGAAAAAGAAUGGGAAAAUGAGGAUGUGUGUCGAUUAUACAAGUUUAAAUAAAGCAUGUCCGAAAGUUCCUUUUCCAUUACCACGUAACGAUCAAAUUGUUGAUUCCACUGCGGGAUGUGAAACCCUUUCUUUCCUUGAUGCAUAUUCUGGUUACCAUCAAAUAAAAAUGAAAGAGUCCGACCAGCUCGCGACAUCUUUCAUUACGCCUUUUGGGAUGUAUUGUUAUAUAACCAUGCCGUUCGGGCUUUGAAACGCGGGAGCUACAUACCAGCGAUGCAUGCUCCACGUGUUUGGCAAACAUAUAGGGUCGACGGUUGAGGCCUAUGUCGAUGACAUCGUCCUCACCUCUCUCACAGAUGGGACGCUACGAAUUCCUCGCCGGUUCAGUACAACAACGGCUCCUGCCUAAAAAGGCGCGCCCAACGGGCCAAAAAAGGCGAACCGUCGCGGCCCCUUCCUUCCCUCGUAAGCCAAGGUACGCGUUCGUCACAGCAAAAAUCACGAGAGGUCGCCGGCUGACCCACAGAAUGGGUUCGACAGCCGAUCUCGAGUGCCAGAGUCAGGGAUGCCCAGCGAGUGGUCGAAAAUCGAGGCCCGCCUCGAGAACUCGCUGGGGAUGUCCAAGGUUGCGUUGAGACAGUCGAGAGGAGGCAUCGAGCCGCUGGACUCUAUCGAACGAGACCAGUAACCCCGACCACGUCGACCCUACUUUAUGAGGACGCCUCCAGGCUACAGCCGACCCCUCGAACGGGGCACGGGUUCUCACUUGGAUUACCCGCUAGGAGCUCAGUCUGGGGGAGACGACGCUCGCUCCAUCGGGAGUACGUCACGGCCCCUGUACAAAACAAACCAAUCUCGGUUUUCAGCUCAUCUUCAUGAUGGACAUCGAGAGCAUUUCCAUAAACCAAGUAACAUAACCCUCGAAGGAGUCAAAAACUCCUCCAAGGGCUCGGGGGCUACCCCCGCGGGGUCGCUCGUGCGCCACCACGGAAACUCGACCACAAAAAUACAGCCUCCACUCGAGCGCAAGCAUUCGAAUGGAGACUCCGGGGCUACUGUCGAGGAUAUCAGUAAGGGGUACCCAAACUGAUGUCAAUGUCGAGAAUAUCCGUAUGCAAAUCGAGGUCUCUAAUUCGACGCCCUACCAAGUUGUGCGCACGGUCCUCGACGAUCGCAGCCUCGAAGACGGAAAGGGCAUCCUGCGAAUCGACGAGAGCUCGAGCGCAGGCUACCGUCGAAUACGAAAACAGGCUCGAGUGAAUCCGAAGGCAUCGAGCGCAAGGACACCGCCCGCCGCCUGACGCGGGCACGGGAACCAGGGCAUUUAAUGCUCCUGCCGCGUUCUCACCUAACCCGCCUGUCACGGGAAGCGUGAUAGGGAACAGGCACCCGUCCCGUCAUUCUUUUUGCUGCCUUCCCCACAAAACAAGCUAGAACGUGGCAGGUUGCAGGAAGUGGGUCAGAACGUCUAAUCAAGACCCCCUCGAGACGUCCAAGGUCAGCGCUCUGGCUAGCGAGCCGUUACACUGCAUUCGACCCUCGAGUAGGCACGUUUCCUUCCUGGGAAAGGGUCAGGUGACGAGUGAUAGCGCUUCAACCACUCCGACGUAGAUGCUGCCGCGACGUACAAGAAUGCAACAGAUAAACCGGCCCAGGACGGCACACAGAGCGGGAUAUGGGGGCACGCAUAAUCAUCAUCAAGCUAUCAGGACAAGAUGGCUCGAGACCACGCCUGUACAGAGGCCUCGAGUAGGUCAGCGCGCCAUACCUCUAUCGACCCCUACUCUGUUGCCUAUACAUGUACCCUAGGCCUCUCCUUGGAACUAUAAAAGGAGAGGCCCGGGAGCAGAUACAAGACACGCGAUACAACACAACCCACACUCGUAGUAGAGCUACUUCACUCCACCUCAGUUCAUACAACCCUUGUAUUCACCCCUGUACAAGCACUUAGGUGCAGAAUAAUACAAACACUCCUCCCCCACGCUGGACGUAGGGCCUUCUCUUGCCUGAACCAGGAUAAAUCUUUGUGUCUUUCUGCAACACAACAUGGAAAUGGGAGCACGCAUACAAGUUUUACUCGUUGGUGUGACCCCCCAAGGGGAAAACACCGACACCUUGAGUUCUCGUAGCUGCGCAAUUUGUGCGGCUCUAUCUUCUUGUGGAGGGAGGUCGACCUGACCGUCGUUCCCGGGCGUCCUGGGGUCUUCCCUUGCUGCAGGGGCUCGACCGCUAGCAUCAGCAUAUUGUGUCUCGUCGGUGGUUUCCACCGCCCCGUCGAUAUGGAAGCAUUCCCUAGUAGGGUCGUAGCUAUUGGUCUCAGAGUCAGAGUCCGGCUCGGCGGCGUAGAAACAUCCACGUCCCUCCUCCAGCGGCCGCUGCAUGAGUGAGGUGAUCGUGUAUCGCCCAGGCCCUAGGCGAUGGAGGCCUCGUACCUGGGAGAAAUCCGGCAGCUCGGACGUCCGUUGCUGUACUCUAGUGUCGCGUGGGAGGACCAUUGGUCUCUCCACGUACGUCUGGGCGUUUGGACAUAUAGCCCUGGCGAGCGACGCCGCGGCAUUGUCCAGACCGAUCGACAACGCUCUUUGUGGGGCGAACAGCCCAUGUGGAAGUAGUGUAGCAGUGGGGGAGAGCGCGCGGGGCGCACCAUCUCCCACCGUCGUCAUGCGAUCCUCGUGGCGUUGGGCCGUCAUACCCGCAGUUCUGUCGCGCGGGACUAUCGGCUCCUGUGUCACCUCCUGCUUGGCAUGAACUGUCGGUCGUGACGAGACAGAAGGGUGAUGGUGGCACUGCCCACGCCUCUUGUUGGGCAGGGAGACGUGGUGACGAGGAUGUCUCGGAGCCCUUAAUCGCGCUGGCACAACGUGGGCUCCUCUCGGUCCUUUGACCGAGAGCAGGAUCAUGUCGUACCCGGAACCAGUAGACAUGAACUCGAGGCUCCCGAACCAAAUCACCGUGGAGCAUGGAAUUGGUGAAAUGAGAGUGGCCAUCUGGAAAGGAAUGGGAAAUCAGUGAAAAAAAACACAGGACCCCUACCUGGCGUACCAACUGUCGGUGUUUUCCCCCUGGGGGGUCGCACCAACGAGUAAAACUUGUAUGCGUGCUCCCUUUUCUAGGUGGUGAUGCAGAAAGACACAAAGAUUUAUCCUGGUUCGGGCAAGAGAAGGCCCUACGUCCAGCGGGGGGAUGAGUGUUUGUAUUAUUUUGCACCUAAUUGCUUGUACAGGGGUGAAUACAAGCGUGUAUGAACUGGGAUGGAGAUGGUGUAUGGAAGCUCUACUACGUGUGUGUGUUGUGUUGUAUCGCAUCCCUUGUAUCCACCCCCGGGCCUCCCCUUUUAUAGUUCCAAGGAGAGGUCUAGGGUGCUGUAACAGAACCGACCAAAUUAUAAGAGAUUAAGCCUAAUAUUGACCAUUUGCAUAGUCAAACCAUCAUGCUUAAGCCCAUAUAAUCCCGGUAGUCCGUGAAAUCUCGAAGGAUUUCAAACCACACAUCGUUCACAGCCAAGAUCGUAAUAAGUUUAGCGGUCGCCAUCCACAAAUACAUCCAGAUUACAACAUUCAUAAAAUACAUCGGAGUGCUUAACGUUAUUACAAACCAAGUUCUUCAAGUAGCGGAAGCUUCAUAGUUCGAAAGUACCACACACACACACUUAGUCUGAUACAGUGCCAUAAUUUAGUCAUCUCCACAAAAGCAAAAGAGAAGACAGAGUGACCAUCACCCUUGGUCUAGUCAUCACCCAUGGCUGGGUACAGACAGAGGAUGCAAUAACCAUAGUACAUUUGACCAUCUGCAAAACAACAUGGGAGUAGAACUGUAACAUCCCUGAUGUUACGGUUACUAAAAACGGAUCAUGUCAUCAUAAGCAUUGCAAAGCAUAAUUGUUAAAGCACAUUAGUAUGCAUCAACCUAAAAUAAGUUUACUUUGGUUGCUUGAGCUUAGGGAAGUAGAGUGGGCUUCUGUGAUGUGUUGUUGCUUGUGUGGUUGCUAAAACCCUAGGGUGGAUGUUUUCCGAAAAACUAAGGGGGGAAAACCCUGAUUUCUGGAUCCUAGAAUUGCCCCUUUUUGUUUAAUUCAAAAACUAAGCAAAAUUUGAGGUUGAGUUCAAAAGCAAAGUUGUAGAUCUUGGCAAGAUGUACAACUUUGGUGUUUUGAGUUUUUGAAGUUUCAAUGCAAAAUUCAAAGUAAUUUUGAAAAUACAGAUUUCCAGAAAGUGUCCCCUUUUCCAACUUGAAUUCCCAAUUCAAAAUCCAUUUGGAAUUUUGAAAAGUGGUCAACAUGAAAGUUGUAGAGCAUAAAAAGUUGAGCAACUUUCAUGUUGGGAGUUUUUCAAGUUGUUAUACAAAAUCAAAAGUAAUUUUGGAAAUUCUGUUUUGCCCCAAUUCAAAAAUUUGGAAUUUCUUUGAUUUGAGUUUGAUUUUCAAACUGUUUGGCCAAAUUCACCCUGUUACACUCAAAAUCAGCUCUGGUCACCAAAACAUGUUUUGUAGCUUAUAAAAUUUGGAACAACUUUUGUUUUGACACAAAUUUGACUCCAGUUCAAAUUUCGGCUGAAUUUCACAAAAUCCAGAAAAGAGGGGAUAAGGGUUGCUACAGUGACCCGAUAGGGAUCACCGGCUCCCUGUCCAGCGCGGCCGCCGUGCGCGCAGCGCCGCGUGCGCGCGCGCAGGCACGCAGCUGCUUGCUGCCAGGGUCGCCAGGCGACGUGGACGCCUCGGGCUCGCCUUCCCCUCCACUUGAGCACCGACGUGGACGACGCCGUCCGUUUCCACUGUCCACGGCCGGAGAAAACUCGACGUCCCUCUCCCUGAAAUUCACCGUACCCAGUUCCCCUCGCGCCAAAUUGAGCAACCCAGCGUCUUCGUCACCUUCGUGCGGACCCAGUGCACCCCCAAGCUCCCUCUCUAACCCACCCAGUCGCCAGAACCUCUCUGCUCUUCUCCAACUCCGGCCGAGACCGCCGCCGCGGAGCUCUUCCCGUGGCCACGGUGUUCCAGUGAGUAUCACACCCCGCUGGCGACUGUUUCAAGUCCCUUCCGUGCCCCGGUUGCUCAUGCUCUCGCUCCUUCUCCUUGAAUGUGAGCAGGAUCGCCGGAACAAGCUUGCCGGAGCCAGAGCUCUCGCCCGACGACACUGCUUCCGUCACCAGCGGCUUCAGCUGCUUCUCCGAGCCUUGCAGCGUGAGCACCACCCUCCCCAACCCCUAUGGAAGCUCGCUCGGCCGUUGGCUUACACUCUAUCGGGCCCUAGCGGCCGGCCGAGGGUCGGCCAUGGCGGCUGCCCGCCCUUCUCGUGACCGAGGUAGAAAGAGUCGGGUAGAGCGUGGGUAGGGGGUGUCCACAGGGUCGCGGAGUUGAAGCGAAGCUGAUGCGCACGCGCACUCCGGCCGAGACCCUCGCCAACGGCGGCCAGAGCCGUGGCCGAACCGCCGUGCGCGGGGAGGACGCAGCUGACGGGUGGGGUCGCCCCGUCAGCGUCCCGCAGAGAGAGGGCCUGACGAGCGGGACCCGCUCGUCAGUGACCGCUCAGAGAGAAGGGGCGGCGCGCGCAGCGCGGGUGCGGGCCGAGCGCGUGUGGGCCGGCCUGCGGCCCAGUUCCCAGACAGCCCACUGCACAGUGUUGCUUUUCUUUUUCCUUUUUGAUUAAAAUUGCUUGAUGUUUGAAAUUGUGUAAUAAAUCAGGUGCUAAUCCAAAAAUGAUGAAAGUUUUUGUAUAGGUUCCAUAAGGUGGGUAGAACACAAGAAAAAUAGUGGAUUCUGUUUUCUGGUAGUUUGCAUGUUUGUAAAAAUUUGCUCUUUUAAUUAAUGAAUAAAACUUCUAGGAAUUUUAAUAAUUUAUUUGUAUGUCCAAAAAUCACCAAAAAUUGUGGGGAGCCUCUGAAUAUUAUUCCCUGGCUCCACACAAAAUUUGAUGACAUUUGGAUAAUGUUUGAUUAGAAUACUAAUAAACCCUUAUUUAGUACUUAAGUAAUAAUUCCAAAACCAUUAAAUAAUAAUUAAUUAAAUUCUCAUGAUUAGGGUUGAGUGAUUUUGGGAUUGUGUGAUGACCUGAGGUCAUUAACCCUAAUGACCCUUGGCAUUUAAUUAUUAUUUAGCCUUAAUGCUUAAUUACUGUCAUUAGUAAUUAAUUAAGAAUUAAUUAAGGUAAAUAGGUUUAAUAAUUACUUAAUGUAAGAUAAUUAUGAAUUAAGUAAAGUCUUAGUUUACAGAUGAAACCUCUUGGGUAAAAAUAUUAAGUUAUUAAACAACUUUAUUUAGUGACAAUUCUGUAUUGCAUUAAAUAGGCAAAUCGUACUUAAUUCGGUCCAUCUUGCAUAAUUGCCAUACGCAUAUCAUAAGCAUUCAUCAUUUUGCGUAUAGUGUCCGUGACCGAAGGAGCGCCCGUUGAACCGAACCCUGAGGUCGGUGCUCCGUUCGAGGAAGUCGGAUCCGAGACUUGGGAAGUCUCCGAGGGUCCCUCUCUGCCCUGCAACCAAGGCAAGCCCCGGAUGCAUUAACCCCUCCUUGGGUGUUUUAAAUCUUUUAUCACUUAUGAAUUGAAAAUGCUGCAUUAAGUAGUUGAGAAUUGGGUUAACCUACUUGCUGCAUUUACUACCUUAACAUCUGUAUCCUGUCCUUGACACCUGUUUUAUUUUAAAACUGCGUAGCGAUGCUUAGCCCUGCUACUAGAUAGGUUUUUAAACAAGAAAGUUUGAAGGGUUGUUGUGGGAUACACUUAUGAUCAAUGAUGUUUUAAGUUGAGACCGGUCGGUGGACUUGCUUUAAGAAUGGAGUCUUAAAGUAGUGUCUCCAACUGUGUCGGUUAAGGACCGUUCCGUUGAUGGCCUGCUGGGUUGAGAAUUUAUAGUACUAGCCACCUGCCUACGGUAAGCCCGGUCUUGUGAUCCCUCGACGCGAACAGCUACUCGCGCACUGGGAGUGGAAAGAUGGCGAGAGUAGUGUGUACCCACCUUACGGAUCUGAGAUGACCGGAAAACAUCUAGAUCGGCUGUAGGAUGGUGGAGUACUGUGCUCUCGGGUGCCGCGAACCUGGUCAAAUUUGGGGAGAGCUCGAUUUGGGUUGAUAUAUGCAAGAUUUGGUUCUACAUAUGUCGGGUGGUUAGGAACUCCAGCUGGAUUGCUAAGCGAUUCGAAUCGUCGUUGCUCCCCGAUUGGGAGACUCAAUUCCUUCGACCCUCAUCGUAGUUAAAUAUGCAACUAAGUGAUAAAAUGAGAAAAGGGAAAAUGUCUCAUGAGGUUCGGAUCCCAAUUCCUGGACUUAUAGCGACAUGAAGCUAUGACCAUCAAUAAAUAAUACUUAAUGAUAGGGUUAGGAACUCACGGAUUCGUCUGUGGGGAACAACUAGUGAGACUAUCCUCGAAUUCUUCUGCCUCCGCGAGGGAGGAAUUCAGGGUAAAACUUGAAAAUAAGGAUGCACUACUAGUAAUCCGCAAAACACUUUGGCUCCUUGCUCAACCACCCCUUGUCUACCCUAAGCCUGCAUCCCUAAAUUCUCCUCUUUUCCCGUCGGAUAAGUCUUGUUGAGUACUCCCGUACUCAGGGUUUCAAUACCCCUGUUGCAGGUGAAGCUCAGGAGCCGACUUGUUUCGGACCCUGUUGUGUGACCGUCGUCGAGGUUGACGACGAAGAAGAGUGAGCGUGACCCAUGGGCAGGGUCUGUAAAUUUGUUUUGUCUCUACUAAAGUUUAAGUUGCUCCGCUGGACCAGGCUUGUAAUAACACUCUACUAUUUGGAAGAACUCCUUUUGUAAAUUAAGUUAUGUAAUACUUCCGCUGUUGCACUCUGAAAUAUUAUUUUGGCUAGUGUCGUUGGGUUACUGCUUUAUCUUCGCAACGAAUGAUCCUGGUGUUAAGGUGGCCACUUGCCAACCCGUAAAGGCGAGAAGAAGCAGUUCUCGUUGUUUGACCAUUACCAGUGGUCAGGACAGGCCAGCUUGGUACGCCACGGGUAGCAGUGGAAUGAGCGUCCAGCAAUGCUCAUCGGACUUCUAAAGUGGGAGGACUCCCGGCAUCACCGUCAGAGGUCCUUAGGACAAUGGCAGGUGCCGGUGGGCCCAAACACUUAGGGGGUUCUGCCACAGCUGGUAUCAGAGCAUUCGUUGCUAAGAUGACGGCUGAAACUUUGAAAAACUUCAAAAAUUCGUUUGGAACUAAUCUUAUGAACUUGCCUAUUUUGAGUCCAAGUGCUUAGUCCUAAUCUACCCCUGUCUAUAGGCUUUCUUAGAAUUUUUGAAGUGGUUUGGAGGAGCAACCUAAAGUAUUGCCCUAUGUUGUAAAAGCUAAUGUAAUAUCGUUACGAAUUGUUAGUAGGAAUCGUAAGUUCGUGCAUGCAUCAUAAUGUAUUAACUGGUUAAGUUCCUUCCUCCUUGUUGGGUUGGGCGAAUAGAAUCAAUCCUAUUCUUGCUAACCUUUAAGGUCUCUCUUACUAAUCUAAACUUACCCUCUACAGGAUGGCUCGUCAGAAGCAGACCCCGCGUAAGCGGACCGGUCCAAAAGGAGUUCCCCGACAUCAGCUAGCUCCACGCAGUGAUCAAGCCAGUAGUAGCCGUACCCCGCCUCAGCAGGAGGUGGACAGGCUGUCCGCCGAGUUGACUGAGGUGAUGAGAGAGAGAAGUACAAUGUUAUGGAGAUUGGCAAACUCAAAGCUCAACUGGCCAAAGAAAAACAAGCUACGGAAAACUGUGAAGCUAUGUUGUCCCGGAUGGUGGAGGAGCGGAAUGCAGCCAUUGCCCGAGAGGAAGAAGCUAGGAGCACCCAUAGGCAUGAGCUAACUAGGAUGAACGCAAAGUUGGGCAAGGCAAAGUAUCUCAAGGAUUUGUAUGUGAAGAUGGCGGCCACGGUCACCGCACAACGGGAUGUCGCGUGGCAACGAGAGGACCAGCUCCAGCUGGAGAAACUGGAGCUGGCAUAUCACUUAGAUACAGUCAAUGAUAUGGCUAUGCAAUAUCGUGAUAUUGCAUUUGAUCUGUAUCAUCAACUCCACCCACCUCCCGGCGAAGGAGAAAUGGAUACGGAUGGCGAGUUGGCAGACGAUGGAGAACCCGAUCCCGGCCUCAGUGGUGAAGAGGAGUCCGACCCCGAUGAUCACAACCCAGGGGGUAAUCAAGAUGAUGGCAACGACGACCCGGGCUACAGCUCUGGCCACACCGAUUAGUUCGGUGAAACCGAGGGCAACGUCGUUGUAGGGGUCUUAGCUUGCCGUAGUGGGGUUCGGGUUUGUAAUAUAAGUUUUCUUUCGGUUUGAGAAGUUGAACUUGUUUACUCUUGGUGUGUAUCUAACUAAUGUUUAAUAAGUGAAUGUAAGAUAUGUUCUGUGUUAUGAAUUCUACGUGGUAACAGGUAUCUACGAUUUUUGUAACAGAUGCCGAUGCGUACUCGCGGAUCCGAUGGAGCUGGGACAUCCCAGGGAGGGGAUGAUAUCCCCAACCCUCCACCUGCUCCACCUUCUUUGGCUGACGCCAUUGCUGUCCUGCUAAGUGCCACUACUGACAAUGCUCGCUUGCUGCGCGAGCUAGCACAGCGUCAAACACACCCUGCUUCAAACUUCAGGGCACCGCGCAACGGGGAUGGAGAGGCUCGGUAUGUAGAUUUUACCGAGACCAGGCCCCCGGUGUUCACUAAGGCCGAUGAGCCUUUAGAAGCGGAUGACUGGCUCCGAACUAUGGAGCAUAAGUUCAGUUUAAUUCAGUGUUCAGAAACUCAGAAACCCUUAUUUGCAGCCCAGCAGCUUCGGGGAGCUGCAGGUGCAUGGUGGGAGAACUUCUUAGCUAUUCAAGCUCCCGGACACCAAGUUACCUGGACCGAGUUUAGGGACGCGUUUCGUGCCCACUACAUCCCCGAAGGGCUCAUGGCCAUGAAGGCCGAAGAGUUUCUCGCCUUGCAGCAAGGCGACAAGAGUGUUAUGGAAUACGUGGCAAGGUUCAAUCAUCUUUCUCAAUAUGCCACGGAUCAUGUGAACACUGACAGAAAGAGGAAAGCCUGUUUCAUGCGUGGCCUAAAUACUAAACUUCAGACCAUGAUGACCACAUGCCAAAAUGCUACUUUCUAUGAGGCGGUAAAUAUUGCUAUCGCCUCAGAGGAAAAGAAUAGGAAACAUAAGGAAGCCAAGAAGAAGGCUGCUUCCUCUUCUUUCUCUGGUCGCGGUCAAAAGCGCCAGAGGGUCAUUUAUCAUCCACAAGGCCACGGACGUUUCCAAACGCCGAUACCUUAUCGUGGUCCUUUCUCCCCUCCACAGUACAGACCUGGGCAGCAGGUAUAUUCUCGACCUACUGCCAUUGCUUUUGCACCACGCCAGCCGAACGCCCCGGGUGUUCGCCCUACUGCUCCGCCCAGCCACAAUUACCCUUGCUUCAAUUGUGGUAAACCUGGGCAUUUCUCUAAAGAGUACCCUUUUCCUCGUCAAACCAACCCUACCUUUCCCAGGCCACCUAUGGGCCAACUCCAGUCGGGUCAGUUCCGAACUGGAGUUCAAAAAGGGCAACAGGUACAGAAAGGUAGACCGGUAAAGAAGACAGGGCAAGUCUUCCAUACUGAAGUGGAGACAAUUCCAGAGGGUGAACCAGUGAUGAUGGGUACGUUUCCUGUUGCAAAGCAUCCUGCUUUAAUGCUCUUUGACUCUGGUGCAUCCCAUACAUUUAUAAAUCGCACCUUUGUGUUAAAACAUGGCAUACCCAUUGGGGAAACACGAGAUCAUUUUUAUAUACAGUCGCCAGGAGGACGGCUGAUGUCUAAAGAAAUGGUUCACCAAGUACCCAUCGAAUUUGGUGGGCACAAUUUUCCUACUAGUAUGAUUGUUCUUAAGGACCAAGAAAUUGAUGUCAUCUUAGGCAUGAACUGGAUGGCGCAACGAGGGGUUGUGCUAGACACUUUGCACCGAACCAUUAAAAUCCCAUUGCCCAAUGAGAGUUCUUAUGUGCUAAUCCAACUAGUUACUCCCAAACGGACAAUUGGGCAAGUUCAUGCCGCUAAUGUGUCUGAAGUUAAAGAUAUCCCGGUAGUUCGAGAUUUCCCGGAUGUAUUUCCUGAAGACUUACCAGGUCUGCCUCCGGACCGGGAUGUACAAUUCAGUAUAGAAUUGAAACCGGGAACGGCCCCAAUAUCUCGAAGGGCCUACAGAAUGGCACCGAAAGAGCUGGCCGAAUUAAAAACCCAAUUACAAGAAUUGUUACAGAAGGGUUUUAUUCAGCCCAGUUCUUCUCCAUGGGGUUGCCCAGCCUUGUUUGUGAAGAAGAAAGAUCAGACAUUAAGGCUGUGCGUCGACUAUCGUCCUCUAAAUGAGGUGACGAUUAAGAACAAGUACCCAUUGCCCCGUAUUGACUUAUUGUUUGACCAGUUAGCUGGGGCCAAGGUGUUCUCAAAGAUUGAUUUGAGAUCAGGGUACCACCAAAUUAAAAUUAGGCCGGAAGAUGUGCCCAAGACUGCUUUCACAACCCGUUACGGGUUGUAUGAAUACUUGGUGAUGUCCUUUGGGUUGACUAACGCACCGGCCCAUUUUAUGUACCUGAUGAACUCUGUCUUCAUGCCAGAACUAGACAAAUUUGUGGUCGUCUUUAUCGAUGACAUCUUGAUUUACUCCAAAACUAAGAAGGAGCAUGCUGAACACUUGAGAAUCGUGCUGACCCGUCUCAGGGAGCACCAGCUUUAUGCCAAGUUCAGCAAAUGUGAGUUCUGGCUGGACAAAGUUCAUUUCCUGGGUCAUGUAUUAUCAGCGGAAGGAGUCGCUGUAGACCCAGGCAAGGUAGAAGAUGUGUUGAAGUGGAAACCCCCGACUACGGUACAUGAGGUCCGUAGUUUUCUGGGCAUGGCGGGAUAUUACCGUCGUUUUAUCCCAGACUUUUCCAGAGUCGCCAAACCAAUCACAACCUUGCUCAAAAGUCAAACAAAAUUUGUUUGGUCACCCCAAUGUGAGCAGGCUUUUCAGACUCUGAAAAAAGUUGUUGACAACUGCACCUGUCUUAGCCCAGCCAGAUAUUGAAAAACCCUUUGAUGUAUAUUGUGACGCAUCAGGAAUCGGGUUAGGCUGUGUGCUGAUGCAGGAGGGUCGCGUAAUUGCAUAUGCUUCCAGACAACUCAAACCUCAUGAAGAGAAUUACCCGACCCAUGAUCUCGAACUAGCCGCCGUGGUACAUGCAUUGAAGAUCUGGCGUCAUUAUUUGUUGGGAAACACAUGUCAUCUAUAUACAGAUCACAAAAGCUUGAAGUAUAUCUUUACUCAAGCUGAGCUUAAUAUGCGCCAGCGAAGGUGGCUAGAACUAAUUAAAGAUUACGACCUUGAGGUGCAUUAUCACCCUGGCAAGGCAAAUGUAGUAGCGGAUGCCCUCAGUCGUAAGGCUCACUGUAAUUGCUUAACAGUGAAGCCUAGGGAUAUAACUUUGUGCCAAGAGCUAGAGAACUUGGGAAUAGAAAUGAUUUCCCAAGGAAGCCUUUCCAAUUUAAAGAUUGAUUUCAAUCUCGAGGCUCAAAUCAUAAAGGCACAAAAAGAAAACAAAGGCAUGAGACAUCUUAAAGAGAAGAUUUCUAAUAGAGCACUCACAGACUUUAAGGUGGAUGAGGCGGGAGUAAUCUGGUUCAAGAACCGGUUAGUGGUUCCCAAGGUACCUGAGCUACGUCAGCAAAUCCUGGAUGAAGCUCAUAUCACGAGGUAUUCUAUUCAUCCGGGGAGCAAUAAGAUGUAUCAGGACCUGAAGCAAAGGUUUUGGUGGACAAAAAUGAAGAUAGAAAUAGCUCGCUAUGUGGCCCAGUGUGACACCUGUCGAAAAGUCAAAGCCAUUCAUCUCAAAUCCGCUGGGGAGUUGCAACCUUUGCCUAUCCCCGCAUGGAAAUGGGAUGACAUAAGUAUGGAUUUCAUAGUAGGAUUGCCCAAAACGGCCAAGGGCUUUGAUUCCAUUUGGGUCAUAGUAGAUCGUCUCACCAAAACAGCACAUUUUCUGCCGGUAAAGUUAUUGUAUCCUGCCUCCACCUAUGCUAAGAUUUAUUUCGACCGUAUCCUAAGUCUGCAUGGAGUGCCAAAGACAAUAGUGUCAGAUAGAGGCACACAAUUUGUCUCCCAAUUCUGGAAAUGUUUACAUGAGUCCUUGGGCACUAAGCUUUUAUACAGCACAGCCUACCACCCUCAAACUGGUGGGCAAACGGAAAGGGUAAAUCAAACCCUAGAAGAUCUAUUAAGAUCUUGUGCCCUGAAUUUUCCAGAUAAGUGGGAUGACUGCUUGCCUCUAGCAGAAUUUUCCUACAAUAAUAGCUAUCAAGAGAGUAUCAAAAUGGCUCCCUUUGAGGCACUGUAUGGUCGCCGAUGUCGAACUCCAUUACACUGGUCAGAACCUGGAGAAAGAUGGUUCUUCGGAGUUGACUUAGUGAAAGAGACUGAGAACAAAGUGAAACAAAUUCAAAAUAAUUUGAAAGUUGCUCAGUCCCGACAGAAAAGUUACGCUGAUAAAAGACGUCGACCAUUGAAGUUCGCCAAAGGUGAUCAUGUGUAUUUGAAAGUAUCCCCAAUGAAAGGAGUAAAUCGUUUUGGUGUUAAAGGCAAGUUAGCGCCUCGUUACAUUGGUCCAUUUCCAAUUAUUGACCGAUGUGGGCAAGUCGCUUACCGCCUUAAACUGCCCGAACGAUUAUCCGGGGUACAUAAUGUGUUCCAUGUGUCUCAACUGAAAAAGUGUCUUCGGGUACCAGAUCGAGUUCAAGAUAUUGAAGAUGUAAAGCUUGAACCAGAUCUAACUUAUUCGGAAUAUCCUAUCCGAGUACUGGAUCAAAAAGCUAGAGUUACUCGAAGGACAACCACUAAAUGGUAUAAAGUACAAUGGAGCCAACACUCUGAGGAGGAAGCCACCUGGGAAUCUGAAGAUUACUUGCUAGAGAAUUUUCCUGAAUUCCAUGCUUCUCUUCAGGACAAUAUAUGAUAAACCGAGAAUGUACUCCAGUAAGGAAAAAGAGUCACCAAAGCCAUGUACUUAAUGUACAUAUAUGCAUAUAAUGAAGUUUUUUUUCCCCAACUCCUUGCCUUAUGGAAAAGUUGAAGAUGAAAGAGUUUUGACAAAUUUCCUUUUCCAUUACUUACCCUAAGGUUUUAAAUCUCGGGGACGAGAUUUCUUUAAGGGGGAAGGGCUGUAACAUCCCUGAUGUUACGGUUACUAAAAACGGAUCAUGUCAUCAUAAGCAUUGCAAAGCAUAAUUGUUAAAGCACAUUAGUAUGCAUCAACCUAAAAUAAGUUUACUUUGGUUGCUUGAGCUUAGGGAAGUAGAGUGGGCUUCUGUGAUGUGUUGUUGCUUGUGUGGUUGCUAAAACCCUAGGGUGGAAGUUUUCCGAAAAGCUAAGGGGGGGAAAACCCUGAUUUCUGGAUCCUAGAAUUGCCCCUUUUUGUUUAAUUCAAAAACUAAGAAAAAUUUGAGGUUGAGUUCAAAAGCAAAGUUGUAGAUCUUGGCAAGAUGUACAACUUUGGUGUUUUGAGUUUUUGAAGUUUCAAUGCAAAAUUCAAAGUAAUUUUGAAAAUACAGAUUUCCAGAAAGUGUCCUCUUUUCCAACUUAAACCCCCAAUUCAAAAUCCAUUUGGAAUUUUGAAAAAUGGUCAACAUGAAAGUUGUAGAGCACAAAAAGUUGAGCAACUUUCAUGUUGGGAGUUUUUCAAGUUAUUAUACAAAAUCACAAGUAAUUUUGGAAAUUCUAUUUUGCCCCAAUUCAAAAAUUUGGAAUUUCUUUGAUUUGAGUUUGAUUUUCAAACUGUUUGGUCAAAUUCACCCUGUUACACUCAAAAUUAGUUCUGGACUCUUAAAUAGGUUUUGUAGCUUAUAAAAUUUGGCACAAUUUUUGUUUUGGUGGAAUUUGGAGUUUAGUUCAAAGUUUGGCUGAUUUUCGCAAGGGGACAAAAGAGAGGAGAUAAGGGGGAGCUACAGUGAUCCAGGGGAUCACGAGCUCGUCCACCCCGGUGGCAGGGCGGGCAGGCGCCGCCUCCGCGCGCGACGCCACGCAGCUGGCCACGCAGCUGCUUGCUGCUGUGCUUCGCGCGGACGGCCUCAUCCACAUCCCCUGCUCCGCCGCUUGGAUAAGACCUCGGACGGCCGGAGUGUUUCUUUUCCUUCCUUUGAACCUCGCCGCCGACCACCACCAUCCGCCGCCAAAAUUCGUCCUCCUCGUUGCCUUUCCACGCGAAGUGAGCACCCCAGCGACUCCGCCUUGAACCCAGCCACCGAUUGCGCCCCCAAGCGCAAGCGCUAACCCACCAGAGCCCUUUCCCGAGCCGCUCUUCUCCAACUCCGGCCAGGGUCGCCGCCGAGGGAUCCUUCACGUGGACCCGCUGCUCCAGUCGGUACCACGCCUUGAAGGCGGUCGUUUCGAGCUCUUCUUGUUUCCCCAGUGCUCAUGCGCUCGUUUUCCCUCCUUGGACGUGAACAGGGCCACCGAGACGACCUCACCGGAGCCGGGGCGCCGCCCGACUGCACGGCCACCGUCGCCAAGCUUCUCGGUUGUGUCUUCCGCCGUGGUGGUGUGAGCACCAUGAUCCCCAUUCCUUCCUGGCCCUCCCGAACCUAUUGGUUUGUGCUCUACCAAGCCCCGAGGACCGGUCUACGGCCGGCCAGGGUGGCCGCCCGCCAUUCGCGUGGCCGAGGAAGGAGGAGAACGGUAGAGUGUCCUCGAGUUGUACCUAUGGGGUCGCAAGGUCGAAGCGCAACUGAUGCGCACCCUGGUGUGGGGCUUGAACCUCGCCAGCGGCGACCGGGAGCGCGGCAGGGCCGCCGGGUGCGAGGGAGAUGGAACUGACGAGCGGGGCCCGCUCGUCAGUGUCCACGUGAGAGGAGGGGCGACGCGCGCAGAGCGGGUGCGGGCCGAGCGCGUGUGGGCCGGCCUGCGGCCCAGUUUCCAGACGGCCCACUGCACAGUGUUGCUUUUCUUUUCCUUUUUUGAUUAAAAUUGCUUGAUGUUUGAAAUUGUGUAAUAAAUCAGGUGCUAAUCCAAAAAUGAUGAAAGUUUUUGUAUAGGUUCCAUAAGGUGGGUAGAACACAAGAAAAAUGGUGGAUUCUGUUUUCUGGUAGUUUGCAUGUCUAUAAAAAUUUGCUCUUUUAAUUAAUGAAUAAAACUUCUAGGAAUUUUAAUAAUUUAUUUGUAUGUCCAAAAAUCACCAAAAAUUGUGGGGAGCCUCUGAAUAUUAUUCCCUGGCUCCACACAAAAUUUGAUGACAUUUGGAUAAUGUUUGAUUAGAAUACUAAUAAACCCUUAUUUAGUACUUAAGUAAUAAUUCCAAAACCAUUAAAUAAUAAUUAAUUAAAUUCUCAUGAUUAGGGUUGAGUGAUUUUGGGAUUGUGUGAUGACCUGAGGUCAUUAACCCUAAUGACCCUUGGCAUUUAAUUAUUAUUUUGCCUUAAUGCUUAAUUACUGUCAUUAGUAAUUAAUUAAGAGUUAAUUAAGGUAAAUAGGUUUAAUAAUUACCUAAUGUAAGAUAAUUAUGAAUUAAGUAAAGUCUUAGUUUACAGAUGAAACCUCUUGGGUAAAAAUAUUAAGUUAUUAAACAACUUUAUUUAGUGACAAUUCUGUAUUGCAUUAAAUAGGCAAAUCGUACUUAAUUCGGUCCAUCUUGCAUAAUUGCCAUACGCAUAUCAUAAGCAUUCAUCAUUUUGCGUAUAGUGUCCGUGACCGAAGGAGCGCCCGUUGAACCGAACCCUGAGGUCGGUGCUCCGUUCGAGGAAGUCGGAUCCGAGACUUGGGAAGUCUCCGAGGGUCCCUCUCUGCCCUGCAACCAAGGCAAGCCCCGGAUGCAUUAACCCCUCCUUGGGUGUUUUAAAUCUUUUAUCACUUAUGAAUUGAAAAUGCUGCAUUAAGUAGUUGAGAAUUGGGUUAACCUACUUGCUGCAUUUACUACCUUGAUAUCUAUAUCCUGUCCUUGACACCUGUUUUAUUUUAAAACUGCGUAGCGAUGCUUAGCCCUGCUACUAGAUAGGUUUUCAAACAAGAAAGUUUGAAGGGUUGUUGUGGGAUACACUUAUGGCCAAUGAUAUUUCAACUUGAGACCGGUCGGAGGACUUGCUUUAAGAAUGGAGUCUUAAAGUAGUGUCUCCAACUGUGUCGGUUAAGGACCGGUCCGUUGAUGGCCUGCUGGGUUGAGAAUUUAUAGUACUAGCCACUUGCCUUUGGUAAGCCCGGUCUUGUGAUCCCUCGACGCGAACAGCUACUCGCGCACUGGGAGUGGAAAGAUGGCGAGAGUAGUGUGUACCCACCUUACGGAUCUGAGAUGACCGGAAAACAUCUAGAUCGGCUGUAGGAUGGUGGAGUACUGUGCUCUCGGGUGCCGCGAACCUGGUCAAAUUUGGGGAGAGCUCGAUUUGGGUUGAUAUAUGCAAGAUUUGGUUCUACAUAUGUCGGGUGGUUAGGAACUCCAGCUGGAUUGCUAAGCGAUUCGAAUCGUCGUUGCUCCCCGAUUGGGAGACUCAAUUCCUUCGACCCUCAUCGUAGUUAAAUAUGCAACUAAGUGAUAAAAUGAGAAAAGGAAAAAUGUCUCAUGAGGUUCGGAUCCCAAUUCCCGGACUCAUAGCGACAUGAAGCUAUGACCAUCAAUAAAUAAUACUUAAUGAUAGGGUUAGGAACUCACGGAUUCAUCUGUGGGAAACAACUAGUUAGACUAUCCUCGAAUUCUUCUGCCUCUGCGAGGGAGGAAUUCAGGGUAAAACUUGAAAAUAAGGAUGCACUACUAGUAAGCUUUUCCGCAAAACAUUUGGCUCCUUGCUCAGCCACCCCUUGUCUACCCUAAGCCUGCAUCCCUAAAUUCUCCUCUUUUCCCGUCGGAUAAGUCUUGUUGAGUACUCCCGUACUCAGGGUUUCAAUACCCCUGUUGCAGGUGAAGUUCAGGAGCCGACUUGUUUCGGACCCUGUUGUGUGACCGUCGUCGAGGUUGACGACGAAGAAGAGUGAGCGUGGCCCAUGGGCAGGGUCUGUAAAUUUGUUUUGUCUCUACUAAAGUUUAAGUUGCUCCGUUGGACCAGGCUUGUAAUAACACUCUACUAUUUGGAAGAACUCCUUUUGUAAAUUAUGUUAUGUAAUACUUCCGCUGUUUCACUCUGAAAUACUAUUUUGGUCUUGUGUCGUUGAGUUACUGCUUUAUCUUCGCAACGAAUGAUCCUGGUGUUAAGGUGGCCACUUGCUAUCCUGUAAGGGCGAGAAGAAACAGUUCUCGUUGUUUGACCAUUAUCAGUGGUCAGGACGAGUCAGCUUGGUACGCCACAGGUAGCAGUGGAAUGAGCGCACAGUAAGGCUCAUCGGACUUCUAAAGUGGGAGGACUCCCGGCAUCACCGUCAGAGGUCCUUAGGACAAUGGCAGGUGCCGGUGGGCCCAAACACUUAGGGGGUUCUGCCACAAGAACCCUGAGUACGAGAAGGUACUCAGCUAGACUUACCCGUCAUAAACAUAAAAAUAAAGACUCUUCAAGGAUCAUGAAGGCUAUAUAGUGGUGUAGCUGACGAUCAUUUUGCAAAACCGUAGGAUUCUAUUAUCAUAAAUACAUACAUCUUUCUUCUUUUAAUGUGCUCAAGUUGAAAGUAUCAUUACCUAAUAUCUAGGUUUGCACCUGCACUAUCACAAGCAAGUAUAGUGUUAUGAUAGUACCUUAUCAUAGCAUUUCUUAAAACCAUUCAUCAUUAUACCCAAGUGUUCCAUAGUCCUUACUACGAGGACAGGGCUCAUGUCAAGUGCUCACUAUCCAGGAGCGAUGGCGAUUCGAAUCGGUUUCUAACCAGCUGGCGAGUUUAUUGCCCACACAAACCACACUCACUGAUCAAGUGAGCUACAGAUCACCGUAUUGCACUAUCUAGGACCAAUUCGCGGGUUCGACAGGCACCGCCCGUACCCGAGGACCGUUCCGGCGACCGAGGUAUCCAAGGUAUACCAAGGUUGCGCGCCGUGCCCUCGUCGUUCUCCUCAACCAUCACCAAUACACCGCGUACAUCGGGCCGAUUCCCGGCCCGGAUAGUGCUCAGGCUUCGCGGAUGGAACGACUUAUCCUUCCAGCUAAAUGUGGGGCAUGCGUUCAACAUGACAAGAGGGCCGUCAACGAUCGGUCCUUAAUCGACACAGACAGGGGCACUAUGGUCAACCCACCAUAAGACCCUGCCCGGUCUCCAAUUCCAUUCCGCACUUGGUUAUUCCUUUCCACAAAGCAACCACUGCUCAAACAGGCAGGGCUCCACCUAUAUCUCGCAGGUGACAGGAAAUCACCUGACUUCUACCGGACUAAGCAAGCUAAGCAUAGACUCCGCGCCUAUCUACAUAGGACAAGGUAGAUAAACGAGGGUUGAUAUCAAGGAGUACCAAUGCAUCAACGGUAUCAACCAACUCCUAUCACUUAAGUGCAAUAUAGUAGAACAAGCAUAGUAUAUCCUGUAAGUUAGCGAGAAUAGGGAGACUUAGAAUGCUCUGGGCUUGCCUUUCUCAAACGUGCUGGGUCGGUGAUCUGGACACUCCUGUAGUUCCUCUCCGGACUCCUGUGCUUCCGGAGGUUCAUGCUCCUGAAUCUCCUCUGGUUCUUCGGGUCCCACCUCGUUCUCCUGCGAGCCUGUAUGAUGCAUGUGUGCUCAUGAGUGGAGUGCGAGAUGCCCGAGUCGAUGCUUGUAUGAAGGUACCAAAGGAUCAUGACAUGAUGCAUAGGCGAUUUAACUAGUCAUGCUCUCUACAAGGUAGUCAACAUCAUUCAAGAGUAGGUAAUUGAAUUAAACAUUUAUUGCAUUCUCUUCUACAAUUAUUUUUCAAGUGUAACCAGCAACCCACAAGUUGCUUCAAAGAUACACCAAACCCAUUCUUAUUCUAUUCAACCUAUAUACAACAAUCAUAAAUUAUUUAUUCAUUUCUAGGCCCAUCAAAAUUUGCAUGCAGUUCUGUUCAUCAAUAAAUGCCACAAAAAUUACAGGAGACUACCAGUCAAGCAUAAAGUCUACUGUAAACUUUUUUCCAUAAUUUUUGAAUACUUAUUUUGAGCUACAAAAAUCACAAGAUUAAUUAAUAAGGACAAGUACAAUUACUCUACUGUGGUAUAAGUGUCAAACAGCAGAUUUCAUAUUUUUACAAUUUGUCUAAUAUCCUAAGAAACAUCCACAAAAAUUUACAGACUGAUUCAAUGAUCCAAUUAAUUAGUAAAAUUCAUAAACCACUGCCAUGCAAGCAUUUAAGUUACCAUAAAUUCAUUUAUACACCAAAUAAUGUAUAGCAAUAUUUUUCCAGUGAGUUAACAUACAUGCAGAGCCAACAAAUCAAGUUUCACAUUUUUCCGAACCAUAUUUUAAUUACUAUGCAUUUACCAAGUUUAGCAAAAACAUAGAUUAAAUAUAUUCAUACAGAAAAGUUACUCAAAUAUGACAUGCAAUUACAUCAAGCUGUAGAUCUGAAAAUAUAGAGCACACCAAAAUUUAUUUCAUCAAAUUUGGAGCUGUAGAACUCAAGAUAUGAAUUUUACAAGUUUUGAAUCAAUUUCUGGAAAACAUUUAUUUAAGAAAACCGACGCAAAAGGCUAAACACACACGGAUCCACACCCAACACAGUCCCCCUGUGACUGACAGUGGGCCUCUGACCCCACUGGUCAGCGAGACCGAGAGGGAGUGCACCUCCGACGAGCAGAUCUCGCCGGCGGUGAGGUCCCCGGCCACGGGGUGAGCACCAUCAUGCUCCCCACAGCGAGGCGCACCCAGCGGUACCCUCGGAUUGACCGGAGGAUGGCCGGAGCACCUCCGACGAGCAUGCAUGGCGGCACGGCGGCACUGCUCGCCGUGGCCAGGCCGCUCCGGCGCAGUAGAGCGUGCGCAAACGACUCUUCGAGCUUCCUCACCACCCUACCGACCUAGCGCAGCCAAGAACCAGCGAAAAGAGGUAGGAAACGGCAAGAUCCGUCGUGGCGGAGCACUCCAGCGAGCUCGGGGUAACUCCGGCGAGCGAUUCACGGCGCUCGACGGGCUCUCACCUCGAUAGAACGUUCGCAUGAGCUUACCGCGACUACGGCGAGCGCUCUGGUGGUUUCGGCGUCGAGGUUGGGGCACUAGAGUGGCCGGCGGUGAGCAGCGGAGCAGCUCCGGCGAUGGCGCUGCGGCGGAGUUGCUGCGGCCGCGCUGCGCGAGCGGAGGGAGGUGGGAGAGGGGCGCGGGCGAGAGGAUGGAUGGAAUGGCCUGGGAGCCCGAGCCGGCGUCCCGACUAGGGGGGGUGUAGGUGGCCGGCCGCGGCGCGCUCCUCGCCGGCGUACGGCCGCCACGUGGCCGACGCUGGCUAGGACAGGGCGGGCGCCGCGCGCGCGGGAGAGAGGGGGAGGGGGAAGCUGGCCGGGCCGCUCGCUGGGCCGAAAGGGGGGCGGGGUUGGCCCGGUAGCGCCUGCCCCCUUUUCCAUUUUUUUAAUUUCUUUUCUCAAAUUCUUUUCUAAAUUCAUUUGGACCAAUUUAAAAUCAUUUUGACCUCUUGCUCCCAAAAGCAACAUUGUUCCAAAACAAAAACCCUACAACUUUGUUUUAAUAAGCAAGACCAAAUUCCCAAUAGAAUUUGAAUUACAAAUUAAAACUAGUUCUAGGUUUUUAAAUAAAUUCAUUUUGGGAAUUUUGUAUAAAUUCCAUUUCUCAAAUUCUAUAGCUCCAAAAAUUGCACAAAAAUAUUCUUAAUUCUUCUUACCCAUAAAUCAACCUAUUUUGAAUAUUUCAUAAUUUUAGAAGCAAGCAUCAUAUUUUUAGCAUAUUUAAAGCACAUGUAAUAAAGCACAUAAAAUCAUAUUUUGGGAUGAAUGACAUGCUCAUGAUGCUAUGCUUGAUGAGAAUGCUCAUUCAUUGCUUUGAUAAGUGCCAAGUGCAUGCUUAACACCUAGGGUGUUACAGCCCUUCCCCCCUUAGGGAAAUCUCAUCCCGAGAUUUCGGUUACUAACCAUUUCUUAUGAAAUUUUGGAUAAAUUGUUUUGAGAUAAUCCUCAGUUUCCCAGGUGGCAUCCCGAUCGUCAUGAUGACUCCACACCACCUUGUAGGUUCUGACGACUUUGUUUCGGGUUACUCGUUCCUUGGCAUCCACAAUUUUCACUGGCUGUUCUUUAUACUCUAAGUCUGCUUUUAUUUUGAUUCCUCGAGGUUCAAUCCUUUUGUUCAGGCACUUUCAAACAUUUCCGUAGUUGCGAUACAUGGAAGACCGGAAAGAUCGAACCCAACUCUUCAGGUAACUGAAUCUUGUAGGCCACUGGGCCUUUUCUCUCCAGUAUUUGAUACGGUCCCACAUAUCUGGGUGCAAGCUUGCUUCGAACUCGGAAACGUUGAACUUUCUUCAUUGGCGUAACCUUGAGGUACACAUAGUCACCUAUGUUGAAUUCAAGUGCCCUUCGCCUCUUAUCAGCAUAACUCUUUUGUCGGGAUUGUGCUGCUUGCAUAUGCUGCUGUAUGAUCUGCACCUUUUUCUCAGCUUCAUUCACAAAGUCGAUACCAUAGUAUCUUCUCUCACCAGGUUCAACCCAGUUUAAUGGAGUUCUACAUCUUCGACCAUACAAAGCUUCGAACGGAGCCAUCUUGAUACUUUCUUGAUAGCUGUUAUUGUAUGAGAAUUCAGCCAGAGGUAACCAUGAUUCCCAUGAUCCCUUGGAUGAUAGCACACAGGCCCUCAGCUUAUCUUCUAGCACUUGAUUUAACCUCUCGGUUUGACCUGAAGUCUGGGGAUGAUACGCCGUGCUUCUUAUCAGACUGGUCCCCAAACUCUUAUGCAUUCGCUCCCAGAAGUGAGCGGUGAACUGCGGUCCUCUAUCCGACAUGAUGGUUUUGGGAAUACCAUGCAACUUGACAAUCUCAGCCAUAUAUAUAUCGGCAUACUCAGGAGGUCGGUAACGAGUCUUCACAGGAACGAAAUGGGCCGAUUUGGUCAAUCGAUCUAUGAUUACCCAAAUCGAGUCAUUCCCCUUCCUUGUCGUUGGUAGACCCGUGAUAAAGUCCAUACUGACCUCUUCCCAUUUUCACUCUGGAAUUGAUAACGGUUGCAACAGACCUGCAGGCUUCAUGUGGAUGGCCUUAACUCUGCAACACGUGUCACAACGGGCUACAUAUGCGGCUAUUUCUUUCUUCAUCUUGGUCCACCAAAAGUGGGGUCUUAAGUCUUGAUACAUUUUACUACUGCCAGCAUGAAUAGAAAGCUUAGAGAGAUGGGCUUCAUCCAUGAUGCGAUUCUUCAAUUCACGAUCUUUCGUAACUACUAACCGAUGUUGAAACCACAGUACCCCUUUUUCAUCAACUCGAAAUUGAGUCUUUGGGUCAUCUUUGAUCUUCUCCUUGAUGUGGAAAAUACCCUUGUCUGUUUUCUGACCUUCAAUGACUUGACUCUCGAGUGAACAACUGAGUUGUAUGUGACAUAAGACCUCAGGAUGCAUGAGAUUGAACCCAUCUUCAAACAACGGUUGAACCACUUGAUAGUGCGGUUUACGGCUCAAUGCAUCUGCUACUACAUUAGCUUUGCCUGGAUGAUAAUGAACUUCCAGAUCAUAGUCCUUGAUUAACUCUAACCACCGUCGUUGCCUCAUAUUCAGCUCAGGCUGAGUGAAGAUGUACUUCAAACUCUUAUGAUCGGUAUAAAUGUGACACUUAUUCCCCAGCAGAUAGUGUCUCCAAAUCUUCAAAGCGUGCACUACUGCUGCUAACUCGAUGUCGUGAGUUGGGUAGUUGACUUCGUGCUUUCUCAACUGUCGGGAAGCAUAAGCUAUCACCCUGCCAUCUUGCAUCAACACACACCCCAAGCCACUCUUCGAUGCGUCACAAAACACAUCAAAAGGCCUCUCUAUAUUGGGUUGUGCCAGAACGGGAGCAGUGGUUAGCAACUUUCGCAGGGUGCGGAAGGCUAACUCACACCCUCCCGUCCAGACAAACUUAUGAUCCUUUUGUAGCAAACUUGUCAUUGGCUUAGCAAUCUUGGAGAAGUUAGGUAUGAAUCAAUGAUAAUACCCGGCCAGACCAAGAAAACUUCUAACUACCGAGACAGAAGUUGGUGCCUUCCAGUCCAUGACCUCUUGCACUUUUGACGGAUCCACAGCAAUCCCUUCUUCAGACAGAAUGUGCCCUAGGAAAGGAACUUUCUUCAACCAGAACUCACACUUGCUGAACUUGGCAUAUAACUAAUGCUCUCAUAAUCGUGUUAACACAAUUCUCAGAUGCUCGGCGUGGUCUUGCUCAUUUUCUGAAUAAACCAGGAUAUCAUCGAUAAACACCAUAACAAACUUAUCCAAUUCUGGCAUAAAGACUGAAUUCAUCAGAUACAUGAAGUAUGCAGGAGCAUUUGUUAACCCAAAGGACAUGACAAGGUACUCAUACAACACAUAUCUGGUGGAAAAAGCAGUCUUCGGGAUGUCUUGCGGACGGAUCCUGAUUUGGUGAUACCCAGACCUCAAGUAUAUCUUGGAAAACACUUUUGCCAUGGACAACUGAUCAAAUAAGAUAUCGAUCCUUGGCAAGGGAUACUUAUUCUUGAUUGUCACUGCAUUGAGUGGAUGAUAGUCCACGCACAUGCGCAACGACUGAUCCAUCUUUUUCACAAACAACGCUGGACAACCCAUUCCGACAAACUUGGCUGGAUGAACCCUUUAUCCAGUAACUCCUUGAGUUGAUUCUUCAACUCAGCGAGUUCGUUUGGUGGCAUCCGGUACGGCCUUCUAGAUAUUGGUGUUGUACCUGGUAUUAACUCGAUUGCAAACUCUACCUCCAUAUCUGGGGGAAGUCCUGGUAAUUCCUCGGAAAAAAACAUCAGGGAACUCACAUACCACGGGUAUGUGUUCUAGUGGAACCACCUGUACUGCACACGAAAGACUGGCGAAGUCUAACCGUCAGGGUAGCUUGACCUGAAGCACACCCUUCCCUUGCGGGUCUCUACGGGAAAGAGUUCUAUUCCCGGCAUCUAUAAUCGCGCCCCGGUCAGUCAUCUUGUUCAUUCCAAUGAUGACAUCCAAAACCAGCCCUGGCAUGACCACAAGGUUUACACGAAACCUCCGGCAACUGAUAUCCAUGGUAACUCCUGUUACUGUUUUAUUAGUCAACACAUCAGUUCCGGCUGAGCUGAUGCGAUAGCCAUAACCCAACUCUGUAACUGGCUGGUCAUGCUUUUGUGCAAAUGCUUGGCUCAUGAAUGAAUGCGAUGAUCCAGAAUCAAACAAAACGACUGCAAGAUGUUGGUUGACAGGAAACAUACCAGCUGUUACCGGUUCUCCUUCCGGGAUUUCCUCAAUUGAGGUAUGAUGCACACGAGCUGGAUAGGUUGGCUGCUGCCUCUUGGGGUAGGGACAUUCCUUAGCAAAGUGCCCCAUCUUGUGGCAGUUAUAGCAUGGACCCUUGGGCGCAUUGUUGGCUGCAGGUGCUGCAGCUUGAAUUGCCUUUGGCUUGGCAGGGGCUAUCACCACCUUGUACAGCUUCUGCUGCGUUGGAUGCCCGGUGUUCCUCCUCUGCGGCGGUCGGAACCUAGCACCUAGGGCAGGAGGACGAUACUGCUGUCGCCCUGUCACGGGUGCCCUAGACUGGGAUGAUCCGUCUUCAAAAGCCCUCUUCCGUGACUUAGAUGCACUAUAGUUGUUGUUAUUGUUCUCUUGGGUUAGGCAGUUAGUGAUAUAGGCAUUGAAGGUAGCCCUGGCUCCUGUAGCCAUGGUCUUUAGCAUCUUUGGAUUCAAGCCUCUCUAGAAACUAGCAAUCUUCUUGGCCUUCGUGUUCACAAACUCAGGGGCAUAGCGAGCGAGAUUAUUGAAAGCGUGUAGAUACUCCUUCACAGAUUUCGUCCCCUAGGACAGCCUCAUGAACUCCCCAACCUUCAUUUCAACAACACCCGGAGGAAUGUAAUUUCCCCAGAAAGCGGUGGUGAAGCGGUUCUAGGUGAUUGGGGUUCCCUCUGGGUAGGUGGUACGGUGAUGGGACCACCAAAUUCCAGCGGGUCCUUGCAACUGAUGUGCCGCAUACUCAGCCUUGAGUUCUUCGGUCAUCCAAAGAAGAAGAAACUUCUGCUCCAUGGUGUUGAUCCACUCAUCUGCCUCGAGUGGUUCCAAAGCCUCUUUGAAAAUUGGUGGCUUGGUAUCCAUGAAGUCCUUGAAUGAGCUGUACUGGUUGACUUCUCGGCCGCCCUGGUUAUCCCCACGACGGGAGUUGUCAGCUAUGUUGCGCAGAGCUUCUUCCAUGUUGCGCUGCAUCUAUUCCAUGUUGUGUUGGCUCCCCAGAAACUGCGCGAAAAACACUUCCGCAGUGUACGGAGGAGGCGGUGGUGGUGGCGGUGUUGGUGCUGUGUCCUCAUUCCGUUGAGCCCCACCUCCGGAUGUACCUGCUCCAAGACCCGGAUUGCUGUUACCCCCGCCACGUGUUUGCACCAUCUGCAUACGUCAAUGAUAAGCAAUCGUUAGGAGUUGCCAUCAACGGUAGAAAUGUGUAGAAUCAUGUCGUACUGAAUUUACUGAGGGAAUAAAUUCGCACAAUAAAUAGAGGUACAACAAUUCAUCAUCUACGCACAACAUCACCAACAGAUUACUUAACAUUCAAGCCACAAGUUUCGCGUACAUCCCAAAUUGCCAGCAUACAUAUACUGGACUUUCAGCGUCAUCUCAUAAGUCUUACAUAACCCAGAUCCAAAAGUACAAGACGUGCCAUGCAACAUACAACACAAAAGAAGAAGGACUAGCUCUAGAGCCCAAGCAUCUACUCGCUAUGAUCACUGUCCAUGCCGGAGCCCCCUCAUCCUCAUCUCCACUAGCAGCUGCUCCUAUCCCGGGAUCCACGUCCAUCUCGUCCUCAGAUUCUAGCUCAGCUGCUCUAGGUAGGUGGUGAGGGUGGAGCUGGUUAUGCAGUUGGUGGAUCUCUUCAUGCAAGUUCUCAUUGUACUCCUCAGCAUUGGCUAACUGCUGCUCGAGCUCUAGCUGUCGGGCCCUCACAGUGUCCUCCUCGUGCCAGGCUUCAUUCCUCUGUCCAAGCACAUGGACUAGCAUGCGCUCGCAGUUCCUGUGAGCGGUAGUCACCCUAUCCCUCUGCUCUCGCACUGUAAGCAGGUACUGACUCAGCUCACUGUUCUUCUGGACUGCCUGAUCUCUCUCUCUGGUCACACAGGCCAACUCUGCCUGUAGUCUCUCCACCUCAGAGUCGAACUCACGCUGCAACUGACGCUUCUCAUCCUGGACAGUGAGAAGAGACCCGGACAAGCGACCCAAACAACGCUCUAGGCCUCCAUAGGUCUUCAUCAAGGCGUACAUAGCACUCAUAGCUGCGCUGUCACUGUGCUGGUCCUCAUCCGCACUCCUCUCUAGAGCGCUCACCUCGGACUGAUCCCACACCGAAGUGUAGGGGUCACCCCGGGGAAACACCCCAGCGAAGGCGUGGGCCAGCUCCUGUGGAAACCUCUCCAUGAGGUCCCUCAGAACUGCGAAAGCUGCCCUGCUGGCACCGUGGAAAGGCGUGACACCUCGGGACUCGUACACCCAGCCGCCCCAGGCGAGGUCACCUCCACUGGUAGGAACAACUGCCUCAAUCCCCACCAGGGUCUCGUCACCAAGCGGCUCCUUAUCCCAAUAGUAGCGAGGCUCCCUUCCUUCAGGAUACCCCAUCGAGCUAAGCACUCUCCAAAGCAAAGUGGGCAUCCCAAACUCCUCCAGGAACUUGCUCUUAUGUCGCGAGCUCCUAGCUGCCAACGGAUGGCGAGGGGCCCGCCCACUAGUGGACUUGCGAGCGGUGAGCCUAGUGCGUGCCAUCUGCUGCAAACAAAAUACUUUGGGUAAGAGCGAGGAUUACCUUUAAUUAUUUUAUUUAGAAUUGGGACAGAUUAAUUAAGGGGGAAAGUAAGCAAUGAUAUGAAAUGAACAUGAUGCAUGCACGAACAUUCGAUCUCACAAACUUAGAAACAGAAGUUAACACUAAGCGGUAUAUGCGGUGGCACACAACGUUCUCUCAUAACGUAACUAACGUGCUAAGCGAGAACGCGGUUAGCGUACCUGCAGAAAACUCAUUUCAGCCCACCUGAUCGUGCAAAACAAGAGUUUUAAAACUAUACACCCCACAUACACAGACACCUGUCCAUGCAUAUGACGUGUCACUACCCACAUCAUCGCCCUAAUGACGGCACCGCCUCUCAGGACGGAAUUCCCAACAUGCGGUACUGUUCCCAAGACACACCAAAACAUGUGUGCAUGACACAGUACCUAACAACACUCCCCUAGACCGGCAGUGUAUCCGAUCAUGCUCUCACAGCUCCCACUUACCGUGGCGUAGAGGAAAAAUGGAUCCAUACAUUACCACUCAAAUGAAUGGCACUCAUACUAUUGCACGUUGUAUGAGCGAUGAAAUAAAAAUAUGAUGCAUUACCCUCAAGUCAGUACUUAACUAGCCACCUUAGAGUCCUUAACUGAGCAUAAAGGAUAUGACCAUGGCACACUAGAUAGUGUUCCCAAAACUUGGUUUUAACACCUUGAUCAUUAUUGAUUAAUUAAUAAAAUCUUUUAUUAAACCGUUUUAGAUUUUUGUUUAGAACGUACUUAUGAACAGUAACUCACUAAACCUUGCUCCGAUGCCAGCUGUAACAGAACCGACCAAAUUAUAAGAAAUUAAGCCUAAUAGUGACCAUUUGCAUAGUCAAACCAUCAUGCUUAAGCCCAUAUAAUCCCGGUAGUCCGUGAAAUCUCGAAGGAUUUCAAACCACACAUCGUUCACAGCCAAGAUCGUAAUAAGUUUAGAGGUUGCCAUCCACAAAUACAUCCAGAUUACAACAUUCACAAAAUACAUCGGAGUGCUUAAGGUUAUUACAAACCAAGUUCUUCAAGUAGCAGAAGCUUCAUAGUUCGAAAGUACCACACACACACACUUAGUCUGAUAUAGUGCCAUAAUUUGGUCAUCCCCACAAAAGCAAAAGAGAAGACGGAGUGACCAUCGCCCUUGGUCUAGUCAUCACCCAUGGCUGGGUAUAGACAGAGGAUGCAAUAACCAUAGUACAUUUGACCAUCUGCAAAACAACAUGGGAGUAGAACCCUGAGUACGAGAAGGUACUCAGCUAGACUUACCCAUCAUAAACUUAAAAAUAAAGACUCUUCAAGGAUCGUGAAGGCUAUAUAGUGGGGUAGCUGACGAUCAUUUUGCAAAACCACAAGAUUCUAUUAUCAUAACUACAUACAUCUUUCUUCUUUUAAUGUGCUCAAGUUGAAAGUAUCAUUACCUAAUAUCUAGGUUUACACCUGCACUAUCACAACCAAGUAUAGUGUUAUGAUAGUACCUUAUCAUAGCAUUUCUUAAAACCAUUCAUCAUUAUACCCAAGUGUUCCAUAGUGCUUACUACGAGGACAGGGCUCAUGUCAAGUGCUCACUAUCCAGGAGCGAUGGCGAUUCGAAUCAAUUUCUAACCAGCUGGCGAGUUUAUUCCCCACACAAACCACACUCACUGAUCAAGUGAGCUACAGAUCACCGUAUUGCACUAUCCAGGACCAAUUCGCGGGUUCGACAGGCACCGCCCGUACCCGAGGACCGUUCCGGCGACCGAGGUAUCCAAGGUAUACCAAGGUUGCGCGCCGCGCCCUCAUCGUUCUCCUCAACCAUCACCAAUACAGCGCGUACAUCGGGCCGAUUCCCGGCCCGGAUAGUGCUCAGGCUUCGCGGUCGGAACGACUUAUCCUUCUAGCUAAAUGUUGGGCAUGCGUUCAACAUGACAAGAGGGCUGUUGACACUAGCUAACACCACUUAGAUACUAGGUUGUCAUCCCUAGCAUGGCGCCAGAGUGUACAAAGGUAUUUAUAAAUGUAAAGGCUCUCUAGAAAAUAAUUUAUUCUAUCCGCAUGCGCACAGAUAAAACACCUCAUUGUAGCAUUUCACCAGGAUAAGUAUUCCAGGUAUCGUUAUUUAUAAUUUUGCUCAAGAGAACUAAGGAAGAUGGAAUUAAAUCAAGGGGUAAAAUCUAUCAAGGCAUAGACUAGAGAUAAACUUGCAAGAACAUGAUUACUAAUGAGAAACUCGUCACACAGUCACAUACUUUAGCAAGGGGUAAACCAUAAAGAUAAUGAUAAUAAAGUAUAAGUUCAUGGGUAGAUAGCACAGCGAUUAGAAAAUAGACUACUCCUCAUAUAUGUAGGUGAUGUCAGAUUAGCUAGAGAAUGGAUUCUAAGUUAUCUACUAACUACUAAGUCAUAAUCUACUCUAGUUAUCUACAAGAUCAUGUAUAGCAUAAAAGACUCUUCAUUCAUGUAUAAGGAACAUUGAUAAAGUAAAUCAGAACAUCGCAUGACUUACUCCACAAUAUCGGUUCUGCCUGUCCUAUCAACGGAGGGUGGACUAUAUAAGAAUCAACGAAGCUGUCACUAUCGCGAACUACCACACGACUCGGCCAAUAGGAUACAUUUGCAGAUAAAUAACAUCUAAGCACCACGCUCAUAUGUGAUCUAUCACCUAACUCCCUCGCGUCAAGAGCUAAGCGCUUUGCAAACUUAUACAUAAACUCAUUAUCAAUUAGAACUAUAUCAAAUAUUGAACUAGAGCAAACUAAGAACAUAAUAAUUAAAGACAUAAUGCAAUUAGAACAAUAGAAUUAGAGAAAGAUAUGAAUAAUACCAAUCUUUAUUACUGAAGAUCCGAAUCCAGAGCGUAGUGCUAUACUUCUCUCAUUGCUAUCUAAUCAAACCUCUAAACUUGAAGGAUUAGGGAGUAGCUAAUUCUAAUUCUCUGUGGGAGAGAGAUCUAAACCCUAACUUUGAUGGCUACCUCUGAAUAAUGAUUUCUCCUCCUCUCCUCCAGGGGCCAGGGGGUCUGGUUUUAUAGUCCCCUCAAGUGAACGUGAGCCAUUGGAUCAAACUGACAUAGAUUGUAUGGUUUAGAUUGAUCCUUUAGGUCGGUGGAGCGUUGUCCCGAGAGAGAGUCCUGAUCCAACUCCUGGCCAGGGCGGGCGCCCAAGGAGGGUGGGCGGGCGCCCUGCCCCCGAGCCCGAAUCGCGUCCCGUUCGUUCCCGUGGCUUCUGGAUCCUUCUAGAUUGAGGAAAAUUGCGCGGCACGUAAUUAUCUCGUUGUAAACAUGACAUGUGGGCCUUCUCUCCAUAUUUUCUUAUAAACCCCUGCAGAAAUAGAUAAACACCAAAACUCGUGGAAUUCUAUCAGAUAAAACCCUAAUUCUAGAUGUUUGUUUCAUAUUGAUCCUUUUUCAUGUUUAUUUGAUUAUUAAUUUUAGUACUUAAGGACCGUCAACAAACUCCUCCAAGCUUACCCUUUGCUCGUCUCUGAGCAAAUAGCUAAACUUAGACGAAUCAGAAGUUGCUUCGAUGUUUUAUUUCCUGACAGGCACACAUGCUUUUACAUAAAAAUUCUUCCAGAUUAGAGUGAAGUGUUAUAGAGUUUUAGUACCUACACUUAAAUCUUAAGUAAUCGAAAGACAAAAUAGUUAAGUUAAGCACUAUCCCUCUUGUAUAUACUUCACCUUUGUUCUAGAGUUUUUCAUAAGUUUUCAAAAUAAAAUUCAGAGUUCCUAGCAAUGAUUCUCUCAAGUCUCUCUAUAUGUGGUAUUUGUGGAUCCUUACCAUGAUAUCACUUACCUAUAGCUAAUGAAAUAUUUAAGUGGAGCUCAUAGGAGUGAAAAACAGCUCAUACAUAUGUUGUCUAAUCGAGCCAUGGAUCCAAAGGAACUCAGCAUAUAAUUAAAUCAAGAUGUGCAUGUGUGAUGGAGUAAAUGAUAGUGAUGGUGAAAAUGCAUAAGUGAUUAUAAAACUUAGUUCUCAUUGCUCCUCAUAUUGCUAUCUCUCCUCUUCUUUGAUCUUUGCUUUGGGAGAACAUAGGCUAUCUCUUUUUCUCUCUCUUUUUUUCAGGUGGGUAGUAGAUACCCCUAAUUCUACUGUCGGACACUUGUCCAUUUUUUCCGCUCAAGUGGGCAUCUUUGUACCCCUAAUUCUACUUCGGACACUUGUCCAUUUUUACCUCUCGUCUCACUCUUUUUUCUUUCUUUAUCGAGGUUCCGGGCACUUGCCCCUUUUUAUUUCCUCGUAUAUUUUUGCAUAACCCAUGCCUCUUCUGCAUUGAAUCUUUUUAGAGAGAGAGAAUAACAAUACUUAGAACAGUGAGUGAUAAUAUUUUUAGCAAUUUUAAUGAUUGAUGAUGAAUGGUGUAGUAGAUGUGUGCAAGUGAAUAUCUUAAUUUAACCACAUGAAAAGCUCCUAAGGGUCCACACAGCUCGAUCAAACUCAAUGUAAAUAUAGUAAAAGAUGUUAUAGCAAGUAUGGCUGUGGUAGGUAGUUUGUUAUGCUAGGAACUCAUCAUGUGAUUUGUAAGUUUUCAAAAUAAAUCUCCAGAACUUAGUGUAGUAGGAACAAGAUAAACAGUAGCUCAACUUUAUAUCAUGCCUUUCUCUUACCUAGACUUUAGUUUUAUGCUUCCCAAAGAUAGUAAUUUUAGUUUUAGUAAUUCCUGGAAGAACUCUAAUAUAAAAGCUAGGUACUUGUAAGUAAGCAAACAGAGAAACUGUUCAUCAUUUCCAUCAUGCAUAUUUUUUGGUCUUUUUAUUUUUUCUAUAGAUUAAACUUAGCAGGAAAAUAAAGCACACUUAUCUACACACUCUUUUUAUUUUGUUUUCAUGUUUAUUAAAGUGCAGUGAAUUAAAGCAAGAAAAUAUUUAUUUGGUUUUCUAAGUUUUUUCUUUUAAGAUAAAUUAAAUACUAAGACAGAAUAGAAUAAAUAAGAAGAGCAAAUAGAAACUUACUUGAUAAAUUUAGGAACUCCCCCAAGCUGGAUGUUGACGUCGGUCUUACCCGAUGUUCCAGAACCGCAUCAUGGUUGUGAUGUUGUCUUUCAUUGUUGUUGUAUCUUGUCUCAGCUCUUCUACUGCAGCGGCAUGGUCCUGGUUCCAUUUUUGUUGCUCUUCCAGGAGUCUUCCAUGUUCUGCUUGCGUGUUCUGGAUGUCGAGGAGGGUGUUGUCGGUACGAGUGAAGAAAGCACCGGCCUCUUGAUAGUAGUCAUUCGUGAAAGCGUAGGAGGCGUCAGAGUAUCGUCCUGCAUCAAAUUGAGGCGGAGGUCUGGAUCCUGAAGCUCCAUAUGGAUCAGUGGAGUACCUGCCCGUGUGAAAAGGCGGGUUUGUCCACUGGUGAUCUUGGCUCUCCGGCCAUGUCUCUUCUGUUGGCUCUUGUGGUUGCGCAUGUCGAGCCCAUGGGUCUCGAAGGACUCGUGGAUUGUAAUCGCAAUAAUGCAGGUGCGCUGCUUCUUCUGGUCCAGGGUCAGCUCCAUACCAGGUGCGUUCUCGGUGAGUGGUUAUCCUUUCAGAUGCCACUCGCUGUGGAGUUCUCUGGUUCACUGGUGUUGCUGCAAUCUCAAUCAAAAAGUUUUGCAAAGCGUAGAGGCCAUGGUUCGGCUUAGGUAACCGAAUCUUGCCUUUAUCAUCAUACAGCAUAUACAUUAUAUUCCCCUCUUUCUUUAACAUCCGAGCUUGUCUAAAUGUGUCAUAGCCAUGGUAAGUUCUUAAUUCUUCUAUGAAAUCCAACGAUGAGUUUUCUAGUAAGUGCAGAUUAGUGGCUAGACGAGUGAUAAGUGAAGUACAUCCUACUGGUCCCUAAAGACUAGAUAUACUAAGCCAAUGUGAAACUAAUAGUGUAACAGGUGAAGUGGGUACUUUACUAAUAGCAGCAUAUAAAAGUUGUAAAUCUCCUACUCUUACUUUCCUAAUAUCGUCACGAUAGAAAAGAUUGUACCCAAGCCAUUUGUGAAACAUCCUAAGAGUGGGGUGUUCCAUGUCACUGGUUCGGGCUUGACUGUAAAAAUUAUCUCUAGAUAUUUCUCUCCAAAACUGGUGUCUCUCAAAUUUGGGUAAAUCGGAGCCAAUGUUCAGGAUGCAUCUUGAAGAGAAACCAAGAUGGUCACUCAGCUCUCUCCAAGAUAACAUAAUUUCCUGUUUGAACAUCCGAAAAGCAAUUCCCCCCUCAUAGUAUUGUAAAGUGCAAAGAAAUUCGAGGGUGAGAAGACGAGAACCCAGCUCAGUUAUAUUCCAAAAAUUUGUCCAUCCUAACAUCUGGAAAAUUAAGUCAAAUUCAGUGUCCAUACCUGUUUCUUGUAGUAAGGUUGGAUCGAUAGUAGGGGUAUGAAUGAAAUCUUUGUUCUUCAAUUGUUGAUAUACUUCCUUCUCUCUUCGGGUCCUUAGUCCAAGGUCUCCUAUCUUGAGAAGGACCUUAACUUGCUGACCUGAUGAAGAUGAUGGAGCUUGUGUGGGUGUCGGAUCGACGCUCAUCUCUGAUGGCUGUGAGGAGUGUCGAGAUGAACUCCUUGUUCCAAUGUUCUUGAGAGCCUUCCCUGCAUUCUUCACCUUCUUAAACAUCCUGCAAACAAAAGUUGGCGAAAACACAACUGGUGGAAAAUGUGAGAUAAAAUGUUAGUGGUCAGCUGUCCGGAGUGUCAGUAGUCCAGGGGUUAAUCGUUCAAGACAAAUUUCUAUUUUGGUAGAGCCUCCCUAAACAACUUUUACUUCCGCUUGGACAGCGGGAUCACUACUUGCUAGGUGAUAAACACUCUCUCAAAAGAUCUCCAACCUUCCCUUCCACUCUCCUCUUUCUCUCUACUUUCUUCUCUUCACUACAAGAGCUCCUUCUCAGAAAACUGAGGCUUGUGUGGUUUUCUGGAGUGUUUGUGUGAAGAGAAGGGGAGCUGGAGGUGGCCUUUUAUAGGCUGAGCAGGGGACAGGGCGGGCGCCCAAGGUAGGUGGGCGGGCGCCCACCCCUGGUGUCCAUCCUGGGUGUGCCUCCUCCACUUGCUUCCUUGCUUUGAUCUCACGCAGAAUAAUAUUGUGUUGGUGGUGGUUGGACGGUGGAAAGAUGUCAAGUGAGUGGAAACAUAUUGGUGGAUGAAAUUAUGUGAUGGGAUGUAUGUGAGAUGAAGUGUAUGACAUGUGGGACCCAAAGAGUGUGGGUCAUGCUUCUAGAAGAUCAAUAUAAAUAAAUAUAAUGCAGGAAAUUAUGAGAAUUGAAACUUAAUUAAAAUGAUAAUGGAAAAUAUUUUUGUGCCUCCACAAUAAUUAAUAAAUAUGGGUUGUUACACACCACAAAUAUUAUUUAUAUGGGGCUUUUUGAUUAUUAUAAUUAUGCUAUGAAUGUAUAUGACUAAGAAUUAAUUAUGCAAGAAAUUAAAUAUGAGAAAAUUAAUAAUGCAGGUAAAUACCGAUUUACCUCCCGGUGAGGGUUUGGGAUUUUUAGGUCCCCCAAGCUAGACCUCCAAAUCUUUAAUCUUCUGAGUUACCUUCCUCUGGAGAUGGUGUCUCCAGUGGUUCUUCAUGAACUUCCUUCACUGUAGAGUCUCUAUCUGGUCUGGGCUUGAAUGUGAAGUGUUCUUCUUGACCAUUUAUGUUGAACUUGAUUUCUCCUUUUCCGACAUCAAUGUGGGCAUUGGCAGUGCUCAGAAAUGGCCUUCCAAGGAUGAUGGACACUUUUGAGUCAGGACUCAUGUCCAGUACUAUGAAAUCUACUGGCACAAGGAAAUCUCUGAUCUUGACUGGAAUGUUCUCGGCGAUGCCCAGCGGGUGUCGAACCGAUUGAUCCGCUAGUUGUAGGCACAUUGAUGUUGGUUCUAAGGAUGCAUGCUCAAGCUUUUUGUAGACUGAUGCUGGCAUCACACUGACACUUGCUCCAAGAUCACAAAGUGCAUUGUUAAAUUGUUGGUUUCCGAUCGAGCAAUCAAUAGUGGGACAUCCGGGGUCUUCCUUCUUCUUUGGUGGCUUAUUGAGGAUGGCCGCACUACAUUCUUCUGUCAGCUUGAUAACCUCAGUGGUGGGCAGUGGUCUCUUCUUGUUAAGAAUAUCUCUGAUGUACUUUGCAUAUGUAGGUACCUGUAUGGCAUCGAGCAGAGGUAUGUUGACAUAUAAUUUCUGAAUGACCUCUACAAACUUACCAAACUGCUCAUCCGACUGCAGUCCUCUGUUUCUUCUAGGAAAUGGCAAAUAGUUGGUGUCGUAAAAAUCUUUCCUCAUUUCUCCAGUUCUUGGUGGUUGUGGCAGAUCUUCUGCUCCAACUGGGCUUUCUUCUUCUAUCACUGCUGGUUGCACUGGUGCUGAUGUUCUUUGUUUCUCUUUUGGGUAUGGUGGAUCUCUGGUAGCUUUACCUCCUCUAGUAGUUAUAUUCUUUACCUGCUCAAUGUUAGUAGCAACAGGCAAUGCAGCAGCUAAUUUUAUUAAUUUAAGCUCUACCCUUUUAUUAAGAGUGUUUUGCUCAUCAAAGGCAGUUAGUAGAGAAUCCAUUUUAUUGUGUAUAUCUUUUAGAGAUGAUUCAUUUGUAUCUAGCCUUUGUUUAACUUCAUCAUUAAUUUUAGUUUGUUUAGCAAUUAUCUCUUUUAAUGAAAGUUGCUUGAAAGUAUUACCUGAAUUCAUACCUUUGCUGUUGGCUUGACUCGAAGUUGGAUGAUAUUUGUAUGCUGUCUCAAUGGCCCUUUGAUCUUCUUUGAACUUGGCCCUCUGGUCAAUCCAAUGGAGCAAAUUUUCCAUCUUAGUUGAUAAUGCUUUUACUUCUUCUGGUAUUUCUUCAGUUUGAUGACAUUGUUGAGCUUUAUCUUGGAACCAGCUUUGAUUUUCUGCUAUCUUAUCCAAAAGUAUCUCUGCUUUUCCAGUUGUAAGCUCCAAGAAUGAUCCUUUAGCUGAUGCAUCUAGGCACUCACGAGUCUUCUGGGUUAAUCCAUGGUAGAAGGUAUGCAUAAGUAACCAUGUGGCCAUUCCAUGGUGAGGACAAUCUGAUAUGAAUCCUUGAAAACGCUCCCAUGCUUCUGAAAUGGCUUCUGUCUUCUACUGUUGGAAACUGACAAUAUUUCCUCUUAAGGCAGUUGUUUUGCCUAUAGGGAAAAACUUUGAUAGAAAGGCAACUGACAAGUUCGUCCAGUUGUUGAUGUUAUCUUGAUGAGUGUAGAACCACUUCCUCGCUUUUCCUUCUAGUGAGAAUGGAAAAAGACGAAGUAGUAUGACGUCUUUGUCAACUCCAUUGAUGUGGAUUGUGCUUCCAAUCUCUAAGAAAUUCUGCAAGUGUGCACUGGCAUCUUCAUCUGCCUUUCCACUGAAUUGUGUAGCUUGUACCAAAUUGAUGAGGCUUGACUUGAGCUCAAACUCAGGUAUUCCUUCUUCUACUGCAAAUCUUGGACCGGUUGGAAUGUUGUCAAGACUUGGAGCAGAGAAUUCUUGCAAGGUCUUUUGUGCCAUAGCUUUAGCAAUUGGUAGCUAGCUUCUUGUUCUCUUGAUUGCUUUGGUUCUGAAGAUGGAGAGUUGAAUGCACCCAAAGUCAAUGCUGUUAUACCCUGUAAAACAUGUAAACAUAGAAAAACAACAGGGUGAACCUGCCAAAGCAGCGGUGCCUUGUUAUGAUUUCUCACUUAGUAGCUGUUUUUAUGCAAUUAUUUCUCUAUAGUCUAGUCUAAUAUUUUAUAUGAAUAACCUUGAUUGAUUUUCUGGCCUUCCUAAGUAUUACCCUUUUGUUCCCCUUUUAUGACUUAUUCCUGAGACUCAUAUAGAUUCCUAUAAGAUCCUAUAAUUCCAAUAAUUCUCCGGCAACGGCGCCAGAAAUGCUUGUUGACACUAGCUAACACCACUUAGAUACUAGGUUGUCAUCCCUAGCAUGGCGCCAGAGUAUACAAAGGUAUUUAUAAAUGUAAAGGCUCUCUAGAAAAUAAUCUAUUCUAUCCGCAAGCGCACAGAUAAAACACCUCAUUGUAGCAUUUCACCAGGAUAAGUUUUCCAGGUAUCGUUAUUUAUAAUUUUGCUCAAGAGAACUAAGGAAGAUGGAAUUAAAUCAAGGGGUAAAAUCUAUCAAGGCAUAGACUAGAGAUAAACUUGCAAGAACAUGAUUACUAAUGAGAAACUCGUCACACAGUCACAUACUUUAGCAGGGGGUAAACCAUAAAGAUAAUGAUAAUAAAGUAUAAGUUCAUGGGUAGAUAGCACAGCGAUUAGAAAAUAGACUACUCCUCAUAUAUGUAGGUGAUGUCAGAUUAGCUAGAGAAUGGAUUCUAAGUUAUCUACUAACUACUAAGUCAUAAUCUACUCUAGUUAUCUACAAGAUCAUGUAUAGCAUAAAAGACUCUUCAUUCAUGUAUAAGGAACAUUGAUAAAGUAAAUCAGAACAUCGCAUGACUUACUCCACAAUACCGGUUCUGCCUGUCCUAUCAACGGAGGGUGGACUAUAUAAGAAUCAACGAAGCUGUCACUAUCGCGAACUACCACACGACUCGGCCAAUAGGAUACAUUUGUAGAUAAAUAACAUCUAAGCACCACGCUCACAUGUGAUCUAUCACCUAACUCCCUCGCGUCAAGAGCUAAGCGCUUUGCAAACUUAUACAUAAACUCAUUAUCAAUUAGAACUAUAUCAAAUAUAGAACUAGAGCAAACUAAGAACAUAAUAAUUAAAGACAUAAUGCAAUUAGAACAAUAGAAUUAGAGAAAGAUAUGAAUAAUACCAAUCUUUAUUACCGAAGAUCUGAAUCCAGAGCGUAGUGCUCUACUUCUCUAAUUGCUAUCUAAUCAAACCUCUAAACUUGAAGGAUUAGGGAGUAGCUAAUUCUAAUUCUCUGUGGGAGAGAGAUCUAAACCCUAACUUUGAUGGCUACCUCUGAAUAAUGAUUUCUCCUCCUCUCCUUCAGGGGCCAGGGGGUCUGGUUUUAUAGUCCCCUCAAGUGAACGUGAGCCAUUGGAUCAAACCGACAUAGAUUGUAUGGUUUAGAUUGAUCCUUUAGGUCGGUGGAGCGUUGUCCAGAGAGAGAGUCCUGAUCCAACUCCUGGCCAGGGCGGGCGCCCUGCCCCCGAGCCCGAAUCGCGUCCCGUUCGUUCCCGUGGCUUCUGGAUCCUUCUAGAUUGAGGAAAAUUGCGUGGCACGUAAUUAUCUCGUUGUAAACAUGACAUGUGGGCCUUCUCUCCAUAUUUUCUGAUAAACCCCUGCAGAAAUAGAUAAACACCAAAACUCGUGGAAUUCUGUCAGAUAAAACCCUAUUUCUAGAUGUUUGUUUCAUAUUGAUCCUUUUUCAUGUUUAUUUGAUUAUUAAUUUUAGUACUUAAGGACCGUCAACAAGGGCCGUCAACGAUCGGUCCUUAAUCGACACAGACAGGGGCACUAUGGUCAACCCACCAUAAGACCCUGCCCGGUCUCCAAUUCCAUUCCGCACUUGGUUAUUCCUUUCCCCAAAGCAACCACUGCUCAAACAGGCAGGUAUCCACCUAUAUCUCGCAGGUGACAGGAAAUCACCCGACUUCUACCGGACUAAGCAAGCUAAGCAUAGACUCCGCGCCUAUCUACAUAGGACAAGGUAGAUAAACGAGGGGUGAUAUCAAAGAGUACUAAUGCAUCAACGGUAUCAACCAACUCCUAUCACUUAAGUGCAAUAUAGUAGAACAAGCAUAGUAUAUCCUGUAAGUUAUCGAGAAUAGGGAGACUUAGAAUGCUCCGGGGCUUGCCUUUCUCAAACGUGCUGGGUCGGUGAUCUGGACACUUCUGUAGUUCCUCUCCGGACUCCUGUGCUUCCGGAGGUUCCUACUCUUGAAUCUCCUCUAGCUCUUCGGGUCCCACCUCGUUCUCCUGCAUGCCUGUAUGAUGCAUGUGUGCUCAUGAGUGGAGUGCGAGAUGCCCGAGUGGAUGCUUGUAUGAGAAGGUACCAAAGGAUCAUGACAUGAUGCAUAGGCGAUUUAACUGGUCAUGCUCUCUACAAGGUAGUCAACAUCAUCCAAGAGUAGGUAAUUGAAUUAAACAUCUAUUGCAUUCUCUUCUACAAUUAUUUUUCAAGUGUAACCAGCAACCCACAAGUUGCUUCAAAGAUACACCAAACCCAUUCUUAUUCUAUUCAACCUAUAUACAACAAUCAUAAAUUAUUUAUUCAUUUCUAGGCCCAUCAAAAUUUGCAUGCAGUUCUGUUCAUCAAUAAAUCCCACAAAAAUUACAGAAGACUACCAGUCAAGCAUAAAGUCUACUGUAAAUUUUUUUUUCAUAAUUUUUGAAUACUUAUUUUGAGCUACAAAAAUCACAAGAUUAAUUAAUAAGGACAAGUACAAUGACUCUACUAUGGUAUAAGUGUCAAACAGCAGAUUUCAUAUUUUUACAAUUUGUCUAAUAUCCUAAGAAACAUCCACAAAAAUUUACAGACUGAUUGCAUGAUCCAACUAAUUAGUAAAAUUCAUAAACCACUGCCAUGCAAGCAUUUAAAUUACCAUAAAUUCAUUUAUACACCAAAUAAUGUAUAGCAAUAUUUUCCCAGUGAGUUAACAUACAUGUAGAGCCAACAAAUCAAGUUUCACAUUUUUCCGAACCAUAUUUUAAUUACUAUGCAUUUUCCAAGUUUAGCAAAAACAUAGAUUAAAUAUAUUCAUACAGAAAAGUUACUCAAAUAUGACAUGCAAUUACAUCAAGCUGUAGAUCUGAAAAUAUAGAGCACACCAAAAUUUAUUUCAUCAAAUUUGGAGCUGUAGAACUCAAGAUAUGAAUUUUACAAGUUUUGAAUCAAUUUUUGGAAAACAUUUAUUUAAGAAAACCGACGCAAAAGGCUAAACACACCCGGAUCCACACCCAACACAGUCCCCCUGUGACUGACAGUGGGCCUCUGACCCCACUGGUCAGCGAGACCGAGAGGGAGUGCACCUCCGACGAGCAGAUCUCGCCGGUGGUGAGGUCCCCGGCCACGGGGUGAGCACCAUAGUGCUCCCCGCAGCGAGGCGCACCCAGCGGUACCCUCGGAUUGACCGGAGGAUGGCCGGAGCACCUCCGACGAGCAUGCAUGGCGGCACGGCGGCGCUGCUCGCCGUGGCCAGGCCGCUCCGGCGCAGUAGAGCGUGCGCAAACGACUCUCCGAGCUUCCUCACCACCCUACUGACCUAGCGCAACCAAGAACCAGCGAAAAGAGGUAGGAAACGGCAAGAUCCGUCGCGGCGGAGCACUCCAGCGAGCUCGGGGUAACUCCGGCGACCGAUUCACGGCGCUCAACGGGAUCUCACCUCGGUAGAACGUUCGCAUGAGCUUACCGCUACUACGGCGAGCGCUCUGGUGGUUUCGGCGUCGAGGUUGGGGCACUGGAGUGGCCGGCGGUGAGCAGCGGAGCUGCUCCGGCGAUGGCGCUGCGGCGGAGUUGCUGCGGCCGUGCUGCGCGAGCGGAGGGAGGAGGGAGAGGGGCGCGGGUCACAGGAUGGAUGGAAUGGCCUGGGAGCCCGAGCCGGCGUCCCGACCAGGGGGGUGUAGGUGGCCGGCCGUGGCGCGCUCCUCGCCGGCGUACGGCCGCCACGUGGCCGACGCUGGCUGGGACAGGGCGGGCGCCGCGCGCGCGGGAGAGAGGGGGAGGGGGCAGCAGGCCGGGCCGCUCGCUGGGCCGAGAGGGGGGCGGGGUUGGCCCAGCAGCGCGUGCCCCCUUUUCCAUUUUUUUUAAUUUCUUUUCUCAAAUUCUUUUCUAAAUUCAUUUGGACCAAUUUAAAAUCAUUUUCACCUCUUGCUCCCAAAAGCAACAUUGUUCCAAAACAAAGACCCUACAACUUUGCUUUAAUAAGCAAGACCAACUUCCCAAUAGAAUUUGAAUUACAAAUUAAAACUAGUUCAAGGUUUUUCAAUAAAUUCAUUUUGGGAAUUUUGUAUAAAUUCCAUUUCUCAAAUUCUAUAGCUCCAAUAAUUGCACAAAAAUAUUCUUAAUUCUUCUUACCCAUAAAUCAACCUAUUUUGAAUAUUUCAUAAUUUUAGAAGCAAGCAUCAUAUUUUUAGCAUAUUUAAAGCACAUGUAAUAAAGCACAUAAAAUCAUAUUUUGGGAUGAAUGACAUGCUCAUGAUGCUAUGCUUGAUGAGAAUGCUCAUGUAUUGCUUUGAUAAGUGCCAAGUGCAUGCUUAACACAUAGGGUGUUACAGGUACAUGUAUAGGCGUCAGAGUAGUGGUCGAUAGAGGUAUGGCGCGCUGACCUACUCGAGGCCUCCGUACCGGCGUGGUCUCGAGCCAUCUUGUCCUGGUAGCUUGAUGAUGAUUACGCGUGCCCCCUAUCCUGCUCUGUGCGCCGUCCUAGGCCGGUUUAUCUGUUGCACGCUUGUACGUCGUGGCAGCAUCUUGGGCGUCUCGAGGGGGUCUUGAUUAGACGUUCCGACCCACUUCCUGCGUCCUGCCAUGCUCUGGCUCGUUUGGUGGGGAAGGUUGCAAAAAGAAUGACGGGACGGGUGCUUGUUCCUAUCACGCUUCCCAUGACUGGCGGGUUAGGUUAGAACGCGGUAGGCGCAUUAAAUGCCCCGGUUCCCGUGCCCGUGUCAGGCGGCGGGCGGCGUCCUUGCACUCGACGCCUUCCGAUUCGCUCGAGCCUGUUUCCAUAUUCGAUGGUAGCCUGCGCUCGAGCUCUGGUGGAUUCACAGGACGCCCUUUCCGUCUUCGAGGCUGCGGUCGUCGAGGACCGUGCGUACAACUGUGUAGGGCGUCGAGUUGGAGACCUCGACUUGCGUACAGAUAUUCUCGUCAUUGAUAUCAGUUGGGGUUCCCCUUACUGAUAUCCUCGACAAAGACACAGCCCAGCUAGUCGAUGAUUCUGACCCAGCCAAGGCAGUAUUUAAGACUCUCUGUGGCCAGAUUUUAGCCGAUGUUGAAGAGAUCCUUUUUUAAGCUGCUCACCUAGAAAAUCGUCAGCUUCAGUAUGAGAAAGCCACUCAGCGCCUUGCCGAUAGAGCUACUUAUGCCCAGCUUAAAGAGGAGAUGCUGCAAGUGAAGCAUGCUGUCGAUGAGAAGCAUAAGAGCAUUGACAUUCUGCAAUCCUCACGCGCCGAACUGAAACAGAGAAUUUCUGAUAUAUCGGCGAAAAGGGAGGCUUUGCUGGCUGAACUCAAGCAGGUGGAGGAAGCUCUGACUCAAGCCCGACAGGAGGAAAGCCAACUGCCCAAUGUGCUCAAGACUCUUUAGCAAGAAAGAGAUGUCCAAGCCCACAAAGUGUUGCACAUGAAGAAGAAGCUGAAGCUGGUGGAAGGUUUUGCCGAUGAAGACACCUGAGAGGUAGAGGAGGCCAACCAGAUCCGGUUGCAUGCAAUAUCGGCCAUGCAAACCUUGCUGAACCUCUUAAAUUUUCAUCGGCAGCUUGUUUAAUUUCUUUCUCAAAAACUUUGAUCAUUUGGUCUAGCCGAUAGGACUGUUAUCGGCACUUAAACUCUUUAUACAUGGCCCUAGAUACAAUUGAUAUUUGGUCCAGCCGAUAGGAUUGUUAUCGGCACUUAAACUUUUACACAUCAAUCUAGAUACUAGGGUAGUAUCUCUUUAAAUAUAUUCCAUUUAAUGCUCUAGGGAAUUCAACUCCUUUGAGAGUUUCUAAAAUAUAAGCAUUGCAAGGGGCAGAUCGAUUUAUCCGAUAAGGACCCUCCCAAUUAGGAGACUAUUUUCCAAAUUUUGAGCUUUUAGUCCCAAUCGGUAGAAUCAGCUUCCACACCAAAUCUCCACCGGCAAACUGUGGACGGUCCUAAAGUACUAAAAUUAACCAUCAAUAAAACAUGGAAAAGGAUCAAGAUGCACCAAACAUCUAGAAUUAGGGUUUUAUCUGACACAAUUCCACGUGCUUUGGUGUUUAUCUAUUUCUGCAGGGGGUUGUUGACGGUCCUUAAGUACCAAAUAUAAUCAUCAAAUAAACAAAGAAAAGGAUCCAAAUGAAAUCAACUUCCAGACUUAGGGUUUUAUCUGACAUAAUUUCACGAGUUUUGGUGUUUGUCUAUUUCUACAGGGGGUUAUCAGGAAAUACGGAAGAAAGGCCCACACGUCGGGUUUACAUAGAGAUAUUAACGUGCCGCGCAAUUUUCUGUCAUCUAGAAGACUCCAGAAGCCACGGGAACGAACGGGAAGGCGAACGGGCCUGGGGGCAGGGCGCCCGCCCUCCCCCCUUGGGCGCCCGUCGUGUCCUAGAGUCCAAUCAGGACUCUCUUCGGGGAUUACGCUCCACCGACCUAAAGGAUCAAGGAUAACCGUUCAAUCAAUGUCGGUUUGAUCCAACGGCCCAUAUUCACUUGAAACGACUAUAUAACCAGACCCCCUGGCCCCUGGAGGAGAACAAGUUCAUCAUAGAGUUGAGAGGAGCCAUCGAAGGAAUACCUCUCCUCUAAAUAAAAUUUCUUUUAGGCUUAGCAUCCAAUGUGAGUAGAAUUAGAUCUUCUAGUUUCUACUAAAUUGAGAGAGAUAGAGUGGAGGUGUGUCGAUGUCUACUCCGAGGUUGUACCUGUGUGAUCAAGUUCUCGUAACCCGAAGGUUGCUCCUAGGAUUCUUCAGUAAUUCGACUUCUAAUUCUAGUAAGUUCUUGUUUUUUUGUUCUUUGGUUUAUGAGUUUACUUUAAUCUCUUCCGAUUGAGUUUAGAGUAAUCAUUGCUAGUGUAAACGUGAUGUUUGGGCUAGGGUACUCAUAGAUAUCCCCUGACUAGCUGGACCGGGGUACUAGCGAGGAACGUGACAUUUCCGAGUUACCUUUGUAGACCAUGUCUCAUUAGCAGGAAGGAUAGGGUUUAUAGGUGCGGGUUGAACAUCCUUUGUGGUGUCUAGAUUCCGUAAGCUUCCCCAAUAGAACAGUAGAUCAUCCUUACCAAGGUUAGAACGAGACUACGGUUGCAGUCUUCUCUAUACAUCGCUCACAUCGAGAAACAUUCUUUGUAGCCUAAAGGGUAGUAGCAAUAGACUUAGUUAGUCAGAUGCACACUUCCUCCUAGUGGUAAAAAUAUAAAUACGAUACUCUGGAUAACCUCCCGGGUGAAGUGCUCACCGAUAUCCGUGCGCUUGCGGAUCAUUUCCUGAUGGCGUUACCAAAUAUCAACAAGCAUUUCUGGCGCCGUUGCUGGGGAGAAAGACGGUUUGCUGAGAUAACUUUUAGUCUUGCUAUUAUCUUGUAUUAUACUUUUAUUCUUUUAUCUUUUUUUCCAUCUUUAUGGAUAACUCAAAUUCCAUACCUAUUAUUGAAUUUUUUGCACCUUCGGAGACUAGCCAUAGACCAUGGGAGUCAACAAGUCCUGCCCCUAAUUAUGAUCUGUGUCCGGAGUUAAUUGCAAUAGGUCAAAACCAACCCUUUUCUAUAGCUGAGGUCCUAUCUUUUAAUCAAGAAGAUAAUGAACUUUUAGCUACACCUAGGGAUUGUUUUAAUCUUUCUAUAAAUUUUGGUUUAAACCUAGCCCUACAAGACCAUGUUUUUCCUCGAUAUUUUCACAUUGGACUUAAUCAUAUACCCUUUGGUAGAGUCUUUCUUUCUUUAUCUAUUAGUAAAGGAAGGUAUGUCUUCAUUUGUGGAUAUCCUUCUUGCACUAGUCUUCAUAAAAAUUUCGAGAGAUAGAGAAGGAAUCAUCUCCCAGACGAGGAAAGGAAGUUUCAAUUGCCAAUUUCCAAACAUUUCAAUCCCAUGAUUCGGCUAUCCAACCCAUCCUUGAGCUUAAUAAUUUCUCCUAUGCUCUUUCUCUUGAACCUCCCGAUGAUCCUAUGAAUCUCUCUAGACAUCCCAUGCAUAAGAGUCACCAAGACCACAAGGAGGAUCGAGAAGAGCAACAUCAAUGGCUUGAGGGCAUCAAAAAUCCAUGUGCUAUCACUAUUGAAUGGAUAGAUAAAACAAACCCGAGAGACAAUCCUAAAGGAAUUUUAAGCAUUCAUGAAGAAUCAUCCUUGGAGUUUGAGAAUGAGAGAAACAAUAGUGAGCAUGGAAGUUAUUUCAUAAAUACCUCACCAAGUCCUUGCUCAUAUAAAACAUCUCCCCAAACAAUUGGUCUCUCUAACCUUACCACAUUUGAGAUCUCCAACCCCCUCUUCCUUUCUAUUUAUAAAAACUCUAAAUGGGUGGUUAUCGAUGCAUAUGUCUAUAAUAAAUAUUACAGAUAUUGAUCUUGAUAUAGGCAUGCUUAGGUUGGUGUUGGAGGGGAAACCACUUCACCAACAUAAUUUGAUGGUUUCCCAAGAACAAGCUUAGUGUCCUAAAACAAGCACUUAUUAGAUCGUAACAUGAACUUCUAAUUAUGUACAACAUUGCCUUGUGUAUGGAGCAUAUAAAGAUAAUUGUAGAAAUAUUCCUUCGGGUAUUCUUGUCACUAACGUUUCCAGGAUUGGAGCAAGAAGAUCGGAUGAAUGACAAGCACAAGGUAUGUCCAACCAACCAUCAUACAACAUUGAAUUAAAUUCAUCCAAACUUGAAUUUUGCAAAAUUCAAGCUUGGGGGAGUACUUUACAUAAAAACAUCCUUUGCCAUGUUGCUAUGUUGGUUGUCCCUACCUUUGAGGCAUGCCCAAUUUGUUAAAUACUAAUCACACUACUUCAUCUCCACAUGAGUAGAUCUCUAUAAAUGCUUUCAUGCUACCUUUAUUUGCUUUAGUAUAUGUCUAGGUUUGGAGUAGUUUCAUUUAUCUCUUAAUUAAGCGUGGUGCUUAGUUUAGGAAUAAUGAUCUUACUUCCAAAGGAUUUUUAAAUUAAGCAUGGUGCUUAGGUUAAAAUGACCUCCUAAAUCAAAUUAGACAUGGUGUCUAGGUUGAUUUUUGAGCCGAUAGUAUGCUAUAGUAGAUAUGGGAUAUUUUGUUGGACUAACCCCUGCAGGAAAACUUUCAAUAUCAACCUGGGAAGUCAUGAGAUACAAACUCAUUGGAGACAAAGGGGACACAUGAAGUUUAAUGAUUUGCACAAGGAAGACAUAGCUCAUUCAUCAUAGAGAGAUGAUCCAUGGAACAAGACAAAGAGUGCCACAAACACGAUGCACAACCGCUAAGAAAGGAAAGCUUCCAUAAGGUGAUACUAUACCAUCACUUUUCAAUUGAGGUAACAUCUUAAGGUACUUGACUAUCGCUUUUAUAAGUUUCUCCUUGGUUCUGGCGUUCACAUAAAAUAAAGAGACAAACAUGUAUGAUUUGUAACUCCAAAUUAACCAACCCAAUUAAUUCAACAUGUUUAGUCCUUUAAUCUUUGUUCUUAGUAGUACCUUCAUGAUCCCACACUCUUAAUCAUAUAAGCUAAUAUGUUGCACAUUCAAUAUUUGGAAGAUAUAAACAAAACAUAAAUAUAGAUAGAUUAUCUUUCCAUUAGGUUGAGCCAUCUGAUCUGACAAAUGCUACACUCAUGAUCCAUCAACUUUGUCUUGCUCACUAUGCUUAAGGUUAGAGAAGAACAAAUACACUUUUGGUUCUGUUGGUGUUUUCCACCAACAGGGCCCAUGCACUUGAUCUCUGCCUUGUCUCUAUGAACAGGUACUCUUCAAACAAAACAUGGAGGAGUUUUACAACUCUCAAACUCCACCAAGUGAAGGACCUGAAUCUACGAGCACAAACACAAUGAGCAGGAUAUUGCCAACACCGCACUUCAAACUGCUGGGCAAACGAAGAACAUGGGUGACACCGUAUCAAGAGGUGCAGAUGUCAAGGUCCACACCUAAUCAAAUGAUGCACCUAAAGGAUGAAGAUGGUGAGAAGUCUUGUCUAGAAGACUUAGAACAUUGGAUCCUUGUCGGAGGAGGUCAAGAUCGUCGACUCAAGUCACCUUUUCUAAUCAAGAAGGAUGACCCUGGUGUUCCAAGCAUCGAGUGUACAAUCAAUGGAUACUUUUUUCAGAAGACACUCUACGACACCGGAUCUGAUGACAACGUAAUGGCCGCAGUCACUUAUCAGCUCCUGCAUGGAACCAUGCCCCUACAACCAACAUACAUUCAGCUCCAGAUGAUUUUCAGGUCAUUGACUUGGGAGAAGACGAGUACGAUCCACCCACCAUCCUUGGAAGACCGUUCCUCAACACUAUCAAAGCCAUCAUCUAUAUUGGAACCGAAGAAGUCCACAUGCACUUCGCCUCCGAAGAAGGCGACGCAACAGAAACCAGAGGAGGCAAAUCACCAGGGACGGAUGGGUAGACUACGAAGGAGAAGUGGUAAGGUCUGAAGACAUACAGCUUGAACAGCACCAUCCUGAGAAGACCAUAGCACCGAGUCAGAUGUGGAAAGGGAAGAUAGUUAUAGCUGCCGGAACCACCGACCACGCCAUCCAGUGAAUCCCAGGACGAAUGAGAAAACAGAGAGUCCCAUUCGGAGGACUUAAAAACACCAAACGCCUUGCCAAGAGGUAAACUUGGUAGUUAUCCUUUUCCUUUCAAUAGUCUGCUUAGUUAAUCAGGCAAAUGCUAUCUUGAAAAGAAAAUAAAAAUGUUAAAAAAGUAAGCCCCAUGUGAGUAGACUUAUGGUUUAAACUGUGGUGGCAUAAAAUAAAUAUGUUUUCAUCUUGCAAUAAAAAUAUAAAUAAUAAGUGCAUGCUCCUGCUAAAUAUAAUUUAUUAGGAGGAAGCUCAAUAUGAUAAAGGCAAAGAGAUUUUAUGCUAACACUUAACCAGUUCCACAAAGCUUUGUUGUCUAUUUGAGCUCCACAGAAUUCAAGGAUCAAAGAAGACUAGCACACGGAAUACAUCCUAAUCGCUCUCAGGGUGCUGCCCAGAUUCAAAUACACCUCCGCCACCUGCUAGCUACAUCAGAAGAAAUUAUGUCAAAAUCCAGCUUGGGGGAGAGCACCCUCAUUUAUCCAGCUAAGUGUUUCUACUCGCGUUUAUACUUUACUCAAAUAAUAAAAAGAUGCAUAAUCAUGAAAAUCCAAAUAGAAAUUUUGUGCUUAUAUAUAUCUUUGCUUAGUAAAUAAAUAAAGUGUCUAGUCCAAACUGAACUUAAAUGAUAAACUCUUACAUGGAUAUGAUAAAUAGUUGCUCUGCCAUAUACCUAGUUUUCAAGUUUGAGCUCUCUCUCAAGUUUAGGCAUAACUGUUAUAAUUUAAAACCUGCUCUAAACCUGAACUUGUGGGAAGAGUACUUGAUCUGAAGUCUAAAUUAUUAACGGAUAUGAUAUGGGAAGGUUGAGCUGCUGUUUAUGUGUUCCUGGAGAUGCUAGAAUUCUGGAGAAUUUUAUCUUUGAAAAUCUUUAAAAUAACACAUGAUGAGUUCCUGUAUGAUGAGAGUUUAAAUUUCUACCAUAGCCAUAUAUACAUGCUUAUUACACUAUGAACCAUACAAAUACUUUCUACUGCUUAUGAGCAUUGAGUGUGGUCAAGCUGUGUAGACACUUAGGAGCUUGUCAUGCGGUUAAAAUCAAGAUUCACUUGCACGUUCACUCACACAUGCUCCUUCUACUCCAGAAGUACGCAUCCACAUAUAUCCACUCACUUCCAUCUCCAGAGCCACCCAAAAUUACUGUACUCCUAAUCCGGGAGAGAAUAGCCAAAAAGAUUAUCCUAUCCCUAUUAUUCCCUAUGAAAUAAAUGCUCAAGUUAUCUUGGUUACUACCACUUGCUAUAUUAUUCUAGGAGAUGAGUGCUCUAAAAAAAGAGAGAAAGAAUACGAGAAAAUAAAAAGGGGCAAGUGCCCGGAACCUCAAAGAAAAGAAAAAGUGAGACGAGAGGUAAAAAUGGACAAGUGUCCGACAGUAGAAUUAGGGGUACAAGAUACCCACCUGAGAGAAAAGAAAAAGAAAAAUAUAGAGCAUCUCAUUCUCCACAAAAAGCUUCAAAGUGCAAUAGAGGUAUGUAUCAGCUAAAAAGAGCAAAAGUAGAAUUAGACUUUCACCAUUGUUAUCACCAUCAUCACCAUACACCAUUCAUUCCCCACACAUGCACAUCUUGAUUUGACUUAUUGACUUGUUUCUCUAGAUCCAUGGUUUGACUAUGCAAUAAAUGUCUUGUAAGUAUAUAUUAUCUGUCUCCCAACUAUGAGCUCUAGAUAUCAAAACCUUAUUAGAGUAGGGUGAGAGAGAAGGCAAUAUCACUAUGUCUCAUACCACAAAUACUACAUGCUUUGAGAGAAGGCAUAUAUCAUCACUGCCUUGGUGAGGAUCCAGAAAUACCACAAAAGAGAGAUUUGAGAGAGUCAUACAAGGAAUCUCUGAGUUUUAUUUGAAAAUAUGCAAAAACUCCAGAGCUAUAGCUGAUCAAGAAUAAGAGACAUGGCGCUUGACUUGACCGUUCUAUCUUUUAAUUGCUCAAGACACAAGUGACGGUUACAAGCCCCGUGGUCAAAGGUAAAAUGAGUAAGUUUUAAGUCUUAACAGUUUACUCUAACUCAGAGAUGAGAUCUUACUUUUAAGGCAUGAAACCACUACAAAAACUAUUGAGUACAUCCUUGCUCAGGGACGAGCAAGAGGUAAGGUUGGGGGAGUUGUUGACGGUCCUUAAGUACCAAAUAUAAUGAUCAAAUAAACAAAGAAAAGGAUCCAAAUGAAAUCAACAUCCAGACUUAGGGUUUUAUCUGACAGGAUUCCACGAGUUUUGGUGUUUGUCUAUUUCUGCAGGGGGUUAUUAGGAAAUACGGAAGCAAGGUCCACACGUCUGGUUUACAUAGAGAUAUUAACGUGCCGCGUAAUUUUCUGUCAUCUAGAAGACUCCAGAAGGCGAACGGGCCCGGGGGCAGGUCGCCCGCCCUCCCCCCUUGGGCACCCGCCCUGUCCCAGAGUCCAAUCAGGACUCUCUUCGGGGAUUACGCUCCACCGACCUAAAGGAUCAAGGAUAAUCGUUCAAUCAAUGUCGGUUUGAUCCAACGGCCCAUAUUCACUUGAAAGGACUAUAUAACCAGACCCCCUGGCACCUGGUGGAGAACAAGUUCAUCAUAGAUUUGAGAGGUGUAACAGAACCGUCCAAAUUAUAAGAGAUUAAGCCUAAUACCGACCAUUUGCAUAGUCAAACCAUCGAGCUUAAGCCCAUAUAAUCCCGGUAGUUCAUGAAAUCUCGAAGGAUUUCAAACCACUUAUCGUACAUACAACCAAGAUCGUAAUAAGUUCAGCGGUCACCAUCCACAAUUACAUCCAGUUCGAAAACAUCCAUCAAACACAUCGGAGUGCUUAAAGUUAUUACAAACCAAGUUCACAAGUAGCGGAAGCUUCAUAGUUGAAAAUACACACACACGUACUUAGUCUGAUACAGUGCCAUAGUUUUGGUCAUUCCCAGAAAAGCAAAAGAGAAGACAGAGUGACCAUCGCCCUUGGUCUAGUCAUCACCCAUAGCUGGGUACAGGCAGAGGAUGCAAUAAUCGUAGUACAUUUGACCAUCUGCGAAACAACAUGGGAGUAGAACCCUGAGUACGAGAAUGUACUCAGCUAGACUUACCUGUCAUAAACCAGAAAAUAAAGACUCAUCAAGGAAUCAUGAAGGCUAUAUAGUGGGGGUAGCUAAUGACUUUUUGCAUAAAAGCACUCUUCUAUUAACCAUAUUCUAUAGAGGUUCUUCUUCUUUUAAUUAGCUCAAGUUGAAGUAUUAUAACCUAUUAUCUAGGUUUGCACCUACACUAUUACAAGCAAGUAUAGUAAUGUGAUGGUACCUUAUCAUAGCAUUCAUGAAACCAUUUAUCAUUUUAACCCAAGUGUUUCAUAGUCCUUACUACGAGGACAGGGCUCAUGUCAAGUGCUCACUAUCCAGGAGCGAUGGCGAUUCGAAUCGAUUUCUAACCCGCUGGCGAGGUAUUCCCCACACAAACCACACUCACUGAUCAAGUGAGCUACAGAUCACCGUGUUGUACUAUCCAGGACCAAAUCGCGGGUUCGACAGGCACCGCCCGUACCCGAGGACCGUUCCGGCGACCGAGGUAUCCAAGGUAUACCAGGGUUGCGUGCAAAGCCCUCGUCGUUCUCCUCAACCAUCACCAAUACAUCGCAUACAUCGGGCCCAUUCCCGGCCCGGAUAGUGCUCAGGCUUCGCGGUCAGAACGACUUAUCCUUCUAGCUAAGUGUGGGGCAUGCAUUCAACAUGACAAGAGGGCCGUCAACGAUCGGUCCUUAAUCGACACAGGCAGGGGCACUACAGUCAACCCACCAUAAGACCCUGCCCGGUCUCAAAUUUCCACUCCACACUUGGUUAUUCUUCCCCAAAGCCAUCACCGCUUAAUCAAGCAGGUAUCCACCUAUAUCUCGCAGGUGACAGGAAAUCACCCGACUUCUACCGGGCUAAGCCAGCUAAGCAUAGACUCCGUGCCUAUCUACAUAGGACAAAGUAGAUAAACGGAUAGUGAUAUCAAGGAGUACAUGUGCAUCAACGGUAUCAAACAAUUCCUAUCACUUAAAGGCAACAUAGUAAAACAAGCAUAAUAUAUUAAUUGAGUUAGCGAGAAUAGGGAGACUUAGAAUGCUCCGGGGCUUGCCUUUCUCGAACGUGCUCGGCUUAUGAUCCGGGCACUCCUGCAACUCCUCUCCGGGUUCUGACACUCCCAGAGGUUCCUGCUCCUGUGCUUCCUCCUGCUCCUCGGGUCCCACCUUGUUCUCCUUUGAGCCUGUAUGAUGCAUGUGUGUUCAUGAGUGGAGUGCGAGAUGCACGGGAUGCAAUGCUCAUGCGAGAGAAUACCAAAUGACUAUGACAUGGUGCAGAGAUGGUUUAGUUGGUCAUCUACAAGGUAGUCAACAUCAUCCAAGAGCAUGUAAACACACUAAGCAUCUAAUUCUUUCUUUUCUACAAAUUAUCUCCAAGUGUAACAAGCAAACUCACAAAAUGCUUCAAAGAUACACCAAAUCCCUUUUAUGCUUGUUACACCAUAUAUAACAAUUCAUAAUUUCUUUAUUCAUUUUUAGGCCCAUCAAAAAUAGCAUGCAUUUCUGUUUAUCAAUAAAUUCCACAAAAAUUACAGGAGACUACUAGUCAAACAUAAAGUCUACCAUAAAUUUCUCAUAAUUUUUGGACACAUAUUUUGAGCUACAAAAAUCACAAAAUUAAUUCAUAAAGGUAAGUACAAUUACUCUACUAUGGUAUAAGUGUCAAACAGCAGAUUUCAUAUUUUUAUAAUUUGCUUAAUAUCAUAAGAAACACCCACAAAAAUUUCCAGAUUAAUUGCAUGAUCCAAAUAUUUAUUAAAAAUCAUAAACCACUGCUAUACAAGCAUUUAAAUCACCAUAAGUUCAUACAUACAGCAAAUAAUGUGUAACAUCUUUUUCCUAGAGCCUAAACAUCCAUGCAGAGCCCAUAAAACAAGUUUCAUAUUUUUCUAAGCUAUAUUUUAAUUAUUAUGCAUUUUCCAAUUCCAGAAAAAACAUGGAUUAAAUAUAUUUGUACAGAAAAGUUGUUAAAACACAACAUGGAACCCUACCAAACUGCAGAUCUGAGAUUCUAGAACACAUCAAAAUUUAUUUCACUAAUUUUGGAGCUAUAAAUCUCAAGAUAUGGAUUUUAGAACAUUUAAACCAUUUUCUGGAAAUCAUUUUUCUGAAAAUCAAUUCAAAUCCACCCCGGGACCAGCUAGGUGCACCCGGUGCAGUGUACCCGUGGUCGCUGACGAGAGGACCCGCUGGCCAGAGCGCAGAGAGGGGAGAGCUCUCACCGUCGGCGACCUUUCUCGGCGAAUCAAGCUGGCCUACACGCUCUACGGCUCAAGGCGAACCUAGCGCACCCUUUUGCGCGGCCUAAAACGGACUGGAGCAGGCUCGCCACCGGCCACGGCGGAGCGGCGGCGCUGCUCACCGACGUCCCGAGACGCUGGCCCGGUAGAGCGUGGUUGGAGCGCCUCGCGAGCAUCGCAGUGCCAAGGCGAACACGAUGCGCUAACCAAGCGGCACCGAAAGGCACGGAGGCAUGCAGACCACGUGCGCGGCGGCGGCGCUCUCGCCGGAGAAGAAACGAGGGCGAGCGGGGCUCACCGUGCCUCACCGAACGCUCGGACGGGUGUUCUGCAACGGCGGAGCGUGGGCGAAGCUCGGGGGAGAACGAAUCGAAGAAUGGCAUACGCGCUGGGGGAGAACGGCCGAGGCGGAGCUCAGGCUCCAAUGGCGACGGCGGCGCUCUGUGCGCGCGGAGCGAGGGCGAGAGAGCGAGAGCUGGCGGGCGCAAAUGGCAGCGAUGGCGGAGGCGGGCGCGGCUGGGCGCUCCUGGUGGCUGACCAGGGCGCGUCCAGGCGAUCGCAUGCUCGCCACGCGGCAACCCAGUUCUGCCGGCUCGCCACGGCGGCGCGGCGCGGCCGUCCGCGCGCGGACACGGCGCGGGCGCGAGCGCGGGGGCGGGGAAGGAGAGAGCGCGGGCGGGCUGGGCCGGCUUCGGCCAGCGGGCCAGAAGUGAGGCCGCGGCCUGCUAGCGCCCCCUUUUCCCUUUUCUAAUUUUUUUUUGAAUUUCUUUUCUCCAAAAAGUUUUAAAUGAACUUUUGAAGCUUUUACAAAACUUUUCAGGGGUUGGAGUAAAAAGAAGAAUUGUUCCCCAUGAAAUUCCCUACAACUUUGUUUUAAUAAGCAAAGCCAAAUUCGAAAUAGAAUUUGAAUCACAGAUUAAAACUAGUUCUAGGUUUUUAAAUAAAUCUAUUUUGGGAAAUUUAGUAAAAAAUCAAUUUCUCAAUUUCCAUAGCUCCAAAUAUUUCACAAAAAUAUUCUUAAAUAUUUUUUCACACAAUUCAACCUAAUUUGAAUAUUUCACAAUUUUAGAAGUAAGCAUCAUAUUUAUAACACAUUUAAAUCACAUAGAAUAAAGCACAUAAAAUCUCAUUUUGGAUGGAUAACAUGCUCAUGUGAUGCUAUGCUUGAUGAGAAUGCUUAUGAAUGUUUUGAUAAGACUAAGUGCAUGCUUAACACCUAGGGCGUUACAAGAGGAGCCCUCGAAGGAAUACCUCUCCUCUAAAUAAAAUUUCUUUUAGGCUUAGCAUCCAAUGUGAGUAGAAUUAGAUCUUCUAGUUUCUACUAGAUUGAGAGAGAUAGAGUGGAGGUGUAGAUCGGAGGAAGCCCGGCCUGUCGGUGUCUACUCCGAGGUUGUACCUGCGGGAUCAAGUUCUCCUAACCCGAAGCUUGCUCCUAGGAUUCUUCAGUAAUUCGACUUCUAAUUCUAGUAAGUUCUUGUUUUAUUGUUCUUUGGUUUAUGAGUUUAAUUUAAUCUCUUCCAGUUGAGUUUAGAGUAAUCAUUGCUAGCGUAAACGUGGUGUUUGGGCUAGGGUACUCAUAGAUAUCCUCUGACUAGCUGGACCUUGGUAGUAGGGAGGAACAUGAUAUUUCCGAGUUACCUUUGUAGACCAUAUCUCGUUAGCAUGAAGGAUAGGGUUUAUAGGUGCGGGUUGAACAACCUUUGUGGUGUCUAGAUUCCGUAAGCUUCCCCAAUAGAAUAGUAGAUCAUCCUUACCAAGGUUAGAACGAGACUACGGUUGCAGUCUUCUCUAUACAUCGCUCACAUCGAGAAACAAUCUUUGUAGCCUAAUGGGUAGUAGCAAUAGACUUAGUUAGUCAGAUGCACGCUUUCUCCCAGUGGUAAAAAUAUAAAUACGAUACUCUCGAUAACCUCCCAGGUGAAGUGCUCACCGAUAUCCAUGCGCUUGCGGAUCAUUUCCUGAUGGGGUUACCAAAUAUCAAUAGGGGUCAUCACAAAAUAUGGAGAGAAGGCCCACAUGUCAUGUUUACAAUUAGAUAAUUACAUGCCACGCAAUUUUCCUUAAUCUAGAAGAGUGCAGAAGCCACGGGAACGAACGGGAGACCGGACGGCCUCGGGGGUAGGGCGCCCGCCCUGGCUUCGGGGCCAAUCAGAACUAAACUCUUGGAACGUGCUCCACCGACCUAAAGGAUCAAGGAAAACCGUGCGAUCAAUGUCGGUUUGAUCCGACGGCCCAAAUUCACUUGAAAGGAUUAUAUAAUCAAGGCCUCUCCACCCUAGGGGAAGAGAGGAGAAAUCAUUAUCAGAGGUAGCCAUCAAAGUUAGGGUUUAGAACAUCUCUUCCACAAAGAAUUAGAAUUAGCUACCCCCUAAUCCUUCAAGUUUAGAGGAUUGAUUAGAUAGGAAUUAGAGAAGUACAGCACUACGCUCUCGAUUCGAUUAUUUCGUAUCUUUCUCUAAUACUUUGUUCUAAUUGCAUUAUGUCUCUAUUUAUUAUGCUCUUAGUUUGCUCUAGUUCUAUAUUUGAUAUAGUUAUGAUUGAUAAUGAGUUUAUGUAUAAGUUUGCAAAGCGCUUAGCUCUUGACACGUGGGAGUUAAGUGGUAGAUCAUAUGUAGGCGUGGUGCUUAGAUAUUAUUUACCUGUAAAUGUAUCCUAUUGGCCGGGUUGUGUGAUAGUUCGCGAUAGUGACAGCUUCGUUGAUUCUUAUAUAGUCCACCCUCCGUUGAUAGGAUAGGCAAAAUUUGUAUUGUGGAGUAAGUCUUGCGAUGCUGUGAUUUACUUUAGCAAUGUUCCUUAUACAUGAAUCAAGAGUCUUUUAUGCUAUAUAAGAUGUUGUAGAUAACUAGAGUAGAUUGUGACUUAGUAGAUAGUAGAUAACUUAGAAUCCAUUCUCUAGCUAAUCCGUCGUCACCUUACAUAUAUGAGGAGUAGUCUAUUUUCUAAUCGCUGUGUUAUUUACACAUAAACUUAUAAUUCAUUAUCAUUAUCUUUAUGGUUUACCUCCUGCCAAAGUAAGUGACUGUGUGACGAGUUUCUCAUUAGUAAUCAUGUUCUUGUAAGUUUAUCUCUAGUCUAUACCUUGAAGGUUUAUCAUUAUCUUCAUUUAAUCCUUUUCUCCUGAGCAAAAUUAUAAAUAACGAUACCUAGAAUAUGUACCUGGUGAAAUGCUACAAUGAGGUGUUUUAUCUGUGCGCUUGCGGAUAGAAUAGAUUAUUUUCUAGAGAGCCUCCAUAUUCAUAAACACCUUUGUACACUCUGGCACCAUGCUGGGGAUGACAACCUAGUAUCUAAGUGGUGUUAGCUAGUGUCAACACAAACUUUUUGGCCUUUACGUUCUUGUCAUACCAUUUGGCCGCUCUCUUUUUAUUCUCCUCUAUGCUAAUUAAACCUCUUAACCGAUGCUCUGCUAUAUCAUCCAACUCAUCUUUCAUCAAAGUAGCACAGUGAUCGGCAGUUAGCUGAUCCUGAGAAAACAUCCGCCAUGAACCAGUUUUAAUUUUCCAAGGCAGUACUACAUCAUGUCCAUACACUAGUUGAUACGGUGAUACUUUGGUUGAACCUUGACAUGCCAUCCGAUAUGACCAUAAGGCUUCAUUUUACAGUGUGUGCCAUCGCUUAGGAUUUUCUUCAAUCUUCCGCUUAAUGAGCUUAAUAAUCCCUUUGUUAGAAGCUUCGGCCUGCCCAUUGGCUUGAGCAUAAUAAGGAGAAGAAUUCUACAACUUAAUUCCCAUACCGAUUGCAAAUUCAUCAAACUCUCCCGAUGUAAACAUGGUACCCUGAUCGGUAGUUAUCGUUUGAGGAAUGCCAAAUUGGUAAACAAUAUGCUCCUUCACAAAAUCAAUCAUGUUGGCCGAUGCCACCUUUUUCAAAGGAAUAGCCUCAACCCACUUAGUGAAAUAAUCAGUGGCAACAAGAAUAAACUUAUGCCCCUUACUUGAUGGCAGAUAAAUCUGACCGAUGAGAUCAAUAGCCCAACCUCGGAACGACCAUGGUUUAAUAAUAGGAUUCAUAGCCGAUGCAGGCACCCUUUGAAUAUUACCGAACAUCUGACACCCUUUGAAAUACUUGAAACAAUCCUCAAGUAUAGUCGGCCAAUAAUAUCCAUUCCUUCUAAUCAUCCAUUUCAUCUUAAAAGCUGAUUGGUGCGCUCCACAUACUCCCUCAUGAAUUUCGCCCAUCAAGAUUUUGGAUUCGUCAUCACCUAAACAUUUAAGCAAAACUCCAUCUAUUGUACGAUAAUAUAAUUCUUCCUCAAGGAGCACAUACUUUGUAGCUUGAAACCUAACACGCCUCUCAAAUUUUCUAGAUGGAUCUUUUAAAUAAUCAAUAGUUUCUCUUCUCCAAUCAUUGGUACUGGCUGCCGAUAAUAUUUCCAAGAUGGGCUGAUAUCUCGAGGCAUGUUGAGCGAGUCGGUUAGCUUCUUCAUUGUGCAACCCAGGAAUAUGCUCUAAUCGGAAAUCCCUAAAUUCCUUCAACAAUUGUAUACACCCUUCAUAAUACGCUAUCAAAACUUCAAUUCGGCAUUCAUAACUCCCAGCCAAUUGAUUUAUAAUGAGCAUAGAAUCAUCAAAAUUUCGACAGCAUAAACCUCCUUUUAUAAUUCUAAACCUUUGAUUAAAGCUUGGUACUCAGCUUGAUUGUUUGUUGACGUGGCAAUAAUCGGUAAAGAAAACUCAUAUUUCUUUCCUCGAGGGGAAAUCAACACUAUACCGAUACCUGCCCCCGAUCACAUGUAGAUCCAUCAAAGAAGAGUGUCCAAGAAACAAUUUCUAGAGCAUCCACUACACCGCAAUGUUGAGUUACAAAAUCGGCCAUGAUCUGCCCUUUGACUGCUUUAGCCGAUUCAUAACGCAAGUCAAAUUCCGAUAAUGCUAAUUUCCAUUUGCCGAUUCUACCACUCAUAAUCGGCAUUGACAACAUGUAUCGGACUACAUCAUCUUUGCAUACAACAGUUCAUUCGGCCGAUAACAAGUAAUGUCUCAAUUUGACACAAGAAAAGUAUAAGCAUAAGCAUAAUUUCUCAAUUGCCGAAUAUCUUGUCUCAACAUCAACCAAUCUUCUUGAAUGAGAGCUGAACCGAUGACCAUAUCACUGGUAGACAAAUACAAUCUGAACGGCUUUCCAUGUUGAGGUGGAACCAAAACUGGAGGAUAUGCCAAAUAAUUCUUGAUUUCAUUAAUGCCUAAUUGCUGCUCUUUUCCCCACACAAACUCCUGAUCGGCAUUUAAUUUAAGCAAAGAACUAAAAGCAUGAAUCUUACCCGACAAAUUAGAUAUAAAUCGUUUGAUAAAAUUAAUCUUGCCAAUCAAUCAUUGAAGUUCAGUUUUAUUGGUGGGGGCAACUAUUUUGCUGAUGGCAUCAAUGGAACUCCUACUAAUUUCAAUUCCUCUUUGAUGCACCAUAAAACCAAGAAACUUUCCUGUCGAUACACCAAAUCCACAUUUAUUAGGGUUCAUGUUUAAGCCAUGUUUCCCUGUGCAUUCCAACACUUUUCGCAGAUUGGCUAGAUGUUUCAUGACAUCCCCAGACUUAACCACCGCAUCAUCAAUAUAGAUAUCUACCAACUUGCCGAUGAACUCGUGGAAAAUAAAUUCAUAGCCCUCUGAUAAGUAGCACCUGCAUUUUUCAAGCCAAAAGUCAUAACUAUCCAUUCAAACAAUCCAGCAUGACCAGGACAUCUAAAUGUAGUCUUGGGAAUAUCCUAUUCAGCCAUGAAUAUUUGAUUGUACCCUGCAUUGCCAUCCAUAAAACUAAUAAUUUGAUGUCCAGCUGUAGCAUCAACCAACAGAUCGGCAACUGGCAUUGGAGAACCAUCCAUCGCCGUGGCUUUAUUGAGGUUCCUAAAGUCAAUACAAACAUGAAGCUUUCCAUUCUUUUUAUAAUAUGGACAACAUUAGAAAUCCAUUCAGCAUACAGACAUUGCCGAAUAAACUUAGCCUCAAUAAGUUUGGUUAUUCCAGCCUUAAUAUCAGGAAGAAUAUUAGGAUUGCAUCGGCGUGCUGGUUGCUGAUGCGCAGAAAUCCAGACUUAAUAGGCAACCAAUGUUCAACAAUUGAUCGGUCUAAACUAGGUAUCUCGGUAUAAUCCCAAGCAAAGCAAUCCUUAUAUUCUUUUAACAAAUCGGUCAAUUGCUGCUUACAUUCAGAAUCUAACAUAACACUAAUAAAAGUAGGCCUUGGUCUAUCACCAUUACCUAUAUCUACUUCUACUAGAUCAUCAGCCGAUGUAAACCCCUGUCCUAACUUUCCAUCAUCAGCGAACCUAUCCAUUAAAAUUCCUCAUCAGAACCGACUGCUUGAAUCGGUGGAAUUUCAUAAUCGGCAACCUUGAGAAAAUCUUUUCCCCAAACUUCCCCUAAAAUGCAUCUGGUCCUCUCUCAUAAGUAUCUGACUCUGCCGAUGCAAUGACAUAUGAAGAAUCUCCCGGAACAAUCUCAAUUUUGUCACCUACCCACUGAACAAGGCAAUGAUGCAUUGUAGAAGGAAUACAGCAAUUGGCAUGAAUCCAAUCUCUCCCCAACAACAAAUUAUAUGCACCUUUUCCACUGAUGACAAAGAAGGUUGUAGGUAGGGUCUUACUACCGAUGGUUAAUUCAACACAUAUAGCUCCCUUAACUAGAGACACAUUCCCUUCAAAAUCUUUCAACAUCAUGUUGGCCUUGGUCAAAUCCUGAUCCCCUUUGCCAAGUUUCCGAUAUACUGCAUAUGGUAGGAUGUUGAUCGCGGCCCCCCCAUCAAUGAGUAUUUUGGAAAUGGGCUGUCCAUCAACCCUGCCUUUGACAAACAUAGCCUUGAGAUGCUGUCUUUGAUCAUCAAAAGGCUUCUCAAAAAUAGCUGUCAUUGGAUCAAGUGCCAACUGAGCUAUCUGGCCAGGGAGACUUGUCUCUUCAUCAUCACUAAGGGGUGCGAGGAAUUCCAUCAGCAACAUAAACACCAUGUUAACAUCUGUCGAUGGUCCCCCUCUUUUGGGAUCCGAUUGCUGCCGAUUCUCAGACUUAGAAGAACUUUCUUCCCUAUUCCACUCUUCUCGCCGUUCUCGCUGCAUCCUCCUUUUCUAUGUCCUUGUUAACCCUUCCGAACACCAUUGGGGAAGCUUUGAUCUCCAUGCUGGCUAAUAGAGAACUUCCCUUGAUUCCACCCGAUGAGUGUUAGCAUCCCUGCAAAAUAUAAAUUCAUCGAGAACCCGUGCAUUUGCCAUCUCUUCAAUCUCCUUUUGGUUCCUUGGAAAAUGACCAAUACGUUCACCGAGGAUGUCAUGUACACUAAACCUGCCCCCAGCCGGUCAUGAACUGACAUCCUUCCUCUGAUCGGCUCAUCAAAAUGUCGAUCAUUGUUCUAAAAUCGUAGAUCUCACUGAUCAUACUGAUUAUAACUAUUGCAUUCAGGACAGUCUCUGACAUUCGGUAAUUGAAUAUUUUGUUCCCAGCAAUGAAUAAAGAAUGGGAAGUUCCUAUGAUCUUUAUGCUGAUUCCACUCUUGUCGGCACCUUUCUUCUUCUCGGCGUCAGUUUUCUUGCUAACGACGAUACCGGUCCUCUCGCUGCUGCCAUGUCUCCCGAUGUCAUCUAUGAGUAAUUACAACACCAGAGCGAGGAGGUCAUCCAGAGCUACUGCCCUCUUUUAUCAAGCCUUUGCCAUUGGCGUCAUUGGUAGUUACCUGAUGUUGGGGAUCCACUGAUGCGUUCUUCUCAACUGCUUCUGAUGUUAAGAAUUUAGUCUUACCUUUGGCAAUCCAGCAUGUUUGCAGGGAAAGGGUGUUGAUCAAUCUUCAUCGGCUUUUGAGCUUUGGAAUUAUCAAACAUAUUCUCCUAGAAUCUAUAGCCGAUUGCAACUGCUGCUUGAACACCUUGCACUCAUUUGUGCUGUGUGACAUUGCAUUAUGCCAUUUACAAUACUUAAUCUUUUUUAACUAUUCUGCUAAUGGAAUCACAUGAUUAGGUGAUAAUUUAAUCUAUCCCUCUUGAAGCAAGAAAUCAAAAAUCCUAUCGACUUUAGUGAUAUCGAAAGCAAAUUUCUCUGGUUCUUUUUGGCCAAAAGGAUAGGACAUUAGCCUUUUGUUUUUCACCCACUCUGCCAAGCCAAUGACUGGUUCUUCAUCCAAAUCUGAACUCAUUGCCUGAUCAACAAAUGACACUUUCUUAUUCGAAGCUUUCCUAGGUUCAAAAGCCUUGAUACCUAGAUCAGAAAUCAUCUGCACCAAAUGACUCAGACUUUCAUACUCUUGAGAAGCAUACUUGUCUUUGAUGUGUGGCAACAAUUCUUGGAAAGCCAAAUCAGCUAACUACCAAUCAUCCAGAACCAGACUAUAACAUUUGUUCUUUACAUCCCGCAACCUCUACACAAAGCUUUCAACCGAUUCAUCAUUGCGCUAUCUCAGCCUCACUAAAUUGGUAAUCUUCUUCUCAUGUACUAUAGAAAAGAAGUAUUUAUGGAAAUGCUUUUCUAAAUCAGCCAAGGUAAUAACUGAGUUUGGAGGCAGCAAAAUAAACCAAGUAAAUGCCAAUCCUGACAAAGAUGAUGAAAAUAGAUGAACUCUUAAUUCAUCUCUGUUAGCAGCUUCUCCACACUAGAUGAUGAACCGAUUAACAUGCUCCAUAGUUGAUGUGUCAUUUUGCAUAGAGAAUUUAGUAAAAUCUGGCACCUUGUACUGAUUUGGAAGUGAAAUCAAAUCGUAUGCAGGAGGAUACGGUGUCCGAUAAGAAUAAGUAUUGACCUUCAGUUUUAUCCCAAACUGAUCCAUCAUAACUUCUGCUAUCUUAUUGGCACAAUAGACAUCGGCAUCCUGCUAAUGUGCGGGUUGAAGUUCUGGCACCUGCUGAUAAACUUCCAUGUGUCUCUAGGGUGCGCGUUCUCCAGGAAACAUAGCGUUGGCCAUAGCUUGUUGGCCACCAAUCUGCUGAGCAAGAUUCAUCGACUGAUUGGCCGGUCCUUGAUUCUGAAAACCGACAUGCAUCUGUCCUUGCUGGAAUCCCACAGCCUGAUGAUUCUGUUGUGUCAUAUGUGGAAAGUCAAACUGCCAUGUCCACCCAUUGUUAGCAUUCAUCGGCACAGGUCUUGCCGGUAGCUGAUAAUUGGUUGUCAUUGCUGGGUUGACAUACCCUGUGUGAGUCAUGAACCUCUGCUGCGUCGGCAAUGGAUCUAUCGAUGAAUUUGCAUUAGGGAUCUAGAACAUUGGCAUUUGAAAACUCCCAGUAACAGGCCGUGCAGUAGUAGUUGUAGAAUAUUGAGAAAUUUGAGUCGUCGGCGACACUGGAGGUGCCGAUGUCAUAGGAGCUUUUCCUGCUAAGUCAGCCACGUGAGAUGUUCUUGAACUAUUUGCAAAAAAGUCCGGAGGCAUACCAUAUCCCCACCAAUUGGGAGGAACUUGACAAUUCUAAAAUACAGAUCCUAACAUUGUCGAUGCUGAUAGAUUUGUAUUAGGCUGAACCCAUCCCUCUGUUGUUGUUGGAUUAGAUCUCAUCGGUGUAGAUUGCCCAUUAGUCAUCCCUAAUGUGCUUGGAGGAGAAGUAACUUCUGUACCCGCAACGGCCAGAGGAGCCGAUGGAGCCGUAACCGAUGACAACCCAGGCUGAUGAUAGGCCGAGCCAACAUCUAAUGGUGGUGCCUGUCCUUCUUUAAAAGUUCUAGCAACAACAUUGAAGACAGUAUUGAAUAGCACACUAGAUUUAUUGAUCAAAGCACGAUUAAAAGCAUUGUCAACCAUAUCUUGCAAUUUACCAGGAUUGGCUUCAAAAGUAAUCUGCCGAGGCAUCGGCAACUCUUGCUUCUAGAUUACUUCACCGCUCCUAUUGAUGCUGAAAGAUUUCAAGCAAAGCUUCUUGUACUCUUCCAUAACCCUUGCCAUAGCCUGCUUCUGCUCAUCCCUGAGAUCAGCUUCUGUCACAGCAAUAACGUUCUCCGUGUUGAGAUCAGCAGUGGCCAUGUUGAUCUUGUUGAUAGAUCUGUCCCACUGGGUGUGCCAAAAGAUGUGUUGAUGCAAAAGUGGAUCUGCAAACACAAAAGUCUAAUAUCCAAUUCAAACAUUGAGGCGUGCCAGCCAAUUUGACCUUACAAUCGACAAAGGUGGUAACUCGAAUACUUUGGUCCCGACAACAACGAUGCGCCUGGAUGCCACGGCCAAGAGGUAUUCACGCGGAACUUGAGAACUCGUCGAGUAUGACUCGAUGAAUUCUUAUGAACUUGUAAGUAAAAGAAAAUAUGCGAGUUGACGAAGUCAUCGAAAAAGUCGAUGCAAAAGUAGAUGUAGAUGUGUGUAUAAUAUUGCUCGAUUGUCCUCUUACAUCGCUACUAGGCCCAUAUUUAUACUCUGUCCUAAAGAGUUACAAUCGUACACGAUUAGGAUGUAAUUCUAAACCAAAUAGGAAUCGUACAUAAAACAAACCCUAACAAUUAUGGAAAAUAACAACCUAUAUCUAUUCUUGUCGAUCGGUACACCACCAUUGCCUUCUUAGCAACUCCCAUGUCUCCCUUAGUCGUCAUCGGCAUAUAACCUGCAUCUUUUCAUCAUCAUUGGCACACUCCUCCUCAUCGGCAUCGUCAAUUAUCAAUAUCAGCAAUCGAAACAGCUCAGCAACCGCCGCCAGACUCAGAGACAUCUUCUCCCUGUUGUCCUAUCAUCAGCAAUGUUGGCUAUCGGCAAUCCUUCUAUUGGCCAGACACAUCACUUCUUUGACUGCUGAUACUGACUACCCUGAUUCGUGUCCAAAAACGAUGUCAACAGCGAGGUAUGAGCCUUGUAACAAGAUCUAAAUAAUUAAUACCACCUCUCAAUUGCAUGAAAAGUAGAUUCAUAUGUAAUUGGUAAUCUCUGCCAGAUUCAUGAACAGACUGGUCGACUAGUCCCUGAGGAUACCAUGCUCGGUGGUCAGUGCAGUCCCUAGACUCAUAAACAGACUGGUCGGCCAGUCCCUGAGCAUAUCGUGCUCGGUGGUCGGUGCAGUCCCCAGAUUCAUAAACAGACUUGUCGACCAGUCCCCGAGCAUACCGUGCCCUUUGGUCGGUGCAGUCCCUAGAUUCUGGAUGAGUCCGCCCAAACUUCUUAUCAUCAAUAAAUCAUUUAUUUAAAUCUAGAAAAUAUCAUAUCCCUUCAUUAAUUGGUGACAUGACAAAGCGUCCGGCCAUCUCAUUAGUCCGGCGCGUGAAAAGGGAUGCCGUCUGAUAGCACAGCCGUUCGUCACACGGACCGAGAAAGGAAAACCAUUAAUCAUUAAUAAAUCUACCAAAUUUACUGCAACAAAAAAUGAAAACCAAAAUGUCGUUUCCUCCGCAAUAGCUGCACAUUUCCCUAGGAGUCGGGAAGUGGAGGAGGUGGUGCUGCUGUUAUAAAGAGCCAAAAGGAGUAGUGCUAAAACUUCACCCAGCAGUUGCAUGCUAGCCGGCUGCCUUCGUCUUCCUUGCUGCCUCCAAAUACACCAGAUCCUGUUCAAAGCUUCUUUGCACAAAAAUGGCUAAGAGCGACUCCAAGAAGAGUGCUGAGAUGAUGGCGAAAGAGAAGCACUUCACUUUGAUUAAUACAAACAAUAAUAACCAUAUCAAGUUCUUCAUAUGCUCUUCCUUGCUAUCAUCAUUAUCACGAACCAAUGUUCUUUAGUGAAUGCUACGUUUGCCGCUGCUCUGUCAAGUUCUCACUAUCCGGGAGAGACAGCGAUUUGAAUCGAUUCCUAUCCAGCUGGAGAUUUAUUCCUAGCACUAUCCCAAGCAUCCCCCGUCGGAGAGCCAACGGGUCACCUUUGAUACGACUCAGGAAUCGCGACUCCGAUCAGCGCCGCACUCCCAGGGCUACCACUCUGCCAGGGAGGUCAGUACUUUUAACUCACCUACCUUUGGACUUACACCAAUGGUCCCCCGCACACCGCACUUCCUCCGGUAGUGCGCACUAUAUACUUGCCGGUCUUCCGGCCGGAGUCAUACUACUAGGCUUCGCGGUCAGAACGAGUUAUCCGACCAACUAAGUGUCAGGCAUGCGUUCAACAUGACAAGAGGACGUACAACGACCGGUCCUUAGCUGCCACAGACGGAGUUACUACAACCUUGUAAAACUCUGCCCGGCUCAAUUCAUUUUAAUCAGGUUUUUUCCACGAUAGCGCAUAUAGCCAAUCGUGAUCCGACACAACUAUAUUUCGCGAAAGUGACAGGAUAUCACCCGACUUCUACCGAUUAAAGCAUGACUAAGCUGCUACUCGAUCCUAAUUCUAUGACCAGGUAAAGGUAAUAUAUCUGGACAAGGAAUAAGUAUAAUGCAGCAAGGGUUUCAUCACAACUCCUAUACGUAAUGCAUCAAUAGAUAUAACAUAUUCAAGUAAACUUUCGAAAUUAAAGUGGGAGACUUAAGAUGCUCCGAGGCUUGCCUUUCACGAACGAUGCAGGCUCAUGAUUAGGGCACUCGAUCUCCUCUUCGGGCUCCUCAUGUCCAGCUUGCUGGACCUCUGCCCCCGGAUUGAUCUUCUGGCCUUCGGGGUUCACAUGAUUGAGCUCGAACGAAGUGGUCGUUUCCGGUGCACCUAUUACAUGCACGAUGAAUAAGAAUGUGUGCACCUUAGAUGAGGAUGAAUGCUUGAUAACAUAAUUAGAACUUCACUGGACACUCAUUUAUAGAGUAACUUUCAUAACAAGUUCACACAAGAUGACUAAUUAGUUUAGCAAAACUUGCCAAGUCAACUAUAAACAGCAAGCAUCACAUAACAGACAACUCAGUAAACAGAUCAUAACUAAUGCUAUAUAGAUCCAACAAACAUAAAUGAGGACAUUCUGGAAAUCUUAUGAAAUUGUCUACAUUUCAUCUUUAGACAUCACAGCAAGAUUCAUAAGUUAAACAAGUCAAUUAAACAAAUUUCCAGGUUCUGUCCCAGAAAAACAGAAAGUACCUAUUUCUGGAACCUAACUUGGAAGAUCCAUAACUUUUAGACUAUUGGGCCAAAUGAUCCCAAAUUAAAACCACAGCUAGUUCAUAAAGAUUACAACAACUUUGAUUCAGACAAGUCUACCAGAAAACCAAGUUAUCGUCAAACAAAGGUUAGAUUACUCCCUUGCUGUCUAGAACAGCUUUUAACCCUUUAAUUAAUUAUUUGAUGACAUAACCAAAACACAUUUAGUGGCAACCAAAUGGCUUACAAACACUAGCAUACCAUAAGAUUACCUGAACAAUAUAUGUUAACCCCAAAACAUUUAAUAACAAGGCAUUUAUUUAUUUAAUUCUAUAAAGGGACAUAAUUACAAGAUAUUAGCAAAAGUGCACAGAAAUUCUACAAAAAUUAUACAAGCACAAGCAUAGGAUCUUGACAUUACCAUAAAAUUUUCAGAACAAUUGCACAUGCCAAAUUCAAGAUGAGAAUUUAAUAUGUGACAAGGUGCUUAUUUCAUAAAUUAAGAAACUUAGCUUAGAUAGUGUCAAACAACAGAUUUCAGAUUAUUCACAUGUUACUAUUACCAUAAACAAGUUUGACACCAGAGUAGAGCACCAGCAUAAGCACCAAAUGUUUAUUAUGAUUUAAACAAGAAAACAAGCCAUAUUACCAACAUAAAUUACAUAUCAAAGAUACAAUACCCCAAAAAUCAUGAAAUAUUUAUCAUAGCAUUCUUAUACCACUCAGAGCAUAGCAUAAAAAUUUCAUAGCCAAAGGACAGUAUACAAACAGAUAUGAAUUUAUACUUAAAUAACAAGAUUAAAUCAUAACCAUUAUUUUUCCCAGAAAACAUAGUGCAUGUUGUAUUUUUAUUAAAAACUAGCCAUCUCAAGGAUCACUACAAAAUUUAUUUCAUAAUUUUUGGACCACAGGAACUAGAGAUAUGAUUUUUGCAAAAACAGCACAAACCCUAAAUCAAAACAAAGGAGAAAGAGAGACUGACAGGGGACCCCGCAAGUCAAUGGACCCCACACAUCAGUGACCCGAGAGCAGAGGCGCGACUUGACCGCUAGAGAUCUCGUCGACGGCGAGGUCUCGGCGAUGGCCAAGAGCACCAUCGUGAUCCUCACUCCAUUCCGCAUCGAAUGGUACCCGAAACCCUAACUCUAACGAACCCUAGGUACCUCGCCCUCGCGAAUGGCGGCAUGGUGGUGGUGUGCGGCCGACCGCCGGUGUCUCUGGUUGGAGACCGGGCGAAAGAGGACUCAGACGAGCAUCAGCACGACUCAGCGGAGCUUUUGGGACAAGAACGAAGAGAAAUGGUGGACUACAGAGCCCUGGCCACGACGCCGGUGACCAUGGCGAAGCUCCAGUGAGGUAAGCUCGCGACGGAGAAGACAAUGCGGGCUUACCGAGGCUCGGCAGCCGCAGCCAACUCGACGACGGUGUUGCGGGGAAGCUAGCGGAGCACUGGACGGAGUCGCUUGGCUAGAGACGCUGAGACGCGAGCAUGUGAGCUUGCCGAAGCCGCGGCGGCGACACGGAGAAGACGACGGACGCGAGAGAGAGGGCGAACCUGAGUGGAAAUGGCACUGUCCACGCGACCGGGGGCGCCGUGGCGAGCUGUAGGACAUGCUGAGGACUGACAAGCGGGACCAACGGCGACGUACGGACGCCACGAGUCUAGACACGCGGCGUCACCGGUGAGCUCCCCUAUGCUGACGGCGACUCCAUUCACUCUCUGAUCCCGACUGAAACCCGAUUUUGCACUGCAAUUAUCUCCUAAUCCAUACGAUGAUUUUGCUGGCUAAUUGCUCUAUGCUGUAGAUCUACAUGAGGACUCCAACAUUGCUUACAAUAUCAAGGUUUGAUUCGGCCUUGAAUUCAAACUGGAAGCUAAACAACAUACCCUCGAGCAAACUGUUGUGAUACCAGACUUAGAAAAUUUUGUAAGUGUUCGAAACAGCCCCAAAUCUAUCUUGUGGUCACUUUUGAGCUAGAUGUGCUCAUUUUCAUGAGAUGGCCAUUAAACAACUUUUGUUCCUUAUAAAAUUUGCUACAACUUUUCUGUAGAAAUUUUUGACAUGCAAACACUUUAUGAAACACUUUUUAAAAGCCUAAGCAAAAGAGGUUUCUAGGGCCUAUACAUGAAAGUAUGACUUAAGUGAUUAUUUUGGAGAAGUGAUCAACAUGAAUAUUGUUCCUAAGGUUGAGUUAAGCAUAGAAAAACUAUAUACUAAGGCAUAGCACACAAGCAUGAGCAUGGCACAAGUAAACACAACCAUAGGAAGCUUAUUUAAGCAAGUUUAGUCAUUUGAGCAUAAAAUGACAUGACUCAAGGUAGAUGAUGAUCAUGAUAUGCUUGAGUAGAUGAUGAUGCUCAUGUUAUGCAUGUGAUUGAUGCAACCAUAACACUGCGGUGUUACACCUGCAACGUGCCAGACGCUCUGCAGGUCCACAACGGACGCGUCCGGUGCACACCGAACUCAUGCACAGAGAGUUCCGCAAACCUGUAGGGUCACCGGACGUGAGCCACCGGACGCACCCUGAACGUCCGGUGCUCACCGCACUUAAACACAGGGAGGAUUGCAAAACGCCCUCACACCGGACGCUAACCACAGACGCUCUCAGAGCGUGUUCGGUGCUCAACCCUAGCUGGGUCAAGCACACUGGACUCUGAGGCCAGCGUCCGGUGCCUCAGCAGUCAGCGUCCGAUGCCUGCGACUUCUCCAAAUUUCCCAUCGGCGCAAUAGAAAAUAUACCCUUAAUUUUCUCAAAAGCGCCGUUUGGAAAUGUGCUAACACCAACAAGUUUGGAAAUGUGCUAACACCAAUAAGUGUCCACCACCAAAGUGCAUGUGUGUUAGCUUUUCACAAACAUUUUUAUCCAAAGGAGUUAAGUUAGCAAUUUAUUAGAUCCUAAUGCAUAUGCUCAAGAUAUGGACCUAGUAGCACUUGAUUCGAGAGAUGACCAUGAUUUCUCCUCUUGAUAGUCGGCUAUCUAUCCUAAACCCGGUCAAUCACUUCUCUGCUCAUCCUCCGACAAAAGUAAAACUCUAUGAUUAUACCUUUGCCAUGAUAACUUUGCUCAUCGUCUGUCACAAUGAUCUUCACUUCAUGUUUCAUCCCUUUGUGAUCAUGUGGCCACCUUUCCAUGCCACCAUGCACCUUCAUCACAUGUGUUGCUAUGCCUAGCUCAAAUCACUUAAACACAAGGCAUUAGCAACUUGGUGUCAUUAAUUACCAAAACCAAACUUGGGCUUUUAGCAGCGCCACCGCUCCACCAUGGCUGGCUGCGAGCUCGCUGUGGUCCAUCUAUGGUCUUGUAAAUAGGUUCAUUGUGUUCGCCUUGAGUAGUAGAACGUCUAGGAGUGCUCGGUUCGACGAAAGGGGUCGCCGACGGCGAGCUCCGGCUCGCCGGAGUCCUCCCCCUGCUGCGGUAGCUGACUCAUGGGACCCGUGGCCCACCUGUCUGCUGCUCACGAUGAGGGCGGGUGCACUGCACCGGGUGCACCUAGCUGGGUUCAACGGUUUUUGAAUUUGAUUUUCAGAAAAAUGUUUUCCAAAAAUUUAUUUAAAAUUUAAUUAAUUCAUAACUUGAGUUCUGUAGCUUCAAAAAUAUUGUAAUAAAUUUUGGCAUGUUCUAUAAAUCAAAAUCUACCGUUUAGUGCCCUUGCAUAUCAUUUUAAGUAUCUUUUCUCUAUAGAUAUAUUUAAUACAUGUUAUUGCUAUUAUUUGGAAAAUGCACAGUAAAUAGAAUAUGGCUCAGAAAAAUGUGAUUCUUGUUUGACUAGCUUUGCAUGGAUGUAUAGUUGUUAGGGAAAAUGUGUGGCACAGUAUUUGCUGUGUAAAUGAAUUUAUGUUGAUUUGAAUGCUUGCUUCUAAUUAAGAGAAGAGAAAAGCUAUGAUGGGAUGAGAUUAGACCAUAGGCAUGGGUUGCGGGUCUAAAAAAGUAUUUUUGGAAGGUAUCCUAAUGAAAGAUGGGAAAAAUUUCUAAAGAUAUACUUUUUAUAAAUAAGGAAGGCCUCAAGAUGGGAAUGGAGAAAGGCGGCGGUGAAUGGCCUCGGUGGCCGGGCGGGUGCCCCUAGGGUUUGGGCGGCCGACCGCCCUUGAGCCCUUUGUGCCUCAACUUUUUCAUAUACUUUAUUAAUUACGUUUCUGUUUGGAAAAUGUUGAUUUUCUCCGACAAUUCAAAAUUAAAAUGGUUAGACCCAAUUAUUCUAAUUGAGAAAGAAAGUAAUUAUGUCUUCUUCCUCUAAUUCAUUGUUGGGCUCUAGAAAUAAUUUAACGUGUUUGACAUUUAUCUUGAAUAAUGUACCUUUGUUGUUCCGAAGUGUGACGGCUCCAUGUGACGAUGAGCUCACUACCUCGAAGGGUCCUUCCCAUUUGCUUUGAAGUUUUCCAUACUGAAAGCAUCUAGGCUCCUAGUGAAUUUCGGUGAUUAAUGACAAUGUUGAUAACUAUGACUAACGUGUGUUUUGCGGCAGCAAUCAUUUAAGCUAGGUCAUUGUAAUGGUGAUCGAUGGACUAUUGAGUGCGUGCCCACUUCAUGGUGGAAAUCAUUUUGGUUUUCAAGGAAUCAUUUUGGUCUAAGUGCCAUUUGGAGUUGAAGCGUGCUUAGAGUAGUCUAGGACUAUGUUUUUUCCUUGACCGUACUAUUUAGGGUGGCAACAAACACGUAGCUUGACCUAGGCAAGGCUUUAGGUCUAGGUGUGGUGAACACUUGUCAAAUCUAGCACUAGGCAGCUCAGACAGAGUGUCCUUAGAUCGAGAGGAUCAAACUUUAUUUUGGAAAGUUCACGAUUCAACAAAGUGUUGAUCGAGUUUACGCAUCAGACGCUGGCAUUGGAUACAGCAGUAGGACUGUUUGUGCGUCUGGUGUAUGCUAGAGAUGAGCCUUCGUGACAUGUGUCUAUGGUGUGGCACCGAACGCUUCCGGGUGCAUCCGUUCCCUUACACAGGGAGCAUGUCAAAAGAGUUUCCUCACCGGACACAUCCAGGGUGAGGGCAUCGGACGCCCCUGUGUGUCUAGUGUGGUAAGGGUUUUCAAAACACAACUAGCCAUUGUGAGGCACUAGACUCUCUGUGCGAGCGUCCGGGGCAACAUCAAGAGCGUCUGGUGCACAUGAAAUAUACUGAUUUUGUGUGGUCGGCUUCUGAACUUAAUGGGGAGUAUAAAUACUUGGCCAACUCGUCCAUAGAGGCUCUCUUGCCCAUUUGUUCAACUGAGAAACACCUCGAGGUGGAAGGAAGAAGCAAGAGCCUAAAGAUGAUUGAGAUUUGAGUGACUUCUUGAGUGAUCCUUCUCUAGUGAGAUCAAGAGUUCAAGUGUGCAGUCACCACUCUCUUUAGCCUUGUUUCGGUCAAGUGAGUGUUCAUUGCUUGUUACUCUUGGUGAUCACCAUCACCUAUAUGGUUUGGUGGUGAUUGGAGGCACGAAGAUCACCCGGUGUUCUUGUGGGUGGCUCGUGCCAAGCUUGUGAGCAGUUGUGGGUGAUUCACCGUGACAGAGUGUCAAAAAAUCAUCAUGUAGAGAGCACUUGGUUCUGGCAUAGAUCAAGUGGGAGCAAGACCCUUGCACGGGUGCUCCAACGAGGACUAGUGGGGAGUGGCGACUCUCCCAUACCGCGGCAAAACAUCACGUCGUUCCUCUUUCUCUCAUCCUUCACAUUAUAGCAUUUAAAUUUAGCACUUUACAUUCUUAGAAUUCCCAUGCUAGAAUAGGAUUAUAACUAGGUUGCAAAACUUUUAUGUGGUACCUCUUCGGGACACAAUUAGGCACAAGGGUUGAAUUGAGGCUUAUAGGUUGCUUAAAUUUUUAGAGAAGCCCAAUUCGCCCCCCUCUUGUGCAUCUUCAUCCUUUCACAUGCCCAAAAAGCUUCAUCCUAGAAUUAAAAAGUAAUACCUUGUUGCCUCGGGUGAACUCCUUCUUGAUCCUUUUGUCAUGCCAUCUUUUUACUCUCUUUAUAAAUCUUGGCAUUGUGAUAUGCUUUUUCUCUCCAUUCUUCUAGCUCAGAGAGUUGCAUCUUCCUCUUGCCUCCAGCUGGUUCUAGGUCCACAGCCCAGUGAGCCUUGAAUUCUAACUCAACUAGUAAGUGACAAGUUUUUCCAUAGACAAGCUGAUAUGGUGACAUCCCGAUGGGUGUCUUGCAGGCUAUCCGGUAUGCCCAAAGUGCAUCAUGAAGCUUGUGCUUCCAAGUUGUCCCCAUCUCAUUUAUUGUCUUCUAUAAAAUAUUCUCUAUUUGCUUGUUCGAUGUCUCUACUUGACCACUUAUCUGAGGAUGGUAAGGAGUAGCAACGUUGUGAUGUAUCCCAUGUUUCAACAAGUAGUGCUUGACAUGCUUGUCGAUGGAGUCGUCUCUAGAACUCCAAAUAUUGGAAAUAUUAUUUCUUCGAACAUCUUCUUUGAAUGCAUGCUAUCAGCAUUCCUACAUGGCAUGGCUUCAACCCACUUGGAGACAUAAUCCACUACCACCAGGAUAUACUCAUACUUCUUUGACAGCAGAAAUGGCCCCAUGUAAUUGUUGACGGUCCUUAAUGCUCACAUUUAACCGUCAACUAAUCAUGAAAAAGGAUCCAAAUGCAACCGACAUCUAGACUUAGGGUUUCAUCUGACAGAUUUCCACGAGUUUUGGUGUUUGUCUAUUUCUGCAGGGGGUUAUCAGGAAAUAUGAAGGAAAGGCCCACACAUCGGGUUUACAUAGAAAAUUAAUGUGUGCGGUAAUUUUCCAUACUCAGGAAGACUCUAGAAGCAACUCGACCGAAGCGGAGCCGAGACGGGCCUGGGACCAGGGCGCCCGCCCUUGAUCCUAGGGCGCCUGCCCUGGUACAAGCACCAAUCAUAGAAUGGAGUACACCAUUACAAACAUCUCGUCGAGCUGAUUGAAAUGCAUAUAUUAUUUGCUAUAUUUGGAGUUCAGAAUCAAGAUAUAUUAAUAAAAGAAGGACUCCACAUAAAAGAGGUGUGGAAUUAAUUGGGCCCAAAUCAGAUUUUGGUCCAUUAAGGCCUAUGCGCAUUUUAAUGAGAUAUGGUGGAAAGUUUAGUACCACAUCGCCUGCUGAACCAAAAACGCACAAAGGAGGAGGACUAUAUAAGCAAGGCCCUUGGUCCCUGGAGGAGAACAGAUCAUCAUAGAGUUGAGAGGUGCCCUCGAAGGAUAACCUUUCCUCUAUAGAGAAUUAGGGCUAGACAUUCUAAUGUAGUAGAUUAGUUCUAGUCGGUUGUUAUGGAGAGCGGAGCUGCGCUCCGGUUCUGUAGAAGUCUUCAGAGUUUUGGUAUGUCUUUAUAUUGUAAGACUUAUGCUUUAAUAUAUUUAUCUUCUCUAUUUACUUUUAUUCCUUUAUUAUUAUCGAGUAGUGUAGUUGUUAUAUUUUGGCAUAGGAUCUCCGUUUGCAUCGAGUGCUGUAGUUACUCAUGGUAAUUAGAGUAGUAAUCGUUAGUGUAGACGUGGUGUCUAUACUAGAGGUUACCUGAGGUUGCACCCAGUCCUGCGGAUUGUUGUGGUAGCCCUAGGGUAGUGACAGCCCUAACGGUCGACGUAUUCCCCCUCGUUCGGAUCGGUGUUUGUAGGACCGUAGUCAGAGCUUCCCAGCCCCCUUCUCAUCUCUUUCUGUGGUUGGUGUUCUGAUGUCCCAAAGUGCUAAUAUGUGAUUGCUAUAUCUAUUCAUUCUUUGUUAUCAUAGAACUGAAGUGAUAGAGAAGUAUACAGGAACCUAGGUCUCUCCCGUUGUCCUCCCGCUAUGGCUAUCUUCGCAUUUAUCAUAGAAUUCUCACCUUUAUAUUAUUACCUAUCAUAUAUCAUUUACACCUACUUUAGUCUAGUUGGUUUAUUAAAUUAGUAGAUGCAUGAUAGUAAGUUAUCAGAUUCUUUGACCUUAGCUUCCCAGUGGUAAAAUAUAAAUAACGAUACCUGGAAUACUCCCGGUAAAAUGCUACGAUGAUGUUCUGUGCGCUUGCGGAAUUUUUCUUAUUCUUAUUGCACUUAACGAAUGUCAACAAGCAUUUUUGGCUCCGUUGCCAGGGAAGCAAUUGGUGUGAUGAUUUUGAUAAUGAUCUUGAUGUCUGCUAAUUUAAUGUAUCACUAGCUUUAGUAGGUUUAUUGUAUUUAUCUUUUCUGCAUUUGUUUUUAGCAUAUUUAUUUCUCCAUAACAUAUUUAUCUUUCUGCAUUAUUAUUGCAUUAGAAAAAAUAAUAAAAAUAUUUUUCAUUGCAUCUUAAAUACUAAAACCUUAUGUGAAUAAAUUGUGUGGUGUGUAAAAGCUCACACGGAUAUUCACCAUGGUGGAAUAAAAAAAAUAUAAAUAAAAGAAAAUAAACAUGCAUUCAUCCUGUUCCAUUUCCUUUUGCUUCAUAAAAAGAUUAAAACCCAAAUAUAUAAAUAUAUAUAUAUAUAUAUUGAGAAAGAGAUCUUGUUGAAACUCUACUUAGAAAAAAAUUAAGAAAAAUCUAAAAAGCUUGGACAACUAAGGCUUAACUGGCCAACUGAUAAUGUUUGAUCGGUGCCACAAGUUUUGUUGUCUAUUUGAGUUUAACAUGAUUUAAAGAGAGAAUCCCCAAUGAUCAAGAUAUCUUUAUCAACUUGGAAGUGCUGCAAUCAUCACUAACAUGUUGAAGCUCAAGAAUAUUGAAGAACAUCUGUGUUGUGCGGAUUCAAGAUUAAAGACUAUGUCAACAUUCAGCUUGGGGAAAGCAAUCCCGUUAUCUUUACGAUUCAGGCUUGAAGUAAAAGAGUGAAGAAUAACAACAAGGUAUGUCCAACCAAUCAUCAUGCAACAUUGAAUUAAAUUCACCCAAACUUGACAUGUUCAAGCUAGGGGGAAUACUUUACAUAAAAACAUCCUUUGCCAUGUUGCUAUGUUGGUUGUCCCUACCCUUAAGACAUGCUCAAUUUGUUAAACACUAAUCAUUCUACUUCAUCCCCACUUGAGUAGAUCUCUAUAAUGUUGUCAUGCUACCUUUGUCUAUUCACAAGUAAGUGUUGGUUUGGAAGUACUCGACAUACUUCCAUUGGCAUUUAAAUUAAGCAUGGUGCUUAGGUUAAAUAGCCUUCGUUAAUCCGAUUAGACAUGGAGUCUAGUUUGGUUAUUGAACUAAAAACUGCUUGUGUAGACAUUGUAUAUUUUGUUGGACUAACCCCUGCAGGAAAAUUUUCAAUAUCGAUUUAAGAAGUCCUAAGAUAAAUUCAGAAUGGAGAGAAAGAAGGAGACACAUGAAGUUUAACAAUUUGCACAAGAAAGACAUAGCUCGAGAGAUAAUCCAUGGAACGAGACGAAGAGUGCCACGAACAAGAUGCACAACCAUUGAAAAAGAAAAGCUUCCACAAGGUGAUAUUGUACCAUCACUCUUCAAUGAAGGUAACAUCUUAAGGUAUGUGACUGUCACUGUUAUAAGCUUCUCCUUGAUUCUGUCAUGCACAUGGAAAAAAAGACAAACAUGUAUGAUUUAUAACUCCAAAUUAACCAACCCAAUUGAUUCAACAUGUUUAGUCCUUUAAUCUUUGUUUCUGGUACUACCUUCUUGUUCCCACACUCUUAACCAUAUGAGCUAAAACGUUGCACAUCUGAUCUUUGGAAAAUGACAGUCAUGUAAAGAAAAAAAACAUUUACUUAGAUAGAUUAUCUUUCCAUAAGGUUGAGUGAUCUAAUCUGACAAAUGUUUUAAAUACUACACACAUGAUCUUAUCAUCCAUCAACUUUGUCUUGCUCACUAUGCUUAAGGUUAGAGAAGAACAAAUACACUUUUGGUUAUGUUGGUGUUUUCCACCAACAGGGCCCGUGCACUUGAUCUCUGCCAUGUCUCUAUGAGCAGGAUACACUUCGAGCAAAACAUGGAGGAGUUUUCCAACUCCCAGACUCUACCAAGUGAAGGACCUGGAUCUACGAGCACAAACACACUGAGGAGGAUGCUGCCAACACCGCAAUACGAACUGCUGGGCAAACGAAAAACAUGAGUGAUACCGUAUCAAGAGGUGCAGAUGUCAAGUUCCACACCUAACUCAAAUGACGCACCUAAAGAAUAAACACGGUGAGAAGUCUUGUUCAGAAGACUUAAAACAUUGAACCCUCGCCGAAAGGUAAAAUCGGUAGUUAUCCAUAUUUAUCCUUUCUGCAUUUCUUUUUUUCUUAAAUUAUUUACUUUUCUUAAAUAACUUGUCAGUUAAUCAUGCUAUCUUGAAAAGAAAAUGAAAAUGUUAAAAACAGUAAGCCCCAUGUGAGUAUGCUCGUGGCAUAAAACCAAUUCACUGUGGUGGCGUAAAAAUAAAAUAAAUAUAUUCUUGUCCUGUAAAAAUGAAAAUAUAAAAAUAAAUUUAUGAUCCUACUAAAGAGAGUAAUAUUUAUUAGAGGGAGCUCAACAUGAUAAAGGCUAAGAGAUUUUAUGAUAACACUUAACCAGUUCCACAAAGCUUUGUUGUCUAUUUGAGCUCCACAGAAUUCAAGGAUCAAGGAAGACUAGAAGACGGAGGAUAUCCUAAUCGCUAUCAGGGUGCUGCCAACAUUCAAAUACACCUACGCCACCUGCUAGCUACAUCAGAAGAAAUUACGUUAAAAUCCAGCUUGGGGGAGAGCACCCCCAUUUAUCCAGCUAAGUGUUUCUACUCACAUUUAUACCUUACUCAAAUAAUAAAAAAAUGCAUAAUCAUAAAAACCCAAUUAAAUAUUUUGUGCUUAUAUAUCUCUCUGCUUAGUUUGCUAAAUAAAAAAAAGUGUCUAUGCCAAACUAAACUUCAAUGAUAAACUCUUACAUGGAUAUGAUGAAUAGUUGCUCUGUCAAGUACAUAGUUUUCAGAUUUGAUCUCUCUCUCAAGUUUAGGCAUAACUGUUAUAAUUUAAAGCUUGCUCUAAACCUAAAUUUGCGGGAAGAGUACCUGAUCAAAAGUCUAAGUCGGUAACAGAUAUGAUAUGGGAAGGUUGAGCUGUUGUUUAUCUGUUCCUAGAGAUGAUAGAAUUCUGGAGAAUUUUAUCUUUGAAAAUCUUUAAAAUGUUGCAUGACGAGUUUCUGUAUGAUGAGAGUUUAAAAUCCUACCACAGCCAUAUAUACAAGCUUAUUAGACUAUGAACCAUACGUUUACUUUUUACUGCUUAUGAGCAUUGAGUGUGGUCAAGCUGUGUAGACCAUUAGGAGCUUGUCAUGCGGUUAAAAUCAAGAUUCACUUGCACGUUCGCUCAUACAUGCUGCUUCUACUCCAGUAGUACGCAUCCACAUACAUCCACUCAUUUCCAUAUCUAGAUUCACCCAAAGUUAUUCUACUCCUAUCUAGGAGAGAAUAGUCAAAAAACAUUAUCCUAUCCUGUGGGGGGAUAAACCCCUAUACCCUUACGGCUAGACUUCGGCCAGGAAGCUUGGCCCAUUACGAGACGAGUUCAAGGCUUGAUCCGACAACCUGGAGUUUCGCGCAAGGAAACAAGAUGUGGAGAUCAAGCAGGAUUCUAGUCGGUUAGAAUAGGAAUUGAUAUCAAAUUAUCCGUGGCAAUUGUAACCGACUAGGAUUAGUUUCCAGAUCUGUAACCCUGCCCUCCAGACUAUAUAAGGAGGGGCAAGGGACCCCCCUAGGGCACAUCACAUCAUAUCAUAUUCUCUCAACACAAAUCAAUACAACCAGACGCAGGACGUAGGUAUUACGCCAACUCGGCGGCCGAACCUGGAUAAAAAGCUUGUCCGUGUCUUGCGUCACCAUCGAGUUCGUAGUUUGCGCACCGUCUACCGAUAAACUACUACCGUGGGUAUACCCCAAGGUAGACUGCCGACCAGCUUUCGUCGACAGUGGCGCGCCAGGUAGGGGGUGUGCGUACAGCUCUCCCGACGAACAAGAUGGCCAUCAUCCCUGACUUCGCGGCCAUGGCGGGCGACUUCACGUUCACCGUCAGCUUCAACAACUUCACCGCCAUGACCACGGAGGAGGUGUAGAUCCGAUCUGCGCCAACCACUUCUUCAUCGACGUCGGCGGCGGCUUCAACCACGCUGGCUACGACUCCGACUACUCCAGCAACAUCUCCGACCACGCCGACAACGCGUCACCCGCUUCCCUGCUACAAAGGGAGGCAGAUCGACAACACCGACCUGCUCGGGCCAUCGACCAAAUUGUUUGGCCUACUUGCUCUGACCACCAGUCGCAAUAAUAAUUGCCGCGAAGAACGACGCUACGACAACAGCGACCACCGUCAUGACAAGUCGAAAAGCUCGAGGGCCGGACAAUUUUGUCGUCACCGACUAGACUUUCAUCCAAAGAUAAGUACACUUCUAAUAUCUUAUUUAUUUUUGGCAUAAUAUUUUUUAUCCUUGAAAAACAACUUUUUGUUUAGCCACACUAGUUUUUUCUCCUACACGAGCUUUCCAGAGCCGGUACUGUCUCCGACUCCUCCCUACACGUGCACGAGAUCCGCCCUCUGCGUUCCGGGUGGUCAGCAGUAGCUCUCUGGCGAUGCUGGCAAUCCCACGCGUGUCUAGGUUCCGCACCUCAUGCUGAUUGUUGGCUAGACCAGAGCUGGUACAAGCUCUAGGAUGAAUUAACUACUUGUGCUAAUUUUAUAACAAAAAAUCUAAAACUUAUCUCAGUACUGAUUUUUAUCUAAAGUUUAUUUAUACAUCAUGUACUACCUAUUCUUUAUAUUUAUUUUUCAGGGGUUUGGCCCAGUCGACAAGCUACGCUCGGGGACUCGUCGACUAUUCCCUACGCUGUGCCCGGGGACUGCUCCGACCACCGAGCACGUUUACGUUCCCAACCACGCUCGGGGACUUGUCGACUACUCUCUAUGCUGUGCUCGAAGACUGUGCCGACCACCGAGCACGUUUACGUUCCCAACCACGCUCGGGGACUUGUCCACCGGUCCCUACGCUGUGCUCGGGGACUGUGCCGACCACCGAGCACUAUACGCUCGGGGACUGGUCGACCAGCUCACCAAUUUAUAAACUUGGGGACUGCACCGACCACCGAGCACUAUACGCUCGGGGACUGGUCGACCAGCCCACCAAUUUGAGAAUUUGGGGACUGUACCGACCACCGAGCGUUAUAUGCUCGGAGACUGGUCGAUUAGUCUAUUCAAUUGCAGACGAGCAUGAUAUGCUCAGGGACUGGUAAAUUCAAUUUUUUAGACCUUGCUACAAGGCUCAUACUUCGCCUUCCAGCAAGCUCGGGGACUACAUCGGUACGAUGCAUCUGGCGAUGCAUCUCAGUUACAGAAUUUCUUUGAGGACUUUUAUUUUGACCCUGGCACCACGUGCCUACGUCACCUACUACCAGGCUCGGGGACUAAGUGGGCACACUUCACCUUGCGGUGAAUAUGCUUGCUAUUUUGAGGUCUAUACUUUUCAUAAAAGUAAAGUGGGCACACUUCAACAGGUAAGAAAUCUUUUUUAAUUAAGAGCACCAUGCAUUCUUCGAACAACCUGCUUCUUCGAUGUCAAUGUUGAUCAACUAUCUUUUGAGUUGGUCAAAAUACCGUUGCAACUGUUCGGGCGACUUUCCUGCUUAUUGAAGACGUCAAGCCUCACUGAUCGAAGAAGCUCAAGACGGCGUGUUACAUCACAAUACAUGGUGCUCGGGGACUAGCUGUGGGGGGAUAAACCCCUAUACCCUUACGGCUAGACUUCGGCCAGGAAGCUUGGCCCAUUACGAGACGAGUUCAAGGCUUGAUCCGACAACCUGGAGUUUCGCGCAAGGAAACAAGAUGUGGAGAUCAAGCAGGAUUCUAGUCGGUUAGAAUAGGAAUUGAUAUCAAAUUAUCCGUGGCAAUUGUAACCGACUAGGAUUAGUUUCCAGAUCUGUAACCCUGCCCUCCAGACUAUAUAAGGAGGGGCAAGGGACCCCCCUAGGGCACAUCACAUCACAUCAUAUUCUCUCAACACAAAUCAAUACAACCAGACGCAGGACGUAGGUAUUACGCCAACUCGGCGGCCGAACCUGGAUAAAAAGCUUGUCCGUGUCUUGCGUCACCAUUGAGUUCGUAGUUUGCGCACCGUCUACCGAUAAACUACUACCGUGGGUAUACCCCAAGGUAGACUGCCGACCAGCUUUCGUCGACAUAUCCAUGUUAUUCCCCGUGAAAUAAAUGCUCGAGAUAUUUUGGUUACUACCACUUGUUACAUUAUUCCAGGAGGGUGAGUGCUCUGAAAAAAAAGGGGCAAGUGCCCGAAACCUCGAAAAAAAGAAGAAGAAAAAAAAGAGAAAAAGUGAGGCGAGAGGUAAAAAUAGACAAGUGUCCGACAGUAGAAUUAGGGGUACAAGAUACCCACCUGAGAGAAAAGAAAAAUAAAACAUAGAGUGUCUUAUUCCCCUCAAAAUCCUCAAGUGCAAGAAAGGUAUGUACCCCCUCAAAAGAGCAAAAGUAGAAUUAGACUUUCACCAUUAUUUUCACAAUUAUCACCAUUCAUUCGCCACACAUGCACAUCUUGAUUUGACUUAUUGACUUGUUCUUCUGGAUCCAUGGUUUGACUAUGCAAUAAAUGUCUUGUAAGUAUGUAUACUUUAUCUCCCACCAAUGAGCUCUAGAUAUAAAAACCUUAUUAGAGUUGGGUGAGAGAGAAGGCAAUGUCACUAUGCCUCAUACCAAAAAUACCACAUACCUUGAGAGAAGGCAUAUACCAUUACUGCCUUGGUAAGGAUCUAGAAAUACCACAAAAGAGAGACUAGAGAGAGUCAUAUAACGAAUCUAUGAGUUUUAUUUGAAAAUCUGCAAAAACUCCAGAGCUAUAGUUAAUCGAAGAACAAGAGAUAUGGCGCUUGAAUAGACCGUUCUAUCUUUUAACUGCUCAAGACAUAAGUGACGGUUGCAAGCCCCAUGGUGGAAGGUAAAAUAAGUAAGUUUAAAUCUUAACAGUUUACCCUAACCUAGAGAUGAGAUCUUGUUUGAACGCAUGUGUACCUUUAAGGCACGAAACCACUACAGAUACUCUUGAGUCCAUCUUUGCUCAGGGACGAGCAAAGGUUAAGCUUGGGGGAGCUUGUUGACGGUCCUUAAUGCUCACAUUUAACCGUCAACUAAUCAUGAAAAAGGAUCCAAAUGCAACCGACACCUAGACUUAGGGUUUCAUGUGACCGAUUUCCACGAGUUUUGGUGUUUGUCUAUUUCUACAGAGGGUUAUCAGGAAAUACGAAGGAAAGGCUCACACAUCGGGUUUACAUAGAGAAUUAAUGUGUGCGGUAAUUUUCCAUAAUCAGGAAGACUCUAGAAGCAACUUGACCGAAGCGGAGACGAGACGGGCCUGGGACCAGGGCGCCCGCGCUUGCUCCUAGGGCGCCCGCCCUGGUACAAGCACUAAUCACAGAAUGGAGUACACCAUUACAAACAUCUCAUCGAGCAGAUCGAAAUGCAUAUAUUAUUUGCUAUAUUUGGAGUUCGGAAUCAAGAUAUAUUAAUAAAAGAAGGACUCCACAUAAAAGAGCUGCGGGAUUAAUUGGGCCCAAAUCAGAUUUUGGUCCAUUAAGGCCUAUGUGCAUUUUAAUGAGAUAUGGUGGAAAGGUUAGUACCACAUCACCUGCUGAACCAAAAAAGCACAAAGGAGGAGGACUAUACAAGCAAGGCCCCUGGCCCCUGGAGGAGAACAGAUCAUCAUAGAGUUGAGAGGUGCCCUCGAAGGAUAACCUUUCCUCUAUAGAAAAUUAGGGCUGGACAUUCCAAUGUAGUAGAUUAGUUCUAGUGGGUAGUUAGGGAGAGCGGAGCUGCACUCCGGUUCUGGAGAAGUCUUCAGAGUUUUGGUAUGUCUUUAUAUUGUAAGACUUAUGCUUUAAUAUAUUUAUCUUCUCUAUUUACUUUUAUGCCUUUAUUAUUAUCGAGUAGUGUAGUUGUUAUAUUGGCAUAGGAUCUCCGUUCGCAUCGAGUGCUCUAGUUAUUCAUGGUAAUUAGAGUAGUAAUCAUUAGUGUAGACGUGGUGUCUAUACUAGAGGUUACCUGAGGUUGCACCCAGUCCUGCGGAUUGUUGUGGUAGCCCUAGGGUAGUGACAGCCUUAACGGUCGACGUAUUCCACCUCGUUCGGAUCGGUGUUUGUAGGACCGAAGUCAGAGCUUCCCAGUCCCCUUCUCAUCUCUUUCUGUGGUUGGUGUUCUGUUGUCCCAAAGUUCUAAUAUGUGAUUGCUAUAUCUAUUCAUUCUUUGUUAUCAUAUAACUGAAGUAAUAGAGAAGUAUAUAAGAACCUAGGUCUCUCCCGUUGUCCUCCCGCUAUGGCUAUCUACGCAUUUAUCAUAGAAUUCUCACCUUUAUAUUAUUACCUAUCAUAUAUCAUUUACCCCUACUUUAGUCUAGUUGGUUUAUUAAAUUAGUAGAUGCAUGAUAGUAAGUUAUCAGAGUCUUCGACCUUAGCCUCCCAGUGGUAAAAUUUAAAUAACGAUACCUGGAAUACUCGCGGUAAAAUGCUAUGAUGAUGUUCUGUGCGCUUGCGGAUUUUUUCUUAUUCUUAUUGCACUUAACGAAUGUCAACAGUAAUCAAUCCCCCAGACAUCAAAGAGCUCAAUCUAGAGAUUUUUGAUGAGCGGCAUGGCAUCCCUUGAAUUGACAUUACCAUGUGUUUGGCAUAGGCCACAUCUCUGAGUAAAUUCUCGUGUGUCUUCAUACAUUAUUGGCCAGAAGAAUCCACCAUAUGGUGAUGAAUGAUAUCUUUCAAUUAUUUUGAUUCCUUCUUCAGUUGGUACACAUCUUCUGAGUAAACCAUCAAAGCAUACUUGGAAGAGGUAUGGUUCAUCCCAUAUGUGAGAACGACUCUCCAAGAUUAGCUUCCUUUUGUUGCCUCCUGGUGGUACAUAACCUGUAACCAUAAAAUUAACAAUAUCUACAUACCAGGGGUCAGACCUGUUGAUUUUUUAGAGCAUGUCGUCUUGGAUUGAGUCUUCAAUGGGUAGUUCCUGUGGAUUCUCAAAUUGCAUUCUAGACAAAUGAUCGGCAACAAAUUUUUCUACUCUCAUUUUAUCUUUUAUUUCUAAGUCAAAUUCUUGGACUUUAGCUCCCAUUAAUUAAGAUCUAAACUUCUCAAUAACAAAAUCAAUAGCUAGGAGCUCUUUUUCAGUAGUAGCAUAAUUAAGUUGAGGUCCUGUUAGUGUUUUGCUAGCAUAAGCUAUUACAUGAUGCUUUUUAUCCUUAGUUUGUCCUAAUAAUGCUCCCACAACAUAAUCACUAGCAUCACACAUAAUUUCAAAAGGUAAAGACCAAUUAGGGGGUUGAAUGAUUGGUGCUAAGAUGAGUGCUUUCUUAAGAAUUUCAAAAGCUUGUAAACAUGCAUCAUCAAAUUCAAAAGGAACAUCCUUAGCUAAUAAGCGUGUAAGAGGUCUAGCAAUGAUUGAAAAAUCUUUUAUAAACCUAUGAUGAAAACCAGCAUGGCCAAGGAAACAUCUAAUUCCUUUUACAUUAAUAGGCGGAGGUAAAUGUUCGAUUACUUCUGGUUUAGCUUUAUCUACCUCAAUGCGUCUUUCAGACUCUGAGUGUCCAAGCACUAUUCCUUCUCUAACCAUGAAAUGGCAUUUUUCCAAAUAAAGGACUAAGUGCUUUUCUGCACACCUUUGCAAAACCUUAUCUAAGUUUUCUAGACAAUCAUCAAAGAUUUUUUCAUAAACAGAAAAAUCAUCCAUGAAAACUUCCAUAAUCUUCUCAAUCAUAUCAUAAAAUAUAGAUAUCAUACAUCUUUGAAAAGAAGCUGGUGUAUUACAUAACCCAAAAGACAUUAUUCGAUAGGCAUAGGUUCCAUAGGGACAUGUAAAGGUGGUUUUGCUUUGGUCAUCAAUAUGGAUAGAGAUUUGGUGAUACCCUUAAUAUCCAUCUAAAAACAAAAGAAGGAAUGGUUGGCUAACUGCUCUAGCAUCUCAUCAAUGAAAUGGAAAGUGAUCUUUCUUAGUUGCCUUAUUAAGCUUUCUCUAGUCUAUGCACAUCCACCAUCCUAUGAUGGUUCGUUGAGGGAUUAACUCAUUCCUCUCAUUUUGGACAAUAGUCAUACCUCGCCUUUAAUUACAACUUGAACAUGGCUUACCCACUCACUAUGCGACACAACAUAAAUGAUGCCCACAUGUAAUAGUUUUAAAACUUCUUUCUUUACAACCUCUCUCAUCGCAUUGUUGAGUCUACGUUGGGGUUCUCUAGAUGGUGGAAUAUUACGAUGUGUGGGAAUGCGAUGGGUGCAAAGAGCAAGACUAAUUCCCUUGAGGUCUUGGAGUGAGUAGCGAAAGGCUGAGUGAUGUUUUCUAGGACAGCCAUUAGACGAAGAGUCUACUCCUGAGUGAGUUUAUCACUUAUAAUGAUAUGAGACUCUAGAUCGUCACCUAGAAAAUAAUACCUAAGACAGGAUGGUAAAGGUUUAAGCUCAAUAAGAGGUUUAGGUGGUACUGCAAACUCAUCUAAAGGUUCUUCCUCAUAAUGGCUAGCUUCUUCUUCUAUGAAGAAUCUAGCUUCAUCUUCUAAUCCUAGCUUGGCUAAAAAGUCUAAGGAUGCAGCCCUAAAUUUCUCUAAUGGGUCAUCUUGUGGACAAGGUUUGGUCCUAGAGUUUAAGUAGUGUGAAAUGGAUAAUGGGAAUUGAAGUUUCUUGCCUAAGUGAAUGUUUAGUUUCCCAGAUUGCCCUUCAUAGAGAAGUCGUCUAAAAGGUUAUCCUAUCAAUAGGUCAAAGUCCCCUAUGUCAAAGAUAUAAAGAUUAAAUGUCCUAGGGUUUUGUUGACUCUUCUUAGCGUCAGUACCUAGGAUUGUCAGUCCUUGGCAGAACACUAGAAAAUGCUAGUGUGACACUAGAAGUGGCAAACAGUUUUACCUCAAGCGGACGGUGGUCAAUGCAGCACUUCACCAGGAGUAUUCUAGGUAUCGUAUUUUCCAUGGGGAACGAGAAGUGAUUAACUAGACCAAUUGAGUCGUUAGAUGAUGAUCAAAGGGCUUAGGAUUGAGUGGAGAGGUAUUUCUAUUAUUUGACUUCUGGCUAAGCUAUCCUAAUAUACCGGGAGUUAACUACCUUCCUACUAUGGCUGAUAGGUGAAAAGAGUGUGGCAAAACACUUCCCUUGGCAGCUACCAUGCAGGCCAACUAUUUUUUGCAACUUGCCUAACAGCACACUAAAGAGAACACCUAAUGUCCAGCAGAGGCCUAUCACGCUUUGCUGCUGGCGUAAUUCAGGUGCGACAAGAAGUCCACAAGGGCAGACUUAGUCUAGACACCACGUGUACACUAAUUCUACUACUCUAGACCUAGCUAAGGUUUUGAGCACUUCACACAAGGCAAAGCAAUGUGCUAGUAGGCCGGUUGUAUACUUAAAAUAAACUAAGACAAAAAGUAAAUUCUAGAAGUACGUAGAUGAAAGGCAGCUAGAAGGAAGACUUACUAGAAGACAAGCAUCUGCUGAGGCGCUCCUGGAAGAAGACUCCCAACAAGCCAGGGCUCCUCCUUAGGGAACUCCUCACUCUCUUCCCUCUAUUAUCAUACUUAGCUAAGAGUAGCUCUUCCUAAGAUACAUCAUGCUUAACUUGGCUCUCUUAUGGGGUAUUUAUAGGGGAGAGAUGGAGUAGGGCCUAUGAUGAGGAUCAGGCUCGAUCUUCCGAGAGGUAAUUGGUAAAUUCCAUUGUGGAGAACUCGACGUUGGUGAUCCAGCUUCAAAUCAGCACAAUUCAAAACCUGCAGCCAUUACACCACUGCUCCGUUCGUUAUCAACCAAGCACAACUUGAUUGACCUCGCCAAGAAGGUUGUUCCUGUAAGCGAAUCGAAGAACACAAGCAAGAAAGUACAAACACAAUCUAAAAUUGCAGAUAUGAAUGACGUGAAUAUUCAAAUGAGGGUUCAAGAAACUCGGUUCCAAAGGACUAAUCGACACAGUGGAGGAGAUCAAUAACGGGGGCCCUGGAUCACUGUAAAAGGAUUUGUCACCAUAGUUACAAUGAACGAUUCAGUUUUUCGAUGGAAAACUAAACUCUAAACAAAACUGAAGUCUAAACAGAGGCGGCUGCAUGGAAUAUAAAGGAGAAGUGACCUAGGGUUGGAGGCAACCAGGGGGAGACACUCACAACAUGGGCCUAAGGCCCGAAUUCGAUACAUUACCAAGUUGGCCCAAAAUAGGUGAUGCAUCACCUUGUCGUGGACAUAAUGAUUAAUCCACGAAAUAUCUGGAGCUGGGACCAGAUCCAAAAUGACGGCGUCAUUGUCCCCUUUCCAACGAGUCUAAGAUCACCCUGUUUCGAUGUCGUAUGAAGAAGUUAUGAUCAAAACACUGAUGACAUGUUUGCUGAAUCCGAGAGUGACGUGGUAGCUGAGUUGGAGAAGAAUUGCUACAUGGAAAAGACGAUGGUGUCAACGUAUGCAGCGUGGCAAUGUCCUUAUCAGGCUACUCCAGCGCCACAUCAGCAAUCCGUGUGACCUCUAGCAUGCACCGUUGGAUAAACCGACCAUGGAACCGCCAUGUGAUCAACGGUUGGGGAUUUCCAUCACAUGUUCAUCAUGGGGAGGUCGGUGGGAGUGAACCGACUCAUGAUGGGGCCCACAUGUAGGUCGGUCGACCUGCACUGUGGCUGACAAUGGGUCCCACUGACCUUCUGGAAGGUCCUUAGGUUGGUGGCAUGACCCAAUUGGUCAGUCGGCCGACCGACCUUUGGGGCCCCUAGCCCACCACUGGCCUCUUGGUGGUGUCCCCACUUAUCACGUGGAGUGUUGUCCAAAGUUGAGUCUGGUUGCACACUCUCUUGCUUCCAUGUGGGCCCAAGGAUCCAUGUUAUAAGUGUUUGAACCAUUGAGGGCAAGCACACAAGGAUCCAAGGGUUGGGAUUGACUCCUUGGAGUAUGCCAUGGCUCAUGCCAUGGAGAGGAGCCCCUGGUGGGCCCAAACCAUGGUCGGCCGACUAAGGUUAUGGGGCCCGCAGGGCUCAUUUCCUUCUUCCCUGCAUUGAACAAGCUAAGAGUACAAGUGGAACUUUAUUAGUGAUAAACAUGGUCAUGUGAUGCUUAUCUUCAUUCAAUCGAGGACUGUUGACGGGCUUUUGAGUAUAUAGAACUGGGUCUUAUUUCACGUCAAUAGGUUCCUUCUACCUGAAUGGGUAGGAUAUGUAAGAUUCCUAAACUAGGGAUAGUAUGUCCUGAGAGGCUUCUCAUGAAUUUUAUUGGUAGGAUUAAUGUCAUGUCUUGUAUUAAAUAUUACACAAGAGGCAUAGACAUGAUAUUUAACCCCACAACUAGAUUAUAGAGAGCAUUUAUUUGAUCCGUAUUGUUUAUGCAACGAAUUGGAAUAGAAGAUGAAUCUAAAUGGAUUAUUUCAGUAGAGAGCUCUGAUUCUUUUAACCAUUCAUUAUUUAUGACAGAUACUAAUUCUCCUGAGGUUCUUAUAGGGGGAAUGUCCUUGAGGGGAUUAAAAGACUCUCUAGUGUUUCUCUGUAGCCUUUUCAUAGAGUGAUAAUUCAAAACGUUUCCAGAUUCAAAAAAGAGAUCAGGUUAUACUUCUAGCAUGAAAUCUAGAAUUGAAUUUCUUCUUUUUCUUGAUCUAGACAUGUGCUAGCUGAAGUAGAUGGUGUGUCUGGCAAAGAAUUGGUUUUGGUUAACUAGGGUUGAGGCUCAACUUCUAGGAGGUAAUCUAAUUUAGUGGGUAUGAUUUGAUCUAGGAUUAAUCUUGCUUUCUCGGAGGAGACACAAAAAUAUUCUACUGAAGUAGUGUCGAGCAACUUUCUACUUUCUCUACUCAGACCUUUUGUAAAAAUGUUGUUAAAGAAUAGGGCUGGUAGACUAAGGUCUGGACCGGAUGCUAAGAGUGUAGUAAAUUGAUUCGGGGCUGAGGCCAAUGAUUCUUUAGAUUCUUGCUUUAUAGUCAGAACCUUGACUCUAAUGUCGAUGAUUUGGGAGAUGGGAUAGAAAUCUAGGCAAAAGUUGGAACAUAAAGAUCCGCAAUCUCCUUGUUGCUUACCUACAGCUCUAUUAGACCAUUGUCUAUCUUUUACCUUUAAUGAAAAAAGAAAUAGCUUCUAAUGGAGAGUUUCAUCGGAUAUGCCUUCAAUGCGAAUAGUCACAUGUUUGCUCAAAGUCUCUAAUGUGUAGGUAAGGAUUUUCAUCUCCUUUUCCUAAAAAGGAUAGGCUUUGGACCAAUGCAAUCAACUGUGGACUCAGCUUCAUGUUUGGAUAGGUUGUGAUGACUCAUGUGGCACUAGGCUGCUCUCCCUAGGCACAGAGAACUGAAUGAUAGGAAUGGAAUUUAAGGUAUCCAUAAAGUAAAAGGUAAGAUAUAAGAAACACUGAGAUAAUAGAGAAAGAUAAAAGUAUACUACAAGGUAGAGUAAGACUAAUUUAUCUUUGUAGAUCGUCUUCCUCCCUGGCAACGGUGCCAGAAAUGCCUGUUGAUAUUAGUUACACACACAAAAGAACCAAAGAGAAAUAUUCCGCAAGCGCACGGAUAUCAAUAAGUGCUUCACUCAGGAGAUAAGUCCAGAGUAUCAUAUUUAUUUUUUACCACUAGGAGAAAGCAUGCAAAAGACUAACCCGAUCUUACCUACUACCCACAGGCUGCAAGACAAGAUAGCAAGAUAUAAGCAAUAUAGAGAGAACUCCUUUGUCAAUGUUCCUCUAACCUAUGCAAAGUGUGUUGUUAUUGUUCUAAGGUGAGUAUCUAGAAAAAAGAGACACCUUAUAGAGUCCUUAACCUUGGCACCAUGUAUCCUACCUUACCUCCUAAUGGGACAUGGAUUACAGAGACAUGAGCAGAUUGUCACUUGCCCCCAAUGCUACCACAAAUCUGGCCAAACAGGGAGAAUCUAAGAGUAUUCCUAGCCCAAGCGCCACACUUACGCUAUGAAUGAUUACUCUAUUUCCUAUGCAAAGCGAAUAAAAUAAACUCGUAAACCAAAGAACAAUAAGAACAAUAACUUACUAGUAUUAGAAGUCAAAUUACUGAAUGAUUCUAGAACCAAGCCUUGGGUUAGGAGACUUGAUCCCAAAGAUACAAAGAAGAAGACACCAAAACGCCGGGCUUUCUCAACUUCUAUCUCCACCUUAUACUCUCUCAAUCUCUCUUGUUGCUAUAACCCUAUAGAGACAGAUCCAUUCGAGGGACCCCUCUCUAACUAAUUCUCUCUAGAAAAUAUGAAUCAACAUUUCUGAAUUAGCUCCUCAAGGGGGUUAGGGUCAUAUUUAUAGCCCCUAAGAAGCACCACAGCCCUUGGAUCAAACCGACUUAAACGUAUGCUCAAGAUUACUCUUCAAAGGUAGUGGAGGCAGGAUCCACGAGGUGGAACCUGAUUGGUUCUCACCCUUGGGCGGCCGCCCCACCUCUUAGGGGCGGCUACCCGUGGCUUCUAUCAUGUGGGUCCCAAGUUUUAGGUGGUGGCUCCUUGAGUCUUCUAGAUUGUUCCUUAGUUGAAGUUCAUGUGUUCUCUCUAUGUAAAUCUGAUAUGUGGACCAUCUUUGGCUAAUUUUGGUUGACACCAUGCAGAAAUAGAUAUUCACCAAAACUAGUGGAAUUCUGUUAGUGAUAACCUUAUAUCUACUAAGUGCUUUCAAAUAGGUCCUGUUUUCAUGUUUAGUUGAUGGUUAGAAUUAGGAGUUAUCUACCAUCAACAAGUGCUCAACUUAACCGUUGUCUUUCAACUGCUUAAGACCUAAGUGAUAUCUAUAAGCCCUAUGGUGAAAGGUAAUAUGGGUGAGUCUUGAGUUAGAAUGGUUCACUCUAAUCUAGAGGAGAGUCCUUGUUUGAACACAUGUGUACUUGUGAGACGUGAAAGUAUUGUAGCAUCUCCUGAUCCAUCACUGAGUCUAUCUUUGCUCAGGGACGAGCAAUAGGUAAGCUUGGGGGAGUUUGUUGACAGUAGAUAAGUACUCUUUUUAACCAUUGUUGGCAUUUCAUAAUGUCAUCAAAAAAGAUAGACUAAAAUUCCAUCCCUGCAACAGCACCAAAAAGCCUGUUGACUCUAGAAGUGGCAAACAGAAAUACCGCAAGCAUACGGUAGUCAAUGUAGCUUUCACUGGGAGUAUUCCAGGUAUCGUAUUUUCCACGGGGAAUGUGAAGUGAACUAACUAGGCUCAAGGUCAUCCAAAGGGUUAAGGAUAGGUAAGUGAUCUCACACAGAUCCUAAUCUAAAGAUAAAUUAUAGAGAGCUAGCUAGGUGGGAGGACAACGAGUGAGGAUAGACUCCUAUAAACCAAUCUAAUCUAGUAGAGGACACACACUAACAUCGCUAAACUUAACUACUUGUUUGUUGGAAGUUAACUGCAAUAGGAGGACGAAACUCCUAUCCAAGCGGACUCAUUUCUUGUGGGUGCCAACAGACCGUACCAAACAUGAAUAGAACCUACUGGGAAGCAGAGGCCUGUCACACUUCGCCGCUUCCCGCUAUUACAUUUGAUAUUGUGGUAUUCAAGGGUAGGCUUUAGUCUAAGCACCACGCUUAUGCUAAGUCCUACUACUCAGACUAAGUAUGUGACCUAGUCCAAGCACCGUGUUACCGGUUUAGAAAACAACCCAAGCACUUAAGACUAACUUAGCUAGUAUAUAACUACUAUAAGACAAACUUGGACACUACAAUAGAAUAUUGCACUCAUUAAAUACUGAAAGUAAAUACUUACAAAAGUAAAGGAAAAGUAAAUAUAUUAAAUACUCAAAUUCUUACAAGAGGAAAGGUAAAGAGGAAUACUAGACUCUCUAGAAGACGACUCCGGAGACUCUGAGCUUCGCUCGACUCAACUCUAACUCCAACACUAGACUAACACUACUACCCUACAAUGUAACAAGUGGAUCUUGAAGUGUGAGAUGAUAUGAGAUGAAGGCCUAUAGGGGGUAUUUAUAGCAGGAGGUGGAGUAGGGGCUACUCCACUGCCACGUUAGCAAUCCGCGUGACCUCCAGCAUGCACCAUUGGAUAAACCGACCUUGGAACCGCCAUAUGAUCAACGAUUGGGGAUUUCCAUCACAUGUUCAUCAUGGGGACGUUGGUGGGGUGCAACCGACCUUGGAAGCUCCCAACCUUGGGAUCGGCCGUCCCACCCAAUGACAGGUGGGACCGGUGUUGUCUUCUAGAAGGAAUCCCAUGUCGGUUGGUGCAAACCAGGUGGCUGGAUGGCCCCAGAGUGGGAUCGGUCAAUCCCACUUUGGUAGAACCAAAGGCUCAUCUUCUGUAGGUGACUUCCUGGUGAAAUUUUGAGCACAGUGGUGGUGGUGGGCCCACAAAGGUGUGGUCGGCCGACCCCACUAAUGUGCCCAUCUUUCGCACAUUGUCUCGAGAGGCUAUGAGAUUGAUGAAUGUGAAAUUGGUUUUCCAAUUGGCCAUUUUGGGGUGGUAGUCCAACCUUCAUAUAGAGCUUCUUAACACAGAAAAGUAUUUGAUUGCACACCUGCAUCCAAAUGAUUGUUGACAGGAAAUAAGACCAAGUUCUAUAUACUCAAAAGCCUAUCAACAGUCCUUGAUUGAAGAUAAGCAUCACAUGAACAUAUUUAUCACUAGUAAAGUUCCACAUGUACUCUUAGCUUGUUCAAUGUAGGGGAGAAGGAAAUGAGCCCUUUGGGCCCCAUAACCUAUGUCGACGGACCGGGGUUUGGGCCCACUAGGGGCUCCACUCCAUGGUAUGAGCCAUGGCGUACUCCAUGGAGUCAAUCCCAACCCUUGGGUCCAAGUGUGUGUUGAUGCAAAAGUGCUUCUGCAAACACAAAGGGCUAAUACCCAAUUUCAACGUUAAGGCGUACCAACCGAUUUAACCUUACAAUGGACAAAGGUGAUAACUCAAAUACUUUGGUCCUGACAACAGCGAUGCGCCCGGAUGUCAUGGCCAAGAGGUAUUCAUGCGGAGGUCGAGAACUCGUCGAUUAUGACUUGAAGAAUUCUUAAGAACUCGUAAGUAAAAGAAAAUAUGCGAGUUGACGAAGUCGUCGAAAGUAGAUGCAAAAAUAGAUGUAAACACUUCGUGUACGAUUGAUUGGAUUGUCUUCUUACAUCGCUACUAUGCCUAUAUUUAUACUCUAUCACAACCAGAUACGACUAGGAUUCUAAUUCCAAAUGAAACAGAACUCGUACAUAAAAAUAAACUCUAACAAUUAUAGAAAACAACAAUUUAUCUAUCCUAGGCAAUCGGUACACCACCACUAUCCCUUCGAUGAUUCCCAUGUCCUCCUUCACCAUCAUCGGCAUAUCAUCCUCCUUCGGCAUUGAUGUUGACACUAGCUAACACCACUUAGAUACUAGGUUGUCAUCCCCAGCAUGGUGCCAGAGUGUACAAAGGUAUUUAUAAAUGUAAAGGGCUCUCUAGAAAAUAAUCUAUUCUAUCCGCAAGCGCACAGAUAAAACACCUCAUUGUAGCAUUUCACCAGGAUAAGUAUUCCAGGUAUCGUUAUUUAUAAUUUUGCUCAAGGGAUCUAAAGAAGAUGAAAUUAAAUCAAGGGGCAAAAUCUAUCAAGGCAUAGACUAGAGAUAAACUUGCAAUAACAUGAUUACUAAUGAGAAACUCGUCACACAGUCACUUACUUUAGCAGGGGGUAAACCAUAAAGAUAAUGAUAAUAAAGUAUAAGUUCAUGGGUAGAUAACACAGCGAUUAGAAAAUAGACUACUCCUCGUAUAUGUAGGUGAUGUCGGAUUAGCUAGAGAAUGGAUUCUAAGUUAUCUACUAACUACUAAGUCAUAAUCUACUCUAGUUAUCUACAAGAUCAUAUAUAGCAUAAAAGACUCUUCAUUCAUGUAUAAGGAACAUUGAUAAAGUAAAUCAUAGCAUCGCAUGACUUACUCCACAAUACCGGUUCUUCCUGUCCUAUCAACGGAGGGUGGACUAUAUAAGAAUCAACGAAGCUGUCACUAUCGCGAACUACCACACGACCCGGCCAAUAGGAUACAUUUGCAGAUAAAUAACAUCUAAGCACCACGCUCACAUGUGAUCUAUCACCUAACUCCCUCGCGUCAAGAGCUAAGCGCUUUGCAAACUUAUACAUAAACUCAUUAUCAAUUAGAACUAUAUCAAAUAUAGAACUAGAGCAAGCUAAGAACAUAAUAAUUAGAGACAUAAUGCAAUUAUAACAAAGAAUUAGAGAAAGAUAUGAAUUAUACCAAUCUUUAUUACCGAAGAUCCGAAUCCAGAGCGUAGUGCUCUACUUCUCUAAUUGCUAUCUAAUCAAACCUCUAAACUUGAAGGAUUAGGGAGUAGCUAAUUCUAAUUCUAUGUGGGAGAGAAGCUCUAAACCCUAACUUUGAUGCCUACCUCUGAAUAAUGAUUUCUUCUCUUCUCCUCCAGGGGCCAGGGGGUCUGGUUUUAUAGUCCCCUCAAGUGAACGUGAGCCAUUGGAUCAAACCGACAUAGAUUGUAUGGUUUAGAUUGAUCCUUUAGGUUGGUGGAGCGUAGUCCCGAAGCAGAGUCCUGAUUGGACUCCUGGCCUGGGCGGGCGCCCAAGGGGGGUGGGCGGCCGCCCUGCCCCCGAGCCCGAUUCCCUUCUCGUUCGUUCCCAUGGCUUCUGGAUUCUUCUAGAUUGAGGAAAAUUGUGCGGCACAUAAUUAUCUCGUUGUAAACAUGACAUGUGGGCCUUCUCUCCGUAUUCUCUGAUAACCCCCUGCAGAAAUAGAUAAACACCAAAGCUCAUAGAAUUCUGUCUGAUAAAACCCUAAUUCUAGAUGUUUGUUUCAUAUUGAUCCUUUUUCACAUUUAUUUGAUUAUUAAUUUUAGUACUUAAGGACCGUCAACAAACUCUCCCAAGCUUACCCUUUGCUCGUCCCUGAGCAACUAGCUAAACUCAGACAGAUCAGGAGUUGCUUCGAUGUUUUCUUUCCUGACAGGCACACAUGCUUUUUACAUAAAAAUUCCUCCAGAUUAGAGUGAAGUGUUAUGGAGUUUAGUACCUGCACUCAAGUCUUAAGUAAUCGAAAGACAAAAUAAUUAAGCCAAGCACUAUUCCUCCUGUCUAUACUUCACCUUUGUUCUAGAGUUUUUUUCAUAAUUUUUCAAAAUAAUACUCAGAGUUCCCAGCAAUGAUUCUCUCAAGUCUAUAUGUAGUAUUUGUGGAUCCUUACCAAAAUGUCACUUACCUAUAGCUAAUGGAAUAUUUAAGUGGAGCUCAUAGGAGUGAAAACAGCUUAUACAUAUGUUGUCUAAUCGAGCCAUGGAUCCAAAGGAACUCAGCAUAUAAUUAAAUCAAGAUGUGCAUGUGUGAUGGAGUAAAUGAUAGUGAUGAUAAAAAUGUAUAAGUAAUAAUAAAACUUGGUUCUCAUUGCUCCUCAUAUUGAUAUGUCUCCUUCUUCUCUGAUCUUUGCUUUGGGAGAACAUGGGCUAUCUCUUUUCUUUUUCUUUUUUUUUCUUUUUUUUUCUUUUUUUUUCAGGUGGGUAGUAGAUACCCCUAAUUCUACUGUCGGACACGUGUCCAUUUUUUCCGCUCAAGUGGGCAUCUUUGUACCCCUAAUUCUACUUCGGACACUUGUCCAUUUUUACCGCUCGUCUCACUCUUUUUCUUUCUUUUUCGAGGUUCUGGGCACUUGCCCCUUUUUAUUUCUUCGCAUAUUUUUGCAUAACCCAUGCCUCUUCUGCAUUAAAUCUUUUUAGAGAGAGAGAAUAACAAUAUUCGGGACAGUGAGUGAUAAUAUUUUUAGCAAUUUGAAUGAUUGGUAAUGAAUGCUAUGGUAGAUGUGUGCAAGUGAAUAUCUUAAUUUAACCACAUGAAAAGCUCCUAAGGGUCUACACAGCUCGAUCAAACUCAAUGUGAAUAUAGUAAAAGAUGCUAUAGCAAGUAUUCAAAAUAAAUCUCCAGAACUUAGUGUAGCAGGAACAAGAUAAACAGCAGCUCAACUUUAUAUCAUGCCUUUCUCCUUCCUAGACUUUAGUUUUUUGCUUCCCAAAGAUAGUAAUUUCAGUUUUAGUAAUUCCUGGAAGAACUCUAAUAUAGAAGCUAGGUACUUAUAAGUAAGCAAACAGAGCAACUGUUCAUUAUUGUCAUCAUGUAUCUUUUUGGUCUUUUAUUUUUCUAGAGAUUAAACUUAGCAGGAAAAUAAAGCACACUUAUCUACACACUCUUUUUAUUUUGUUUUCAUAUUUAUAGAAUGCAGUAAAUUAAAGCAAGAAAAUAUUUAUUGGGUUUUCUAAUUUUUUUUCUUUUAAGAUAAAAUAGAAAAGAAUAAAUAAGAAGAGCAAAUAGAAACUUACUUGAUAAAUUGGGGAGGAACUCCCCCAAGCUGAAUGUUGCUAUCGGUCUUACCCGAUGUUCUAGAACCGCAUCAUGGUUGUGAUGUUGUCGUUCAUUGUUGUUGUAUCUUGUCUCAGCUCUUGUACUGCAGCGGCAUGGUCCUGGUUCCAUUUUUGUUGCUCUUCCAGGAGUCUUCCAUGUUCUGCUUGCGUGUUCUGGAUGUCAAGGAGUGUGUUGUCGGUACGGGUGAAGAAAGCACCGGCCUCUUGAUAGUAGUCAUUCGUGAAAGCGUAGGAGGCGUCGGAGUAUCGUCCUGCAUCAAAUUGGGGUGGAGGUCUGGAUCCUGAAGCUCCAUAUGGAUCAAUGGAGUACCUGCCCGUAUGAAAAGGCGGGUUUGUCCACUGGUGAUCUUGGCUCUCUGGCCAUGUCUCCUCUGUUGGCUCUUGUGGUUGCGCAUGACGAACCCAUGGGUCUCGAAGGACUCAAGGGUUGUAAUGGCAAUAAUGCAGGUGUGCUACUUCUUCUGGUCCGAGGUCAGCUCCAUACCAGGUGCGUUCUCGGUGAGUGGUUAUCCUUUCAGAUGCCACUCGCUGUGGAGUUCUCUGGUUCACUGGUAUUGCUGCAAUCUCAAUCAAAAAGUUUUGAACAACGUAGAGGCCAAGGUUCGGGUUAGGUAACCGAAUCUUGCCUUUAUCAUCAUAUAGCAUAUACAUUAUAUUCCCCUCUUUCUUUAACAUCCGAGCUUGUCUAAAUGUGUCAUAGCCAUGAUAAAUUCUUCUAUGAAGUCCAACGAUGAAUUUUCUAGUAAGUGAAGAUUAGAGGCUAGACGAGUGAUAAGUGAAGUACAUCCUACUGGUCCCUGAAGACUAGGUAUACGAAGCCAAUGUGAAACUAAUAGUGUAACAGGCGAAGUGGGUACUUUACUAAUAGCAGCAUAUAAAAGUUGUAAAUCUCCUACUCUUACUUUCCUAAUAUCAUCGCGAUAGAAAAGAUUGUACCCAAGCCAUUUGUGGAACAUCCUAAGAGUGGGGUGUUCCAUGUCACUGGUUCGGGCUUGACUAUAAAAAUUAUCUCUAGAUAUUUCUCUCCAAAACUAGUGUCUCUCAAAGUUGGGUAAAUCGGAGUCAAUGUCCAGGAUGCAUCUUGAAGAGAAACCAAGAUGGUCGCUUAGCUCUCUCCAAGACAACAUAAUUUCCUGUUUGAACAUCCGAAAAACAAUUCCCCCCUCAUAGUAUUGUAAGGUGCAAAGAAAUUCAGGGUGAGAAGACGAGAACCUAGCUCAGUUAUAUUCCAAAAAUUUGUCCAACCCAUCAUCUGAAAAAUUAAGUCGAAUUCAGUGUCCAUACCUGUUUCUUGUAGUAGGAUUGGAUCGAGAGUAGGGGUAUGAAUGAAAUCUUUAUUCUUCAGUUGCUGAUAGACUUCCUUCUCUCUUCGGGUCUUCAGUCCUAGGUCUCCUAUCUUGAGAAGGACCUUGACUUGCUGACCUGAUGAAGAUGUUGGAGCUUGUGUGGGUGUCGGGCGACGCUCAUCUUUGAUGGCUGUGAGGAGUGUCGGGCUAAACUCCUUGUACCAAUGUUCUUGAGAGCCUUCCCUGCAUUCUUCACCUUCUUAAACAUCCUGUAAACAAAAGUUGGCAAAACACAACUAGUGGAAAAUGUGAAAGAAAAUGUUAGUGGUCAGCUGUCCGGAAUAUCAGUAGUCUAGGGGUUAAUCGUUCAAGAUAAGUUUCUAUUUUGGUAGAGCCUCCCCCUAAACAACUUUUACUUCCGCUUGGACAGCGGGAUCACUACUUACUAGGUGAUAAUCACUCUCUCAAAAGAACUCCCAACCUUCUCAUCCACUCUUCUCUUUCUCUCUACUUUCUUCUCUUCACUACAAGAGCUCCUUCUCGGGAAACUGAAACUUGUGUGGUUUUCUGGAGUGUUUGUGUGAAGAAGAUGGAGGUAGAAUGUGGCUAUUUAUAGGAGGAAGAGGGAGCAGGGCGGGCGCCCUUGGUAGGUGGGUGGGCGCCCACUUGUGAUGCCCAUCCUGGGUGUGCCUCCUCCACUUGCUUCCUUGCUUUGAUCUCACGCUGAAUAAUAGUGUGUUGGUGGUGGUUGGACGGUGAAAAGAUGUUGUUAGUGGAGAUAUGUUGGUGAAUGAAAUUAUGUGAUGGGAUGUAUGUGAGGUGAAGUGUAUGACAUGUGGGACCCAAGAAGUGUGGGUCAUGCUUCUAGAAGAUUAAUAUAAUUAAAUAUAAUGCAGGAAAAAUCUAUGAGAAUUGAAACUUAAUUAAAAUGAUUAUGAGAAAUAUUUUUGUGCCUCCAUAAUAAUUAAUAAAUAUGGGUUGUUACACACCACGAAUAUUAUUUAUAUGGGGCUUUUUGAUUAUUAUAAUUAUGCUAUGAAUAUGUAUAACUAAUGCAAGAAUUAAUUAUGCAAGAAUUUAAAUAUGAGAAAAUUAAUAAUGCAGAUAAAUACCGAUUUACCUCCCGGUGAGGGUUUGGGAUUUUUAGGUCCCCCAAGCUGGACCUCCAAAUCUUUUAAUCUUCUGAGUUACCUUCCUCCGGAGAUGGUGUCUCCAGUGGUUCUUCAUGAACUUCCUUCACUGUAGAGUCUCUCUCUGGUCUGGGCUUGAAUGUGAAGUGUUCUUCUUGACCGUUUAUGUUGAACUUGAUUUCUCCCUUCCCGACAUCAAUGUGGGCAUUGGCGGUGCUCAGAAAUGGCCUUCCAAGGAUGAUAUGAUGGACACUUUUGAGUCAGGGCUCAUGUCCAGUACUACGAAGUCUACUGGCACCAGGAUAUCUCUGAUCUUGACUAGAAUGUUCUUGGCGAUGCCCAACGGGUGUCGAACUGAUUGAUCCGCUAGUUGUAGGCACAUUGAUGUUGGUUCUAAGGUUGCAUGCUCAAGCUUUUUGUAGACUGAUGCUGGCAUCACACUGACACUUGCUCCGAGAUCACAAAGUGCAUUGUUGAAGUGUUGGUUUCCGAUUGAGCAGUCAAUAGUGGGACAUCCGGGAUCUUCAUUCUUCUUUGGUGGUUUGUUGAGGAUGGCCACACUACAUUUUUAUGUCAGCUUGAUAACCUCAGUGGUGGGCAGUGGUCUCUUCUUGUUAAGAAUAUCUCUGAUGUACUUUGCAUAUGUAGGUACCUGUAUGGCAUCGAGCAGAGGUAUGUUGACGGAUAAUUUCUGAAUUACCUCUACAAACUAACCAAACUGCUCAUCCGACUGCAGUCCUCUGUUUCUCCUGGGAAAUGGCAAAUAGUUGGUGUCGUAAAAAUCUUUCCUCAUUUCUCCAGUUCUUGGUGGUUGUAGCAGAUCUUCUUCUAUCACUGCUGGUUGCACUGGUGCUGAUGUUCUUUGUUUCUCUUUUGGGUAUGGGGGAUCUCUGGUGGCUUUACCUCCUCUAGUAGUUAUAUUCUUUACCUGCUCAAGGUUAGUAGCAACAGGCAGUGCAACAGCUAUCUUUAUUAAUUUAAACUCUACCCUUUUAUUAAGAGUGUUUUGCUCAUCAAAGGCAGUUAGUAGAAAAUCCAUUUUAUUGUGUAUAUCUUUUAGAGAUGAUUCAUUUGUAUCUAGCCUUUGUUUAACUUCAUCAUUCAUUUUGGUUUGUUGAGCAAUUAUCUCUUUUAAUGAAAGUUGCUUGAAAGUAUUACGUGAAUUCAUACCUUUGCUAUUGGGUUGACUCAAAGUUGAUUGAUAUUUGUAUGCUGUCUCAAUGGCCCUUUGAUCUUCUUUGAACUUGGCCCUCUGGUCAAUCCAAUGGAGCAGAUUUUCCAUCUUAGUUGAUAAUGCAUUUACUUCUUCUGGUAUUUCUUCAGUUUGAUGACAUUGUUGAGCUUUAUCUUGGAACCAGCUUUGAUUUUCUGCUAUCUUAUCCAAAAGUAUCUCUGCUUUUCCAGUUGUAAGCUCCAAGAAUGAUCCUUUAGCAGAUGCAUCUAGGCACUCACGAGCCUUCUGGGUUAAUCCAUGGUAGAAGGUCUGCAUAAGUAACCAUGUGGCCAUUCCAUGGUGAGGACAAUCUGAUAUGUAUCCUUGAAAACGCUCCCAUGCUUCUGAAAUGGCUUCUGUCUUCUGUUGUUGGAAACUGCCAAUAUUUCCUCUUAAGGCAGUUGUUUUGCCUACAGGAAAAAACUUUGAUAGAAAGGCAUCUAAGAAGUUCGUCCAGUUGUUGAUGUUAUCUUGAUGAGUGUAGAACCACUUCCUCGCUUUCCCUUCUAGUGAGAAUGGAAAAAGGCGAAGCAGUAUGACGUCUUUGUCAACUCCGUUGAUGUGGAUUGUGCUUCCAGUCUCUAAGAAAUUAUGCAAGUGUGUGUUAGCAUCUUCAUGUGCCUUUCCACUGAAUUGUGUAGCUUGUACCAAAUUGACGAGGCUUGACUUGAGCUCAAACUCGGGUAUUCCUUCUUCUACUGCAAAUCUUGGACCAGUUGGAAUGUUCUCAAGGCUUGGAGCAGAGAAUUCUUGUAGGGUCUUCUGUGCCAUAGCUUCAGCAAUUGGUAGCUAGCUUCUUCUUCUCUUGAUUGCUUUGGUUCUGAUGAUGAAGAGUUGAAUGUACCCAAAGUCAAUCCUGAUAUACCCUGUAUAAAAAUAUAAACAUAGAAAAACAAUAGGGUGAACCUGCCAAAGCAGAGGUGCCUUGUUAUGAUUUCUCACUUAGUAGCUCUUUUUAUGCAAUUAUUUCUCUAUAGUCUAGUCUAAUAUUUUAUAUGAAUAACCUUGACUGAUUUUACUGGCUUUCCUUACCGUUCCUAUAUAUUACCCUUUUGGUCCUUAUGAUUCCCUUUAUGACUUAUUCCUGAGACUCGUAUAAAUCCCCGGCAACGGCGCCAGAAAUGCUUGUUGACACUAGCUAACACCACUUAGAUACUAGGUUGUCAUCCCCAGCAUGGUGCCAGAGUGUACAAAGGUAUUUAUAAAUGUAAAGGGCUCUCUAGAAAAUAAUCUAUUCUAUCCGCAAGCACACAGAUAAAACACCUCAUUGUAGCAUUUCACCAGGAUAAGUAUUCCAGGUAUCGUUAUUUAUAAUUUUGCUCAAGGGAUCUAAAGAAGAUGAAAUUAAAUCAAGGGGCAAAAUCUAUCAAGGCAUAGACUAGAGAUUGUUGAUGCAAAACUGAUCUGCAAACACAAAAGGCUAAUACCCGAUUCAAACGUUAAGGCGUGCCAGCCGAUUUGACCUUACUAUCGGCAAAGGUGAUAACUCGAAUACUUUAGUCCUGACAACAGCGAUGCGCCCGGAUGUCACGGCUAAGAGGUACUCACGCGGAACUUAAGGAUACGCCGAGCUUGAGUCGACGAAUUCCUAAGAACUCGUAACAAAAAGAAAACGUAUGACGAAGUCGUCGAAAAGUAAAUGCUAGAAUAUGAGUAAAAACGUGUGUUUGAUUGAUUGAUAGAUGUCCUGAUUACAAGGUCUUAGGGUUUAUAUUUAUACCCUGCUUAAAGAGUUACGACCAGACACGAUUAGAAUUCGAAUUCCAAAUUACACGGAACCCGUAUACAAAACGACACGAAUAACAUAAGGAAAUAAUAAAACUAUCCUUCGUGACAAACCGAAACUCCUCCACAUGAUAACUGGCAGCUUCCGGACUCCUCCUUCGCGUCAUCGGCAAUCCCCUUGCCAUAGUCAUCGGCAGACCCUUUUACUUGGUCAUCGGCACUAUAUUACUGUCUGGGGACUUAGUCACAUUCAACCCUUCCCUCAUCGGCAACCAUCCUUACCAGCAACCCGCAUCGUACUGCCUCCCUGUCCUGCCAUCCUGGACACGUGCCCAAAAAUGGUGUCAACACAUGCCCCCCAGUUUCGGAGUAUAAAACUAUUAAUGCUCCGAAAUUCUCUGCAGUAAUGAUGUCUUCUCCGCAAUUAAUGCUCCUAACCUGGUAACCGACAACCUCAAUCUGGGCAACUCUGAUCCUAAUCCUCCGCAGAUCCCUCGAAAUCCACAACUUCCCAAACGGGCAUCUCCCUUAGUCGUACAUCGGCAACAAUACCGUUACAAAGAUCUGCCGAUGCUCUGCCCAGGAUAUUCGCAAAAACGGUUACUUCCCCUCUAUCCGCCCAUCGGCAAGACGACCGUUAUAGAAUAUCACCGAUGGACCGACCAGGAGAUCGUGCACAGUAAAAUAUCUUUAGAUAACGACCGCUUCCUGUCAAAUCACCUGCACAAUCCCUGGAUUAUCGUGCGAACAGUUACCAUAUCCACUUGAGUACCCUCGGGUUUCUCGGAUGCGGCAAAGAAAUAAGUCAGAUUUGCCCUUGUCCAUCUUGCCCUAUAAAUAGUUCCUUCUUGGGUACUCCUCCCCCAUUACAUCAUUCUGCCAUCCAACUUCACUUUUCCAGCGGCGGCGCCAUUCUCAAUCCUCAAGAUCUCCGACAAGCAUUCUUCUUCAUCAACUCCGGCGUCUUCCAGCGUCCCCUUCACGACAAGAUGGCCGUCGGCUUCGUCGUCCCUGAGGUCAGACUUCCAUCUCAUCUGCCGUACCUUUUUCCUGCAUUCCUGUUCAUCUGCGAUUUACCUUACCGAAUAUUUCCUUCUCCUUUUUCUUUGUAUCUUUAUUCCCCAAAACACCAGGAGUUAUCCAACAAAAUUGUCAUUCCUACCGAUCAACCACAUCUUCAAUGCCUCGGCCCUCUAGGGGAUCCAGAUCCAACCGACCUUAUCAACGCAGAAACCAACAGGAUUCCCUUUAGAGCUGAAAACUUUGCUCUAGAUCUAUGGAAAGACACCUUUCGCUCUUGGCCUAGCCCUACUGUAGGGUGGAAAGACUGGUUCUUGAGGGUCAGCAACUCUCAUGAAGUUCAAUGGGGUGAGAGAAAAUUAGCUCAAUGCAUUAGGCUGUCCAUUGCCGAUAUGCACAGGAACGAGUCAUUGCUGAUAGCCGCAUCUUACUUUUGGUCAGACACUCUCAACGCUUUUGUUUUUGGCCACGGCCCUGCUUCUCCUACCCUUGCCGAUGUAGCCAUGCUUACUGGGUUAGACAUAUCCUCUGCCGAUAGCACCCAUUUUUUUGAUACCGCCCCUAGUGCCAAAGUGGAGACUCGCACUAUCGGCGGCUGGUCAGGGUACAUCCAGAAGUACCGUGGGAGAGGGCCUGUCACCAUAAACGAACAAACCACUUUCCUGAACAUGUGGCUAGACAAGUUUGUAUUCUGUGGUCGAUCGGCAGGACCGACUUCUGUCUAUCUAUCGGCAGCAGAAAGACUGGCUAGCGGUGGUCAAUUUCCUCUCGGCCGUUACUUGCUCGGCGCUGUCUAUCACCUUCUUCACCAGAUAGUCCAGAAACUCCUGCUCGGCCAACCUAUCGGCAACUUGGGAGGUCCUUGGUGGUUUAUUAAUAUGUGGCUCAAUCUGCACCUGCACAAGCGCCUCGAUCUCAACUUGUUCUCUCAGCACUUCCCAAGAGAUAUAGCCGAGAACCAUGUGUUGGGUGAAGAGGAAUCGGCAACACGUGCCCCCCUGAACUUUGGCGAAGCUGUUAUAGUUUUACCUGGUUUAGGGAACACUCCGGAUCAGAUCGGCCGAUUCUUCGAAACGCUGUAUGAGGGUCUGGCCAGAGAUGAACGACCAUGGCUGGCUUAUGACGACCCAGAUAGCAUGCUCCCUCUGACCUUCAAUCCGUUCGACGAAGCUCUUGAUAGGGACAAUGAGGUGAUGAUGGCAAUCGUGACUCCCAGAGCCAUACCAGUGAACUUCUUCGGCAGCACGAAAACUUCUCCCCAAACUUAUGAAUUUUAUAAUCCAUCGGCAUUAGCUCGCCAGCUAGCCUUCGGCCAAUUGCCGAUCGCACUUCCUUAUGCCGAUGUAAUAAAGCCCAGAGAACCCAUCGCUAACCUCCUCGAGUGGACUCGAGUAGCCCAGCUACCACCAAAUGCCGAUACAGACGUAGAUCUGUCAGAAUGGGUUCCAGCUGCCUUUAUCACUCAAGCAUACAAGCUAUGGUGGGCAGAAUGGAAGGAGAAUCUAUUCUGUAGAUCGGCCCUCUCAUACCGCGGCAUGAUCGACCCCGAAUACGAAGUCCCUGACGACACUGUAAGUAUUUUAAACCGUUGUCUCAUUUUCUAAUACUAUUCCCAUCAGUAGCUUACCCCUGUAUUCUUUUUGCAGAUUGACAACACCCCCCCAUCGGUUAGCAGGAGUGGCAAGCCGAUCGACUUAUUCCCAUCAGGCCCGAUCUCCUCAAUCGGCCAUAAUGCUCCCACUCUGGCUUCCAUCGUGCACCGGGGUGCGCGUCUCAAGAAAGUUACCACCAGGAAAACUCAGACAUCACCAACGGUAACUGCUUCCACUCUGGCGCAAGCUUUCAAGGCAAUCUGUUAAAACCCUUUUUAUUUAUGCUGACUAUCUUUAUAUCGGUUAUCUGUGCUCAUAAACUCUUUAUCGUUGUUGCAGCAAACUGGUGCGUCGGCAAAAGCUAAACACCAAGGUGCCGAUCCCCCCCAAUCUAGCCAGCCAAAGAGGAAAGGCGCCCAAGGUGCUAAGACCGGAACAAAGCGUCAGAAAGUGGCAACUCCUCCUCCUCCUCCGGUGUCUCCAAUUCCGGUGGAAUCUUCCCCUUCUCCUCCAGAAGUCCAGGCACAGCAAGCACCAUCUCCUCAAUCAAUACAGGAAGCACCACAGAUGGAAGAACCUCAGCAAGAAGAACCCCAAACGGCAGGUACGUCAGCUGACGUAGGUGAACAAACAACUGGCCCGGCAGGUCCAGUUAUAUCAUCGGCGGUUUCCUCAAUUCAAACAACUGUUGUUCCUCUUCCGAGUAACAUGUCCCAACAAUACUCCUAUCGAUAAACUUAUUUCCAUUUAUUCUUAUAAUCCCUCCUGUCCUCUUUCAGGCGAUAUCGUUCCAUCGGCAACAUUUGCCGAUCAACCUGCAGCUCCAUCAGCCUCUCUGAGUCAACGGCAGGAAAUCGCCUUGAAGCAAGUAAGUCAUCCACUUUCCCAUCGGUAUCAUCUGCCGAAGUUUUGACCAUAAAAUUGACCUAUUUCAUUUUCAUUUUUAGGAACAAGAUUCUCCCGACAGCUUGUUCUCCUUCGCUAUUGAUAUCUUCGAAGAAGAAGGCGAGGAAGCAAGCUCCUCUCGGGCAGUUGGAACUGUAUCGGCAGAAACCAGAGCUAGGCUGGAGGAGCUAUCGGCCAUACUUCAUCAAGACACAACUCAACUGGUCGACGAUUCUGACCCAGCCAAGGCCCUGUUCAAGACUCUCAGGGGCCAAAUUCCUGCCGAUGCCGAAGAAGCACUCUUCCACGCUGCACAUCUAGAAAGUCGCCGGCUACAGUAUCAGAGAGCUACUCGACGCCUUGCCGACAGAGCUGCUCAAAUCCAGCUCUCUGAGGAGAUGAUGAAAGAAAAACUCUUAGCCGAUGAGAAACAUAAGAACAUCGGCAUCUUAAAGUCCUCAGGCGAUGCACUGAAGCAGAAAAUGUCUGAUCUAUCGGCAAAAAGAGAAGCUCUGCUGGCUGAACUCAAGCAAGUAGAAGAUGCCCUAUCCCAAGCUCAGCAAGAAGAUAGUCAACUGCCGGAGACCAUCAAGCAUCUUGAACAGGAACGAAACGUCCAUGGUCGUAAAGCGCUGCAACUGAAGAAGAAGCUGAAGCCAAUUGAAGGUUCUGCCGAUGACGAUAUCAAAGAGAUAGAGACAGCCAACCAGAUUCGGCUGCGCGCCAUAUCUGCAAUCCAAGCGCUGCUGAACAUCUGAAGCUUUCAUCGGCGACACACCUUUGUUUCUCCGUUUUUAGCUUUUAGUCUAGCCGAUAAGACUGUUAUCGGCAUCUUUUGAAACAUUAAGUCUGCCCUUGAACAUUUAAAUUCAGCCGAUAGGAGUGUUAUCGGCACUUAACCUUUUAUGCAUCGAUCCAUAUGCUGGGGUAGUACUUCUUCAAAUAUUUGCCAUUUAAUGCUCUGGGAAAUUCAACUCCUUCGAGAGUUUCUAGAAUAUAGGCAUUACCAGGAGCUGAGCGUUUUAUCCGAUAAGGACCUUCCCAAUUAGGAGACCACUUCCCAAACUUUGAACUUUUAGUCCCGACUGGCAAAAUCAACUUCCAUACCAAAUCCCCAUCGGCAAACUCCUUAGCCUUCACCUUUUUAUCAUACCAUCUGGCAACUCUCUUCUUAUUUUCUUCUAUACUCAUUAAAGCCUUUAACCGAUGCCCUGCUAAAUCAUCUAACUCAUCGGUCAUUAGAGUGGCAUAAUCAUCGGCAGCCAAUUGAUCUUGAAAAGAUAAUCGCCUAGAUCCAGCCUUAAUCUCCCAAGGCAAAACUGCAUCAUGUCCAUACACCAAUUGAUAAGGUGACACCUUGGUUGAUCCAUGACAAGCCAUCCGAUAAGACCACAGUGCUUCAUUCAACAAUGUAUGCCACCGCCUAGGAUUUUCUUCAAUCUUUCGUUUAAUAAGCUUGAUAAUUCCCUUGUUAGACGCUUCGGCCUGCCCAUUGGCUUGAGCAUAGUAAGGAGAAGAAUUCAACACUUUAAUUCCCAUACCGAUUGCGAAUUCAUCGAACUCCCCCGACGUGAACAUGGUGCCUUGAUCGGUAGUAAUCGUUUGGGGAAUCCCAAAUCGGUAAAUAAUAUGCUCCUUCACAAAAUCAAUCAUAUUGGCCGAUGUGACUUUCUUCAAAGGAAUAGCUUCGACCCACUUGGUGAAAUAGUCAGUGGCAACUAGAAUGAAUUUAUGCCCUUUGCUAGAUGGUGGAUAGAUCUGGCCGAUCAGAUCGAUGGCCCAUCCCCGGAACGGCCAAGGUUUUAUUAUAGGAUUCAUAGCCGAUGCGGGUGCUCUCUGGAUAUUACCGAACUUUUGACAACCUUGACAUCCCUUGAAAUAUUUAAAACAAUCUUCAAGUAUGGUUGGCCAAAAAUAUCCAUUCCUUCGAAUCAUCCACUUCAUCUUAAAAGCUGACUGAUGCGCUCCACACACUCCUUCAUGGAUUUCUCCCAUCAAACUUCUGGCUUCAUCAUCACCCAAGCAUCGGAGAAGAAUUCCAUCGAUAGUUCGAUAAUACAAUUCAUUUUCAAGGAUCACAUACUUGGUUGCUUGAAAUCGAACCCGUCUUUCAACUUUUUUGGAUGGAUCUUUUAGAUAAUCAAUAAUUUCUUCCCUCCAAUCACCGGCACUGACUGCCGAUGUCGCAGUAAUCAUUGGCUGAUAUCCCGAGGCAUGCUGGGCCAACCGAUUAGCGUCUUCAUUAUGCAAUCGGGGAACAUGCUCCAAUCGGAAGUUCUUGAAUUCUUUUAACAGUUGCAUACUUCUCUCGAAAUAGGUUAUGAGAACUUCACUUCGGCAUUCAUAGCUUCCGACCAAUUGAUUUAUAACCAACAUGGAAUCUCCGAAUACUUCAACAGCAUCAGCACGAACUUCUCUUAACAACUCCAAUCCCUUGAUCAGAGCUUGAUACUCAGCCUGAUUAUUUGUUGAUGUAGCAACAAUCGGCAAGGAAAACUCAUACUUCCUCCCUUUAGGAGAAACUAAUACAAUACCGAUUCCUGCUCCUCGGUCACAGGUAGAUCCAUCAAAGAAGAGCGUCCAGGGUGCAAUUUCCAAAGUCUCCACUAGACCGCAAUGCUGAGUCACAAGAUCGGCCAUAACCUGCCCUUUGACCGCCUUAGUCGAUUCGUAACGCAAAUCAAACUCCGACAGCGCCAAAAUCCACUUACCGAUCCUACCACUCAUAAUCGGCAUAGAUAGCAUGUAUCGGACCACGUCAUCUUUGCAAACAACAGCACAUUCGGCCGACAACAGAUAAUGUCUUAGCUUGAUACAUGAGAAAUAUAAGCACAAGCACAGCUUCUCUAUGGCCGAAUACCUGGUUUCAGCAUCAAUCAACCUCCUGCUCAAAUAAUAAAUUACUCUCUCCUUCCCUUCAAAUUCUUGAACUAAAGCUGAACCGAUAACCGAUCCAUCGGUAGAUAAAUAUAAUUUGAAGGGUUUCCCUUGUUGGGGUGGAACUAAAACUGGAGGAUUCACUAGAUACUUUUUGAUCUCAUCCAGAGCCAACUGCUGUUCUUCUCCCCAAACAAACUCUUGAUCGGCUUUCAAUUUAAGAAGGGGACUGAAAGCACGAAUUCUCCCAGAUAAAUUCGAUAUAAAUCUUCUGAUAAAAUUCACCUUACCGAUCAAGGAUUGGAGCUCGGUUUUAUUGGUAGGGGCCACUAUUUUAUUGAUGGCAUCAAUAGAUCUUCGACUAAUCUCAAUACCCCUCUGAUGUACCAUAAAUCCGAGAAACUGCCCUGCCGAUACGCCAAAUGCACACUUGUUGGGAUUCAUCUUCAAUCCAUGCUUCCUGGUGCACUCCAACACUUUUCGUAAAUCGGCAAGAUGCUUUGAGAAAUCUCCAGACUUAACCACCACAUCAUCAAUAUAAAUUUCUACGAUUUUGCCGAUGAACUCAUGAAAUAUGAAAUUCAUAGCCCUUUGAUAAGUAGCACCAGCAUUCCUUAACCCAAAAGUCAUGACUAUCCAUUCAAACAAUCCAACAUGACCAGGACACCUGAAUGCGGUUUUUGGAAUAUCCUCCUCUGCCAUGAAUAUUUGAUUGUAAUCCGCAUUACCAUCCAUGAAACUGAUGACCCGAUGGCCAGCCGCAGCAUCAACCAGUAGAUCGGCAACAGGCAUUGGGUAUCCAUCCAUCGGCGUAGCUUUAUUGAGAUUCCUGAAAUCAAUGCACACUCGAAGCUUCCCGUUCUUUUUGUAAACCGGAACAACAUUGGAAAUCCAUUCGGCAUACCGACACUGCCGAAUAAACUUAGCUUCAAUAAGUUUAGUGAUUUCGGCCUUAAUAUCAGGUAGAAUGUUAGGAUUACAUCGGCGGGCUGAUUGCUGAUGUGGCCGAAAUCCAGACUUGAUGGAUAACCGAUGUUCAACAAUUGAUCGGUCUAAACCAGGCAUUUCUGUAUAAUCCCAAGCAAAGCAAUCUUUAUAUUCCUUUAACAAACUAGUUAAUUGCCGUUUACACUCAGGAUCUAGUUUGGCGCUAAUAAAAGUAGGCCUAGGCCUAUCACCACUUCCUAUAUCUACUUCUACCAAAUCAUCGGCCGAUGUGAAUCCCUGGCCUAAUUUUCCAUCAUCGGCGAAUCUAUCCAUUAAAAACCAUCGUCAGAACCGACUGCUUGGAUCGGUGGAAUCUCAUAAUCGGCAACUUUGAGAAAAUCUUUCUCCCAAACUUCUCCUGAAAUGCACCUAGUCUUCUCAUAAGUAUCCGCUUCUGCUGAUGCGAUAACAUAAGAUGAAUCCCCUGGGACGAUCUCAAUCUUGUCACCUACCCACUGAACCAAGCACUGAUGCAUCGUAGAUGGGACACAACAAUUGGCAUGAAUCCAAUCUCUCCCCAAUAAUAAAUUGUAGGCACCUUUUCCGCUGAUCACGAAAAAGGUUGUCGGCAAGGUUUUGCUGCCGAUGGUCAACUCCGCACAUAUCGCCCCCUUGACCGGAGACACGUUUCCCUCGAAGUCCUUGAGCAUCAUAUCGGUCUUGGUCAAAUCUUGAUCCCCUUUCCCAAGCUUCCGAUAUACUGCAUAUGGCAUAAUAUUAAUAGCAGCCCCACCAUCAACUAGGAUCUUAGUCAUUGGCUGCCCAUCAACCCUUCCUUUGAGGAACAAAGCUUUAAGAUGCUGCCUCUCGUUAUCGGCAGGUUUCUCAAAGAUAGCCGUCAUUGGAUCCAGAGCCAACUGAGCUAUCUGAUCAGAAAAUCCCAACUCAUCGUCACUGGCCGGUGCAAGAAACUCCAUCGGCAACAUGAAUACCAUAUUGACGCCUGCCGAUGGACCUUCUUUCUUAGCGUCUGACGGCUGCCGACUCCCAGAGUUCUCUCCUUUAUUUAGCUCUUCCUGCCUUUCACGUUGCAAUCUCCUUUUCUGUGUCUUGGUUAAUCCUUGAGGGCACCAUGGAGGAAGUGGCCUUUGUCUUGCCGUCGGGCGUUGGUUCUCUCUUGACUCCAUGCGAUGCGUGUUAGUAUCCCUGCAAAAUAUGAAUUCAUCGGGAACCCGCGCAUCAGCCAUUCUUUCAAGCUCCUCUUGGUUCCUGGGAAAAUACUGGACACGGUCACCGAGCCGAUCGUGAACGCUAAGCCUGCCCCCCAGCCGAUCAUGAACUGCCGCCCUUCCUCUGAUCGGCCCAUUAAAUCGUCGUUCAUCAUCAUGAUAACGUCGAUCGUUCCUGUCGUACCGAUCAUAACCGUUGCAUUCAGGGCAGUCUCUGACAGUAGGAAGCUUGAUAUUUUCCUCCCAACAAUGGAUGAAGAAUGGGCAAUUCCAAUGAUCCCUGUGCCGAUUCCACUCCUGUCGGCGUCUUUCUUCCUCCCGUUGAUAAUCUUCCUGCUGGCGCCGAUAUCGAUCUUCCCGUUGUUGCCAUCUCUCUCGAGGCCUUCUAUGAGUUAUGACAAUACCAGACCGAGGAAGUCUUCCUGAGCUAGCCCCUUCCUGGACCAAGCCCUUACUUCUUGCAUCGGCGGUAGUAACUUGAUGCUGAGGAUCUACCGAUGCACUCUUCUCAGCUGUCUCCGACGUUAAGACCUUAGCCUUCCCCUUAGCGUCCAACAUGUUUGUCGGAAAAGGAUGUUGGUCUAUCUUCAUCGGCUUCUGGGCUUUAGAACCGUCAAACUUGAUUCUCCCCGACUCUAUAGCCGAUUGCAGCUGUUGUCUGAAUACUUUGCACUCGUUGGUGUCAUGUGACGUUGCAUUAUGCCACUUGCAAUAUCUCAUCCUCUUCAAUUCUUCUGCCGAUGGGAUCGCAUGGUUAGGUGACAGUUUGAUCUGACCUUCCUGAAGUAGAAAGUCAAAUAUCCUAUCGGCUUUGGCGGUGUCAAAGGCAAACUUCUCUGGUUCUUUCUGCCCAAAAGGACAAGACAUCGGCUUCUUGUUUUUUACCCACUCUGCCAAACCGAUUACUGGUUCCUCGUCAGAAUCUGAGCUUGUUGCUUCGUCAACAAAUGACACCUUCUUAUUCCAUGUCCUCUUAGGCUCGAAAGGCUUGAUGUCUUGAUCGGAUAUCCUUUGCACCAAGUGACUUAAACUUUCAAACUCCUGAGAGGCAUACUUAUCCCUGAUGUGUGGCAACAAACCCUGGAAAGCCAAAUCGGCUAGCUGCCGAUCAUCCAGAACCAGGCUAUAGCAUUUAUUUUUGACCUCUCGUAUCCUCUGCACAAAUCCCUCAACCGACUCAUCAUUACGUUGCCUCAACUUGACCAGGUCGGUGAUCUUCUUCUCAUGAACCCCCGAGAAGAAGUAUCUGUGGAAUUGCUUCUCUAGAUCGGCCCAAGUAAUUACUGAAUUGUUAGGCAAUGAUAUAAACCAAGUAAAGGCCGAUCCAGACAAUGAUGAUGAAAAUAGACGAACCCUUAAUUCGUCCCUGUUACCAGCUUCUCCACAUUGAAUGAUGAACCUAUUGACAUGCUCCAUGGUUGACGUGUCGUCCUGUCCGGAAAACUUUGUAAAAUCCGGUACCUUGUACCGAUGUGGAAGCGGGAUCAAAUCAUACGCUGGAGGAUACGGUGUCCGGUAAGAAUAAGUGUUGACUUUGGGUUUUAUCCCAAAUUGUUCCCUCAUUACUUCAGCAAUCUUGUCGGCCCAAUAAGCAUCGGCAUCUUGCCGAUGAGGCGGCUGCGGAUCCGGUACUUGGUGGCGAACCUCCACGUGCCUGUUUGGGACGUGACCUGUAUGGAACAUUGUAUUGGCCACUUGUCCUCCAAUCUGUGGACUACCAAACUGCUGUCCACCGAUUGGCUGUCCUCCGAGUUGCUGUACAAAAUUUAUUGGCUGGUUGGGAAUUCCCUGACCUUGGAACCCGGGAUAAACCUGCCCUUGCUGGAACCCCGCAGUCUGAUAACCCUGCUGGGGCGACUGUGGAAAGGCUUGCUGUCCAAGCCAUCCAUUAUUAGCGUUCAUCGGCAUAGGCGCUGCCGAUGAUUGGUAAUUGGGUAUCGUCGUUGAAUUGACAUACCCCGACUGGGCCAUAGGCCUCUGUUGCAUCAGCAUUGACUCUGCUGAUGCGUUGGGCAUCUGGAACAUUGAAUCUUGAGGAUUUCCAGUGUGAGGCCUUGCAGUAGUAGUUGUGGUAUACCGAGGACUCUGGUUCACCGGCACAUUGGAAGGCGCCGAUGCCAUAGGAGUUUUGCCCCUCAUGUCAGUUAUCUGUGAUGUUCCUGGCGUCCACUCUGGAGGCAUACCAUAACCCCACCAGUUGGGAGGAAGAGUUAACCCCGACAUUGCCGAUGCCAACAUAUCUGUUGUCAGUUUAUGCUGCCCAACUGAAAUUUGUGGGUUGGUCGCCAUCGGCAUAGAUAGUGCGCCAGUAGUCCCCAAUGUACUUGGAGGGACGGCAGACUGUGCACUUGCACUCGUCAAGGCAGCCGAUGGAGCUGUGACCUCUGGUGCUGUGGGUUGAUGAUGGGAAGGGCCCACAUAAUCCGGCGGGAUUUGUCCUUCCUUGAAGGUUCUUGCCAUGGCGUUGAAAACCGUAUUAGACAGUACACCAGCUUGGUUGAUCAGCGCUCGAUUGAUGGCAUUGUCAACCAUGUCUUGAAGCUUGCCAGGAUUGGCGUCAAAAGUGACCUGUCGUGGCGCCGGCAGUGCAUCUUUCUGGACCACUUCGCUGCUCCUGUUUAUGCUGAAAGACUUCAGGCAUUGCUGCUUGAAUUCUUCCAUAGCUUGGGCAAUAGCUUGCUUCUGCUCAUCCUUGAGGUUGGCUUCCGUCACGGGGAUGACAUUGUCUUGAUCGAGGUCAGAGAUCGACAUGCUGAUCCUGAUCUUGAAUUGGUCCCACUGGGCGUGCCAAAAGAUGUGUUGAUGCAAAACUGAUCUGCAAACACAAAAGGCUAAUACCCGAUUCAAACGUUAAGGCGUGCCAGCCGAUUUGACCUUACUAUCGGCAAAGGUGAUAACUCGAAUACUUUAGUCCUGACAACAGCGAUGCGCCCGGAUGUCACGGCUAAGAGGUACUCACGUGGAACUUAAGGAUACGCCGAGCUUGAGUCGACGAAUUCCUAAGAACUCGUAACAAAAAGAAAACGUAUGACGAAGUCGUCGAAAAGUAAAUGCUAGAAUAUGAGUAAAAACGUGUGUUUGAUUGAUUGAUAGAUGUCCUGAUUACAAGGUCUUAGGGUUUAUAUUUAUACCCUGCUUAAAGAGUUACGACCAGACACGAUUAGAAUUCGAAUUCCAAAUUACACGGAACCCGUAUACAAAAUGACACGAAUAACAUAAGGAAAUAAUAAAACUAUCCUUCGUGACAAACCGAAACUCCUCCACAUGAUAACUGGCAGCUUCCGGACUCCUCCUUCGCGUCAUCGGCAAUCCCCUUGCCAUAGUCAUCGGCAGACCCUUUUACUUGGUCAUCGGCACUAUAUUACUGUCUGGGGACUUAGUCACAUUCAACCCUUCCCUCAUCGGCAACCAUCCUUACCAGCAACCCGCAUCGUACUGCCACCCUGUCCUGCCAUCCUGGACACGUGCCCAAAAAUGGUGUCAACAGAGAUAAACUUGCAAUAACAUGAUUACUAAUGAGAAACUCGUCACACAGUCACUUACUUUUGCAAGGGGUAAACCAUAAAGAUAAUGAUAAUAAAGUAUAAGUUCAUGGGUAGAUAACACAGCGAUUAGAAAAUAGACUACUCCUCGUAUAUGUAGGUGAUGUCGGAUUAGCUAGAGAAUGGAUUCUAAGUUAUCUACUAACUACCAAGUCAUAAUCUACUCUAGUUAUCUACAAGAUCAUAUAUAGCAUAAAAGACUCUUCAUUCAUGUAUAAGGAACAUUGAUAAAGUAAAUCAGAGCAUCGCAUGACUUACUCCAGAAUACCGGUUCUGCCUGUCCUAUCAACGGAGGGUGGACUAUAUAAGAAUCAACGAAGCUGUCACUAUCACGAACUACCACACGACCCGGCCAAUAGGAUACAUUUGCAGAUAAAUAACAUCUAAGCACCACGCUCACAUGUGAUCUAUCACCUAACUCCCUCGCGUCAAGAGCUAAGCGCUUUGCAAACUUAUACAUAAACUCAUUAUCAAUUAGAACUAUAUCAAAUAUAGAACUAGAGCAAACUAAGAACAUAAUAAUUAGAGACAUAAUGCAAUUAGAACAAAGAAUUAGAGAAAGAUAUGAAUUAUACGAAUCUUUAUUACCGAAGAUCCGAAUCCAGAGCGUAGUGCUCUACUUCUCUAAUUGCUAUCUAAUCAAACCUCUAAACUUGACGGAUUAGGGAGUAGCUAAUUCUAAUUCUCUGUGGGAGAGAAGCUCUAAACCCUAAUUUUGAUGGCUACCUCUGAAUAAUGAUUUCUUCUCUUCUCCUCCAGGUGCCAGGGGGUCUGGUUUUAUAGUCCCCUCAAGUGAACGUGAGCCAUUGGAUCAAACCGACAUAGAUUGUAUGGUUUAGAUUGAUCCUUUAGGUCGGUGGAGCGUAGUCCCGAAGCAGAGUCCUGAUUGGACUCCUGGCCUGGGCGGGCGCCCAAGGGGGGUGGGCGGCCGCCCUGCCCCCGAGCCCGAUUCCCUUCUCGUUCGUUCCCGUGGCUUCUGGAUUCUUCUAGUUUGAGGAAAAUUGCGCGGCACGUAAUUAUCUCGUUGUAAACAUGAAAUGUGGGCCAUCUCUCCAUAUUCUCUGAUAACCCCCUGCAGAAGUAGAUAAACACCAAAGCUCGUGGAAUUCUGUCAGAUAAAACCCUAAUUCUAGAUGUUUGUUUCAUAUUGAUCCUUUUUCACAUUUAUUUGAUUAUUAAUUUUAGUACUUAAGGACCGUCAACAAUUGACAAUCGUCAAUAUCAAUCAUCGGCACCGACCAACCACUAUUCCCAGACUUAACCAGACCUCCUUUCUAUUGCUUUAUCAUCGGCAUCAUAAGCCAUCGACAACCUCAUUUUCAGCCAAUCAUUACUUUUCCAUGUGCCGAUCCAAGCUUCAUUAACUUUCCUAAUACGUGUAUAAAAACAGUGUCAACACAUGCCCCCCAAUUUCGGAGUAUAAAAUCUUUAAUGCUCCGAAUUAUCUCCUGAUAAUGAUGCCCUUUUCACAAUUAUUUCCUUCUGACGGCAAUUAAUUGCAAAAUCCAAACAACCUUAAUCCGGAUUUCCAGCAUACACCUCGAGUUUCUCAUCCACCUAAACCAAAUCUCCUAAACACCCACUUAUCGGCAACUAUUCUAUUGGAGUUGACUACCGAUGAGCCGACCAAGAGAUCUUGCAUAGUGAAAUAUCUCCUAAAAUCAUGAUUACUCACUAUCAAAUCACCUGCACAAUCCAUUGAUUAUCGUGCGAACAGUUACCAUAUCCACCUGAACACCAUCGAAUCUCACGGAUACGGUGAAGAGAUAAGUCAGAAAUACCCCUGCUCACUUUAUCCUAUAAAUACUUCCUUCCUCGGUACUCUUUCUCCAUCUUGCCACCCUUCAUCUCCCAAACUCAUCUCUCUAGCGGCGCUAUUGACAAAGAGCGCAAGAACCUCAGUAAAAUCUUCCCCAAUGGUCUCUCAAGUCUUCGAUCUUCUUCUUCCUCGAGAAGAAAUGGCCAUCAACUUCAUCGUCCCUGAGGUUAAUCUAUUCCCAUACUUUUCUUUCUUUACUGCAACCCUUUACUUUUUGCAAGUCUACUUACUUAGCAUUUUUUCUUCUUCUUCCUUCUUCUCUGCUCUUUCAAUAUUUGAAUUUUAGGAACUGAGCGAGAAAAUUGUGAUUCCUACCAAACAACCCCAUCUUCAAUGCCUUGGUCCAUUGGGUGACCAAGAUCCUACCGAUUUGAUUAAUGUGGAAACCAAUAGGAUACCUUUUAUGGCCAAAAAUUUUUCUUUAGAUCUGUAGAAGGAUACGUUCCGAUUCUGGCCAAACCCUACCAAAGGAUGGAAGGAUUGGAUUUUGAGGGUUAGCAACACAAAUGAGGUAUAGAGGGGUGAACGCAAACUAGACCAGUGCAUCAGGCUGUCCAUUGCCGAUAUGGAAAGAAUUGAAUCAAUGUUGAUAGCCACUUCAUACUUCUGGUCGGACACGUUCAAUGCCUUUAUUUUCGGCCAUGGCCCAGCUUCUCCCACACUUGCCGAUGUAGUCAUGCUCACUGGCUUGGACAUUGCAACUGCCGAUGACGGCCAGCUAUUCAGCCGCAAAGCCGAACACAAAGUUGAAACCCACAACAUCGGCGAUUGGUCAAGGUACAUUCAGAUGUACCAAAGAACAGGACCAGUUGGUCAGUGAGAACAUGCCAUUUUCCUGAAUUUGUGGCUAGACAAAUUCAUCUUCUAUUGCCGAUCGGUAGGACCAACCUCCAUCUACUUAUCGGCAGUAGAAAGAUUAGCCGAUGGUGGCCGAUUCCCUCUUGGCUAAUACUUGUUAGGCUCCGUCUACCACCUCCUCCAUCAAGUAGCUGAGAAACUUCUGCUAGGUGAACCCAUCGGCAAUCUAGGAGGCCCUUGGUGGUACAUCAACAUGUGGCUCAAUGUUCAUAUGCACAAACGUCUUCAGUUUGAUUUCUUUGCACAUCAAUUUCCCAAAGAUAUCACCAAAGAUUAUGAACUGGCAGAUGAUGAAUCGGCAACUCACUGACCCCUCAAUUAUGGUGAAGCUGUUAUAGUUCUCCUUGGCACUGCUUCCAAUGACAACCAGGUCGGCCGAUUCUUCCAAACCCUAUAUGACAGCCUCUCCAAAGAUCAGCGAGCAUGGAUGCCUUAUGAAGAUCCAUAAACCAAGUUCCCGCUCACCUUCCAUCCUUUUGACAAUGCUCUCAACAAGGAUAAUGAUUUGAUGAUGGCAAUUAACACUUCGAGAGCAAUCCUACUGAAUAGCUUUGGCAGUGGGAAGAAUAUCAACACCACCUAUGAGUUUUACAACCCAUCGGCACUGGCUCACCAAACGGCUUUUGGUCAACUACCAAUUAGACUUUGUUAUGCCGAUGUGGUAAAACCAAGAGAGAUAAUAACCAGCGGACUUGAGUGGAUUAGGGUAGCUCAACUCCAGCCAAAUGCUAAUACGACAGACAUUGAUCUAUCGGACUGGGUUCCAGCUCUCUCCAUCACUCAGCUGUACAAACAUUGGUGGGAAGAAUGGAAGGAGCAUCUGUUCAGGGUAUCAGCGGCAUGAUUGAUUCUGACUACAAGGUCCCCGAUAAUAUUGUAAGUCCUUUAGCGAUACCUCAGUUCCUUUGUUAUUUUUAACCUUAUCAGCAACUUAUUCAUUCUCGUUUCAACAGGUCAUGACCUAGCGCCGACAAUUAGCAGAAGUGGAAGGCCGAUCGAGCUUCUUCAAUCAGGCCCAAUUUCUCUGAUCGGUCGCAAUGCACCAAGUCUAUCGGCUUUGAUGCACCGCAACGUGCGCUUCAAAAAGACAACCACCAAACGGUCGAAGACAUCUCCAUCGGUCAUUGUUGCCACUCUGGCAUAGGCUUUUAAGGUACUUUUAACUUUCUAUGUUUAUACCAAUUUCAUCCCAUACUCACAUUGCCUUUUUAGGGUACAUCGGCUGCAACGGGAACCUCAUCGGUAGUAAAAACUUCACCAGUCCCCUUUUAUAUUUCAACUCAUGAAAUUUUGGUUGUUGCAACAGCAGACCGGCAAAUUAUCAAAGACCAAGAGUGCCCAAACAUCAAGUGCCAAUGCCCCCAGCCCAGUCAAGCUCCAGCCAAGAGAAAGGGUCCGAAAAGCUCCAAGACCCAGCCGAAGCGUCGGAAGACAACACCAUCUUCUCCACCUCAUCCAGUAUCCCCGAUCCAAAUAGCUUCCUCUCCUUCCCCAUCGGAGCCCCAGACACAAGAAGUACCUUCUCCCCCUCGAUUGGUACCCUAGCCGCAGGAAGCACCAACUGAUGUAUCUGAACAGAUUGCCGAUCCGGUUGAUCUGGGCACAUCAUCGGUCGCCCCUCGAGAACAGACAAUCACCAUACCUCCUCAAGGUAAAGUACCGAUUAUAGAAUUAUCACCGAUGAAUUUACUUAUAAACCAUAAUCAUCCCUAUAACUUUUCAGCUGAAGUCAUUCAAUCUGCAAUCCCAGCCAAUCAAACUAUAGUACCAGCUGUAUCUCCACGUCAGAGAUAGGAAAUCGCCAUAAAGCAAGUAAGUUAUCCAAUUUUCCAGGCUUCGCACUAUCAACAAUUAAUCUCGAGAAACUUAUCUUCUUCAUUCUCUAGGACCAAGAUUCCCUAGACAGCCUAUUCUCCUUUGCUAUUGACAUCUCUGAUGAUAAAGGUGAAUAAGCAAGGUCCUCUCAGGCGGUUGGAAUCACAUCGGCAGAAAUUAAGGCCAAGUUGGAAGACUUAUUAGCUCUGUUGCACCAAGACACGACCCAGCUAGUGGAUGAUUCUGAUCUGGCCAAAGUCAUAUUCAAAACCCUCCAUGGCCAAAUUCUAGCCGAUAGAGAAGAAAUCCUUUUCCAAGCUACCCACCUAGAAAGCCGCCAACUCCAAUAUCAGAAGGCUAUCCAGCGCCUUGCCGAUAGAGCUGCUCAUGCCCGGCUCACAGAGGAGAUGCUACAAGUAAAGCAUGCUGCAAGUGAGAAACAUAAGAGCAUCAGCGUUCUGCAGUCCUCAGGAGAUGAGUUGAAACCAAAGAUCUCCAAAUUAUCGGCAAAAAGAGAAGCCCUGCUAGCUGAACUUAAACAAGUGGAAGAAGCCCUGGCUCAAGCUGAACAGGAAGAAAGCCAGCUGCCCGACGCACUCAAGACUCUUCAGCAAGAAAGGGACGUCCAAGCCCACAAAGCGUUGCACAUGAAGGAGCUGAAGCCAGUGGAGGGCUCUGCCGAUGAAGACACUUGAGAAAUAGAAGAGGCCAACCAGAUUCGUCUACGCGCAAUAUUGACCAUCUAGGCUUUGCUAAAUCUGUGAACUUUUCCUCGGCAACUUGUUUAGUUUUGUCUUCAAAAACUUCGAACAAUUUGGUCCAGUCGAUAGGAUUGUUAUUUGCACUAAAACUCCAUGCAUAGCUUCAAAUACACUUAACAUUUUGUCCAGCCGAUAGGACUGUUAUCGUCAUUUAAAUUUCAUGCAUCAAUCCAGAUACUCGGGUAGUAUUUCUUCAAAUAUUUUCCAUUUAAAGCUCUAGGGAAUUCAACUCCUUCAAGAGUUUCUAAAAUAUAAGCAUUGCUAGGAGCAGAUCGAUUUACCCGAUAAGGACCCUGCCAAUUGGGAGACCACUUUCCAAACUUCGAGCUUUUAGUCCCAAUUGGUAGGAUCAACUUCGAUACCAAAUCUCCGUCGGCAAACUCUUUGGCCUUUACUUUCUUAUCAUACCAUUUAGCAACUCUCUUUUUACUCCCCUCUAUGCUAAUUAAAAUUCUCAAUCGAUGCCCUGCUAAAUCAUCCAGCUCAUCUUUCAUCAAAGUAGCAUAGUCAUCAGCAGUUAGUUGAUCCUGAGAAAAGAUCCACCUGGAACCAGUUUUGAUUUCCCAUGGCAGUACUGCGUCAUGUCCAUACACCAAUUGAUAGGGUGAUACUUUGAUUGAACCAUGACACACCAUCCGAUACAACCAUAAGGCUUCAUUUAACAAUGUAUGCCAUCUCCUAUUAUUUACUUCAAUUUUCUGCUUAAUGAGCUUAAUAAUGUAUGCCAUCUCCUAUUAUUUUCUUCAAUUUUCUGCUUAAUGAGCUUAAUAAUCCCUUUGUUAGAAGCUUCAGCCUGCCCAUUAGCUUGAGCAUAGUAAGGAGAAGAAUUCAACACCUUAAUCCUCAUACCGAUUGCAAACUCAUCAAACUCCCCCGAUGUAAACAUAGUGCCCUGAUCGGUAGUAAUUGUUUGGGGAAUACCAAAUCGGUAAACAAUAUGCUCCUUUACAAAAUCAAUCAUAUUAGCCAAUGUUACUUUCUUCAAGGGAUUAGCCUCAACCCACUUGGUGAAAUAAUCAGUGGCAACCAAGAUAAACUUAUGCCCUUUGCUUGAUGGUGGAUAAAUCUGGCUGAUGAGAUCAAUAGCACAACCCCUAAACGACCAAUGUUUGAUAAUAGGAUUCAUAGCCGAUGCGGGCGCCCUUUGAAUGUUGCCAAACUUCUGACAUCUUGGCAUCCUUUGAAGUAAUUAAAGCAAUCUUCAAGUAUUUUCAGCCAAUAAUAUCCAUUCCUCCGAAUCAUCCACUUCAUCUUAAAAGUCGAUUGAUGUGUUCCACACACUCCCUUAUGAAUUUCACACAUCAAACUUUUGGAUUCAUCACCACUUAAACACUUAAGCAAAACCCCAUCUAUCGUGCGAUAAUACAAUUCUUCCCCGAGGAGUACAUACUUUGUAGCUCAAAACCUAACACGCCUCUCAACUUUCUUGUAUGGAUCUUUUAAAUAAUCAAUAAUUUCUUUUCCCCAAUCAUCGGCACUAUCUGCCGACAAUAUCUCCAAGAUAGGUUAAUAUCCCGAGGUAUGUUGAGCCAAUCGAUUAGCUUCCUCAUUAUGCAACCGAGGGAUGUGUUCUAACAAAAAAUCCCUGAAUUCCUUCAACAAUUGCACACAUCUUUCAUAAUAUGCUAUCAAAACUUCAAUUCGGCAUUCAUAACUCCCAGCCUAUUGAUUUAUAAUGAGAAUAGAAUCGCCAAAAAUCUCAACAGUGUCAGCAUGAACCCUUUUUAACAAUUCUAAUCCACUGAUUAAGGCUUGGUACUCAGCUUGAUUACUUGUCGACUUGGCAGCAAUCAGCAAAGAAAAUUCAUAUUUCUUCCCCCUAGGAGAAAUUAGCACUAUGCCGAUACCUGCCCCCCGGUCACAUGUAAAUCCAUCAAAGAAGAGCAUCCAAGGAACAAUUUCCAAAGCAUCCACCAUACCACAAUGAUGAGUUACAAAAUCAGCCAUGAUCUACCCUUUGACCGCUUUAGUCAAUUCAUAGCGCAGAUCAAAUUCUGACAACGCUAAUAUCCAAUUGUCGAUUCUACCACUCACAAUCGGCAUUGAUAACAUGUACCAGACCACAUCAUCUUUGAACACGACAGUGCAUUCGGCCGAUAGCAAGUAAUGUCUCAAUUUGACACAAGAAAAUUAUAAGCAUAAGCAUAAUUUCUCAAUUACCGAAUAUCUUGUCUCAACAUCCACCAAUCUUCUACUUAGAUAGUAAUUUACACGCUCCUUCCCUUCAAAUUGUUGAAUGAGAGUUGAACUGAUGACCGUAUCAUUGGUAGACAAAUACAAUCUGAAGGGCUUUCCAUGCUGAGGUGCAACCAAAACUGGAGGAUUUGCCAAAUAAUUCUUGAUUUCAUCCAAGGCUAAUUGUUGCUCUUUUCCCCACACAAACUCCUGUCCGGCUUUAAAUUUAAGCAAAGGGCUAAAAGCACGAAUCUUACUCGACAAAUUAGAUAGAAAUCGUCUGAUAAAAUUAAUCUUGCCAAUCAAAGAUUUAAGUUCAGUUUUAUUGGUGGGAGCAACUAUUUUGCUGAUGGCAUCAAUGGAUCUCCUUCUAAUUUCAAUUCCUCUUUGAUGCACCAUAAAACCAAGAAACUGCCCUGCCGAUACACCAAACGCACAUUUAUUAGGGUUCACCUUUAAACCAUGCUUCCUUGUGCAUUCCAACACUUUUCGCAGAUCGUCUAGAUGCUUUUUCAAAUUCCCAGACUUAACCACCACAUCAUCAAUAUAGAUAUCUACCAACUUGCCGAUGAACUCGUGGAAGAUAAAAUUCAUGGCCCUCUGAUAUGUAGCACCAGGAUUUUCCAGACCAAAGUCAUAACUACCCAUUCAAACAAUCCAACAUGACCAGGGCAUCUAAAUGCAGUUUUGGGAAUAUCCUCUUCAGCCAUGAAUAUUUGAUUGUAUCCUGCAUUGCCAUCCAUAAAACUAAUAAUUCGAUGUCCAGCUGCAGCAUCAAUCAGCAAAUCGGCAACCGGCAUUGGAUACCCAUCCAUCGGCGUAGCUUUAUUGAGAUUCCUAAAGUCAAUGCAAACACGAAGCUUUCCAUUCUUUUUAUAGACAGGAACAACAUUGGAAAUCCAUUCGGUGUACCGACACUGUCGAAUAAACUUAGCUUCAAUAAGUUUGGUUAUUUCAGCCUUAAUAUCGGGAAGGAUAUUAGGAUUGUAUCGGCGUGCUGGUUGCUGAUGCAGCCGAAAUCCAGACUUAAUAGGCAACCGAUGUUCAACAAUUGAUCGGUCUAAACCAGGCAUCUCAGUAUAAUCCCAAGCAAAGCAAUCUUUAUAUUCCUUUAACAGAUCAGUUAAUUGUUGCUUACACUCGGAAUUUAACUCAGCGCUAAUAAAAGUAGGUCUUAGUCUAUCACCAUUACCUAUAUCUACUUCUACUAGAUCAUCAGACGAUGUAAACCCCUAACCUAACUUUCCAUCAUCGGCGAACCUAUCCAUUAAAACUCUUGGUCAGAACCGACUGCUUGGAUCAGUGGAAUUUCAUAGUCGGCAACCCUGAGAAAAUCUAUCUCCCAAACCAUCCCUAAAAUGCAUCUAGUCCUCUCAUAAGUGUCUGAUUCUGCCGAUGCAAUGACAUAUGAAGAAUCUUCGGGGACAAUCUCAAUUUUGUCACCUACCCACUGAACAAUGCACUGGUCCAUUGUAGAUGGAAUACAGCAAUUGGCAUGAAUCCAAUCUCUCCCCAGUAGCAAAUUAUAUGCACCUUUCCCACUGAUGACAAAGGAAGUCGUUGGCAAAGUCUUGCUGUCGAUGGUCAGUUCAACGCAUAUGGCCCCCUUAACUAGAGACACAUUCCCUUCAAAAUCUUUCAACAUCAUAUCGGUCUUGGUCAAAUCUUGAUCUCCUUUGCUAAGUUUCCGAUAUACCGCAUAUGGCAUGAUGUUGACUGCAGCCCCUCCAUCAAUGAGUAUAUUGGAAAUCGGUUGCCCAUCAACCCUGCCUUUGACAAACAGAGCCUUAAGAUGUUGUCUUUCAUCAUCGGAAGGUUUCUCAAAGAUAGCCGUCAUCGGAUCAAGAGCCAACUAAGCUAUUUGGUCAGGGAAAUCUACCCCCUCAUCAUCACUGAAAGGUGCAAGAAACUCCAUCGGCAACAUAAACACCAUGUUAACAUCUGCCGAUGGCCCUCUUCCCUUGGGAUUUGAUUGCUGCCGAUUCUCUGACUUUGAAGAACUUUCUUCCCAACUUAAUUCUUCUUGCCUCUCCCGCUGCAUUCUCCUUUUUUGUGUUCUAGUUAACCCUUCCGGACACCAUUGGGGAAGUUGUGUCUUUCGCACUGGUUGACAGCGAACCUCCCUUGAUCCCACCCGAUGAGUGUUGGCAUCCCUGCAGAAAAUAAAUUCAUCGGGCACCUGUGCAUUUGCCAUCUCUUCAAGCUCCUCUUGGUUCCUUGCAAAAUGUCGAAUACGUUCACCAAGCCUGUCAUGCACGCUGAGACUGCCCCCCAGCCGAUCGUGAACUGACAUUCUCCCCCUAAUCGGCUCGUUAAAGCGUCGAUCAUUGUUAUGGAAUCGUCGAUCUGACUGAUCAUGCCGAUUAUAACCAUUGUACUUAGGGCAGUCUCUAACAUUCGGCAACUUGAUAUUUUGCUCCCAACAGUGAAUAAAGAAUGGGCAAUUCCAGUGAUCUUUAUGCCGAUUCCACUCUUGUCAGUGUCUUUCUUCCUCUCAGUGUCGAGCCUCUUGCUGAUGGCUAUACCGAUCUUCUCGUUGCUGCCAUGUCUCCCGAUACCGCCUAUGGGUGAUCACAAUUCCAGAUCGAUGAGGCCUUCUAGAGUUGCUGCCCUCCUAGAUCAAGGCUUUGCCCUUGGCGCCAUCGGCAGUGAUCUGAUGCUGGGGAUCUACCGAUGCACUUUUCUCUGCUGCUUCUGAUGUUAAGACUUUAGUUUUACCCUUGGCAUCUAGCAUGUUUGGAGGAAAAGGGUGUUGAUCAAUCUUCAUCGGUUUCUAAGCUUUGGAAUUAUCAAACUUAAUCCUCCUAGAUUCUAUAGCUGAUUGCAAUUGUUGCCUGAACACCUUGCACUCAUUUGUGUUGUGUGAUGUUGCAUUAUGCCACUUGCAAUACUUUAUCUUCUUCAACUCUUCUGCCGAUGGAAUCACAUGAUUAGGUGACAAUUUAAUUUGCCCCUCGUGUAGCAAUAAAUCAAACAUCCUAUCGGCUUUAGUGAUAUGAAAAGCAAAUUUCUCUGGUUCUUUCUGACCAAAGGGACAAGACAUCGGCUUUUUGUUUUUCACCCACUCUGCCAAGCUGAUGACUAGUUCUUCAUCCGAAUCAGAACUCAUUGCCUCAUCAACAAACGAUACUUUCUUGUUCCAUGCUCUCCUAGGUUCAAAAGUCUUGAUAUCCAGGCCAGAAAUCCUCUACACCAAAUGACUCAGACUCUCAAACUCUUGAGAAACAUAUUUAUCUUUGAUGUGUGGCAACAAUCCUUGGAAAGCCAAAUCGGCUAACUAACGAUCAUCUACAACCAGACUGUAGCAUUUGUUUUUAACAUCCCGCAACCUCUACACAAAGCUUUCAACCGUUUCAUCAUUGUGUUGCCUCAGCCUUACUAAAUUGGUAAUCUUCCUCUCAUGAACUCUAGAAAAGAAAUACUUGUCAAACUACUCCUCUAGAUCGGCCCAAGUAAUUACUGAGUUUGGAUGUAGUGAAAUAAACCACGUAAAUGCCGAUCCUGACAAAGAUGAUGAAAAUAAAUAAACUCUCAAUUCAUCUCUGUUAGCAGCCUCUCCACACUGGAUAAUGAACCGAUUGGCAUGCUCCAUAGUUGACGUGUCAUCUUGUCUAGAGAAUUUAGUAAAAUCUGGCACUUUGUACCGAUUUGGUAGUGGAAUCAAAUCGUAUGUAGGAGGACACAGUCUAAGAUAAGAAUAAGUAUUGACCUUGGGUUUUAUCUCAAACUGAUGCCUCAUUACUUCAGCUAUCUUAUCGGCCCAAUACGCAUUGGCAUCCUGCCGAUGUGCGGGUUGAGGUUCUAGCAUCUUCUGAUAAGCUUCCAUGUGUCUCUGAGGUGUAUGAUCUCCAGGGAACAUAGCAUUGGCCAUAGCCUGUUGGCGACCAUUCUGCUGAGCAAGAUUCAUUGGCUGAUUGGCUGGUCCUUGAUUCCGAAAACCAACCUGCAUCUGCCCCUGUUGGAAUCCUACAGCCUGAUGAUUCUGUUGUGUCAUUUGUGAAAAGACAAACUGCCCUGUCCACCCAUUGUUGGCAAUCAUCGGCACGGUCCCUGCCGAUGGCUGAUAAUUGGGUGUCAUCAUUGGGUUGACAUACCCUAUUUGAGUCAUAAAUUUCUGGAGCGUCGGCAGUGGAUCUACCGAUGCAUUAGGUAUCUGGAAUACCGGCAUCUGAAAGUUCCCUGUAAUAGGCCUUGCAGUAGUAGUAGUUGAGAACUGAGGGUUCUGAGUCAUCAGCGAAACUGAAGGUGCCGAUGUCAUAGGAGCUUUUCCCGCCAAGUCAACCACUUGAGAUGUUCCAGAACUAUUUGCAAAAAAAUCUAGAGGCAUACCAUAUCCCCACCAAUUGGGAGGAACUUGACAACUUUGAAAUACAGAUCCUAACAUCACCGAUGCCGAUAGAUCUGUGUUGAGUUGAACCCGUCCUUUUGAGGUCACUGGAUUGGUCCUCAUCGGUGUAGAUUGCCCAUUAGUCAUCCCUAAUGUGCUUGGAGGAAAAGUAACUUCUGUACCCGUAACGGCCGGAGGAGCCGAUGGAGUUGUAAUCAAUGACAACCCAGGCAGGUGAUAGGCUAGGCCAACAUAUAAUGGUGGUGCUUGUCCUUCAUUGAAAGUUCUAGCCACAGCGUUGAAAACAGUAUUGGACAACACACUAGAUUGAUUGAUCAAAGCACAAUUAAUAGCAUUGUCAACCAUAUCUUGUAGUUUAGCAGGGUUGGCUUUGAAAGUGAUCUGCCGAGGCACCGGCAGUUCUUGCUUUGGAUCACUUCACCGCUACCGUUGACAUUGAAGGAUUUCAUGUAGAGCUUUUUCCAUAGCUUUUUCCAUAGCUUGCUUCUGCUUAUCCCUAAGACCAGCUUCCGUCACAGCAAUGAUAUUUUCUCUGUCGAACUCAGUAUGAGCCAUGUUGAUCUUGUUGAUAGAUCUGUCCCACCAGGGAUGCCAAAAGAUGUGUUGAUGCAAAAGUAGAUCUGCAAACAAAAAGGGCUAAUAACCGAUUUCAACGUUAAGGCGGGCCAGCCGAUUUGACCUUACAAUCGACAAAGGUGAUAACUCGAAUACUUUGGUCCCAACAACAACGAUGCUCCCGGAUGUCACGGCCAAGAGGUAUUCAUGCGGAACUCGAGAUCUCGUCGAGUAUGACUCGAUGAAUUCUUAAGAACUCAUAAGUAAAAGAAAAAUGCGAGUUGACAAAGUCGUCGAAAGUUGAUGCGAAAAUAGAUGUAAAAACUUCGUAUAUGAAUUAUUGGAUUGUCUUCUUACAUCGCUACUAGGCCUAUAUUUAUACUCUGUCCUAAAGAGUCACAACCAGAUACGACUAGGAUUCUAAUUCCAAACCAAACAAAACUCGUACAUAAAAAUAAACUCUAACAAUUAUAGAAAACAACAAUUUAUCUAUCAUAGGCGAUCGGUACACCACCACUGUCCCUUCGAUGAUUCCCACGUCCUCCUUCACCAUCAUCGGCAUAUCAUCCUCCAUCGACAUCGGCAAUCGUCAAUAUCAACCAUCAGCACCGACCAGCCACUGUUCCCGGACUUAACCAUACCUCCUUCCUACUGCUUUAUCAUCGGCAACAUAAGCCAUCGGCAACCUCCUUGUUAGCCAAUCAUUACUUUUCCAUCUGCCGAUCCAAGCUUCAUUAACUUUCCUAAUACGUGUCUAAAAAUGGUGUCAACAGUGUGCUUGCCCACAAUGGUUCAAACACUUAGCACAUGGAUCCUUAGGCCUACAUGAAAGCAAGCAAGUGUGCAACUAGACUCAAUUUUGUACAACACUUCACAUGACAAGUGGGGACACCACCAGGAGGCCAGAGGUGGGCCAGGGGCCCCAAAGGUCGGUCGGCUGACCGACCAAUUAGGUGAUGCUACCUGGCCCAACCUCCCACCGACCUAAGGACCUUCCAGAAGGUCAGUGUGACCCACAGUCAGCUAAAGGGCAGGUCGACCGACCUACAUGUGGGCCCCAUCUAGUGUCAGUUCACUACCACCGACCUUCCUCAUGUGUGGCAGUGCUCCAACCGUCCAUCUAAGGCGGUUGGGAGGUGGGUGCAUCCAAGGGUGGAGAAGGAAGGAGCACGCAGAUCGUUGACGUGGCACCCCCUCUCUCACCCCUAUAUAAGGAGGGGUCCUCCAUCUCCCAUCUUCCAUCUAUCAUUUCAUUUCCAAAUCCCACUUGGGAGAUCAAGUGUAGUGUAGUCUAGUCUAGAGUGGGAGUUAGAGUCGAGUCGAGCGAAGCUCGGGUCUCCGGAGCUGUCUUCUGGAGAGUCUGGUAUAGCUCUUGUACCUUUUCUCUUGUAUUAAAUUCUUUAUACUAAUAUUGUCUUUCUUUACUUUACUAAGUAUCUACUUCGAGUCUUUACUUUGAGUAUUGCUUAGUGCAUUACUAUACUUGUAGUAGUGUUGUGUCUUAGUCUUAUUAGUGUAGUAGCCUUAGUUAGAUUAGUGUCUUCAACACCUUGUGUGUGUUCCACUACCAUUAGGGGCUUUGGCUAUUUACAUGAUAGUUGAAGUUAUAAGACUAGUGUAAGCAAGGUGUUAGGCUAGCGCUUAUUAGUGGAUGCCACCGUAUCAAACGUGUUAGCGGGCGGCGGCGAAGAGUGACAGGCCUCUGCUUCCUAGUAGGUUCUAUUCACGUCGGGUACAGUUUGUAGGCACCCAUAGGACAAAGCUCCGCUUGGAUAGGAGUUUCGUCCUCCUAUUGCAGUCGACUUCCCACCACACAAGACUAUUUGGAUACUAGUUUAGUUGAGUCAUUUACCUUGAUUAGGAUUAGAACACAGAAGUAUCAUUAGAUACAUAGGAGUCCUUACUCACUCGUUGUCCACCCACCUAGCUAGCUCACUACCAGUUAUCUUUACUUACCUUUAUCUUACUUAUCUAUUAUUCUAUCUUGCUAUUCUUGCCCCCCUUAUUAGCACUAGUGAACUUAGAUUGAGUAGACACAAACCACGGAUAUCGAUCCAUAUAUUUAUUAAGAGAGUCUUAGUCUGCUUCCUGUGAGCGAACUAUAAAUUACGACACCGCGGAUACUCACCACGGUUGAAGUGCUAUAGCGGUACCUGUGCACUUGUAGAGUUACCCUUGGUACAUCUUGCGUCACUGCUGGAGUUUAGCGUUGCUUAGCAUUUCUGGAGCCGUUGCUCAGGGUAGCCUGGCACCCUAUCCUAGUAACAACUCAGGCUUGAAUUUAAGCAGUGCUGGUUAGUCGCCACCAUUUCUAGAUACUUGUCACAUCAUACCCUAGCCGGUGUGCGUUAAGAUUUGCCAACAAGCAUUUCUAGCGCCGUUGCUGGGGAAGCGUCGUACUAGGAAUCUCUAAUAAAUUGGAAUCCGGGGUCUACUCUAAAAUCUAAGUAUCCAUUAGUGUUAGGGGCUUACCCUUCACUUGUCUUGUUUCUCGUUAUCAUGAAUCUAGAUAGUGCAUGAGCGGUUUUCAAGUGCCGCCAAACUUCGUUGAAGAUCCUGAGCAAUUGUUGAGGAGAACGAGGGGCCGUCAGGUCUCUCCUCAGAAGUUUAUCUCAGAGACCGAACUGCUCAUGGAAGGAAGUCUCGCACCAGUUGUUGAGGCAGCCAUUGCCCAGAAAACCAUCGCUGAGUUCUUGUCUCCAUCAGCUGACUUUGUCGCUACAGGCCCGAACCUGAACUUGUACGAUGCGACCUUUUAGCUCAAGCCUGCACUGUUCAACAUGGUGCAAGCUAAUCCAUUAUGUGGGAAGCCACAUGAGGAUGCCAAUGACCACCUUCAACACUUUUUGGAAGUGUGCAACUCUUUCACCAUUAAGAAUGUCAUGGCGGACGCCAUCCGCCUUCGCCUUUUUCCAUUUUCACUCUUGGGGAAGGUGAAGCAGUGGUUCUACACCAACAAGAGCGAAGUGACAACUUGGGACAAGUGUGCCAAUGCUUUCCUCAAGAUGUUCUUCCCAUCGGGCAAGACUAGUGCCCUACGUGGGAAGAUUUCGAGCUUCCAGCAAUAGUCCAACAAGAUGAUUCAAAAGCAUGGGAACGUCUCAAUGAGUACAUGCGCGCCUGUCCUCAUCAUGGGAUAGACGAAUGGCUCAUUAUUCAAGGUUUCUACCACGCGCUGACCGGCAUGGCCCGUAGUCACCUUGAUGCCUCAGCUGGAGGGGAAUUCUUGCAUAAAAAUGUCAAGGAUGCCAUAUUCAAGGUUUCUACCAUGGGCUGACCGGCAUGGCCCGUAGUCACCUUGAUGCCUCAGCUAGAGGGGCAUUCUUGCAGAAAAAUGUCAAGGAUGCCAAGGAGCUCAUUGAAAAGAUGGUCAUCAACCAAGGAUGGAAUGAGGAGCGCCUCCAGCCCAAGAAGAGAGGUGUCCACGCCCUCAAUGAGGUGGACAUUCUCUCUGCUAAGAUGGACCUCCUGUUGAUGGUCCUUAAGUAUUAAAUUUGACAAUCAACUAAACAUAGAAAAGGAUCAAUAUGCACCAAACAUCUAGAAUUAGGGUUUUAUGUGACAGAAUUCCACAAGCUUUGGUGUUUGUCUAUUUCUGUAGGGGGUCACUAGAAAAUAUGGAGAGAAGGCCCACUUGUCAGGUUUACAAUGAGAUAAUUACGUGCCGCACAAAUUUCCUCAAUCAAGAAGAGUCCAGAAGCCACGGGAACGAACGUGAGGGCGAUCGGGCCCGGGGGCAGGGCGCCCGCCCUCCACCCUUGGGCGCUGGCCCUACCCUGGUGACCAAUCAGGACAGGUCUCACGGAUUGUGCUCCACCGCCUUUAAUCUUCAAGAAUAACCAUGCGAUUAAUGUCGGUUUGAUCCAACGACCCAAAUUUAUCUGAGGGGGCUAUAUAAGCAAGGCAUCUCCACCCCAGGGGAGAGGAGAAAAUCAUUAUCAGAGGAAGCCAUCAAAGUUAGGGUUUAGGAAUUUCUCUCCCGCAGAGGAUUAGAACUAGCUACUCCCAACUCCUUCAAGUUCUAUAGGAUUGAUUAGAUAGAAUUAGAGAAGUAGAUCCUAGUGCUCUAGAUUUCGGAUCUUCAUCAAUAAAGAUUGGUAUUAUUUCAUAUCUUUCUCUACUACUUUAUUGUAAUUGCAUUAUGUCUCUAUUUAUUAUGUUCUUAGUUUGCUCUAGUUCUAUAUUUGAUAUAGUUAUGAUUGAUAACGAGUUUAUGUAUAAGUCUGCAAAGCGCUUAGCUCUUGACUCGAGGGAGUUAAGUGGUAGAUCAUAUGCAGGCGUGGUGCUUAGAUAUUAUUUACCUGCAAAUGUAUCCUAUCAGUCGGGUCGUGUGGUAGUUCACGAUGGUGACAGCUUCGUUGAUUAUUAUAUAGUCCAACCUCCGUUGAUAGGAUAGGCAGAAUUUGUAUGGCGGAGUAAGUCUUGCUAUGUUCUGAUUUACUUUAGUAAUGUUCCUUAUACAUGAAUAAAGAGUCUUUUGUGCUAUAUAUGAUCUUGUAGAUAACUAGAGUAGAUUGUGACUUAGUAGAUAGUAGAUACUCAGAAUCCAUUCUCUAGCUAAUCCGACGUCACCUUACAUAUAUGAGGAGUAGUGUAUUUCUAAUCGCUGUGUUAUUUACUCAUGAGCUUAUAUUUCAUUAUCUUUAUUAUUAUGGCUUACCCCCUGCCAAAGCAAGUGACUGUGUGAUGAGUUUCUCAUUAGUAAUCAUGUUAUUGCAAGUUUAUCUCUAGUCUAUGCCUUGAUAGAUUUUACCCCUAUUUUCACUUUUGCCGUUCUCUUAAGCAAAAUAUAAAUAACGAUACCCGGAAUACUUUUCGUGGUGAAAUGCUACAAUGAGGUAUUUUAUCUGUGCGCUUGUGGAUAGAAUAGAUUAUUUUCUAGAGAGCCUCUAUAUUCAUAAAUACCUUUGUACACUCUGGCACCAUGGCGGGAAUGAUAACCUAGUAUCCAAGUAUUGUUAGUAAGUGUCAACAAGCAUUUCUGGCGCCGUUGCUGGGGAACGGUAAGGAAAGUCAGGAAAUCAGUCAAGGUAAUUCACAUAAAAAUAUUAGACUAGACUAUGGAGAAAUAAUUGCAUAAACAGCUACUAAAUGAGAAAUCAUAACAAGGCACCUCUGCUUUGGCAGGUUCACCCUGUUGUUUUCCUAUGUUUAUAUUUUUUAUAUAGAGUAUAUCGGGAUUGACUUUGGUACAUUCAACUUUUCAUCAACAGAACCAAAGCAAUCAAGAAAGAAAGAAGAAGCUAGCUACUAAUUGCUGAAGCUAUGGCAUAAAAGACCUUGCGAGAAUUCUCUGCUCCAAGUCUUGAGAACAUUCCAACUGGUCCAAGAUUUGAAGUAGAGGAAGGAGCACCUGAGUUCGAGCUCAAGUCAAGCCUCAUCAAUUUGGUGCAAGCUACACAAUUCAGUGGAAAGGAACAUGAAGAUGCUAGGGCACACUUGCAGAAAUUCUUAGAGAUUGGAAGCACAAUCCGCAUCAACGGAGUCGACAAAGACGUCAUACUGCUUCGCCUCUUUCUAUUCUCACUAGAAGGAAGAGCGAGGAAGUGGUACUACACCCAUCAAGAUAACAUCAACAACUGGAUGCACUUGUCAGAUGCCUUCCUAUCGAAGUUUUCCCUAUAGGCAAAACAACUACCAUAAGAGGAAAUAUUGUCAGUUUCCAACAGGAGAAGACAGAAACCAUUCCAGAUACAUGGGAGCGUUUUCAAGGAUACAUAUCAGAUUGUCCUCACCAUGGAAUGGCUAAAUGGUUACUUAUGCAGACCUUCUACCAUGGAUUAACUCAAAAGGCUCGUGAGUGCCUAGAUGCAUCUGCUAAAGGAUCAUUUUUGGAGCAUACAAUUGGAAAAGCAGAGAUACUUUUGAAUAAGAUAUCAGAAAAUCAAAGCUUGUUCCAAGACAAAGCUCAACAAUGUCAUCAAACUGAAGAAAUACUAGAAAAAGUAAAUGCACUAUCAACCAAGAUGAAAAAUUUGCUCCAUUGGAUUGACCAGAGGGCCAAGUUUAAAGAAGACCAAAGGGCCAUUGAGACAGUAUACAAAUAUCAACCCACUUCGAGUCAACCCAAUAGCAAAGGUAUGAAUUUAGGUAACACUUUCAAGCAACUUUCAUUAAAAGAGAUAAUUGCUCAACAAACCAAAACUAAUGAUGAAGUUAAACAAAGUCUAGAUACAAAUGAAUCAUCUCUAAAAGAUAUACACAAUAAAAUGGAUUUUCUAUUAACUGCCUUUGAUGAGUAAAACACUCUUAAUAAAAGGGUAGAGCUUAAAUUAAUAAAGCUAGCUGCUGCAUUGCCUGUUGCCACUAACAUUGAGCAGGUAAAUAAUAUCACUACUAGAGGAGGCAAAGCCACCAAGGAUCCCCCAUACCCAAAAGAGAAACAGAGAACAUCAGCCCAAGUACAACCAGCAGUGAUAGAAGAAGAAAGUCCAGUUGAAGCAGAAGAUCUGCUACAACCACCAAGAGCUAGAGAAAUGAGGAAAGAUUCUCACGACACCAACUAUUUCCCAUUUCCCAGAAGAAACAGAGGACUGCAGUCGGAUGAGCAGUUUGGUAAGUUUGUAGAGGUCAUUCAGAAAUUAUAUGUCAACAUACCUCUGCUUGAUGCCAUACAGGUACCCACAUAUGCAAAGUAUAUCAGAGAUAUUCUUAACAAGAGGAGACCACUGUCCACCACUGUGGUUAUCAAGCUAACAGAAGAAUGCAGUGUGGCCAUCCUCAACAAACCACCAAGGAAGAAGAAGGAUCCAGGAUGUCCCACCAUUGACUGCUCGAUCGGAAACCAACACUUCAACAAUGCGCUUUGUGAUCUUGGAGCAAGUGUCAGUCUGAUUCCAGCAUCAGUCUACAAGAAGCUUGAGCAUACGACCCUAGAACCAACAUCAAUGUGCCUACAACUAGCAGAUCAAUCAGUUUGACACCCAAUGAGCAUCGCUGAAAACAUCCCAGUCAAGAUCAGAGAUUUCCUUGUGCCAGUAGACUUCAUGGUACUGGACAUGAGUCCUGACUCAAAAGUGUCCAUCAUCCUUGGAAGGCCAUUUCUGAGCACUGCCAAUGCCCACAAUUAUGUCGGGAAGGGAGAAAUCAAAUUCAACAUAAACGGACAAGAAGAACACUUCACAUUCAAUCCCAGACCAGAGAGAAACUCUAUAGUGAAGGAAGUUCAUGAAGAACAACCACUAGAGACACCAUUUCUGGAGGAAGGUAAUUCAGAAGAUUAAAAGAUUUGGAGGUCCAGCUUGGGGGACCUAAAAAUCCCAAACCCUCGCCGGGAGGUAAAUCGGUAUUUAUCCACAUCAUUAAAAUUCUUUCAUAUUUAAUUCUUGCAUUAUCCAUAUUUAUUCAUAGCAUUAUUAUAAUAAUGAAAAGCCCCAUAUAAAUAAUAUUUAUGGUGUGUAACAACCCACAUUUAUUAAUUAUUGUGGUGGCACAAAAAUAUUUUUCCAUGUUCAUUUUCAAUAAGUUUCAAAUUUCCAUAGUUUUUCCUGCAUUAUAUUAUAACAACCUUCUAGAAGCAUGACCCACAUUCCUUGGGUCCCACAUGUCAUACACCAUACCUCACAUAUAUCUCAUCACAUUAUUUGAUCCACCAACAUGUUUCCACUCACCAGCAAUUUUCCACCGACCAACCACCACCCAUAAGUCAUCUUUUGGCGUAAAGACUAAGCAAAGGAGGGAGUAGAGAAAGGGCAGCUAGGAUAGCCACCAGAAGUGGGCGCCCGCCCACCUGCAGAGGGUGCCCGCCCUGUCCCCCCUUCCUCUUAUAAAUCACCACCUCCUGCCUCCAUCUCCAUCACACAAGCAUUCCAUAAACCCCAUGCACACUUCAGUUAUCGGUUUCUAGAGGAGGAGCUCUAGUAGUGAAGUGAGAAGGAGAGUAGAGGGAAGAGAAGAGUGGAAGAGAGGUUGGUUGUUUUUGAGUGAGAACAAGGUUCAUUAUUAAGUAGAGACCCUGCUGUCCAAAGCAAAAUUAAAAAUUGUUUAUGGGGAAGUACCGCUAAAAGUAAAACUUGUUUCAGACAACUAACCCCUGGACAACUGACAUUUCGGACAGCUGGCCUUUAACAUUUUCUACUAGUUGUGUUUGUGUCAACUUUGGUCUACAGGAUGGUCAAGAAGGUAAAGAACGCGGGCAAGACCCUCAAGAACAUAGGUACAAGGAGUUCAUCCUGACACUCCUCACACCAGUCACAGAUGAGCGUCGACCCGACGCCUCCACAAGCUCCGUCGUCUUCGUCAGGUACACGAGUCAAGGUCCUCCUCAAAACAGGAGACCUUGGACUGAAGACCCACAGGGAGAAGGAAGUUUUCCAGCAGCUGAAGAACAAAGAUUUCAUUCACACCCCCACUCUUGAUCCUAUCGUGCUACAAGAAACAGGUAUGGAUAUCAAAUUUGACUUGAUUUUCCAGAUGGUAGGAUGGACAAAUUUUUGGGACAUAACUGAGCAGGGUUCCCGUCUUCUCACCCUUGAAUUUCUUUGCACUUUGCAAUAUUAUGAGGGUUUUCAGAUGUUCAAACAGGACAUUAUGUUGUCUUGGAGAGAAUUGAGUGACCAUCUCGGUUUCUCUUCAAGAUGCAUCCUAGACACUGACUCCGACUUGCCGAAUUUUGAGAGGCACCAGUUCUCGAGAGAGAUAUCUAGAGAUGAGUUUUAUAGUCAAGCCCGAACCAGCGACAUGGAACACCCCACUCGUAGGAUGUUCCACAAAUGGCUCGAGGAUAAUCUUUUCCAUCGCGAUGAUAUUAUAAAGGUAAGAGUAGGAGACUUAAAACUUCUUUAUGCUGCUAUAAAUAAAAUACCCACUUCACGUGUUACUCUUUUGGUUUCUCAUUGGCUUAGUAUACCUAGUCUUUAGGGACCUGUCGGUUGUACUUCAUGUUGAUAUUUGGUAACGCCAUAAGGAAAUGAUCCGCAAGCACACAGAUAUCGGUGAGCACUUCACCCGGGAGGUUAUCCAGAGUAUCGUAUUUAUAUUUUUACCACUGGGAGAAAGCGUGCAUCUGACUAACCAAAUCUAUUGCUACUACCCUUUAGGCUACAAAGAAUGUGAUUCGACCUUGGUACGGAUGAUCUACUGUUCUAUUGGGGAGGCUCACGGAAUCUAGACACCACAAUGGAUGUUCGACCCGCACCUAUAAACCCUACCCGUCCUGCUAACGAGAUGUGGGAUGCAAAGGUAACUCAAAAAUGUCAAGUUCCUCACUACUACCACGAUCCAGCUAGUUAGGGGAUAUCUAUGAGUACCCUAGCCCAAACACCAUGUUUACUCUAGCGAUGAUUACUCUAAACUCAACCGGAAGAGAUUAAAGCAAACUCAUAAACCAAAGAAUAAUAAAACAGGAACUUACUAGAAUUUAGAAGUCGAAUUACUGAAGAAUCCUAGGAGCAAGCCUCGAGUUAGGAGACUUGAUCCUGCAGGUACAACCUCAGAGUAGACACCAACAGGCCGGGCUUCCUCUGAUCUACACCUCCACUCUGUCUCUCUCAAUCCAGUAGAUCUAGUCUACUCUCACAUUGGAUGCUAAGCCCUAAGUAUAUUUAGAGGAAAGGUUACCCUUUGAGGGCACCACUCAACUCUAUAAUGAACUUGUUCUCCUCCAGGGGCCUCAAGUGAAUCUGGGCCGUCGGAUCAAACCGACAUUGAUUGAAUGGUUAUCCUUGAUCCUUUAGGUCGGUGGAGCGUAAUCUGCAAGACGGGACCUGAUUGGUCUCUACCAGAGGGUGAGCGCCUGUUGACACCAGAAGUGGCAAACGGUUAUACCGCAAGCGUACGGUAGUCAAUGUAGCCUUCACCGGGAGUAUUCCAGGUAUCGUGAUUUCCACGGGGAACGCGAAGUGAAUUAACUAGGCUUUAGAUCGUUAGGUGAUGAUCAAAGGGUCUAGGAUAAUGGGGUAGAGAGGUCUAACUAGUAUUAAUGCCUGGUCUUGGUAAUUAAGUAUAGUCAAGGUUUUUCACCUAACUCUUUACUGAGGGCGAUACCCGAAAAGGAGGAUUGAGUUAACGAGGUUUUUCACCUCCCCGUCUCCUAAGCGACUACCCUGCUCAGCCCAACUAUUAUUUGCAACUUGCCUACAACAGAUGCGAGGAGCUUUCCGCCUAGCGAGGACUGUCACUCUCACACUAGGUGUCUACACAACUGCGACAAGGAGUCCACACUGGCAAGAAGUAGUCUAGACACCACGUCUAAACUAGCUCUUGCUACCCUAAGCUUAGCUAAAGCUAAGAGCACUCAAGAUCAAGCAAUGUGCCAGUAAAGGAUUCUUAUACUUAAAGUACCAGACCAAAUAUUAAAUACUAGAAAAGACUCAGAAGUAAGACUUACAAGAAGACCUGCUUCCGCUGAGGUGCUCCGCGAAGAAGACUCCCGGCCGGGACUCCUCCUUGGAACUCCUCACUCUCUACUCACUAUGAUAGCACUAAGCUACUAAAGUAGUUUACUCCUAAGAUACAUGCCAUUUAAGUGAAGGAAUAGGUGGGUAUUUAUAGUGGGAGAUGGAGUAGGGGCUACUCCGGUGCCACGUCAGCGAUCCGCGUCAUCUUCAUCAUGCACCAUUGGAUCAAACCGACUUCACAACCGCCAUCUGAUCAACGGUAGAGGCAAACUAACAUGUGCAACAUGUGGGCAAGGUCGGUGGGAGGCGAACCGACCCUGGAACCGCCAUGAAGUGGGGUCGGCCGACCCCCUAUCUGGCUGGUUGGGCCCACCUGCAGUGUCCUGGAGGCUCUCUGAUGUCGGUGGAGUUGAGCUGACCUGUGGGACCCACCAAAGUGGGGUCGCCCGACCCCACUUCUAUGGGGUUAGGGUGUCAGCCCUGUCCUACAUGUCUUCCUCUUCAUGACUAUAAUGUUGUCUUGGUUACUGGUGUCACUGAUCUUUAGUUAUUCACCCCUUCUUAGUGUUUGGACCCUUGAAAAGUACCUGUUCUUACUCCUGCAACCAAAUAGUAGCAUGUACAUGUGGAACUAGGUUAUAUGUACCUAUAUUACUACUUUGUUUGGUUGUUUUCUCCCAAAAUGAGUCUUAUGUUGACGGUUAUGAUAGUAGAAAACAUGGUAUAAAUACCGUCAACAGCGCCCUAGGGGGAUGGCGGGCGCCCUGCCCCCGGGCCCGAUCACCUUCCCGUUCAUUCCCGUGGCUUCUGGAGUCUUCUAGAUGAUAGAAAAUUGCACGGCACGUUAAUAUCUCUAUGUAAACCCGACGGUUGGGCCUUUCUCCCAUAUUUCCUGAUAACCCCCUACAGAAAUAGACAAACACCAAAACUCGUGGAAUUCUAUUAGAUAAAACCCUAAGUCUAGUUGUUGGUUGCAUUUGGAUCCUUUUGUUUAUUUAUUUGAUGAUUAUAUUUGGUACUUAAGGACCGUCAACAACUCCCCCAAGCUUACCUCUUGCUCGUCCCUAAGCAAGGAUGAACUCAAGAGUUUCUGUAGUGGUUUCAUGCCUUAAAAGUACAUAUGCGUUCAAGCAAGAUCUCAUCUCUGAGUUAGAGUAAACUGUUAAGACUUAAAACUUACUCAUUUCACCUUUCACCAUGGGGCUUGCAACCGUCACUUGUGUCUUGAGCAGUUAAAAGAUAGCACAGUCUAGUCAAGCGCCAUGUCUCUUGUUCUUUGAUUAACUAUAGUUCUGGAGUUUUUGCAGAUUUUUAAACUUAGAGAUUCCUUGUAUGACUCUCUCAAAUCUCUCUUUUGUGGUAUUUCUGGAUCCUUUCCAAUGCAGUGAUGGUAUAUGCCUUCUCUCGAAGUAUGUGGUGUUUUUGGUAUAGUGAUAUUGCCUUCUCUCUCACCCUACUCUAAUAAGGUUUUGAUAUCUAGAGCUCAUAGGUGGGAGACAGAUAAUACAUACUUACAAGACAUUUAUUGCAUAGUCACACCAUGGAUCGAGAGAAACAAGUCAAUAAGUCAAAUGAAGAUGUGCAUGUGUGGCGAGUGAAUGGUGUAUGAUGAUGAUUGUGAUAACAAUGGUGAAAGUCUAAUUCUACUUUUGCUCUUUUUAGGAGAUACAUACCUUUCUUGCACUUUGAAGCUUUUUUUGAGGAGAAUGAGAUGCUCUAUAUAUUCUUUUUCUUUUCUCUCAGGUGGGUAUCUUGUAUCCCUAAUUCUACAAUCGGACACUUGUCCAUUUUUACCUCUCGUCUCACUUUUUCUUUCCUUCGAGGUUCCGGGCACUUGCUCCUUUUUAUUUCCUCGUAUUCACCCCUUCUUUUUUUAGAGAACUCAUCUCCUGAAAUAAUAUAGCAAGUGGUAGUAACCAAGAUAACUCGAGCAUUUAUUUCACAGGGAAAACAGAAAUAGGAGAAUGUUUUUGGCUAUUAUCUCCAGGAUUAGGAGUAGAAUACUUUUAGGUGAAUCUGGAGAUGGAAAUGAAUGGAUGUAUGUGGAUGCGUACUUCCAGAGUAGAAGUAGCAUGUACGAGUGAACGUGCAAGUGAAUCUUGAUUUUAACCGCAUGACAAGCUCCUAAGAGUCUACACAGCUUGACCACACUCAAUGCUCAUAAGCAGUAAAAAGUAAAUGUGUGGCUCAAAGUCUAGCAAGCAUGUAUAUAUGGCUGUGAUAUGAAUUUAAACUCUCGUCAUACAGGAACUCAUCAUGUGUUAUUUUUAAGAUUUUCAAAGAUAAAAUUCUCCAAAAUUCUUGCAUCUCUAGGAACACAUAAAGAGCAGCUUAACCGUCCCAUAUCAUAUCCGUUAACAACUUAGACUUCAGAUCAAGUACUCUUCCCACAAGUUCAGGUUUAGAGCAGGUUUAAAUUAUAACAGUUAUGCCUAAACUUGAGAGAGAGCUCAAACUUGAAAACUAGGUACAUGGCAGAGCAACUAUUUAUCAUAUCCAUGUGAGAGUUUAUCAUUUAAGUUCAAUUUGGCCUAGACAAUUUAUUUAUUCAUUUAGCAAACUAAGCAAAGAUAUAUGCACAAAAUUUUUAUUUGGGUUUCAUGAUUAUGCAUCUUUUUAUUAUUUGAGUAAAGUAUAAACGCGAGUAGAAACACGUAGCUAGAUAAAUGGGGGUGCUCUCCCCCAAGCUGUAUUUUGACGUAAUUUCUUCUGAUAUAGCUAGCAGGUGGCGGAGGUGUAUUUGAAUGUCGGUAGCACCCUGACAGCGAUUAGGAUGUCCAUCGCUGCUAGUCUUCUUUGAUCCUUGAAUUCUGUGGAGCUCAAAUAGACAACAAAGCUUUGUGAAUCUGGUUAAGUGUUAGCAUAAAAUCUCUUUGCCUUUAUCAUGUUGAGCUUCCUCUAAUAAAUAUUACUCUCUUUGAUAGGAUCAUAAAUUUAUUUUUAUAUUCUCAUUUUUAUAGGACAGGAUUAUUUUUAUGCCACCACAGUGAAUGUACUUAUGGCUUUUAUGCCAUGAGCAUACUCUCAUGGGGCUUACUAUUUUUAAUAUUUUUAUUUUCUUUUAGAGAUGAUAUGAACCUGAUUAACUAAGCAAACUAUUUUAAAUAAUUGAAGGGAAAAGGAUAACUACCAAGUUUACCUCUUGGCAAGGCGUUCGGAGUUUUAAAGUCCUCCAAGCGGGACUCUUCGUUUUCUCAGUCGUCCUGGGAUUCGAUCGAUGGCGUAGUCGGUGGUUCCGGUGGCGCCUCCUCUUCGUGUAUAACUAUCUUCUCUCUCCACACCUGACUCGGUGCUAUAGUCUCCUCAGGACAGUCAUGUUCAAGCUGUAUGUCUUCAGACCUUACCACUUCUCCUUCGUAGUCUGCCCAUCCGUCCUUGAUGAUUUGCCUCCUCUGGUUGCGGUUGCGUUGUCUUCUUCUUAUCCUGAACUGCUUAGAGUCUUCAACUAAAUAGUUAGGGUCAGUAAAAUAACAGCAUACCUUCUCAGAUGGGAAAUGCAUGUGGACUUCUCCGGUUCCAAUGUAGAUGAUUCCUUUAACGGUGCUGAGGAGCGGUCUCUCAAGGAUGAUGGUUGGAUCAUACUCGUCUUCUCCCAUGUCAAUAACCUUCAACCUUUCGGAAUGUCUGAUCUGCCAUGUGGAGUGGAUCAUCCUUAUUGGUCACAAACGGUGACUUAAGUCGACGAUCUUGACCUCCUUGAACUGUAGUGACCAUCUUAGCUGACUCGGUCCACAUUUGCUUGUUCUUGUUCCUCCUUUUGGUCCUCUUCCUUGGUUCAUGUCGGGAUUGCUCUGAGAUUUGUGUAGUCUUGUUCUUGAAGGAAAACGUCUUUCCUCGCCUUGAUGUAGAGACUAAUCUUGGUAGUACUGGGGCGUACAAGGUACCAACUCAGACGCAAAGGUUCUUCAAUAUUCCCUUUGGGAAACUUUAGUGUCCGAUCUGCAACCCUGGGCAUAAUAUUGACGCUGGAGCCAAAGUCGCAGAGUGCUUCUAGGAAGUCCACCAUGCCGAUGGAGAUCGGGAUGACGGGGCGUCUAGGAUCACCUCUCUAAGUUGUUAGGCCUCUGUUGAUUCCAACCUUGUUUUUAUUGAGGAUGGUUGUAGUAGUUGUUGUUGUUGAUGUAGUUCACGUCCUCAAGCAUCUCAGGGCAGUGAUUGCCUGAGUGUCCAGUAUCUUCAGUGUGUUUGUGCUUGUAGAUCUAGGUUUUUCACUUGGUAGAGUCUGGGAGUUGUAAAACUCCUUCAUAUCAUGCUCGAAGUGUACCUGCUCAUAGAGACAAGGCAGAGAUCAUGUGCAUGGGCUCUGUUGGUGAAAAACACCAACAGAACCAAAAGUGUAUUUGUUGUUCUCUAGCCAUAAGCAUGGUGAGCAAGACAAAGUUGAUGGAUAAUAAGAUCAUGAAGGUAGCAUUUAAAACAUUUGUUAGAUCAGAUUGCUCAACCUAAUGGAAAGAUAAUCUAUCUAUAUUUAUGUUUAUAUCUUCCAAAGACUGAAUGUGCAAUAUUUUAGCUUAUAUGAUUAGGACUGUGGGAUCACGAAGGUAGUACUAUGAACAAAGAUUAAAGGACUAAACAUGUUGAAUUAAUUGGGUUGGUUAAUUUAUGUUUGUCUCUUUAUUCAUAUGAACGCCAAAACCAAGGAGAAGCUUAUAAAAGUGAGAGUCACAUAUCUUAAGAUGUUAACUUACUUGAAGAGUGAUGGUACAGUAUCACCUUGUGGAAGCUUUCCUUUCUUAGUGGUUGUGUAUCAUGUUUGUGGCACCUUCCAUGGAUCAUCUCUCUAUGAUGAAUGAGCUAUGUCUUCCUUAUGCAAAUCGUUAAAUUUCAUGUGUCUCCUUUAUCUCCAAUGUGAGUUUGUAUCUCAAGAUUUCCCAGGUUGAUAUUGAAAGUUUUCCUGCAGGGUUAGUCCGACAAAAUAUACCAAUGCCUACUCAAGCAGUUUUUAGUUCAGUAACCAAACUAGACUCCAUGUCUAAUCAGAUUAAGGAAGGCUAUUUAACCUAAGCACCAUGCUUAAUUUAAAUGCCAAUGGAAGUAUGUCCAAUACUUCCAAACCAACACUUACUAGGAUAAACAUAGGUAGCAUGAUGGCUUUUAUAGAGAUCUACUUAAGUGGAGAUGAAGUAGUGUGACAAGUAUUUAACAAAUCAAGCAUGUCUCAAAGGUAGGGACAACCAACAUAGCAACUUGGCAAAGGAUGGUUUCAUGUGAAGUACUCCCCCAAGCUUGAAUUUUGCAAAAUUCAAGAUUUGAUGAAUUUUAAUUCAAUGUUGCAUGAUGAUUGGUUGGACAUACCUUGCGCUUGUCAUUCCUCAGAUCUUCUUGCUCCAAUCCUAGAAAGGUUAGUGACAAGAAUACCCGAAGGAAUAUUUCUACAAUUAUCUUUAUAUGCUCAAUACACAAGGCAAUGUUGCAAAUAAUUAGAAGUUCAUGUUACGAUCUGAUAAGUGCUUGUUUUAGGACACUAAGCUUGUUCUUGGGAAACCAUCAAUUUAUGUCGGCGAAGUGGUUUCCCCUCCAACGCUGACCUACAUCAAGAUCAACUCAACGAGAUCUGCAAUAUUUAUUAUAGACAUAUACAUCGACAACCGCCCUUUUAAAGUUUUUGUAAAAAAGGAAUAGGGGGUUGGAGAUCUCAAAUCUGGUGAUGUUGGAGAGACCAAUAGAUUGGGAAGGUGUUGCAUAUGAGCAUGGAGUAAGCAAAGUGGCUAUGAAAUAAAUUCCAUGCUCAUUAAUGUUAUCUUCGUCUCCAAUCUGAAUGUUCAAAGUUUCUCCUAGAUUGGUCUCACCUAUGUCCUCUUCUGUAGUUGGAUGAAUCUCAUCUUCAAAUGGAGUUAAGAACUCACGAUUUCAAAUUGACCCAAAGUUAGAAUCCAUUAAGGCUUCUUCCUUGUCCAUCCACUCAAUGGUAAUACCACAUGGAUUUUUAAUGCCCUCUAGCCAUUGAUGUUGCUCUUCUCGAUCCUCCUUGUUGUCUUGGUGACUCUUAUGCAUGGGAUGUCUAGAGAGAUUCAUAGGAUCAUCUGGAGGUUCAAGAGAAAGAGAAGAGUAUAAAUUAUUAGGUUCAAGGAUGGGUUUAAAGAUAGGUUCGAAUAAGUUAUCAAAAGUGGGCAUAGAAGGGGAGAAGAUGAGAUUGUUUUCUAAAUGGCUUUGCUCUCCUUCUAUUGCAUCACUUAAGAUGCCAUCCUUCAGUCUUUCUAGAUGUCCAUCAAAGGGAUUGGAUUUGAGAUGCUUUCUAAGAGAUCCCUUCUUAGGAAGGUUCAGACUGUAUGCACUCAAAGGUCUCUUAUGAAGCAGGAAGUUUAAGCUCAUCCCAGAAUGAAGUUGCAAAGGUAGAAUUUCUUCUUCCCUAAGAUGAUUUUGAAGCACUACUAGUUUGGGUUGGAUAGCCGAAUCAUGGGAUUGAAAUGUUUGGAAAUCGGCUAUUGAAACUUCCUUUAAUCGUCUGGGAGAUGAUUCCUUCUCUAUCUCUAGGAUUUUUUUAUGAAGACUAGUGCAAGAAGGAUGUCCACGAAUGAAGACAUACCUUGCUUUACUAACAGAUAAAGAAAGAAAAACUCUACCAAAGGUUAUAUGAUCAAGACCAAUGUGAAAAUAUCGAGAAAAAACAUGGUCUUGUAGGGCUAGGUCUAAACUAGAAUUUAUAGAAAGAUUAAAAGAUUCCCUAGGUGUAGCUAAAUGUUCAUUAUCUUCUUGAUUAAAAGAUAGGACCUCAGCUAUAGAAAAGGGUUGGUUUUGACCUAUUGCAAUCAACUCCGGACACAGAUCAUAAUUAGGGGCAAAGAAAGGACUUGUUGACUCCCAUGGUCUAUGGCUAUCUCCGAAGGUGCAAAGAAUUCAAUAAUAGGUGUGGAAUUUAAGUUAUCCAUAAAGAUGGAAAAAACUAAAAGAUAAAAGAAUAAAAGUAUAAAAGUAUAAUACAAGAUAAUAGCAAGACUCAAAGUUAUCUCAGCAAACCGUCUUUCUCCCAGGAAACGGUGCUAGAAAUGCUUGUUGAUAUUUGGUGACACCAUUAGGAAAUGAUCCGCAAGCGCACGGAUAUCGGUGAGCACUUCUCCCGGGAGGUUAUCUAGAGUAUCGUAUUUAUAUUUUUACCACUGGGAGAAAGCGUGCAUCUGACUAACCAAAUCUAUUGCUACUAUCCUUUAGGCUACAAAGAAUGUGAUUCGAUGUGAGCAAUGUAUAGAGAAGACUACAACUGUAGUCUUGUUCUAACGUUGGUAAGGAUGAUCUACUGUUCUAUUGUGGAGGCCCACGGAAUCUAGACACCACAAAGGAUGUUCGACCCGCACCUAUAAACCCUAUCUGUCCUACUAACAAGAUGUGGGAUGCAAAGGUAACUCGGAAAUAUCACAUUCCUCGCUACUACCAUGGUCCAGCUAGUCAGGGGAUAUCUAUGAGUACCCUAGCCCAAACACCAUGUUUACGCUAGCGAUGAUUACUCUAAACUCAACCGAAAGAGAUUAAAGUAAACUCAUAAACCAAAGAACAACAAAACAAGAACUUACUAGAAUUUAGAAGUCGAGUUACUGAAGAAUCCUAGGAGCAAGCUCGGGUUAGGAGAAUUGAACCCGCAAGUACAACCUCGGAGUAGACACCGACAGGCCGGGAUUCCUCCAAUCUACACCUCCACUCUAUCUCUCUCAAUCUAGUAGAUCUAGUAUACUCUCACAUGGGAUGCUAAGCGCUAAGUCUAUUUAGAGGAAAGGUUAUCCUUCGAGGGCACCUCUCAACUCUAUGAUGAACUUGUUCUCCUCCAGUGGCCAGGGGGUCUGCUUAUAUAGUCCCCUCAAGUGAAUCUAGGCCGUCGGAUCAAACCGACAUUGAUUGAACAGUUAUCCUUGAUUCUUUAGGUCGGUGGAGCGUAAUCCACGAGACGGGACCUGAUUGGUCUCUACCUCAGGGCGGGUGCCCUAGGGGGGAGGGUGGGCGCCCUGCCCCUGGGCCCGAUCACCUUCCCGUUUGUUCCCGUGGCUUCUAGAGUCUUCUAGAUGAUAGAAAAUUACACAACACGUUAAUAUCUCUAUGUAAACCCGACGUGUGGGCCUUUCUCCCAUAUUUCCUGAUAACCCCCUGCAGAAAUAGACAAACACCAAAACUCGUGGAAUUCUAUCAGAUAAAACCCUAAGUCUGGGUGUUGGUUGCAUUUGGAUCCUUUUCUUUAUUUAUUUGAUGAUUAUAUUUGGUACUUAAGGACCGUCAACACUUCACUCAUCACUCGUCUAGCUUCUAGUCUUCAUUUACUAGAAAACUCAUCAUUGGAAUUCAUUGACGAGUUACGAAUUUAUCAUGGCUAUGACACAUUUAGGCAAGCUCGGAUGCUAAAAAAAGAGGGGAACAUAAUGUAUAUGUUAUACGAUAAUAAAGGCAAGAUUCGGUUACCUAACCCGAAGCUUGGCCUCUAUGUCGCUCAAAUUAUUUGAUUGAGAUUGCAGUGGCACCGGUAAAUCAGAGAGCUCCACAGCGAGUAGCAUCCGAAAGGAUGAACACCCAUCAAGAACGCACCUGGUAUGGAGCUGAUCCCGGGCCAGAAGAAGCAGCGCACUUGCAUUACUGCGACUACAACCCCCGAGUCCUUCGGGACCCAUGGGUUCGACAUGCUCAACCACAGGAGCCAACACAGGAGACAUGGCCGGGGGGCCAAGAUCACCAGUGGACAAACCCGCCUUUUAGUGCAGGUAGGUACUCCACGGAUCCAUAUGGAGCUUCAGGGUCUAGGCCGCAGCCCCAAUUCGAUGCAGGACGGUACUCCGACGCCUCUUAUGCGUUCACGAACGACUACUACCAAGAGGCCGGCGGCUUCUUCACCCAUAUCGACAACACCCUCCUCGACAUCCGGAAUAUGCAAAUAGAACAUGGACGACUCCUGGAACAGCAACAAAAGUGGAACCAGGACCACACCGCUGCAGUACAAGAACUGAGGCAAGACACUACUUCAAUGAGCGAUGUUGGGUAUUCUUAACGUCAUUACCAAAAGUAGACUUAGUUUUCGAAUUUUGAUAAUAGCGCCAAAAAUGCCAAACCUAUCCCUCAUACCACUUAAGCCAAGUUGUCAUCCCCAGCAUGACAUGAGAGAUGCGGUAUUGAAAUAUGCAAUUGCUCAUCUAAAUAAAUAAUGAAUGAGAUCUACAAGCGCACAAAUUAAUACCGAUGUAGCAUUUUAACCGGGAGGUAUUCCAGGUAUCGUUAUUUAUAUUUUUACCACUAGGAAGGGAUUAGCAAUCAUCAAUAUUGAUUAUAGAAUAGAAUAUGAGAUUAAGUAUCUAUCAUUGCAUAUAUAAUUGAGAACAUUUAUCUAUCUCUUUCAUACAGGCAUAAGUGUCACAAAAAAGAUAUAUGAAGUAAUGAAUAGUGACAAAGAUAAUUAAUCUGAUCAGCAUAACUUAGCCACAUAAUAAAUAUGAUAAGCACCUCAAUUAGAUAUUCUAGGAAGUCAUUAAUAUGGAAUUAGAACGAACUACAAGAAUAUUUCCUAAGUUAUUCUCAAUUAUAUAUUCUAGCAUUAUAAUAGUUAGUGCAAUUAUACUUAGCAAUCAUUGCGAGACAGGACUACGCCCAUGCAUAGUGAUAUUAGCAAGGAAUAUGAGAAACAUAGCAAUCACUCCCCUGUAAUAAUGUUGCUCUGCCAGCCCAAUACACGAGAGGGGGACUAUAUAAAAAUCAACGAAGCUGUCACUAUCACGAAUUACCCUGCGAUCUGGCAUAUUGGGUACAAUCGCAGAUAAAUACGGUAUAAGCACCACGCCUACACAAUAUCUAUCAUUUACCCAUGGAUCCGAUGGAUAAACGCUAUACGAUCCUAAACAUGUAUAUAGAUCCAAUCUAACUAAGCCAAGUAUAUAACUAUGAUAAACUAAGAACAAUAUAAUCUUAUAUAUAAACAAGUAGAGCAAAGUCAUAAGCAAUAUAUUGAAGUAGAACAAAGUCAUAUUCAUAAUAUUGAAGAACAAAGAUGAACAAUUAGAAGAACAAUUAGAGAAUUACCAAGAAUCCUCUUGACAGAUCCGGAAACCAAUCGAAGAUUGACUCCUUCUAGUUCUAAUCCAAUGUAGCUAUGCUAAUCUAGAUGUCUAAUUGAUGUGGUGGCUCUAGGCUUGAUCAGAGGCUUCUUCUACCUUGAGUAAUAAUGAAUUAGGGUUGAGAGGCUCUCUCCUCCAGGGGCCAGGGGGUCUGGUUUUAUAGUCCCUUCAAGUGAAUAUGGGCCGUUGGAUCAAACCGACAUUGAUUGAACGGUUAUCCUUUACCCUUUAGGUCGGUGGAGCUUAAUCCCAAAAGAGAGUUCUGAUUGGACUCUGUAAGGGGGUGGGCGCCUUGGUCUCCUGGGUGGGCGCCCAGGGCCAGGCUCUGUUUCGCCUCUGCUUCAUUCCCAUGGCUUCUGGAGUCUUCUAGAUGUAAGAUAAUUGCGUGGCACGUUGAUAUCUCUAUGUAAUCCCGACGUGUGGGCCUUUCUUCUGUAUUUCCUGAUAACCCCCUGCAGAAAUAGACAAACACCAUAACUCAUGGAAUUAUGUUAGAUAAAACCCUAAGUCUAGAUGUUGAUUUCAUUUGGAUCCUUUUCUUUGUUUAUUUGAUAAUUAAAUUUGAUACUUAAGGACCGUCAACAAACUCCUCCAAGCUUACCUCUUGCUCGUCUCUGAGCAAGGAUAAUCUCAACGAUGGAAUAGAAGUUGCUGCAAUACUUUUAAAGAUUGACGGUACACAUGCUUUUUAAAUAAAAUCUCAUCUCUGAGUCAGAGUAAACUGUCAAGACUUAAAACUUACUUACUUUACCUUUCACCAAGGGACUUGUAACCGUCUCUUCUGUCUUGAGUAGUUAAAAGAUAGAACAGUCUAGUCAAGUGCCAUGUCUCUUAUUCUUGAUCAGCUAUAGCUCUAAAGUUUUUGCAGAUUUUCAAAUAAAACUCAGAGAUUCCUUGUAUGACUCUCUCAUAUCACUCUUUUGUGGUAUUUCUGGAUCCUUACCAAGGCAGUGAUGGUAUAUGCCUUCUCUCAAAAAGUAUGUGUAGUAUUUGUGGUAUAAAGCAUAGUGACAUUGUCUUCUCUCUCACCCUUACUCUAAUAAGGCUUUAAUAUCUGGAGCUCAUAGGUGGGAGAUAAAAUAUACAUACUUACAAGACAUUUAUUGUAUAGUCAAACUAUGGAUCCAAAGAAACAAGUCAAUAAGUCAAAUCAAGAUGUGCAUGUGUGGCGAAUGAAUGGUGUAUGGUGUUGAUGGUGAUAACAAUGGUGAAAGUCUAAUUCUACUUUUGCUCUUUGAGGGGAUACAUACUUUUCUUGCUCUUUUGAAACUUUGUGAGGAGAAUGAGAUGCUCUUCUUUUUCUUUUUUCUCAGGUGGGUAUCUUGUACCCCUAAUUCUACUGUCGGACACUUGUCCAUUUUUACCUCACGUCUCACUUUUUCUUUUCUUUCGAGGUUCCGGGCACUUGCCCCUUUUUAUUUCCUCGUAUCUCUUUAUUUUAGAGCACUCAUCUCUUGAGAUAAUAUAGCAAGUGGUAGUAACAAGAUAACUUGAGCAUUUAUUUGACAAUAGAAAUAUUUUUGGCUAUUCUCUCCCGGAUUAGGAGUAGAAUAAUUUUGGGUAAAACUGGAGAUGGAAAUGAGUGGAUAUAUGUGGAUGGUACUUCUGGAGUAGAAGUAGCAUGUAUGAGUAAUCGUGCAAGUGAAUCUUGAUUUUAACCACAUGACAAGCUCCUAAGGGUCUACACAGCUUGACCACACUCAAUGCUCAUAAGCAGUAAAAAGUAAAUGUGUGGCUCAAAGUCUAAUAAGCAUGUAUAUAUGGCUGUGGUAGGAAUUUAAACUCUCAUCAUACAGGAACUCAUAAUGUGUUAUUUUAAAGAUUUUUCAAAGAUAAAAUUCUCCAGAAUUCUAGUAUCUCUAGGAACAGAUAAACAGCAGCUCAACCUUCCCAUAUCACAUCCGUUAACGACUUAGACUUUAGAUCAAGUACUCUUCCCACAAGUUUAGGUUUAGAGCAAGCUUUAAAUUAUAACAGUUAUAUCUAAACUUGAGAGAAAAUUUGCAAAUUAGGCAGAGCAACUAUUCAUCAUAUCCAAGCUUAAGUUUUAUUAGAUACAGAUUAGCAUAGCCACUUUAUUUAUUUAUUAAACACACUAAGCAAAAUAUAAGCAUAAAAUCUUUGUUUGGUUUUUCAUAGUUAUGUGUAUUUAUAUUCUAAUAUAGUAUAAGUAUAAAGAUAGAUAGAUAGAAAUACUUAUCGAGAUAAAUGGGGGUGCUCUCCCCCAAGCUGAAUUUUGACGUAAUUUCUCUUGAUGUAGCUAGCAGGUGGCAGAGGUGUUUUUGAAAGUCAGCUGCAUUCUGACAGCGAUUAGAAUGUCCUCCGUCUGCUAGUCUUCUUGAUUCUUAAAUUCUGUGGAGCUCAAAUAGACAACAAAGCUUGUGGAACUAAUUAAGUGUUAGCAUAAAUAUUUAGCCUUCAUCAUGUUGAGCUUCCUCAAUAAAUAUUACUCCCUGUUUUUAUAUUUUUAUUUUAUAAAGCAGAAAAAAAUAUUUAUUUUAUUUUUAUGCCACCACAGUGAAUGUACUUAUGGGUUUUAUGCCAUGAGCAUACUCACAUGGGGCUUACUAUUUUUUUUAACAUUUUUAUUUUCUUUUCAAGAUAGCAUGAACCUGAAUAACUAAGCAAACUAUAAUUGAAUAAUUGAAAGGAAAAGGAUAACUACCAAGUUUACCUCUUGGCAAGGCGUUCGGUGUUUUUAAGUCCUCCGAAUGGGACUCCUUGUGUUUUUAGUCGUCCUGGGAUUUGCUAGGUGGCGUAGUCGGUGAUUCCGAUGGCGCCUCCUCUUUGUGUAUAACUAUGUUCUCUUUCCACACCUGACUCGGUGCUACGGUCUCCUCAGGACAGUUCUGUUCAAGUUGUAUGUCUUCAGUCCUUAUCACUUCUCCUUCGUAGUCUAUCCGUCCGUCCGAUUUGCCUCCUCUGGUUGCGGUUUGUCUUCUUCUUGUCCUGACCUGCUUAGAAUCUUCAACUAUAUAGUUAGAAUCAUUAAAAUAGUGGCGUACCUUCUCAGAGGGGAAGUGCAUGUGGACUUCUCCGGUUCCAAUAUAGAUAAUGGCUUUGAUAGUGCUGAGGAACGGUCUUCCAAGGAUGGUGGAUGGAUCAUACUUGUCUUCUCCCAUGUCAAUGACCUGAAAAUCAUCUGGAGCUGAAUAUAUUGGUUGUAGGGGCAUGGUUCCAUGCAGGAGCUGAUAAGUGACUGCGGCCAUUAUGUUGACGUUAGAUCCGGUGUCGUAGAGUGUCUUCUAAAAAGAGUAUCCAUUGUUUGUGCAUUCGAUUCUUGGAACACCAGGGUCGUCCUUCUUAAUCAAGAAAGGUGACUUGAGUCAACGAUCUUGACCUCCUUGAGCUGCAGUGACCAUCUUAGCUGACUCGGUCCACAAUUGCUUGUUCCUGUUCCUCCUGUUGGUCCUCUUCCUUGGUUCAUGUCGGGAUUGCUUUGAAGUUUGUGUAGUCUUGUUCUUGAAGGAAAAUCUCCUUCUUCCCCUUGAUGUAGAGACUGAUCUUAGCAGCAUUAGCGUAGAUGACACUUCUGGUGUUUAGGAAUGGCCUCCCUAAGAUGAUGGGUGCCCUCUCCUCAGCGCCAGUCUCUAUCACCACGAAGUUUGCUGGAGUGUACAAGGUACCAACUCGGACACAGAGGUUCUUCAAUAUUUCCUUUGGGGAACUAAGUGUCUGAUCUCCAUUGUGUUUGUGCUCGUAGAUCCCUGUUCUUCACUUGAUGGAAUCUGGGAGUUGUAAAACGACUUCACGUUCUCAAAAUGUGUCCUGCUCAUAGAGACAAGGCAGAGAUCAAGUGCAUGGGCCCUGUUGGUGGAAAACACCAACAGAACCAAAAGUGUAUUUGUUCUUCUCUAACCUUAAGCAUAGUGAGCAAGACAAAGUUGAUGGAACAUGGGUGUAGCAUUUAAAACAUUUGUUAGAUCAGAUGGUUCAACCUAAUGGAAAGAUAAUCUAUCUAUAUUUAUGUUUUGUUUAUAUCUUCCCAAAUAUUGAAUGUGCAAUACUUUAGCUUAUAUGAUUAGGAGUGUGGGAUCACGAAGGUAGUACUAAGAACAAAGAUUAAAGGAUUAAACAUGUUGAAUUAAUUGAGUUGGUUAAUCUGGAGUUAUAAAUCAUACAUGUUUUGCCUCUUUAUUUAUGUGAAUGCUAGAACCAAGGAGAAGCUUAUAAAAGUGAUAAUCGAGUACUUUAAGAUGUUACCUUACUUGAAGAGUGAUGGUACAGUAUCACCUUGUGGAAGCUUUCCUUUCUUAGCGGUUGUGCAUCGUGUUUGUGGCACCCUCCAUAAAUCAUCUCUUUAUGAUGAAUGAGCUAUGUCCUUCUUGUGCAAAUUGUUAAACUUCAUGUGUCUCCUUUAUCUCCAAUGAGUUUGUAUCUCAGGACUUCCCAGGUUGAUAUUGAAAGUUUUCCUGCAGGGGUUAGUCCAACAAAAUAUCCCAUAUCUACUAUAGCAUACUAUCGGCUCAAAAAUCAACCUAGACACCAUGUCAAAUUUGAUUUAGGAGGGCAUUUUAACCUAAGCACCAUGCUUAAUUUAAAAAUCCUUUAGAAGUAAGAUCAUCAUUCCUAAACUAAGGACCAUGCUUGAUUUAAGAGAUAAAUGAAACUACUCCAAACCUAGACAUAUACUAAAGCAAAUAAAGGUAGCAUGAGAGCAUUUAUAGCGAUCUACUCAAGUGGAGGUGAAGUAGUGUAAUUAGUACUUAACAAAUGGAGCAUCUCUCAAAGGUAGGGACAACCAACGUAGCAACAUGGCAAAGGAUGUUUUUAUGUAAAGUACUCCCCCAAGCUUGAAUUUUGCAAAAUUCAAGUUUGGGUGAAUUUAAUUCAAUGUUGUGUGAUGGUUGGUUGGACAUACCUUGUGCUUGUCAUUCAUCCGAUCUUCUUGCUCCAAUCCUGGAAAGGUUAGUGACAAGAAUACCCGAAGGAAUAUUUCUACAAUUAUCUUUAUAUGCUCAAUACACAAGGCAAUGUUGCAAAUAAUUAGAAGUUCAUGUUACGAUCUGAUAAGUGCUUGUUUUAGGACACUAAGCUUGUCCUUGGGAAACCAUCAAUUUAUGUCGGCGAAGUGGUUUCCCCUCCAUCGCUGACCUAUAUCAAGAUCAACUCAACGAGAUCUGCAAUAUUUAUUAUAGACAUAUGCAUCGACAACCGCUCUUUUAAAGUUUUUAUAAAUAGAAAAGAAGAGAGGGUUGGAGAUCUCAAAUGUGGUAAUGUUGGAGAGACCAAUUGAUUGGGGAGAUGUUUUAUAUGAGCAAGGACUUGGUAAGGUAUUUAUGAAAUAACUUCCAUGCUCACUGUUGUUUCUCUCAUUCUCAAACUCCAAGGAUGAUUCUGCAUGAAUGCUUAAAAUUCCUCUAGGAUUAUCUCUCAAGUUUGUUUUAUCUAUCCAUUCAAUGGUGAUAGCACAUGGAUUUUUAAUGCCUUCUAGCCAUUGAAGUUGCUCUUCUCGAUCCUCCUUGUGGUCUUGGUGACUCUUAUGCAUGGGAUGUCUAGAGAGAUUCAUAGGAUUAUCGGGAGGUUCAAGAGAAAGAGCAUAGUAGAAAUUAUUAGACUCAAGGAUGGGUUGGAUAGCCGAAACAUGGGAUUGGAAUGGUUGGAAAUCGGCUAUUAAAACUUCCUUUCCUCGUCUGGGAGAUGAUUCCUUCUCUAUCUCUAAAAUUUUUCUAUGAAGACUAGUACAAGAAGGAUGUCCACGAAUGAAGACAUACCUUCCUUUACUAAUAGAUAAAGAAAGAAGGACUCUACCAAAGGUUAUAUGAUUAAGACCAAUGUGAAAAUAUCUAGGAAAAACAUGGUCUUGUAGGGCUAGGUCUAAACCAGAAUUUAUAGAAAGAUUAAAAGAUUCCCUAGGUGUAGCUAAAACUGCAUUAUCUUCUUGAUUAAAAGAUAGGACCUCGGCUAUAGAAAAGGGUUGGUUUUGACCUAUUGCAAUCAACUCCGGACACAGAUCAUAAUUAGGGGCAGGACGUGUUGACUCCCAUGGUCUAUGGCUGGUCUUCGAAGGUGCAAAGAAUUUAAUAAUAGGUAUUGUAACAGAACCGCCCAAUUUACAAGAGAUCAACUACGAAAAACUCCCGCCAAAGCAGUUGCUUUAACGUAAUCGAACUCUCAUAAACCCGGUAGUCCGUGAAAUCACGAGGGAUUUCAAACCAACCAUCUUACAAGCCAAGAUUGUAGUGAUUCAACAUAACAAGUCACAUGUUACAUCCAUUUCACAAGUAGUUUGAUAUACAUCGGAGUUCAAAGGUAGUUAUUACAACUUGAGUUGAACAGUAGCGGAAGUAAAGUAAUUUGAAACUAAUAUUGCCCUUAUUUCAGAUACAUGCCAGUAUCCAGGUCAACUGCAACAAAAGCAACAUAGAUGAGGUAACUAAGAAGGAUCAUGCCCAUGAUCUUACUCCUCUAAUAUGGUAGGAGUCGUCCAACUCUUGCAGUAGCCAUGAUACAUCACAACCUGCAACAAGUGGGAAUAAACCCUGAGUACGAGAAGGUACUCAGCUAGACUUACCCGUCAUAAACCAGAAAUAAUAUGACACCAAGGAGUAUGCAAGGCUUUAUUGGUGGAGCUAGCUUGACAACACUUUUUGCACAUAAAAAGCUUAAGUUGCAACUAAGUAAUCCUUUCAGGUAUUUAGCUCAAGUUAAUAAUCAUUAACCUAUCAUCUAGAUUAGCACCUGUACUAAAGCAAUCACUUGACUAAGAUUCAACAAUAGUACCCAUAUUUGAUGUGGCAUUUCCAACAUCAUCAUACCAUAACUAUCCAAGUGUUCCAUAAACAUUACUACGAUGACGAAGCUCAAGUCAAGUGCUCACUAUCCAGGAGCGAUGGCGAUUCGAAUCGAUUUCUAACCAGCUGGCGAGUUAUUCCCCACACAAACCACACUCACUGAUCAAGUGAGCUACGGAUCACCGUAUUACACUAUCCAGGACCAAAUCGCGGGUUCGGCAGGCACCGCCAGUACCCGAGGACCAUUCCGGCGACCGAGGUAUCCAAGGUAUACCAAGGUUGCGCGCCGCGCCCUCGUCGUUCUCCUCAACCAGCACCAAUACAGCGCAUGGCGGCUCGACUCCCGGCCCGGAUAGUGUUCAGACUUCGCGAUCGGAACGACUUAUCCUUCCAGCUAAGUGUGGGGCAUGCGUUCAACAUGACAAGACGGCCGUCAACGGUCGGUCCUUAAUCGACACAGGCGGGGAUAGAUAGGCACCCAAGACCUCCAUGUCUUGUUACUUCUCUAUCAUCGUCCCGCCCGGUCUCCAAUUAUUCAUCCUCAUCACUUGGUUAUUUCCAUGAUAGCAUAUAUAGCCAACCUUGUCAGGUAUCCACCUAUCUCGCUCAGGUGAUAGGACAUCACCUGGCUUCUACCGGUCUAAGCAUGACUAAGCAUUUAGAUUCGAUCCUGAAUCUACAUAGGGUUAUAGGUAUAUUUGCUGGACAAGGAGUGAUAUAUGCAGCAGGGGUUUCACCCAACUCCUAUACUUAAUGCAACAUUACAUAUAUAACAUAUAUUCUCAAUUGCAUUCAAAAGUAGUGUGAGACUUAUAAUGCUCCGGGGCUUGCCUGAGAUUAACACUGAGUCAAUUCAGUUAGUUGCUCCGUCUUGGUGACAUCUAAGGUCACAACACUUGCUUAGACCUUCCACCUUCGGGAUGGGUCCACCCAACACCAUCUUCGGGUUUGUUUCCACAUCAUGCCCUUCACGUGAUUCAUCUAGCGCACCUAGAUGAGAUGCAAGAUGCAAGUGCAUGAAUAUGCAGAAUAGUGACACAACAUGCAUUACAUAAAAGUAUGCAAGACACAUGCAUCUAAGUUAUUUAACUAACAUCACACAACUAACUAUAGAGAGCAAGCAUAUCAAUAAUAACACAAGUUUAACAGGGUUACAAGUGUAUUACUUAAUCACCACUAAAGACAUGAAUCAUACUUAGAUCACACAAAGUAAAGCAAUCAAGCAUUCAUGUAUUUCAGCAAUUUUGGACAUACAUGCAGCAACUCAGUAAACAAUUCAUAACUAGAGCUACACAGCUCCAAAAACUAUGCAAUAGGACAUUCUGGAAAGAUUAUAAAAUCAUCUACGAUUCAUCUUUAAUCAUAUUAGCAUGAUUAACAAGUUAACCAAGUCAAACAUGCAUGACCAUAUAAUCUGGUCCAGGAAUUUCCAGAGUACAAGCAUUUUAAAGGAUGAAAUUCAUACUACUGUAACUCAUAAACCACUUAGCCAAAUGAUAUGAAACUUUACCACAAGAUAUAUUAAUAAGUUAUCUACAUCUUUUAUAUAUACAUGUUUCACAGCAAAUAUCAUUUAUAUCAUGGAAUUAAUUGCAUAAAUAAAACUGCUCAUGCUGCCAAACAGUAGAGGUACAAUCACAAACAGAAAACUAAUAGGCAAUUCAAGGAACCAUAACUGGAGUUGUAGAACUCCAGCAAACAUGAUUCUUAUCUUUUUGGAAAGCUCAUAAAGUUACCUACAACUUUGUUAUUAUCAUAUAAAUAUGAAUUCACAGUUAACAAGGUCAAUUAACCACAUAAAGACAUCUCUAUCCAAAACAUGGACAGAAUCUGUCAUGCCACAUUAAACAGCUAUAACUUGAGGUUCACAUGUCCAUAAUUUAUGGUUGUGUAUUUUCUAGAAUUAUUACGAAAUUGUGAACAACUUUGUUAUAAACAUCUAGAGCUAAAUAUACCACUAACAAGGUCUUACAUUACAAACAAUGCAAUCCUGUCUGGGUUUAGACAGAAACUGGAACAGUACUUUAAACCACAAUAACUAAACAUGUGCUUAACCAAAAAUUGUGCUAUUUAUCUUUUUGGAAAGCUUAUGAAAAUUACUAAAACUUAUAUAUUUUCAUCCAGGCAAGAUUCACAACUUAACUGAGCCAAACAAUACAAACAUGCAGAUCCACUCAGAAUAGGAGCAAAGCAACACAGGGCAUUUGUUAUUUUUAUAACUCUUUAUCUAUCAAUCCUAAAUUGAUGAAACAUUUACCAGACAUCAAAUCCCAUAUGCAAAGUAUGUCACAAUAUUUUCACAUUUAUUGGAGCAACAACACAGCAGUUAUAAAAAAGACAAAUAUAACAAGCAAUCAAAACCUAACUGUAUAAAACUAUUUUUACGACUAAAAUAUCAAACUAAACCAUGCCAUAUUAUAGAUCUACUGCAUAGAUAAUUUAACAAGGAUUCCAAAAAGUCCACAUUUGCUAUUUUACGACUUUUCUAUGAAUUACUAUGCAUUUCCAAAGUUCAUACAAGAAAUCUGCAAAAACAAAGGAUAAAGGAAAACGAUUUUGCAACGGGAACCCUGAGUUUUCCACGAAUCAACCGCAGUCCAAACACACUAUUCAUCUGAGUCUGUGGUUCGCAUCUGGAACCCUGAGUUGUUUCAUAUUUCAACACGAGGUCCCUGGUCGCCCAGAAAAACAACAGAGGACUCGCCGGAGCUUCCUGUUCCGGCCCGUCGGAGCCUCGUCGGCGGCGAUGGAGAGGUGGGGAAACAUCAGGGCAAUGAGCCGCACCUGAAGGUGGCCACGGCUCGGCCAAAGGUGGUCCGUGGCGGUCCGGCCACGCACGCACACCGACGGCGGCGGCGGCGGCGGCACGCCGGCGACCAUGGCGACGAAUUCGGACCGCGAGCGCGAGCACGAGAUGUAGGAGAUGGAGGCGAAGCUACUGACGGCGCUUGCAGGGAGUGAGGAGGUUCGGAAUAGCGAGAACGCGGCGGCAGGAGCUUCCACGGCGGCCAUGGCGACGGCGCGAGCAGCAGGGCGAGCACCGAGCGAAGGAGGAGCGAGCGAGGGCAGAGAGUGAGAGCAGGGAGGAGUAGGGAGUGCAGCGCCCACUUCUGGAGGCGUAGAGAGCAGGGCAGCGCGUGGCAAUGGAGGUGGGGUGCCGGUCCAUGCAUGAACGCCACGGAGCCAUUCCAUCGAGCACGUGGCGUGCAGCAAAGUAGGGAAAGUGGGACGCCGGUUUGGGCUUGCUCCGGGCUGAAUUGGACCUUGGGCCUAAAACGAAGUUUGUUCACCACAUCGUGCACUACAACUUUGAUUAAGACACUAAGAUCAUUAGACCAACAGAUUAAGAGAUAAUUAGAUGCCAAGUCACAAGUGUCAACGUAUUGAUGGUGAUUAGAAAAACCAAGAAUUAAUCAUCCAAACCAUGUCAAACUUGAUGCAACUUUUUGCAUGCUCUUCUCCAAACAAUUAUCCACAACUUUCAUUUUUGGACCAACUUGAGUUGCUUAACAAAAACACGAGAACGCGACAUGCCAACGGGUAUACGUCCGUUUAGCGAUAAAAUAACCUUUUGCUGUUUUGGGAGCUAUUUUUAGAUAUCCAACUGAACUCCAAAUUUGAUGAUACUUGAUCUAUUGCUUUCAUCAAGAAGAGUACUCCAACUCAUAUUAAGGAAUCUAAUUGAGUUACCAUAUGAACUUGGAUAAUAAAACGUCACGAAGGAGCUAACUCACUGCUGUCCUUCUAGGGACUUAGAACUAUUUCUCAGUGCUGAAAAACAGCAGCUGAUUCGAACUUCGAGCCUCUGUUUGAACUAAUUGCAAGCUGAUAUGGUUCUUGACUCUUGAAAGAAGUUCCUUCUACAGAAGCAAAACUACAACUUUUAUUUAGGGUCAAACCUCAUAACUGCAACAGAAUUCAAUCUUUCACUUUGGUCAAAGCAGUAACCCGAUAAAGCUCCAAAUAGGAUUUUAGGCCAAUUGAAGCAUUUUCUUGACAUAAGCUCAACAUGAACCCUUCAUGACUUUUGUUGUAUAAUUCAUCUAGAGUCGUAUGAGCAAGUUUGGAAGGGUUGGUUCAUGACUCGUGAUUCUAUUUCCUUAAUAGAGCCAUUCCAACAACGAUAUAACUUAUCAUUUCAUGUGACUUCUUGAUUCCAAACUUAACCAAACCUUUCCAGGGACCAACAUAGAUUGGGAUGGAUAUAAGACACAUGGAAAAGGUUCCAUUAGCAUCAUCAAAGCAUACCUUUUAAAAAGGCAUAUAUGCAAGCAAGGUUGCAUCCACCAAGUCCAAGUUGGGGUUUACUUUCAUAGAUUGACUUUGACCUCUUUAUUACCAUUGAACUUGUCAUGUUUGAGCUCAAACCUAGUACUUAGCAAGUGACAAACACCUAGGGUGUUACAGGUAUGGAAUUUGAGUUAUCCAUAAAGAUAAAAAUAAAAAGAUAAAAGAAUAAAAGUAUAAAAGUAUAAUACAAGAUAAUAGCAAGAUUCAAAGUUAUCUCAGCAAACCGUCUUUCUCCCCGGCAACGGCGCCAGAAAUGCUUGCUGAUAUUUGGUAAUGCAAUAAGGAAAUGAUCCGCAAGCGCACGGAUAUCGGUGAGCAUUUCACCCGAGAGGUUAUCCAGAGUUAUCGUAUUUAUAUUUUUACCACUGGGAGAAAGGGUGCAUCUGACUAACCAAAUCUAUUGCUACUAUCCCUUUAGGCUACAAAGAAUGUCUCUUAAUGUGAGUGAUGUAUAGAGAAGACUGCAACCGUAGUCUCGUUCUAACCUUGGUAAGGAUGAUCUACUGUUCUAUUGGGGAGGCUCACGGAAUCUAGACAACACAAAGGAUGUUCGACCCGCACCUAUAACCCUACCCGUCCUGCUAACGAGAUGUGAUCUGCAAAGGUAACUCGGAAUUGUCACGUUCCUCGCUACUACCACGGUCCAGCUAGUCAGGGGAUAUCUAUGAGUACCCUAGCCUAAACACCACGUUUACGCCAGCAAGUGAUUACUCUAAUACUCAACCGGAAGAGGAUUAAAGUAAACUCAUAAACCAAAGAACAAUAAAAUAAGAACUUACUAGUAUUAGAAGUUGAAUUACUGAAGAAUCUUAGAAGCAAGCCUCGGGUUAGGAGACUUGAUCCCGUAGGUACAACUCGGAGUAGACACCGACAGGCCGGCCUUCCUCCGAUCCACAUCUCCACUCUAUCUCUCUCAAUCUAGUAGAAACUAGAAGAUCUAUUUCUACUUUACAUUGGUUGCUAAGCCUAAAAAGAAAUAUUAUUUAGAGAAGAGGUUUUCCUUCGAGGGCACCCCUCAAUCUCUAUGAUAAUUUCUUGUCUCCUCCAGGGGCCAGAGGGGGUCUCCUUAUAUAGUCCUCCCCUUCUCUGCAUUUUUGGGUCGAUAGGCGAGGUGGUACUAUGUUAUUCUGGAUCCAAUAGGUCGGUGGAACGUCGUGUGCGAAGAGAGUCCGGAACGGAGUCCAGAGGUGGGCGGGCGCCCAGGUCCUCAGGGCGGGCGCCCUGGGCCUGGCCCCUUUCGGGCUCCGCUUCCUUCCCGUGGCUUCUGGAGUCUUCUAGAUGGUAGAAAAUUGCGCGGUGGGUUGAUAUCUCUAUGUAAUCCCGACAUGUGGGCCUUUCUUCCUUAUUUCCUGAUAACCCCCUGCAGAAAUAGACAAACACUAAAACUCGUGGAAUUCUGUCAGAUAAAACCCUAAGUCUAGAUGUUGAUUUCAUUUGGAUCCUUUUCUUUAUUUAUUUGAUAAUUAAAUUUGAUACUUAAGGACCGUCAACAGUUGCUUCGUUUUCUUCUUGUCCUAACUUGCUUAGAGUCUUCAACGAUAUAGUUAGGGUCAGUAAAAUAGCGGCGUACCUUCUCUGAGGGGAAGUGCAUAUGGACUUCUCCAGUUCCAAUGUCGAUGAUUGCUUUAACGGUGCUGAGGAAUGGUCUUCCAAGGAUGAUGGGUGGAUCGUACUCGUCUUCUCCCAUGUCAAUAUCCUGAAAGUCUGUGUAGACAAAAUGAUCGUCUAUUUUGACAGGGACAUCAGUUACUAUUCCUUUAACCUCUCGAAAUGUCUGAUCUGCCAUCUGGAGCUGAAUGUAUGUUGGUUUUAAGGGCAUGGUUCCGAACAAGAGCCGAUAGGUGUCUGCGGGGCCUCCAUGAACUGCAGUGACCAUCUUAGCUGACUCGGUCCACACUUGCUUAUUCCUAUUCCUGCUGUUGGUCCUCUUCCUUGAUUCACAUCUGGAUUGAUCUGCGAUUUGUGUAGUCUUGUUCUUGAAGGAAAACGUCUCCUUCUUCCCUUUGAUGUAGAAACUGAUCUUGGCACCACUAGUGUAGAUGACAGCUCCCGAGGUGUUUAAGAAUGGCCUCCCUAAGAUGAUGGGUGCCCUCUCAUCAUUACCGGUCUCUAUUACCACGAAGUCUGCUGUGGCGUACAAGGUACAUACUCGGACACAAAGGUUCUUCAAUAUUCCUUUUGGAAAACUUAUCGUCUGAUCUGCAAACUGCAAACACAUGGUUGUCUCUGAUAAAGGAUAUGUAAAGAAUUUUUCAUAGAGUACCCUCGGCCUAAUGUUGACACUAGAGUCAAAGUCGCAGAGUGCUUCUGGGAAGUCCACCAUGCCGAUGGAGAUCGGGAUGACGGGGUGUCCUGGAUCGCCUCACUUAACCGGCAGAAGGUCAGUAGUAACUUCAGUGACGGGGUUACUCUAGUAGUUACCUGUUUCGAACAUGUCUACAAGAUUUGCAUAUUCUAAUCCUUCCGGUUGUGAUGGUAUACCGGGGUUAGUAGCAGGAACAGCAGCAGCAGCUAUUUGAUUUAACUGAGACUCAAUCAUUUUAUUAAAGCUAAUUUGAUUCUUGAUGGCAGUAGAGAAAUUAUCCAUUCUAUUAUUUAUAUUUUCUAGCAUUUUAUCAUUAGAUGCCAAUUUCUUAGAUAGGUUAUCCAUUAGCUUUCCUUGAUUAGACACUAACUCUCUUAGAGGUGGAAAAUUAUUAUUGUUGUUGUAAGAAAUAUUACCUUUAUAAUUGCCAGAGUAGUUAGGCCUCUAUUGAUUCCAACCUUGAUUUUGUUGAGGACGGUUGUAGAAGUUGUUGUUAUUGUUGUUGAUGUAGUUCACAUCCUCAAGCAUCUCAGGGCAGUGAUUGCCUGAGUGUCCAGUAUCUCCACACUCCUCACAAGUCAUGUGAGAGUCGUAGAUGUGCAUAACUUCUUUCUUAUCUCCAGCUCUAUCAUCGAGCUUCUUCAUGAGCAGGUCUGCUUUGCAGAUAGCAUGUCUACCUCCUUGAGCUGAUGCAUACCUCCACCUCUCUUGCGUGUCUGGGUCCUCUCUUCAUUCCAGCCUUGGUUGGGCGCCAUCUUCUCCACAAGAGCUGUGGCUUGUGAUAUAGUGAGUGAUAGGAAUGCUCCUCCAGCUGCAGCAUCCAUGGUUUCUCGGGCACUGUUGCCGAGCCCAUGAUAAAAUGUCUGCAUCAGUAGCCAACUCUCCAUUCCAUGAUGGGGACAUUCUAGGAUGUAGUCUUGGAAGCGCUCCCAUGAUAAAACUUGUAAUUUUCCCACGGAGAGCAUUAGUCUUGCCCGUGGGAAAGAACUUAGCUAGAAAGUUUGUUGAGCAGAGUGCCCACAUAGUAUUCUUCUCCUUCGUAGCGUAGAACCAUUGCUUCGCUCUUCCUAACUGUGAGAACGGGAAGCGGCGAAGUAGUAUAGCAUCUCUAGGCAUUCCUGAUAUGGUAAAUGUGUUGCAAAUCUCCAGGAAGUGUUGGAGAUGAGCACUAGCAUCUUCGUGUGCCUUCCCAAAGAACUGAUUGGAUUGCACCAUGUUGAUAAGUCCAGGCUUGAGUUCAAAGUUGCCAUCGAUCUCUGCAGCAGGUCCAGUGCGGAUGUUGUCCGUAGUGGGAGCUGAGAACUCACGGAUCGAUUUGUUUGCCAUGGCUUCAAACUCUGAAGACAAGUUUAAGUGAUCUUCUUGAUUGGAUGAAGCUUGUUGCUGAAGUGUUGAUGAUCUCUUCUUGAGCUUGGCUCUUGUUUUUCUGAAUAAUGCUUCGAGAGUGUCAACAAAAUUUCCUAGAAGAUGUCUUCUAUUCAUACAUUACCCUGCAUAAGAUAAAAUAGAAAAAUAUCGGGGUAAAAUUGUAUGAUAGAAUUGAUAAUAUCAAUCAUAUUAGUGAUGCGAAUGAUAACUCAAAAUCCUAUAUUCAUUCCUGAUUAUUAAUCAACCUUCCCUGGCAACGGCGCCAAAAAUGCUUGUUGGGUAUUCUUAACAUCGCCAAAAAUGCCAAACCUAUCCCUCAUACCACUUAAGCCAAGUUGUCAUCCCUAGCAUGACAUGAGAGAUGCGGUAUUGAAAUAAGCAAUUGCUCAUCUAAAUAAAUAAUGAAUGGGAUCUGCAAGCGCACAGAUUAAUACCGAUGUAGCAUUUUAACAGGGAGGUAUUCCAGGUAUCGUUAUUUAUAUUUUUACCACUGGGAAGGGAUUAGCAAUCAUCAAUAUUGAUUAUAGAAUUGAAUAUGAGAUUGAGUAUCUAUCAUUGCAUAUAUAAUUGAGAACAUUUAUCUAUCUCUUUCAUACAGGGAUAAGUGUCACACAAAAGAUAUAUGAAGUAAUGAAUAGUGACAAAGAUAAUUAAUCUGAUCAGCAUAACUUAGCCACAUAAUAAAUAUGAUAAGCACAUCAAUUAGAUAUUGUAGCAAGUCAUUAGCAUGGAAUUAGAAUGAACUACAAGAAUAUUUCCUAAGUUAUUCUCAACUAUAUAGUCUAGCAUUAUCAUAGUUAGUGCAAUUAUACUUAGCAAUCAUUGCGAGACAAGACUACGCCCAUGCAUAGUGAUAUUAGCAAGGAAUAUGAGAAACAUAGCAAUCACUCCCCUGUAAUAAUGUUGCUCUGCCAGCCCAAUACAUGAGAGGGGGACUAUAUAAGAAUCAAUGAAGCUGUCACUAUCACGAACAACCCCGCGAUCUGGCAUAUUGGGUACAAUCCUAGAUAAAUACGGUAUAAGCACCACGCCUACACAAUAUCUAUCAUUUACCCAUGGAUCCGAUGGAUAAACGCUAUACGAUCCUAAACAUGUAUAUAGAUCCAAUCUAACUAAGCCAAGUAUAUAACUAUGAUAAACUAAGCACAAUAUAAUCUAGAAUAUAAACAAGUAGAGCAAAGUCACAAGCAAUAUAUUGAAGUAGAACAAUGUCAUAUUCAUAAUAUUGAAGAACAAAGAAGAACAAUUGAAGAACAAUAGAGAAUUACCAAGAAUCCUCCUGACCGAUCUGGAAACCAAUCGAAGAUUGACUCCUCUAGUUCUAAUACUAUGUAGCUAUGCUAAUCUAGAUGUCUAAUUGAUGUGGUGGCUCUAAGCUUGAUCAGAGGCUUCUUCUCCCUUGAUUAAUAAUGAAUUAGGGUUGAGAGGUGCCCUCCACCAGGGGCCAAGGGGUCUGGUUUUAUAGUCCUUUCAAGUGAAUAUGGGCCGUCGGAUCAAACCGACAUUGAUUGAACGGUUAUCCUUGACCCUUUAGAUCGGUGGAGCUUAAUCCCGAAAGAGAGUUCUGAUUGGACUCUGUAAGGGGCGGGCGCCCUGGUCUCCUGGGCGGGCACCUAGGGCCAGGCUCCGUUUUGCCUCUGCUUCGUUCCCGUGCCUUCUGGAGUCUUCUAGAUGUAAGAUAAUUGCGAGGCACGUUGAUAUCUCUAUGUAAUCCCGACGUCUGGGUCUUUCUUCCGUAUUUCCCGAUAACCCCCUGCAGAAAUAGACAAACACCAAAACUCAUGGAAUUCUGUCAGAUAAAACCCUAAGUCUAGAUGUUGAUUUCAUUUGGAUCCUUUUCUUUGUUUAUUUGAUAAUUAAAUUUGAUACUUAAGGACCAUCAAAAAGCGACAACAUCACCACCAUGAUGCGAUUCUGGAACAUUGGGUAAGACCGACAACCACAACCAGCUUGGGGGAGUUCCUCCCCGUUUUAUCAAGUAAGUUUUUCUUUGCUCUUCUUAUUUAUUCUUUUCUGUUUUAGUGUUUGAUUAUUUCUUUGUAAAAAAACAAUAAAUAUUUUCUUGCUUUAAUUUACUGCAUUCUAUGAACAUGAAAACAAAAUAAAAAGAGUGUGUAGAUAAGUGUGCUUUAUUUAUCUGCUAAGUGUUAAUCUCUAGAAAAAUAAAAAGAUUAAAAAGAUGCAUGAUGGUGAACAGUUGCUCUAUUUGCUUACUGUCAAGUACCUAGCUUUUAUAUUAGAGUUCUCCCAGGAAUUACUAAAACCUAAAAUUUAAUAUCUAUGGGAGCAUGAGCCUAAAACUAAAGUCUAGGUAAGAGAAGGACAUGAUAUAAAGUUUGAGCUGCUUUUUAUCCUGCUCUUACUACACUAAGUUCUAGAGAUUUAUUUUGAAAACUUGCAAAUCACAUGAUGAGUUCCUAGUAUGACACAAUUCCUACCACAGCCAUACUUGCUAUAACAUCUUUUGCUACUUAUAUUCAAAUUGAUUUUGAUCGAGCUGUGUAGACCCUUAGGAGCUUUUCAUGUGGUUAAAUUAAGAUAUUCACUUGCACACAUCUACUACACCAUCCACAAUCAUUAAUUAAAAUUGCUAAAAAUAUUAUCACUCACUGUCCCCAGAGUUGUUAUUCUCUCUCUAAAAAGAUUCAAUGCAGAAGAGGCAUGGGUUAUACAAAAAUAUGUGAGGAAAUAAAAAGAGGCAAGUGCCCGAAACCUCGAAAAAGAAAGAAAAAGAGUGAGACGAGAGGUAAAAAUGGACAAGUGUCCGGAGUAGAAUUAGGGGUACAAAGAUGCCCACCUGAGCGGAAAAAUUGGACAAGUGUCCGAUAAUAGAAUUAGUGGUAUUCGCUACUCACCUGAAAAAAGAGAGAAAAGAAGGAAAAGAUAGCCCAUGUUCUCCCAAAGCAAAGAUCAAAGAGGAGGAGACAUAGCAAUAUGAGGAGCAAUGAGAAGUAAGUUUUAUCAUCACCAUCAUUAUCAUUUACUCCACCACACAUGCACAUCUUUAUUUAAUUACAUGUUGAGUUCCUUUGGAUCCAUGGCUCGAUUAGACAACAUAUGUAUGAGCUAUUUUUCACACCUAUGAGCUCCACAUAAACAUUCCCUUAGUCAUAGGUAAGGGAUAUUUUUGGUAAGGAUCCACAAAUACCAUAUAUAGAGAGACUUGAGAGAAUCAUAGCUGGGAACUCUGAGUUUUAUUUUUGAAAACUUAUGCAAAACUCCAGAACAAAGGUGAAGUAUAAAUAGGAGGAAUAGUGCUUGACUUAAUUAUUUUGUCUUUCUAUUACUUAAGACUUAAGUGCAGGUACUAAGCUCCAUGACAGUUCACUCUAAUCUGGGAAAAUUUUCAUGUGAAAGCAUGUGUGCCUGUCAGGAAAGAAAACAUCGAAGCAACUCUUGAUCCAUCUGAGUUUAGCUGUUUGCUCAGGGACGAGCAAAGGGUAAGCUUGGGGGAGUUUGUUGACGGUUCUUAAGUAUUAAAUUUAACUAUCAACUAAACAUAGAAAAGGAUCAAUAUGCACCAAACAUCUAGAAUUAGGGUUUUAUCUGACAGAAUUCCACGACCUUUGGUGUCUGUCUAUUUGUGAAGGAGGUUAUCAGAAAAUAUGGAGAGAAGGAACACCUGUCAGGUUUACAACGAGAUAAUUACGUGCAGUACAAUUUUCCUCAAUCAAGAAGAGUCUAGAAGCCACAGGAACGAACGGGAGGCCGAUCAGGCCUGGGGGCAGGGUGCCCGCCCUACCCUGGUGACCAAUCAGGACAGGUCUCACGGAUCGUGUUCCACUGCCUCUAAUCUUCAAGAAUAACCAUGCGAUUAAUGUCGGUUUCAUCCGACGACCCAAAUUCAUCUGAGAGGGCUAUAUAAGCAAGGCAUCUCCACCGCAGGGGAGAGGAGAAAAUCAUUAUCAGAGGAAGCCGUCAAAGUUAGGGUUUAGAAAUUUCUCUCCCGUAGAGAAUUAGAACUAGCUACUCCCAAUUCCUUCAUGUUCUAUAGGAUUGAUUAGAUAGAAUUAGAGAAGUAGAGCCUAGCGCUCUGGAUUUCGGAUCUUCAUCAAUAAAGAUUGGUAUUAUUUCAUAUCUUUCUCUACUACUUUAUUCUAAUUGCAUUAUAUCUCUAUUUAUUAUGUUCUUAGUUUGCUCUAGUUCUAUAUUUGAUAUAGUUAUGAUGGACAAUGAGUUUAUGUAUAAGUUUGCAAAGCGCUUAACUCUUGACUCGAGGGAGUUAAGUGGUAGAUCAUAUGUGGUGUGGUGCUUAGAUAUUAUUUACCUGCAAAUGUAUCCUAUUGGCCAGGUCGUGUGGUAGUUCGCGAUGGUGACAGCUUCGUUGAUUCUUAUAUAAUCCACCCUCUGUUGAUAGGACAGACAUAAUUUGUAUUGCGGAGUAAGUCUUGCUAUGUUCUGAUUUAAUUUAGUAAUGUUCCUUAUACAUGAAUAAAGAGAGUUUUGUGCUAUAUAUGAUCUUGUAGAUAACUAGAGUAGAUUGCAACUUAGUAGAUAAUAGAUACUUAGAAUUCAUUCUCUAGCUAAUCCAACGUCACCUUACAUAUAUGAGAAGUAGUCUAUUUCUAAUCGCUGUGUUAUUUACCCAUGAGCUUAUAUUUCAUUAUCUUUAUUACUAUGGCUUACCCCCUGCCAAAGCAAGUGACUAUGUGAUGAGUUCCUCAUUAGUAAUCAUGUUAUUGCAAGUUUAUCUCUAGUCUAUGCCUUGAUAGAUUUUACCCCUGUUUUCACUUUCAUCGUUCUCUUAAGCAAAAUAUAAAUAACGAUACCCGGAAUACUUUUCCUGGUGAAAUGCUACAAUGAGGUAUUUUAUAUGUGCACUUGCGGAUAGAAUAGAUUAUUUUCUAGAGAGCCUCCAUAUUCAUAAAUACCUUUAUACACUCUGGCACCAUGCUGGGGAUGACAACCUAGUAUCCAAGUGGUGUUAGUAAGUGUCAACACCUCCUUAUGAAGAAAAUAGAGGAAUCUUCCUCUAAAAAGGGAAUUGAGGCCAUCCAGACCCCUGCCGCUGUUCAUGCUGUGGAAACUGAUACAUGGUGCGAGGUAUGCGGAGGAGAUGAUCACUCGGGAAAUAACUGCCCUGAGACCCAGGAGAAGGAACUACAUCAACAACAACUUCAACAACGGGAACCGGCCCCAACAACAAUAAUGGAGUUCAUGCCCAUUCUACCAAGGCCAAGGUAUGGGUUACAAUAAUAAUUCUGGUAAUUCCUUUGGUAACCAACCUUCUCUUAAAGGUCUUGUGCUAGGCCAAACUAAUAUUAAUGAUAGUAUCAAUAAGAGAAUUGUGGCUAAUGACAAGAUCCUAGAAAGCCUUAGUGAGAAAAUGGCAGCUUCAAUUCAGACACUAAGAAACAAUUGAGCUUUAAUAAAAUGUUAGAAACAUAGUUAGCUCAAUUAGCUGCAGCUGUCCAAUCAUAUGAGCAAGGUAAGAUCCGGACCCGCUUGAAUUUGUUAAAAUAGUCUCUACGAGGAAUGGUAAGCCUCCGGUCCAUUCAAAUUGGGGAUAUCUCCUUGAUCCCCCGUUCAUCACAAAGAAGGACGACCCAGGCAUGACGACCAUCACUUGCGAGAUCCGACCAUAGCUCUUCCACAAUGUCUUCUGCGACCUUGGAUCAAGCGUCAACAUCAUGUCCAAGGUAAUUUAUGAAAAUCUAUUAGGGUGCAUUUUGCUCCCGACCUUUAUGGGAUUGCAGAUGGCAGACCAAACCAUUCGGUACCCGGAGGGAGUCGCUAAGGACAUAUUGGUUAAAAUCCAAGAUGAAUAUGCCCCUACCGAUUUUGUCAACCUCAACAUGGGGGCGAACAUCGACGUCCCCGUCAUCCUAGGACGGCCAUUCCUGAACACGGUGAACUGGCCCGAUCCAUCUACAGUUCACAUGUAAGAGGAUCAAAUGUCCUUUCAAUGGCUAUAAAACUAACACAUAGCUGAAGGACAUGAAACCGGAGGAGAAACCUCGCGGCAAAUCCCGCUGGAGGUACAAUAAAGGCAAGUCGGCUAAAAAGGGCGAACAGAAGGAGGAACCCGCUAAGCAAACAAAACAUUCCAAAAAGGAAUGGCGGAGAUGGAGAUGCCUGCACGGUCCCCGUCUCUGGGACUUACCGAGGAGUCCACAGAAAGGAACCCGACGGAGAGGUUUUGCUCUAUGGACCUAAAACAUCGAGCCCUCCGCUGACUAGGUAUGUCAGCAGUUAUCUCAUAUUUAUUUUCUGCAUUUCAAUUUUGCUUUUCAAUUGCAUGCUUACUUGAAAAAAUGCAUUUCAACCAAAUAACUUUGGUAUAAAUAAUAAAACUUGAGAAGAGUAACUAGAGAAAAGGUGAGCUAGUGGGGCCACCAUAGCAAGGUCGGCCGACCUAACUUUGUGGGUCCACCACCUCUCCCUCCACUCUGGCUAGAAGUAUGAAUCUAGGAGGUGCAAUGGAUAGCCUAUGGCUCCCAAGGGCUGGUCGACUGACCUGGCCUUGGUGCCACCAGGCAUCCUGCUACCUCCCAAUGAUGAUGUCAAAGGAUCCCAUGCUCAACACACUAGCUAGAAUUCGAGGUGAGAUGAUCCAAUGCUCAUGACUUUAGCUUAGGAUGCUACUUUAAGCAUUUUGAUGCUUUAGGGAACAUGCCAACAGCCAAAGCUAGCAUAGGGAGCAACAAUGCAUGCUUAAGGGUCCCCAUGGUCCAUGGGAAUCACUUUGGUGCUUGUCCCCUCUUUUGCUUUCUCCUUUUCUCUUUCACCAAACACUAAAAAUGGGAAUUGGAGGCAACUAGCAGCAACAUUAGGACAGCACCACCACCAUCUUUAUCAGACAACCCAAUAUAGCAUCAUUAAAGUGGUGGGGGGCAAAAGUCUUGGUCAACCAACCAUGAUUUUGGUCUCACUUGGUGACUUUUUGCAAGCACGAGGCUAGGUUCCCUGUCCAAAGUUGAAGGCAUGUUUCAAAGGGGAUGAAACCCGGUCAGCCGACCAGCCCUAUGGGGGGUCUUACCAUGACCUUUCACCCCUAGAAAUAGCACCCCCAAUGUGAACUCAAUACCACACCAAAACUAGCAAAAUCAUCUCGAGCUCUCUUGGCCUUCUCUCUUCUCUUUAAGUUCCAAGCCUUCCCAAGCUUAGUAUAGUAGUAGAUAUAAACCCAAAAACAUUCCCUUCUGCAUAGUAGUAUAGUAGCAAGCUUGGUCCUUAUUUGUUCACUUGUGAACCUAGCAUGAAGAAAUUUAUCUCCGCCAAGCUCACCAAAAAGAGGAAGGGUGAUGGCUCAUCCUCGAGCUCUCAUCACUCCGAGAGUAGGAGCCAUGAGAGAGUGGAGGAGGAACAACUGCACACACUUGUUCCCUUCAUCCCCACUAAAAGGAUACUGGAGCCCCACGACAACCUCUUCCUCACUCAUGAAGAGAUAGGGAAGCUCUACACCCUUCGCACUUGCGUCUUCAACCACACCACUGUCUUUGACGAGCAAGUCUUGGACCAAUCAGGUAUGAGCACCCACUUUCCUAGUGUCUUUUAUGCCAUUGGUUGGGGUGGAUUUUGGCAAGUUCCUAAAUUUGGUAUAAAAUUACUCUCUCAGGAAUUUCUUGCCACACUAAAAUCAAAUGAUGCAGGAGUAACUUUUCGCAUGUUCAACAAAGAUUACAAUUUAACUUGGAGUGAACUGAGUACAUGUCUAGGCUUUGAUCAAGAUUGUGUGCUAGACAUAGAUCAUGCUUUACAAAAUUUUUACUUAGCUAAAUUCUAGAAGUUGAUUACUUGCUCCAAUAAUCUCUCUGUUCGUAGACCUGUCCAAAUCCAUAACCCAACCUUAAGAUUCAUGUACAUUUGGAUCAUAGUUACUCUCUUCCCUAGUCCUAGCAUGGAUGAUAUAGGCUGUAAAGAAUUGCAAAUUCAUUGUGCCAUGGUAAACAAAAUCAAAUUUUCACCUGUCAAGUGGCUAGUAUCUUUCUAGAUUUCCUCCAUUGCACCUAGCAUGCCCCUAUGCUUUACUUCACUUAUCACCAGAAUUGCUGAAUCUAUGAGUUUGCUUGAAACAAAUGAAGUUGAGUACAUCUAGGAUGAUAGAUCUAUUUUAGGUGAGCAAAUGUUUAGGAGUGCUAAUUUGAUUAAGAUAGAUCCCAGAAAUGGCCUUGAAAUGAUUUAUGGGAACCAUCCUGUUGAAGUGUCUCUUCCAGAUGAGAACCUUUGGUUGUAUAAUGCUUCAUCACUAACCUUAAGGCUAGGAAGAGAGAAUAGAGCCAACCCUAUUGCAGGGACGGAGAGGAUGACAAGAGCACGCUCCUGUGCUGCUCAAAAGCAAGCUGGUCCCUCUUAUGUUGCACCACAAGAGGAGGAUGAGGUGAACUCCAUGCACAUGGAAACACCUCAUCACUCCAGGACGUCUUCAGCAACACGCACCCCUCGUCUUCAGCAGGACGUCUUCAGCAACACCACCGUCUGAAAUGGAGGCACUCAUCAGCGAUAUGGAGAACAUCAACAUCGGACAGCAGACCACCUUGCAGCUCAUGCUAGAGAACUUGGACAUGGCCCAAAGCCUCCAAGCUGAGAGUGAGUACCGAUGGGACCAGUGGUUUGGGUAUCAACCACCCCAGUGAGCAAGAAGGCAAGCUUGGGGGAGAUUCUCUCCCCCACUAAGGUAAGUUUAUCCAAGGUGAGUUUCCAACCCUCCUAAUUUAAUUCUUGCUUUAUUGCAUUUUGUUUGUUUCCUUUUUGCAUAUGAAAAAAUAUAUAUAUUCAUAAAAAUCCAAAAAAAUAUUUAUUUGCUUUAUUUCCUCUUUAUAUAUGUGCUUCAUGUAUGCUAUCCUUCCUAUGGAAAUGAUGAUGAAAUUGCUAGCUAAUGCCUUUCUAGUACUUGUUUACAACUUAGCAUUUCUCUAAGUAUGGAUUACUUAGCAUUCUUAACCAUCAUGAACUUGAACACUUAGUGGGUUUAAGUGCUAAAACAAAGUCUAAGUUGUUGUGAGACAUGGUAUAGCUAUGAUAAGAGAUCUAUACUAUUGUUCUAAGCAUGCGUGAUUGCCAGGGAAUUUAUUUUUUUAAAGAUAAAUAAAAAUUUAAUUGUUCCUCAAUGGUGUUAAAUUCCUACCACAAGCCAUAUAUGCUCUACAUGAUAGAAACCUAGCACAUAGGCUGCUUGCUUGUGUUGAGAGUUGUCAACUCUUGUUGACCCUUGAUUUAGAGUUGUGUCAUGCUCAAUGAGAUCAAGAUCCACACCAUCCACAUACAACUGCUGCUCCUACACUGGGAGUAUGCAACAUUCCAUACCAUUCCAUUCCAUUCCACCAAAUAUAGAUGCUCCAUGCUCUAAGUGUAGAAUCUCUCUCUCUAAUAGCUAAAUGUUAGAUGAGACACAAAGCAAAGGCUAUAGAAAAAUAAUCAUCUUGUUAGGAAGGACAUCAUCAAGUCCUUGAAAAUAAAAGAAAAAUGCUAGCCUUGUCUCAAUAGAAAGAAAAAAAAUAGAGAGAGCACAAUCAAAUAAAGGAGCCAUCUAGCCAUCAUACUGUAACACCCUAGUGUUAUGGUUGCAUAAAUGACAUGCAUAACAUGAGCAUCAUCAUCUACUCAAGCAUAUCAUGAUCCUCAUCUACCUUGGGCCAUGUCAUUUUAUGCUUAAGUGUGCCUUAACUUGUUUUAUCAUGCUUCCUAUGCUUAUGUUUGUGUGAACCAUGCUCAUGCUUGUGUGUUAAGCCUUGGUAAUUAGUUUAUCUAUGCUUAACUCAACAUUAGGAACAAUGUUCAUGUUGAUGAUUUCUCCAAAACAAUCACUUACGUCAUACUUACACAAAUAGGCUCUAAAAACCUCUUUUGCUUAGGCUUUUAAAAAGUGUUUCAUAAAAUGUUUGCAUGUCAAAACUUUCUACAGCAAGUUGUAGCAUAUUUUAUAAGGAACAAAAGUUGUGUUAUGGCCAUCUCAUGAAAAUGACCACAUCUAGCUCAAAAGUGACCCACAAGGCAGUUUUGGGGAUGUUUCCAACACUUAGAAAAUUUUCUAAGUCUGGGAUCGCAGCAGUUUGCUCGAGGGUGUGUUGUUCAUCUUCCAGUUUGAAUUCUAGACCGAAUCAGACUUUGAUCUUCUAAGCAAUGUUGGAGUACUCAUGUAGCUCUCCAGCAUAGAGCAAUUAGCCAGCAAAAUCAUCGAGUGGAUCGGGAGAUAAUCGUAGUGCAAAAUCGAGUUUCAGUCGGGUUCAGAAACGGAAUGGAGUCGCCGUCAGUUCAGGGGAGCUCGCCGGUGACGCCGCGUGUCUGGAUCCGUGGCGUCCGUAUGUCGCCGUUGGUCCCGCUCGUCAGUCCUCAGCGCGUCCUACGGCUUGCCACGGUGCCCCCGGUCGCGUGGACAUUGCCAUUCCACUCCCGGCUCUCUCUCUCUCUCUCUCGCGUGCUUCGUCUUCUCCGCGUCACCGCCGUUGCUUCGGCGAGCUCGCGCGCACGUGUCUUCGUGUCUCUGGCCAAGCGACUCCAUCCAUCACUCCGCUAGCUUCCCCGCAACACCGUCGUCGAGUUGGCUGCAGCUGCCGAGCCUUGGUAAGCCCGCAUUGCCUUCUCCGUCGCGAGCUUACCUCGCUGGAGCUCCGCCAUGGUCACCGGCGUCGUGGCCAGGGCUCUGUAGUCCACCAUUCCUCCUCAUUCUUGUCCCAAAAGCUCAGCUAGGUCAUGCUGAUGCUCGUCCGCGUUUUCUUUCGCUCUGUCUCCGGCCAGAGACGCCAGCGGUCGGCCGCGUACCACCGCCGUGCUGCCAUUUGCGAGGGCGAGGUACCUAGGGUCCGGUAGAGUUAGGGUUUUGGGUACCGUUCGAUGCGGAAUGGAGUGGGGAGCACGAUGGUGCCCUUGGCCAUCGCCGAGACCUCGCCGUCGACGAGAUCUCCGGCGGUCAAGUCGCGCCUCUGCUCUCGGGUCUCUGACUUGUGGGGUCCCUUGACUCGCGUGUCCCUCUUGUCAGUCUCUCUCUUUUUCCCUGUUUGAUUUAGGGUUGACCUGUUUUUGCAAAAAUCAUAUCUCUGGUUUUGGUGAUCCAAAAAUUGUGAAACCAAUUUUGUGAGAUUCUUUGAGAUGGUUAUUGUUUUGCAAAAAUAUGAAAUGAACCAUGUUUUCUGUGAAAAAAUAAUUAUUAGGAUUUAAUCUUGUUAUUCAUGAGUAAAUUCAUAUCUUUUGUUAUACUGCUCCUUUUGCCAUGAAAUUUAUAUGGUAGUCUCUGUGUGGUGUUCGAAUGCUAUGAUAAUUAUUUCAUGAUUUUUGGAGUACUGAAUCUGUGAUAUGAAAUUUAUGUUGGUUCUUUCGCUUGUGUUCUUAUUUAAAUCAUAGUAAAUAAUUGGUGAUUAUGCUGGUGUUCUACUUUGGUGUCACACUUCUUUAUGGUCAUAGUAGUAUGUAAUUAAUCUGAAAUCUGUUGUUUGACACUAUAUAAGCCAUGUUUCUUAAUUUGUGAAAUAAAUACAUUGUCACAUGUUAAAUGCUUAUCUUAAAUUUGGCAUGUGCAAUUGCCCUGAAAAUUUUAUGGUGAUGUCAAGAUGCUAUGCUUGUUCUUCUGUAAUUUUUUUAGAUUUUUCUGAGCACUUUGGCUAGUAUCUUGUAAUUAUGCUCUUUUAUAGAAUUAAAUUGAUAAAUGCCUUGUUAUUAAACAAUUAAAGGUUAACAUAUGAUGUUCUGGGUAUCUUAUGAUAUACUUGUGCUUCUAAGCUUUUUGGUUGGUAAUGAUUAUGCUUUGGCUAUGUCCUCAAAUAAUUAAUUGAAGGGUUAAAAGCUGUUCUGGACAGCAAGGGAGUAAUCUAACUUUUGCUUAAUGAUAACUUGGUUUUCUGGGAAACUUGUCUAAAUCAAAGUUGUUGUAAACUUUAUGAACUAGUUGUGGUUUAAUUUUGGGAUCCUUUGGUUCAAUAGUUUGAAAGUUAUGGCUGUUCCAAGUUGGGUUCCAGAAAUAGGUGUUCUCUGUUUUUCUGGGACAGAACCUGGAACUUUGUUUAAAUGACUUGUUUAAUAUAUGAAUCUUGCUGUGAUGUUUAAAGAUGAUUUGUAGACAAUUUCAUAAGUUUUCCAGAAUGUCCUCACUUAUGUUUGUUGGAUCUUUUUAGCAAUAGUUAUGACCUGUUUACUGAGCUGCUCUUUAUGUGAUGCUUGUUGUUUAUAGGUUAUCUUGGUAGGUUUUGGCUAAGUUAACUUGCCAUCUUGUGUGAACUUGUUAUCCGUAAAUGAGUGUCCAGUGAGUCUAUUAUGUUAUUAAGCAUUCAUGUUUUAGUAUGCACACCUUCUUAUUCAUCGAGCAUGCAAUAGGUGCACCGGACGCGACCGCCUCUUUCGAGCUUCAAGUGAACCACGAAGGCCAGGAGGUCAACCCGGAGGUGGAGGUCCAGCAAGUUGGACUCGAGGAGCCCAAAGAGGAGAUUGAGUGUCCGAACCACGAGCCAGCGUCGUUUGUGAAAGGCAAGCCCCGGAGCAUCCUAAGUCUCCCCCUUUACUUUGAAUGUUUACUUGAAUAUGUUAUAUCUAUUGAUGCAUUUAAGUAUAGGAGUUGUGAUCAAACCUUUGCUGCAUUUUACUCAAUCCUUGUCCAGAUAUCUUACCACUACCUGGUUAUAGAGUUAGGCUCGAGUAGCAGCUUAGCCAUGCUUUAAUCGGUAGAAGUAGGGUGAUAUCCUGUCACCUGCGCCAUAUAGGGUUAUGUCGGAUCACGAUGGACUAUAUGAGCUAUCGUGGAUGGAACCUGAUUAAAUUGACUUAAGCCGGGCAUAGUUUUGCAAGGUUGUAGUAACUCCGUCUGUGGCAGCUAAGGACCGACCGUUGUACGUCCUCUUGUCAUGUUGAACGCAUGCCUAACACUUAGUUGGCCGGAUAACUCGUUCUGACCGCGACGCCUAGUAGUAUGACUCAGGCCGGAAGACCGGCAAGUAUAAAGUGCGCACUACCGGAGGAAGUGUGGUGUGCGGGGGACCAUUGGCGUAAGCCCAAAGGCAGGUGAGUUAAAAUUCCUGACCUCCCUGGCAAAGUGGUAGCCCUGGGAGUGCGGCGCUGAUCGGAGCCGUGAUUCCUGAGUCGUACCAAAGGUGACCCGCUGGCUCUCCGACGGGGGAUGCUUGGGUGAGUGCUAGGAAUAACCCUCCAGCUGGAUAGGAAUCGAUUCGAAUCGCCAUCUCUCCCAGAUAGUGAGAACUUGACAGAGCAGCGGCAAACGUAGCAUUCACUAAAGAACUUUGGUUCAUGAUAAUGAUGGUAGCAAGCAAGAAUACAUUAUGAACUUGAUAUGGUUAUUAUUGAUUGUAAUAAUCAAGUGAUGUGUUUUAGUACAGGUGCUAAUCUAGUGGUAGGCUAAUGAUGAUUAAGAUGAUGCUCUCACAACCUUGUAGUUAUAACUUAAGCUUUUGGCAAAUGUUGAGUCAAACAUCUCCACUUGAUGUUAGCCUUGCAUGAUCCUUGGUGUCUUUUAUGUUUUACUAGACGGGUAAGUCUAGCUGAGUACAUUCUCGUACUCAGGGUUUAUUCCCACCUGUUGCAGAUGAUAUCUUUUAUGAUGGCUUCUGCAAGACCUGUCUUCAUCCCGCUGGGUAUGAGGACUAAACCAUUGGGCACGGAUCUCUAACAAACUCGUACCUGCUGCUUUUGGAUGGAUGGUGUACGACUCUAGCUAUAACAAGAACUUGUGAACUGAACUAUGAAACGUGUGUUGUAAACUAUUUUGCUUCCGCUACUUCAAACAUGUGUUGUAAUAACUAAGUAGCUCUGAUGUGGUCCCGCUUCGAUGGCAAUGAAUGACUAUGUAACAUUGGUUGUGUUGUGUUGAACUAUUAAGAUCUUGGUUUGUUGCAAGUUGGUUUGAAGUCCUUCGUGAUUUCAGUUGACUACCGGGAUUAUAUGGGCUCAAGUUUGGAAACUUGAUUGCUUGUUGAUCGUUUCUACACUUGAACUCUUAUAAUUUGGUCGGUUCUGUGACAGCUGGCAUUGGAGCAAGUUCAGCAUUAUAAAUACAGCGUUUGUGUAUUUAAAAACAAAAGAGUUUUUAAAUAAAAUGGUGUAAAUCAAUACUUAAGUUAUGCCAGUGGUCGAAUCCUCCUUGCCCAUAUAAGGACUAUAGGUGGCUAUUUAAGUACUGACUUGGGGGGUUUUAUUUAUACAUCUUCAGUAGUACUCAGGUAUGGAUGUGUGAUGACUGCACUAUGCUACCCUGUGGUCUAAUGGUAGAGGUAGCCUUCAUAUGUGAAUUAUCCACAUAUGUCGCUAGAUUUAAAUUAUGCAACGUCGCACCUACGCUCUGGUAAGUGUGAGCUGUGAGAGCAUGAUCGUCCAAACGGCGGUCUAAGGGAGUGUUCGCGGUGGUUUUCUGAACCAUGGGACCACAAAAGAAACUUAAUUGGGGAGCUUUUAAUUUCUCGGGUAGCUGUGGUGUCAUGGUUUGUGCAUGUUGGGCAUGUACAAGCAAUGUGCACUUAGUUUACUGCUUUCUGGAGUGAUAUAUUGGGAACUGUUGGGCUGAAAUGAAGUUUUCUGCAGGUACUCUAACAGUGCACGUGUAAAUCGCUAGUUAUCGUAUCGAGAGACGAAUGUAUGCCACCAUAUAUCUGUUGGAAUAUAUUCUAAGUUUGUGAGGACGUACGGUUCGUGCAUGCAUCAUGUCGCAUUCAUACAUACAUUCUGUCUACUCCUUCCCUUACCAUGUCGUCCCUUUUGAUUAAAUAAAUGUUGCUUAAAACUAAUCUUCUCUUACCCAUGGUAUUCCUAUUCCUUUCCACAGAUGGACGUGCCCGCUUCACCUCACCCCAGUGACACCUUUCUGAGCGAGCUUGGCACACCUACCUUGCUCUGGAGGGUGCUACAGUCUGUGGGGUAUACUGAGCAACCUCAGUAUUCUUGGUGGGAGGUGGAUAUGAUAGGAGAGUUGCAGUAGUUUGCUAUGCAGGGAGUUGUCCCUCCACAUGGGGGCAGGCCUGCAUGGACAGGGUGGACCUGUAACUCAGAUGGGCAGACUCCUUGGGAAGCAGCUCAGGUUGUAGCCCAUGCGAUGCUGCUCAACAUCUGUCAGAGGUUUGGCGAUGAGCUAACUGGAGGACCAGCGGCCUCCAUUCCCCGUGCUGACCCAGCAGCAGCGGAGUGGAAGCAGGCUGAUGGUUGUGCGUUGGUCCGAGGCAGGGGAGAGCGAGCUGAGAGUUCCAGUCCUGCUAUGAGUGCUAUGAUGGCUGUGCUCAAGCUGUUCAGUCAGCGAGAGGACACUUAUGCACAGGUGAUGGUGGCUGUUCACCAGGCAAAGGAGAUGCAACACAAGGCUGAAAAGUGUGCUCGCAAGUUGUGUAAGCAAGCUAGACUCCUGGAGCAAGCUCAGAAGGACCACAAUGACUGGGAAGACAUUGCGGAGUACCGUAGGCAGCAGUGGGUGAAGGCCAUUAGGGAGAGAGAUCAUAAGCAGGAUCAGAUGAGUCAGUUGGCUAGAGAGAGGGAGACAGUGCAGGAGCGCUUGGUGCAGAUCACUUGUGAGAGGGAUACUGCGCUCCGUGUGUCGAAGAACAGGCUCCGGGCUUUGGAGAUUCACCGGAUUCAGUCGCUUGAGCGGGAGAACUAUCUAUAGGAUCAGAUUGAGGCUGGUCUUGUGGAGAUUCACCGUCUCAACAACUUACUACACCCUAUUCCUCGCCCUAUACCCGUGUACCUGGAGGUGGGACCUCAGGUGAUUGUGGCCGAUGAUGACGGUAUGGAGGUCGAUGGACCCGCAGCGGUUGCACCACCCUUGCAUGAGGAUGUGGAAGACGAGGAGCUUGAGCCAGCUAGCAACGAGGAUGGAGAGGCGAUCUUCAAUGCUGACUCGGGCGAUGAGCCUAGAGUGUAGUGGGUUGUGGGUAGUUGUUAUGUGAGGGUCUUUUGUAGUAUGACAGUCAGGAGUGGUGCUUUUGUAGUCAUGAUGUAAUCUGGAACCUUGAUCUUGCCUUAUGUCAUGUACUGUGAUGCUGUAAUAACUUUAUGGACCCAAUGUGUAACCUUAACAUGUUCGUUCUGUUAUGACGAUGUUUUCCGUUGUGGUGCGUAUUGCGGAUAUCUAUGUCAUGUGUUGGAUUGGUGAUGUUGUUUUGUGGAAUUGAAUUAUUGUGCCUUUUUCUAUAAAGCUAUUCUCUCGAAUACUUUCAGGCAUAAAAAUAAGUUCUUCAACAGCAAGUCUUGUCAUCAUCAAUGCUCACUAACUGUAUCUUUAUUGAUGUCUCGUGGCACUCGAGGUGCGGAACAGCGUGCGAACAUGAACCCACCCCCGCCUCCUCCACCACCAAAUCCAGCUGAGCUGAUGCAAAUGAUGGUGGAAAAUCAGAGGAUGCUCACUGAGACCAUCAACCGGAUGGCGAAUCAGGGUGGUCGUAAUGCACAUGAAGGGCCAGCUCCUAAUUAGUACAGUAGCUUCAAGGAUUUCAUGGAUACUAAGCCCCCACCUUUCAGAGAGGCUGAAGAACCCCUUCAAGCUGAGGAGUGGUUGAAUACGGUGGAACAAAAGUUCCGUUUGCUUCGGUUGACUGAGGGUUUGAAGGUCGAGUAUGCUGCUCACCAGCUGCAAGGACCAGCAAGUAUCUGGUGGAAUCAGUAUCGGGAAGCCCUUCCAGCCGACACUGUUAUUGACUGGAAUCUCUUCUGUGAAGCUUUCAAGGGGCAUUUCAUUCCUCCUGGUGUUAUGGAGAUGAAGCAUACCGAGUUUAUGCAGUUGACUUAGGGCAACAAAACUCUGAAGGAGUACUUGCAUGCUUUCAAUCACCUAUCAAGGUAUGCUCCUGAGUUUGUGAACACUAAGACGAAGAAGAUUGCUAGCUUCAAGCGGGGUCUUGGCCCCAAGUUGCUGAAGACUAUGGGCCGCUCUAAGUGUGCAACAUUCAAUGAGUUUGUCAGUGAUGCUCUCACUCAAGAGAACUAUAACACUGUGUACACUGCGACCAAGACUCGCAAGAGGGCUUUUGAGGCUGGGGCAGGGGCAUCUCAAUCCAAGGCUCCAGUGGUAGCUAGGCCCCCAUACCGUGCUCCAACUCCUAACCAGCGGUAUCGCCGUCCAGUAAAGAAAAAUCAGGCGAAGACGGGUUUCCGCAAGGGGUACUCUAUUGCUCUUCCUAGGGGCAUCCCGGGUCCCAGCUAUGCCAAGACUCCACCUGCCAACCGUCCGUGCUGGAACUGCAAUCAGACCGGGCACUGGCAGAGCAAUUGUCCUUACCCACUGAAGAAGGUCAACCAAGGAAACGUCCGCCAGGGGCGUGUUCACUACACAACUGUGGAGGCAAUUCCUGCUGGUGAGGUAGUUACGGCUGGUAAGUUUCUGGUUAAUCAAUGUGAUGCACUUGUGCUUUUUGAUUCAGGAGCAUCGCAUUCUUUUGUGAGUUCAGACUUUGUGUCUAAGCAUAAUCUCAAGGCAAUUACACUUGAUAAAGGUAGUUAUUGGAUUAGUGCUGCUGGGAAUGAUAUUUCUACCAAUCAAGUGGUUUUUGGGGCAACUCUGGAAAUUGGAGACCGUCAUUUUCUUGCUGAUCUGGUUGUAUUACCCGGUGUGGGUAUAGAUGUAAUUCUGGGAAUGAAGUGGAUGAGUGGGAACGGAGUUCUUAUCGACACCACCACUCGGGUAGUGAUGUUGAGAGACCCGAAUACCGAGGCAUUCCUAGUGCAACUCCCUUGUGAUAUUCAAAUCUGUAGCACUGUAAAUGCAGUUACAUCUAAGGCUAUCCAGGACAUUCUAGUGGUGUGUGAGUUUCUAGAUGUAUUUCCUUAUGAUUUACCCGGGCUUCCUCCAGAUCGGGAUGUGGAGUUCAAAAUUGAAUUGAUUCCUGGUACCGCUCCUAUCUCUAGAAGACCUUAUAGAAUGCCACAAAAUGAGUUAGCUGAGCUUAAGACCCAGUUGAAUGAGUUGUUAAAGAAAGGUCUUAUCCGUCCUAGUUCUUCUCCUUGCGGUUGUCCGGCUAUCUUUGUGAGGAAGAAGGAUCAAUCCUUGCGCAUGUGUGUGGACUAUCGUCCCCUGAAUGCGGUGACCAUCAAGAAUAAAUACCCUAAACAUCAAUGGCGCCGGCGCCAGGAUGCUCUUCGUGUCACCUAACAAGGACAAACUACGAUACGUCCUUAGGGUCCUCUUCCCGGCGUCGAACAACAUCGCCGAAUACGAAGCAUGCCUACAUGGCAUACGAUUGGUCGUCGAAAUGAGAAUGAGACGCCUCUACGUCCACGGCGACUCCGCCCUAGUCAUCAACCAGUUAAACAAGGAAUGGGACACAACCCACGAGAAGAUGGACCUCUACUGCAAAGAAAUCCGCAAAUGGGAAUCCAAUUUCUACGGCGUAGAAUACAUCCACGUGGUCCGGGAUAAGAACCAGGCAGCGGAUGCGCUGUCAAAGUUAGGAUCAUCUUGGGCCCAGAUUCCGCAAGGCAUUUUUGUUUAGGACAUCCACGUGCCAAGUGUGGGCACAGACCUGGUCGAAAAGUAACCCAACGAGGCAAUGCUCAUAGACGACACCACUCCGGCCACCAUCAGCCGUGAUUGGCGCACACCCUUCAUCAGGUAUAUAUCGGAUGGAUCAGGAUUUCAAGACAAAACAGAGAACGGGCACCUCAUUCGACGAUCCAAAAAUUACAUACUGGUGGAUGGCAAACUUAUGCCAAUGAACGCAAGUUCCGAAGUAUUGCUCAAAUGCAUAUCCCAAGAUGACGGCAUCAAGCUCUUAGAUGACAUACACGCGGGGUCCUGCGGCAACCACGUGGCCUCCAGAACUCUAGUCGGGAAGGCCUUCCGAGCAGGCUUUUACUGGCCAACUGCGGUCGCCGACGCCGAGAAACUGGUCCGACAUUGUGAAGGAUGCUAGUUCUUUGCCAAGCGGACCCACAUUCCCGCUCACGAAAUUCAAACCAUUCCGUCCACCUGGCCUUUUGCCUGCUGGGGUCUCGACAUGAUCGGGCCAUUUAAGCCGGCCCCCGUCAACUUCAAGUUCGUCUUCGUACUAAUCGACAAAUUCUCAAAGUGGAUCGAAUUCAUGGCAUUGGUCAAAGCAACCUCCGAGAAGGCUAUGGAGUUCCUUAAUCAAAUCAUACACAGAUUUAGGAUCCCCAAUAGCAUAAUCACCGACCUGGGCACUCAGUUCACUGGCACUACAUUUUAGGACUUCUGCGAUGACAGGGGCAUAGACAUAAAGUAUGUGUCAGUAGCUCACCCACGGGCCAAUGGUCAAGUAGAGCGCGCAAACGGAAUGAUUAUCGAUGCCUUAAAGAAAAGGUUGUACACAGAGAAUGACAGAGCACCUAGACGAUGGAUGAAAGAGCUACCGGCCGUGGUCUGGGGUCUCUGAACACAGGCUAGUCGCAACACGGGUGUAUCACCCUACUUCAUGGUUUACGGCACCGAGGCAGUGCUCCCGUCUGAUGUAACCUUUGGAUCUCCAAGAGUCGAAAACUUUGACCAGUCUUCAGCUGACAUUGCCAGGGAGCUUGAAAUCAACUGCAUGGAGGAAAGACACCUAAUCUCAUGCCUUCGAACAACAAAGUAUCUCGAGGCCAACAGGCGGUAUCACAACAGGAACGUCAAAGAUCGUUCCUUCGUGGUCGGUGAUCUGGUACUCAAGUGGAAAACAAGCCACGAAGGAACAAGUUAUCCACGCCAUGGGAAGGACCCGCCGAAGUCACACGCCCUACAUCUUACAGACUGGCGUACCCAGACGAAACACGCCUGCCUAAUUCUUAGCACAUAGACAAACUGCACCGUUUCUAUCCAUAAGUUCCAGUACCUUUUGUUUGUAAAUUUCUUAUGAUUAGCAAUAAUAAAAUUUUCUCUUUUGCUAUAUACUUUUUUACAUGUACAGCUUUCGACAAUUACAACAAUCUCCCUCCGGGAUCAAAAUCCUUAAAGAUUAUUAACCCAAUUCAGUGAUACAUCACUCAGACAACAUUACAGCGCUCACAACCAUGGUUACAAAAAUUAAUCAUUAUUACAAACUUUAUAUACAAAGUUCACAAUAAACACCCCUCUGAGCAGUCCCUAGUCUAUUCCUACAGACUACUCUACAGGCUACUGCUCGGGCUGAUCACCCGCUUGGCCUUGCUGCUCAGUUGAAGGGGUCGGGGCCACUGGCGCCUGGCUGGUCGAGACCACAGGCGUCGACCGCCCAUCUCCAGCAAGGGACGCUCCCGACAACUCCGUGGCCGAUCUGUCUGAUCCUGGCUGGUCGGGGGGAGUGGCCGUCCCGCAGAGGUUGAUGUCGCCAAUCACUGUCAACGACAGGUCAAGCAGACCAACACGAAGGUCGUCUGCCUCCUGCGGACCAACCUCCUUGGGGUACCCCCUCUCCAGUCUGGCCAAGUCGACCAGAGGAUAGUGGGCGUGCUCCAUGCUGAGGACGUGCGCACCGGCAAACUCCCCGGCAUCCUUGACAAACUGCUGGAGCCAGUCCCACGCCCGUUGCGCCUUCUCGAUCGGAGUCAACUUCGGUGCGCGGGGCUGGUCUUCAAGCAGCUCAGGGCUGAUCAAAUCAAGAACCGGGGCCACUCCUUUCCAAAGCUUGAUGCAGUUGGCCUUCCAGGAGUCCCGGUCCUUGAUUAGCUCGUCGAAGUGCUUCUUGGUAUUUACCUUGAGCACUAUAAACAAAGCAGGAGGUCAGUAUACAAACAUGAAAAGGAACGUUGAGCAAUCAAAGAAAAAAGAGAUAGCACGGUUCUCACCGGACAACUCCCGACUCCUGUUGCUCAGCUCCUUUCCAGCUCGGCGCCCGGUCUCCAGCGCCCCGGCAAGCUCCUGGUCGAGCUUCUCUCUCUCUUGUCGGAGGCGUGCAACCUCCUCCUCCAAGUUUGCAGGGGCAAUUUCUGGUCAAUAAAAAUGACUACGCAGUUAUACAACUGCUCAGACUACGUGACUAACCUUUUCUUUCCCGAUCCUUGUCGGCUAAUCGCCGAUUGAGAUCGAGCAGGCGCUCUUCCUGAGCACCCUUCUCAGCCGUCUUCUCCUCGGCUUCCGACCGAAGACGGUCUACUUCCGCGGCCAGAGCCUUAUUCUCGGCCACGAUUCCUUCAAUUUGGUCGAAGCACCCCUUCCUAUACUUCACCAUUUUCAUUGCGCCCUACAGGAAGCAUGUAUAUUGAAGCCAGAGACGGUGCAUAUAAAUUUCGAGUAGCGCAAAAGACCACUUACCUUAACCUCAUCAACUAGCCGUUUGGCUGCGCGAUCCACCCUCGCGGCCUCCUCCUUCUCCGCGAGUUCUUCAUGACCAAUGAAAUGGUCCCCACGUUGGCGCCACACAUAAACGUGCUGGCGACCAUCUUGGGGACGACCCUGGAUCUCCUCCACUUCAUCAUCGGAGGCCGCCUGGGUCCCUUCGCCCUCUGCACUACCCCAGCCAUGGUCGCAGCCAUCACUGGACCCUGGUCCAGGCCAGGGGAGUCCUUUGGUGACGAGGCCUCUGCUUGGGGUGGGGUUGGGACUUUCCCUUCUUCAGCAGGCGGGGGAGUUGGAGCUCUGUCCUCCUCCGCAACACUGCUCGGGGGAGGCGUCCUCGCAGACUCUCCAUCCCUCAUAGGGGUGACCGCUCCGGUCCUCACCGGAGCUGGGUGCUCCUCGGUAGUCUCCACCACUGCCCCCACCGUGGGCUGCUCCUUGGCAUGCUCUUGGGCAGUCUGCGGCGCGGCAUCUUCAACGACAACCACGGGCUCGGCCAUCCCCCGGCUAGCAAUGUUGUCAGGGUCAAUGUCCGACGCCGUGCUAACAAAAAAUGUGACAUUUAACCAAUGUCAGAAGUAGCAGCAACAAAACGCAAAGUAUAUCAAAGUGUGAAAUUAAGAUUGGACAACUUACAGAUCGAAGCGCCUGUGCGUCGCUGUAAAGAACCUCCUCCUGGUCCUACCGGUUGCCGCCGCCAGCCUUGUCUCUCCAACACGCGUCGGCUCGGCGUGUGGGGCAGGAGGAUCGCUGGUCAUCCGACCAGUGGUAACCGGCGUAAUGUCCGGUCGACUACGCGGCCUUUGAACCAAAGAGGGUGCCGCCUCCUCCUCCUCGUCGUCGGUGAUUCUGACUAGCCGAUGACGCUUCGACGCUUGGCUGCUCUCUACCAGCAGUGCCUCUGCAGGGGACUGAUCCCCUACCAGUGGCCUUUUCCCCGCUACCCUAUCCUCGAUGGUCGGGGCAGGACGGUUCUGCUCCUCCUCGCUGUUGGUGUAUUGAGGACACCGAGCAGCGUCGUCCUCUAGCAGGUCCACCCCCGCAGGAUUCUCCAUACCUUGUGCCAGUGAUACGUACACUGUGCACCGGUCAACAUCUCCAAUCUGGAGCAGAACCAAAGACAAGUCAACAACUGGAAGAACAAGUACUCAAACAGUAAUAUUAGUCAGUAACAUUAUUUAUUUACCUUAGGAGCUGGUCGCCCCAGUUUGAAGGCGUGCAUACGAUCACUGCUUCGAACGAAGCUGUCGUCUGUAAAGUUGAACAACUCGUUCAUCAGCUGCUGCACCUCCGCCUUCUCCAGACCAUCCUGGUCGGGUCCUGGCUCAUCCUGGUCGGGUCCUGGCUCCCCGCGUACUCGUAUGCCGAAUGUACCCUCCUCUGGCAGGGCAUCACCCGACGACAAAUAAAGUUACCGACCACUCCUGGCCCAUCUAAGCGGGUCCAGUCGAUCAGUUUCAUCAGGUCGGCCACCUGACCAGUGAAGUCCGGGCGGUCCGUCCAGCUGACCCUCUUCUCGGGGAUGUAGCCCACGUCACAGAACGUGGAGCUGCCCGGCUCUUCCCUGACAUAGAACCACUUCUUGUACCAUUCGGUGAGGGAAGUGUUCCAUGGGCAGUUGAGAUACCGGUUCUUCAUCCCAUCAUGAAGAUUGAGGUAUACUCCACCUGCAAUAUUGGAGCCUCCAACUGCUCCUUUCAUCCUCAAACAAAAAAGGUAACGAAAGAGGUCGAAGUAGAGAUGAAUAAAGGUGGAGAUAAGAAGAAUUGAGUUCGGGUGCAGAUUGCAGAUCACGAUCUCAUAGUAAAGAAGAAGACCCAUGAGGAAAGGGUGGACAGGAAUCCUAAAGCCCCUCUUGAAAAAAUCUUCAAAAACUACAAUCUCACCGGCACGGGGGUCAGGGUAGCUUUCUCCUUCCGGCGCCCUCCAGCCGCCGAGCUCCUGAUUGUGAAGCAGCCCCAUUCCGACGAGGUCGUUGAGUGACCUCGUGUUGCUCCGAGACUUCUUCCACUACUUUGCCAUCAGUUCAGCCCUCUUCUUCGAGUCACUCUUUGCCAUGGACGCUGUGGAAGCGAUUGUGAGUUGGAUGACUAGAGAUGGAGUUUGCAGAAGGCAAGAAUGGCAAGGACAGAAGGUUUGAAGGCCAAGGCAGGGUAAAAUAUUACGGGUGUGGUGUAGAGUCUUUAUAGGCAACGGCUCCACCUUUUCCACUUCCCGCAUUAUUGGGAAGUGGGCGGGCCCUGCGGCGGAUACGGCGUUUCGGUUUUCAAUAACUACCGACAGUUAAUACGGUGGCUUUUUAUAUAAUUGGUGGUUUUCUUUUCUUGAACCACGCAAAGAGCGGCUGCACAGUUGCCCGGCGCACCUUUUCAUGCAAUUGUCUGACAAUACGUCUGGGUGCCUCGUCACAUCACGCAUUAAUGUGGCAAGAUGCUUUUUUCCAAAAGAACGAAUAGAAUUGGUGGAGGACUGUGUAUGACAUUCUUGGGGACUGCACCGACCAUCGAGCACUAUACGCUCGGGGACUGGUCGACCAGUCUACCAGUUUGGAAACUUGGGGACUGCACCGACCACCGAGCACUAUACGCUCGGGGACUGGUCGACUAGUCUACCAGUUUGGAGACUUGGGGACUGCACCGAUCACCGAGCACUAAAGGCUCGGGGACUGAUCGACUAGUCUACCAAUUUGGAGACCUGGGGACUGCAUCGACCAGUCUGAGCACUAUACGCUCGGGGACUGGUCGACCAAGUUACUAGCUUGAGAGUUUGGGGAUGGCACUGAUCACAUAGCGUUAUAUGCUAGGGGACUGGUAAAUUCAAUUUUUUAGACCUUGCUACAAGGCUCAUACUUCGUCUUCCAGCAAGCUUGGGGACUACAUCGGUACGAUGCAUCUGCCGACGCAUCUCAGUUUUAGAAUUUUUAUGAAGACUUUUUUGACCCUGGUACCACGUGCCUACGUCACCUACUACCAGGAUCGGGGACUAAGUGGGCACACUUCACCUUGCGGUGAACGUGCUUGCUUUUUGAAACACUGUACUUUUCUUAAAGGUACAAUGGGCACACUGCAUCGAGAAAAGAAAUAUUUUUUCUCAAGAGCACCAUGUAUUCUUCGAACAACCUACUUCUUCGAUGUCAGUGUUGAUCAACUGUCUUUUGAGUUGGUCAAAACACCGUUGCAACUAUUUGGGCAACUUUCUUGCUUAUUGAAGACGUCAAGCCUCACUGGUCGAAGAAGCUCAGGACGGCGUGUUACAUCACAAUACAUGGUGCUCGGGGACCAGCGGUGGGGGUAUAAACCCCUAUACCCUUACGGCUAGACUUGGGCCAGGAGGUUUGGCCCAUCAUGAGGACAGUUCAAGGCUUGAUCCAACUGCUCAGAGUUUUGCGCAAGGAAACAGGACGUGGAGAUCAAGCCGGAUUCUAGUCGGUUAGAAUAGGAAUUGAUAUCAUGCUAUCUAUAGCAAUUGUAACCGACUAGGAUUAGUUUCCAGAUCUGUAACCCUGCCCUCCGUACUAUAUAAGGAGAGGCACAGGACCCCCCUAGGACACAUUAUUCUCUCAACACAAUCCAAUACAAUCAGACGCAUGACGUAGGUAUUACGCCCACACGGCGGCCGAACCUGGAUAAAAACCUUGUCUGUGUCUUGCGUCACCAUCGAGUUCGUAGCUUCCGCACCGUCUACCGAAAAACUACUACCGUGGGUAUACCCCAAGGUAGACUGCCGACUAGCUUUCGUCGACAUUGCCUUAGUUAGAUUAGUGUCUUCAACACCUUGUGUGUGCUCCACUACCAUUAGGGGCUUUUGCUAUUUAUGUGAUAGUUCAAGUUAUAAGACUAGUGUAAGCGAGGUGCUUAGGUUAGCGCUUAUUAGUUGAUGCCACCAUAUCAAACGUGUUAGCGGGCGGUGGCGAAGCGUGACAGGCCUCUACUUCCCAGUAGGUUCUAUUCACGUCGAGUACGGUCUAUAGGCGCCCAUAAGACAAAGGUCCGCUUGGAUAGGAGUUUCAUUCUCCUAUUGCAGUCAACUUCCCACCACACAAGACUGUUUGGAGACUAGUCUAGUUGAGUCAUUUACAUUAAUUAGGAUUACAACAUAGAAGUAGAGUUAGAUGCAUAGGAGUCCUUACUCACUCGUAGUCCUCCCACCUAGCUAGCUCAGUACCAGUUAUCUUUACUUACCUUUAUCUGACUUGUCUAUUAUUCUAUCUUGCUAUACUUACCCCACUUAUUAGCACUAGUGAGCUUAUAUUGAGUAGACACAAACCACGGAUAUCCAUCCAUAUAUUUAUUAAGAGAGUCUUAGUUCGCUUCCUGUGAGCAAACUAUAAAUUAUGACACCGCGGAUACUCACCACGGUUGAAGUGCUAUAGCAGUACAUGUGUGCUUGCAGAGUUACCAUUGGUACAUCUUGCGUCACCGCUAGAGUUUAGUGUUGCUUAGCAUUUCUAGAGCCGUUGCUCAGGGUAGCCUGACACCCUGUCCUAGUAACAGCUCAGGCUUGCAUUUUAGGAGUGUUGGUUAGGUGCCACCAUUUCUAGAUACUUGUCACAUCUUACUCUAGCCGGUGUGCAUUAAGAUUUGCUAACAAUGAUGACAUGUACGUGUGGAACCAAGUUAUUUGUACCUAAGUCACUAUGUGUUUGGUGAUUUUCUUCCAGAAAGAAUGUAUUAUUGACGGUCUGGAUGGGGUAAAAAUAGGGCUUAUCUACCGUCAACAAGAACCCCCACACUUAAGUCUUUGCUCAUCCUCGAGCAAAGGUUAGAGAAAGAUAACCUAUGAAUAUGAGGAGAAGAAUGUCAUAAUCCUGGAUCAAGAUAUGUAAAGUCAAAACAAUGAUAUAAGGAGAAGAAUGUCAUAAUCCUAGAUCAAGAUAUGUAAGUGUGUGAAAAAUGAUUAGAAUAUAAUGUUCCUCUAUUUGAUAAGAUCUCUCUCACUAUUUUAUUUGAGACCCAGCUAGUUUUUUUCGCUUUUUUCACAAGCAAUGGACCUUCAUGUGCCCACUUUUUUUACUAAGCAUAGCCUUUGUGUCUCAUCUUAUAAACAAUACUUAGAGAGAUAUUCUAAACCAUAAAACAUGGAGCAUCUAUAUAGUGAAAUGGAUGGCCUAUUUUUGCGUACUUCCUUUGUAGAAGCAGCAUAUAUAUGUGUUGUGUGUGUGAUCUUGAUCUUGGGACUAUGACAUAAUUCUCAACUAGGGUCACAAGGUUUGACUAAACUCAACACAAGUACAAGUAGCAUAAAUAGAAGGGUUUUGAAUAAGGUAUGAACAUAUAUGGCUGUGGUAGGAAUUCUCUUACUAUUGAGGAGUAAGUGACACUAUGGUUUUAUGAUAUUUUCAAAAAUAAAUCUCUAAGCACUUUGAAUAGAAAGGGUAUGAAACAUAAACUAAGAACUAUAUCACAAUUGUCAACAACCAAGUCAAUAUGAUAUUCCUAUCAAGAUAUGUGUCCCGUAAGUGUAAGCAUAUGCAAGAAUUGGACUUUGUGACACUUCUACCCUUUUAAUGUCAUGAAUCAUGUCACACUUUUAAUGUCAUAAAUCAUAGAUCCAAGUCUUAUUGUUUUUUAUUUUUGUUUUAUUUUAUCUAAUAAAGCAAACAAGAGACGGAAGUAAUAAAAUGAAAGAAUAGAGGGGCAGUAGGAGUGGCAAACCAGUUAGAAGGUAGGUAGACGUUGAGUGGAUGCUAAAUGGUGGGUCCUGGGCUCCAAGGUGGGGUCGGCCGACCCCACUUGGGCUUGCCCAUUCCUGCCAUUUGAAUUCCCAUUGUUGAUGAUGUACCUAUGCAAGCUUCUGUUCCCGUUGGCCGUCAAAGAGGGGGUCGACCGACCCCCUACUUAGGUUUGAACUUGGCUCACCAUAUACUACGUCAUGGUGUGUUCAGGAAAUUUAGAGACUUAGUUGGGGGGCCACUUGACCCCCCACACUUGGAUUCUUGAGCAUUCUGAAAUCCAAAGACAUGGGAAACAUCAUGUGCAGGGGUCCUGCUGGUGGCAACACACCAACGAGACCAAGUUGGGUCAUGGGUAGGUAGCUAAAAUCUUAUCAUCAAUUUAACAGGGGAAAUUUCAAUCUCGUGUACCAUGGCAUAGAGCAAUUUUAGUUCAUCAUCUUUUAGAGAGUCAGAAGAACUAGGAAAAAGAUUGGUAGUAAUCUAGAAAUAAAUUAAGCACAAGAUUGUAUUGUGAAUUUUAGAGUUUAAGAGAGUGGAGCAAUCAUCAGAAUCUACUCUUGUUAAACCUAGCCAUGGUAGUGUCUAAGUCAAUUGUACAAUAAAAGUCACAACCUAGAGCAGUGGUGAGAAGACCCCAAGUACAGCUACACUCUUGCCCACACAUGCGAAAUGUUAUGAGUCAAUUUUAGUGUGCAUAAAAAUUCUUUUGUGAGCACUUCUAUACCAUGUUUAAGGUACUCACCAAAAAUCUCCCAAGCCAAUGGUAUUAAAAUGUCAUUGAAUUCUUUAGUCAUACCUGUGUGGUCCACAAGGGCCGUGUAACCCCCAGUGUUAUGGUUGCAUUAAUCAUGUGCAUAGCAUGAGCAUCAUCAUCUACUCAAAGCAUAUCAUGAUCAUCAUCUACCUUGAGCCAUGUCAUUCCAUGCAAAUAUGUGAUUUAAAUUGUUUAAGUAGUCUUCCUUUGCCUAUGCUUGAGUGAACCAUGCUUGUGUUUGUGCUUUAUGCCUUGGUAAUUAGUUUAUCUAUGCUUAACUUAACCUUGGGAACAAUGUUCAUGUUGAUCACUUCUCCAAAUAAUCACUUAAGUCAUACUCAUACAAAUAGGCCCUAGAAACCUCUUUUGCUUAGGCUUUUAAAAAGUUUUUCAUAAAAUGUUUGCAUGUCAAAACUUUCUACAGCAAAGUUUUCGCAACUUUUAUAAGGAACAAAAGUUGUUUUAUGGCCAUCUCAUGAAAAUGAUCACAACUAGCUCAAAAGUGACCCACAAGGCAAAAUUGGGGUUGUUUUCAACACUUAGAAAAUUUUCUAAGUCUGUGCUCGAGGGUGUGUUGUUCAUCUUCUAGUUUGAAUUCUAGACCGAAUCAGACCUUAAUCAUGUAAGCAAUGUUGGAGUACUCAUGUAGCUCUCCAACAUAGAGCAAUUAGCCAGCAAAAUCAUCGAGUGGUUUAGGAGUUUAUCGCUGGGCAAAAUCGGGUUUCAGUCGGGUUUUGGAAACUGAAUGAGGUCGCCGUCAGACAGGGGAGCUCACCGGUGACGCCGUGUGUCUGGACCCGUGGCAUCCAUACAUCACCGUUGGUCCCGCUCGUCAGUCCCCAACGCGUCCUACAGCUCGCCACGGCGCUCCCGGUCGCGUGGACAGCGUCAUUCCACUCUCGGCUCUCUCCUUCUCGCGUGCGUCGUCAUCUCCGCGUCGCCGCCGUUGUUUCGGCGAGCUCGCGCACGCGUGUCUCCGUGUCUCCGGCCAAGCAGCUCUGUCCAUCGCUCCACCGGCCUCUCCACUUCUCCGUCGUCAAGUUGGCUGCAGCUGCCGAGCCUCGGUGAGCCCGCAUUGCCUUCUCCGUCGCGAGCCUACCUCGCCGGAGCUCCGCCAUGGUCACCGGCGUCGUGGCCAGGGCUCUGUAGUCCACCAUUCUUCCUCAUUCUUGUCCCAAAAGCUCCGCUUGGUCUUGCUGAUGCUCGUCCGCAUUCUCUUCCGCUCUGUCUCCAGCCAGAGACGCCGGCGGUCGGCCACGCACCACCGCCGUGCCGCCAUUCGCGAGGGCGAGGUACCUAGGGUCCAGUAGGGUUAGGGUUUCGGGCACCGCUCGAUGCGGAUUGGAGAGGGGAGCACGAUGGCGACCUUGGUCGUCGCCGAGACCUCGCCGUCGACGAGAUCUCCGGCGGUCAAGUCGCGCCUCUGCUCUCGGGUCGCUGACAUGUGGGGUCGGUUGACUCGUGGGGUCCCUCUGUCAGCCUCUCUUUCUCCUUUGUUUGUUUUAGGGUUUGAGCUGUUUUUGCAAAAAUCAUAUCUCGAGUUCUAGAGAUCCAAAAAUGGUGAAACCAAUUUUUCAGUAUUCCUUGAGAUGGCUAGUUUUUAAUAAAAAUAUAAAAUGAACCAUGUUUUCUGGGAAAAAUAUUUAUUAGGAUUUAAUCUUGUUAUUCAUGGAUAAAUUCAUAUCUCUUGUUAUGCUGCUUAUCUUGCUAUGAAAUUUUUAUGGUAGUCUCUGUGUGUUAUUAGAAGGCUAUGAUAAAUAUUUCAUGAUUUUUGAAGUAAUGCAGCUCUGAUAUGUAAUUUAUGAUUGAAAUUUGGCUUGUUUCCUUAAUUAAAUCAUAUAAAAUAAUUGGUGCUUAUGCUGGUGCUCUACUUUGGUAAUAAACUUGUUUAUGGUAUUGAUAACCUGUAAAUAAUCUGAAAUAUGCUGUUUGACACUUUAUAAGCCAUGUUUCUCAAUUUAUGAAAUAAACACCUUGUCACAUAUUAAAUGCAUAUCUUUAAUUUGGCAUGAGCUUUUGCUCUGAAAUGUUUAUGCGAAUGUCACAAAACUAUACAUGUGCUUCUGUAAAUUUUGUAGAUUUUUCUGAGCACAUUUUUUAGUAUCUUGUAAUUAUGCUCCUUUCUAGAAUUAAAUUAAUAAAUGCCUUAUUAUUAAAUAUCUAAGGGUUAGCAUAUGAUAAUCUGGCAAACUUGUGUUAUGCUUGUGCUUAUAAGUCAUGUGGAUGACACUGUUUAUGUUUUGGUUAUGUCAUUAAAUAAUUAAUUGGUGGGCUAAAAGCUGUUCUGGACAGCAAGGAAGUAAUUUAGCUUUUGCUUAAUGAUAACAGAGUUUUCUGGAAAACUUGUCUAAAUCAAAGUUGUUGUAAACUUUAUGAACUAGCUGUGGUUUAAAUUUGGGAUCAAUUGGCCUAGCAGUUUAAAAGUUAUGGCUGUUCCAAGUUGGGUUCCAUAAAUAGUUGCUCUCUGUUUUCUGGGACAGAACCUGGAACUUUGUUUUUAAGGCUAGUUUAACUUAUGAAUCUUGCUGUGAAGUUUAAAGAUGAAUUGUAGGCAAUUUUAUAAGCUUUCCAGAAUGUCCUCACUCAUGUUUGUUGGAUCUGCCUAGCACUAGUUAUGGUCUGAUUACUGAGCUGUCCUGUUUUGGGUGCUUGCUGUUUAUAAGUUGACUUGUCCAGUUUGAUCAAUUCAUGUGGUUUUCUUGUAAGUUUACUUAGAAGUUACUCCGUAAAUGAGUGUCUAGUGAGUUUUUUUAUGUAUCAAGCAUUCAUCCUCUUUUAUGCACGUCUUCUUAUUAGUUGAGCAUGCAAUAGGUGCAUCGGACGUGACCGCUUCCUUCGAGCUCCAAGCGAACCCCGAAGGCCAGGAGGGCAGCCAGGAGGUGGAGGUCCAGCCAGUCGGACUCGAGGAGCCCGAAAAAGAAGUUGAGUGCCCAAAUCACGAGCCAGCUUCGUUCGUGAAAGGUAAGCCCGGAGCAUUCUAAGUCUCCCUUUACUUUCGAAAGUUUAUUUAAUAUGUUAUAUCUAUUGAUGCAUUAAGUAUAGGAGUUGUGAUGAAACCUUUGCUGCACUUUACUCCAUCCUUGUCCAGAUAACUUACCCUACCCUGGUUGUAGAGUUAGGAUCGCGUAGCAGCUUAGCCAUGCUUAAUCGGUUGUGUCGGAUCACGAUGGUCUAUAUGUGCUAUCGUGGAUGGAACCUGAUUAAAUUGACUUAAGCCGGGCGGAGUUUUGCAAGGUUGUAGUAACUCUGUCUGUGGCAGCUAAGGACCGACCGUUGUACGUCCUCUUGUCAUGUUGAACGCAUGCCUGACACUUAGUUGGCCGGAUAACUCGUUCCGACCGCGAAGCCGAGUAGUAUGACUCAGGCCGGAAGACCGGCAAGUAUAAAGUGCGCACUACCGGAGGAAGUGCGGUGUGCGGGGGACCAUUGGCGUAAGCCCAAAGGCAGGUGAGUUAAAAUUCCUGACCUCCCUGGCAGAGUGGUAGCCCUGGGAGUGCGGCGCUGAUCGGAGCCGCGAUUCCUGAGUCGUACCAAAGGUGACCCGUUGGCUCUCCGACGGGGGAUGCUUGGGUGAGUGCUAGGAAUACACCUCCAGCUAGAUAGGAAUUCGAUUCGAAUCGCCGUCUCUCCCGGUCAGUGAGAACUUGAUAGAGCAGCGGCAAACGUAGCAUUCACUAAUGAACUUGGUUCAUGAUAAUGAUGAUAGCAAGGAAGAGCAUAUGAUGAACUUGAUAUGGUUAUUAUUGCUUGUAAUAAUCAAGUGAAGUGCUUUAGUACAGGUGCUAAUCUAGUGGUAGGCUGAUAAUGAAUAAACAUGAUGCUUCCACAAUAAGUUAGUUUUAAUGCAAGCUUUUGGCAAAUGUUGAGUCAACUAGCCCUAAUUGAUAUUGGCCUUGCAUGAUUCUUGAUGUCUUUUAAGUUUUACUAGACGGGUAAGUCUAGCUGAGUACAUUCUCAUACUCAGGGUUUAUUCCCACCUGUUGCAGAUGACAUCUUUUAUGACGGCUUCUGCAAGACCUGUCUCCAUCCCGCUGGGGAUGAGGACUAACCGUUGGGCACGGUUCUCUAACAAACUCAUACCUGUUGCUUUUGGAAGGAUGGUGUAGACUCUGGCAAUAACAAGAACUUGUGAAUUGAACUUUGAACAAGUGUGUGUAAUUAUUUUGCUUCCGCUACUUCGAACAUGUGUUGUAAUAACUUAAUGACUCUGAUGUGGUGCCGCUUCGACGGCAAUGAAUGACUAUGUAACAUCUGCUUUAUUUAUGUUGAACUAUUACGAUCUUGGUUUGUUGCGAGUUGGUUUGAAAUCCUUCGUGAUUUCAGUGGACUACCGGGAUUAUAUGGGCUCAAGUUUGGAAACUUGAUUGCUUGUCAAUCGUUUCUACACUUGAACUCUUAUAAUUUGGUCAGUUCUGUGACAAGCCGGGUCGAGGAUGCUUGUAUGGCGGAAACCGCUCUCCUUUAGGUUGUUGAACUUGAUCAGCUCUUCCGGUGUUAAUAUGAGUUCAUUCUUUAGGCUCCAUUGCUCUUGGAGGAGGUUUGUAGAGCACCACUUGAUGGUGACUCUCCCCUUCCUCCAUCCUCUCAUGGCUUCCCUCAUUAGAGUGGUGAGAGCUUUGAGAACAACUCUCACCCCAUUUGGACUUCUAGAAUCAGGAGAGGAAUGCUUUCUCCAUUUUCCUGCACAUCACAGACAACCAAAGUUUUUCCUACUUCUACUCCUAUGCAAGACUAAAUAUUUUUUGGUUGUUUUUUAAGGACAACUAUUAUAAUCUUGAGAAAUAACUUGCAACUAAGAAGAGAGAAGAGGGAUUGUGAGCUCGAGAUAAUUUUGGUGAUCUAGGACGCCCCGUCAUCCCGAUCUCCAUCGGCAUGGUGGACUUCCUAGAAGCACUCUGCGACUUUGGCUCCAGCGUCAACAUUGUGCCCAGGGUUGCAGAUCGGACACUCAGUUUCCCAAAGGAAAUAUUGAAGAACCUCUGCGUUCGAGUUGGUACCUUGUAUGCUCUAGCAGACUUCAUGGUGAUAGAGACUGAUACUAAGGAGAGGGCACCCAUCAUCUUACGGAGGCCAUUCCCAAACACCAGAGCUGUCAUCUACGCUAAUGCUACCAAGAUCAGUUUCUACAUCAAGGGGAAGAAGGAGAUUUUCCUUCAAGAACAAGACUACACAAACUUCAGAGCAAUCCCGACAUGAACCAAGGAAGAGGACCAACAGGAGGAAUAGGAACAAGCAAAUGUGGACCGAGUCAGCUAAGAUGGUCACUGCAGCUCAAGGAGGUCAAGAUCGUCGACUCAAGUCACCUUUCUUGAUCAAGAAGGACGACCCUGGUGUUCCAAGAAUCGAAUGCACAAACAAUGGAUACUCUUUUUAGAAGACACUCUACGACACCGGAUCUGACGACAACAUAAUGGCCGCAGUCACUUAUCAGCUCCUGCAUGGAACCAUGCCCCUACAACCAAGAUACAUUCAGCUUCAAACAAUUUUCAGGUCAUUGACAUAGGAGAAGAUGAGUAUGAUCCAUCCACCAUCCUUGGAAGACCGUUCCUCAGCACUAUCAAAGCCAUUAUCUAUAUUGGAACCGGAGAAGUCCACAUGCACUUCCCCUCUGCGAAAGGUACGCCACUACUUUAAUGAUUAUAUAGUUGAAGAUUCUAAGCAGGUCAGGACAAGAAGAAGACAAACCGCAACCAGAGGAGGCAAAUCGGACGGAUGGGUAGACUAUGAAGGAGAAGUGAUAAGGACUGAAGACAUACAACUUGAACAGAACUGUCCUGAGGAGACCGUAGCACCGAGUCAGGUGUGGAGAGAGAAGAUAGUUAUACACGAAGAAGAGGCGCCGCCGGAACCACCGACUACGCCACUUAGCAAAUCCCAGGACGACUGAGAAAACGGAGAGUCCCGUUCGGAGGACUUAAAAACACCAAACGCCUUGCCAAGAGGUAAACUUGGUAGUUAUCCUUUUCCUUUCAAUUAUUCAAUUAUAGUUUGCUUAGUUAAUCAGGUUCAUGCUAUCUCGAAAAGAAAAUAAAAAUGUUAAAAAAAUAUUAAGCCCCAUGUGAGUAUGCUCAUGGCAUAAAACCCAUAGGUACAUUCACUGUGGUGGCAUAAAAAUAAAAUACAUAUUUUUCUGCUUUAUAAAAACAAAAAUAUAAAAACAGGGAGUAAUAUUUAUUAAGGAGUCUCAACAUGAUAAAGGCUAGAUAUUUAUGCUAACGCUUAAUCAGUUUCACAAGCUUUGUUGUCUAUUUGAGCUCCACAGAAUUUAAGAAUCAAGAAGACUAGCAGACGGAGGACAUUCUAAUCGCUGUCAAAAUACUGCUGACUUUCGAACACACCUCUGCCACCUGCUAGCUACAUCAAGAGAAAUUACGUCAAAAUUCAGCUUGGGGGAGAGCACCCCCAUUUAUCUCGAUAAGUAUUUCUAUCUAUCUUUAUACUUAUACUAUAUUAGAAUAUAAAUACACAUAACUAUAAAAAACCAAAUAAAGAUUUUAUGCUUAUAUAUUUUGCUUAGUGUGUUUAAUAAAUAAAUAAAGUGGCUAUGCUAAUCUGUAUCUAAUAAAACUUAAGCAUGGAUAUGAUGAAUAGUUGCUAUGCCUAAUUUUCAAAUUUGAAGUUCUCUCUCAAGUUUAGAUAUAACUGUUAUAAUUUAAGGCUUGCUCUAGACCUAAACUUGUGGGAUGAAAACUUGAUCUGAAGUCUAAGUUGUUAACAGAUACGAUAUGGGAAGGUUGAGCUGCUGUUUAUCUGUUCCUAGAGAUGCUAGAAUUCUAGAGAAUUUUAUCUUUAAAAAUCUUUAAAAUGUUGCAUGAUGAGUUCCUGUAUGAUGAGAGUUUAAAUUCCUACCACAGCCAUAUAUACAUGCUUGCUAGACCUUGAGCCACACAUUUACUAUUUACUGCUUAUGAGCAUUGAGUGUGGUCAAGCUGUGUAGACCCUUAGGAGCUUGUCAUGUGGUUAAAUCAAGAUUCACUUGCACGAUUACUCAUACAUGCUACUUCUACUCCGGAAGUACCAUCCACAUAUAUCCACUCAUUUCUAUCUCCAGUUUUACCCAAAAUUAUUCUACUCCUAAUCCGGGAGAGAAUAGCCAAAAACAUUUUCCUAUCCCUGUUAUUCCCUAUGAAAUAAAUGCUCCAGUUAUUUUGGUUACUACCACUUGCUACAUUAUUUCAGGAGAUGAGUGCUCUAGUAAAAAAAAAGAGAAAAAAAAAGAAGAAAAAAAAGAGAAAAAAAUAAUAAUAAUAUACGAGGAAAUAAAAAGGAGCAAGUGCUCGGAACCUCGAAAGAAAAGAAAAAGAAGAGCAUCUCAUUCUCCUCAUAAAGUUUCAAAAGCAAGGAAGGUAUGUAUCCCCUGAAUGAGCAAAGUAGAAUUAGACUUCCACCACCAUUGUUAUCACCAUCAUCACCAUACACCAUUCAUUCGCCACACAUGCACAUCUUGAUUUGGCUUAUUGAUUUGUUUCUUUGGAUCCAUGGUUUGACUAUGCAAUAAAUGUCUUUUAAGUAUGUAUACUUUAUCUCCCACCUAUGAGCUCCAGAUAUUAAAGCCUUAUUAGAGUAGGGUGAAAGAAAAGACAAUGUCACUAUGCUUCAUACCACAAAUACUACAUAUUUUGAGAGAAGGCAUAUACGAUCACUGCCUUGGUAAGGAUCCAAAAAUACCACAAAAGAGAGACCUGAGAGAAUCAUACAAGGAAUUUCUGAGUUUUAUUUGAAAAUCUGCAAAAACCCCAGAGCUAUAGCUGUUCAAGAAUAAGAGUCAUGGCACUUGGCUAGACUGUUCUAUCUUUUAACCACUCAAGACAGAAGUGACAGUUACAAGUCCCAUGGUAAAGGUAAAGUAAGUAAGUUUUAAGUCUUGACAGUUUACUCUAACUCAGGGAUGAGAUCUUAUUUAAAAAGCAUGUGUACAUCAAUUUUUAAAAAUAUUGCAACAAUUUAUGAUCCACAGCUGAGUCUAUCCUUGCUCAGGGACGAGCAAGAGGUAAGCUUGGGGGAGUUUGUUGACGGUCCUUAAGUAUCAAAUUUACUUAUCAAAUAAACAAAGAAAAGGAUCCAAAUGAAAUCAACAUCUAGACUUAGGGUUUUAUCUGACAGAAUUCCACGAGUUUUGGUGUUUGUCUAUUUCUGCAGGGGGUUAUCAGGAAAUAAGGAAGAAAGGCCCACAUGUCGGGAUUACAUAGAGAUAUCAACCCACCGCGCAAUUUUCUACCAUCUAGAAGACUCCAGAAGCCACGAGAAGGAAGCGGAGCCCAAAAGGGGCCAGGCCCAGGGCGCCCGCCCUGAGGACCUGGGCGCCCGCCCCCCUCUGGACUCCGUUCCGGACUCUCUUCGCACACGACGUUCCACCGACCUAAUGGAUCUAGAAUAACAUAGUACCACCUCGCCUAUCGACCCAAAAACGCAUAGAAGGUGAGGACUAUAUAAGGAGACCCCCUCUGGCCCCUGGACGAGACAAGAAAUUAUCUUAGAGAUUGAGGGGUGCCCUCAAAGGAAAACCUCUUCUCUAAAUAAUAUUUCUUUUUAGGCUUAGCAACCAAUGUAAAGUAGAAAUAGAUCUUCUAGUUUCUACUAGAUUGAGAGAGAUAGAGUGGAGGUGUGGAUCGGAGGAAGGCCGGCCUGUCGGUGUCUACUCCGAGUUGUACCUACGGGAUCAAGUCUCCUAACCCGAGGCUUGCUUCUAAGAUUCUUCAGUAAUUCGCCUUCUAAUACUAGUAAGUUCUUGUUUUAUUGUUCUUUGGUUUAUGAGUUUACUUUAAUCCUCUUCCGGUUGAGUAUUAGAGUAAUCACUUGUUAGCGUAAACGUGGUGUUUAGGCUAGGGUACUCAUAGAUAUCCCCUGACUAGCUGGACCGUGGUAGUAGCGAGGAACGUGACAUUUCCGAGUUACCUUUGCAGAUCACAUCUCGUUAGCAGGACGGGUAGGUUUAUAGGUGCGGGUCGAACAUCCUUUGUGUUGUCUAGAUUCCGUGAGCCUCCCCAAUAGAACAGUAGAUCAUCCUUACCAAGGUUAGAACGAGACUACAGUUGCAGUCUUCUCUAUACAUCACUCACAUCGAGAGACAUUCUUUGUAGUCUAAAGGGAUAGUAGCAAUAGAUUUGGUUAGUCAGAUGCACCCUUUCUCCCAGUGGUAAAAAUAUAAAUACGAUAACUCUGGAUAACCUCCCAGGUGAAAUGCUCACCGAUAUCCAUGCGCUUGCGGAUCAUUUCCUUAUUGCGUUACCAAAUAUCAACAGGUACUUUAUGAAAAAUUCUUUACAUAUCCUUUAUUAGAGACAACCAUGUGUUUGCAGUUUGCAGAUCACACGAUAACUUUUCCAAAAGGAAUAGUGAGGAAUCUUUGUGUCCGAGUUGGUACCUUAUAUGCCCCAGCAGACUUCGUAGUGGUAGAGACCGGAAAUGAUGAGAGAGCAUCUAUCAUCCUAGGGAGGCCAUUCUUAAACACCACGGGAGCUAUCAUCUAUGCUAGUGCUGCCAAGAUCAGUUUCUACGUCAAAGGGAAGAAGGAGACAUUUUUCUUUAAGAACAGGACUACACAAAUUCCAAAUCAAUCCAGACGUGAAUCAAGGAAGAGGACCAACAGGAGGAACAGGGACAAGCAAGUGUGGACCGAGUCAGCUAAGAUGGUCACUGUAGUUCAUGGAGGUCAAGAUCACCAACUUAAGUCACCGUUUUUGACCAAGAAGGACGACCCAGGAAUGCCAAGCAUUUACUGCUCCAUACAUGGAUAUAGCUUCUACAAGACAAUUUGCGACACCGGAUCGGGCGUCAACAUAAUGGCUGCAGUCACCUAUCGGCUCUUGUUCGGAACCAUGCCACUAAGACCAACAUACAUUCAGCUCCAGAUGGCAGAUCAGACAUUUCGAGAAGUUCAAGGAAUAGUAUCUGAUGUCCCAGUCAAAAUAGUCGAUUACUUUGUCUACACAGACUUUCAAGCUGUUGACAUGGGAGAAGACGAGUAUGAUCCACCCGUCAUCCUUGGAAGACCGUUCCUCAGCACCGUUAAAGCAAUUAUCUACAUUGGAACCGGAGAAGUCCAUAUGCACUUCCCCUCAGAGAAGGUACACCGUUAUUUUACUGACCCUAACUAUAUCAUUGAAGAAUCUAAGCAGGUAAGAAAGCGACGCAACCGCAACCAGAGGAGGCAGAUCAUCAAGGACGGAUGGGCAGACUAUGAAGGAGAAGUUGUAAGGUCAGAAGACAUAGAGUUUAAAUAGAAUUAUCCAGAGGAGAUUGAAGCACCGAGUCAGGUAUGGAAAAUGAAGAUAACUAUACAAGAAGAGGAGGCGCUGCCGGAAGUACCGACUACGCCACCCAACGAACCUCAGGACGAUUAAGAAAAUGGAGAGUCCCGUUCGGAGGACUUAAAAACACCGAACGCCUUGCCAAGAGGUAAACUUGGUAGUUAUCCUUUCCCUUUCAAUUAUUUCAAAGAGUUUACUUAGUUAAUCAUGUUCAUACUAUCUUAAAAAGAAAAUAAAAAUGUGAAAAAACUGUAAGCCCCAUGUGAGUAGACGAGUGGCAUAAAACCCAUAAGUACAUUCACUGUGGUGGCAUAAAAAUAAAAUAAAUAUUUUUUGUGCUUUAUAAAAACAAAAAUAUAAAAACAGGGAGUAAUAAUUAUUAAGGAGUCUCAACUUGAUAAAGGCUAGAUAUUUAUGCUAACACUUAAUCAGUUCCACAAGCUUUGUUGUCUAUUUGAGCUCCACAGAAUUUAAGAAUCAAGAAGACUAGCAGACGGAGGACAUCCUAAUCGCUGUCAGAAUGCUGCUGACUUUCAAAUACACUUCUGCCACCUGCUAGCUACACCAAGAGAAAUUACGUCAAAAUUCAGCUUGGGGGAGAGCACCCCCAUUUAUCCCGAUAAGUAUUUCUUUCUAUCUAUCUUUAUACUUAUAUUAUUUUAGAAUAUAAAUAACUAUGAAAAAACCAAAUAAAGAUUUUAUGCUUAUAUAUAUGCCUUUUGCUUAGUGUGUUUAAUAAAUAAAUAAAGUGGCUAUGCUAAUCUGUAUCUAAAUAAAACUUAAGCAUGGAUAUGAUAAAUAGUUGCUCUGCAUAAUUUGCAAAUUUUAAGUUCUCUCUCAAGUUUAGAUAUAACUGUUAUAAUUUAAAGCUUGCUCUAGACCUAAACUUGUGGGAUGAAAACUUGAUCUGAAGUCUAAGUUGUUAACGGAUAUGAUAUGGGAAGGUUGAGCUGCUGUUUAUCUGUUCCUAGAGAUGCUAGAAUUCUAGAGAAUUUUAUCUUUGAAAAUCUUUAAAAUGUUGCAUGAUGAGUUCCUGUAUGAUGAGAGCUUAAAUUCCUACCACAGCCAUAUAUGCAUGCUUGCUAGACUUUGAGCCACACAUUUAUUAUUUACUGCUUAUGAGCAUUGAGUGUGGUCAAGCUGUGUAGACCCUUAGGAGCUUGUCAUGUGGUUAAAUCAAGAUUUCACUUGCAUGUCCACUCAUAUAUGCUACUUCUACUCCGGAAGUACCAUCCACAUAUAUCCAUUCAUUUCCAUCUCCAGAAUCACCCAAAAAUAUUCUACUCCUAAUCCGGGAGAGAAUAACCAAAAAAAAUAAAUAUUUCUAUUUUUCCCUUUGUAAAAUAAAUGCUCAAGUUAUCUUGUUACUACCACUUGCUAUAUUAUCUCAUGAGAUGAUUGCUCUAAAAAAAAAGAGAAACGAGGAAAUAAAAAGGAGCAAGUGCUCGGAACCUCGAAAGAAAAAAAAAAGUGAGACGAGAGGUAAAAAUGGACAAGUGUCCGACAGUAGAAUUAGGGGUGCAAGAUGCCCACCUGAGAGACAAGAAAAAGAAGAACAUCUCAUUCUCCUCAUAAAGUUUCAAAAGCAAGGAAGGUAUCUAUCCCCUCAAAAGAGCAAAGUAGAAUUAGACUUGCACCACCAUUGUUUCCACCAUUGUUAUCACCAUUAUCACCAUACACCAUUCAUUCGCCACACAUACACAUCUUGAUUUGGCUUAUUGAUUUGUUUCUUUGGAUCCAUGGUUUGACUAUGCAAUAAAUGUCUUGUAAGUAUGUAUACUUUAUCUCCCACCUAUGAACUCCAGAUAUUAAAGCCUUAUUAGAGUAGGGUGAGAGAAAAGGCAAUGUCACUAUGCCUCAUACCACAAAUACUACAUAUCUUGAGAGAAGGCAUAUACCAUCAAUGCCUUGGUAAGGAUCCAAAAAUAUCACAAAAGAGAGACCUGAGAGAAUCAUACAAGGAAUUUCUGAGUUUUAUUUGAAAAUCUGCAAAAACUCUAGAGCUAUAGCUGAUCAAGAAUAAGAGACAUGGCACUUGGCUAAACUGUUCUAUCUUUUAACUACUCAAGACAGAAGUGACAGUUACAAGUCCCAUGGUGAAGGUAAAGUAAGUAAGUUUUAAGUCUUGACAGUUUACUCUCACUCAGAGAUGAGAUCUUAUUUAAAAAGCAUGUGUACCGUCAAAUUUUAAAGAUAUUGCAACUACUUCUGGUCCAUAGCUGAGUCUAUCCUUGCUCAGGGACGAGCAAGAGGUAAGCUUGGGGGAGUUUGUUGAUGGUCCUUAAGUAUCAAAUUUAAUUAUCAAAUAAAUAAAGAAAAGGAUCCAAAUGAAAUCAAGAUCUAGACUUAGGGUUUUAUCUGACAGAAUUCCACGAGUUUUGGUGUUUGUCUAUUUCUGCAGGGGGUUAUCAGGAAAUGCGGAAGAAAGGCCCACAUGUCAGGAUUACGUAAAGAUAUUAACGUGCUGCGCAAUUAUCUUACAUCUAGAAGACUCCAGAAGCCACGAGACCGAAGCGGAGGCGAAACGGGGCCAGAGGCAGGGCGCCCGCCCUGUCCUACUGGGCGCCCGCCCCCUUUUGGAGUCCAAACAGGACUCUGCUUUGCGGGAAGUCUCCACCGACCUAAAGGAUGAAUCUAAACCAUACAAUCUAUGUCGGUUUGAUCCAAGGGCCCAUAUUCACUUGAAGGAACUAUAAAACCAGACCCCCUGACCCCUGGAGGAGAGAGCCUCUCAACCCUAAUUCAUUGUUCCAUCAAGGGAGAAGAAGCCUCUGAUCAAGAUUAGAGCCACCACAUCAAUUAGACAUCUAGAUUAGCAUAGCUACAUAGGAUUAGAACUAGAAGGAGUCAAUCUUCGAUUGGUUUCCGGAUCUGUCAGGAGGAUUCUUGGUAAUUCUCUAAUUGUGCUUCUAAUUGCUUUCUAAUUAUCUUUGUUCUUCAAUAUUAUGAAUAUGACUUUGUUCUACUUCAAUAUAUUGCUUAUGACUUUGCUCUACUUGCUUAUAUUCAAGAUUAUAUUGUUCUUAGUUUAUCAUAGUUAUGUACUUAGCUUAGUUAGAUACGAUCUAUAUACAUGCUUAGGAUCGUAUAGCGUUUUUCCAUCGGAUCCAUGGGUAAAUGAUAGAUAUUGUGUAGGCGUGGUGCUUAUACCGUAUUUAUCUGCGAUUGUACCCAAUAUGCCAGAUCGUGGGGUGGUUCGUGAUAGUGACAGCUUCAUUGAUUCUUAUAUAGUCCCCCUCUCGUGUAUUGGGCUGGCAGAGCAACAUUAUUACAGGGGAGUGAUUGCUAUGUUUCUCAUAUUCCUUGAUAAUAUCACUAUGCAUGGGCGUAGUCUUGUCUCGCAAUGAUUGCUAAGUAUGCUUGCACUGACUAUGAUAAUGCUAGACUAUAUAGUUGAGAAUAACUUAGGGAAUAUUCUUGUAGUUCGUUCUAAUACCAUGCUAAUGACUUUCUAGAGUAUCUAAUUGAGGUGCUUAUCAUAUUUAUUAUGUGGCUAGAUCAGAUUAGUUAUCCUUGUCACUAUUAUUAUUUCAUAUAUCUUUUAUGUGACACUUAUCCCUGUAUGAAGAGUUAGAUAUAAUGUUCUCAAUUAUACAUGCAAUGAUAGAUGCUCAAUCUCAUAUUCUAUUCUGUAAUCAAUAGUGAUGAUUGCUAAUCCCUUCCCAGUGGUAAAAAUAUAAAUAACGAUACCUGGAAUACUUCCCGGUUAAAAUGCUGCAUCGGUAUUAAUCUGUGCGCUUGCAGAUCCCAUUCAUUAUUUAUUUAGAAGAGCAAUUGCAUAUUUCAAUACCGCGUCUCUCAUGUCAUGCUGGGGAUGACAACUUGGCUUAAGUGGUGUGAGGGAUAGGUUUGGCAUUUUUGGCACCGUUGCUAGAUUUAGAACUUAGUCUACUUUUAGUAAUGAUGUUAAGAAUACCCAACAGUUUUCACAAGAGUUGCAACUGGGAAUAGUUUCUAAGUGCUGGCACGACACUCUAGGUUAGAUUGGGUUUCCCAACUAUGGGUCGCCCGACCCCAGCUCGAUCGAACCAAAAGUUCUCAUUUCUCCCUCAACUCUCCUUCUCGUAGGACCACUUUCAAGAUACUUGCAUCCUAUCAAGUAGGGGUCGCUCGACCCCUAGUUAUUGGGUACAGAGCAAGCAAGUUCGGGUCCUACACUUUUUAGGUGAUUAGAAGUGGUGUUGCCAAGUUUGAGCCAUAGUGGGUACUAAGUCCAGGUCGCCCGACCCCAGUUUGGAAGUUCUAGAGCGAACAGGUUCUGGGUUUGUACUUCCCCACAUGUCAUAGAUGGUUUGGCCAAACAUAGGCUUAGUUAGCUACUAAGAUGGGGUCGCCCGACCCCAUAAUGGAGGCUCCCCAAGACCAAUUUUGUCUUAAGGACUAACAUAUGUGUAUUCAUGCUAUCCUAAAGGCCAAUCCACACAAAAUAUAUAAAAGAAGUUAAGACAAGUAGAUUUUAGUCUUGUUGAAUGUUUAGCUAGGAUGAGUUCUAGCAUGUCAACUUCUUCUAUGAAGGAUCAAACUCCUAGAAAACUCUUAAGAAGGUGGCCACUUACCUUGAAGAUGAUGAGUCUUAGCAUUGGCCCUUCUUAGUUGCAUCAAAGUUCUCUUUGUCCAAGAAACUUGUCUUCGACCAUGAGGAUCUCAUGUUUUCUCCAUGAAUGAUCUCAUAACUUACCCAAAAGAGAUAUCAAUGUUCUUGCUGCAGGGGUUAGUCCAAAAGUGCAACCAAGUUCCAUGCAAGUAUGUUUGGUUCAAUAAUAAAACUUAACACCAUGUCUUGUUUGAUUAAGGUAGUCUAUUUAACCUAAGCACCAUGCUUAAUUUAAAAAGACUAUGGAGGUACUCACUCGAGCAAUUUGUAUAACCAAACCAAAGCGUACUAACAUAGAAAGAGGGAGCAUGAUAGGAUGAACAAUAUUCAUUAUACUAGAGACAAGACAAUGAGUGAUGAAGACAAGAGGCAAAUAUUUUUUCUUUUAUUAUUGUUAUUUUUUAAUUCUUAUAUGCAAGGCAAUGCAAAGUGGAGGAUGAAUGCAUUUAAACAAAUAUGCUAUGGUUAAAAUAAAUAUUAAAAAUAAAUAAAUGAGUGAUAUGCAUGAACAUCUAGGCUUUAGCUUUUUCCUGUGGCGUCGCCCAUCCAAAGGACAUCAUCAUACCGACUAUUAAAGCCGAUAUAUGAGCCGGGAUGUUCCCGUUUAACAUUCGACUACCACAAGCUAGACUAGGAGCCCGAAUAGGUAGACAACAAUAGAAUCCAUCUAGACCAGGCAUGAUGCCUGAAUACAACUCAAAGACUAGGAGCUACCAAAGAAAGCACUAGAUUUAUGCAGUAUUAAGCAAACAUGUAGUGGAAGGGAUAAAAAGAAAAGAAAGGUAAAAGAAGGAUAACUCGGACGACUUGGUUCUAAGUUAGAUCAGCUAUUGUUCCCCGGUAACGGCGCUAGAAAGAUUGUUGGCAUUUCAUAGCGUCAUCACAAAAGAUAGACAAAAAGUCGAUCCCAGCAACAGCGCCAGAAAUCUUGUUGACUCUAGAAGUGGCAAACGGAAAUACCACAAGCGUACGGUAGUCAAUGUAGCUUUCACCGGGAGUAUUCUAGGUAUCGUAUUUUCCACGAGGAACGUGAAGUGAUCUAACUAGGCUCAAGGUCAUCCAAAGAGUCAAGGAUAGGUAAGUGAUCUCACACAGAUCCUAAUCUAAAGAUAAAUGGUAGAGAGCUAGCUAGGUGGGAGGACAACGAGUAGUAUAGACUCCUAUUACUCUAACUUUACUCAUGCGAACCAAUCUAAUCUAGUAGCGGACACACACUAACGUCGCUAAACCUAACUACUUGUUUGUUGGAAGUCGACUGCAAUAGGACGAAACUCCUAUCCAAGCGGACUCGUUUCUUAUGGGCGCCUACAGACCGUACCCGACGUGAAUAAAACCUAUUGGGAAGUAGAGGCCUAUCACGCUUCGCCGCCACCCACUAUCAUGUUUGAUACGAUGGUAUUCAAGGGCAGGCUUUAGUCUAAGCACCACACUUAUGCUAACUCCUACUACUCAGACUAGGUAUACGACCUAGUCCAAGCACCGUGUUACCGGCAGAGAAAACAAACCAAGCACUUAAGACUAAUUUAGCUAGUAUAUACUAUAAGACAGACUAGGACACUACAAUAGAAUAUUGCACUAAGUAAAUACCAAAAGUAAAUACUUAGAAAAGUAAACAAAAAGUAAAUAUAUUAAAUACUCAAAGUCUUACAAGGGAAAAGGUAAAUAGGAAUACUAGACUCUCCAGAAGACGACUCUAGAGACUCCAAGCUUCGCUCGGCUCAACUCUAACACCCACACUAGACUAAAACUACUACCCUAAAUUAUAACAAGUGGAUCUUGAAGUGUGAAAUGAUAUGAGAUGAAGGCCUAUAGGGGGGUAUUUAUAGCAGGAGGCGGAGCAGGGGCUACUCCAAUGCCACGUCAGCAAUCCGCGUGACCUCCAGCAUGCACCAUUGGAUAAACCAACCUUGGAACCACCAUAUGAUCAAUCGUUGGGGAUUUCCAUCACAUGUUCAUCAUUUGGACAUCGGUGGGGUGCAACCGACCUUGGAAGCUCCGAGCCUUGGGAUCGACCGACCCACCCAAUGAUAGGUGGGACCGAGGUUGUCUUCUAGAAGGAAUCCCAUGUUGGUUGGUGCAAACCAAGUGGCUGGAUGGCCCCAUAGUGGGAUCGGCCGAUCCCACUUUGGUAGAACCAAAGGUUCAUCUUCUGCAGGUGACUUCCUAGUGAAAUUCUAAGCACAGUGGUGGUGCUGGGCCCACAAAGGUGGGGUUCGCCGACCCCACUAAUGUGCCCAUCUUUUGCACAUUGUCUCCAGAAGCUAUGAGAUUGAUGAAUGUGAAGUUGGUUUUCCAAUUGGCCAUUUUGGGGUGGUAGUCCAACCUUCAUAUAGAGCUUCUUAACCCUGAAAAGUAGUCGAUUGCACACUUGCAUCCAAAUUAUGACAUGUACAUGUGGAACCAAGUUAUUUGUACCUAAGUCACUAUGUGUUUGGUGAUUUUCUUCCAAAAAGAAUGUAUUGUUGAUGGUUUUGAUGUGGUAAAAAUAGGUCUUACCCACCAUCAACAACCAUCAACAUAGCAUGAGAAAGCACUAAAAUCAAAAUACUAUCUAGCUAUAGGGGUUAUCACUAAUAGAAUUUCACAAGUUUUGGUGAUUGUCUAUUUCUGUAGGGGGUUAUCAGAAUAAGAGCAAAAGGAGGUACACAUGUUAGAUUUACAUAGAGAGAAUAUUAUGAACUUCAACUCAGGAAUACUCUAUAAGACUCAGGAAGCCACGCCCUACAAGCUGAGGCCCACCUACCAUAUGGUAGGAGUGGGUGCCUUGGUUGGCAAGGGCGACCGCCCACUCACCUCCACCAAUGGGGUGCAACCUCACGGACCCUGCCUCCAUCGCCUUUGAGGAGUAAUCUUGAUCGUAUGUUUAAGUCAUUUGAUCCGAGGGGUGUGGUGCUUCCUAGGGGGCUAUAAAUACAACCCUGAUCCCCCUAGAGAGAAGGAAUUCAAUAUUCUCUGAGGAAUUUAGAAUUAGAUAGAGAGGGAUCCCUCGAAUGGAUAUGACUCUUUAGGGUUCUUAGCCACGAUCUCAGUUAGAUCUCUAUAGUUCUUUAGCAUAGCUACAUAGGAAUAGAGCUAGAAGGAGUCAAUCCUAGCAUGGAGUCUAGAUCUAUCUUUGUUCUUGGUAAACUCUUAUUCUUCUUUGAGAUAUUCAUAUUAGGUUUUGCUACUAUGAAUAUAACUUUGAUCUAUUUGAUUAUAUCAAAAUUGACUUCUUUCAAUUUUGCUUAUGUUCUCAAUUAUAUUGUUAUUAGUCUACUUUGAUUAUAUGCUUAGCGUAGUUAGAUUAGAAUUAUGUUUAUGCAUAGGAUCAUAUAGCGCUUACUCAUUAGGUUGAUGAGUAAGUGAUAGAUAUUGUGUAGGCGAGGUGCCUAGACCAUAUUUACCUACGAUUACCCCUUAUAGUCCGGAGUCCGAUGUAGAUCGCAAGAGUGAUAGUCCUGUUGAGUCCUUUGGGGUCCUCCUCCCGAUUAUAAGGCUUGUAGAGCACAAUUAGUAUAGGGAACUGAUUGCUAUGUUCAUGAUCUUAGUAAUAUCACUAUGCAUAGAUAUCAUCUUCUCUUAUGAUGAUGCUAGAUGUAAUUGCACUAAUCAUUAUAUGCUUUGACAUUAUAGUUAGAAUACUUAGGAUUUAUUCUUGUAGAUCACCCUAGUCCAUGCUAGUGUUAUAGACUUAGAGUAAUCUAUUGAGAUGAUUAUCAUAUUUAUAUGUGGCUAUGUGAUCUCAUUUAUCCUAUGUCACUUAUUAUUCAUAUUUAUAUUAUUUAUCUUGUAUGACACUUACCCUGCAUGGGAGAUAGAUAAAGACAUGGUUAAGAUCUCCAUGACUACAUACAAUGCUCAUUGCUCAUUGUCCAUUGCAAGUCCCUUCCUAGUGCUGAAAAUAUAAAUAGUCAUACAUGGAUUACUCCCGGUUAAAAUGCUACAUCGGUAUUAUCUGUGUGCUUGCAGAUCCUUUAUUUAUUAUUUAUUUCUAGAAAAGCAUAUAGAUUUAAUACCAGCACUUCUACAUCAUGUCUAGGAUGACAACUAGCUUAAGUGAUGUAAAGUAAUUUUGACGCUGUUGCUAGGGAUAGGUUUAAAAGUCUAUUUAUAGUAAUUGCAUUAAGAAGUGUCAACAAUGGCAUGGGUGUGGGCGCGGAGAUUUGACUAGCAUCUUGUCUUUCUAUACUAUGUCCCCAUGGUAGGUGAAGUGACACGUGGUCUUGAAUGCACCAAUGAGAGAAGGGUGCCCAAGCCUUGGGGUCGGGCAAGUGGAGAUUGCUAAUUCUUGGUUUCAUCUGAGGACAGAGGGUUGGGUCUCGGGCAAGGUGAAGAAAAGGGAUCGGCCUCGGCUUUGCCUGAGGCUUUUGCCAUUAAGUCUCGUGCGGGACGAAGAACGGCUAUUUGGUCGAUCUGGUCUCUUACUAAAGGGAGAAGACUGGGUUCUUAGCUCUCUGCUUUGGGUACCCUAGGUUAUGGUACCUGUUGGCAUUUCUUAAUGCAAUCACCAAAGAUAGACAAAAAGCCUAAUCAACAGCAACAACACCAGAAAUGCUUGAUGACAUUCGUUCGUGCAAAAAGAAAUAUGAAAGAUUCCACAAGCGCACAGAACAUCAUCGUAGCACUUUACCGAAAGUAUUACAGGUAUCGUUAUUUAUAUUUUACGACAGCGAAGCUAGGGUUAAGAAUCUAAUAAUUCCAUAUCUACAUCUACUAACUUAAAGUAUCAACUAAACUAAAGGAGGGGUAAACGGUAUACUAUAAGAUAAAUCAAUUAAGCACAUAUAAGAGAAUUCAAUGAUAAAUGUAUAGAUAGUCAUAGCAGGUGGACAACUGGAAAGAUCAAGGCUCCUUUGUACUUAUCUACUACAUAGAUUCUCAGAUAAUAGAAUAUGAAAAGAUAUAGCAAUCACACAAUGGCACUUUGGAGCAACAGUACCUUUCUAACUCUCGAAAGAGACUGGGAAGAAAGUAGUCGGGCGAAGGCUACCAAAAGCUCUAUGAAACAUCAAUCCAAACAUGGUGGAAUACAAAGGCUUGAUGGGACUGUCACCUUGGGGCUACCACAAUUAUCCGUGGGAUUGAGUGCAACCACAGGUAAACUAUAGCCUAAACACCAUAUCUACACUAGCGUUUACUACUCUAAUUACCAUGAAUAACUAGAGCACUCAAUACGAGCAAAGAUUCCAUGCCAAGAUAUAACAACUACACUAAUCAUAAAUAGGCAUAAAGUAAAUAGAGAAGAUAAUAUAUUAAAACAUAAGUAUUCCAAAGAAGAGAUAUGAAGACAUACCAAAACUCUAAAGAAGACUCCUCCAGAAUCGGAGCGCAGCUCCACUCUCCCUAACUCCAGACUAUAACUAAUCUACUAUAUUGGAAUCUCUAGCCCUAAUUCUAUAGAGAAGAUAGAUCAUCCAUUCAAGGGAUGCCUCUGCAACUCAUAGAGAAGAGAGGACAUCCUUUCGAGGGACGCCUCUACAACUCAAAAUGAUUCCCCCUCCCCUAGGGGGGUCAGGCUUGUAUUUAUAGCCCCCUAGGAAGCACCACAGCCCUUGGAUCAAACCGACAUAAGUGUACGGUCAAGAUUACUCCUCAAAUGUGGUGGAUCGGAAUCUGCGAGGUUGAAGCUAAUUGGCAGCAGUAGCCGGGCGGCCGACCAGGGGGGUGGGGCUGGUGCCCAUCCCAUGUGGCCGUUUGCCAUCCCAUUCAUUCUAGUGUCUUCUCGAAUCUUCUAGACUCUAGAAAAGUGUAUUUUCAUGUGAAAUUCAUAUUCCUUCAUCCGAAACUCCAAAUAGGGAAAAUGAUAUAUGGAUUUUUAUCGUCUCAAUGAGCCUGUCACAAUGGUGUAGUCCAAUUCAUUGUCACACCCAGUUUUAAAGAAUUAAACCAGGCUAACCAUAUGUGUGCCUAGGAAGUCCACACAUAUAACAACAGAAUGAAAUAUAUCAGAAGCAAUGUUAUAUAGCAGAAACGUACUUAUAAUUAACACUUACAUCAGAGUAUUGUAGAAUGAUAACUAAUCUUUAGGGUCAAUCUUCACAGGGAUGGUUGACUGGGGUAACAUCUACUUAGCACUUCUUGUAUCCUAAGAACAUCCUUCAUGACUCCAUCCUUCGAAUCAACUCUUUCUAGUGGACUGGAGUGGUGGGAAAUAGUAAGAGUUAGCACAUAUCAUACUCAACAAGUAUAAUAAGGGUUUCAUAAGGCUCAAAUAGCUGACACUGGUUCGACUACAUUUAGCUUUUAUGUGUAUGUAGCAUAGUUAUCAUUAAAUAGCAAAUAUCAAGGUAGCAUAAUUAAUCCCGUAACCACAUGAUCAAUGUAUACAAGAAUAAUGAAUACAACAUAAACAACAUAAUUAACCAUCAUUCAUCAUCAUUAUCAUUAUCAUCAUUGAUCCGUGUCCAUCUAUUCCAUCAGUUUUCCGGGCCGCCCGUAACCAUGGGCACGGCUAGUAUACCAGAUUUUAACACUUUGCAGAGGUUGUACAUGUUUACCCAUGAGUCAUGACUUACCCUUUCGCCCAAGGUAGCUAAUCUCUUAACCCCCUUCCUAGAGAGGUCGGUAGGGAUCACCAUAAAGUCUUUCAAAGGUUCGUCUAACAAGUUAGGGCCGCUUGGUUUCAUUAGUCAGUCCGUGUGAUCCACCCGUACGAAUCCACGGUCUGCUAUCCUCCAAUUACGCCAUACGGGUAACCGCUAACAAGCUAGAAAAAUUAUUCGUACUUGACUAAAGCCAAAGCCAUAUAGCCCUCAUGGUUGUACGAAUUGUCCUAGCUUUUGACAAUGGAUAAGUUCUUAUGGAGGGUCAAGAUCAAUCCAGCAAAAGCCAGAGUUCUUUCCACCCUUUAUGUUCAUAUUGCUAGAAUGCUUAUUUUAUUGUUUAUUGCAUAUUCAAAUAUUCAUGUUAGAAGACCAUGGAUUAUAAUCAAGCACUAGCAAGAACUACCUGAAUGCAUAUCCAAAUAGGUAUCAACGAAUUCAAGAUAAUAAGCAUCUAUGAUUUUGCUAAGGUUGUCAAGGUGCACACAUGCAUAUGAUAUAUGUAUUAAAAGUGUGUAUGUAACAAGGAUAGUCUCAAGUUAUACUUGCCUUAAACACUUGCUCAAUUCUCACAUCAUCAGCUUUUGGUCAACACCUUCUGAUCUUUAGAGCCCACAAAAUUUCUCGUCUACUCGUAGCAAACACCACACAUAGGCAAACAUACAAGCAACCAACAGAAACAACUAAGAACAGUACACCACACAAGAUUUUGCAACGUACUAAAAGAGCACAAAUUACUAUAGUCGCGAGAAUACAAGAAACACUGAGAAUAGGGCUACGAUAAAAAGAAACGACUAUCGAGAGUUCUAUAUUAUUUUAUUAUUUUACGUUAUAAAGAAAAAUAUACAUGCUUCAUUUAUUUUAUUUGAACAAAAUCAUGUGAGUGAUAUUAAUUCAGAUUAACCGCUAUGCAUUUUAAAUUAAAAACCGUGCUAAAUCAGCAAACUUUUAUUUCUAAAUAUGUAUAGUAUGUAUUUAGGCUGUUCAAACUUUAGCUUGCAUGAGAAAUUAAUAUGUGAAAACAUCUAUUUAACCUGCAUAUGACGUGGAUUCAGCUAAACAAAAUAUAACUUAAAAGUAUACUGAGGAUAGCAAUUAAAUCACAUUAAUAUUUGUAUAUGAAACACCGAGGUGCAAAACAUAUGCUACUUUUGAUUAUAAAAAUAGUUGUGCAUAUGUAUUAUAAAUUUAAUGUUUACCUAUAUAUAAAAAACAUAUGACAUCUAAGCCAAAGCACUUAGUUUCAAGGUUGAACUAAACAUACUAUAAUUUAAAAGACAUUAAGGUUGAUAUUAAUUAGAUUAACUUUAAUUUGUGAAAUAUCUAUGUAUAAACCUAUAAUGUUUUUGCUUAGGAAUUCAAUUGCAUAAACAUAAAUAAAAUUAGUAUUUGACUUAUAAAGUUCGAUGAUCUGAGACAUGUUAAAAGCUCCUAGUAACAUUUGGUUUAUGGUCGGCGCAGACGUAAUGCAAUAAAAACGGGGUUAAACUUAUAUUACUUUUAAUUAGCAAGCAUUUAAAUAAGUACUAAUAUAAUUAUUGUUUAAAUUAAUAAAUUCAUAAUCAAGAGACAUGGUAAACUUUGGAACUAUUGCGUAGAACGUGUCGUUACGAAUCUAAUCCAAUUUGAACAAAGGAAAACAGAAUUAAAAUGAUUAAACUAUUGCUAAUCUCAUGUGGCAAAACGGUAAUUACCUUCAUCUUCUUCCUCACUUACAUGAGUGUUCGGAUCACAGACCUAACACGUUUGAGAAAGGAACCUCUGGGAGCACCGGAACCUGAAGAAGAACUACAGGAGUGUUCGGAUCACAGACCUAACACGUUUGAGAAAGGCAAGCCCCGGAGCAUUCUAAGUCUCCCUAUUCUCGCUAACUUACAUGAUAUACUAUACUUGUUCUACUAUGUUGCAUGUACGUGAUAGGAAAUGCUUGAUAUCGUUGAUGCAUAUGUACUCCUUGUUAUCCCUACUCGUUUAUCUACCUUGUCCUAUAUAGAUAGGCACGGAGUCUAUGCUUAGUUUGCUUAGUCCGGUAGAAGUCGGGUGAUUUCCUGUCUCCUGCGAGAUAUAGGUGGAUACCUGCUUGAUUAAGCAGUGAUUGCUUUAGGAAAGAAUAACCAAGUGUGAAACGGAAUUGGAGACCAGGCAGGGUCUUAUGGUGGGUUGACUAUAGUGCCCCUGCCUGUGUCGAUCAAGGACCGAUCGUUGAUGGCCCUCUUGUCAUGUUGAACGCAUGCCCCACACUUAGCUGGAAGGAUAAGUCGUUCCGAUCGCGAAGCCUGAACACUAUCCGGGCCGGGAGUCGAGCCGCCAUGCGCUAUAUUGGUGAUGGUUGAGAAGAACGACGAGGGCGCGGCGCGCAACCUUGGUAUACCUUGGAUACCUCGGUCGCCGGAACGGUCCUCGGGUACUGGCGGUGCCUGCCGAACCCGCGAUUUGGUCCUGGAUAGUGUAACACGGUGAUCUGUAGCUCACUUGAACAGUGAGUAUGGUUUGUAUGGGGAAUACCUCGCCAGCUGGUUAGAAAUCGAUUCGAAUCGCUAUCGCUCCUGGAUAGUGAGCACUUGACAUGAGCCCUGUCCUCGUAGUAAGGACUAUGGAACAUUUGGGUUAUAAUGAUAAAUGGUUGCAUGAAUGCUAUGAUGAGGUACCAUCAUAUUACUAUACUUGCUUGUAAUAGUACAGGUGCAAACCUAGAUAAUAGGUAAUGAUACUUCAACUUGAGCUAAUUAAAAGAAAAAGGACCUUUAUAGAAUUUGGUUAACAGAAGAGUGCUUUUAGGCAAAAGUCAUCAGCUACCCCACUAUAUAGCCUUCAUGAUCCUUGAUGAGUCUUUAUUUUGAGUUUAUGACGGGUAAGUCUAGCUGAGUACAUUCUCGUACUCAGGGUUCUACUCCCAUGUUGUUUUACAGAUGGUCAAAUGUACUAUGGUUAUUGCAUCCUCUGCCUGUACCCAGCUAUGGGUGAUGACUAGACCAAGGGCGAUGGUCACUCUACCUCCUCUUUUACUUUUGUGGGAAUGACCGAAUUAUGGCACUGUAUCAGACUAAGCACGUGUGUGUUAUUUUCGAACUAUGAAGCUUCCGCUACUUAUGAACUUGGCUUGUAAUAACUUUAAGCACUCCGAUGUAUUGUAUAAAUGUUUUCGAACUAGAUGUAACUGUGGAUGGUGACCGCUAAACUUAUUACGAUCUUGGCUGUAUGUAUGAUCUGUGGUUUGAAAUCCUGCGAGAUUUCAUAGACUACCGGGAUUAUAUGGGCUUAAGCUCGAUGGUUUGACUAUGCCAAUGGUCACUAUUAGGCUUAAUCUCUUAUAAUUUGGGCGGUUCUAUUACAGCUGGCAUCGGAGCAAGGUUUAGCGAGUUACUGUUCAUAAGUACGUUGUGAACUAAAUCUAAACCGGUUUAAUAAAAGAUUUUUAUUAAUGAUAAUCAAGGUGUCAACUAAGUUUUUGGAAAAAAACUAUCUAGUGUGCCAUGGUCAUAUCCUUUAUGCCCAGUUAAAGACUCUAAGGUGGCUAGUUAAGUACUGACUUAGGGGUUAAUGCAUCAUAUUUUUAUUUCGUCGCUCAUACGGUGUGCAAUAGUAUGAGUACCAUUCAUUUGAGUGGUAAUGUAUGGAUCGAUUAUUCCUCUACGUCCCGGUAAGUGGGAGCUGUGAGAGCAGGAUCGGAUACACUGCCGGUCUAGGGGAGUGUUGUUAGGUGCUGUGUCAUGCGCCUUUUGAAUUAAUUUCGAAUAGUUCUUAUCUUUUCUUUGAACCACUAACAUCCAAGUAUCAACGAUGCCAUGUUUUGGUGUGCUUGGGAAUAGUACCGCAUGUUGGGAAUUCCGUCCUGAGAGGCGAUGUCGUCAUUAGGGCGAUGAUGUCGGUAGUAACACGUCAUAUGCAUGGACGGGUGUCUGUGUAUGUGGGGUGUAUAGCUUUAAAUUCUUGUUCUACAUGAGCAUACUGUGGUUGGGCUGAAAUGAGUUUUCUGCAGGUACACUAACCACGUUAGAGCGCUAGUUACGUUAUGAGCGAACGCUGUGUGCCACCGCAUAUACCGCUUAGUGUUAACUUUUGUCUCUAAGUUUGUGAGAUCGUAAGUCCGUGCAUGCAUCAUGUUCAUCUCAUAUCGUUGCUUACUUUCCCCCUUAAUUUAAUCUGUCCCAAUUCUAAAUAAAAUGAUUAAAGAUAAUCCUUGAUCUUACCCAAAGUAUUCCAUUUGCAGCAGAUGGCACGCACUAGGCUCACCGCUCGCAAGUCCACUAGAGGGCGGGCCCCUCGCCAUCCGUUGGCAGCCAGGAGCUCGCGUCAUAAGAGCAAGUUCCUGGAGGAGUUUGGGAUGCCUACUUUGCUUUGGAGGGUGCUCAGUUCGAUGGGGUAUCCCGAAGGAAGGGAGCCUCGCUACUAUCGAGAUAAGGAGCAGCUUGGUGACGGGACCCUGGUGGGGAUCGAGGCAGUGGUCCCUACCAGUGCAGGUGACCAAGCUUGGGGCGGUUGGGUGUACGAGUCCCGAGGUACCACACCUUUCCACGGUGCCAGCAGGGCAGCUUUCGCAGUUCUGAGGGACCUCAUGGAGAGGUUUCCACAGGAGCUGGCCCACGCCUUCGCUGGGGUGUUUCCCCGAGGUGACCCCUACACUUCGGUGUGGGAUCAGUCCGAGGUGAACGCUCUAGAGAGGAGUGCGGGUGAGGACCAGCACAGUGACAGCAUAGCUAUGAGUGCUAUGUACGCUUUGAUGAAGACCUAUGGAGGCCUAGAGCGUUGUUUGGGUCGCUUGUCCGGGUCUCUUCUCACUGUCCAGGAUGAGAAGCGCCAGCUACAGCUUGAGUUCGACAUUGAGGUUGAGAGGCUACAGGCAGAGUUGGCCCGCGUGACCCACGAGAGGGACCAGGCGGUCCAGAAGAACAGUGAGCUGAGCCAGGACUUGCUUGCAGUGCGAGAGCAGAGAGACAGGGUGACUACUGCUCACAGGAACUGCGAGCGCAUGCUAGUUCAUGUACUUGGUCAGAGGAAUGAAGCCUGGCAUGAGGAGGACACUUUGGGGCCCGACAGCUAGAGCUUGAGUAGCAGCUAGCUAAUGCUGAGGAGUACAAGUAGAACUUGCAUGAAGAGAUCCACCAGCUGCAUAACCAGCUCCACCCUCACCACCUGCCUAGAGCAGCUGAGUUAGACUCUGAGGACGAGAUGGAUGAGGAUCCUGAGAUAGGGGUAGCUGCUAGUGGAGAUGAGGACGAGGUGGGCUCCGGCAUGGACAGUGACCAUAACGAGUAGAUGCUAGGGCUCUAGAGCUAGUCCUUCUACUUUUGUUGUUGUUGUUGCAUGGCAUGUCUUGUACUUUUGGAUCUGGGCUAUGUAAAACUUUAUGAGAUGACGCUGAAAGUCCAGUGUAUGUAUGCUGGCAAGUUUGGAUGUAUGCGAACGUUGUUGCUUGAAUUUUAAGUAAUCUGUUAGUGAUGUUGUAUGUGGAUGAUGAAUUGUUGUGCCUCUGUUUAUUGUGCGAAUUUAUUUCCUCAGUAAAUUCAGUACGGCAUAAUUCUACACAUGUCUACCAUUGAUGGCAACUCCUAACGAUUGCUUAUCAUUGACAUAUGCAGAUGGUGCAAACACGUGGCGGGGGUAACAGUAACCCCGGUCUUGGAGCAGGUGCCUCCGGAGGUGGGGCUCAACGGAACGAGGAAAGAGCACAAUCACCACCACCACCACCACCUCCUCCAUACACUGCGGACGUGUUUUUCGCACAGUUUCUGGGGAGCCAACGCAACAUGGAGCAGAUGCAGCGCAAUAUGGAAGAAGCCCUGCGUAACAUAGCUGACAACACCCAUCGUGGGGAUAACCAAGGCGGUCGUGAAGUCAACCAGUACAGCUCUUUCAAAGACUUCAUGGAUACCAAGCCACCUAUCUUCAAGGAGGCGUUGGAACCGCUCGAGGCGGAUGAGUGGAUCAACACCAUGGAGCAGAAGUUCUGUCUUCUUCGGAUAUCUGAAGAACUCAAGGAUGAGUAUGCAGCGCAUCAGUUGCAGGGACCUGCUGGGAUUUGGUGGUCCCAUCAUCGUACCACCUACCCAGAGGGGACCCCAAUCACCUAGAACCGCUUCACCACCGCGUUCCGGGGAAAUUAUAUUCCUCCGGGUGUGGUGGAAAUGAAGAUUGGGGAAUUCAUGCGGUUGUCUCAGGGAACGAAGUCUGUAAAGGAGUAUCUACAUGCUUUUAACAAUCUCGCUCGCUACGCCCCUGAGUUUUGAACAUGGAGGCCAAGAAGAUUGCUAGUUUCCAGAGAGGCUUGAAUCCAAAGAUGCUGAAGACCAUGGGUACAGGAGCCAGGGCUACCUUCAAUGCCUAUAUCAGUGACUGUUUGACCCAAGAAAACAAUAACAACAACUAUAGUGCAUCCAAGUCUUGUAAGAGAGCUUUUGAGGCCGGGUCAUCCCAGUUCAGGGCACCAGUGGCAGGGCGACAGCAGUAUCGUCCUCCUGCCCUGGGUGCUAGGUUUCGACCACCGCAGAGAAGGAACACCGGGCAUCCAACGCAGCGGAAGCCAUACAAGGUGGUGAUAGCUCCUGCCAAGACAAAGGCAAUUCAAGCUGCGGCACCUGCCGCCAACAAUGCGACCAAGGGUCCAUGCUACAACUGCCACAAGAUUGGGCACUUUGUUAAGGAAUGUCCCUACCCCAAGAGGCAACAGCCAACCUAUCCAGCUCAUGUGCACCAUACCUCGAUCGAGGAGAUUCCGGAAGGAGAACCGGUAAUAGCUGGUAUGUUUCCUAUCAACCAACAUCUUACAGUUGUUUUGUUUGAUUCCAGAUCAUCGCAUUCAUUCAUGAGCCAAGCAUUUGCACAAAAGCAUGAUCAACCAGUUACAGAUCUGGGUUAUGGAUACCGUAUCAGCUCAGCAAGGGCAGAUGUGUUAACAAAUAGAGUGGUCCGAGGGGCAACCCUGGAUAUAAGUGGCCGGGUGUUUCGAGUGAAUUUAGUAGUCAUGCCUGGAUUAGUUCUGGACGUUAUCAUGGGCAUGAACUGGAUGAGGGAAUGGGAUGCGGUCAUAGAUACUGGGAAGAGGAUGUUAUCUCUCAGAGAACCCCAGGGCAGUAGCUCUUUUCAAGUACCUCUGCCCCGUCGCCUUGACUUUGCUGGCGUCUCUUGUGCUAUGCACGUGGUUCCAUUACCACAGAUCCCAGUAGUCUGUGAGUUCCCUGAUGUUUUUCUCGAGGAAUUGCCGGGACUUCCUCCAGAUAGGGAAGUAGAGUUUGCAAUCGAGUUGAUACCAGGUACAGCACCGAUAUCCAGAAGGCCGUACCAGAUGCCGCCAAAUGAACUCGCGGAGUUGAAGAAUCAACUAAAGGAGUUACUGGAUAAAGGGUUCAUCCGGCCAAGCUCGUCAGAAUGGGGUUGUCCGGUGUUGUUUGUGAAAAAGAAGGAUCAAUCGUUGCGCAUGUGCGUGGACUAUCGUCCACUCAAUGCAGUGACAAUUAAGAAUCAGUAUCCUUUGCCAAGGAUUGAUAUCUUAUUCGAUCAGUUGUCCAAGGCAUAAGUGUUUUCCAAGAUAGAUCUGAGGUCCGGGUAUCACCAAAUCAAGAUUCGCCCGCAAGAUAUCCCGAAAACUGCUUUUUCCACCAGAGAUGGGUUGUAUGAGUAUCUGGUCAUGUCCUUUAGGUUGACGAAUGCUCCUGCAUACUUAUGUAUCUGAUGAAUUCAGUCUUUAUGCCAGAGUUAGAUAAGUUUGUUGUAGUGUUUAUCGAUGAUAUCCUCAUUUAUUCAGAAAAUGAGCAAGAUCACGCCGAGCAUCUGAGAAUCGUGCUAACACGAUUACGAGAGCAUCUGUUGUAUGCAAAGUUCAGCAAGUGUGAGUUCUGGUUGAAUAAGGUUCCUUUUCUAGGGCACAUUUUAUCUGAAGAAGGGAUCGCCGUGGAUCCGUCGAAAGUGUAGGAAGUCAUGGACUGGAAGGCACCAACUUCUGUUUUGGAAGUUAGAAGUUUUCUUGGUCUGGCAGGGUAUUAUCGUCGUUUCAUACCCGACUUCUCCAAGAUUGCUAAAUCAAUGACUAGUUUGCUACGAAAAGAUCAUAAGUUUGUCUGGACGGAGGGGUGUGAGCUAGCCUUCCGCACCUUGCAAAAGUUGCUAACCACCGCUCCCGUUCUGGCGCAACCCAAUAUUGAGAAGCCUUUUGAUGUGUAUUGUGACGCGUCGAAAAGUGGCUUGGGGUGUGUGUUGAUGCAAGAUGGCAGAGUGAUAGCUUACGCUUCAUGACAGUUGCGAAAGCACAAAGGCAACUACCCAACUCACGACCUCGAGUUAGCAGCAGUAGUGCAUGCUUUGAAGAUUUGGAGACACUAUUUGCUGGGAAAUAAGUGUCAUAUCUAUACCGAUCAUAAGAGUUUGAAGUAUAUCUUCACCCAGUCCGAGCUGAAUAUGAGGCAACGACGGUGGUUAGAGUUAAUCAAGGAUUAUGAUCUGGAGGUUCACUAUCAUCUGGGCAAAGCUAAUGUGGUAGCAGAUGCAUUGAGUCGCAAACCGCACUAUCCGGUGAUUCAACCGUUGUUUGAAGAUGGUUUCAAUCUCAUGCAUCCUGAAGUCUUAUGUCACAUACAGCUCAGUUGUUCACUUGAGAGUCAAGUCAUUGAAGGUCAGAAAACAGACAAGGGUAUUUUCCACAUCAAAGAGAAUAUCAAAGCUGACCCAAAAACUCAGUUUUGAGUUGAUGAGAAAGGGGUAUUGUGGUUUCAGCACCGUCUAGUAGUUCCGAAGAAUCGAGAAUUGAAGAAUCGCAUCAUGGAUGAGGCCCAUCUCUCCAAGCUUUCUAUUCAUCCAGGCAGUAGUAAAAUGUAUCAAGACCUAAGACCCCACUUUUGGUGGACCAAGAUGAAGAAAGAAAUAGCCGCAUAUGUGGCCUGUUGUGACACGUGUUUCAGAGUCAAGGCUAUACAUAUGAAACCUGCAGGUCUGUUACAACCGUUAUCAGUUCCAGAGUGGAAAUGGGAAGAGGUCAGUAUGGACUUUAUCAUAGGUUUACCAAUGAUGAGGAAGGGGAAUGACUCGAUUUGGGUAAUCAUAGAUCGAUUGACUAAGUCGGCUCAUUUCAUUCCUGUGAAAACUCGUUACCGACCUCCUGAGUAUGCUGAUAUUUAUAUCGCAGAGAUCGUCAAGUUACAUGGCAUUCCCAAAACCAUCAUAUCGGAUAGAGGACCACAGUUCACUGCUCACUUUUGGGAGCGAAUGAAUAAGAGUUUGGGGACCAGUCUAAUAAGAAGCACCGCGUAUCAUCUCCAGACCUCAGGACAAACUGAGAGGCUAAAUCAAGUGUUAGAGGAUAUACUGAGGGCCUGUGUACUAUCGUCCAAGGGAUCAUGGGAGUCAUGGUUACCUCUAGCUGAAUUCUCAAACAAUAACAGCUAUCAAGAGAGUAUCAAGAUGGCUCCGUUCGAAGCGUUGUGUGGUCGAAGAUGUAGAACUCCGUUAAACUGGGUUGAACCUGGUGAAAGAAGAUACUAUGGUAUCGACUUCAUGAACGAAGCAGAGAAAAAGGUGCAAAUCAUAUGACAGCAUAUGCGGGCAGCCCAAUCGCGACAAAAGAGUUAUGCUGAUAAGAGAGGAAGGCCACUUGAAUUCAAUAUAGGUGACUAUGUGUACCUUAAGGUUAUGCCAAUGAAGAAAGUCCAACGUUUCCGUGUUCGAAGCAAGCUUGCACCCAGAUAUGUGGGACCGUAUCAAAUAUUGGAAAGAAAAGGCCCCGUGGCCUACAAGAUUCAGUUACCUGAAGAAUUGAGUUUGAUCUUUCCAGUCUUCUAUGUGUCCCAGCUACGGAAAUGUUUGAAAGUACCUGAGCAGAGGAUUGAACCUCGAGGGAUCAAAAUAAAAGCAGACUUAGAGUAUAAAGAGCAGCCAGUGGGUAUCGUGGAUACCAAGGAACGAGUAACCCGAAACAAAGUUGUCAAAAUAUACAAGGUGGUGUGGAGUCAUCAUGACGAUAGGGAUGCCACCUGGGAAACCGAGGAUUACCUAAAAACAGUUUAUCCAAAGUUUCAUAAGAAAUGGUUAGUAACUCAAAUCUCGGGACAAGAUUUCCCUAAGGGGGGAAGGGCUGUAACACCCUAGGUGUUAAGCAUGCACUUAGUCUUACCAAAGCAUGCAUAAGCAUUCUCAUCAAGCAUAGCAUCACUUGAGCAUGUCAUCCAUCUAAAAAUGUGAUUUUAUGUGCUUUAUUCUAUGUGAUCUAAAUAUGUUAAAAAUAUGAUGCUUGUUUCUAAAAUUAUGAAAUAUUCAAACUAGGUUGAAUUGUGUGCAAGAAGAUUUAAGAGUAUUUUUGUACAAUUUUUGGAGCCAUAGAAUUUGAGAAUUGGAAUUUAUACAAAAAUCUCCAAAAUGAAUUUAUUUGAAAACCUAGAAAUAGUUUUAAUUUGUAAUUCAAAUUCUAUUUGGAAUUUGGUCUUGCUUAUUAAAAUAAAGUUGUAGGGUUUUUGUUUUGGAACAACUUUCAUUUUGCGAGAAAGAGGUGAAAAUGAUUUUAAAAUGGUCCAAAUGAAUUUAGAAAGAGUUUGAGAAAAGAAAAUCAAAAAGAAGAAUAGAAAGGGGAAAAGGGGGGCGCUAGCAGGCCGCGGCCUCACUUCUGGCCCACUGGCCGAAGACGGCCCAGCCCACCCGCGCUCACCCCCAUCCCCGCGCCAGCGCCCGCGCCGUGCCCGCGCGCGCGGACGGCCGCGCCGUGCCGCCGUGGCGCGCCGGCAGAGCCUGGCCGCCGCGUAGCGAGCAUGCGGCAGCCUGGACGCGCCCUGGUCGGCCACCAGGAGCGCCCGGCCACGUCCGCCGCUGCCCCCGCUGCCAUUUGCGCUCCUCCACUCACGCUCUCGCCCUCCGCUAGCUCGCGCGUAGCAGCCGCCACUCCGCCGCACGCCAUCGUUGCCGACGACGUGGAGCUCCUCUCCCGACCAGCUCCGGCCUUCUUCUUCCUCUCCGCGACCACCACCAGCUCUGCCUCACCCUUCCGCAUCGCGUGCUCGCGUUCUACCGCGCUCGGUGAGUCCCGUGCGCUCGGGAGAGCUCACCGGAGUGAGUCGAGACUCCGGCGACCUCACGGUCUCCAUGGUUCUCCCCCUCUACCUCGCCAUUUCUUGCGCUUUUUGAUGCGUUAGCUUCGUCUUGGCCUCGCGCACCUAUUCCGGUCGUAAGCGCACGCUCUACCGCCGUGUGGUGGCCGGACCACGGCGAGCCGUGCCGCCGUUCCGCCAUGGCCGGUGGCGAGCCCGCUCCGGUCCAUUUCAGGCCGCGCAAAAGAGUGCCCUAGGUUCGCCUUGAGCCGUAGAGCGUGUAGGGCAACUUGAUUCGCCGAAAGAGGUCGCCGACGGCGAGCUCCGGCUCGCUGGAGCUCUCUCCUCUCUGCGUCCUGGCCAGCGGGCCCGGCUGGCAGGCGGGUCCGCUCCUCAGCGACCGCGGGUGCACUGCACCGGGUGCACCUAGCUGGUCCCGGGGUGGAUUUGAUUUGUUUUUCAGAAAAAUGAUUUCCAGAAAAUGGUUUAAAUGUUCAAAAAUCCAUAUGUUGAGAAUUAUAGCUCCAUAAUUUGUGAAAUUAUAUUUAAUCCAUGUUUGAGUAACUAUAACAUGGUAUGGUUGCAUGUCAUGUUUGAGUAACUUUUCUGUGCAAUUAUAUUUAAUCCAUGUUUUUGCUAGAUUUGGAAAAUGCAUAGUAAUUAAAAUAUGACUCAGAAAAAUGUGAAACUUGUUUUGUUGGCUCUGCAUGUAUGUUUAAUCACUGGGAAAAUGUUGCUACACAUUAUUUGGUGUAUAAAUGAAUUUAUAGUGAUUUAAAUGCUUGCAUGGCAGUGGUUUAUGAUUUUUAAUAAAAAAAUUGGAUCAUGCAAUUAAUCUGGAAAUUUUUAUGGGUGUUUCUUAUGAUAUUAAGCAAAUUAUAAAAAUAUGAAAUCUGUUGUUUGAUAGAUAUACCACAGUAGAGUAAUUGUACUUGCCUUUAUUAAUUAAUCUUGUGAUUUUUGUAGCUCAAAAUAAGUGCCCAAAAAUUAUGGAAAAUUUAUGGUGGACUCUAUAUUUGACUGGUAGUCUCCUGUAAUUUUUGUGGAAUUUAUGGAUGAACAGAAAUGCAUGCUAAUUUUGAUGGGCCUAGAAAUGAAUAAAGAAAUUAUGAAUUGUUAUAUAUGGGUUAAAUAGAAGAAAAGGGGUUUGGUGUAUCUUUGAAGCAUCUUGUGAGUUGCUGGUUACACUUAAAGACAAUUUGUAGAAGAGAAUGCAAUAGAUGUUUAAUUCAAUUGCAUGUUCUUGAAUGAUGUUUGACUACCUUGUAAUUGAUCACAUAAAUCAUCCAUACAUCAUGUCAUAGUCAUCUGGUAUUCUCUCGCAUGAGCAUUUCACCCCGAGCAUCUCGCACUCCACUCAUGAGCACACAUGCAUCAUACAGGCUCGCAGGAGAACGAGGUGGGACCCGAGGAGCCAGAGGAGACCCAGGAGCAGGAACCUCUGGGAGCACCGGAACCCGAAGAAGAACUACAGGAGUGUCCGGAUCACAGACCCAGCACGUUUGAGAAAGGCAAGCCCCGGAGCAUUCUAAGUCUCCCUAUUCUCGCUAACUUACAUGAUAUACUAUGCUGGUUCUACUAUGUUGCAUGUACGUGAUAGGAAUUUCUUGAUACCGUUGAUGCAUAUGUACUCCUUGUUAUCCCUACUCGUUUAUCUACCUUGUCCUAUGUAGAUAGGCACGGAGUCUAUGCUUAGUUUGCUUAGUCCGGUAGAAGUCGGGUGAUUUUCUGUCACCUGCGAGAUAUAGGUGGAUACCUGCUUGAUUAAGCAGUGAUUACUUUGGGAAAGAAUAACCAAGUGUGGAACGGAAUUGGAGACCAGGCAGGGUCUUAUGGUGGGUUGACUAUAGUGCCCCUGCCUGUGUCGAUUAAGGACCGAUCGUUGACGGCCCUCUUGUCAUGUUGAACGCAUGCCCCACACUUAGCUGCAAGGAUAAGUCAUUCCGACCGCGAAGCCUGAACACUAUCCGGGCCGGGAGUCGAGCCGCCAUGUGCUGUAUUGGUGAUGGUUGAGGAGAACGACGAGGGUGCGGCGCGCAACCUUGGAAUACCUUGGAUACCUCGGUCGCGGGAACGGUCCUCGGGUACUGGCGGUGCCUGCCGAACCCACGAUUUGGUCCUGGAUAGUGUAACACGGUGAUCUGUAGCUCACUUGAUCAGUGAGUGUGGUUUGUGUGGGGAAUACCUCGCCAGCUGGUUAGAAAUCGAUUCGAAUCGCCAUCGCUCCUGGAUAGUGAGCACUUGACAUGAGCCCUGUCCUCGUAGUAAGGACUAUGGAACAUUUUGGUUAUAAUGAUAAAUGGUUGCAUGAAUGCUAUGAUGAGGUACCAUCAUAUUACUAUACUUGCUUGUAAUAGUACAGGUGCAAACCUAGAUAAUAGGUAAUGAUACUUCAACUUGAGCUAAUUAAAAGAAAAAGGACCUCUAUAGAAUUUUGUUAACAGAAGAGUGCUUUUAGGCAAAAGUCAUCAGCUACCCCACUAUAUAGCCUUCAUGAUCCUUGAUGUGUAUUUAUUUUGAGUUUAUGACGGGUAAGUCUAGCUGAGUACAUUCUCGUACUCAGGGUUCUACUCCCAUGUUGUUUUGCAGAUGGUCAAAUGUACUAUGGUUAUUGCAUCCUCUGCCUGUACCCAGCUAUGGGUGAUGACUAGAAGAAGGGCGAUGGUCACUCUACCUCCUCUUUCGCUUUUGUGGGAAUGACCGAAUUAUGGCACUGUAUCAGACUAAGCAUGUGUGUGUUAUUUUCGAACUAUGAAGCUUCAGCUACUUAUGAACUUGGCUUGUAAUAACUUUAAGCACUCCGAUGUAUUGUAUAAAUGUUUUCAAACUGGAUGUAACUGUGGAUGGUGACCGCUAAACUUAUUACGAUCUUGGCUGUAUGUACGAUCUGUGGUUUGAAAUCCUUCGAGAUUUCACGGACUUCCGGGAUUAUAUGGGCUUAAGCUCGAUGGUUUGACUUUGCCAAUGGUCACUAUUAGGCUUAAUCUCUUAUAAUUUGGGUGGUUCUAUUACAAUAACCCCCUGCAAAAAUAGAUGAAUACCAAAGCUCGUAGAAUUCUGUCAGAUCAAACCCUAAUUCUAGAUGUUUGGUGCAUAUUGAUCCUUUUGCAUGUUUAGUUGAUGGUUAAUUUUAGUACUUAAGGACCGUCAACAAACUCCCCCAAGCUUACCCUUUGCUCGUCCCUGAGCAAACAGUUAAACUCAGAUGGAUCAGGAGUUGCUUCGAUGUUUUCUUUCCUGACAGGCACACAAGCUUUUAUAAAAAUUCUUCCAGAUUACAGUGAAGUGUUAUGGAGCUUAGUACCUGCACUUAAGUCUUAAGUAAUUGAAAGACAAAAUAAUUAAGUCAAGCACUAUUCCUCAUGUAUAUACUUCACCUUUGUUCCGGAGUUUUGCAUAAGUUUUCAAAAAUAAAACUGAGAGUUCCCAGCAAUGAUCUCUCAAGUCGCUCUAUAUUUGGUAUUUGUGGAUCCUUACCAAAAUGUCACUUACCGGUAGCUAAUGGAAUUGUCGAGGAUAUCAGUAAGGGGUACCCUAACUUAUGCUCAUGACAAGAGCACCCGUACGUAAAUCGAGGCCCCUAACUCGACGCCCCCCACCCGCAUGCACGGGUAUCGACGUCCAUAGCCUCGAACACGGAAAGAGUGUCGUGCGAACCGUCUGGAGCUCGACCAAAAGGCGACCGUCAAAUACGGAAAUAGGCUCGUACGAAUCGAAGGGCCUCGAGCGCCAGGACGCCGCCUGCCGCCUAACGCGGGCACGGGAACCAGGGCAUUUAAUGCGCCUACCGCUUUCUCACCUAACCCGUCAGUCACGGGAAGCGUGAUAGGGAACCAGCACCCGUCCAAUCGUUCUUUUUGCAGCCUUGGCCACCAAACGAGCCAGAGUAUGGCAGGGCACAGCAAGGUGCUCGGAACGUCCUGUCAAGACCCCCCUCGAGACGCCCAAAGACAGCGCUCCGUUCAGCAAGGCUUUGUGCGGCACCUGACCCUUUAGUAGGCACGUUACCUUCCCAGAGAAGAGUCGGGUGACGAAGGACGGUGCCCCAACCACUCUGACGCAGCUGCCACCAUAACGUACAAGCGUGUAACGAAUAAACCGGUUCAGGACGGCGCACAGGACCAGGACUCUGGGGCACGUGUAAUCAUCAUCAAGGUACCAAGACAAGACGGCUCGAGGCCACGCCGGUACGGAGGCCUCGAGUGGGUCAGCGUGCCAUACCCCUAUCGACCCCUACUCUGUUGCCUAUACAUGUAACCUAGGCCUCUCCUUGGAACUAUAAAAGGGGAUGCCCAGGAGUGGAUACAAGGACAAGAGAUACAUAGUAGAGCAACCAUACUCCAUCUCCAUCCAUACCACACCUGUAUUCACCCCUGUACAAGCACUUAGGUGCAAGAUAAUAGAAACUUCUCCCCCCCCGCUGGACGUAGGGCCUUCUCUUGCCCGAACCAGGAUAAAUCUGUGUCUUUUCUUGCAUCACCAUCUGGAAAGGGGAGCACGCACUAGUUUUACUCGUUGGUGUGACCCCUCGGGGGAAAACACUGACAGUUGGCGCGCCAGGUAGGGGUCCUGCAUGUUUUUCACCAAUUUCCCAUCUCUUUCCAGAUGGCCACUCUCAUUUCACCGAUUCCACAUUCCACCGUGAUUUGGUUCGGGAGCCUCGAGUUCAUGUCUACCGGUUUCGGCUAUGACAUGAUCCUGCUCUCGGUCAAAGGACCGGGAGGAGCUCGCAUUGCGCCCGCACGACUGAGGGCUCCGAGACGGCCUUGCCACCAUGCCUCCCCGCCUAAGAAGAGGCAUGGACAGUGCCACCAUCACUCCUCUGCCUCCUCACGGUCGCCAGCUCGUGCCAUGUGGGUGGUGACGCAGGAGCCGACAGCCCCGUGUGCCGAAACCGCGGGUAUGUCGGCCCGACGUCACGAGGAUCGCGCGACGACGUUGGGAGGCGACGCGCCUUGCGCGCUCUCAUCCUCCACGAUGCUACUUCCGCACGGGUUGUUCGCCCCAAGAAGAGCGCUGCCAUUCGGUCUGGACAACACCACGGCAUCGCUUGCCAGGACGAUAUGUCCAAACGCUCAGACGUACGUAGAGCGACCAAUGGUCCUCCCACGCAACGUGGGAGCACGGCAACAAGCGUCCGAGCUACCAGAUUUCUCCCAGGUACGAGGCCUCCGCCGCCUAGGACCUGGGCGAUACACAAUCACCUCACUCAGGCAAUGGCUGCUGGAGGAGGGACGUGGAUGCUUCUACGCCGCCGAGCCGGACUCCGACUCCGAGUCCGACAGCUACGACCCUACUAGGGAAUGCUUCAACAUCGAUGGGGAGGUAGAGACCACCGAUGAAACACAAGACGCCGUCACCGGUGGUCGAGCCCCGUGGCAAGAGAGGACCCCAGGACGCCUGGGAAUGAUGGUCAAACCAACCCCCCUUCGUCGGAAGACAAAGCCGCGCAACUUGCGCAGUUACGGGAGCUCAAAGCAAAGCUCGACGAAGAUCGCGAGCGCCUUAUCCAGCUCGAGCAGAUCCUCGAGCAGGACCAGCCAUACCCACCUGGCGGAAGUGUCCGUAGACGGGCUCGAGAAGUACAUCGACAGAUCGUCGGAGACGGGGAGCCUGAGCAGCCCGUCAGCCGUUUCCCCCGAGUGGGCCAGAACGUCGUCGCAGCGACGAUUCUGCUACGCAAUAUGCCCGAACCGUCGAACUCCCAAGCGUGACGCAUUCGAGACGAGGUGCAGACUCUCCUUCAAGUAGCAGCGGUUCAGCAGGCCGAGAGCUCGGCCUUGCAACGUUGAGGAGCAGCCACGGAGAAGCGGGAUGAGCCGGCCUAGAACGAAAAGGAGGUAUCGGUCCAUCAACAGCCACCCCCUUGAGGAAAAAAGACAGUGCUUGUCCUCAACCACCCCGUCGACAAUCAAUGGCGACACGACGCACGACGCGACAUCGAUGAGCAUCAUCGUCGCCGAUAUGGGGAUGCAGAGGAGCAUGGUUACAGCGCCCAUCGCAAUGGGCGGUAUGACAGUGACGAGGACCAGAUGGCCCCGGAACCGCCGGGCCCUCGCGUGUUCAACAGAGCAAUCCGCAGCACGCCGCUGCCUAGCCCGUUUCGACCCCCGACUAGCAUUGCUAAAUACAACGGUGAAACCAAGCUAGUGCUGUGGCUGGCGGACUUCCGGUUAGCCUGUCAGUUGGGAGGCGCUCAAGGGGACGAUCGAGCCAUCAUCCGACAGUUACCGCUUUUUCUCUCUGACACCGCCCGUAGAUGGCUCGAGGAGCUUCCGGCCAACCAGAUCCACGAUUGGGUCGAUUUGGUCAGAGUAUUCGAGGGCAAUUUUAAGGGGACCUAUAUACGGCCCUGCAACUCGUGGGAUCUCAGCAAGUGCAAGCAAAAAUCAGGAGAAACUCUCCGCGAGUACGCUCGACGUUUCUCAAAGUAGCGCACCGAGCUACCGCACAUCCCGGACCACGACGUCGUCCUGGCUUUUGUCUUGGGCACCACCACUCGAGAUCUGGUGCGGGAAUUGGGCCGGAAUCGCCCUCAGAUCGUUGACAAGCUAAUGGACGUAGUGGCUAACUACGCUGCAAGGGAGGAAGCGGUCGGCGCUUUCUUCAGCUGUGAAGGUGGUAAAGGCAAGUCGCCGGCCGAUGAAGAUGAGGGCCCCAGUCGAGGACCCAAGAAGAGCAAGAGGAAGAAGAAAGCACGGCCGUUCCGAUGGGUGGCCCUUGACGACGAUCUCGUCGCUACCAUGGAUCGCAAAAGACCUCGAGGGCCCCCGGAGGGGGCUAUCUUCGACAAGAUGCUAAAGGAGCCUUGCCCUUACCAUAAGGAGGGGCGAAUCACAAGCUUGAAGACUGCCGCAUGCUGAAGAGACACUUCGACGACCUGGGGUUCAAGAAGGACGACCAAAAGAAAGAAAAGAACGACGACAAGGGGGACGACAAAGAAGAUGAGGGUUUCCCAGCCGUUCACGACUGCUACAUGAUUUACUCCGGACCUUCGACGCAGCUGACUGCAAGGCAGCACAAGAGGGAGCGCCGUGAGGUCUUUGUGGCAAGGAUGGCGGUACCCCAGUACCUCAACUGGUCGUGCACCCCCAUCACCUUCAAUCAAAACGACCAUCCCGACAAGGUAGUCGCCCCUGGCGUCUACCCACUCGUCGUCGACCCCAUCAUCGUCAACACCAGACUCUCGAAGUACUGAUGGAUGGCGGCAGCAGCCUGAACAUCAUCUACCUUGAGACCCUCGACCUCCUCGGCAUCAAAAGGACGCAGCUCCAACCAAGCGCGGGCGGCUUCCAUGGUGUCGUGCCUGGAAAGAAGGCGUUGCCGGUAGGUCGACUCGACCUACCUAUCUGUUUUGGCACGGCGGCCAAUUUUAGAAAGGAGGUCCUCACCUUUGAGGUGGUGGGAUUCCGAGGCACGUCCCACGCCAUCAUCGGACGUCCGUGCUAUGCCAAGUUUAUGGCUAUCCCCAACUACACCUACCUGAAGCUGAAGAUGCCCGGGCCCAAGGGGGUCAUCACCGUCAGCUCCUCCUAUGAGCAUGCGUACGAGUGCGACGUCGAGUGCAUCGAGUACGGGGAAGCUAUCGAGAACUCCACCGAGCUCGCCUCGAAGCUCGAGGCCCUGGCCGCAGAGGCUCCAGAGCCCAAGCGUCAUGUGGGCAGCUUCGAGCUGACAGAAGGAACAAAGAAGAUCCCGCUCCAACGGCUCCGACGGCAAGGUGCUGAUGAUCAGCGCCGACCUCGACCCAAAAUAGGAAGCCGUGCUCGUCGACUUUCUCCGUGCAAAUGCCGACAUGUUUGCAUGGAAUCCCUCAGACAUGCCAGGCAUACCAAGGGAAGUCGCCGAGCACUCCUCGGAGAUGCGAGCCGGUUCCAAGCCAGUGAAACAGUGGUUGCGUCAUUUCGACGAAGAGAAACGCAAGAUCAUUAGUGAGGAGAUCCACAAGCUUUUGAUGGCCGGAUUCAUCAAGGAGGUCCACCAUCCCGACUGGUGAGCAAAUCCUGUACUAGUUAAGAAAAAGAAUGGGAAAAUGAGGAUGUGUGUCGAUUAUACAAGUUUAAAUAAAGCAUGUCCAAAAGUUCCUUUUCCAUUACCACGUAUCGAUCAAAUUGUUGAUUCUACCGCGGGAUGUGAAACCCUUUCUUUCCUUGAUGCAUACUUUGGUUACCAUCAAAUAAAAAUGAAAGAAUCCGACCAGCUCACGAUGUCUUUCAUUACGCCUUUCGGGAUGUACUGUUAUGUGACCAUGCCGUUCGGGCUUCGAAAUGCUGGGGCGACAUACAAGCGAUGCAUGCUCCACGUAUUUGGCAAACAUAUAGGGUCGAUGGUCGAGGCAUACGUCGACGACAUCGUCGUCAAGUCAAAGAAACGAGGAGAACUGAUUCAGGACCUCGAGAUCGCUUUCUAUUGCCUAUGCACCAGCAAGAUCAAGCUCAACCCCGAGAAGUGCGUCUUUGGCGUACCUCGAGGCAUGCUCUUGGGUUACAUAGUUUCCCAACGCGGCAUCGAGGCCAACCCUAAAAAAGUCUCAGCCAUUACGAGAAUGGGGCCGAUUCGAGACGUCAAGGGAGUGCAAAAAGUCACGGGAUGUUUGGCGGCGCUAAGCCAUUUUAUCUCAAGGUUUGGGGAAAAGGCAUUGCCACUAUAUCAGCUCUUGAAAAAAGCCAAGCGUUUCUCUUGGACCCCCGAAGCCGAGGAAGCCCUCUAUAACCUGAAGAAAACACUGACCUCUGCCCCGGUCCUGGUCCCACCUCAGCCUGCAAAACCUCUGCUUCUAUACGUUGCCUCGACGACCCAGGUGGUCAGUGCGGCAGUGGUGGUCGAAAGGUAGGAAGAAGGACAUGCCUGCUAGUCCAGAGGCCGGUCUACUUCGUCAGCGAGGUACUCUCAGAGACCAAGGCACGGUAUCCGCAGAUCCAGAAGCUAAUCUAUGCAGUGAUCCUCGCUUGCAAGCUACAACACUACUUCCUCGGCCACCCUAUCAUGGUGGUCUCAUCAUUUCCCUUGGGUGAGAUCAUCCAAAGUCGGGAGGCCACGGGAAGAAUCGCCAAAUGGUCAGUCGAGCUCAUGAGUGAGACCCUCACUUAUGCGCCCCGCAAAGCUAUCAAGUCUCAAGCUCUGGUGGAUUUUGUCGCGGAAUGGACGGACUCCCAGCUCCCCCCAGCUCAAGUUCAAGCGGAGCUAUGGACGAUGUAUUUCGAUGGGUCUCUCAUGAAGACUGGAGCUGGGGCGGGCCUGCUAUUCAUCUCGCCCCUAGGCGUUCAUAUGAGUUAUGUCACCAGAAUACAUUUUUGCCACAUCCUACAACGUCGCAGAGUACGAGGCCCUUGUCAAUGGCCUGAAGAUCGCCAUUGUUGACGCCAUUUUUGGACACGUACCCAAGGACCUGUAGAGUAUAGAUCGGCAGGUGGAGCAACGGUAACUGGUCUAUAGAAGAUUUGCCGAUGAGGAUAGUUGCCGAUGAAGAGACGAUUGAAUAAGACUAAGUCCAGGGGUGGUGACGUGUUCUUACCGAUGAUCAAUAUCGGUGUUUGCCGAUGGCCAUAACAGGAAGGUUGCCGAUGACUCUAAAGGAAAGCGUGGAGAUUGCCGAUCGAUCCGUGGUGGUGUCCUGGUCGGUUACAAGGAAGUAGUUUUAUGUUUUCCUUAGUUAUUUAAAUUCGUUUUGUAUACGGAUUCUGUUUAAUUUGGAAUUCGAGUCCUUGUCGUGUCUGAUUGUAGCUCUUUGAGCAGGGUAUAAAUAUAGACACUAGGGCCUUGUAAUGAGAUACCUAUCAAUGAAUCAAACACAAGUUUUACUCAUAUUCUAGCAUGCUUCUUUUCCGGGAGCCUAUCUCCAAAGAACUCUAAAGUUAAGCGUGCUUGGCCUAGAGUAAUUUAGGGAUGGGUGACCGACCGGGAAGUACUUCCCGGGUGCGCACGAGUGAGGACAAAGUGUGCAGAAAAGACUAGUGUUGGUCUGUGGGGGCUGUCUAUGUCCUAGAAAAGCUGCUAGAUGUAAGCGGGCCCGGCCUCGUGAAGGCGGGACGUUACAACCUAGAACUUAACUUAUACUGGGAUGUUUGGAUAGGCUGUGAUGAUUCCCAUGGUAAAAGGUCAGUUACUGAACGGAUUGCAGAUUCAUGGAUCGAUUUAGAAUUUUGGUUUUCCAUAAGGUAAGAGUAAAGAAAAUAAAUAAAUAAAUAAUAUAAAAGAUAAGAAAAGAUAAAAGUAUAGAUACAAGCUAGUAGUAAGACUCAAGGUUAUCUCAGCAAACCGUCUUUCUCCCCGGCAACGGCGCCAGAAAUGCUUGUUGAUAUUUGGGAACGCAAUAAGGAAUUGAUCCGCAAGCGCACGGAUAUCGGUGAGCACUUCACCCGGGAGGUUAUCCAGAGUGUCGUAUUUAUUUUUUUUACCACUAGGAGAAAGAGUGCAUCUGACUAACCUGGUCUAUUACUACUAACCCUUUAGGCAACAAAGAAUGUUUCUCAAUGUGAGUGAUAAAUAGAGAAGACUGCAACCGUAGUCUCCUUCUAACCUUGGUAAGGAUGAUCUACUGUUCUAUUGGGGAGGCUAACGGAAUCUAGACACCACAAAGGAUGUUCAACCCACACCUAUAAACCCUAUCCUUCCUGCUAACGAGAUAUUGUCUGCAAAGGUAACUCGGAAUUGUCACGUUCCUCACUACUACCACGGUCUAGCUAGUCAGGGAAUAUCUAUGAGUACCCCAGCCUAAACACCACGUUUACGCCAGCAAUGAUUACUCUAAACUCUACGCGAAGAGAUUAAAGUAAACUCGUAAACCAAAAGAACAAUAAAUCAAGAACUUACUAGAAUUUAGAAGUCGAAAUACUGAAGAAUCCUAGGAGCAAGCCUAGGGUUAGGAGAACUUGAUCCCGCAGGUACAAGCUCGGAGUAGACACCGAUAGGCCGGGCUUCCUCCAAUCUACACCUCCACUCUAUCUCUCUUAAUCUAGUAGAAACUAGAAGAUCUAUUUCUACUUACAUUGGUUGCUAAGCCUAAAAAGAAAUUUUAUUUAGAGUAGAGGUUUUCCUUCGAGGGCACCCCUCAACUCUAUGAUAAUUUCUUGUCUCCUCCAGGGGCCAGGGGGGUCCCUUAUAUAGUCCUCCUCCUCUAUGCAUUUUUGGGUCGGUAGGCGAUGUGGUACUACGUUAUCCUUGAUCCUUUAGGUCGGUGGAACAUCGUGUGCGAAGAGAGUCCUGAUUGGCAUCCAGAGGGGGGCGGGCGCCCAGGUCCUCAGGGCGGGCGCCCUGGGCCUGGCCCCUUUCGGCCUCUUCUUUCUUCCCGUGACUCUGGAGUCUUCUAGAUGGUAGAAAAUUGCGCGGUGCGUUGAUAUCUCUAUGUAAUCCUGACAUGUGGGCCUUUCUUCCUUAUUUCCUGAUAACCCCCUGCAGAAACAGAUAAACAACAAAACUCGUGGAAUUCUGUCAGAUCAAACCCUAAUUCUAGGUGUUGGUUGAAUAUUGGUCCUUUCUCUUGUUUAUUUUAUAAUUCAAUUUGAUACUUAAGAACCGUCAACAAGUACCUCUUGGCCGUGACAUCCGGGCGCAUCGCUGUUGUCAGGACCAAAGUAUUCGAGUUACCACCUUUGCCGAUAGUAAGGUCAAAUCGGCUGGCACGCCUUAACGUUUGAAUCGGGUAUUACCCCUUUGUGUUUGCAGAUCAGCUUUUGCAUCAACAGCCAUCGAGCUAGGAGUUCGGCGCCUCGACGUUCGAGGCGACUCCCAACUCGUCAUCGACCAAGUGAUGAAGGCCUCCAACUGCCACGACCCGAAAAUGGAGGCAUACUGCAAGGAAGUACGUUGGCUCGAGGACAAGUUCCACGGCCUCUAGCUCGUCCACAUCGCCCGACACUACAACGAGGCGGCCGACGAACUCGCUAAGAUCGCCUCGACUCGAGGCACGGUCCCACCCGACGCAUUCUCGAGAGACUUGCAUGAACCAUCGGUCGACUUGGGCUCGGGGGCUGACGUCGAAACCAUCGCCCACCAACAAACCCACACCAUCGAAGCCCUGCUAGCGGCAGCAGAAGUAAUGGAGGCGGAACAACGACCUAUUCGACCAUUCGACUAGCACACAUCGUUGCUCGAUUGCCUGAUUAGGUGCGAGCUACCAGAAGAUCGAUUCGAGGCCCGCCGUAUUGCUCGACAGGCCAAAUCGUAUGUAAUCUACGGCGCAGAUAACGAAAUAUAUCGACGAUGCCCGACCGGAAUCUUGCAGCGCUGCAUCACCAUAGAGGAAGGCCGAAAGCUCCUCGAGGAUCUACACUAGGGGGCUUGUGGCCACCACGCUGCUCUGCGGACCCUCGUAGGGAACGCUUUCCGACAAGGCUUCUACUGGCCAACGGCCGUAGCUGACGCCAUCGAGCUCGUACACUCGUGCCACAAAAUAUACCCCAUUCUUCAUGGUCGAAGAAAUUCGGCAAGAAAUGGGUCGAAGAGCUCUCUUCGGUCCUAUAGAGCUUAAGGACGACGCCUAGCAGGGCCACAAAAUAUACCCCAUUCUUCAUGGUCUACGGCUCCGAGGUCGUGCUCCCAACAGACCUCGAGUAUGGGUCACCGCGACUCAAAGCCUAUAACGAGCAGACAAAUAAGGAGACUCGAGAGAACGUGGUCGACCAGCUUGAGGAAGCUCGAGACAUGGCCCUCCUCAACUCCGCCAGGUACCAGCAAAAGCUUCGACGCUAUCACGACAAGCACGUGUGCAAAAGGGAUCUGAACGUGGGCGAUCUCGUCCUACGGCGGCGGCAAAGCAAUCAAGGGCGCCACAAGCUGACUCCGCCCUGGGAGGGCCCAUACGUGGUGGCCGAGGUCCUGAAGCCAGGGACAUACAAGCUCGCAGACGAAAAAGGGGCGGUCUUCACCAACGCGUGGAACAUCGAACAGCUACGUCGAUUCUACCCCUAGAGUUUUAAAGCUUUAUGUUCUCAUGUACAUUCUGUACCAAGGUCUUAUGAAUGAAUGCAUGAAUGAAUUAGAUCUUUCCCUCGAAGUAAUUUACUUUUUCACCGGUCAAAAUCUCGAUGUUAGAAGGGAGUACCAACUAUGACCCAUCAUAGUCGAUACCCCCUCGGGGGCUAGCUGUGGGGACCCCCACCAAGUUCCUAAAAACCAAACGAUUUUUUCCUAUAAGUAUGCCUCACAUGGUCGAGUAGUAAAGGCACCUUGAGCCCCUUAAGGGCCGAGAGAUGACGAGCCUGAGAACGCCUACGCCCCUGGGCUGCGGUAACUCUACUCACUCCCUCACCCUCGAGGCAAUCAAGGUCGCCUUAACAAAAAACCGAACAAGGAAGCAAAGGAAUUCCGAACACAAAAAUAGGCAGAUAUUCACAAAUCUUAUAAACCACUUAAAGACAUAGCAUUUCCUUAAGAUAAAAGUAUUGUACAAGGGGCCUUAGCACCUAGAAUAGGCUCGCAGGCCUUAGUCUGUGUCUCGGCCCUCACCACCACCGUCCGCGCCCGAGCUAGUCUCGGGAGAAAGCACUUCCGGCUCGAACAACUUCGCCAGCCUUUCCGCAGGGGCCUCCGCAUCGUCGAUCAAGGCGUGGAGCCUCUCCUCAUUCUUUGCGUCAGUCUUCAAAAUAUCAGUGACGAAGCCAUGGGACACCACCUCAAUAUCGUAGGAAAAGCCCGAGCAAACAACCGCCAUUGCCCACUUCACCCCGGUAUGAAGGGCGACCCACACCCAGUCCCUCAGUGUGGCACCUAGAUUGCACAACUGGUCGACCAGUGCAUCGCCUCAAGCCGCCUCCCUUGUCUUGUCCACAGGCUCGAGCUCCUAGGAGGCCGAGAGAUCGCUUAUCGCAGAACGCAGCCGACCGUUCAAAGCAACCUCCCCCUCGAGCUGAGCCUUGGUGGAGCAGGCCUCGACUUGAGCAGCUAGCAGCUCGUCUUGAAGCCCUACAAAGGCCGACACGGAGAAAUUAGAUGACACAAAGUACGCUUUGGAAAGGAAACAUGAUGGUAGAAACAUACCGCGAAUCUUCUCCUCCAGAGUUGUAUUCUCGCCAACCAGGUCGGUCUUGGCCCUCUCGAUCUCCCUGUAGGAGCGCGCCAUGUCGGUGUUGGCGACCCACAGGUCCUCAAUCACUUUGCCUGCCUGCGCGACAGCUCCCUCUUUGUCCAGCAAUGCCCUUUUCAGUCGAUCGACCUCAUAAGAGAGGCUGCGAGAUCGAGCCCGCUCCACCUCAAGAUCCUCGAGGGCUCUCUUUUGAGCCUCCUCCACGGCACUCCGAGCAAUCUCGCCCUUCACGCACUCCACCUUCAUCUCCUGGUAGGCCUCUCGAGCAGAGCCAAGGUCAGCCAUGAUGAGGACCUUCUCCUUGUCAAGACUGGCGGCUACGUCCUUAUAAAACACGGCCUCGUCCCGGGCCUUGGACGCAGCCUCCUCGACCAUCAUGGUCCGCUCCCUCAGCUGCGUGGCCUCUUCCACCGCCUUCCUCGAGGCCUCCCGAGCUUCGGCCAGAGCGGCCUCCCUCUCCUUUUUCUCCUCCUUGAGCGCCAAAAGCUCUUUGUAGGCCUUGAGGAGCUUCUCCUGCAAAUCCAGGAGCUAGUCCUUGAGAAGAGGGAGCUGCUCCCAAACGCCCCUCGUUGCGUGGAUAAAGCCCGACUUUAAGCAGGAGGUCUCUUUCAGAUCCUGUGAACCAGCGGUCGAACAGUAAGAAUACAAAACCUAGACCCCUAGGUAACUAAGGUCCAAGGACACUUACGAAAUAAGCCGGACCGAGCCCGUUGUUGACGACGUCGGCCAGGAGCCCCACCACGUGCUUCAUCCGGAGGCAAAGCUCCUCGAGAUGCUCCCACUUUUCGGCCUCCUUCCGAUCAUCCAUAAAUAUAUUAGGCUCGGAUGGGUCGGUGGAGGCCCGAAUGCGGAUUCGAUCGGGGCCACAGUUCUCAAUCUCCUCCUCCGUACGCGCCUUGACGCCCCAGAUGAGCUCUUGGACAGUCUCGAGCGACCCCCCAUGACGCAAAAAUAGGUCAAUUAGGGAGGGGAAUCACCCGUCGUCAUCUACUGUCCUCCAGGUACCGGUCUCGCCGUCACCACCGCCGCCCGACGUCCCGGCUUCAUCCUCCGCGGCGGCAUUGGUAUCCUCCCACGGUCGUCGUUCUCAGGGAAAUCUAGGAGCGAUCCCCUCGAUGCCAUAGAUCGUGCCCUUGAUUUCUAACUGAGGGUCCACCGGGGUGCGCAUGGCGCAUGCAAGCGCCACCAUGCCAUCCACCCGCCCUGGCUCAGCCGAGAUAGAAGCGGGCGCUCCCGGACGGAGCCACGCAGGGGUCGGCGGGCCAUAGACUGGCAGAUCCUCCUCCCCGGUCUCAGGCCCCUGUGGCAACGGCGGCACUGGCUGGGGCGAGCUUCGUGGCGGUGGCUCGAGUAGUUCUUCUAACUGCUGGCUCUCUUGUUGCUGCUGCCUCUGGAGUUCCAGCAGCUCCUGCUGCCGAUGUUGCUCUAGCAGCUCCUCGAGCCGUUCUCCUUAUUGCCGCCACCCCUCCUCCCUUUCUUCUUUAUCCUGCUGCAGCUGUUGCUGCGCCUCCUGCUCGUGCUCUUCCUCUUCCAUCUUCCUCUUCUCCUCGACAGAGUAUAGCUCGAUGAGCCAAGGCGUCCGCUUCGCGACAGGGGAAGCCUCGACCUCCUCGUCCAUGGAGCGGGCAUCCUUCGAGAGCCUAUCACCAUCGGAGCCGUCACUUAUAGUGAUAGGAUCCCCCUCGACCCCAGGUCGGGGAGGCUCGAGGGCACCCUCCUGCUCUUGAGGGCAAAGCGCCUCGACCUGCUUCGGUGACGGCGGGGUGGACUCCCCCACCAAUGGACGAGGCGGGGCAUUCUCGACACCCGUCGACAGCCGAGGAUCGGAGGAGCCUGUAAGCGCUCGAAAGCAAAAAGUCAAUCGCCAUGAUGAUCAACAUAAGUUUCACAUGAUUCCCAUAAUAUUGAGAGAAGAAUGAACUGCUGACCUAAGUCUUUGGAAGCAGCCCCCACCUUGAGCUUCUUGGCCAUCGAGGGCUGGCCUGUUCGAGCGGCUGCUUCAACCUGAGGGAAGGAGAAUAAGCAUAGUAAAGACCAUAGGCCGAGAUUACGCAAAGACAUCGAAGACAGGAAUUACGACAUUAAGGCUUACCCCACGGGAAGAGCGACCCGCCUACCAGUGCCUCGACCAGCUGGCCUCGAGCUGCCCCGUGUCGAGACCUCGGGCCUCUCGCGGGCAGGUGCAGGCCUCGGCUCGGCAUCCCCUGUCAGGCGAGCGCCAGGACUAGAACUCCUACGACCUUCCUCCCCCUGACUCGAGGCCGUGGCACGGCCAUGGGUCAGCGGCCCUGUCGACAUAGCCUUAGCCCGGUGGCCCGCCUUAGAAGCGGGAGAAGGUUGAGGACGGGGGACGGCCCGACCCUGCGCAGGCGCUGGAGGGGUGACGGUGCGAGAACGGCGCGAGGAAGACUCCCCCUGUUGGCCAUCGCGAGAUCCGCUCGAUGCAGCCUUAGGGGCUCCCGUCCGCGGGAUGGUGAUGUCGGCUUGCGGUGGGCCCUCAAGGAUCCUGUCAAGGCGGGACGCCAUCCCCUCAGUGUCCUCGCUGCCGUCGUCGCCCUCAUCGCAUACGUCCUCGUCGGGAGAGUCCUCCUCAUGCUCCCCCUUUGCCUGGACUUCGCUCGACAUGUCUCCAAUGCUUGAUGCUCGAGAUUCUUCUUCUUUUCAUUUCUCUUUUCCAAGUCCUUUGCGGACUUCUGCUUUUCCGCGGACUCACGCCGCUUGUCACGAUCGACGUCAUCCUCCUUCACUGGAGGCUUCGAGGAUCGAGCGUCGAUCGAUCCCUGCACUGGCGAAGAUAAGUCUUAAGAAGGACCGAAGAAAAUCAAGAAUCAAAGCCAUAAGUAGGAAAAGGACUUACCAGGUCAAUCGACCCCUUAUCAGGCCUCAUAGGGAAGCCGUUGACAUGCUCAGGUUGAAAGUCGCCUGCAACGGCCGCCCUGACCCUAGCUGCACCCUCUUCGUCUGCAGGGGCUUCAUUGGACAUCCGGCAAGCCUCGAGAUCCUAGGACAAAACACCGGGACCCAUCUCAUCCAUCCUCAGCGGGCGAGACAUCAGUGGGAGAAUCCUCCGGUGAUGGACAGCUGAGAGGACGAGCGUGGCUGUCAGGCCCUCCUCGCGUAGCUUUUUCAAGGCGUCGAGGAUGGGGUCGAGCCGCGGUUGUUGAGUCUGGACAACAUCGUACCUCCAGUGGUCCAGGCGCUCCGAGAUCAAGCACCCGGUGUAGGCGGGGAGGAGGUCGUCGUCGUUCCGCAGGUAGAACCAUUGGGAGUCCCACCCGGCAUGGUUCGACGUCAACCCCACCGGGAUGUACUCACGCGGCUUCUCCGCCUUGCCGGUCUUCAGCACCAGGUUGAGGCACCCGGCCCGCACUGGCUUCCUCACCCCUGUGGUUCCACUAGGGGCAUGGAAGAGCUCGCCCCGGUACAAGUAGAGCCACAGGUCCCAGUGUGGCAUCAUCCCGAGAUAGCCCUCACACACCGCGGCAAAAACCGCCACGGCGGUGAUGGCGUUCGGUGAGAAGUGCUGGAGCUCCACCCCGUAGUGGUGGCAGAGUGCCCGCAUAAAACAACUUGGGGGGGAGCCCAGGCCGUGGCGAUGGAACUUGGUGAAGGAGACCACAUAGCCUUGGGCGGCAUUGGUUCCUAGUGAUCCGAUGCCGGCGCAACCCACUCUGGCCGUGACGAGGAAAUGUGGGGACGCAAGAGCCCCUCCCUCUCGAGCUCCAACAGCCGAUGCUCCGUCAUCGACGACGGGCGCCAGUCAUCGGCGGCAAUGAGUCUCACCGGCAUCUUCAGGUGGAAGGAGAGCGACUUCACUACUGCUCGAGGGUGCGUGCGCGUGAGAUGGCAAGGAGGCAGAGGCUAGAACAAGGGCAGAAGGCGGAAGGAACGACGGCAAGGAGAUCUAGGGAUAUUUAUAGAUGGCUGACCACCAACGGAUAGAUCCGACGGAUAUGGUAACUCCCCUAGUAAAUGUGCUGCCUAACGGUCCUUAUCUCUCUCACAGACGGGACGCUACGAAUUCCACGCCAGUACAAGCGCCGCAACGGCUCCCGCCUGAAAAGCCUCGCCCAACAGGCAAAAAGGCGAAUCGCCGCGAUCUUUUCCUUCCCCUGUAAGCUAAGGUACGCACUCAUUAUGGAGAAAAUCUCGAGAGGUCGUGGGCUGACCCACCGAAUGGGUUCGACAGCCGAUCUCGAGUACCAGAGUCAGGGAUACCCAGUGAGUGGUCGUAAAACGAGGCUCGCCUCGAGAACUCGCUGGGGAUGUCCACGGCGAGGACAAGACGGUCGAGAGGAAUCCCCCCGAAGGGAGGCAUCGAGCCGCUGGACUCUAUCGAAUGAGACUAGUAACCCUGACCAUGUCGACCCCACAUUAUGAGAACGCCUCCGGGCUACAACUGACCCCCUCGAACGGGGCACAGGUUCUCACUUGGAUUACCCGCCAGGAGCUCAAUCUGGGGUAAAUGGCGCUCGCUCCACUGGGAGUACGUUGCAACCCCAACACGAAACCAACCAAUCAAAGCCUCUGGCUCGCCUUCCAUAAUGGACAUCGAGAGCGCUUCCAUAGAUUGGGCAACAUAACCCUCGAAGGAGUCAAAAAAUCCUCCAAGGGCUCGGGGGCUACCCCCGCGGGGUCGCUCGCGCGACCCCACAGAAACUCGACCAAUAAGAAGAGCCUCUACCCGAGCGCAAGCGCUCGAAUAGAGGCUCGGGGGCUACUGUCGAGGAGAUCAGUAAGGGGUACCCUAACUGAUGCUCAUGACGAGAGCACCCGUACGUAAAUCGAGGCCUCCGACUCGACGCCCCCAGCCGCAUGCACGAGUAUUGACGUCCAUAGCCUCGAACACGGAAAGAGUGUCGUGCGAACUGACUGGAGCUCGACAAAAUGGCGACCGUCGAAUACGGAAACAGGCUCGUACGAAUCGAAGGGCCUCGAGCGCCAGGACGCCGCCCGCCGCCUAACGCGGGCACAGGAACCAGGGCAUUUAAUGUGCCUGCCGCGUUCUCACCUAACCCGUCAGUCACGGGAAGCGUGAUAGGGAACCAGCACCCGUCCAAUCGUUCGUUUUGCAGCCUUGCCCACCAAACGAGCCAGAGUAUGGCAGGGCGUAGCAAGGUGGUCGGAACGUCCUGUCAAGACCCCCUCGAGAUGCCCAAAGUCAGCGCUCCGUUCAGCAAGGCUUUGCGCGGCACCUGACCCACGAGCAGGCACGUUACCUACCCAGAGAAGAGUCGGGCGACGAAGGAUGGCGCCCCAACCACUCUGACGCGGCUGCCACCACAACAUACAAGCGUCCAACGGAUAAACCGGUUCAGGACGGCGCACAGGAGCAGGACUUAGGGGCACGCGUCAUCAUCAUCAAGGUACCAAGACAAGACGGCUCGAGGCCACGCCGGUACGGAGGCCUCGAGUGGGUCAGCGUGCCAUACCCCUAUCGACCCCUACUCUGUCGCCUAUACAUGUAACCUAGGCCUCUCCUUGGAACUAUAAAAGGGAGGCCCAGGAGCGGAUACAGGGGACAAGAGAUACGUAGUAGAGCAACCAUACUCCAUCUCCAUCCAUACCACGCCUGUAUUCACCCCUGUACAAGCACUUAGGUGCAAGAUAAUAGAAACUUCUCCCCUCUCUGGACGUAGGGCCUUCUCUUGCCCAAGCCAGGAUAAAUCUUUGUGUCUUUUCUUGCAUCACCAUCUGGAAAGGGGAGCACGCACUAGUUUUACUCGUUGGUGUGACCCCCCGGGGGGAAAGCACCGAUAGGAAUAUUUAAGUGGAGCUCAUAGGAGUGAAAAACAGCUCGUACAUAUGUUGUAUAAUCGAGCCAUGGAUCCAAAGGAACUCAGCAUAUAAUUAAAUUAAGAUGUGCAUGUGUCGUGGACUAAAUGAUAGUGAUGGUAAAAAUGUAUAAGUGGUAAUAAAACUUACUUCGCAUUGCUCCUCAUAUUGCUAUCUCUCCUCUUCUUUGAUCUUUGUUUUGGGAGAACAUGGGCUAUCUCUCUUUUUUUUCAGGUGGGUAGUAGAUACCCCUAAUUCUACUGUCGGACACUUGUCCAUUUUUUCCUCUCAUCUCACUUUUUUUCCUUCUUUUCCGAGGUUCCGGGCAGUUGCCCCUUUUUAUUUCCUCGCAUAUUUUUGCAUAACCCAUUCCUCUUCUGCAUUGAAUCUUUUUAGAGAGAGAGAAUAACAAUACUUGGGACAGUGAGUGAUAAUAUUAUUUUUAGCAAUUUUUAAUAAGUGGUGCUGGAUGGUGUAGUAGAUGUGUGCAAGUGAAUAUCUUAAUUUAACCACAUGAAAAGCUCCUAAGGGUCUACAUAGCUCGAUCAAACUCAAUGUAAAUAGUAAAAGAUGUUAUAGCAAGUACGACUGUGGUAGGAAUUUUGUUAUGCUAGGAACUCAUCAUGUGUUGCAAGUUUUCAAAAUAAAUCUCUAGAACUCAGUGUUGUAAGCUCAAGAUAAACAGUAGCUCAAACUUUAUAUCAUGCCUUUCUCUUACCUAGACUUUAGUUUUAUUCUUCCCAUAGAUAGUAAUUUCAGUUUUAGUAAUUCCUCGAAGAACUCUAAUAUAAAAGCUAGGUACUUGAAAGUAAGCAAACAGAGCAACUGUUCAUCAUUUCCAUCAUGCAUCUUUUUGGUCUUUUUUUUCUAGAGAUUAAACUUAACAGAGAAAAUAAAACAUACUUAUCUACACACUCUUUUUAUUUUGUCUUCAUGUUUAUAGAAUGCAGUAAAUUAAAGCAAGAAAAUAUUUAUUGGGUUUUCUAAGUUUUUCUUUUUAAGAUAAAUAAAACACUAAAACAGAAAGGAAUAAAUAAGAAGAGCAAAUAAAAACUUACUUCAUAAAUUGGGGAGAAACUCCCCCAAGCUGGAUGUUGUUGUCGGUCUUACCCGAUGUUCAAGAACCGCAUCAUGGUGGUGAUGUUGUCGUUCAUUGUUGUGGUAUCUUGUCUCAGUUCUUGUACUGCAGUGGCGUGGUCCUGGUUCGAUUUUUGUUGCUCUUCCAGGAGCCAUCCAUGUUCUCCUUGCGUGUUCUGGAUGUCGAGGAGGGUGUUGUCGGUACGGGUGAAGAAAGCGCCGGCCUCUUGGUAGUAGUCAUUCGUGAAGCAUCGAAUUGGGGCAGAGGUCUGGAUCCUGAAGCUCCAUAAGGAUCAGUGGAGUACCUGCUCGUCUGGAAAGGUGGGUUUGUCCACUGGUGAUCUUUGCUCUCCGGCCAUGUCUCCUAUGUUGGCUCUUGUGGUUGCGCAUGUCGAACCCAUGGGUCUCGAAGGACUCGGGGGUUGUAGUCACGAUAAUGCUGGUGCACUGCUUCUUCUGGCCCGGGAUCAGCUCCAUACCAGGUGCGUUCUUGAUGGGUGGUCAUCCUUUCAGAUGCCACUCGCUGUGGAGCUCUCUGGUUCACUGGUGUCACUGCAAUCUCAAUCAUAAAAUUUUGAACAACACAGAGGCCGAGGUUCGGGUUAGGUAACCGAAUCUUACCUUUGUUAUCAUAUAGCAUAUACAUUAUAUUCCCUUCUUUCUUCAACAUCCGAGCUUGUCUAAAUGUGUCAUAGCCAUUAUAAAUUCUUAACUCAUCUAUGAAUUCCAAUGACGAGUUUUCUAGUAAGUGAAGAUUAGAGGCUAGACGAGUGAUAAGUGAAGUACAUCCUUCUGGUCCGUGAAGACUAGGUAUACUAAGCCAAUGAGAAACUAAAAGUGUGACAGGUGAAGUGGGUACUUUAUUAAUAGCAGCAUAUAGAAGUUAGUUGUUGACGGUCCUUAUGUACCAAAUACAAUCAUCAAAUAAAUAAAGAAAAGGAUCUAAAUGCAGCCAACACUUAGACUUAGGGUUUUAUCUGACAAAAUUCCAUGAGUUGGUGUUUAUCUAUUUCUGCAAGGGGUUAUCAGGAAAUAGGGAAGAAAGGCCCACACGUCGGGUUUACAUAGAGAUAUUAGCGUGCCGCUCAAUUUUCUGUCAUCUAGAAGACUCUAGAAGCCAUGGGAACGAACAGGAAGACGAACGGACCCAGGGGCAGGGCGCCCGCCCUCCCCCCUUGGGCGCCCGCCCUGACCUGGACUCCAAUCAGAACACUUUUUGGGGACCAAGCUCCACCGACCUAAAGGAUCAAGAAUAACCGUCUAAUCAAUGUCGAUUUGAUCCAACGGCUCACGUUCACUUGAGGGGACUAUAAAACCAGACCCCCUAGCCCCUGGAGGAGAACAAGUUCAUCAUAGAGUUGAGAGGAGCCCUCGAAGGAAUACCUCUCCUCUAAAUAGACUUUGGGCAUCGCAUCCAAUGUGAGAGUAGAAUUAGAUCUUCUAGUUUCUACUAGAUUGAGAGAGAUAGAGUGGAGGUGUAGAUCGGAGGAAGCCCGGCCUGUCGGUGUCUACUCCGAGGUUGUACCUCCGGGAUCAAGUCUCCUAACCCGAGGCUUGCUCCUAGGAUUCUUCAGUAAUUGGACUUCUAAUUCUUGUAAGUUCUUGUUUUAUUGUUCUUUGGUUUAUGAGUUUACUUUAAUCUCUUCCGGUUGAGUUUAGAGUAAUCAUUGCUAGCGUAAACAUGGUGUUUAGGCUAGGGUACUCAUAGAUAUUGUAACACCCUAGGUGUUAAGCAUGCACUUAGUCUUACCAAAGUCAUGCAUAAGCAUUCCCAUCAAGCAUAAGCAUCAUGAGCAUGACACUCUUUUUAAAAGUAUGAUUUUAUGUGCAUCAUCUCAUGUGUUCUAAAUAUGUUAAAAAUAUGAUGCUUGCUUCUAAAAUUGUGAAAAAUUCAAAUUAGGUUGAUUUAGGUGUGAGAAGAAUUUAGAAUAUUUUUGUGCAAUUUUUAGAGCUAUGGAAUUUGAGAAAUGGGAUUUAUACAAAAUAUCCAAAAUAACUUUAUUUAAAAACCUAGAACUAAGUUUUAAUUUGUAAUUCAAAUUCUAUUUAGAAUUUGGUCUUACCUAUUAAAGCAAAGUUGUAGAGCUUUUAGUUUGACACCACUUUGCUUUUGGGUGAAAAUUGUGAAAAUGAUUUGAAAAUGGUCAAAAUGCUUUUGGAAGAGGAUUUGAGAAAAGAAAUUCAAAAAAAAAAUAGAAAAGGGAAAGGGGGCGCUAGCAGGCCGCGGCCUCGCUUCUGGCCCGCUGGCAGAAGCCGGCCUGGCCCGCCCGCGCCUUCCCCUUCCCCCUCCUCGCGCUCGCGCCUGCGUCCGCGCGCGCGGACGGCCUCGCCGUGCCGCCGUGGCGCGCCGGCAGAGCCUGGCCGCCGCGUGGCGGGCAUGCGACGGCGUGGAGACGCCCUGGUCGGCCACCAGGAGCCCCUGGACGCGCUCGCCGAAGCCCCCGCUCCCAUUUGCGCCCUCCACCGCUCGCUCUCGCCUCUCCGCUCGCUCUCGCGCAGCGCUCGCCGCUCCGCCGCACGCCAUAGCCGCCGACGGCUCGGAGCUCCUCUCCCGGCCAGCUCCGGCCCUCUCCUUCCCCUUCGCGACCACCACCGGCUCCGCCUCGUCCUUCCGCGUCGCGUGCUUGCGCUCUUCCGCGCUCGGUAAGCCCUGCGUGUCCGCUAGAGCUCACCGGAGUAAGUCGGAGCUCCGGCGACCUCUCGGCUCGCGCGGUUCUCCCUCUCCUCUCUGUCUCUGCUUGCGCUCGUAGGUGCUUUGGGUCCGCCUUGACCUCGCGCACCUUUUCCCGUCAGUGGCUCACGCUCUACCGCCAUGAAACGGCCGGACCACGGCGAGCAGCGUCGCCGCGUCCGCCAUUCACGACGGCGAGGUAGUUCCGGUGCUCGUCCGGUGCCAAAGAGGGUACGGCUGGACUCGUCUCGUUCGCGCGAAGCCGUAGGUGCUCACGGUGUCGCCGGAAACCUCACCGGCGGCGAGAUUCCGGCCGAUCUUUGGCCGCGGGGUCACGGGGUGGAUGACAGGUGGGGUCCUCUGACUCGCGUGUCCCGCCUGUCAGUGACUCCGAGGGAAUGGAUCCGGGUGCGUUUAGUGUUUUAGGUGGUUUUCCGUUUUAAAAGUUUUUCCAGGAAAUUAUUUAAAUGUUCAAAAAUCCAUAUCUUGAUGAAUAUAGCUCCAAAAAUGGUGAAAUAAAUUUUGGUGUGUUCCUUAUUUCCAGAUCUAUAUCCUGGUAUGAUUGCAUGUCAUGUUGGAGCAACUUUUCUGUGUGAAUAUAUUUUAUCCAUGAUUUUGUUAAACUUGGAAAAUGCAUAGUAAAUGAAAUAUGGCUCAGAAAAAUGUAAAAUUUGUUUUGCUGGCUCUGCAUGUGUGUUUAAUCACUGAGAAAAUAUUGUUACAUAUUAUUUGGUGUAUAAAUGAAUUUAUGGUAAUUUAAAUGCUUGCAUGGCAGUACUUUAUGAUUUUUAAUAAUUAUUUGGGUCAUGCAAUAAAUCUGGAAAAUUUUGUGGGUGUUUCUUAUGAUAUUAGACAUAUUGUAAAAAUAUGAAAUCUGUUGUUUGACACUUAUACCACAGUAGGGUGAUUAUACUUACUUUAUUACUUAAUCUUGUGAUUUUUGUGGCUCAAAAUAAGUAACCAAAAAUCAUGAAAAAUUUUGAGUAAACUUUAUGCUUAGCUGGAAGUCUCCUGUAAUUUUUGUGGAAUUUAUUGAUGAACAGAAUUGCAUGUGAUUUUUAAUGGGCUUAGAAAUGAAUAAAGAAAAUUUUGAAUGGUUGUGUAUGUGGGUUGAAUGGACUAAGUUGGGUUUGGUGUAUCUUUGAAGCAUCAUGUAGGUUGCUGAUGUCAUUUGAAAAAAAAUAAUUAUAGAAGAGAAUGUAAUAGAUGUUUGAUUCAAUUGUUUAGUAUUGGAUGAUGUUGACUACCUUGUAAUAAGCAUGACCAAGUGCAUUACCUAUGCAUCAUAACAUGACUCCUUUGGUACUCUCUCAUAUAAGCAUCCACUCGGGCAUCUCGCACUCCACUCAUGAGCAUAUAUGCAUCAUACAGGCUCGCAGGAGAACGAGGUGGGAACCGAGGAACCCGAGGAGCUUCAGGAGCAGGAACCUCCGGAAGCACAAGAACCCGGAGAGGAACUGCAGGAGUGUCCGGAUCACCGACCCAGCAUGUUUGAGAAAGGCAAGCCCCGGAGCAUUCUAAGUCUCCCUAUUCUCGCUAACUUAUAUAAAGUGCUAUACUUGUUCUACUGUAUUGCAUAUUAAGUGAUAGGAGUUGCCUGAUACCGUUGCUGCAUAUGUACUCCUUGUUAUCCCUACUCGUUUAUCUACCUUGUCCUAUGUAGAUAGGCGCGGAGUCUAUGCUUAGCUUACUUAGUCCGGUAGAAGUCGGGUGAUGUCCUGUCACCUGCGAGAUAUAGGUGGAUACCAGCUUGAUUAAGCAGUGGUUGCUUGGGGAAAGAAAUAACCAAGUGUGGAAUGUAAUUGGAGACCGGGCAGGGUCUUAUGGUGGGUUGCCCAUAGUGCCCCUGCCUGUGUCGAUUAAGGACCGAUCGUUGACGGCCCUCUUGUCAUGUUGAACGCAUGCCCCACACUUAGCUGGAAGGAUAAGUCGUUCCGACCGCGAAGCCUGAACACUAUCCGGGCCGGGAAUCGAGCCGCCAUGCGCUGUAUUGGUGGUGGUUGAGGAGAACGACGAGGGCGCAGCGCGCAACCUUGGUAUACCUUGGAUACCUCGGUCGCCGGAACGGUCCUCGGGUACUGGCGGUGCCUGCCGAACCCGCGAAUUGGUCCUGGAUAGUGUAAUACGGUGAUCUGUAGCUCACUUGAUCAGUGAGUGUGGUUUGUGUGGGGAAUACCUCGCCAGCUGGUUAGAAAUCGAUUCGAAUCGCCAUCGCUCCUGGAUAGUGAGCACUUGACAUGAGCCCUGUCCUCGUAGUAAGGACUAUGGAACACUUGGAUUAUAAUGAUGAAUAGUUUUAAGAAAUACUAUGAUGAGGUACUAUCAUAGUCUCCUACUUGCUUGUAAUAGUGCAGGUGCAAACCUAGAUGAUAGGUAAUGAUACUUUCAACUUGAGCCAAUUAAAAGAAGAAAGACUUAUGUAGGUUAUGUUAGCGAAAUACUGCGGUUUUGCAAAAUGGUCGUCAGCUACCCCACUAUAUAGCCUUCAUGAUCCUUGAUGAGUCUUUGUUUUAAGUUUAUGACGGGUAAGUCUAGCUGAGUACCUUCUCGUACUCAGGGUUCUAUUCCCAUGUUGUUUUGCAGAUGGUCAAAUGUACUACGGUUAUUGCAUCCUCUGUCUGUACCCAGCUAUGGGUGAUGACUAGACCAAGGGCGAUGGUCACUCCGUCUCUUCUUUUGCUUUUGUGGGAAUGACCGAACUAUGGCACUGUAUCAGACUUAUCGUGUGUGUUGUAAUUUCAAACUAUGAAACUUCCGCUACUUGAAGAACUUGGUUUGUAAUAACUUUAAGCACUCCGAUGUAUUUUAUGAAUGUUGUAAUUUGGAUGUGCUUGUGGAUGGCGACCGCUAAACUUAUUACGACCUUGGCUGUAUAUGUGAUGUGUGGUUUGAAAUCCUUUGAGAUUUCACGGACUACCGGGAUUAUAUGGGCUUAAGCGUGAUAGUUCGACUAUGCAAAUGGUCACUAUUAGGCUUAAUCUCUUAUAAUUUGGUCGGUUCUGUUACAGCUGGCAUCGGAGCAAGGUUUAGCGAGUUACUGUUCAUAAGUACGUUCUAAACAAAAGUCUAAACCGGUUUAAUGAAAGAUUUUUGUAAUUAAUAAAGAUCAAGGUGUUAAACUAAGUUUUGGAAAACUAUCUAGUGUGCCAUGGUCAUAUCCUUUAUGCCAGUUAAGGACUCUAAGGUGGCUAGCUAAGUACUGACUUGGGGGUUAAUGCAUCAUAUUUUUAUUUCGUCGCUCAUACGGCGUGCAAUAGUAUGAGUGCCAUUCAUUUGAGUGGUAAUGUAUGGAUCAAUUCUUCCUCUACGCCAUGGUAAGUGGGAGUUGUGAGAGCAUGAUCGGAUACACUGCCGGUCUAGGGAAGUGUUGUCAGGUGCUGUGUCUUGCACACAGGUUGGUGUGUCUUGGGAAUAGUACCGCAUGCUGGGAAUUCCGUCCUGAGAGGCGAUGCCGUCAUUAGGGCGAUGAUGUGGGUAGUGACACGUCACAUGCAUGGACGGGUGUCUGUGUAUGUGAAGUGUAUAGUUUUAAAUUUUGUUAUGCACGACCAUACUGUGGGCGGGCUGAAAUGAGUUUUCUGCAGGUACCCUAACCACGUUCUCGCUUAGAACGCUAGUUACGUUAUGGGAGAACGUUGUGUGCCACCGCAUAUACCGCUUAGUGUUAACUUUUGUUUCUAAGUUUGUGAGAUCGUAAGUUCGUGCAUGCAUCAUGUUCAUUUCAUAUCAUUGCUUACUUUCCCCCUUAAUUUAAUCUGUCCCAAUUCUAAAUAAAAUAAUUAAAGGUAAUCCUCGCUCUUACCCACGGUAUUCCAUUUGCAGCAGAUGGCACGCACUAGGCUCACAGCUCGCAAGUCCACUGGUGGGCGGGCCCCUCGCCGUCCGUUGGCAGCUAGGAGCUCGCGACAUAAGAGCAAGUUCCUAGAGGAGUUUGGGAUGCCCACUUUGCCUUGGAGGGUGCUCAGUUCGAUGGGGUAUCCCGAAGGAAGGGAGCCUCGCUACUAUUGGGAUAAGGAGCCGCUUGGUGACGAGACCCUGGUGGGGAUUGAGGCAGUUGUCCCUACCAGUGGAGGAGACCCUGCUUGGGGCGGCUGGGUGUACGAGUCCCGAGGUGUCACGCCUUUCCACGGUGCCAGCAGGGCAGCUUUCGCAGUUUUGAGGGACCUCAUGGAGAGGUUUCCACAGGAGCUGGCCCACGCCUUCGCUGGGGUGUUUCCCCGGGGUGACCCUUACACUUCGGUGUGGGAUCAGUCCGAGGUGAAUGCUCUAGAGAGGAGUGCGGAUGAGGACCAGCACAGUGACAGUGCAGCUAUGAGUGCCAUGUACGCGUUGAUGAAGACCUAUGGAGGCCUGGAGCGUUGUUUGGGUCGCUUGUCCGGGUCUCUUCUCACCGUCCAGGAUGAGAAGCGUCAGUUGCAGCGUGAGUUUGACUCUGAGGUUGAGAGGCUACAGGCAGAGUUGGCUCGUGUGACCAGAGAGAGAGACCAGGCAGUCCAGAAGAACAGUGAGCUGAGUCAGGACCUGCUUACAGUACGGGAGCAGAAGGACAGGGUGACUACUGCUCAUAGGAACUGCGAGCGCAUGCUAGUCCAUGUGCUUGGACAGAGGAAUGAAGCCUGGCACGAGGAGGACACUUUGAGGGCCCGACAGCUAGAGCUAGAGCUGUAGCUAGCUAAUGCCGAGGAGUACAAUGAGAACUUGCAUGAGGAGAUCCACCAGCUGCAUAACCAGCUCCACCCUCACCACCUGCCUGGAGCAGCGGAGCUAGACUCUGAGGACGAGAUGGACGCGGAUCCCGAGAUAGGAGCAGCUGCUAGUGGUGACGAGGAUGAGGAUGGCUCUGGCAUGGACAGUGACCACAGCGAGUAGAUGCUAGGGCUCUAGAGCUAGUCUUCCCUCUUUUGCGAUGUAUGUUGCGUGGCAUGUCAUGUACUUUUGGAUCUGGGCUGUGUAAGACUUUAUGAGUUGAUGCUGAAAGUCCAGUGUAUGUAUGCUGGCAAGUUGGAUGUAUGCGAACCUUGUUGCGUGAAUGUUAAGUAAUCUGUUAGUGAUGUUGUGCGUGGAUAAUGAGUUGUUGUGCCUUUGUUUAUUGUGUGAAUUUAUUCCUUCAGUAAAUUCAGUAUGGCACGAUUUUACACAUUUUCUACCGAUUGAUGGCAACUCCUAACGAUUGCUUAUCAUUGGCAUAUGCAGAUGGUACAAACACGGGGCGGGGGUAGCAGCAAUCCGGGCCUUGGAACAGGUACAUCCGGAGGUGGGGCUCAACGGAUUGAGGACAGAGCACCAACACCGCCACCCCCACCACCGCCUCCCCCGUACACCGCGGAUGUGUUUUUCGCGCAGUUUCUGGGAAGCCAACCCAACAUGGAACAGAUGCAGCGCAACAUGGAAGAAGCUUUGCGCAACAUAGCUGACAACACCCGUCGUGGAGAUAAUCAGGGUGGCCGGGAGGUCAACCAGUACAGUUCGUUCAAGGACUUCAUGGAUACCAAGCCACCAAUCUUUAAGGAGGCCUUGGAACCGCUCGAAGCAGAUGAGUGGAUCAACACCAUGGAGCAGAACUUUCGUCUUCUCCGAAUGACAGAAGAACUCAAGGCUGAGUAUGCGGCACAUCAGUUGCAGGGACCCGCUGGGAUUUGGUGGUCCCAUCACCGCACCACCUACCCAGAGGGGACACCAAUCACCUGGAACCGCUUCACCACCGCUUUCCGGGGAAAUUACAUUCCUCCUGGUGUGGUUGAAAUGAAGGUUGGGGAGUUCAUGAGGCUGUCCCAGGGGACGAAAUCUGUGAAAGAGUAUCUACAUGCCUUCAAUAAUCUCGCUCGAUAUGCCCCUGAGUUUGUAAACACGGAGGCCAAGAAGAUUGCCAGUUUCCAGAGAGGCUUGAAUCCAAAGAUGCUGAAGACCAAGGGUACAGGGGCCAGGGCUACCUUCAAUGCUUACAUCAGUGACUGUCUCACCCAGGAGAAUAACAACAACAACUACAGUGCAUCCAAGUCACGUAAAAGGGCUUUUGAAGCUGGAUCAUCCCAGUCCAGGGCACCAGUGACAGGGCGACAGCAGUAUCGUCCCCCUGCCCCAGGUGCUAGGUUCCGACCGCCGCAGAGAAGGAACACCGGACAUCCAACACAGCAGAAGCCGUACAAGGUGGCGAUAGCUCCUGCCAAGCCAAAGGCAAUUCAAGCUGCAGCACCUGCCGCCAACAAUGCGCCCAAGGGUCCAUGUUAUAACUGCCACAAGAUGGGGCACUUUGCUAAGGAAUGUCCCUACCCCAAGAGGCAGCAGCCAACAUAUCCAGCUCGUGUGCAUCAUACCUCGAUUGAGGAAAUCCCAGAAGGAGAACCGGUAACAGCUGGUAUGUUUUCUGUCAACCAACAUCUUGCAGUUGUUUUGUUUGAUUCUGGAUCGUCGCAUUCUUUCAUGAGUCAAGCAUUUGCACAAAAGCAUAGUCAACCAGUUACAGAUCUGGGCUAUGGCUACCGCAUCAGCUCAGCAGGGGCAGAUGUGUUGACCAAUAAAGUGGUCCGAGGGGCAACCCUGGAUGUAAGUGGCCGAGUUUUUCGGGUAAAUCUAGUGGUCAUGCCUGGGUUAGUUUUGGAUGUUAUCAUGGGCAUGAACUGGAUGAGAGAAUGGGAUGCGGUCAUAGAUACGGGAAAGAGGAUGUUAUCUCUCAGAGAACCACAGGGCAGUAACUCUUUUCAAGUACCUCUGCCCCGUCGUCUUGACUUUGCUAGCAUCUCCUGUGCUACGCACGUGGUCCCUUUACCACAGAUCCCAGUAGUCUGUGAGUUCCCCGAUGUGUUUCCCGAGGAGUUACCAGGACUUCCCCCAGAUAGGGAGGUAGAGUUUGUAAUCGAGUUGAUACCAGGUACAACACCAAUAUCUAGAAGGCCGUACCAGAUGCCACCAAACGAACUCGCAGAAUUGAAGAAACAACUGAAGGAGUUACUAGAAAAAGGGUUCAUCCGGCCCAGCUCGUCGGAAUGGGGUUGUCCAGCGUUGUUUGUGAAAAAGAAGGAUCAGUCGUUGCGCAUGUGCGUGGACUAUCGUCCACUCAAUGCAGUGACAAUCAAAAAUAAGUAUCCCUUGCCAAGGAUUGACAUCCUGUUUGAUCAGUUAUCCAAGGCAAGAGUGUUCUCUAAGAUAGAUUUGAGAUCUGGGUAUCACCAAAUCAAGAUUCGUCCGCAAGAUAUCCCGAAGACUGCUUUUUCCACCAGAUAUGGGUUGUACGAGUAUCUUGUCAUGUCCUUUGGGUUGACAAAUGCUCCUGCAUACUUUAUGUAUCUGAUGAAUUCAGUCUUUAUGCCAGAAUUGGAUAAGUUUGUUGUGGUGUUUAUCGAUGAUAUUCUGGUAUAUUCAGAAAAUGAGCAAGAUCACGCCGAGCAUCUGAGAAUCAUGCUGACACAGUUACGAGAGCAUCAGUUAUAUGCCAAGUUCAGCAAGUGUGAGUUCUGGUUAAAGAAAGUUCCUUUCCUCGGGCACAUUCUGUCUGAAGAAGGAAUUGCUGUGGAUCCAUCAAAAGUGCAGGAAGUCAUGGACUGGAAGGCACCAACUUCGGUCUCGGAAGUUAGAAGUUUUCUUGGUCUGGCCGGGUAUUAUCGUCGUUUUAUACCUGACUUCUCCAAGAUUGCUAAGCCAAUGACAAGUUUGCUACAAAAGGACCAUAAGUUUGUCUGGACGGAAGGGUGUGAGUUAGCCUUCCGCACCUUGCGAAAGUUGCUAACCACUGCUCCCGUUCUGGCACAACCUAAUAUAGAGAAGCCUUUUGAUGUGUUUUGUGACGCAUCGAAGAGUGGCCUGGGGUGUGUGUUGAUGCAAGAUGGCAGGGUGAUAGCUUAUGCUUCCCGACAGUUGAGAAAGCAUGAAGUCAACUAUCCAACGCACGACCUCGAGUUAGCAGCUGUGGUGCAUGCUUUGAAGAUUUGGAGACAUUAUCUACUGGGAAAUAAGUGUCACAUUUACACCGAUCACAAGAGUUUGAAGUACAUCUUCACUCAGUCCGAGCUGAAUAUGAGGCAACGACGGUGGUUAGAGCUAAUCAAGGAUUAUGACCUGGAAGUUCACUAUCAUCAAGGCAAAGCUAAUGUGGUCGCAGAUGCUUUGAGUCGCAAACCGCACUAUCAAAUGGUUCAACCGUUGUUUGAAGAUGGGUUCAAUCUUAUGCAUCCUGAGGUCUUAUGUCAUAUACAACUCAGUUGUUCACUCGAGAGUCAAGUCAUUGAAGGUCAGAAAACAGACAAGGGUAUUUUCCACAUCAAAGAGAAGAUCAAAGAUGACCCAAAGACUCAGUUUCGGGUUGAUGAGAAGGGGGUACUGUGGUUUCAACAGCGGUUACUGGUCCCGAAAGAUCGGGAGUUGAAGAAUCGCAUCAUGGAUGAAGCCCAUCUCUCUAAGCUUUCUAUUCAUCCUGGCAGCAGCAAAAUGUAUCAAGAUCUAAGGCCCCACUUUUGGUGAACCAAGAUGAAGAAAGAAAUAGCCGCUUAUGUGGCCCGUUGUGACACGUGUUGCAGAGUUAAAGCCAUCCAUAUGAAACCUGCAGGUCUGUUGCAACCGUUAUCAGUUCCGGAGUGGAAAUGGGAAGAGGUCAGUAUGGACUUUAUCACGGGUUUACCAACCACAAGGAAGGGGAAUGACUCGAUUUGGGUAAUCAUAGAUCGAUUGACCAAAUCGGCCCAUUUCAUCCCUGUGAAGACUCGUUACCGACCUCCUGAAUAUGUCGAUAUAUAUAUGGCUGAGAUCGUCAAAUUGCAUGGUAUUCCCAAAACUAUCAUAUCGGAUAGAGGACCGCAGUUCACUGCUCACUUCUGGGAGCGCAUGCAUAAGAGCUUGGGGACCAGUCUGAUAAGAAGCACGGCGUAUCAUCCCCAGACUUCAGGUCAAACCGAGAGGCUAAAUUAAGUGUUGGAAGAUAUGCUGAGAGCCUGUGUGCUAUCAUCCAAGGGAUCAUGGGAAUCGUGGUUACCUUUGGCUGAAUUCUCCUACAAUAAUAGUUAUCAAGAGAGCAUCAAGAUGGCCCCGUUUGAAGCUUUGUACGGUCGAAGAUGUCGAACUCCGUUAAACUGGGUUGAACCUGGUGAAAGAAGAUACUAUGGUAUCGACUUUGUGAAUGAUGCCGAGAAAAAGGUGCAGAUUAUACAGCAACAUAUGCAAGCAGCGCAAUCACGACAGAAGAGUUAUGCUGAUAAGAGAAGAAGGCCACUUGAAUUCAACAUAGGUGACUAUGUGUACCUCAAGGUUACGCCAAUGAAGAAAGUUCAACGUUUCCGAGUUCGAAGCAAGCUUGCACCCAGAUAUGUGGGACCGUACCAAGUGCUAGAGAGGAAAGGCCCAGUGGCCUAUAAGAUUCAGUUACCUGAAGAGAUGAGCUCGAUCUUUCCGGUCUUCCAUGUGUCGCAACUACGGAAAUGUUUGAAAGUGCUUGAGCAAAGAAUUGAACCCCGAGGGAUCAAAAUAAAAGCAGACUUAGAGUAUAAAGAGCAGCCAGUGGGAAUCGUGGACACCAAGGAGCGAGUAACCCGAAACAGAAUUGUCAGAACAUAUAAGGUGGUGUGGAGUCAUCAUGACGAUAGGGAUGCCACCUGGGAAACAGAGGAUUACUUAAAAACAGUUUACCCAAAGUUUCAUAAGAAAUGGUUAGUAACCCAAAAUCUCGGGACGAGAUUUCCCUAAGGAGGGAAGGGCUGUAACACCCUAGGUGUUAAGCAUGCACUUAGUCUUACCAAAGUCAUGCAUAAGCAUUCCCAUCAAGCAUAAGCAUCAUGAGCAUGACACUCUUUUUAAAAGUAUGAUUUUAUGUGCAUCAUCUCAUGUGUUCUAAAUAUGUUAAAAAUAUGAUGCUUGCUUCUAAAAUUGUGAAAAAUUCAAAUUAGGUUGAUUUAGGUGUGAGAAGAAUUUAGAAUAUUUUUGUGCAAUUUUUAGAGCUAUGGAAUUUGAGAAAUGGGAUUUAUACAAAAUAUCCAAAAUAACUUUAUUUAAAAACCUAGAACUAAGUUUUAAUUUGUAAUUCAAAUUCUAUUUAGAAUUUGGUCUUACCUAUUAAAGCAAAGUUGUAGAGCUUUUAGUUUGACACCACUUUGCUUUUGGGUGAAAAUGGUGAAAAUGAUUUGAAAAUGGACAAAAUGCUUUUGGAAGAGGAUUUGAGAAAAGAAAUUCAAAAAAAAAAUAGAAAAGGGAAAGGGGGCGCUAGCAGGCCGCGGCCUCGCUUCUGGCCCGCUGGCCGAAGCCGGCCUGGCCCGCCCGCGCCUUCCCCUUCCCCCUCCUCGCGCUCGCGCCCGCGUCCGCGCGCGCGGACGGCCUCGCCGUGCCGCCGUGGCGCGCCGGCAGAGCCUGGCCGCCGCGUGGCGGGCAUGCGACGGCGUGGAGACGCCCUGGUCGGCCACCAGGAGCCCCUGGACGCGCUCGCCGAAGCCCCCGCUCCCAUUUGCGCCCUCCACCGCUCGCUCUCGCGCAGCGCUCGCCGCUCCGCCGCACGCCAUAGCCGCCGACGGCUCGGAGCUCCUCUCCCGGCCAGCUCCGGCCCUCUCCUUCCCCUUCGCGACCACCACCGGCUCCGCCUCGUCCUUCCGCGUCGCGUGCUUGCGCUCUUCCGCGCUCGGUAAGCCCUGCGUGUCCGCUAGAGCUCACCGGAGUAAGUCGGAGCUCCGGCGACCUCUCGGCUCGCGCGGUUCUCCCUCUCCUCUCUGUCUCUGCUUGCGCUCGUAGGUGCUUUGGGUCCGCCUUGACCUCGCGCACCUUUUCCCGUCAGUGGCUCACGCUCUACCGCCGUGAAACGGCCGGACCACGGCGAGCAGCGCCGCCGCGUCCGCCAUUCACGACGGCGAGGUAGUUCCGGUGCUCGUCCGGUGCCAAAGAGGGUACGGCUGGACUCGUCUCGUUCGCGCGAAGGCGUAGGUGCUCACGGUGUCGCCGGAAACCUCACCAGCGGCGAGAUUCCGGCCGAUCUUUGGCCGCGGGGUCACGGGGUGGAUGACAGGUGGGGUCCUCUGACUCGCGUGUCCCGCCUGUCAGUGACUCCGAGGGAAUGGAUCCGGGUGCGUUUAGUGUUUUAGGUGGUUUUCCGUUUUAAAAGUUUUUCCAGGAAAUUAUUUAAAUGUUCAAAAAUCCAUAUCUUGAUGAAUAUAGCUCCAAAAAUGGUGAAAUAAAUUUUGGUGUGUUCCUUAUUUCCAGAUCUAUAUCCUGGUAUGAUUGCAUGUCAUGUUGGAGCAACUUUUCUGUGUGAAUAUAUUUUAUCCAUGAUUUUGUUAAACUUGGAAAAUGCAUAGUAAAUGAAAUAUGGCUCAGAAAAAUGUAAAAUUUGUUUUGCUGGCUCUGCUUGUGUGUUUAAUCACUGAGAAAAUAUUGUUACAUAUUAUUUGGUGUAUAAAUGAAUUUAUGGUAAUUUAAAUGCUUGCAUGGCAGUACUUUAUGAUUUUUAAUAAUUAUUUGGGUCAUGCAAUAAAUCUGGAAAAUUUUGUGGGUGUUUCUUAUGAUAUUAGACAAAUUGUAAAAAUAUGAAAUCUGUUGUUUGACACUUAUACCACAGUAAGGUGAUUAUACUUACUUUAUUACUUAAUCUUGUGAAUUUUGUGGCUCAAAAUAAGUAACCAAAAAUCAUGAAAAAUUUUCAGUAAACUUUAUGCUUAGCUGGAAGUCUCCUGUAAUUUUUGUGGAAUUUAUUGAUGAACAGAAUUGCAUGUGAUUUUUAAUGGGCUUAGAAAUGAAUAAAGAAAAUUUUGAAUGGUUGUGUAUGUGGGUUGAAUGGACUAAGUUGGGUUUGGUGUAUCUUUGAAGCAUCAUGUAGGUUGCUGAUGUCAUUUGAAAAAAAAUAAUUAUAGAAGAGAAUGUAAUAGAUGUUUGAUUCAAUUGUUUAGUCUUGGAUGAUGUUGACUACCUUGUAAUAAGCAUGACCAAGUGCAUUACCUAUGCAUCAUAACAUGACUCCUUUGGUACUCUCUCAUAUAAGCAUCCACUCGGGCAUCUCGCACUCCACUCAUGAGCAUAUAUGCAUCAUACAGGCUCGCAGGAGAACGAGGUGGGAACCGAGGAACCCGAGAAGCUUCAGGAGCAGGAACCUCCGGAAGCACAAGAACCCGGAGAGGAACUGCAGAAGUGUCCGGAUCACCGACCCAGCACGUUUGAGAAAGGCAAGCCCCGGAGCAUUCUAAGUCUCCCUAUUCUCGCUAACUUAUAUAAAGUGCUAUACUUGUUCUACUGUAUUGCAUAUUAAGUGAUAGGAGUUGCCUGAUACCGUUGCUGCAUAUGUACUCCUUGUUAUCCCUACUCGUUUAUCUACCUUGUCCUAUGUAGAUAGGCGCGGAGUCUAAGCUUAGCUUACUUAGUCCGGUAGAAGUCGGGUGAUGUCCUGUCACCUGCGAGAUAUAGGUGGAUACCAGCUUGAUUAAGCAGUGGUUGCUUGGGGAAAGAAAUAACCAAGUGUGGAAUGUAAUUGGAGACCGGGCAGGGUCUUAUGGUGGGUUGCCCAUAGUGCCCCUGCCUGUGUCGAUUAAGGACCGAUCGUUGACGGCCCUCUUGUCAUGUUGAACGCAUGCCCCACACUUAGCUGGAAGGAUAAGUCGUUCCGACCGCGAAGCCUGAACACUAUCCGGGCCGGGAAUCGAGCCGCCAUGCGCUGUAUUGGUGGUGGUUGAGGAGAACGACGAGGGCGCGGCGCGCAACCUUGGUAUACCUUGGAUACCUCGGUCGCCGGAACGGUCCUCGGGUACUGGCGGUGCCUGCCGAACCCGCGAAUUGGUCCUGGAUAGUGUAAUACGGUGAUCUGUAGCUCACUUGAUCAGUGAGUGUGGUUUGUGUGGGGAAUACCUCGCCAGCUGGUUAGAAAUCGAUUCGAAUCGCCAUCGCUCCUGGAUAGUGAGCACUUGACAUGAGCCCUGUCCUCGUAGUAAGGACUAUGGAACACUUGGGUUAUAAUGAUGAAUAGUUUUAAGAAAUACUAUGAUGAGGUACUAUCAUAGUCUCCUACUUGCUUGUAAUAGUGCAGGUGCAAACCUAGACGAUAGGUAAUGAUACUUUCAACUGGAGCCAAUUAAAAGAAGAAAGACUUAUGUAGGUUAUGUUAGCGAAAUACUGCGGUUUUGCAAAAUGGUCGUCAGCUACCCCACUAUAUAGCCUUCAUGAUCAAUGAUGAGUCUUUGUUUUAAGUUUAUGACGGGUAAGUCUAGCUGAGUACCUUCUCGUACUCAGGGUUCUAUUCCCAUGUUGUUUUGCAGAUGGUCAAAUGUACUACGGUUAUUGCAUCCUCUGUCUGUACCCAGCUAUGGGUGAUGACUAGACCAAGGGCGAUGGUCACUCCGUCUCUUCUUUUGCUUUUGUGGGAAUGACCGAACUAUGGCACUGUAUCAGACUUAUCGUGUGUGUUGUAAUUUCAAACUAUGAAACUUCCGCUACUUGAAGAACUUGGUUUGUAAUAACUUUAAGCACUCCGAUGUAUUUUAUGAAUGUUGUAAUUUGGAUGUGCUUGUGGAUGGCGACCGCUAAACUUAUUACGACCUUGGCUGUAUAUGUGAUGUGUGGUUUGAAAUCCUUCGAGAUUUCACGGACUACCGGGAUUAUAUGGGCUUAAGCGUGAUAGUUCGACUAUGCAAAUGGUCACUAUUAGGCUUAAUCUCUUAUAAUUUGGUCGGUUCUGUUACAGAUAUCCCCUGACUAGCUGGACCGUGGUAGUAGCGAGGAACGUGACAUUUCCGAGCUACCUUUGCAUCCCACAUCUCGUUAGUAGGACGGGUAGGGUUUAUAGGUGCGGGUUGAACAUCCUCUGUGGUGUCUAGAUUCCGUGAGCCUCCCCAAUAGAACAGUAGAUCAUCCUUACCAAGGUUAGCACGAGACUACGGUUGUAGUCUUCUCUAUAAAUAAGAUACUCUGGAUAACCUCCCAGGUGAAGUGCUCACCGAUAUCCGUGCGCUUGCGGAUCAUUUCUUGAUGGCGUUACCAAAUAUCAACAAGCAUUUCUGGCGCCGUUGCCGGGGAGAAAGACGGUUUGCUGAGAUAACUUUAAGUCUUGCUAUUAUCUUGUAUUAUACUUUUAUACUUUUAUUCUUUUAUCUUUUUAUUUUUUCCAUCUUUAUGGAUAACUUAAAUUCCAUACCUAUUAUUGAAUUCUUUGCACCUUCGGAGACCAGCCAUAGACCAUGGGAGUCAAUAAGUCCUGCCCCAAAUUAUGAUCUGUGUCCGGAGUUGAUUGAAAUAGGUCAAAACCAACCCUUUUCUAUAGCCGAGGUCCUAUCUUUUAAUCAAGAAGAUAAUGAACUUUUAGUCUUUUAAUCUUUCUCGCGAGAUUGGGGUGCUGCAACGGUCGGAUGAGUGGCUGGCAGAGGAUAAGGUCGGGUUUCACCCCUUCCUUUCUUCCUCUUCAAUCCAUUCCCCAUUCUUGCUCUCUUGAAGAACUCUAAGAAAAGAAAAGCUCUCCUCUUCUCCUCUCUCACUCCCAAGGUUUUGUGCUCCAUUCAAGUGAGAGAACAAGCUCUAGGGAUUGAUUAGAGAGCUCCAAGAAGAUCCCUUCUCUCUCCUCUCCAUUCCUAUGGUUGGUACUCUUUGGUGAGAGGAGUUGGGAAACCCUAGUGUUUAUGCUUUUGUGAUUCCUAUUUAUGGCACUAGUUGAUUUUUGGGAUUAUGGAUUUCUUGUUACUCUUGGUGAUUGCCGUCACCUAGACGGUUGGUGUUGGAUUGAUUGGUGAGGGGAUUUGGUGAUUGUGUCCGCCCCCAAUCAAGGUGAUAUUUGUGAGGGGUUGUUGUGGUUCCCCGACGGAGUGCUAAAUUCCAACUCUAGUGGAUUGCUCGUGUCAUUGAGUUACCACACUUGAGAGUGGGAAUCUUUUAAUCUUUCUAUAAAUUCUGGUUUAAACCUAGCCCUAAAAGACCAUAUUUUUUCUCUAUAUUUUCACAUUAGUCUUAAUCAUAUAACUUUUGGUAGAGUCUUUCUUUCUUUAUCUAUUAGUAAAGGAAGGUAUGUCUUCAUUUGUGGACAUCCUUCUUGCACUAGUCUUCAUAAACAAUUCCUAGAGAUAGAGAAGGAAUCAUCUCCGAGACUAGGAAAGGAAGUUUCAAUAGCCGAUUUCCAAACAUUCCAAUCCCAUGAUUCGGCUAUCCAACCCAUCCUUGAGCCUAAUAAUUUCUCCUAUGCUCUUUCUCUUGAACCUCCUGAUGAUCCUAUGAAUCUCUAUAGACAUCCCAUUCAUAAGUGUCACCAAAACCACAAGGAGGAUCGAGAAGAGCAGCAUCAAUGGCUAGAGGGCAUUAAAAUCCAUGUGCCAUCACCAUUGAAUGGAUAGAUAAAACAAACUUGAGAGACAAUCCUAGAGGAAUUUUUAGCAUUCAUGAAGAAUCAUCCUUGGAGUUUGAGAAUGAGAGAAACAACAGUGAGCAUGGAUGUUAUUUCAUAAAUACCUCACCAAGUCCUUGCUUAUAUAAGACAUCUCCCCAAUCAAUUGGUCUCUCCAACAUCACCGCAUUUGAGGUCUCCAACCCCCUCUUCCUUUCUAUUUAUAAAAACUUUAAAAGGGUGGUUGUUGAUGUAUAUGUCUAUAAUAAAUAUUGCAGAUCUCGUUGAGUUGAUCUUGAUAUAGGUCAGCGUUGGAGGGGAAACCACUUCGCUGACAUAAAUUGAUGGUUUCCCAAGUACAAGCUUGUAACAUCCCCGAUGUUACGGUUACUAAAAUUUGGAUCAUGGCAUCAUCAGCAUUGCACAACAUAGUUGUUAAGCACACCUUGAUGCAUUAACUUAAAAUGAGUUUAAUUUAGUUGGUUGUGCUUAGGAAUCUUAAGUGUGUUUCAAUUGUGUGUUGAUGCUCGUGUUCGUUGCUAAAACCCUAGGGUGAAAGUUUUCCGAAGGACUAGGGGGGGAAAACCCUGAUUUCUGGACCCUAGAAUUGCCCCUUUUUGUGCAAUUCAAAAACCAAGCAAAAUUUGAGGAUGUGUUCAGAAGAAAAGUUGUAGAUCUUGGCAAGAUGUACAACUUUGGUGUUUUGAGUUUUUGAAGUUUCAAUGCAAAAUUCAAAGUAAUUUUGAAAUUACAGAUUUCCAGAAAGUGUCCCAUUUUCCAAUUUGAACCUCUAAUUCAAAAUCCAUUUGGAAUUUUGAAAAGUGGUCAACAUGAAAGUUGUAGAGCUCAAAAAGUUAGACAACUUUCAUGUUGGAAGUUUUUCAAGUUGUUUAGGAAAAACAAAAGUAAUUUUGGAAAUUCUGAUCUGUUCUAAUUCAAAAAUUUGAAUCUUCCCAAAUUAAGUUUUGAUUUGCAAACUCUUUUGGCAAAAUCACUAGUUUCCACUCAGAAUCAGUUUGGGACACCUAAAUAUAUUUUGUAGCUCAUAAAAUUUUGCACAACUUUUAUUUUGGUGAAAACUUGGUUUCAGUUCAAAAUUUGGCCGGAUUUCACAAGGGGACGAAAGGGGGAGGAUAGGGGUUGCUACAGUGAUCCGAUGAGGAUCACCGGCCCCCUGUCCAACGCGGCCGCCGCGCGCGCAGCGCCGCAAGCGCCCGUGUGAGCACGCAGCUGCCUGCUUGCCUGUGUCACUAGGCUACGUGGACGCCCCGAGCCUGUUUCCCUCUCGCCUUAAGCACCCGCAUGGGCGGCACCGUGCGCUCUCUCCGUCCAGCGCCGAGGAAACCCGACGAGCUUCGCCCUCAAAUUCGCCGUGCUCGACUCCCUUCAAACCAAAUUGACCAGUCCAUAGCAUCCGCUACCUCCUUGCGAACUCGGUGCACCCCCGAGCUCCCUUUCUAACCCCCCCAAACGCCAGAGCUCCUCUCUCUUCUCCAACUCCGACCGGAAGUGCCGCCGUGAGACCCCCUCCGUGGCCGCGCUGUUCCCAUGAGUGGCACGCCUCGCUCGCGAUUGUUUCUGGUUCCUUUUCUGCCUCUUCAACUCAUGCGCUUGCUCUUUCGAUUUGGACGCGAACAGGAUCGCCGGAACGAGCUCGCCGGAGCCGGAGCACCCGCCCGACCGCACGGCCACCGUCGCCGAGCGUUUCUACCACUUCUUCCGCCGUGGUAACGUGAGCACCAUGCCCCUUAGCCUUCCCUGAACCUCCCUGCUCCCUUUCCUUGCGCUCUACCGAGCUCCAGUGACCGGUCCACGGCCGGCCAUGGCGGCCGCCCGCCUUUCACGCGGCCGAGGUAGGAAGAGCGAGGCAGAGCGUCCGCGGGUGGUAGCUAUGGAGUCGCAAGGAUAAUGCGGGGCUGAUGCGCACGCUGGCGCGGGCCCAAACCUCAUCAGCGACGGCCGGAGUCAUGGCCGUGCUGCCGCGCGUGAAGAAGACGACGCUGACAGGUGGGGCAUCCCUGUCAGCGCCCCGCUGAGAGGAGCAGGAAGGGGCGGGCCUGACGAGCGGGACGUCAGUGUCCGCGUGAGGGGAGGGGCAGCGUGCGCAGCGCGCGUCUGGGCCGAGCCCGCGUGGGCCGGCCUGCGGGCCAAUUUCUAGGCCACUGCGUAGUGUCUUUUUCUUUUUCCUUUUUGUGCAGUUUUUGCUAUAAGUUUGAAAUUGUGUAUUAAAUUGUGUAGUGAUCCAAAAAAUAGUGAAACUUUUUGUGUAGGUUCCAGAGAAUAUAUAGAGCAUAGGAAAAAUGUUAGAAUUUAUUUCUCUGAUGGUUUGCCUCUCCAUAAAAAUCGCCUCUUUUAAUUAGUAAAUAAAACUUCUAGGAAUUUUAACAAUUUAUUUAUAUGUCCAAAAAUCACCAAACUUUGUGGGGAGUCUCUGAAUAUUAUUUCCAGACUUUGCACAAAAUUUGGUAGCAGUUGGAUAAAGUUUGAAUAAAAUAUUAAUAAACCCUUAUUUAGUAAUUAAAUAUUAAUUCCAAGAUAAUUAGAUAGUGAUUAGUUAAAUCCUCAUAAUUAGGGUUGAGUGAUUUUGGGAUUAUAUGAUGACCUGAGUUCAUUAACCCUAAUGACCUUUGGCAUUUAAUUAUUGUUUGGCAUUAAUACUUAAUUGCUGUCAUUAAUAUUUAAUUAGGAAUUAACUAAGAUAAAAGAAUGAAUAAUUAGUUAAUUUAGGAUAAUUAUGAAUUAAGAAAAGUACUAAUGCAACCUCUUGGGUAAAGACACUAAGAUGUUAAACAACUUUAAUUAUUGUUUAAUCUGUGUUGCACCGAGGCGGCCAGUUGUAUUUAACUUGGUCCCUUUUUUCAUAUUUGUCAUGCGCAUGUCAUAAGCAUUCAUCAUUUUGCGUAUAGUGCACGUGACCGAAGGAGCGCCCGUUGAACCGAACCCCGAGGUCGGUGCUCCGUUCGAAGAAGUAGGAUCCGAGACUUGGGAAGUCUCCGAGGGACCCUCUCUGCCCUGCAACCAAGGCAAGCCCCGGAUGCAUUAACCCCUCCUUGAAUGUUUUAAAUCUUUUAUCACUUAUGAAUUGAAAUGCUGCAUUAGGUAGAUAAGAAUUGGGUUAACCUACUUGCUGCAUUUACUACCUUGAUAUUUGUUAUCUUGUCCUUGGCACCCGUUUUGUUUUAAAACUGCGUAGUGAUGCUUAGCCCUCCUACUAGAUAGGUUUUCAAACAAGAAAGUUUGAAGGGUUGUUGUGGGAUACACUAUGAUCAAUGAUGUUUCAAUUUGAGACCGGUCGGUGGACUUGCUUUAAGAAUGGAGUCUUAAAGUAGUGUCUCCAACUGUGUCGGUUAAGGACCGGUCCGUUGAUGGCCCGCUGGGUUGAGAAUUCAUAGUACUAGCCACUUGCCCUCGGCAAGCCCGGUCUUGUGAUCCCUCGACGCGAACAGCUACUCACGCACUGGGAGUGGAAAGAUGGCGAGAGUAGUGUGUACCCACCUUAUGGAUCUGGGAUGACCGGAAAACAUCUAGAUCGGCUGUAGGAUGGUGGAGUACUGUGCUCUCGGGUGCCACGAACCUGGUCAACUUUGUGGAGAGCUUGAUUCGGGUUGACAUAUGCAAGUUUUGGUUCUACAUAUGUCGGGUGGUUAGGAACUCCAGCUGGAUUGCUAAGCGGUUCGAAUCGUCGUUGCUCCCCGAUUGGGAGACUCAAUCCACUGCCCCUCAUCGUAGUUAAAUAUGCAACUAAAUGAUAAAAUGAGAAAGGGGAAAAUGUCUCAUGAAGUUCGGAUCCCAAUUCCCGGACUCAGAGUGACAUGAAGCUAUGGCCGUUGGAUAGAUAAUACCUUGAUUAAGGACUAGGAACUUGGAGACUUGUCUGUGAGAAGCAACUAGAUAGACUGUCCUCGAACUCCUCGGCCUCUGCGGGAGAGGAAUUCGUGGGUAAAACUUGAAAGUAAGGAUGCACUAUUAGUAAGCUUUUUGGCAAAACACCACUCCUUGUCUACCCUAAGCCUGCAUUCCUAAGUUCUCCUCUUCUCCGCCGGGUAAGUCUUGUUGAGUACUCCCGUACUCAGGGUUUCAAUACCCCUGUUGCAGGUGAAGCUCAGGAGCUGACUUGUUUCGGACCCUGUUGUGUGACCGUCGUCAAGGUUGACGACGAAGAAGACUAAGCGCGACCCAUGGGCAGGGUCUGUAAAUUUGUAAUUGAUGUACUAAAGUUUAAGUUGCUCCACUGGACCUGGUUUGUAAUAACACUCUGCUAUUGGGAAGAACUCCUUUUGUAAAAUAAGUUAUGUAAUACUUUCGCUGUUUUACUCUGAAAUAUUAUUUUGGUCGUAUGUCGUUUGUGGUACUGCAAUGUCUUCGCAACGAAUGAUCCUGGUGUUAAGGUGGCCACUUGCUAUCCUGUAAGGGCGAGAAGAAGAAGUUCUCGUUAAUUGACCAUCACCAGUGGUCAGGACGAGCCGGCUUGGCAUGCCACAGGUAGCAGUGGAAUGAGCGUCCAGCGAUGCUCAUCGGACUUCUAAAGUGGGAGGAUCCCCGGCAUCGCCGUCAGAGGUCCUUAGGACAAUGACAGGUGUCGGUGGGCCCAAACACUUAGGGGGUUCUGCCACAGCUGGUAUCAGAGCAUUCGUUGCUAAAAUGACUGUUGUAUUCUUUGAAGAACUUCAAAAUCAUUUGGAUCUAAUGCUAUAAACUGGCCUACUUUGGGUCCAAGUGCUUUAGUCCUAACUUACCCCUGUCUGUAGGCUUUCUUAGAAUUUUUGAAGUGGUAUGGAGGAGCAACAUAAAGUACUGCCCUAUGUUGUAAAGUUUAAGGUAGUAUCAUUGUGAACCGUUAGUAGGAAUCGUAAGUUCGUGCAUGCAUCAUGAUGUAUUAAUUGGUUAAGUUCCUUCCUCCUUGUCGGGUUGGGUGAAUAGAAUCAAUCCUAUUCUUGCUAACCUUUAAGGUCUCUCUUACUAAUCCGAAGUUACCCUCUACAGGAUGCCUCGCUUGAAGCUGACCCCGUGUAAGAGGACAGGUCCAAAAGGGGUCCCCAAACACCAGCUGGCCCCGCGAAGCGAUCAAGCAAGCAGCAGUCGUUCACCGCCGCAGCAGGAGGUGGACAGGUUGUCCGCCGAGUUGACCGAAGUGAUGAGAGAAAGGAUGUACAACGUCAUGGAGUUCGGCGAACUUAAAGCUCAACUAGCCAAAGAAAAACAAACUACUAAGAACUGUGAGGCCAUGUUGUCUCGUAUGGUGGAGGAGAGGAAUGCCGCUAUUGCCCGAGAAGAAGAGGCCAGGAGCACACACAGCCACGAGCUGACUAGGAUGAAUGCGAAGUUGGGCAAGGCCAGGUACCUUAAAGAUCUGUACGUGAAGAUGGCGGCCACGGUCACUGUGCAGCGGGAUGUCACGUGGCAGCGAGAGGACCAGCUCCAGUUGGAGAAGCUGGAGCUGGCACAUCAUUUAGAUACCAUCAAUGACUUAGCAAUGCAAUAUCGUGAUAUUACAUUUGAUCUAUAUCAUCAGCUCCAUCCCCCUCCAGGCGAAGGAGAGAUGGAUACGGAUGGAGAGUUGGCGAACGAUGGGGAACCCGAUCAAGGCCUCAGUGAUGAAGAGGAGUCCGACCCCGAUGACAACAACCCGGGGGGUAAUCAGGAUGACGGCAAUGACGACCCGGGCUACAGCUCUGGCCACACCGACUAGUUCGGUGAAGCCGCGGGCAAAGUCGUUGUAGGAAUCCUAGCUUACCGUAGUGGGGUCGGGUUUGUAAUAUAAAGUUUUCUUCCAGUUUGAGAAGUUGUACUUGUUUGUUCCUGGUGUGUCGAACUGAUGUUUAAUAAAUAAAUGGAAGUUUGUAAGAUAUGUUCUAAGUUAUGAAUUCCAUGUGGUAACAAAUACUUAUGACUCUUGUAGCAGAUGCCGAUGCGCACGCGAGGAUCUGAUGGAGCUGGAACAUCUCAGGGAGGGGAUGAUAUCCCCAACCCUCCACCUGCUCCACCUUCUUUGGCUGAUGCCAUUGCUGUUGUUUUGAGUGCCACUACCAAUAACGCUCGCUUGCUGCGCGAGUUAGCACAACGUCAACCACAUCCCUGCCCCAAACUUCAGGGCACCGCACAAUGGGGACGGAGAAGCUCGGUACGUGGACUUUACCGAGACAAGGCCCCCAGUUUUCACUAAGGCUGAUGAGCCGCUAGAAGCGGAUGACUGGCUCCGAACCAUGGAGCACAAGUUUAGUUUGAUUCAGUGUUCAAAAACUCAAAAGCCCCUGUUCGCAGCUCAGCAGCUUCGGGGAGCUGCAGGUGCCUAGUGGGAGAACUUCUUAGCUAUCCAAGCUCCCGGACACCAGGUUACCUGGACCGAGUUUAAGGACGCGUUCCGCGCCCAUUACAUCCCUGAAGGGCUCAUGGCCAUGAAGGCCGAAGAAUUUCUCGCCUUGCAGCAAGGCGAUAAAAGUGUCAUGGAGUAUGUGGCAAAAUUUAAUCAUCUCUCUCAAUAUGCCACAGACCAUGUAAACAUGGACAGAAAGAAGAAAGCCUGCUUCAUGCGUGGUCUAAAUACCAAACUUCAGACCAUGAUGACCACCUGCCAAAAUGCUACCUUCUACGAGGCGGUAAAUAUUGCCAUCGCCUCUGAAGAAAAGAAUAGAAAGCACAAAGAAGCUAAGAAGAAGGCUGCUUCUUCCUCCUCUGGUCGCGGUCCAAUGCGCCAGAGAAUCAUUUAUCAUCCGCAGGGCCACGGACGUUUUCAAGCACCGUCACCUUAUCGUGGUCCUUUUUCCCCACUACAAUAUAGACCAGGGCAGCAGGUAUACCCUCGACCUACUGCCAUCACUAUUGCACCACGCCAGCCAAACGCCCCAGGUGUUCGCCCCACUGCUCCGCCCAGCCACAAUUACCCUUGUUUCAAUUGUGGUAAGCCUGGGCAUUUUUCUAAAGAGUGCCCUUUUCCCCGCCAAACCAACCCUACCUUCCAAAGGCCACUUAUGGGCCAACCCCAGCCGAGUCAGUUCAGGACUGGGGCUCAGAAGGGACAAAACGUGCAAAGGGGGAAACCAGCGAAGAAAGUGGUACAAGUCUUCCAUACAGAAGUGGAGACGAUUCCGGAGGGUGAACCAGUAAUGAUGGGUACGUUUCCUGUCGCGAAACAUCCUGCUUUAAUGCUUUUCGAUUCUGGUGCAUCUCAUACAUUCAUCAAUCGCACCUUUGUGUUAAAGCAUGGCAUACCCAUUGGGGAAACACAAGAUCAUUUUUAUAUACAGUCGCCAGGGGGACGGCUAAGUUCUAAAGAGAUGGUUCACCAGAUACCCAUCGAAUUUGGUGGGCAUAGUUUUCCCACUAGCAUGAUUGUUCUUAAAGACCAGGAGAUUGAUGUCAUACUAGGCAUGAACUGGAUGGCACAACGAGGGGUUGUGCUAGACACUUUACAUCGAACCAUUAAAAUCCCAUUGCCUAAAGAGAAUUCCUAUCUGCUAAUUCAAUUAGUUACUCCCAAACGGGCGAUUGGGCAAGUUCAUGCCACUAAUGUGUCUGAAGUCAAAGAUAUCCCGGUAGUUCGGGAGUUUCCGGAUGUAUUUCCUGAAGACCUACCAGGUCUGCCUCCGGACCGGGACGUCCAGUUCAGUAUAGAAUUGAAACCAGGGAUAGCCCCAAUAUCUCGAAGGGCCUAUAGGAUGGCACCGAAAGAGCUGGCCGAAUUAAAAACCCAACUACAAGGGCUGUUGCAGAAAGGUUUUAUUCAGCCCAGUUCUUCUCCAUGGGGUUGCCCAGCCUUGUUUGUGAAAAAGAAAGAUCAAACAUUAAGGCUGUGUGUCGACUAUCGUCCCCUAAAUGAGGUGACGAUUAAGAACAAGUACCCAUUGCCCCGUAUUGACUUAUUAUUUGACCAGCUAGCCGGGGCCAAAGUAUUCUCAAAAAUUGAUUUGAGAUCAGGGUACCACCAAAUUAAAAUUAGGCCGGAAGAUGUGCCCAAGACAACUUUUACAACCCGAACUAGACAAAUUUGUUGUUGUCUUUAUUGAUGACAUCUUGAUCUACUCCAAGACUAAGAAAGAACAUGCUGAACACUUGAGAAUCGUGCUGACCCGUCUCAGGGAGCAUCAGCUAUAUGCCAAGUUCAGCAAAUGUGAGUUCUGGCUGAACAAAGUCCAUUUCCUGGGCCAUGUAUUAUCAGCGAAGGGAGUCGCUGUAGACCCAGGCAAGGUAGAAGAUGUGUUGAAUUGGAAACCCCCGACUACGGUACAUGAGGUCCGUAGUUUUCUGGGUAUGGCGGGAUAUUACCGUCGCUUUAUCUCGGACUUUUCAAGAGUCGCCAAACCAAUCACGACCUUGCUCAAAAAUCAAACAAAAUUUGUUUGGUCACCCCAAUGUGAGCAAGCCUUUCAGACUCUGAAAAGGUUAUUGACAACUGCACCUGUCUUAGCCCAGCCAGAUAUUGAAAAACCCUUUGAUGUGUAUUGUGACGCAUCAGGGAUUGGGAUAGGCUGUGUGCUAAUGCAGGAGGGUCGCGUAAUUGCAUAUGCUUCCAGACAGCUUAAACCACAUGAAGAGAAUUACCCGACCCAUGAUCUUGAACUAGCCGCCGUAGUACAUGCAUUAAAGAUCUGGCGCCACUAUCUGUUAGGGAAUACAUGUCAUUUAUACACGGAUCACAAGAGCUUGAAAUAUAUCUUCACUCAAGCUGAAUUGAAUAUGCGCCAGCGCAGGUGGCUAGAAUUGAUCAAAGAUUACGACCUUGAGGUGCAUUAUCACCCCGACAAAGCAAAUGUAGUAGCUGAUGCCCUCAGUCGUAAGGCUCACUGUAAUUGCUUAACAGUGACGCCUAGAGAUAUAACUUUGUGCCAAGAGCUAGAGAACUUGGGGAUAGAAAUGAUUUCCCAAAGAAGCCUUGCCAAUCUAAAGAUUGACUUCAAUCUCGAAGCUCAAAUCAUAGAGGCACAAAAGGAAGACAAAGGCAUGAAACAUCUUAAAGAGAAAAUUUCUAAUAAAGCACCCACAGACUUUAAGGUGGAUGAUGCAGGAGUAAUUUGGUUCAAGAACCGGUUAGUGGUUACAAAGGUACCUGAGCUACGUCAACAAAUCCUAGAUGAAGCUCAUACCACGAGGUAUUCUAUUCAUUCGGGAAGCAAUAAGAUGUAUCAGGACCUAAAACAAAGGUUUCGGUGGACGAAAAUGAAGAUAGAGAUAGCUCGCUAUGUGGCCCAAUGUGACACCUGCCGAAAAUUCAACGCUAUUCAUCUCAAGUCCGCUGGGGAGUUGCAACCUUUGCCUAUUCCAGCAUGGAAAUGGGAUGACAUAAGUAUGGAUUUCAUAGUAGGAUUGCCCAAGAUAGCCAAAGGCUCUGACUCAAUUUGGGUCAUUGUAGAUCGUCUCACCAAAACAGCACACUUUUUACCUGUAAAGAAAUCAUAUCAUACUUCCACCUAUGCUCAGAUCUAUUUGGAUCGUAUACUAAGUCUGCAUGGGGUGCCAAAAACGAUAGUGUCAGAUAGAGGCACACAAUUUGUCUCCCAGUUCUGAAAAUGCUUACAUAAAUCCUUGGGUACUAAACUUUUAUACAGCACAGCCUACCACCCUCAAACAGGUGGGCAAACUGAAAGGGUGAAUCAAACUCUAGAAGAUCUAUUAAGAUCUUGUGCCCUAAAUUUUCCAGAUAAGUGGGAUGACUGUUUGCCUCUAGCAGAAUUUUCUUACAACAAUAGCUAUCAAGAGAGUAUCAAGAUGGCUCCCUUUGAGGCACUAUAUGGCCGUCGAUGUCGAACUCCGUUACUGAUAUGACCACGCCACCAAGCAAGAUGUCACAAGCUCCAAGUCAAGCUACACCACUCAAGUUUCACCUACACCGACACCAGCUCAAGUCAUCGAUGGACCGAUUACACGUAGUCGUGCAAAGAAGCUACAACAAGAGGUCCACGCGCUACUUUGUGAGAUUUAUUUUAACAUUAAUGAUAAUUAUAUACUACCUAAGUGUUGUACCUUGAUUGUACUCAGGUAUAUAGAAGAAGAGAAGGAAGAAUCGGACCAUGAAAAACGGACCAGUGCAAGUUCCAGAAGAAGUCAAAAACGGACCAGUGCAAAGAAUCUUCAUAACUUUUUGCUCAGAAAAGCUAUGAAGGUCCAUGAGCAUUUGUUGGAAGGCUUGAUGAGCCUACUUUCCAAUGAAUCUAGUGGCGACCAGUUUGGAUACUCCAUAUUGCCUGCAGACCAGAAUUAGUACAGACUGCUCAGAAGGUCAACAGUCUGUCGUGACAGAAUGUUGGUACAACUUGCCAAGUAAAACUGUACCAAUCUACAAGGUUUCAUGCUGGUUGGCAUACAUUGCUGGAAAGCCCUUUGAGUCUAGUUUCACACCCAAGAAAUGGUUCAUCAUUUGGACUUCCCAAUAAAAAGUUAUGGUCAGUUUAUUGGAAACUGCUCUGGAGGCCAACAGUCACGUGAAGCCACUUCGGGAAUCCAUUUCGAGGGGACCUUUCACAUUGUCUUCCCUCAGAAACUCUAUUUCGUUUUCAUACCUAUCUAGCAGGGCUGUUGCUAGUAUAAAUACCCCCUAAGACUCAUUGUAAUCUCAGACUUUGAUAAUUGAAAUACAGAACCCCUUUGUUCAGCUGCGUGCUAACAAAUCCAGAGAGUGAUCUCUACCCCUUUGCUCUUGUGAUUUCCUCGCGGGAUUACAUAGGCGGCGGCUUCAUCCGCUCCCAAUUGGUGCUCCUACUCCCUUCAAGGUAUUCCUUGAUUGAUUGUAGGCUGUGUUGGUUGGUUCCUGAGAGUGUGGUUGGGCGAAUCCUCGAUUCAGGUUGCCGGUUAAAGACGGUGGUUGGCUUCGAGUUUUAUUUGCCAGGUUGCACUAGUUAUCGCUGCUUGCAGCAAGUUAUCCGGCUGUUCUUCAGCUAGUUAUCGGUGUUGUUCCUACGUCGUGAAGAUCGGGACAACGUGACGCAUCAUCUGGUAUCAAAGCUUUCGUUACCACGGUAGGAAUUUUAUCCCUAGCUACAUAUAUAUUUUGCUUCGUCCUAUGCACCAAAAAGCCAGAAAAAUAUAUUGCUUAGACCUUUGUUUCAAUCUAUUAUUUUAGUGAGUUCGGUUAAGUUGCAGUCCAUUAGAGUCUUUGUUUUAGUUGCUGAUCAUUUAUCCUUCGCGUGUUCUUUGUGCCUCUUUUAUAUCUAAAAAUCCCCACAAAAAAAAAAUCUCUAUAGCAUAUAUCAUCCUUUGUGUUAACUUUGAUCCUAUCUAGCUACUGGUUGUUGUUUUAUUUCUGUCUUUAGUUGUGCAAGUAUCAUAAUCUGAUCCCUGUUUUUAGUUCUAUAUAUAAAAAAAAGUGUGUCAAAAAAAAAAGAAGAAAAGAAAGUGCAAAAAAAAGUGAAGUGAAAAAAAAAGUUGAGAAAGGUUCAGAGAGAAAGUCUGAAAGAUUAGUUGGUUUAUGUGCACAAGUGCUGAAAGUUUCAUAUCAAGUUCUACAACCAGUUUGCUAUCUUUGUUUGGUGCAAAACUUUGGUUGGGUCUGAUUGCAACACUUGCAUCCCAAUCAUACUCCUUGUUUGCAUCAAUUCUGAAGUUUCUUUGCGUGUGUGUGAUCCAUUUAUACACUUCGAAUCUUUUGAUCAGCACUAGGCAGAGAACUUCUAGUUUGGAUCGUUACUUAACUUUACAACAACUAGAAUUCAGAUUGCAUUCCUUGUGUGUUACUCCCCACCAAGCUCCACAUAAAAAAAACCAUCGUAAUCGGUACUCUCUGUUCUUGUAUUCGCCUCACCAUCACUUUCAGUUGCCACCACACAUUUGUUUUCCUUGUAAUCUGCAGCAGAGAAAUUCAUAAGAGCCUUGGUGGUUAGAGAGGUGAGUUGUGAGGGCCACCAAAUUUUCAUAUUCCACAAAUACAAAUUAUUUGUAUUCAGCUAACCUUACAGGAAGAUGGGUGAUGGAAUAGAGGAUUGUGUCACUUUGGCACAAUUUAAUGAACUCCGACAAAGCAUAGAAGAAAAGCAAGAUAGGUUGACACAAGAUCUUCAGAACCUUAUGACUGAAAUCAGAAGGUGUCGCCAACCUCAUGAUGGAGCAAGCAACCAUGGUGAAGAUGGAGAUAUGAGUGAUAGAAGUGCUGCUAGUAGAAGCUCAAGGGAACAAGGAAGGAGGAACCGAGGUAGGGGAAGAGGUCAAGGUCGAAGAAAUCAUGAUAAUGAAGAAUCUGAAAAAGAGGAUGAUGAUGAUCAUUCUCAAUAUCGAUAUGGUCGCCGAUAUCGUAGAAGAGGCAAUCAUGAGGAGAGGCUAGGAAAACUGAAGUUUACCAUGCCAAAGUUUGAUGGUGGGUCUGAUCCUGAAGCUUAUUUCACUUGGGAGCUGAAAGUGGAUAAAAUCUUUCGCUUGCAUAAUUAUUCAGAAGAGAAGAAGCUGGCAAUGGCAUCUCUGGAGUUUGAAGGAUAUGCUCUAAUAUGGUGGGAGCAGCUCCUCAGUGAUCGUGAAGAAGAUGGAAGACAUCCUAUUACAACUUGGGAUGAAAUGAAGAGAGAAAUGAGAAGUCAUUUUGUACCGAAGCACUAUCGGCGUGAUCUUUUUGAUAAAUUGUAGAAUUUGAAGCAAGGAAGUCUCUCUGUUGAAGAGUAUUAUAAGGAGAUGGAGAAAUCUAUGAUUAGAGCCAAUGUGUACGAAGAUGAAGAGCAAACUAUUGCACGUUUUAUGGCUGGGCUGCAUCGCAAUAUUCAGCGCAUUGUUGAGUUUCAGCCAUACCGAUAUCUUAUUGAUUUGGUACAUCAAGCAAAGCUGAACGUCAAUUGCAGCAAGAAGCUAAGAGCUGCAAGUCCUUGUCCUUUGGUAUGAGGAACAUCUCUGGAGGAAGCAGAUCAAUCACCAAGUUUUCUGCUGAACCAUCCCUGGUGAAAGGCUCAAGUGGAGGCUCACGAUCUAAUUUUCAGGGUACUUUUAGUGGAAAGAACACUGCUGUCGCAAGUUCAAAACCAGCAGCAUCAAAUACUACUUCAGUGGGUUCCACUUCCAAGAGUAGUGGAAUUCAGUGCUUCAAGUGUGGAGGCCGUGGACAUGUAUCAAGAGAGUGUCCAAAUAAUCGUGUGGUCAUUGUGAAUGAUAGUGGAGAAUUUGAAUCAGCUAGUGAAGAGGAAGCUGAGGAAGAACAUGUUGGUGAAGCCCAUGAAGAUGAGGAACGUACUGGCUCUGAAUUUGAGCAUGGUGCUGCUCUUGUGGUGACUCAAAUCUUGAGUGUUCAGAUGAAAGAAGCUGAAAAUGGGCAGCGACAUAAUUUAUUUCAAACCAGAGCAAAGGUACAUAAUAAGGUGGUGAAGGUGAUUAUUGAUGGAGGGAGCUGCCAUAAUCUUGCUAGUCGUGAGAUGGCUGAUAAACUUGGCCUGAAGCUGCUACGACACCCUCAUCCAUAUCAUGUACAGUGGCUGAAUGAUUCGGGAGAUAUCAAGAUUGGAUAUAAAGUAAACAUUCCAUUCAAGAUUGGUGAAUAUGUUGACACAGUAGAGUGUGAUGUGGCGCCCAUGUCGGUGUGUCACUUGCUGCUUGGAAGGCCAUGGCAAUAUGAUCGAUAUAGCCAACAUUGUGGGAGAACAAAUCAGUUUACUAUCAAUCUAACGGGGAAGAAGUUUGUUCUCAAGCCUAUGACACCCCAACAAAUCAUGGCUGAACAUUUACAAAAGAAAUCUGAAAUUGUUCCAGUGAGUAGAGAGGAAGGAGAGCAAAAGAAAUUGAGUGUCAUCCACAAUUCGGUGAGUGAGUGCCACAAGCCAAAUUUGAGGGAGAAAAAGAAAGGAGAGGGAGAGAAUUUAGUCAUGCUAGCCACAAAAUCUGAAAUGCGAGAAGUGAGGAACAACCCCGAACAAGUGCUCUUUGUACUUGUAUACAAAGACAUUUUAAUUUCAGCUAACGACAUGACCUCUCUUCCUAGUGUUGUGUCUCAUCUUUUGCAGGACUAUGGAGAUGUUUUUCCAGAAGAAACACCGGCGGAACUACCUCCAAUUCGUGGGAUUGAGCAUCAAAUUGAUCUCAUUCCAGGGGCUGCACUACCUAAUCGACCACCAUACCGAACCAAUCCAGAAGAAACAAAGGAGAUACAAAGGCAAGUGCAAGAACUUCUUGAUAAAGGUUUUGUUCGUGAAAGUUUAAGUCCUUGUGCUGUUCCUGUAAUUUUAGUACCUAAGAAAGAUGGUUCUUGGAGAAUGUGUGUUGAUUGUAGAGCUAUAAAUAACAUCACUGUUCGCUAUCGCCAUCCUAUCCCACGUUUAGAUGACAUGCUUGAUGAAUUAAGUGGUUCCAACAUAUUCACUAAAAUUGAUUUGAGAAGUGGAUACCAUCCGAUAAGAAUAAAAACAGGGGAUGAAUGGAAAACUGCAUUUAAAACAAAAUUUGGGCUGUAUGAAUGGUUAGUUAUGCCUUUUGGUUUGACUAAUGCUCCUAGUACUUUCAUGAGAUUAAUGAACCAUGUCUUGAGAGCUUUCAUUGGAAAAUUUGUUGUUGUCUACUUCGAUGAUAUCUUAAUUUACAGCAAGUCUUUUGAGGAACAUGUGAAUCAUAUUCGGCAAGUCUUGGAAGAGCUUAGAAAGGAGAAAUUAUUUGCUAAUCUUGAGAAGUGCAGUUUUUGCACAGACCAUGUUGUGUUUCUUGGCUUUGUUGUAUCAGGAAAGGGCAUAGAAGUGGAUGAAAGCAAGGUGAAAGCCAUCAAGGAUUGGCCAACUCCAACAAAUGAGUCUCAUGGGGGAGGAUUGACAGGCCAUUUUGGACAAAGAAAAACCUAUGAGCUGCUAGAAGAUCAUUUUUUUGGCCCAAGAUGAGAAGAGAUGUCAUCAGAUUUGUGGAGCGAUGCGUUACCUGUCACAAAGCUAAGUCUACACUGAACCCUCAUGGUUUAUAUACUCCUUUACCUACUCCUAAAACUCCUUGGGAAGACAUAAGCAUGGAUUUUGUCUUGGGGUUGCCUAGAACUCAGAAAGGAAAAGAUUCAAUUUUUGUUGUGGUUGAUAGAUUUUCAAAGAUGGCUCAUUUUAUUCCUUGUAACAAGAGCGAUGAUGCUUUACAUAUUGCUAAUUUGUUCUUCAGGGAAAUUGUGCGGCUGCAUGGAAUGCCUAGAACCAUUGUAUCUGAUCGUGAUGUCAAGUUUGUGAGCUAUUUUUGGAAAACAUUAUGGGCAAAGCUCGGAACCAAUCUUUUGUUCUCCACCACUUGUCACCCUCAAACCGAUGGACAAACUGAAGUGGUGAAUCGCACAUUGUCAAUGUUGCUGCGAACUAUGAUGAAAAAGAACCUGAAGGUUUGGGAGGAAUGUUUGCCACAUGUGGAGUUUGCAUAUAACAGGGCAGUACACUCUACCACUAAUAUGUGUCCUUUUGAAAUUGUAUAUGGGUUCAAACCUAUUGCUUCGAUAGAUUUGUUGCCCCUUCCAUUGCAGGAAAGAACCAAUAUGGAAGCCUCCAAGCGUGCUGCAUACAUCAAGAAGAUACACGAGAAGACCAAGGAAGCAAUUGAACUCAAGGCAGGACGCAAGGCUGCAAGUAUGAUCAAACAUAGGAAGAAGGUGUUAUUUGAACCCGGGGACUUGGUGUGGAUACACUUGCGCAAGGAUCGCUUUCCUCAGCAGCGCAAAUCAAAAUUGCUGCCACGAGGAGAUGGUCCAUUUCGUGUUCUUGAGAAGAUCAAUGACAAUGCAUACAAGAUUUAUCUUCCUGCAAGUUAUGGCGUGAGCAACUCCUUCAAUGUUGCUGAUCUCUCACCAUUCACAAGUGAAGACACUUUAGAGUCGAGGACGACUCCUUUUCAAGGGGGGGAGGAUGAUAUGACCACGCCACCAAGCAAGAUGUCACAAGCUCCAAGUCAAGCUACACCCACUCAAGUUUCACCUACACCGACACCAGCUCAAGUCAUCGAUGGACCGAUUACACGUAGUCGUGCAAAGAAGCUACAACAAGAGGUCCACGCGCUACUUUGUGAGAUUCAUUUUAACAUUAAUGAUAAUUAUAUACUACCUAAGUGUUGUACCUUGAUUGUACUCAGGUAUAUAGAAGAAGAGAAGGAAGAAUCGGACCAUGAAGAACGGACCAGUGCAAGUUCCAGAAGAAGUCAAAAACGGACCAGUGCAAAGAAUCUUCAUAACUUUUUGCUCACAAAAGCUAUGAAGGUCCAUGAGCAUUUGUUGGAAAGAUUGACGAGUCUACUUUCCAAUGAAUCUAGUGGCGACCAGUUUGGAUACUCCAUAUUGCCUGCAGACCAGAAUUAGUACAGACUGCUCAGAAGGCCAACAGUCUGUCGUGACAGAAUGUUGGUACAACUUGCCAAGUAAAACUGUACCAAUCUACAAAGUUUCGUGCUGGUUAGCAUACAUUGCUGGAAAUCCCUUUGAGUCUAGUUUCACACCCAAGAAACGGUUCAUCAUUUGGACUUCCCAAUAAAAAGUUACGGUCAGUUUAUUGGAAACUGCUCUGGAGGCCAACAGUCACGCGAAGCCACUUCGGGAAUCCAUUUCGAGGGGACCUUUCACAUUGUCUUCCCUCAGAAACUCUAUUUCGUUUUCAUACCUAUCUAGCAGGGCUGUUGCUAGUAUAAAUACCCCCUAAGACUCAUUGUAAUCUCAGAGUUUGAUAAUUGAAAUACAGAACCCCUUUGUUCAGCUGCGUGCUAACAAAUCCAGAGAGUGAUCUCUACCCCUUUGCUCUUGUGAUUUCCUCGCGGGAUUACAUAGGCGGCGGCUUCAUCCGCUCCCAAUUGGUGCUCCUACUCCCUUCAAGGUAUUCCUUGAUUGAUUGUAGGCUGUGUUGGUUGGUUCCUUGAGAGUGUGGUUGGGCGAAUCCUCGAUUCAGGUUGCCGGUUAAAGACGGUGGUUGGCUUCGAGUUUUAUUUGCCAGGUUGCACUAGUUAUCGCUGCUGGCAGCAAGUUAUCCGGCUGUUCUUCAGCUAGUUAUCGGUGUUCUUCCUACGUCGUGAAGAUCGGGACAACGUGACGCAUCAGUUACACUGGUCGGAACCCGGAGAAAGAUGGUUCUUCGGGGUUGACUUGGUGAAAGAGACUGAGAACAAACUGAGACAAAUCCAAAAUAACUUGAAGGUUGCUCAGUCCCGACAGAAGAGUUAUGCCGAUGAAAGACGUCGACCGUUAAGAUUCGCCAAAGGUGAUCAUGUGUAUUUGAAAGUAUCCCCAAUGAAACGAGUAAAUCGUUUUGGUGUUAAAGGCAAAUUAGCGCCCCGUUACAUUGGUCCCUUUCCAAUCCUUGACCGAUGUGGACAGGUAGCUUACCGCCUUAAACUGCCCGAACGACUAUCUGGGAUACAUAAUGUGUUCCAUGUGUCUCAACUGAAGAAGUGUCUUUGGGUACCAGACCAAGUUCAAGAUAUUGAAGAUGUAGAACUUGAACCAGAUCUAACUUAUUCGGAGUAUCCCAUCCGAGUACUGGAUCAAAGGAAGAGAGUUACUCGAAGAACGACUACCAAGUGGUACAAGAUACAGUGGAGCCAACACUCUGAAGAGGAAGCCACCUGGGAAUCUGAAGACUAUCUGCUGGAGAAUUUUCCUGAAUUCCACGCUUCUCUUUAGGACAACAUGUGAUAAAUAGGGAGUGUACUCUAGUGAAGGAAAAGAGUAGCCAAAGUCAUGUACUUUGUGUACAUGUAUGUUUAUAAUUGAGUAAUUUUUUUCCCCAACUUCUUGUUUUAUGAGAAAGUUGAAGAUAAAAGGGUUUUGACAAAUUUCCUUUUCCAUUAUGUACCCUAAGGCUUUAAAUCUCGGGGACGAGAUUUCUUUAAGGGGGAAGGGCUGUAACAUCCCCGAUGUUACGGUUACUAAAAUUUGGAUCAUGGCAUCAUCAGCAUUGCACAGCAUAGUUGUUAAGCACACCUUGAUGCAUUAACUUAAAAUGAGUUUAAUUUAGUUGGUUGUGCUUAGGAAUCUUAAGUGUGUUUGAAUUGUGUGUUGAUGCUCGUGUUGGUUGCUAAAACCCUAGGGUGAAAGUUUUCCGAAGGACUAGGGGGGGAAAACCCUGAUUUCUGGACCCUAGAAUUGCCCCUUUUUGUGCAAUUCAAAAACCAAGCAAAAUUAGAGGAUGUGCUCAAAAGCAAAGUUGUAGAUCUUGGCAAGAUGUACAACUUUGGUGUUUUGAGUUUUUGAAGUUUCAAUGCAAAAUUCAAAGUAAUUUUGAAAUUACAGAUUUCCAGAAAGUGUCCCCUUUUCCAAUUUGAACCUCUAAUUCAAAAUCCAUUUGGAAUUUUGAAAAGUCGUCAACAUGAAAGUUGUAGAGCUCAAAAAGUUGGACAACUUUCAUGUUGGAAGUUUUUCAAGUUGUUUAGGAAAAACAAAAGUAAUUUUGGAAAUUCUGAUCUGUUCUAAUUCAAAAUUUUGAAUCUUCCCAAAUUAAGUUUUGAUUUGCAAACUGUUUUGGCAAAAUCACUAGUUUCCACUCAGAAUCAGUUUGGGACACCUAAAUAUAUUUUGUAGCUCAUAAAAUUUUGCACAACUUUUAUUUUGGUGAAAACUUGGUUUCAUUUCAAAAUUUGGCCGGAUUUCACAAGGGGACGAAAGAGGGUGGAUAGGGGUUGCUACAGUGAUCCGAUGAGGAUCACCGGCCCCCUGUCCAACGCGGCCGCCGCGCGCGCAGCGCCGCGAGCGCCCGUGUGAGCACGCAGCUGCCUGCUUGCCUGUGUCACUAGGCUACGUGGACGCCCCGAGCCUGUUUCUCUCUUGCCUUAAGCACCCGCAUGGGCGGCACCGUGCGCUCUCUCCGACCAGCGCCGAGGAAACCCGACAAGCUUCGCCCUCAAAUUCGCCGUGCUCGACUCCCUUCAAACCAAAUUGACCAGUCCAUAGCAUCCGCUACCUCCUUGCGAACCCGGUGCACCCACGAGCUCCCUUUCUAACCCCCCCAAACGCCAGAGCUCCUCUCUCUUCUCCAACUCCGACCGAAAGUGCCGCCGUGAGACCCCCUCCGUGGCCGUGCUGUUCCCGUGAGUGGCACGCCUCGCUCGCGAUUGUUUCCGGAUCCUUUUCUGCCUCUUCAACUCAUGCGCUCGCUCUUUCGAUUUGGACGCGAACAGGUUCGCCGGAACGAGCUCGCCGGAGCCAGAGCACCCGCCCGACCGCACGGCCACCGUCGCCGAGCGUUUGUACCACUUCUUCCGCCGUGGUAACGUGAGCACCGUGCCCCUUAGCCUUCCCUGAACCUCCCUGCUCCCUUUGCUUGCGCUCUACCGAGCUCCAGUGACCGGUCCAUGGCCGGCCAUGGCGGCCGCCCUCCUUUCACGCGUCCGAGGUAGGAAGAGGGAGGUAGAGCGUCCGCGGGUGGUAGCUACGGAGUCGCAAGGAUAACGCGAGGUUGAUGCGCACGCUGGCGCGGGCCCAAACCUCAUCAGCGACGGCCGGAGUCAUGGUCGUGCCGCCGCGCGUGAAGAAGACGGCGCUGACAGGUGGGGCAUCCCUGUCAGCGCCCCGCUGAGAGGAGCAGGAAGGGGCGGGCCUGACGAGCGGGACCCGCUCGUCAGUGUCCGCGUGAGGGGAGGGGCAGCGCGCGCAGCGCGCGUCUGGGCCGAGCCCGCGUGGGCCGGCCUGCGGGCCAAUUUCCAGGCCACUGCGUAGUGUCUUUUUCUUUUUCCUUUUUGUGCAGUUUUUGCUAUAAGUUUGAAAUUGUGUAUUAAAUUGUGUAGUGAUCCAAAAAUAGUGAAACUUUUUGUGUAGAUUCCAGAGAAUAUAUAGAGCAUAGGAGAAAUGUUAGAAUUUAUUUCUCUGAUGGUUUGCCUGUCCAUAAAAAUCGCCUCUUUUAAUUAGUAAAUAAAACUUCUAGGAAUUUUAACAAUUUAUUUGUAUGUCCAAAAAUCACCAAACGUUGUGGGGAGUCUCUGAAUAUUAUUUCCAGACUUCACACAAAAUUUGGUGGCAGUUGGAUAAAGUUUGUAUAAAAUAUUAAUAAACCCUUAUUUAGUAAUUAAAUAAUAAUUCCAAGAUAAUUAGAUAGUGAUUAGUUAAAUCCUCAUAAUUAGGGUUGAGUGAUUUUGGGAUUAUAUGAUGACCUGAGUUCAUUAACCCUAAUGACCUUUGGCAUUUAAUUAUUGUUUGGCAUUAAUACUUAAUUGCUGUCAUUAAUAUUUAAUUAGGAAUUAACUAAGAUAAAAGAAUGAAUAAUUAGUUAAUUUAGGAUAAUUAUGAAUUAAGAAAAGUACUAAUGCAACCUCUUGGGUAAAGACACUAAGAUGUUAAACAAGUUUAAUUAUUGCUUAAUCUGUGUUGCACCGAGGCGGCCAGUUGUAUUUAACUUGGUCCCUUUUUGCAUAUUUGUCAUGCGCAUAUCAUAAGCAUUCAUCAUUUUGCGUAUAGUGCACGUGACCGAAGGAGCCCCCGUUGAACCGAACCCCGAGGUCGGUGCUCCGUUCGAAGAAGUAGGAUCCGGGACUUGGGAAGUCUCCGAGGGACCCUCUCUGCCCUGCAACCAAGGCAAGUCCCGGAUGCAUUAACCCCUCCUUGAAUGUUUUAAAUCUUUUAUCACUUAUGAAUUGAAAUGCUGCAUUAGGUAGAUAAGAAUUGGGUUAACCUACUUGCUGCAUUUACUACCUUGAUAUUUGUUAUCUUGUCCUUGGCACCCGUUUUGUUUUAAAAUUGCGUAGUGAUGCUUAGCCCUGCUACUAGAUAGGUUUUCAAACAAGAAAGUUUGAAGGGUUGUUGUGGGAUACACUAUGAUCAAUGAUGUUUCAAUUUGAGACCGGUCGGUGGACUUGCUUUAAGAAUGGAGUCUUAAAGUAGUGUCUCCAACUGUGUCGGUUAAGGACCGGUCCGUUGAUGGCCCGCUGGGUUGAGAAUUUAUAGUACUAGCCACUUGCCCUCGGCAAGCCCGGUCUUGUGAUCCCUCAACGCGAACAGCUACUCGCGCACUGGGAGUGGAAAGAUGGCGAGAGUAGUGUGUACCCACCUUACGGAUCUGGGAUGACCGGAAAACAUCUAGAUCGGCUGUAGGAUGGUGGAGUACUGUGCUCUCGGGUGCCGCGAACCUGGUCAACUUUGGGGAGAGCUUGAUUCGGGUUGACAUAUGCAAGUUUUGGUUCUACAUAUGUCGGGUGGUUAGGAACUCCAGCUGGAUUGCUAAGCGGUUCGAAUCGUCGUUGCUCCCCCAUUGGGAGACUCAAUCCACUGCCCCUCAUCGUAGUUAAAUAUGCAACUAAAUGAUAAAAUGAGAAAGGGGAAAAUGUCUCAUGAAGUUCGGAUCCCAAUUCCCGGACUCAGAGUGACAUGAAGCUAUGGCCGUUGGAUAGAUAAUACCUUGAUUAAGGACUAGGAACUUGCAGACUUGUCUGUGAGAAGCAACUAGAUAGACUGUCCUCGAACUCCUCGGCCUCUGCGGGAGAGGAAUUCGCGGGUAAAACUUGAAAGUAAGGAUGCACUAUUAGUAAGCUUGUUGGCAAAACACUUUGGCUCCUUGCUCAGCCACUCCUUUUCUACCCUAAGCCUGCAUUCCUAAGUUCUCCUCUUCUCCGCCGGGUAAGUCUUGUUGAGUACUCCCGUACUUAGGGUUUCAAUACCCCUGUUGCAGGUGAAGCUCAGGAGCCGACUUGUUUCGGACCCUGUUGUGUGACCGUCGUCAAGGUUGACGACGAAGAAGAGUAAGCGCGACCCAUGGGCAGGGUCUGUAAAUUUGUAAUCGAUGUACUAAAGUUUAAGUUGCUCCACUAGACCUGUUUGUAAUAACACUCUGCUAUUGGGAAGAACUCCUUUUGUAAAAUAAGUUAUGUAAUACUUCCGCUGUUUUACUCUGAAAUAUUAUUGUGGUACUACAAUGUCUUCGCAACGAAUGAUCCUGGUGUUAAGGUGGCCACUUGCUAUCCUGUAAGGGCGAGAAGAAGAAUUUCUCGUUAAUUGACCAUCACCAGUGGUCAGGACGAGCCGGCUUGGCACGCCACAGGUAGCAGUGGAAUGAGCGUCCAGCGAUGCUCAUCGGACUUCUAAAGUGGGAGGAUCCCCGGCAUCGCCGUCAGAGGUCCUUAGGACAAUGACAGGUGUCGGUGGGCCCAAACACUUAGGGGGUUCUGCCACAAAGCUUAGUGUCCUAAAACAAGCACUGAUCAUAUCGUAACAUGAACUUCUAAUUAUUUGCAACAUUGCCUUGUGUAUGGAGCAUAUAAAGAUAAUUGUAGAAAUAUUCCUUUGGGUAUUCUUGUCACUAACCAUUCUAGGAUUGGAGCAAUAAGAUCCGAAGAAUGACAAGCGCAAGGUAUGCCCAAACAAUCAUCAUGCAACAUUAAAUUAAAUUCAUCCAAUCUUGAAUUUUGCAAAAUUCAAGCUUGGGGGAGUACUUUACAUAAAAACAUCAUUUGCCAUGUUGCUAUGUUGGUUGUCCGUACCUUUGAGACAUGCUCAAUUUGUUAAAUACUAAUCGCACUACUUCAUCUCCAUUUAAGUAGAUCUCUAUAAAAGCCAUCAUGUUACCUAUGUUUAUGCUAGUAAGUGUUAGUUUGAAAGCACUGUACAUACUUCUAUUGGCUUUUAAAUUAAGCGUGGUGCUUAGGUUAAAUAGCCUUCCGUAAUCUGAUUAGACAUGGAGUCUAGUUUGGUUACUGAACUAAAAACUGCUUGAGUAGGCAUUCGUAUAUUUUGUCAGACUAACCCUUGCAGGAGAACUUUCAAUAUCAACCUGGGAAGUCCUGAGAUACAAACUCACAUUGGAGAUAAAGGAGACACAUGAAGUUCAACAAUUUGCACAAGAAGGACAUAGCUCAUUCAUCAUAGAGAGACGAUCCAGGAAGGAGACAAAGUACAUAAAUAAGAUACACAACCGCUAAGAAAGGAGAGCUUCCACAAGGUGCUACUAUACCAUCACUCUUCAAGUAAGGUAACAUCUUAAGGUCCUUGACUAACACUUUUAUAAGCUUCUCCUUGGUUCUGGCAUACACAUGAAUAAAAGAGACAAACAUGUAUGAUUUGUAACUGCAAAUUAACCAACCCAACUCAUUCAGCAUGUUUAAUACUUUAAUCUUUGUUCCUAGUACUAGCUCCAUGAUCCCACACUCCUAAUCAUAUAAGCUAAAAUGUUGCACAUUCAAUCUUUGGAAGAUAUAAACAAAACAUAAAUAUAGAUAGAUUAUCUUUCCAUUAGGUUGAGCCAUCUGAUCUGACAAAUGCUACACUCAUGAUCCAUCAACUUUGUCUUGCUCACUAUGCUUAAGGUUAGAGAAGAACAAAUACACUUUUGGUUCUGUUGGUGUUUUCCACCAACAGGGCCCAUGCACUUGAUCUCUGCCUUGUCUCUAUGAACAGGUACACUUCAAGCAAAACAUGGAGGAGUUUUACAACUCCCAGACUCCAGCAAGUGAAGGACCUGGAUCUACGAGCACAAACACACUGAGCAGUAUAUUACCAACACCGCACUUCGAACUGCUGAUCAAACAAAGAACAUGGGUGACUCCGUAUCGAGAGGUGCAGACGUCAAGGUCCACACCAAAUCAAAUGAUGCACCUAAAGGAUGCAGACGGAUGACCCUGGUGUUCCAAGCAUCGAGUGCACAAUCAAUGGAUACUCUAUUCAGAAGACACUCUACGACAUCGGAUCUGACGACAACAUAAUUGCCGCAGUCACUUAUCAGCUCCUGCAUGGAACCAUGCCCCUACAACCAAUAUAUAUUCAGCUCCAGAUGAUUUUCAGGUCAUUGACAUGGGAGAAGACGAGUAUGAUCCACCCACCAUCCUUGUAUGACCGUUCCUCAACACUAUCAAAGCCAUCAUCUAUAUUGGAACCGGAGAAGUCCACAUGCACUUCCCUCUGAAGAAGGCGACGCAACCGAAACCAGAGGAGGCAAAUCAUCAAGGACGGAUGGGUAGACUACGAAGGAAAAGUGGUAAGGUCUGAAGACAUACAGCUUGAACAGAACCGUCCUGAGGAGACUGUAGCACCGAGUCAGGUGUGGAAAGAGAAGAUAGUUAUAGCCGCCGAAACCACCGACUACGCCAUCCAGCGAAUCCCAGGACGACUAAGAAAACGGAGAGUCCUGUUCGGAGGACUUAAAAACACCGAACGCCUUGCCCUGAGGUAAACUUGGUAGUUAUCCUUUUUCCUUUCAACUAUUUAAAAUAGUUUGCUUAGUUAAUCAGGUUCAUAUCAUCUUGAAAAGAAAAUAAAAAUGUUAAAAAUAAUAAGCCCCAUGUGAGUAUGCUCAUGGCAUAAAACCCAUAAGUACUUUCACUGUGGUGGCGUAAAAAUAAAAUAAAUAUAUUCAUGUCCUACAAAAAUGAAAAUAUAAAAAUAAGAUUGUGAUCCUACCAAAGAGAGUAACAUUUAUUGAGGAGGCUCAACAUGAUAAAGGCUAACACCUAAUCAGUUCCACAAAGCUUUGUUUGAGCUCCACAUAAUUCAAGGAUCAAAGAAGACUAGCAGACGGAGGACAUCCUAAUCGCUGUCAGGGUACUGCUGACAUUCAAAUAUACCUCCGUCACCUCCUAGCUACAUCAGAAGAAAUUACGUCAAAAUCUAGCUUGGGGGAGAGCACCCCCAUUUAUCUAGCUAAGUGUUUCUACUCGCGUUUAUACUUUACUCAAAUAAUAAAAAGAUGCAUAAUCAUGAAAACCCAAAUAAAGAUUUUGUGCUUUUAUAUAUAUCUUUGCUUAGUUUGCUAAAUAAAUAAAUAAAUAAAGUUUGCUAUGAACCCUCAUGAUAAACUCUCACAUGGAAAUGAUGAAUAGUUGCUCUGCCAUGACUAGUUCUUAAAAUUGAAAUCUCUCUCAAGUUUAGGCAUAACUGUUAUAAUUUUAAUCUGCUCUAAACCUAAACUUGUGGGAAGAGUACUUGAUCUAAAGUCUAAGUCGUUAACGGAUAUGAUAUGGGAAGGUUGAGCUGCUGUUUAUCUGUUCCUAGAGAUGCUAGAAUUCUGGAGAAUUUUAUCUUUGAAAAUCUUUAAAAUAACACAUGAUGAGUUCCUAUAUUAUGAGAGUUUAAAUUCCUACCACUGCCAUAUAUAUACAUGCUUGCUAUACUUUGAGCCACACAUUUACUUUUUACUGCUAAUGAGCAUUGAGUGUGGUCAAGCUGUGUAGACCCUUAGGAGCUUGUCAUGCCGUUAAAAUCAAGAUUCGCUUGCACGUUCACUCACACAUGCUACUUCUACUCCGGAAGUACGCAUCCACAUACAUCCACUCAUUUCCAUCUCCAGAUUCACUUAAAAUUAUUCUACUCCUAUCCAGGAGAGAAUAGCCAAAAACAUUCUCCUAUUUCUAUUUUUCCCUGUCAAAUAAAUUCUCGAGUUAUCUUGGUUACUACCACUUGCUAUAUUAUUUAUGGAGAAGAGUGCUCUAAAAAAAGAUAAUAUGAGGAAAUAAAAAGGGGCAAGUGCCCGGAACCUCGAAGAAAAUAAAAAGUGAGACGAGAGGUAAAAAUGGACAAGUGUCCGACAGUAGAAUUAGGGGUACAAGACACCCACCUGAGAGGAAAGAAAAAGAAAAUAUAGAGCAUCUCAUUCUCCUCAAAAAGCUUUAAAGUGCAAGAAAGGUAUGUAUCCCCUAAAAAGAGCAAAAUUAGAAUUAGACUUUCACCAUCAUCACCAUACACCAUUCACUCGCCACACAUGCACAUCUUGAUUUGACCUAUUGACUUGUUCCUCUGGAUCCAUGGUUUGACUACGCAAUAAAUGUCUUGUAAGUAUGUAUUAUCUGUCUCCCACCUAUGAGCUCCAGAUAUCAAAAUCUUAUUAUAGUAGGGUGAAGGCAAUAUCACUAUGCCUUAUACCAAAAAUACCACAUACUUUGAGAGAAGGCAUAUACCAUUACUUCCUUGGUAAGGAUCCAGAAAUACCACAAAAGAGAGAUUUGAGAGAGUCAUACAAGAAAUCUCUGAGUUUUAUUUGAAAAUCUGUAAAAACUCCAGAGCUAUAGCUGAUCAAGAAUAAGAGACAAGGCACUUGAUUAGACCGUUCUAUCUUUUAACUACUCAAGACACAAGUGACGGUUACAAGCCCCAUGGUGAAAUUUAAAAUGAGUAAGUUUUAAGUCUUAACAGUUUACUCUAACUGAGAGAUGAGAUCUUUUAAGGCAUGAAACCACUGCAGAAACUCUUGAGUCCAUCCUUGCUCAGGCACGAGCAAGAGGUAAGCUUGGGGGAGUUGUUGACGGUUCUUAAGUACCAAAUAUAAUCAUCAAAUAAAUAAAGAAAAGGAUCUAAAUGCAACCAACACCUAGACUUAGGGUUUUAUUUGACAGAAUUCUACGAGUUUUGUUGUUUGUCUAUUUCUACAGGGGGUUAUCAGGAAAUACAGAAGAAAGGCCCACACGUUGGGUUGACUUAGAGAUAUUAAUGUGCCACGCAAUUUUGUCAUCUAAAAGACUCCAGAAGCCAUGGGAACGAACGGGAAGGCGAACGGGCCCGGGGGCAGGGCGCCCGCCCUCCCCCCUUGGGCGCCUACCCUGACCUGGACUCCAAUCAGAACUCUUUCCGAGGACCAAGCUCCACCAACCUAAAGGAUCAAGGAUAACCAUCCAAUCAAUGUCGGAUUGAUCCAACGGCUCACGUUCACUUGAGGAGACUAUAAAACCAGACCCCCUGGCCCCUGGAGGAGAACAAGUUCAUCCUAGAGUUGAGAGGAGCCCUCGAAGGAAUACCUCUCCUAGAGUUGUGAGUAGAAUUAGAUCUUCUAGUUUCUACUAGAUUGAGAGAGAUAGAGUGGAGGUGUAGAUCAGAGGAAGCCCCACCUGUCGAUGUCUACUCCGAGGUUGUACCUGCGGGAUCAAGUCUCCUAACCUGAGGCUUGCUCCUAGGAUUCUUCAGUAAUUUGACUUCUAAUUCUAGUAAGUUCUUGUUUUAUUGUUCUUUGAUUUAUGAGUUUACAUUAAUCUCUUCCGGUUGAGUUUAGAGUAAUCAUUGCUAGCGUAAACAUGGUGUUUGGGCUCGGGUACUCAUAGAUAUCCCCUGACUAGCUGGACCGUGGUAGUAGCGAGGAACGUGACAUUUCCGAGUUACCUUUGCAGCCCACAUCUCGUUAGCAGGACGGGUAGGUUUAUAGGUGCGGGUCAAACAUCCUUUGUGGUUUCUAGAUUCCGUAAGAUUCCCCAAUAGAAUAGUAGAUCAUCCUUACCAAGGUUAGAACGAAACUACGGUUGCAGUCUUAUCUAUACAUCGCUCACAUCGAGAAACAUUCUUUGUAGCCUAAAGGGAUAGUAGCAAUAGAUUUGGUUAGUCAGAUGCACCCUUUCUCCCCGUGGUAAAAAUAUAAAUACGAUACUCUGGAUAACCUCCGGGGCGAAAUGCUCACCGAUAUCCGUGCGCUUGCGAAUCAUUUCCUUAUUGCAUUACCAAAUAUCAACACUGAUGUUCUUUGUUUCUCUUUUGGGUAUGGGGUAUCUUUGGUGGCAUUGCCUCCUCUAGUAGUUAUGUUCUUUACCUGCUCAAUGUUAGUAGCAACAGGCAGUGCAGCAGCUAACUUUAUUAAUUUAAGCUCUACCCUUUUAUUAAGAGUGUUUUGCUCAUCAAAGGCAGUUAGUAGAAAAUCCAUUUUAUUGUGUAUAUCUUUUAGAUAUGAUUCAUUUGUAUAUAGCCUUUGUUUAACUUCAUCAUUAGUUUUGGUUUGUUGAGCAAUUAUCUCUUUUAAUGAAAGUUGCUUAAAAGUAUUACCUGAAUUCAUACCUUUGCUAUUGGGUUGACUCGAAGUGGGUUGAUAUUUGUAUGCUGUCUCAAUGGCCCUUUGAACUUCUUUGAACUUGGCCCUCUAGUCAAUCCAAUGGAGCAAAUUUUCCAUCUUGGUUGAUAAUGCUUUUAUUUAUUCUGGUAUUUCUUCAGUUUGAUGACAUUGUUGAGCUUUAUCUUGGAACCAGCUUUGGUUUUCUGCUAUCUUAUCCAAAAGUAUCUCUGCUUUUCCAAUUGUAAGCUCCAAGAAUGAUCCUUUAGCAGAUGCAUCUAGGCACUCACAAGCCUUCUGGGUUAAUCCAUGAUAGAAGGUCUGCAUAAGUAACCAUGUGGUCAUUCCAUGGUGAGGACAAUCUGAUAUGUAUCCUUGAAAAUGAUCCCAUGCUUCUGAAAUGGUUUCUAUCAUCUGCUGUUGGAAACUGACAAUAUUUCCUCUUAAGGCAGUUGUUUUGCCUAUAGGGAAAAAGUUUGAUAGAAAGGCAUCUGACAAGUUCGUCCAGUUGUUGAUGUUAUCUUGAUGAGUGUAGAACCACUUCCUCGCUUUUCCUUCUAGUGAGAAUUGAGUGUGGCAAAGCAGUAUGACGUCUUUGUCGACUCCGUUGAUGUGGAUUGUGCUUCCAAUCUCUAAGAAAUUCUGCAAGUGUGCACUAGCAUCUUCAUGUGCCUUUCCACUGGAUUGUGUAGCUUGCACCAAAUUGAUGAGGCUUGACUUGAGCUCAAACUUGGGUACUCCUUCUUCUACUGCAAAUCUUGGACCAGUUGAAAUGGUCUCAAGACUUGGAGCAAAGAAUUCUCUUAGGGUCUUCUGUGCCAUAGCUUCAGCAAUUGGUAGCUAGCUUCUUCUUCUCUUGAUUGCUUUGGUUCUGAUGAUGAAGAGUUGAAUGUACGCAAAGUCAAUCCUGAAAUACCCUUUUGUCAAGGGUAUCAGUAUGGGGUAUCCUAAUUGUUAUGCAUGAUGAGAUUACCCGUACGCAGGUCAAGGCCCUCAACUCGACGCUCUGGCCGCUCAUACGUACAGUCCUCGACAACCGCAGCCCCGAAGACGGAAAAGGCAUCGAGCGAAUCGAUCAGGGCUCGAGCGCCGCUACCGUCGAAUACGGAAGUAGGCUCGAGCGAACCGAGAGGCGUCGAGCGCAAGGACGCCGCCCGCCGCCUGACGCGCGCAUGGGAACCAGGGCAUUUAAUGCGCCUGUCGCGUUCUCACCUAACACGCCAGUCACGGGAAGCGUGAUAGGGAACAGGCAUCCGUCUCGGCAUUCUUUUUGCAGCGUUCCCCACCAAACGACCCAGAGCGUGUCAGGACACGGGAAGCAGGGAUGGAACGUCUAAUCAGGACCCCCUCGAUACACCUAGGGUCAACGCUCUGGACAGUGAAACGCUGCACGACGGCCAACCCUCGACCAGACCCGUUUCCUUCCAGGGGAAGGGUUGGACGUCGAAUGGUAACAAAGCAACCACUCUGACGGAUCCGCCGCUGUAUCAUACCGGCGUGCCACCAACGAACCUAUCCAAGACAGCGCGCAGAGCAGGAUUCCAGGGCACGCGUAAUCAUCAUCAAGCUACCAGGACAGGACGGCUCGAGACCACGCCGGUACGGAGGCCUUGAGUAGGUCAGCGCACCAUGCCUCUAUCGACCCCUACUCUGACACCUAUACUUGUACCUUGGGCUUCUCCUUGGAGCUAUAAAAGGGGAAGCCCAGGAGUGGACAUGAGCAGAUAGAGAUGAAAACUAGGCAACACCACACUCAUACGCAGUACAACUCCCACACUCCAAACCACGCUUGUAUUCACCCCUGUACAAGCACUUAGGUGCAAAAUAAUACAAACUCUCCUCCCCCGCUGGACGUAGGGCCUUCUGUUGCCCGAACCAGGAUAAAUCCUUAUGUCUUUUUGCAUCACCAUCUGGGGAAGGGAAGCACGCAUACAAAUUCACUCAUUGGUGUGACCCCCCGUGGGGAAAACACUGACAGUUGGCGCGCCAGGUAGGGGUCCUGCGUGUUUUUUCAUCGAUUUCCCAUUCUUUCCCAGAUGGCCACUCUUUCUUCACCGAUUCUGCACUCCGCGGUGAUUUGGUUUGGGAGUCUCGAGUUCAUGUCCACUGGCUCCGGCUAUGACAUGAUCUUGCUCUCGAUCAAAGGUCCGGGAGGAGCCCGCGUUGCGCCGACACGGAUGAGGGCCGCGAGACGUCCUCACCACCAUGCCUCCCCACCCAAGAAGAGGCGUGGACAGUACCACCAUCGCCCAUCUGCCUCGACACGACCGGCAGUCCGUGCCAGGCAGGAGGCAGUGCGAGAGCCGAUAACCCCUUGCACCACGGGCACGACAGCUCAGUGCCGUGAGGAUCACACGAUGACGGGAGGAGACGCACCCCGCGCACUCUCCCCCAUCGCCAGGCUACUUCCACAUAGGCUGUUUGCCUCAACAGGAGCCUUACCGUUCGGCCUGGACAAUGCCGCAGCGUCACUCGCUAGGGCGAUAUGCCCAAACGCCCAGACGUACAUGGAGAGACCAAUGGUCCUCCCACGUGACCCUAAAGCACAGCAACCGACGUCCGAGCUAUCGGAUUUCUCCUAGGUAUGAGGCCUCCGCCGCCUAGGCCCUGGACGCUACACGAUUACCUCCCUUAGAUAGCGGCUACUGGAGGAAGGAUGUGGAUGUUUCUACGCCGCUGAGCCGGACUCCGGCUCGGAAUCCGACAGCCACGACCCUACUAGGGAGUGCUUCCAUAUCGAUGGAGCGGUGGAAACCACCGACGAGACACAAGACGCCGUUGCGGGUGGCCGAGCCCCCGCAGCGAGAGAAGACCCCAGGACUCCUUGGAAUGACGGUCAGGUCAACCCCCCUCCGCAAGAAGACAGAGCUGCGCAAAUUGUGCAGCUACGAGAGCUCAAGGCAAAACUUGACGAGGACCGCGAGUGCAUUGUCCUGCUUGAGCAGAUCCUCGAGCAGGACUUGCCUUACCCGCCUGGCGGAAGUGUCCGCAGACGAGCUCGAGACGUACAUCGACAGAUCGUUGGAGACGCAGAGCCAGAACAGCCCGUAAGCCAUUUUCCUCGAGCAGGCCAGAACGUCAUGGCAGCAACAAUGCUACUGCGAAACAUGCCGGAGCCGUCGAACUCCCAAGCUCGACACAUUCGAGACGAGGUGCAGACACUACUCCAGGUGGCGGCAGUUCAACAGGCCGAAAGCUCGGCUUCACGACGUCGAGGAGCUGCCACUGAAAAAGCGAUGAGCCAGCCCAAAAUGAAAUGGAGGUAUCAGUCCAUCAGCAGCCGCCUCCUCGAGGUAGAAAGACCACGCUCGUUCUCCCCGCGACAAUCAGCGUCGGCACGACGCGCGACGUGACAUUGAAGAAAAUCGACGCCGUCGGUACAGGGACGCGGAAGAGCGCGGUUACAGUGCCCAUCGCGGUGGGAGGUACGACAGUGACAAAGAUCGGAUGGCUCCAGAGCCACCAGGCCCACGGGUGUUCAGCAGGGCAAUCCAUAGCACGCCGCUGCCCAGCCCGUUCCGACCCCGACCAGCAUCGCGAAGUAUAACGGAGAGACCAAACCAGAACUGUGGCUGGUAGACUUCAGGCUGGCUUGUCAGCUGGGAGGCGCUCGAGGCGACGAUCGAGCCAUCAUCAGACACCUGCCGCUCUUCCUCUCCGACACCGCCCGCAGAUGGCUCGAGGAGCUCCCAGCCGAUCAGAUCCACGACUGGGUCGAUCUGGUUAGAGUUUUCGAGGGAAAUUUCAAAGGGACCUAUAUACGGCCUGGGAACUCAUGGGACCUCAGCAAGUGCAAGCAGAAGUCAGGAGAAACUCUUCGAGAGUAUGCUCGACGCUUCUCAAAGCAACGCACCGAGCUACCGCACAUCCCUAAUCACGACGUCAUCCUAGCCUUUGUCUCUGGUACCACCAGUCGAGACCUGGUAUGGGAAUUAGGCCGGAAUCACCCUCAGACCAUCGACGAGCUGAUGGAUGUUGUGGCCAACUACGCGGCAGGAGAAGAAGCGGUCAGCGCUUUCUUCAGCUGUGAAGGAAGGAAAGGCAAGCAGCCCGCCGACGACGACAAAGGUCCCAGUCGAGGUCCCAAGAAGAGCAAGAAGAAGAAGAAGAUCUGGCCGUUCCAACAGGAAGACCUCAACGACGAUCUCGUCGCUGCCAUGGAACGCAAAAAGCCUCGAGGCCCCCCAGAUGGGGGCAUCUUCGAUAAGAUGCUAGAAGAGCCAUGCCCUUCCAUAAGGGAGGAGCCAACCACAAGCUCAAGGACAGUCGUAUGCUGAGAAAGCAUUUCGAUGGUCUGGGGUUCAGGAAGGACGCGCGCGACGACCCAAAGAAGGAGAAGGGCGCUGAUAAGGAGGACAACACGGCUAACGACGGUUUCCCUGCCGUCCAUGACUGCUACAUGAUCUACGGUGGACCCUCGACGUAGUUGACCACAAGACAGCGCAAGAGGGAACGUCGUGAGGUGUUCGUGGCAAGGAUGGCGGUGCCCCAGUACCUCAGCUGGUCGAGCACCCCCAUCACCUUCGUUCGAGAGGACCACCCCGACAAAGUAGUCGCCCCUGGCAUCUACCCGCUUGUUGUCGACCCCAUCAUCAUCAACACCCGGCUCUCAAAGGUGCUGAUGGAUGGCGGCAGCAGCCUCAACAUCAUCUACCUCGAGACCCUCGACCUCCUAGGCAUCGACAGGGGGCGGCUCCAACCAAGCGCCGGCGGCUUACAUGGCCUCGUACCAGUAAAGAAGGCGCUGCCGGUUGGUCGAACCGAUCUACCGAUCUGUUUUGGCACGACGGCCAACUUCAGAAAAGAGACCCUCACCUUUGAGGUGGUGGGGUUCUGAGGCACGUACCAUGCCAUCAUCGGACGACCGGGUUACGCCAAAUUCAUGGCUAUAUCCAACUACACCUACCUGAAGCUAAAGAUGCCCGGCCCUAAGGGCGUCAUCACCGUCAGCUCCUCCUUUGAGCACACAUAUGAGUGCGACGUCGAGUGCGUCGACUAUGGAGAGGCAGUUGAGAGUUCCACCGAGCUCGCCUCAAAGCUCGAGGCCCUGGCCGCUGAGGCUCCAGAGCCUAAGCGCCACUCGGGCAACUUCGAGCCGGCGGAAGGAACCAAGAAGAUCCCGCUCGACCCCAACAACUCCGACGGCAAGGUGCUGACGAUCAGCGCCGACCUCGGCCCCAAAUAGGAAGCCGUGCUCGUUGACUUUCUCCAUGCAAAUGCCAACAUGUUUGCAUGGAGUCCCUCGGACAUGCCGGGCAUACCGAGGGAAGUCGUCGAGCACUCCUUGGAAAUUCGAGCCAGUUCCAAGCUAGUGAAGCAGCGGUUGCGCCGAUUCGACGAGGAGAAGCGCAAGAUCAUUGGCGAGAAGAUCCAAAAACUUUUGAUGGCCGGAUUCAUCAAGGAGGUUCACCAUCCCAACUGGUUAGCAAAUCCUGUAUUAGUUAAGAAAAAGAAUGGGAAAAUGAGGAUGUGUGUCGAUUAUACAAGUUUAAAUAAAGCAUGUCCGAAGGUUCCUUUUCCAUUGCCACAUAUUGAUCAAAUUGUAGAUUCUACUGCGUGAUGUGAAACCCUUUCUUUCCAUGAUGCAUAUUCUGGUUACCAUCAAAUAAAAAUGAAAGAGUCCGACCAGCUCGCGACAUCUUUCAUUACACCUUUUGGGAUGUAUUGUUAUGUGACCAGGCCGUUCGGGCUUCGAAACGCAGGGGCCACAUAUCAGCGCUGCAAGCUCCACGUGUUUGGCGAACACAUAGGGUCGGCUGUCGAGGCCUAUGUCGACGACAUCGUCGUCAAGUCAAAGCAGCGGGAAGACCUGAUCCAGGACCUCAAAAUCGCUUUCAGCUGUUUACGCGCCAACCAGAUCAAGCUCAACCCCAAGAAGUGCGUUUUUGGCGUACCUCGAGGCAUGCUCCUGGGUUACAUCGUUUCCCAGCACGGCAUCGAGGCCAACCCUGAGAAUGUCUCGGCCAUCACAAGAAUGGGGCCGAUCCGAGACAUCAAGGGCGUACAAAGGGUAACGGGAUGCCUAGCGGCGCUGAGUCGUUUUAUCUCGAAGUUGGGAGAAAAGGCGUUGCCCCUGUACCGACUUCUGAAGAAAGUCGAGCGCUUCUCUUGGACCCCCGAGGCCGAGGAAGCCCUCGAAAACUUGAAGAAAACAUUGACCUCAGCGCAAGUCCUGGUCCCAACUCAACCUACAGAACCGCUGCUCCUUUAUGUUGCCUCGACGACCCAGAUCGUCAGUGCAGCUGUGGUGGUCGAGAGGCAGGAGGAGGGGCAUGCAUUGCCUGUCUAGAGGCCGGUCUAUUUCGUCGGUGAGGUACUCUCGGAGACCAAAGCGCGUUACCCACAAAUCCAGAAGCUGAUCUACGCCGUAAUCCUCGCCCGACGCAAGCUGCAACACUACUUCCUCGGGCAUCCUAUCACAGUGGUCUCAUCCUUCCCCUUGGGAGAGAUCAUCCAAAGUCGAGAAGCCACGGGAAGAAUCGCCAAAUGGUCGGUCGAGCUCAUGAGUGAGACUCUCAAUUAUGCGCCCCGUAAGGCUAUCAAGUCGCAAGCUGUGGACGAUGUGCUUCGACGGAUCCCUCAUGAAGACGGGAGCUAGGGCACGCCUGCUGUUCAUCUCGCCUCUUGUCGACGAAAGCUAGUCGGCAGUCUACCUUGGGGUAUACCCACGGUAGUAGUUUAUCGGUAGACGGUGCGCAAACUACGAACUCGAUGGUGACGCAAGACACAGACAAGCUUUUUAUCCAGGUUCGGCCGCCGGGUUGGCGUAAUACCUACGUCCUGCGUCUAAUUGUAUUGGAUUGUGUUGAGAGAUAACGUGUCCUAGGCGGGUGUAACACUCUCGUGUUAAGCGAACUAAAAACGGAACAUGUCAUCAUGAGCAUUGCAUCGUAAAUUCGUUAAGCACACACUAAUGCAUUAACUUAAAAUAAGUUUAAAUUGGAUGAAUGUGUUUAGGAAGUAAAGUGUGUUUAUUUUAUGUAUGGAUGCUUGUUUUGGAGUUUAAAAACCUUGGGUGAAAGUUUUUCCGAAAAGCUUAGGGGGGGAAACCCUAGUUUUCAAAACCCUAGAUUUGCCCCUUUUGUGUAAUUUAAAAACUAAGCAAAAUUUGAAGUUGAGUUCAAAAGCAAAGUUGUAGAUCUUGUCAAGAUGUACAACUUUGAUAUUUUGAGUUUUUGAAGUUUCAGUACAAAAUUCAAAGUAAUUUUGAAAAUACAGAUUUCCGGAAAGUGUCCCCUUUUCAAACUUAAAUCUCCAAUUCAAAAUCUGUUUGGAAUUUUGAAAAAUGGUUAACAUGAAAGUUGUAGGGUUUGAAUAGUUGAACAACUUUCAUGUUGGAAGUUUUUCAAGUUGUUAUGCAAAAUCAAAAGUAAAUUUAGAAAUUCUGUUUUGCCCCAAUUCAAAAAUUUGGAAUUGAGCUUGAAUUUCAAACUGUUUGGCCAAUUUAGCUAUUUUCCACCCAGAAUUAGCUCUGGCCACCAAAAGAUGUUUUGUAGCUCACAAAAUUUUGCACAAGUUUCUUUUUGGUGAAAAGUUGACUGCAGUUCACUUUUUAGUCAAUUUUUGCAAAACCAGACAAAAAGGGGGGGGGAUAAGCUUUGGCUCCUGUUCAUGGCGGUGGACACCCGGGUCUGGAUCGGUGAAUGCCAGCGCAUGGCCACCGUUUUACCUCGUCCACGCGCGUGUUCACGUCCGUGACGAUGUGGAGCAGCUGCUGGCAACCAGAGGUGUGACGUGCCCUUCUCUGCUGCGCUCGUCGACUCCAUUUCCGCCACCGGAGCACCGAGGAGCAGUAUCUCGUCCCCAUCCAUAUUGGCCGUGCUCGAUUCUCCUCGCAUCAAAUUGAGCUGUCCAUGAUGUUCGCCACCUCCUUGCGAAUUCAGAACACCACCAAGCUCGCCCCAUAACCCUCUCAAUCGCCGGGACGUCUCCAUCCUCUCCUUCUCCGGCCAGAACUGCCGCCGUGGGUCUUUUCCCGUGGCCACGGUAUUCUGCUCGGUAUCAUGCUUAUCCGGCCGCUGUUUCAAGUUCUACUUGUGUUCUAGUAGCUCAUGCGCUCUCUCUUUUGCUUUGGGCACGAACAGAAUCGCCGAAACGAGCUCGCUGGAGCCGGAGCGCCCGCCCGAUCGUGCUGUCUCCGUCGCCAGUGACAUCCGCUGCUUCCCCGAGCCUUGCAGCGUGAGCACCACCCUCCCCAACCCCUGUGGAAGCUCGCUAGACCGUCGGUUUGCGCUCUAUCGUAUCCUGAUGGCCGGACGAUGGUCGGCCAUGGAGGCCGUCCGCCGGUGACGUGGUUGUGAUAGACAGAGGACGGUAGAGCGCGAGUGAGGGGUAGAGAUCGAUCCGCGGAAGUGAGGCGGAGCCGAUGCGCGCGCGCGCGGAGGCCGAGGACCUCGCUAUCGGCCGCCGGAGUCGCGGCCGAGCCGCCGCGCGUGUAGGGGAUAGAACUGACAGGCGGGGUCUACCUGUCAGUGUCCCGCUGAGAGAGGGCGCGCGCGCAGAGCGGAUGCGGGCCGGAAGUGCGGAUGUGGGCCGGUCUGCGGCCCAGUUUCCAGGCCUUUUCACUGCGCUGUUUUCUUUUUCUUUUUCCUUUUUGUUCAAAAGUGAUUGAUGUUUGAUUUUAUGUAUUAAAUCAUGUGCUGAUUCAAAAAUUGUGAAAAUUUUUGUAUAGAUUCCAUAAGAUGAGUAGAACACAUGAAAAAUAUUAGAUUCCAUUUUCUGGCAGUUUGCAUAUAUAUGAAAUUGCCCCUGUUUAAUAAUAAAUAAAUCUUCCAUGAUUUUUAGUAAAUUAUGGGUAUAUCCAAAAAUCAUGAAAUUUAAUAUGUGAGCUUGUGUUAAUGUUAUUUAGCUUCAUGAUUAAUUUCAGCUCUGUUUGAUCAAGUAUGCUCUGUUUCUUGAUAAAGUUAUUUAAAAUGCUUAUAAAAGAAAUAGAAAUAAUUAAUCCCUUUAGGGUUUGGGUGAUAUUUUGGAUUGUUUGACAACCAUGGUUACUUAGCAUGAUAUGCUCCCUGGUUAUGGUUUAAUUCAUGUAAAUGAUCCUUGUGAUAUGAUAGGUCCACAACAUUGCAUAAUAAAGAUGAUAAAACUUGUUUAGAAAUAAUCUAUGUUUUUGGGUAGCUAAGUUAGUUGUUUUUAUACCGUGAAGGUGAUUUGUACUCAAGAUAAUCAUAUUUUGUCGUUAUCAUCCAAGAACAUGUAACCUGUCUUUAUCAUGCCAUGAGUAUAUCAUAAUCAUGCAUAUGCACUUUUACGUAUAGAAUACGCUCCGGAAGAAUCUGAUCCCCAGUGGGUUUCUUCCGAGUUUGUGGAUUCUUCGAGUGUUGUUGAGUUGCCGAACUUCCCUUCCGGUCAAGGCAAGCCCCGGACAUUAAACCCUAUCCUUGUAUUUUCAUAAAGUUAUUUAUAUCACUUGAGUUAAUAUGAUGCAUUAGGUGAAUAGGAGUUGAGUGAAUCCUAUUUGCUGCAUUAUCUACCUUGAUGAUUUCCAUGUUAACCUUGGUACUUGCUUUAUGAAAAUGCUUAGUAUGCUUAGUCCUGCUUAUUAGAUAAGUUUUCAAAUGAAAGAGUUUGAAGGGUUGUUGUGGAAUACUCUUAUAGUUAAUGAUGUUCAAUUUGAGACCGGUCGGUGGACUUGCUUUAAGAAUGGAGUCUUAAAGUAGUGUCUCCAACUGUGUCGAUUAAGGACCGUACCGUUGAUCGGCCUGUUGUGAUUGAGAACUUUGAGUACAGCCCACAUGCGGCGGUAAGCCUUACCUAUAGCUAUUCCGAUACUCGAGAACAGCUAACCGCGUACUGGGAGUGGAGAGAUGGCGAGAGUAGCGUGUACCCACCUUACGGAUCUGAGAUGACCGGAAAACAUCUAGAUUGGCUGUAGGAUGGUGGUGUACUGUACUCUCGGGUGACGCUGGACCCGUUCUUGUAUGGGAGGAUCUAUAGAAAAGGUUGACAUAUGCAAGAUUAAGUUCUACAUAUGUCGUGUGGUACUGAAUCCCCAGCUGGGUUUAAUCGAUUCGAAUCGCCGUGUUUCCUCGGAUAUGGAGCCUCAAUCCUCACCCCAUCAUCGUAGUAAUCAGUGAAAUUUUUGGUAUAAGAAAGAGGUGAUUUGCUUAUGAAAGUUGGAUAAUGAUCUUGGUUAGUUAUAAAUGAUAAUCUUGAGUAAAACUUGAAAGUAGGCUUUACUCUUAGUAAGCUUUUGUGCAAAAGAAAUACUUGAUCUUGAUUAAGCCUUACCUUGAAUCCCUAUAGCCUGCAUACCUGAGUCUCCACCUCUUUUAUAGUCGGUUAAGUCUUGUUGAGUACUUUUGUACUCAGGGUUUUAUUAACCCAUGUUGCAGGUGAAUCUCUUGAGUAUCCUUUUGAUGGUCAUGGUUAUUUUACUCUUGUGGAGGAGAGUGAUGAUGAUGAACCUGAUGUGUGACCUUGGGCAAGUAAAAACUUGUUGAGUGAUCUAUGGUUUAUGUAAUAUAAAGUUCCGAAGCUUUUAUGUAUCAAAUACUUAUGGUUUGUAAACUAUGAACUUAAGUUUCAAUAUAUGUUAUGUAACCUUUCCGCUUUUACUCUGAUUUCUCUUAUCUAUGAAAUGUUGUAAUACUGUGAUGCUUGAUGAGGGAAUUCCUGAAAAGAUUGUUACGUGGAUGAUUCGGGUUUCCCGAGGACGCCCGACAGACUUCUUGAGUCAUUUGGAACUCGUGCACGUCGAUCAGAAGUCUUUGGGACAAUGAUGUGUGCAUGUGGGCCACUUAAUUCAGGAGGUUCUGCCACAGCUGGUAUCAGAGCAGGUUUCCCUUAGAAAGUAUAGCAGUAUUCGGUUUUGAAAACUUCAAAAGCUUUUAAGUCAAACCAAAUUUCAAAUUAGUUUGGGUCCAAAUUGCUUCUAAACUUGUCUUAUGCUUCUAACUUGUCUCAGUUCAUUCUUUAGACUUAUCCUUCUAUCUAAAUGGAUAUGUUCUUAGUAUAAUUAUGGUGAUAUUUAUAUACAAGGAACGAUGCUUAUAAUGUUAUAAUAUUGCCCUAUUUAUGAAAAGAACGUUUAUGCACUUUUAUAUCAAGUGCCUAAUUUAAAGUUAAUUAUUUAUUUGAUGUAUGCUUUGUUCGUAAGUACGUUUCAUGCAUCAUUAUUGAAAACAUGUAAUAGACCUUCCUCCUUAAAAGUUGUUAAUAAUUAGAGGUAAUAUGUCCAUCUAAUUGUAAAACUCUAUCCUUUAACCUUGGAACAUAUAUAGUUCUAAUAUUCAAAAUAAAAAUAUUUUGGCAGAUGGCUCGUACCCGUCUAACCGCUCGCAAGUCCACCGGAGGUCGUGUCCCCAGGCACUAGUUGGCAUCAAGGGAUCCGCCACCCUCCGACAGCAGCGACAGCAGCACUGACAACUCCAGCGACGGAAACGGGAGUGACACCAGCGGAGGUCCUCCUUCGCCAAGGACCUACAGGCUUAUGAAGAAUGAUCUGCGCCUGAUGCUCACUGACAACAUCAAUAUGGAAGUUCAGCUGUACCAUAUGGCUGGGUAUGUGGUCACUCUUGAGGCCUAUGCCAACACCCUCCAUGAGGAAGUGCACCAGCUGCAGGAUGCCCUCAAUCCACCCGAGGCUCCUGAAGCAGCAGAGGAAGGACCAGUUGUCAUCCAAGUGGAUAGUGAUACUUCUGAGGAUGAAGCAGAGGAGUCAGGAACUCCCACUCCAGAUGAGGGUGUUACCACCAGUGAGUCGGAUAUGGAUGACAACUAGGUGUUGAGUAGGCACGAAGUAUGACCGAGUGUGAUCUUCUGACUUUGUAACUUAGUUAGUCAGAAAACCUCUAGUAUGGGAAGUGUGUAAGAUAGUGGUUUCGGAAGUCCUGCCCAGGAGCGGACUUGUAUGAUAAAUAAGAUGAACUGUUUGUGCUAUGUAAGCCAUGAUGUAUGAUGUUUAAGUAAGUAUGUUAAUUAAAGUGUGAUGUGUUUUUAAACAGAUGUCUGCUAACAACCAUGGAGCUAGUUCGUCCCAGGGUGGGGAUGAUUUUCCUAAUGCACCACCCGUUCCACCCUCUUUGGCUGAUGCAAUUGCAGCAUUGGUCAAUGCAACAACUCUGUUAGCACAAAACCAGAAUGUUGGUCAGCGUGGCCGUGGUCGCCAUAACCGAGAAGAAACCACAUAUGUUGACUUCACCGAUACUCGUCCCCCAGUUUUCACAAAGGCUGAUGAACCUCUUGAAGCUGAGGAUUGGCUCCGCACUAUGGAGCAAAAGUUCAGUCUCAUCAACUGUACUGAAACCCAGAAGCCAGUUUUCGCCGCUCAGCAGCUGAGGGGAGCAGCAGGGGUUUGGUGGGAAAACUUAUUGGCUGUUCAACCAGCCCGCCACCGAAUCACUUGGGGAGAAUUCAAGGAAGCCUUCAGGGCUCAUUACAUUCCCAAGGGAGUUAUGAAAAUGAAGCUUGAAGAGUUCUUAGCUCUCCGUCAGGGGGAUGACUCCGUUAUACAGUAUAUUGGAAAGUUUAAUCAUCUGUCCCAAUAUGCAAUUGAGCAAGUCAACACUGAUGAAAAGAAGAAGGAAUGUUUCAUGAGAGGCUUGAAUACGAAGCUCCAGCUAAUGAUGGCAGCAUGUGGCAAUAUAUCUUAUCAUGAGGCAGUGAACAUCGCUAUCUCCAGUGAAGAAAAGAACCGCAAACAUAAGGAGGCUAAGAAGAAGAAGGGGUUUGUCUCAGGGUCUGGAUCAUCUGGUGGCAACAAGAAGCGCCAGAGGCUCAUGUAUCAUCCGGCUCAGCAAUUCCGCCCAUCUUAUCGUCCUUCUUGUCAGCCGCCUCAGCAGCAGAAUAUGCAGAGGAGUUUUGCAAGGCCGACAAUGCCGUUCAAUGUUCAACGUCAGCCAAAUGCUCCUGCUAUCCGUCCGCCAAUACCACAAGCUGCCAACAACCCUUGUUACAAUUGUGGGAAGAGUGGACAUUUUUCUCGUGAAUGUCCAUAUCCAAGGCAAAAUGUUCCAAAUGUCAAUGCACCAAGGCCAGUUGGAAAUCAACAAGCAAAUCAGAACAAAGGUCAUGCCCAGAAUCAGCAGAAGGGUAAGGGUACUCAGAAAACAGGAAGGGUUUUCCAUACUCAAGUUGAAGCUAUACCUGAAGGAGAACCAGUGAUGCUUGGUAUGUUCCCUGUUGCCCAACAACCAGCACUUACACUUUUUGAUUCUAGUGCAUCACAUACUUUCAUGAAUAGAGCAUUUGCGGAAAAGUAUAAUAUACCUAUUGGUGCAACCAAAGAUGAGUUCUUUAUACAGUCACCUGGGGGUCGACUAUGCACUAAGGAAAUGGUACAUCAGGUGCCAAUAGAUUUGGGUGGAUAUAUAUUUCCAACAUCCAUGAUAGUGUUAAAAGAUCCAAGUAUAGAUGUAAUCUUGGGUAUGAACUGGAUGAGUCAGAGAGGUGCAGUUAUAGACACCUUAAAUAGAACCAUCAAGGUCAACUUACCUAAUAGCAAGUCUCAACUUCUUAUCCAUCUUCCUACCCUUAAGAGAGCAGUUGAGCAAGUGUGUGCUAUCUCUGUCAAGGAAAUCAAGGAUAUUCCAGUGGUCUGUGAGUUUCCUGAUGUGUUUCCAGAAGAUUUACCUGGUCUGCCACCUGAUCGUGAUGUGGAGUUUGAGAUAGAACUCAAGCCAGGAACAGCACCAAUAUCUAGAAGAGCUUAUAGAAUGCCACCAAAAGAAUUAGCAGAAUUGAAAACUCAGUUGCAAGAAUUGAUGGAUAAAGGUUUCAUUCGACCUAGUUCAUCACCAUGGGGUUGUCCGGCAAUCUUUGUGAAGAAAAAGGACAAUACCUUGAGGUUAUGUGUGGACUAUCGUCCUUUGAAUGAGGUAACAAUCAAGAAUAAGUAUCCUUUGCCCCGUAUUGAUCUUCUCUUUGAUCAACUAACUGGUGCUAAGGUAUUUUCAAAGAUAGACUUGAGAUCUGGGUAUCAUCAAAUCAAGAUUAAACCAAAAGAUGUUCCAAAAACGGCAUUCACUACCAGAUAUGGCUUGUAUGAAUAUCUGGUCAUGUCUUUUGGUCUGACAAAUGCCCCAGCACAUUUUAUGUAUCUGAUGAAUUCAGUGUUCAUGCUAGAGUUAGAUAAGUUCGUGGUGGUAUUCAUUGAUGACAUUCUCAUCUAUUCCAAAACUAAAGAAGAGCAUGAAGAGCAUCUCAGGAUAGUGUUGACUCGCCUGAGAGAACAUCAGUUAUAUGCUAAGUUUAGCAAAUGUGAAUUUUGGAUAGAUGAAGUUCAAUUUUUGGGUCAUGUCCUGUCAGCUGAAGGUGUUGCAGUAGAUCCUAGCAAAGUUCAAGAAGUUCUUGACUGGAAGUCACCAACUUCAGUACAUCAAGUUCGGAGUUUCUUAGGAUUAGCGGGGUAUUAUCGCAGGUUUAUCCCUGACUUCUCCAAGAUCUCUAAACCAAUGACAACACUGCUGAAGAAUGAUACCAAGUUUGUGUGGUCAUCCGAGUGUGAAGAAGCUUUUCGGACUUUGAAAAAGUUGUUGACCACUGCACCAGUGCUAGCUCAACCUGAUAUUGAAAAAUCUUUUGAUGUGUAUUGUGAUGCUUCAGGCAAAGGCAUUGGGUGUGUACUAAUGCAAGAAGGCAGAGUCAUUGCAUAUGCUUCACGACAACUUAAGCGUCAUGAAGAGCAUUAUCCAACCCAUGAUCUAGAGUUGGCAGCUGUAGUCCAUGCUCUGAAGAUCUGGCGACAUUAUCUAUUGGGCAAUACUUGUCACAUAUAUACUGAUCAUAAGAGUUUGAAAUACAUCUUUACUCAAUCAGAGUUGAAUAUGCGUCAGAGAAGAUGGUUAGAACUGAUAAAAGAUUAUGAUAUUGAAGUACACUAUCACCCAGGUAAAGCCAAUGUAGUGGCAGAUGCACUCAGUCGAAAGAGUCAUUGCAAUUGUCUGGAAGUUAAGCCGAUAAACCUUACCUUGUGUUAUGAAUUUGAGAAGUUAAGUCUUGAAAUAAUUCCACAAGGAAGUCUUGCAAAUAUGACAGUUCAGUCAUCUAUCAAAGAUCAGAUUAUUACAGCUCAGAAAGAAAAUAAGGGUAUGAGCUUUUUGAAAGAAAAGAUUCAGUCUGAACAGAAUUCCAAGUUCAGAAUAGAUGAAGCUGGAGUGAUUUGGUUCAAGGAUCGUUUAGUAGUUCCAAAAGUCCCUGAACUCAGAAAACAAAUUCUUGAUGAAGCUCAUGCAACAAGACUUUCAAUCCAUCCAGGCAGUAAUAAGAUGUAUCAUGAUUUGAAACAAAGAUUCUGGUGGACUAAGAUGAAGCUUGAAAUUGCUAGUUAUGUGGCUAGAUGUGAUACUUGUCAAAAAGGGAAAGCAAUUCAUCUUAGGUCUGCGGGAGAAUUGCAACCAUUGCCAAUUCCAUCUUGGAAGUGGGAUGACAUUAGUAUGGACUUCAUAGUGGGUCUACCCAGAACAAUGAAAGGGUUUGAUUCCAUAUGGGUUAUUGUUGAUCGUCUGACCAAAUCAGCUCAUUUCAUUCCUGUAAGAAAGAAGUAUUGAGCUUCCAUCUAUGCUAAGAUAUACUUUAACAGAAUUGUAAGUUUACAUGGUAUUCCAAAGACUAUCGUAUCUGAUAGGGGGACGCAAUUUGUAAAUGCUUUCUGGAAGCACUUACAUAAGUCCUUGGGUACUAAACUUUUGCAUAGUACAGCUUAUCAUCCACAGACUGGAGGUCAGACUGAAAGAGUCAAUCAGAUCUUAGAAGAUAUGCUAAGAUCUUGUGUGCUCAGUUAUUCAGAGAAAUGGGAUGAAUGCUUGCCUUUAGCAGAAUUCUCUUAUAACAAUAGUUAUCAAGAAAGCAUUAAAAUGGCACCAUUCGAAGCUUUAUAUGGCAGAAGGUGCAGGACACCUUUGAAUUGGUCAGAACCUGGAGAACAUAGUUUCUUCGGGGUUGACUUGGUCAAAGAAGCCGAAGAGAAAGUCAGGCUCAUUCGAGAUAACAUGAAGGUAGCACAGUCCAGGCAAAAGAGUUAUGCCGAUAAGAGACGUCGAUCUCUUAGCUUUGAGGUUGGUGAUUAUGUAUACCUCAAAGUGUCACCUAUGAAAGGAGUCACUCGUUUUGGAGUAAAAGGAAAAUUGGCACCUCGAUAUAUAGGUCCAUAUCAAAUCCUUGAAAGAUGUGGAAAGGUGGCAUAUCGUCUAGAUUUACCACCACAGUUGUUAUCAGUACACAAUGUGUUCCAUGUCUCUCAAUUAAAGAAAUGUCUUCAAGUGCCUGACCAUAUCAUUCAUGUUGAAGGAAUUGAGUUAAAGCCUGAUCUGACAUAUUCAGAGUAUCCUAUCAAAAUUCUGGAUCAAAAAGAUCGAGUUACUCGUAGAAGAACUAUCAAAUAUUACAAGGUGCAAUGGAAUCAACAUACCGAAGAUGAAGCCACGUGGGAAUCCGAAGAGUUUCUCUUAGAAUGUUUUCCUGAGUUCUUUUCUUCUGUCUUAUCCUUGUAAUCUAUAGUAUAAUGAUCUACCCCUGUUUUUGUAAAGGUUGGUUUUGGAAGUGCUUGACAAACUUCCUUUUUCAUUAGUUAGACUUUAAGGUAAAUCUCGGGAUGAGAUUUCUUUAAGGGGGAAAGAGCUGUAACACUCUCGUGUUAAGCGAACUAAAAACGGAACAUGUCAUCAUGAGCAUUGCAUCGUAAAUUCGUUAAGCACACACUAAUGCAUUAACUUAAAAUAAGUUUAAAUUGGAUGAAUGUGUUUAGGAAGUAAAGUGUGUUUAUUUUAUGUAUGGAUGCUUGUUUUGGAGUUUAAAAACCUUGGGUGAAAGUUUUUCCGAAAAGCUUAGGGGGGAAAACCCUAGUUUUCAAAACCCUAGAUUUGCCCCUUUUGUGUAAUUUAAAAACUAAGCAAAAUUUGAAGUUGAGUUCAAAAGCAAAGUUGUAGAUCUUGUCAAGAUGUACAACUUUGAUAUUUUGAGUUUUUGAAGUUUCAGUACAAAAUUCAAAGUAAUUUUGAAAAUAUAGAUUUCCGGAAAGUGUCCCCUUUUCAAACUUAAAUCUCCAAUUCAAAAUCUGUUUGGAAUUUUGAAAAAUGGUUAACAUGAAAGUUGUAGGGUUUGAAUAGUUGAACAACUUUCAUGUUGGAAGUUUUUCAAGUUGUUAUGCAAAAUCAAAAGUAAAUUUAGAAAUUCUGUUUUGCCCCAAUUCAAAAAUUUGGAAUUGAGCUUGAAUUUCAAACUGUUUGGCCAAUUUAGCUAUUUUCCACCCAGAAUUAGCUCUGGCCACCAAAAGAUGUUUUGUAGCUCACAAAAUUUUGCACAAGUUUCUUUUUGGUGAAAAGUUGACUGCAGUUCACUUUUUAGUCAAUUUUUGCAAAACCAGACAAAAAGGGGGGGGGAUAAGCUUUGGCUCCUGUUCAUGGCGGUGGACACCCGGGUCUGGAUCGGUGAAUGCCAGCGCAUGGCCACCGUUUUACCUCGUCCACGCGCGUGUUCACGUCCGUGACGAUGUGGAGCAGCUGCUGGCAACCAGAGGUGUGACGUGCCCUUCUCUGCUGCGCUCGUCGACUCCAUUUCCGCCACCGGAGCACCGAGGAGCAGUAUCUCGUCCCCAUCCAUAUUGGCCGUGCUCGAUUCUCCUCGCAUCAAAUUGAGCUGUCCAUGAUGUUCGCCACCUCCUUGCGAAUUCAGAACACCACCAAGCUCGCCCCAUAACCCUCUCAAUCGCCGGGACGUCUCCAUCCUCUCCUUCUCCGGCCAGAACUGCCGCCGUGGGUCUUUUCCCGUGGCCACGGUAUUCUGCUCGGUAUCAUGCUUAUCCGGCCGCUGUUUCAAGUUCUACUUGUGUUCUAGUAGCUCAUGCGCUCUCUCUUUUGCUUUGGGCACGAACAGAAUCGCCGAAACGAGCUCGCCGGAGCCGGAGCGCCCGCCCGAUCGUGCUGUCUCCGUCGCCAGUGACAUCCGCUGCUUCCCCGAGCCUUGCAGCGUGAGCACCACCCUCCCCAACCCCUGUGGAAGCUCGCUAGACCGUCGGUUUGCGCUCUAUCGUAUCCUGAUGGCCGGACGAUGGUCGGCCAUGGAGGCCGUCCGCCGGUGACGUGGUUGUGAUAGACAGAGGACGGUAGAGCGCGAGUGAGGGGUAGAGAUCGAUCCGCGGAAGUGAGGCGGAGCCGAUGCGCGCGCGCGCGGAGGCCGAGGACCUCGCUAUCGGCCGCCGGAGUCGCGGCCGAGCCGCCGCGCGUGUAGGGGAUAGAACUGACAGGCGGGGUCUACCUGUCAGUGUCCCGCUGAGAGAGGGCGCGCGCGCAGAGCGGAUGCGGGCCGGAAGUGCGGAUGUGGGCCGGUCUGCGGCCCAGUUUCCAGGCCUUUUCACUGCGCUGUUUUCUUUUUCUUUUUCCUUUUUGUUCAAAAGUGAUUGAUGUUUGAUUUUAUGUAUUAAAUCAUGUGCUGAUUCAAAAAUUGUGAAAAUUUUUGUAUAGAUUCCAUAAGAUGAGUAGAACACAUGAAAAAUAUUAGAUUCCAUUUUCUGGCAGUUUGCAUAUAUAUGAAAUUGCCCCUGUUUAAUAAUAAAUAAAUCUUCCAUGAUUUUUAGUAAAUUAUGGGUAUAUCCAAAAAUCAUGAAAUUUAAUAUGUGAGCUUGUGUUAAUGUUAUUUAGCUUCAUGAUUAAUUUCAGCUCUGUUUGAUCAAGUAUGCUCUGUUUCUUGAUAAAGUUAUUUAAAAUGCUUAUAAAAGAAAUAGAAAUAAUUAAUCCCUUUAGGGUUUGGGUGAUAUUUUGGAUUGUUUGACAACCAUGGUUACUUAGCAUGAUAUGCUCCCUGGUUAUGGUUUAAUUCAUGUAAAUGAUCCUUGUGAUAUGAUAGGUCCACAACAUUGCAUAAUAAAGAUGAUAAAACUUGUUUAGAAAUAAUCUAUGUUUUUGGGUAGCUAAGUUAGUUGUUUUUAUACCGUGAAGGUGAUUUGUACUCAAGAUAAUCAUAUUUUGUUGUUAUCAUCCAAGAACAUGUAACCUGUCUUUAUCAUACCAUGAGUAUAUCAUAAUCAUGCAUAUGCACUUUUACGUAUAGAAUACGCUCCGGAAGAAUCUGAUCCCCAGUGGGUUUCUUCCGAGUUUGUGGAUUCUUCGAGUGUUGUUGAGUUGCCGAACUUCCCUUCCGGUCAAGGCAAGCCCCGGACAUUAAACCCUAUCCUUGUAUUUUCAUAAAGUUAUUUAUAUCACUUGAGUUAAUAUGAUGCAUUAGGUGAAUAGGAGUUGAGUGAAUCCUAUUUGCUGCAUUACCUACCUUGAUGAUUUCCAUAUUAACCUUGGUACUUGCUUUAUGAAAAUGCUUAGUAUGCUUAGCCCUGCUUAUUAGAUAAGUUUUCAAAUGAAAGAGUUUGAAGGGUUGUUGUGGAAUACUCUUAUAGUUAAUGAUGUUCAAUUUGAGACCGGUCGGUGGACUUGCUUUAAGAAUGGAGUCUUAAAGUAGUGUCUCCAACUGUGUCGAUUAAGGACCGUACCGUUGUUGGCCUGUUGUGAUUGAGAACUUUGAGUACAGCCCACAUGCGGCGGUAAGCCUUACCUAUAGCUAUUCCGAUACUCGAGAACGGCUAACCGCGUACUGGGAGUGGAGAGAUGGCGAGAGUAGCGUGUACCCACCUUACGGAUCUGAGAUGACCGGAAAACAUCUAGAUUGGCUGUAGGAUGGUGGUGUACUGUACUCUCGGGUGACGCUGGACCCGUUCUUGUAUGGGAGGAUCUAUAGAAAAGGUUGACAUAUGCAAGAUUAAGUUCUACAUAUGUCGUGUGGUACUGAAUCCCCAGCUGGGUUUAAUCGAUUCGAAUCGCCGUGUUUCCUCGGAUAUGGAGCCUCAAUCCUCAGCCCAUCAUCGUAGUAAUCAGUGAAAUUUUUGGUAUAAGAAAGAGGUGAUUUGCUUAUGAAAGUUGGAUACUGAUCUUGGUUAGUUAUAAAUGAUAAUCUUGAGUAAAACUUGAAAGUAGGCUUUACUCUUAGUAAGCUUUUGUGCAAAAGAAAUACUUGAUCUUGAUUAAGCCUUACCUUAAAUCCCUAUAGCCUGCAUACCUGAGUCUCCACCUCUUUUAUAGUCGGUUAAGUCUUGUUGAGUACUUUUGUACUCAGGGUUUUAUUAACCCAUGUUGCAGGUGAAUCUCUUGAGUAUCCUUUUGAUGGUCAUGGUUAUUUUACUCUUGUGGAGGAGAGUGAUGAUGAUGAACCUGAUGUGUGACCUUGGGCAAGUAAAAACUUGUUGAGUGAUCUAUGGUUUAUGUAAUAUAAAGUUCCGAAGCUUUUAUGUAUCAAAUACUUAUGGUUUGUAAACUAUGAACUUAAGUUUCAAUAUAUGUUAUGUAACCUUUCCGCUUUUACUCUGAUUUCUCUUAUCUAUGAAAUGUUGUAAUACUGUGAUGCUUGAUGAGGGAAUUCCUGAAAAGAUUGUUACGUGGAUGAUUCGGGUUUCCCGAGGACGCCCGACAGACUUCUUGAGUCAUUUGGAACUCGUGCACGUCGAUCAGAAGUCUUUGGGACAAUGAUGUGUGCAUGUGGGCCACUUAAUUCAGGAGGUUCUGCCACAGCGGGUCCCUUGCCCCUCCUUAUAUAGUCUGGAGGGCAGGGUUACAGAUCUGGAAACUAAUCCUAGUCGGUUACAAUUGCCAUGGAUAAUUCGAUAUCAAUUCCUAUUCUAACCAACUAGAAUCCUGCUUGAUCUCCACGUCUUGUUUCCUUGCGCGAAACUUCAAGUUGUCGGAUCAAGCCUUGAACUCGUCUCGUAAUGGGCCAAGCCUCCUGGCCCAAGUCUAGCCGUAAGGGUAUAGGGGUUUAUACCCCCACAGCUAGUCCCCGAGCACCAUAUAUUGUGAUGUAACACGCCGUCUUGAGCUUCUUCGAUCAGUGAGGCUUGACGUAUCGAAGAAGCAGGUUGUUUGAAGAAUGCAUGGUGCUCUAAAUUAAAAAAAAUUUCUUUCGUGGUGAAGUGUGCCCACUUUACUUUUCUGAAAAGUAUAAACCUCAAAAAGGCAAGCAUAUUCACCGCAAGGUGAAGUGUGCCCACUUAGUCCCCGAGCCUGGUAGUAGGUGGCGUAGGCACGUGGUGCCAGGGUCAAAAGAAAAGUCCUUAAAGAAAUUUUGAAACUGAGAUGCAUCGCCAGAUGCAUCGUACCGAUGUAGUCCCCGAGCUUGCUGGAAGGCGAAGUAUGAGCCUUGUAGCAAGGUCUAAAAAAUUAAAUUUACCAGUUCAUCUGCAAUUGGAUAGACUAAUCGACCAGUCCCCUGGUGUACAAUAGUAUGACGACCAGUCCCCAAGCACCAAGUGCGCUCCUUAGAAUUCUGCGUUGCUAUACUGGACGACCAGUCCCCGAGCAUCAAGUGCUCGGUGGUCGGUACAGUCUUUGAAGUUCCAAGUUGCUAUACUGGACGACCAGUCCCCGAGCAUCAAGUGCUCGGUGGUUGGUACAGUCUUUGAAGUUCCGAGUUGAUAGACUAAGCGACCAGUCCCCGAGCAUCAAAUGCUCGGUGGUCGGAGCAGUUCCCGGUUUGUUGACUCCCUACCAAUUUUAUCUGCUUUUUUUUGAAAAAUUUUCCACACAAAGAGUUGACAUGACGAGACCUUCUGACGGGAUGUCAGAUGUAUGCAUGAAAAGUUGCGCCUGGCAACUGUACAGCAGCCCUUUGCGCGGUUUGAGAAAAGGAAACCAUCAAUUUGUACGAAAACUCCGCCGCAUUAAUUGUCGAUAAUCAUUGAAAACCGAGCCGUCGCGUCCGCCGUAUGGCCCGCCCAUUUCCCAAGAAUGCGGGAAGUGGGACGGGUGAAGUUGCAGGUUAUAAGAGCUCGACAGUUCCGCCUAUAUUGCUUAGCCUACCAUUGCCUUCAAGCCUUCGACUCUUGCCUCCUGCAAUCACUCGCAUCUUCCUAACUCAAAUCCACUUCCUCACCUCCAAUGGCGAAGAGCGACUCCAAGAAGAGGGCCGAGCUGAUGGCCAAGGAGUGGAAGAAAUCUCGCAGCACCACCAAGUCUCUUGGUGACCUCGUCGAUAUGGGGCUUCUGCACGGCCCGGAGCUCGGCGGCUGGAGAGCGCCGGAAGGAGAGAGCUUCCCCAUCCCCCGUGCCAGUGAGAUCGUCGAUAUGGGGCUUCUGCACGGCUCGAAGUGCGGUUUUGGGGUUCCUGUUCAUCCCUUUCUUCAGGGUCUUCUUCUUUAUUAUGAGAUCGGGAUUUGCAAUCUGCACCCGAACUCAAUCCUUGUUAUUUCUACUUUUAUCCAUUUGUGCGAAGCCUAUGUUGGCAUAGAGCCGCACUUCGACCUUUUCCGCUAUCUUUUUUGUUUAAGAAAGAAGGGAGCAGUUGGAGGCUCCAAGGUUGCAGGUGGAGUAUACCUCAACCUUCGUGACGGAAUGAAGAAUCGCUACCUACACUGUCCAUGGAACACUUCCUUGACCGAAUGGUACAGGAAGUGGUUCUACAUCAGGGAGGAACCGGGCAGCUCCACGUUCUGCGACGUGGGAUACAUUCCUGAGAAGAGGGUAAGCUGGACCGACCGCCCGGAGUUCGAUGGUCAAGUGGCGGACCUCAUGAAGCUGAUCGACUGGUCGCGCCUGGACGGGCUUGGCGUGGUCGGCAACUUCAUUUGUCGUCGGGUGAUGCCCUGCCAGAAGAGGGUGCACUCGGCGUACGAGUAUGCCGGAAGCGUGGACCCGACCAGGAUGCGACCUUAGAUCUUGGAGAAGGCGGAGGUACAGCAGCUGUUGAACGAGCUGUUCAACUUCGCGGACGGAGGCUUCAUCCGUGGCAGUGAUCGGGUGCAAGCCUUCAAGUUUGGACGACCAGCACCAAAGGUGUGUUACAGAUUAUUUUGUUUUAGCAUUCGUAUAUCGUCUGCAGCUGGCUCAUCUUUGUUGCUUUUGCAGAUCGGCGAUGUCGACCGGUGCACAGUGUAUGUAUCACUGGCACCGGGGAUGGAGAAUCCUGCGGGAUAAGAUCCGCCAGAGGAGGACGCUGCUCGGUGUACUCGUUACACCAGUAGUGAGGAAGACCAGGCCCGCCUCGUCCCAACCACCGAGGAUAGGGUGGCGGGGAAAAGGCCAAUGCCCGCGGAUCCGGCGCCGGCGCCGACGCUGCCGGCAGAGAGCAGCCGAGCGCCAAAGCAACGUCGGUUCGUUCGGAUCGACGACGACGAGGAGGAGGCCGUACCGUCGUUGGUCCGGAGGCCUCAUAGUCGUCCGGACAGCGGGCCGACCACUGCUGAUCGUGUGGCCGGCGACCCUCCUGCGCCUCGUGUUGUAGAGUCGGGAGCACAGGUGCCGACUGGCCGGACGAGGAGGAGGUUCACCGCGACCCACCGUCGCUCAGACCUGUAAGUGUUCGACUUACGCAUUUCGGCGAUUUUUUUCAAUUGCACUUUUGUUCCUUUAGCGCGGCGUCGGAUGUCAACCCCGGCCAUGCCGCCGGCCAGGGGACGGGUGAGCCUGUCUACGCUGCUGAAGACGCGGCGCCGUAGACCACAGAGCAGCCUACGGCUGCAGCCGUGCCUGUGAGCACCGAGGAGCUCCCGGCCGCGGCACCGACUACAGCGAGCAGCUCGACCAGGGUUGAGGAGGCUACGGGGACACCUCCCCCUGCUAACGCCACAUAAGGGGAGGCUCGCAGGCACCCAGAGCAAAGUACUGUACACCUCCCCCUGCUAAACGUCAUACUGCUUAAAGAUAGAGUAGCAAAGUACUGUACAAAGGGGCCUAGGCACCCAGAGCAGGCUCGCAGGCCUCAGUCCGCAUCACGGUCCUCACCGUCCUCGCCUGCGCCCGAGCUAGUCACAGGAGGCAGUACCUCUAGCUCGAACAGCCUAGCCAACCACUCUCCAAGAACCUCUGCAUCAUCGAUCAAGGUGUGGAGCCUCUCUUCGUUCUCCGCGUCGGUCUUGGAGACGUCGAUGACGAAGCCGUGGGACACCACCUCCAUGUCGUAGGAGAAGCUUGAGCAGACAACAGCCAUUGCCCGCUUCACCCCGAUGUGGAGAGCAUCCCGUACUCGAUCCCUCAGUGUCGCGCCUAAGUAGCACAGUUGAUCGACCAGCGCGUCGCCUCGAGCUUCCUCCUUUGACUCGUCCAUGAGCUCGACCUCCCAAGAGGUCGAGAGAUCACUUAUCGCCGUCCACAGUCGACGGUUCAAAGCAACCUCCCCCUCGAGCUGAGCCUUGGCAUUACGAGCCUCAACUUGGGCGGCCAAGAGCUCGUCUUUAAGCCUUGUAAAGGCCAACACAAAAAGCUUUAGAUAAAACCAAUCACAUCCCGAAAAGAAAACCCGACAAUAGAAACGUACCGCGGACACUCUCCUCCAGAGCUGUGUUCUCGCCAACUAAUUUGGUGUUGGCCCUCUCGAUCUCUCUGUUAGAGCGUGCCAGCUCACUGUUGGCAACAGGAAGAUCUUCGAUCACCUUGCCAGCCUGAGCAAUGGCUCCAUGCUUCUCCAGCAGCUCUCCCUUCAGACGGUCGAUGUCGUCGGAGAGGCUGCGGGAUCGAGCCCGCUCCGCCUCGAGGUCUUCGAGGGCCUUCUUCUUGGCUUCCUCCGCGGCGCUCCUGGAGAUCUCGCCAUUCACAUGCUCCAGCUUCAUCCUUUAGAAGGAUUCUCGAAGGGAGUCUAGGUCAGUCUUGAGGAGGCCCUUCUCCUUGUCCAGAUCAGCAAUGACGUUCUUGUAGGACAGGGCCUCCUCUCGGGCUUUGGACGCAGCCUCCUCGACCGUCAGAGCCCACUCCCUCAGCAGCACGGCCUCUUCCACAGCCUUCUUUGAGGCCUCUCGAGCCUCGGUCAGGGCAGCCUCCCUCUCCUUCUUCUCCUCCUCGAGCGCCAAGAGAUCCUUAUAAUCUUUGAGGAGUUUCUCCUGCGACUCCAGGAGUUGGUCUUUGAGGAGGGGGAGCUGCUCCCAGCCACCUCUCGUGGCAUGAAUGAAGCUUGACUUAAUACGGGAGGUCUCUUUCAGGUCCUACGAGCAGGUGAUCGAGCAGUUAGAACCCAAAACCAACAAGUUCCCUAAAGAUUAAAAGACUGGGAGACUUACGAAGUAGGCUGGCCCGAGCCCGUUGUUUACAACGUCUGACAGGAGCCCCACCACGUGCUUCAUCUAGAGGCGGAGCUCCUCGACGUGCUCCCACUUCUCAGCCUCCUUCCGAUCGUCCAAAAAGAUGUUGGGCUCAGACGGAACGGUGGAAUCCCGGAUGCGGAUCCGAUCGGGGCACCAGUUCUCCAUCUCCUGGUCAGCCCGCGCCUUGACGCCGCGAAUGAGGUCCUCGACGGUCUUGAGGGACCCCCCCAUGGCGCAGGAACAAGUCGACGAGGGAGGGGAACCGCCCGUCGUCAUCCACCGUCUUCCAGGUGCCAUCUUUGCUACCCGAUGUCCCGAUCUUGUCCUCCUCAGCGGAAACGCGGUCCUCCCACGACCGACGCUCUCGGAGGAAUCUCGGGGCGAUUCCGUCCAUGUCGUAGAUCGUCCUCCUAAUCUCGGACUCGGGGUCGACGGGGGUGCGCAUCAUGCAGGCAAGCGCCACCACGCUGUCCGCCCGCCCCGACUCUGCCGGGAUCGUUGCGGGCGCCCCUGGACGGAGCCACGCUAGGCUUGGAGGGCUGAAAACCGGCAGAUCCUCUUCCUGGUCCCCGGGCUCUUGCGGCGCCGGCGGUACUGGUUGAGGCGGACUGUGAGGAGGAAGCUUGAGUGGUCCCUCCAACGGCUGGCCCCCCUGCUGCUGCUGCUGCUCCUCGAGCUCCUGCGGCUCCUGUCGGUGGUCCUGCUCCUACAGCUGCCGCCGUGUCUCCUGCUCGCGCUCCUCCUCUUCUUUCUUCUUCUGCUCCUCGAUGGAGCGAAGCCCGGCAGGCCAGGGCGUUUGUCCCGCGACGAGAGAAGUUUGAGCCUCCUCAUCCAUAGGAAGGGCAUCCCUCGAGGUCCCAUCGCCGCUGGACCCAUCACUUAUGGUAAUGGGAUCCCACAUGACCCCCGAUCGGGGAGGCUCGGGGGCUCCUUCCUGCCCUUGGGGCCGGGGCGCCUCGGCUUGUUUUGGCGACGACGGGGCAGGAUCACCCGCCGGGGGACGAGGUGGGGCGCUCUCGGUGCCGGUCGGCAGCUGAGGAUCGGAGGAUCCUGCAAAACAAAAAACAAAGGCCAGUCACUAUGAUGACCAACGUAAGAACAACAUGAAUCCCAUUAAUAAGCCACUGACCUGGCUCUUUGGAGGCUGCUCCCACCUUGAGCCUCUUCGCCGUCGAAGGCUGGGCCUGCUCAAGCGCCCGCUUCAACCUGAGGAGGGAAGAACGGGCGUAAAGAAGACCGUUAUAUGAGAAAACACAAAGAACCAGGAGAAUAAGAAUAACAGCAUCGAAGAACUUAACCCACAGGGAGAACGACUCGCCUAGCGGAGCCUCGACUGAUGGGCCUCGAGCCACCCAGUGUCAAGGCCCUCGACCCCUCGAGGGCAGGCGCUGGUCUCGGCCCAGCAUCUCCAACCUGGCGAGCGCCGGGACUAGCACUCCUACGGCCGGUCUCCCCCUUGUCGGAGGCCGCGCCGCGGCCACGGGUCAAUGGCCCCGUCACCCGGGACUUAGCCCGGCUACCCGCCUUUGAUGCAGGGGGAGGCUGAGGAUGCGGGACGGCUCGACUCGGCGCAGGCGCAGGAGGAGUGUCAGCACGGGGGCGGUGAGUUCCGCUUGGCCCCUCCUUCGGCGCCCCCGUCCAUGGGACAUCGACAUCGCCUCAAGGCGGACCCUUGAGGAUCCGAUCGGGACGAUACGACAUCCCCUCGCUGUCGUCAUCGCCGUCUCCGCCAUCAUCGUCGCUGGGGGAUUCUUCCUCAGGCUCCCCCAUCUGCCUGGACUUAGCUCGUCGCGCCUCUAGCGCUUGGCGAUCGAGGUUCUUCUUCUUCUCUCCUUUCUUCACAGAGUCCAUGACAGACUUUUGCUUCUCGGCGGACUGGCGCCGUGCGUCACGAUCGACCUCGUCCUACUUUACUGGAGGCCUCGAGGACCGAACAUCGAUUCGCCCCUGCCAGAACAAAGGAAAGCUUAACAAAGGGGACGAAGGAAAUCCAGAAUUGAAGUCAUGUAUGAGAAAAGAACAUACCAGGUCGAUCGAGCCCGCAUCGGGCCUCAUGGGGAAGCCGUUAACGUGCUCCGGCUUGAAAUCGCCGGCAAUGGCCGCCCUGACCCGGGCCGCGACCUCGUCGUCCGCCGGAGCCUCGUUAGACAUCCGGCACGCCUCGAGGUCCCGGGACGAGACGCCAGGGCCCAUCUCGUCCAUCCUCAGCGGCCGGGACAUCAGUGGGAGAACUCUCCGAUGAUGAACGGCCGAAAGGACAAGAGCGGUGGUCAGGCCUUCGGUACGCAGCUUCUUCAAGGCGUCGAGGAGGGGGUCGAGCCGCGACUGGUGAGCUUGGACGACGCCGUACGUCCAGUUCUCCGGGCGCUCCGUGAUCAGGCAACCAGUGUAGGCGGGAAGGAGAUCGUCGUCGUUCCUUAGGUAGAACCACUGGGAGUCCCAUCCGGCGUGGUUCGUCGACAACCCCACCGGGAUGUACUCCCGCGACCUCGCCGUCUUCCCUGUCUUCAGCACGAGGUUGAGGCACCCCCCCCCCGCACGGGCUUCCUCACACCGGUGGUCCCAGUAGGGGCAUUCAAAAGCUCGCCCCUGUAGAGGUGGAGCCACAGCUCCUAGUGGGGCAUCAUCCCCAAAUAGCCCUCACACAACGUGGCGAAGACCGCCGUGACGGUGAUGGCGUUUGGGGAGAAAUGCUGGAGCUCCACCCCGUAAUGGUGGCAGAGUGCCCGCAUGAAGCGGCUCGGGGGAGCGCCCAGGCCAUGGCAAUGGAACUUAGCGAAGGAAACAACAUAGCCCUUGGGCGGUCUGGGCUCCCUGUGGUCCGCCGGCGGCACGAUCCAUUCCGGCGACGAAAGCGAAGUGCGGUGGCGCAGGAGCCCUUCCUUCUCAUGCUCCAGCAAUCGGCGUUCCGUCAUCGAUGACGGACGCUACUCGUCGGCAGCAACAAGUCUCACAGGGCAUCUUGGACGGAAGGACGGCGGAUUCGCUACUGCUCGAGGGCGCGCGGGCGUGUGAGAUGGUAGGAGACCUAAGACGGCGAAGUGGCUGAGGCAAGGAAGAAGGCGGAAGGCAGAAGGGAAAGCAGCGGUGACGCCACAGGAUAUUUAUAGGUAGCAACCCACCAACGGACAGAUCCGAUAAAUGAGGUAACUCCCCCCCCGUAAAUGCGCCGCCUAACGGUCCUUUCCCUCCUCACAGACGGGGCGCUCCGAAUUCUACGCCGGUACACUGCUACAACGUCUCCCGCCUGAAAAGACGCGCCCAAUGGGCAGAAAGGUGAACCGCCACGACUUCUCCCUUCCCUUGUAAGCCAAGGAACGCAUCCACAGAAGCCUCGAGAGGUCGUAGGCUGGCCCACCGGAAGGGUUCGACAGCCGAUGUCGAGCGCCGGAGUCAGGAAUGCCCAGUGAGUGGUCGAAAACCGAGGCCCGCCUCGAGAACUCGCUAGGGAUGUCCAAGGUAGGGUCGAGACAGUCGAGAGGAAUCCCCCCGAUGGGAGGGAUCGAGCCGCUAGACUCUAUCGAACGAGUCCGGUAUCCCCGACCACGUCGACCCCGCUUUAUGAGAACGCCUCCGGGCUACAGCUGACCCCCUCGAAAGGGGCACGGGUUCUCACUUGGACUACCAGUUAGGAACUCAAUUUGGGGUGGAUGACGCUCGCUCUACCGAGAGUACGUCGAAACCCCCGCGCAAAGCGAGCCAAUCAGAAGCUUCCACCACUGGUGUCGGCAGCGUUUUCACGAAUUAGGCAACAUAGCCCUCGAAGGAGUCAGAAACUCCUCCAAGGGCUCGGGGGCUACCCCGCGGGGUCGCUCGCGCGCCCCCACAGAGAUUCGACCGCAAAAUAAAGCCUCCAUUUGAGCACCAGCGCUCAAAUGGAGACUCGGGGGCUACUGUCGUGGGUAUCAGUAAGGGGUAUCCUAAUUGUUACGCAUGAUGAGAUUACCCGUACGCAGGUCGAGGCCCUCAACUCGACGCUCUUUCCGCUCAUACGUACAGUCCUCGACAACCGCAGCCCCGAAGAUGGAAAAGGCGUCGAGCGAAUCGAUCAGGGCUCGAGCGCCGCUACCGUCGAAUAUGGAAGUAGGCUCGAGCGAUCCGGGAGGCGUCAAUCGCAAGGACGCCGCCCGCCGCCUGACGCGCGUACGGGAACCAGGGCAUUUAAUGCAUCUGUCGCGUUCUCACCUAACACGCCAGUCACGGGAAGCGUGAUAGGGAACAUGCAUCCGUCUCAUCAUUCUUUUUGCAGCCUUCCCCACCAAACGACCCAGAGCGUGUCAGGACACGGGAAGCAGGGAUGGAACGUCUAAUCAGGACCCCCUCGAGACACCCAGGGUCAACGCUCUGGACAGCGAAACGCUGCACGAUGGCCGACCCUCGACCAGACCCGUUUCCUUCCAGGGGAAGGGUUGGACGUCGAAUGGUAACAAAGCAACCACUCCGACGGAUCCGCCGCUGUAUCGUACCGGCGUGCCACCAACGAACCAGUCAAAGACGGCGCGUAGAGUAGGAUUCCAGGGCACGCGUAAUCAUCAUCAAGCUACCAGGACGGGACGGCUCGAGACCACACCGGUACGGAGGCCUCGAGUAGGUCAGCGCACCAUGCCUCUAUCGACCCCUACUCUGACACCUAUACUUGUCCUUGGGCUUCUCCUUGGAGCUAUAAAAGGGGAAGCCCGGGAGCGGACAUGAGCAGACAGAGACGAAAACUAGGCAACACCACACUCAUACGCAGUAGAACUCCCACACUCCAAACCACGCUUGUAUUCACCCCUGUACAAGCACUUAGGUGCAAAAUAAUACAAACUCUCCUCCCCCGCUGGACGUAGGGCCUUCUCUUGCCCGAACCAGGAUAAAUCCUUGUGUCUUUUUGCAUCACCAUCUGGGGAAGGGAAGCACGCAUACAAAUUCACUCGUUGGUGUGACCCCCCGUGGGGAAAACACCGACACCUGUAUAAAAAUAUAAACAUAGAAAAACAACAGGGUGAACCUGCCAAAGCAGAGGUGCCUUGUUAUGAUUUCUCACUUAGUAGAUGUUUUAUGCAAUUAUUUCUCUAUAGUCUAGUCUAAUAUUUCAUGUGAAUAACCUUGACUGAUUUCCUGACUUUCCUUACCGUUCCUAUGUAUUACCCUUUUGUUCCCCGGCAACGGUGCCAGAAAUGCUUGUUGACACUAGCUAACACCACUUAGAUAUUAGGUUGUCAUCCCAGCAUGGUGCCAGAGUGUACAAAGGUAUUUAUAAAUGUAAAGGCUCUGUAGAAAAUAAUCUAUUCUAUCCGCAAGCGCAUAGAUAAAACACCUCAUUGUAGCAUUUCACCAAGUAUCGUUAUUUAUAAUUUUGCUUAAGAGAACAAGGGGUAAAAUUAAGAUAAGGACUAACCUAUCAAGGCAUAGACUAGAGAUAAACUUGCAAGAACAUGAUUACAAGACAUCUCUCACUCCAAAGUUUGAUUCACUAGUUGAUGAAAUAUAUCCUUCAUGGCUAUCAAUCCAUCGUUUCCUUGCUUGAGAUUAGCUUUGUUACUAGCAACCAAUCAAUUGGCUCUCAAUACUAAAAUUCCAAAGCUCCACUCUUAACAACAACAAUUGUGGCUGACGCUUAACAAUUGGUCACCUUCAAAGCCAGGAGAUAAGGAUUCAUGAUAAAGAUGGUUGACUUUAGUCGUAUCACCACGAUGCACAUAAAGAUCAAUACUUAGGAAACUAGACCAUAAGCACAAUGGUGAUGACUCAUGCUUGUUCAACAAAUAACUUGUCCAACAUUAAGUGUCGUGCGUCCUUUUUGGUUCGGUGUGGAUGACCAAUGUUGCUCAUUAAAUGGCCAUCAUCAUUGUAGGGAUAGUUAAGUAGUGUCACUUGUCCACCACCUCUUGCAGUCUGUCAAUGUUUAUGUCAGUGACCCAUUCUUCAAAGGUAAUCCUCUUUGUAACUUCAUAGGAAGUUCUCUUACUCGCACAUGAAGUAAGGAUCUUCUGAUCAAAUCUGGAUAGAUAAUUAAGGACAAACUCAUGAAGAGAUGACACAUUGGUGUAGUUCUAUAAUGGAUCAUGGCUAGCAACAACGAUACCAGCGCGUGCCGAACAGCACAACCAUGUGUCGGCUGCCACAAGGGGCUCUCGGUUUCGUCACGGCACCAUCAAUCAUUAACGAAGACACCAUUACCGAAAAUACAAUCCAAAAGAAAUCUCCCAUGGCAAAAAUUGGGUUGCAUAGCAGCGAGCACUUUGCAAAAGAGGGGCAUCAAACUGAGAUAGUCAUGAGAUUAGAAGUCCACAAGGAGGUGAUUUAAAACAUAGUACCAGAGAACAUAGAUCACAUGAGAUUAAGACGGAUAAACACCUAGAGACUCAAGAGAGUUGGAGAUAAAACAAUUGAGAUUUGAAAGAUUGAGUCAAUACACAGAUUAGGGGAUGGAUACACAACAUUCAAGAGCUAACAACCAUGCCCAAACUCAAGCUCUUUAUCAUUGGAAUCUACUUGGAGAUAACCAUGAGAUUAAAGUGACAUGAGUGUUAUUCUAAGAUAAGGCUCUUCAACACUCGCAUGCUUACUAAGGACAAAAAGGUAACAACUAUGACACUACCUAGUUAACAACAAAUCUACUCAUGCAUCAAGGUUUUAAGCAAACUUUUGAGAACAUGAAUCACACUAUCUCCAACAAUCAUUACAAAGCACAAAGGUUUGCAGAUAACAAGCAGUCUUCUAAAGCAACACUAGUACACCUGAACAUACAAAACAUGAUGGUAAGGUGUUUUUAUCUUUCACUUUCUUUUACUAGAAAGGUGUAUGUCUCUUCUCUAGUUGUGAAAACAAACUUUUAACUUAUGCUUAAAAGACUAGUCAUCUUAGAGAUGUGCAUCAUACUGACAGGGUGCACAGAUCAACCACAACAUGGGCAAAACAAAGCUAAUCACACCCUACCUUCAAUUACAUUUAUUCAAGCAACAUGGAGCAAAGCAUUUUGUCUAACUGCACACAAGCAAGGUGACACACAUUGAUUCACAUGUUACUUAUUGUUAGAACAAAGGUGAGAGAAGCAUAGUUAUACAUAACACAACAAUCAUGAUGAUGCAUGCUUCGUCCUAUUCGUCCUCACAAAAUUGCCAGGUGGCAAUCACGUUCUAUGUCGGUGGCAUAACACGUACACUCUCGACAUAUAACUAGUCAUAAGCUAUAUUCAAUUUACACGUUCGUGGUUAGUGUACCUGCAGAAAAUUCAUUUCAGCCCAACCACAGUAUGAAACAUACAGUACAAGAUUUAAAAGCUAUGUGCUCCACACACGUGUAUCCCCAUACCCGUAUGUGUAGUGCUACUACCCACAUCAUCGUCCUAGCGAUGGCUGUUGACGGUCCUUAAGUAUCAAAUUUAAUUAUCGAAUAAACAAAGAAAAGGAUCCAAAUGAAAUCAACAUCUAGACUUAGGGUUUUAUCUGACAGAAUUCCACGAGUUUUGGUGUUUGUCUAUUUCUGCAGGGGGUUAUCAGGAAAUAAGGAAGAAAGGCCCACAUGUCGGGAUUACAUAGAGAUAUCAACCCACCGCGCAAUUUUCUACCAUCUAGAAGACUCCAGAAGCCACGAGACCGAAGCGGAGGCGAAACUGGGCCAGGCCUAGGGCACCCGCCCUGGUAGCCUGGGCGCCCGCCCCCCUGUUGGAGCCAAAUCAGGACUCUUUCGCUCGGGAUGUUCCACCGACCUAUUGGAUCAAGGAAAACAUAGUACCACCUCGCCUAUCGACCCAAAAACGCAUAGAAGGGGAGGACUAUAUAAGCAAGGCCCCCCUGGCCCUGGAGAAGACAAGAAAUUAUCAUAGAGAUUGAGGGGUGCCCUCGAAGGAAAACCUCUUCUCUAAAUAAUAUUUCUUUUUAGGCUUAGCAUCUAAUGUAAAGUAGAAAUAGAUCUUCUAGUUUCUACUAGAUUGAGAGAGAUAGAGUGGAGGUGUGGAUCGGAGGAAGGCCGGCCUGUCGGUGUCUACUCCGAGUUGUACCUACAGGAUCAAGUCUCCUAACCCGAGGCUUGCUUCUAAGAUUCUUCAGUAAUUCGACUUCUAAUACUAGUAAGUUCUUGUUUUAUUGUUCUUUGGUUUAUGAGUUUACUUUAAUCCUCUUCCGGUUGAGUAUUAGAGUAGUCACUUGUUAGCGUAAACGAGGUGUUUAGGCUAGGGUACUCAUAGAUAUCCCCUGACUAGCUGGACCAUGGUAGUAGCGAGGAACGUGACAUUUCCGAGUUACCUUUGUAGAUCACAUCUCGUUAGCAGGACGGGUAGGUUUAUAGGUGCAGGUCGAACAUCCUUUGUGUUGUCUAGAUUCCGUGAGCCUCCCCAAUAGAACAGUAGAUCAUCCUUACCAAGGUUAGAACGAGACUACGGUUGCAGUCUUCUCUAUACAUCACUCACAUCGAGAGACAUUCUUUGUAGCCUAAAGGGGUAGUAGCAAUAGAUUUGGUUAGUCAGAUGCACCCUUUCUCCCAGUGGUAAAAAUAUAAAUACGAUACUCUGGAAAACCUCCCGGGUGAAAUGCUCACCGAUAUCCGUGCGCUUGCGGAUCAUUUUCUAAUUGCGUUACCAAAUAUCAACAAGCAUUUCUGGCGCCGUUGCCGGGGAGAAAGACGGUAUGCUGAGAUAACUUUGAAUCUUGCUAUUAUCUUGUAUUAUACUUUUAUACUUUUAUUCUUUUAUCUUUUUAUCUUUAUGGAUAGCUCAAAUUCCAUACCUAUUAUUGAAUUCUUUGCACCUUCGGAGACCAGCCAUAGACCAUGGGAGUCAACACGUCCUGCCCCUAAUUAUGAUCUGUGUCCGGAGUUGAUUGCAAUAGGUCAAAACCAACCCUUUUCUAUAGCUGAGGUCCUAUCUUUUAAUCAAGAAGAUAAUGCACUUUUAGCUACACCUAGGGAAUCUUUUAAUCUUUCUAUAAAUUCUGGUUUAGACCUAGCCCUACAAGACCAUGUUUUUCUUAGAUAUUUUCACAUUGGUCUUAAUCAUAUAACCUUUGGUAGAGUCCUUCUUUCUUUAUCUAUUAGUAAAGGAAGGUAUGUCUUCAUUCGUGGACAUCCUUCUUGUACUAGUCUUCAUAGAAAAAUCCUAGAGAUAGAGAAGGAAUCAUCUCCCAGACGAGGAAAGGAAGUUUCAAUAGCCGAUUUCCAAACAUUUCAAUCCCAUAAUUCGGCUAUCCAUCCCAUCCUUGAGCUUAAUAGUUUCUACUAUGCUCUUUCUCUUGAACCUCCCGAUAAUCCUAUGAAUCUCUCUAGACAUCCCAUGCAUAAGAAGGAGGAUCGAGAAGAGCAACAUCAAUGGCUAGAGGGCAUUAAAAAUCCAUGUGCUAUCACCAUUGAAUGGAUAGAUAAAACAAACCUGAGAGACAAUCCUAGAGGAAUUUUAAGCAUUUAUGAAGAAUCAUCCUUGGAGUUUGAGAAUGAGAGAAACAACAGUGAGCAUGGAAGUUAUUUCAUAAAUACCUCACCAAGUCCUUGCUCAUAUAAGACAUCUCCCCAAUCAAUUGGUCUCUCCAUCCUUACCACAUUUGAGAUCUCCAACCCUCUCUUCCUUUCUAUUUAUAAAAACUUUAAAAGAGCGGUUGUCGAUGCAUAUGUCUAUAAUAAAUAUUGCAGAUCUCGUUGAGUUGAUUGAUGGUUUCCCAAGGACAAGCUUAGUGUCCUAAAAAUAGCACUUCUAAUUAUUUGCUUAAUUAUUUGCUUAGUGUCCUAAACCAUUGCUUAAUUCGCACUGAUCAAAUCGUAACAUGAACUUCUAAUUAUUUGCAACAUUGCCUUGUGUAUUGAGCAUAUAAAGAUAAUUGUAGAAAUAUUCCUUCGGGUAUUCUUGUCACUAACCUUUCCAGGAUUGGAGCAAGAAGAUCGGAUGAAUGACAAGCACAAGGUAUGUCCAACCAACCAUCACACAACAUUGAAUUAAAUUCAUCCAAACUUGAAUUUUGCAAAAUUCAAGCUUGGGGGAGUACUUUACAUAAAAACAUCCUUUGCCAUGUUGCUACGUUGGUUGUCCCUACCUUUGAGAGAUGCUCAAUUUGUUAAGUACUAAUCACACUACUUCAUCUCCACUUGAGUAGAUCUCUAUAAAUGCCAUCGUGCUACCUUUGUUUAUCCUAGUAAGUGUUGGUUUGGAAGUACUCGACAUACUUCCAUUGGCUUUUAAAUUAAGCAUGGUGCUUAGGUUAAACAGCCUUCCUUAAUCUGAUUAGACAUGGAGUCUAGUUUGGUUACUGAACUAAAAACUGCUUGAGUAGAUAUUGGUAUAUUUUGUGGGACUAACCCCUGCAGGAAAACUUUCAAUAUCAACCUGGGAAGUCCUGAGAUACAAACUCAUUGGAGAUAAAGGAGACACAUGAAAUUUAACAUUUUGCACAAGAAGGACAUAGCUCAUUCAUCAUAAAGAGAUGAUCCAUGGAGGGUGCCACAAACACGAUGCACAACCGCUAAGAAAGGAAAGCUUCCACAAGGUGAUACUAUACCAUCACUCUUCAAGUAAGGUAACAUCUUAAGGUACUUGACUAUCGCUUUUAUAAGCUUCGCCUUGGUUCUGGCAUUCACAUAAAUAAAGAGACAAACAUGUAUGAUUUAUAACUCUAAAUUAACCUAACUGAUUCAGCAUGUUUAGUCCUUUAAUCUUUGUUCUUAGUACUACCUUCGUGAUCUCACACUCCUAAUCAUAUAAGCUAAUAUGUUGCACAUUCAAUCUUUGGAAGAUAUAAACAAAACAUAAAUAUAGAUAGAUUAUCUUUCCAUUAGGUUGAGCCAUCUGAUCUAACAAAUGUUUUAAAUGCUACACUCAUGAUCCAUCAACUUUGUCUUGCUCAAUAUGCUUAAGGUUAGAGAAGAACAAAUACACUUUUGGUUCUGUUGGUGUUUUCCACCAACAGGGCCCAUGCACUUAAUCUCUGCCUUGUCUCCAUGAAUAGGUACACUUAAAACAAAACAUGGAGGAGUUUUACAACUCCCAAAUUCCACUAAGUGAAGAACCGGGAUCUACGAGCACAAACACAAUGGAGAUUAGACACUUAGUUUCCUAAAGGAAAUAUUGAAGAACCUCUGUGUCCGAGUUGGUACCUUGUACGCUCCAGCAAACUUCGUGGUGAUAGAGACUGGUACUGAGGAGAGGGCACCCAUCAUCUUAGGGAGGCCAUUCCUAAACACCAGAGCAGUCAUCUACGUUAAUGCUGCCAAGAUCAGUUUCUACAUCAAGGGGAAGAAGGAGACUUUCCUUCAAGAACAAGACUACACAAGCUUCAGAGCAAUCCCGACAUGAACCAAGGAAGAGGACCAACAGGAGGAAAAGGAACAAACAAAUGUGGACCGAGUCAGCUAAGAUGGUCACUGCAGCUCAAGGAGAUACUCUUUUCAGAAGACACUCUACGACAUCGGAUUUGACGACAACAUAAUGGCCGCAGUCACUUAUCAGCUUCUGCAUGGAACCAUGCCCCUACAACCAAGAUACAUUCAGCUUCAAACAAUUUUCAGGUCAUUGACAUGGGAGAAGACAAGUAUGAUCCACCCACCAUCCUUGGAAGACCGUUCCUCAACACUAUCAAAGCCAUUAUCUAUAUUGGAACCGGAGAAGUCCACAUGCACUUCCCCUCUGAGAAAGGUACGCCACUACUUUAAUGAUUAUAUAGUUGAAGAUUCUAAGCAGGUCAGGACAAGAAGAAGACAACGCAACCGCAACCAGAGGAGGCAAAUCAUCAAGGACGGACGGGUAGACUACGAAGGAAAAGUGAUAAGGACUGAAGACAUACAACUUGAACAGAACUGUCCUGAGGAGACCGUAGCACCGAGUUAGGUGUGGAGAGAGAAGAUAGUUAUACACGACGAAGAGGCGCCGCCGGAAUCACCGACUACGCCACCUAGCGAAUCCCAGGACGACUAAGAAAACGGAGAGUCCCGUUUAGAGGACUUAAAAAUACCGAACGCCUUGCCAAGAGGUAAACUUGGUAGUUAUCCUUUCCCUUUUAAUUAUUUCAAAUAGUUUACUUAGUUAAUCAUGUUCGUAUUAUCCUAGAAAGAAAAUAAAAAUGUGAAAAAAAAACUGUAAGCCCCAUGUGAGUAGACGAGUGGCAUAAAACCCAUAAGUACAUUCACUGUGGUGGCAUAAAAAUAAAAUAAAUAUUUUUCUGCUUUAUAAAAACAAAAAUAUAAAAACAGGGAGUAAUAUUUAUUAAGGAGUCUCAACAUGAUAAAGGCUAGAUAUUUAUGCUAACACUUAAUCAGUUCCACAAGCUUUGUUGUCUAUUUGAGCUCCACAGAAUUUAAGAAUCAAGAAGACUAGCAGACGGAGGACAUUCUAAUCGCUGUCAAAAUACUGCUGACUUUCAAACACACCUCUACCACCUGCUAGCUACAUCAAGAGAAAUUACGUCAAAAUUCAGCUUGGUGGAGAGCACCCCCAUUUAUCUCGAUAAGUAUUUCUAUCUAUCUUUAUACUUAUACUAUAUUAGAAUAUAAAUACACAUAACUAUGAAAAACCAAAUAAAGAUUUUAUGCUUUGCUUAGUGUGUUUAACAAAUAAAUAAAGUGGCUAUGCUAAUCUGUAUCUAAUAAAACUUAAGCAUGGAUAUGAUGAAUAGUUGCUCUGCCUAAUUUGCAAAUUUAAAGUUUUCUCUCAAGUUUAGAUAUAACUAUUAUAAUUUAAGGCUUGCUGUAGACCUAAACUUGUGGGAUGAAAACUUGAUCUGAAGUCUAAGUUGUUAACGGAUACGAUAUGGGAAGGUUGAGCUGCUGUUUAUCUGUUCCUAGAGAUGCUAGAAUUCUGGAGAAUUUUAUCUUUGAAAAUCUUUAAAAUGUUGCAUGAUGAGUUCCUGUAUGGUGAGAGUUUAAAUUCCUACCACAGCCAUAUAUACAUGCUUAUUAGACCUUGAGCCACACAUUUAUUAUUCACUGCUUAUGAGCAUUGAGUGUGGUCAAGCUGUGUAGACCCUUAGGAGCUUGUCAUGUGGUUAAAUCAAGAUUUCACUUGCACGUCCACUCAUAUAUGCUACUUCUAUUCCGGAAGUACCAUCCACAUAUAUCCAUCCAUUUCUAUCUCCAGAACCACUCAAAAAUAUUCUACUACUAAUCCGGGAGAGAAUAACCAAAAAUAUUUCUGUCUUUCUCUUGUGAAAUAAAUGCUCAAGUUAUCUUGUUACUACCACUUGCUAUAUUAUCUCAAGAGAUGAGUGCUCUUAAAAAAAAGAAGAAAAAAUAUACGAGGAAAUAAAAAGGAGCAAGUGCUCGGAACCUCGAAAGAAAAAGAAAAAAGUGAGACGAGAGGUAAAAAUGGACAAGUGUCCGACAGUAGAAUUAGGGGUGCAAGAUACCCACCUGAGAGAAAAGAAAAAGAAGAGCAUCUCAUUCCCCUCAUAAAGUUUCAAAAGCAAGGAAGGUAUGUAUCCCCUCAAAGGGCAAAGUAGAAUUAGACUUCCACCACCAUUACCUCCACCAUUGUUAUCACUAUCAUCACCAUACACCAUUCAUUCGCCACACAUGCACAUCUUGAUUUGGCUUAUUGAUUUGUUUCUUUGGAUCCAUGGUUUGACUACGCAAUAAAUGUCUUGUAAGUAUGUAUACUUUAUCUCCCACCUAUGAGCUCCAGAUAUCAAGCCUUAUUAGAGUAGGGUGAGAGAGAAGGCAAUGCCUUAUACCACAAAUACUACAUAUCUUGAGAGAAGGCAUAUACCAUCACUGCCUUGAUAAGGAUCCAAAAAUACCACAAAAGAAAGACCUGAGAGAAUCAUACAAGGAAUUUCUGAGUUUUAUUUGAAAAUCUGCAAAAAACCCCAGAGCUAUAGCUGAUCAAGAAUAAGAGACAUGGCACUUGGCUAGACUGUUCUAUCUUUUAACCACUCAAGACAGAAGUGACAGUUACAAGUCCCAUGGUGAAGGUAAAGUAAGUAAGUUUUAAGUCUUGACAGUUUACUCUAACUCAGAGAUGAGAUCUUAUUUAAAAAAGCAUGUGUACAUCAAUUUUUUUUAAAAAAAUAUUGCAACAAUUUAUGAUCCAUAGCUGAGUCUAUCCUUGCUCAGGGACGAGCAAGAGGUAAGCUUGGGGGAGUUUGUUGACGGUCCUUAAGUAUCAAAUUUAAUUAUCAAAUAAACAAAGAAAAGGAUCCAAAUGAAAUCAACAUCUAGACUUAGGGUUUUAUCUGACAGAAUUCCACGAGUUUUGGUGUUUGUCUAUUUCUGCAGGGGGUUAUCAGGAAAUAAGGAAGAAAGGCCCACAUGUCGAGAUUACAUAGAGAUAUCAACCCGCCGCGCAAUUUUCUACCAUCUAGAAGACUCCAGAAGCCACGAGACCGAAGCGGAGGCGAAACUGGGCCAGGCCCAGGGCGCCCGCCCUGGUAGCCUGGGCGCCCGCCCCGCUGUUGGAGCCAAAUCAGGACUCUUUCGCUCGGGAUGUUCCACCGACCUAUUGGAUCAAGGAAAACAUAGUACCACCUCGCCUAUCGACCCGAAAACGCAUAGAAAGGGAGGACUAUAUAUGCAAGGCCCCCCUGGCCCUGGAGAAGACAAGAAAUUAUCAUAGAGAUUGAGGGGUGCCCUCGAAGGAAAACCUCUUCUCUAAAUAAUAUUUCUUUUUAGGCUUAGCAUCUAAUGUAAAGUAGAAAUAGAUCUUCUAGUUUCUACUAGAUUGAGAGAGAUAGAGUGGAGGUGUGGAUCAGAGGAAGGCCGGCCUGUCGGUGUCUACUCCGAGUUGUACCUACAGGAUCAAGUCUCCUAACCCAAGGCUUGCUUCUAAGAUUCUUCACUAAUUCGACUUCUAAUACUAGUAAGUUCUUGUUUUAUUGUUCUUUGGUUUAUGAGUUUACUUUAAUCCUCUUCCGGUUGAGUAUUAGAGUAAUCACUUGUUAGCGUAAACGUGGUGUUUAGGCUAGGGUACUCAUAGAUAUCCCCUGACUAGCUGGACCGUGGUAGUAGCGAGGAACGUUACAUUUCCGAGUUACCUUUGUAGAUCACAUCUUGUUAGCAGGACGGGUAGGUUUAUAGGUGCGGGUCGAACAUCCUUUGUGUUGUCUAGAUUCCGUGAGCCUCCCCAAUAGAACAGUAGAUCAUCCUUACCAAGGUUAGAACGAGACUACGGUUGCAGUCUUCUCUAUACAUCACUCACAUCGAGAGACAUUCUUUGUAGCCUAAAGGGGUAGUAGCAAUAGAUUUGGUUAGUCAGAUGCACCCUUUCUCCCAGUGGUAAAAAUAUAAAUACGAUACUCUGGAAAACCUCCCGGGUGAAAUGCUCACCGAUAUCCGUGCGCUUGCGGAUCAUUUUCUAAUUGCGUUACCAAAUAUAAACAACGGCAACGCCUCUAAGGACGGAAUCACCCAUCAUGUGGUACCUUUUCAUAGGCACAUGUAAAAUGUGCACAUGAUUGAGUACCAAAAGCACUUCCCUAGAUCGGCGGUGUAUCCGAUCAUGCUCUCACAACUCACACUUACCGAGGCGUAGUGGAAAAAUGAUCCAUACAUUACCAUUUAAAUAAAUGGCACUCAUACUAUUGCACGCCGUAUGAGCAACGAAAUAGAAAUAUGAUGCAGAAACCCCCAAGUCAGUACUUAAAUAAGCCACCUAAAGGUCCUUAUUUGGGCAUAAAGGAAAUGACCACUAGCAUACUUAGGUAAAACCUUUUUCAGAUUUGAACACACCUAUAUCUAUAAUAGCUAUAAGCUAUCAAAAACUAAUUUUAGAAAACAAAAUCUAUUGUUUAAAAUACACAUAUGACAAGUUUAAUGUUGAACCUUGCUUUGAUACCAGUUGUAAUAGAACCGCCUAAUUUACAAGAGAUCAACUACGAAAAACUCCCGCCAAAGCAGUUGCUUUAACGUAAUCGAACUCUCAUAAACCCGGUAGCCUGUGAAAUCAUGAGGGAUUUCAAACCAACCAUCUUACAAGCCAAGAUCGUAGUGAUUCAACAUAACAAGUCACAUGUUACAUCCAUUUCUCAAGUACUUUGACAUACAUCGGAGUUCAAUAGAGUUAUUACAACUUGAGUUGAAAAGUAGCGAAAGCAAAGUAAUUUAAAACUAAUAUUGCCCUCAUUUCAAAUACAUGCCAGUAUCCAGGUCAACUCCAACAAAAGCAUCAUAGAUGAGGUAACUAAGAAGGAUCAUGCCCAUGAUCUUACUCCUCUAUUAUGGUAGGAGUUAUCCAACUCUUGCAGUAGCAAUGAUAAAUCAUAACCUGCAACAAGUGGGAAUAAACCCUGAGUACAAGAAGGUACUCAGCUAGACUUACCCGUCAUAAACCAGAAAUAACAUGACACCAAGGAGUAUGCAUGGCUUUAUUGGUGGAGCUAGCUUGACAACACUUUUUGCAUAAAAAGCUUAAGUUGCAACUAAGUAACCUUUCAGGUAUUUGGCUCAAGUUAAUAAUCAUUAACCUGUCAUCUAGAUUAGCACCUGUACUAAAGCAAUCACUUGAUUAAGAUACAACCAUAGUACCCAUAUUUGAUGUGGCAUUUCCAACAUCAUCAUACCAUAACCAUCCAAGUGUUCCAUAAACAUUACUACGAGGACGAAGCUCAAGUCAAGUGCUCACUAUCCAGGAGCGAUGGCGAUUCGAAUCGAUUUCUAACCAGCUGGCGAGUUAUUCCCCACACAAACCACACUCACUGAUCAACGGAGCUACAGAUCACCAUAUUGCACUAUCCAGGACCAAUUCGCUGGUUCGACAGGCACCGCCCGUACCCGAGGACCGUUCCGGCGACCGAGGUAUCCAAGGUAUACCAAGGUUGCGCGCCGCGCCCUCGUCGUUCUCCUCAACCAUCUCCAAUACAGCGCGUACAUCGGGCCAAUUCCCGGCCCGGAUAGUGCUCAAGCUUCGCAGUCGGAAUGACUUAUCCUUCCAGCUAAGUGUGGGGCAUGCAUUCAACAUGACAAGAGGGCCGUCAACGAUCCGUCCUUAAGCGACACAGGCGGGGAUAGAUAGGCACCCAAGACCUCCAUGUCUUGUUACUUCUCUAUCAUCGUCCCGCCCGGUCUCCAAUUAUUCAUCCUCAACACUUGAUUAUUUCCAUGAUAGCAUAUAUAGCCAACCCUUUUCAGGAAUCCACCUAUCUCGCUCAGGUGACAGUACAUCACCUGGCUUCUACCGGUCUAAGCAUGACUAAGCAUUUAGAUUCGAUCCUGAAUCUACAUAGGGUUAUAGGUAUAUUUGCUGGAUAAGGAGUGUUAUAUGCAGCAAGGGUUUCACCCAAGUCCUAUACUUAAUGCAACAAUACAUAUAUAACAUAUAUUCUCAAUUGCAUUCAAAAGUAGUGGGAGACUUAUAUUGCUCCGGGGCUUGCCUGGGAUCAACACUGAGUCAGUUAUGUUAGUUGCGCCAUCUUGAUGACAUCUUAGGUCGCAACACUUGCUUAGUCCUUCCACCUUCGGGAUGGGUCCACCCAACACCGUCUUCGGGUAUGUUCCCACACCAAGACCUUCACGUGAUACACCUACCGCACCUAGAUGAGAUGCAAGAUGCAAGUGCAUGAAUAUGCGGAAUAGUGACACAACAUGCAUUACAUAAAAGUAUGCAAGACACAUGCCUCUAAGUUAUUUAACUAACAUCACACAACCAAAUAUUUAGAAAACAUAUCAAUCACAACACAAGUUUAACAAGUUUACAAGUGUAUUACUUAAUCACCGCUAAAGACAGGUAUCAUAGUUAGCACACAAAGUAAAGCAAUCAAGCAUUCCUGUAUUUCAGCAAUUCUGGACAUACAUGCAACAACUCAGUAAAUAAAUCAUAACUGGAGUUACACAACUACAAAAACUAUGCAAUAGGACAUUCUGGAAAGAUUAUUAUAAAAUUAUCUACCAUUUAUCUUUAAUCAUAUUAGCAUGAUUAACAAGUUAACCAAGUCAAACAUGCAUGACCAUAUAAUCUGGUCCAGGAACUUCCAGAGAACAAGCAUUUCAAAGGAUGAACUUCAUACUACUGUAACUCAUAAACGACUUAGCUGAAUGCUAUGAAACUUUACCACAAGAUAUAUUUGUAAGUUAUCUACAUCUUUUCUAUAUACAAGUUUAACAGCAAAUAUCAUUUAUAUCAUGGAAUUAAUUGCAUAAAUAAAACUGUUCAUGCUGCCAAACAGUAGAAGUAUAAUUACAAACAGAAAACUAACAAGUAAUUCAAAGCAGCAUAACUGGAGUUGUAGACCUCCAGAAAACAUAAUUCUUAUAUUUGUGGAAAGCUUAUAAAGUUACCUAGAACUUUCUUAUUAUCAUCUAAAUAUGAAUCCACGGUUAACAAGGUCAAUUAAUCCCAUGAUGUCAUCUCUGUCUAAAACAUAGACAGAAUCUGUCAUGUCACAUUAAACAGCUAUAACUUGAGGUUCACAUGUCCAUAAUUUAUGGUUUUCUACUUUCUAGAAAUAUUACGAAAUUGUGAACAACUUUUUUAUAAACAUCUAGAGCUAAAUCUACAACUAACAAGGUCUUACAUUACAAACAAUGCAAUUCUGUCUGGGUUUAGACAGAAACUAGAACAGUAAUUUAAACCACUAUAACUAAAUAUGUGCUUAACCAAAAAUUGUGCUAUUUAUCUUUUUGGAAAUUUUAUGAAAAUUAAUAAAACUUAUAUAUUUUCAUCCCGGCAAGAUUCUCAACUUAACUGAGCCAAACAAUACAAACAUGCAGAUCCACUCAGAAUAGGGGCAAAGCAACACAGGGCAUUUGUUAUUUUUAUAACUAUUAAUCUAUCCACUAUAAAUUCAUGAAACUUUUACCAGACAUCAAACAUCGUAUGAAAAGCAUGUCAAAAUAUUUUCACAUUUAUUUGGGCAAUAACACAGAAGUUAUGAAAAAGACAAAUAUAACAAGCAAUUAAAACCUAACUGCAUAAAUCUAUUUUUACGACUAAAACUUCAAACUAAACCAUGCCAUAUUAUAGAUCUACUGCAUAUAGAAUUUCAUAAGGAUUCGAAAAAGUCCACAUUUUCUAUUUUACGACUUUUCUAUGAAUUACUAUGCAUUAACAAAGUUCAUACAAGAAAUCUACAAAAACAAAAGAUAAAGGAAAACGACUUUGCAUCGGGAACCCAGAAGUUUCUCCGAAUCAACCCGUCGUCGAGAGCACUGUUCAUAUGAGUCUUGACUUCACAUCUAAACCCCUCACUUUUGACGAAUUUGAGCCGGUGGUCCCUAGUCGCGAAGGAGAUUCGCCAGAGCUUCCUGUUCCGGCCCGUCGGAGCCUCGUCGGUGGCGAUGGAGGGGUGGGGAAGCAUUAGGGCAAUGAGCCGCACCCGUAGGUGGCCACGGCUCGGCCAAAGGUGGCCCGUGGCGGUCCGGCCACGCACGCACACCGACGGCGGCGACGGCGGUGGCACGCCGGCGACCACGGCGACCGAUUCAGACGGCGAGCGUGAGCACGAGAUGUAGGAGAUGGAGGCGAAGCUACUGACGGUGCUUGCAGGGAGUGAGGAGGUCCGGAGCAGCGAGAACGCGGCGGCACGAGCUUCCACGGCAGCCAUGGCGACGGCGCGAGCAGCAGGGCGAGCACCGAGCGAAGGACGAGCGAGCGAGGGCAGAGAGUGAGAGCAGGGAGGAGUAGGGAGUGCAACGCCCACUUCUGGAGGAGCAGGGAGCAGGGCAGCGCGUAGCCCUAGAGGUCGGGGCGCCCAGCUUGCAUGGAGAACGCGUCGGCAUUUCGUCGAGCACGUGGCGGGCAGUGAAGUGGCCGGCGUGGGAGGCGAUUUUGUGCCUUUUUCGGGCUGAAUUGGACCUUGGGCCAAAAACAAAGUUUGCUCACCCUGCCAUGCUCUACAACUUUGGUUAAGUGACUGUGGUCAUUAGACCAACAGAUUAAGAGAUAAUUAGAUGCCAAGUUACGAGUGUCAACGUAUUGACGGUGAUUAGCAAAACGAAGAAUUGAUGGUCCAAACCACGUCAAACUUGAUGCAACUUUUUGCAUGCUCUUCUCCAAACAAUUAUCCACAACUUUUAUUUUUGGACCAUAUUGAGUUGCUUAACAAAAACACGAGAACGUGGCAUGCCAACGGGUCGAUGUCUGUUUAGCGAUAACAUAACCUUUUGCUGUUUUGGGAGCUAUUUUUAGAUAUCCAAAUGAACUCCAAAUUUGAUGACUCUUGAUCCAUUGUUUUCACAGAGAAGAGUACUCCAACUCAUAUUAAGGAAUUCAAUUGAGUUACUAUAUGAAUUUGGAUAAUAAAAUGUAAUGAAGGAGCUAACUCACUGCUGUCACUUUCAGGGAAAGACAAAAAUAUGGAAGUAGCAAAUCAACACUGAAUUGAUUCUUGAGAGCUCAAUUUGAUUAGGAUAGAAACCAAACUAUCUCUUGAUCCUUAAACAAAUUUUGUUCUACAGAAGCAAAACUACAACUUUCAUUUAGGGUCAAACCUCAUAACUGUAACAAAAGUGAAGCUUUCACUUUGGUCAAAGAAGUAACCUGACAAAGCUCCAAAUAGGGUUUUAGGCUAAUUGAAGCAUUUUCUUUGCAUAAGCUCAACAUGAACCCUUCAUGACUUUUGUUGUAUAAUUCAUCUAUAUUCAUAUGAGUAAGUUUGCAAGGGUUGGUUGAUGACCCAUUAUUCUAUUUCCUUAAUAGAGCUAUUCCGACAAGGAUAUAACUUAUCAUUUCAUGUGACAUCUUGAUUCUAAACUUCACCAAAAUUUUUCAGAGACCCAAAUAGAUUGGGAUGGAUAUAAGACACAUAGAAAAUGUUCCACUAGCAUCAUCUAAGCAUACCUUUUAAAAAGGGCCUAUAUGUAAGUAAAGGUGCAUCAUCCAAGUCCAAGUUGCGGUUUACUUUCAUAGGUUGACUAUGACCUCUUUGUUACCAUUGAGCUUGUCAUGUUUGAGCUCAAACCUAGUACUUAGCAAGUGACAAACACCUUGGGUGUUACAAUGAGCUAAUUGGCAUUCCAAAGCCAAACCCUCAGCGGGUGCCGCACAUCCACUCUCAAGAUGGGGAUCCUCCAAGCCACAAGCAAUCCACUAGAGUUGCUCUUCGCGAACCCCACGGGGUGAGCACUGUACCCCUCACAAUCUCUUCUCCAGAGCACCGCACAAUCUCCUUGCGUGCUUCGAUGGAGUCACAAGCCACCAAGCCAUCUAGGAGGUGGCAACCUCCAAGAGUAACAAGCACCACCGGCUUGCAACACGAACACCUAGUGCCACUCGAUGCAAUCUCUCAAUGCAACGCACUAGAAUCACACACUCGCUAUUGAUUCGCACUCUUGCAAGCACAAGUGAGUUAGAGGCUUUCCUAGCACUCCCCAAGCAUGGACACUAUGUCCCAAGGGUGCUCAACAUAAGUCAAGGCCGGCCACCACUUCUAUUUAUAGCCCUAAGGGCUAAACUAGCCGUUACCCUUCACUGCGCAAAAGUCGACCACACCGGACACGUCUGGUGUGCACCGAACCAAAACCCAGGGAGCUCUGCACGAAGAGUUUGCACCGGACGCUAACUUGGAUGCGUCCGGUGUCACAUCGGACGCGUCCGGUGUGCACCUGACGCAAACUCAAAGAGUUUUCAUCGAGAAACGAACUCAACGGACGAGGCACACUGGACUAUGUGCGAAAACUGUUUCCGCGUCUGGUGCCUCAACUCGGACGCGUCCGACCUCAUACCGGACGCGUCCGGCCUGAAAGCGCUGCACGAAACGAUCUCCAAAUUCUUCCCUUGCUUCCAUGCGCCAACACAAAAGUGUUACAACACUUGUGCAAGUGUGUUAGCAUUUUCACAAACAUUUUUCCAUGGGAGUUAGCCUCUCAACUUGCCACGCCACUCAAUCCUAACACGUAUGCAAAGUUAGAUAACUCAAGUGGCACUAGAUGACCGAUAUGCAAACAAGUUUGCCCCUCUUGAUAGUAAGGCCAUCUAUCCUAAAUCCGGUCAUAAACUUCUCUACACACCUAUGACCGGUGAAAUGGAAAUGCCCUAGGUUAUACCUUUGCCUUGCGCAUUCCAUUCCAUCUCCUCCAAUGUUGAUGCAACACAUGCACCAACCAAUCACGAAAUGAUAUGAUCCACUUCAUAUCAUCACGUGACCAUAUUAGUUCAUCGAUCUUGACCUCACUUGCUCUUCACCGUUGCCUCGGUCCAUCGGCGCCAAGUCUUGCUCAAGCUUCACCGUCACACGCGGUCCCUCACUUCAAAUCCUCUGACUUGCCCUUCACUCUUACAACCGGUCCAUCAAGCCAAGCCUCAUCUUGAUCUUCUCCACCUUGGUCACAUGACUCCAUGUCACGUCUCAUACGCAAUGAGCUCCUUCAUCAUCACAUAUUCACCUGUGGACUAAUCUCCUGUGUAUCUCACAUAAACAUUAUUAGUCCACCUAUGUUGUCACUCAAUUACCAAAACCAAACAAGGACCUUUCAGUGGGAGAGAAGCUCUAAACCCUAACUUUGAUAGCUACCUCUGAUAAUGAUUUCUCCUCUUCUCUUCUCUCCCCUAGGGGUGGAGAGGCCUUGGUUAUAUAGUCCUUUCAAGUGAAUUUGGGCCGUCGGAUCAAACCGACAUUGAUCGCACGGUUUUCCUUGAUCCUUUAGGUCGGUGGAGCACGAUCCAAGAGUUUGGUUCGGAUUGGACCCGAGACCUGGGCGGGCGCCCAAGGGCGGAGGGCGGGCGCCCUGCCCCCGGGCCCGAUCGCCUUCCCAUUCGUUCCCGUGGCUUUUGGACUCUUCUAGAUUGAGGAAAAUUGCGCGGCACAUAAUUAUCUCAUUGUGAUCAUGACAUGUGGGCCUUCUCUCUAUAUUUUCUGAUAACCCCCUGCAGAAAUAGAUAAACACCAAAGCUCGUGGAAUUCUGUCAGAUAAAACCCUAAUUGUAGAUGUUCGGUGCAUAUUGAUUCUUUUCCAUGUUUAGUUGAUGGUUAAUUUUAGUACUUAAGGACCGUCAACAGCUGUCACUACCCUAGGGCUACCACAACAAUCCGCAGGAUUGGGUGCAGUUCUAGGUAAUUGCAAGACUAAACACCACGUCUAAUCUAUUAAUUACUACUCUAGUGUUAUAAAGACUAGAGCACUUGAUGCAAGCGGGAAUCCAAUAAAUAACUUGAAUGUAAAUAAAAGUAAUUAAAGAACUCAGGAAUUAUGAAUUGAAGAACUUGGAGAACGAUGAAGAACGAACCAGUUGCUGCAAAAGUAUAAUGUUGAGGAAGAUCCGACAGAUUCGGCUCCUCCUCCGCUCUCCUCUUCUCUCUCCCUAUUUUCUAGAUUACAACUAGAACUAACUAGAACUAGAACUAGAUGAACUAGAACUAGAACUAGAUGAACUAGAGGGAUCCUCUCUACUUGGAUGAACAAUUGAAACCCUAGCUUUGAUUCUAUAGAAAGAGGUAUGUUCUCCAGGGCCAGGGGGCCUUGCUUAUAUAGUCUUUUUAGAUGAAUUUGGGCCGUCGGAUCAAACCGACAUUGAUUGAAUGGUUAUCCUUGUUCCUUUAGGUCGGUGGAGCAUGAUCUCCGAAGAGGACUCUGAUUGGGCACAGAAGGUGGGUGGACGCCCUGGUCUCUAGGGCGGGCGCCCUGGGCUAGGCCCCGCUCUGCCUCCGCUUUGUUCCUGUGGCUUCUGGAGUCUUCUAGAUUGUAGAAAAUUACGUGGCACGUUAAUAUCUCUACGUAAACCCGACGUGUGGGCCUUUUCUCCAUAUUUCCUGAUAACCCCCUGUAGAAAUAGACAGACACCAAAACUCGUUGAAUUCUGUCAGACAAAACCCUAAGUUCUGGGUGUUGGUUGCAUAUAAGUCUUUUUUCCAUGAUUAGUUGACGGUUAAAUAUGAGCAUUAAGGACCGUCAACAUGCAUGUGAGUGUAGUGAAUGAAGUAAGUGAUAAUAAUGAUGGUGAUAUUGAGGGGUGAUGACUAAUGGUGAAUAUCUAAUUAUACAAUUGCUCAUCGGGGAUAACAUACCUCCCUAAUCUGAGAAUAAGGACAUGGUUGUCUUUCUUUUCUUCUAGGACUUUUGUCCUCUUUCUUUCUUUUCUCUCUCUCUCUCUUUAGAGAUCAUCCAACCCAAUGCACUGAUAACAGUAGGGAGUAUCAACUGAAAUAAAUGGAGCUUUAUUGGAUAAGUAGAUUUAGAUCAAGCAUUUGCUACCCACAAGUUUUAGGCUUAGAGCAAAUCUUAAGCCUAAACAAUUGUGUCUACAACUCAAGAGAGUACAAGUUUAAAAACUAGAUACUUGCAAGGAAUUACGGCAGAGCAACUAUUCAUCAUCUCCAUAUAAACUUUAAUCUAUAGGUUCAUUUUAAUAGAUUCAUUAAGUGCUCUCCUUAGCUAGCAUAAACUAAUUAUGAAAGAUAAAAUAUUUAUUGGGUUUCUAUGGUUAUUAAUCUUUUUAUCUUGUCAUAAUGCACUAGGAAUAAAUGGAUAAGUGAGAGAUACUUAGCUCAGUAUACGGGGGUUGCUCUCCCCCGAGCUGGAUGUUGAUAUAGUCUGUUGAGGUUGCUGACGGGCAGUGAAUGCGUAUUAAUCCCCCUGGAGUGUCGUGGGUACUUGCUCUUUGAAGCAGCACUUGCCUGAUGUCGACAGACUCUAAUAAGGAUAGGACGUCCUUUUGCCUAUUAAUUCUUCUUAAUCCGUGGAAGCCUCUGAAGCUCAAAUAGACAACUGUUGGCAAAUCUUAACGCACACCGGCUAGAAUAAGAUGUGACAAGUAUCUAGAAAUGGUGGCACCUAACCAGCACUGCUUAAAUGCAAGCCUGAGCUUUUACAAGGAUAGGGUGUCAGGCUACCAUGAGCAACGGCUCCAAAAAUGCUAAGCAAUGCUAAACUCUAGUGAUGACGUAAGAUGUACCAGAGGUAACUCUGCAAGGGCAUAGAUACCGAUGUAGUACUUCAACGUGGUGAGUAUCCGCAGUGUCAUAAUUUAUAGUUUGUCCAAGGGAAAGCGUGCUAGAAGAGAUAGCGAGGAAGGGAAAUCCUAUCUCAGCUAGGAUUCACUAAGGUAGAGAGGUAAUGACGAUGUAGAGGAAGGUUGAUGUGGUUCUGGAUAACUCUAAGAUAACUAGUGUAGUGUAGCUAGGUGGGAGGACAACGAGUGAGAAAAGACUCCUCUGACUCUAACUUUACUCCUGUGGACCAAUCUAGUCUAAUGGCGGACACAUACUAAGAUCGCUAAACUUAACUGCUUGUUUGCUGGAAGUCGACUGCAAUAGGAGGACGAAACUCCUAUCCAAGCGGACUCGUUUCUUAUGGGCGCCUACAGACCGUACCCGACGUGAAUAGAACCUACUAGGAAGCAGAGGCCUGUCACGCUUUGCCACCGCUCGCUAACACAUUUGAUAUGGUGGUAUUCUAGGGCAGGAUUUAGCCUAAGCACCACACUUAUGCUAACUCCUACUACUCAAACUAAGUAUACAACCUAGUCCAAGCACCAUGUGACCGGCAGAGAAAACAACCCAAGCACUUAAGACUAACUUAGCUCGUAUAUGACUACUAGAAGAUAGACUAGGACACUACAAUAGAAUAUUGCACUGAGUAAAUACUAAAAGUAAAUACUUAGAAAAGUAAAGGAAAAGUAAAUAUAUUAAAUACUCAAAGUCUAACAAGAGAAAAGGUAAAGAGGAAUACCAGACUCUCCAGAAGAUGACUCUAGAGACUCUAAGCUUCGCUCGACUCAACUCUAACUCCCACACUAGACUAACACUAACACUUACAACUAGAAAGCUAGAGCUAACUUGAAAACACACACUUCUCUAAGAGGGUUGAUGCAGCCUCUAUUUAUAGGGAGAGUAGAGGGGGUUGUUGAUAUUUGGUAACGCAAUAAGGAAAUGAUCCGCAAAUCGGUGAGCAUUUCACCCGGGAGGUUAUCCAGAGUUAUCGUAUUUAUAUUUUUACCACUGGGAGAAAGGGUGCAUCUGACUAACCAAAUCUAUUGCUACUAUCCCUUUAGGCUACAAAGAAUGUUUCUCGAUGUGAGUGAUGUAUAGAGAAGACUGCAACCGUAGUCUCGUUCUAACCUUGGUAAGGAUGAUCUACUGUUCUAUUGGGGAGGCUCACGGAAUCUAGACAACACAAAGGAUGUUCGACCCGCACCUAUAAACCUACCCGUCCUGCUAACAAGAUAUGGGAUACAAAGGUAACUCGGAAAUGUCACGUUCCUCGCUACUACCAUGGUCCAGCUAGUCAGGGGAUAUCUAUGAGUACCCUAGCCUAAACACCACGUUUACGCCAGCAAUGAUUACUCUAAUACUCAACCGGAAGAGGAUUAAAGUAAACUCAUAAACCAAAGAACAAUAAAACAAGAACUUACUAGAAUUAGAAGUCGAAUUACUGAAGAAUCUUAGAAGUAAGCCUCGGGUUAGGAGACUUGAUCCCGCAGGUACAACUCGGAGUAGACACCGACAGGCCGGCCUUCCUCCGAUCUACACCUCCACUCUAUCUCUCUCAAUCUAGUAGAAACUAGAAGAUCUAUUUCUACUUACAUUGGUUGCUAAGCCUAAAAAGAAAUAUUAUUUAGAGAAGAGGUUUUCCUUCGAGGGCACCCCUCAAUCUCUAUGAUAAUUUCUUAUCUUCUCCAGGGGCCAGGGGGGUCUGCUUAUAUAGUCCUCCUCCUCUGUGCAUUUUUGGUUCAGCAGGCGAUGUGGUACUAAACUUUCCACCAUAUCUCAUUAAAAUGCACAUAGGCCUUAAUUGACCAAAAUCUGAUUUGGGCCCAAUUAAUCCCGCAGCUCUUUUAUGUGGAGUCCUUCUUUUAUUAAUAUCUUUUGAUUCCGAACUCCAAAUAUAGCAAAUAAUAUAUGCAUUUCGAUCAGCUCGACGAGAUCUUUGCAAUGGUGUACUCCAUUCUGUGAUUGGUGGAAACACCUAGGCGGGCGCCCAAGGGGGGUGGGCGGGUGCCCUGCCCCCGGGCCCGUUUGCCUUCUCGUUCGUUCCCGUGGCUUCUGGAGUCUUCUAGAUGAUAGAAAAUUGUGCGGCACAUUAAUAUCUCUAUGUAAUCCCGAUGUGUGGGCCUUUCUUCCAUAUUUCCUGAUAACCCCCAGCAGAAAUAGACAAACACCAAAACUCGUGGAAUUCUGUCAGAUAAAACCCUAAUUCUAGGUGUUGGUUGCAUUUGGAUCCUUUUCUUUAUUUAUUUGAUAAUUAAAUUUGAUACUUAAGGACCGUCAACAAACUCCCCUAAGCUUACCUCUUGCUCGUCCCUGAGCAAGGAUGAACUCAAGAGUUUCUGCAGUGGUUUCAUGCCUUAAAAGUACACACGCAUUCAAGCAAGAUCUCAUCUCUGAGUUAGAAUAAACUGUUAAGACUUAAAACUUACUCAUUUUACCUUUCACCAUGGGUCUUGUAACCAUCACUUGUGUCUUGAGUAGUUAAAAGAUAGAACGGUCAAGUCAAGCGCCAUGUCUCUUAUUCUUGAUCAGCUAUAGCUCUGGAGUCUUUGCAGAUUUUCAAAUAAAACUCAGAGAUUCCUUGUAUGACUCUAUCAGAUCUCUCUUUUGUGGUAUUUCUGGAUCCUUACCAAGGCAGUAAUGGUAUAUGCCUUCUCUCAAUGUAUGUAGUAUUUGUGGUAUGAGGCAUAGUGAUAUUGCCUUCUCUCUCACCCUACUCUAAUAAGGUUUUGAUAUCUGGAGCUCAUAGGUGGGAGACAGCUAAUACAUACUUACAAGACAUUUAUUGCAUAGUCAAACCAUGGAUCCAGAGAAACAAGUCAAUAAGUCAAAUCAAGAUGUGCAUAUGUGGCGAGUGAAUGUUGUAUGGUGAUGAUGGAGAUAACAAUGGUGAAAAUCUAAUUCUACUUUUGCUCUUUUAAGGGGAUACAUACCUUUCUUGCACUUUGAAGCUUUUUGAGGAGAAUGAGAUGCUCUAUAUUUUCUUUUUUCUUUUUCUCUCAGGUGGGUAUCUUGUACCCCUAAUUCUACUGUCGGACACUUGUCCAUUUUUACCUCUCGUCUCACUUUUUCUUUUCUUUCGAGGUUCCGGGCACUUGCCCCUUUUUAUUUCCUCGUAUUAUUAUUAUUUUUUUCUUUUCUCUUUUUUUCAAUCUUUUUUUUAGAGCACUCAUCUCCUGAAAUAAUGUAGCAAGUGGUAGUAACCAAAAUAACUGGAGCAUUUAUUUCACAGGGAAUAACAGGGAUAGGAAAAUAUUUUUGGCUAUUCUCCCCCGGAUAGGAGUAGAAUACUUUUGGGUGGUUUUGGAGAUGGAAAUGAGUGGAUAUAUGUGGAUGGUACUUCUGGAGUAGAAGUAGCAUGUAUGAGUGAACGUGCAAGUGAAUCUUGAUUUUAACCACAUGGCAAGCUCCUAAGGGUCUACACAGCUUGACCACACUCAAUGCUCAUAAGCAGUAAAAAGUAAAUGUGUGGCUCAAAGUCUAGCAAGCAUGUAUGGCUGUGGUAGGAAUUUAAACUCUCAUCAUACAGGAACUCAUCAUGUGUUAUUUUAAAGACUUUUCAAAGAUAAAAUUCUCCAGAAUUCUAGCAUCUCUAGGAACAGAUAAACAGCAGCUCAACCUUUUCAUAUCAUAUCUGUUAACGACUUAGACUUUAGAUCAAGUACUCUUCCCACAAGUUCAGGUUUAGAGCAAAUCUUACUUCAUAACAGUCAUGCCUAAACUUGAGAGAGAUUUCAAUUUGAAGAACUAGUCAUGGCAGAGCAACUAUUCAUCAUUCCAUGUGAGAGUUUAUCAUGAGUGUUCAUAGCAAACUUUAUUUAUUUAUUUAUUUAGCAAACUAAGCAAAGAUAUAUAUAUAUAUAAAAGCACAAAAUCUUUAUUUGGGUUUUCAUGAUUAUGCAUCUUUUUAUUAUUUGAGUAAAGUAUAAACGCGAGUAGAAACACUUAGCUGGAUAAAUGGGGGUGCUCUCCCCCAAGCUGAAUUUUGACGUAAUUUCUUCUGAUGUAGCUAGCAGGUGGUGGAGGUGUAUUUGAGUGUCAGCAGCACCCUGACAGCGAUUAGGAUGUCCUCCGUCUGCUAGUCUUCUUUGAUCCUUGAAUUCUGUGGAGCUCAAAUAGACAACAAAGCUUUGUGGAACUGGUUAAGUGUUAGCAUAAAUAUCUAGCCUUUAAAAUAUUGAGCCUCCUCAAUAAAUGUUACUCUCUUUAGUAGGAUCGUAAAUUUAUUUUUAUAUUUUUUAUAUUUAUAGGACAAGAAUAUAUUUAUUUUAUUUUUAUGCCACCACAGUGAAUGUACUUAUGGGGUUUAUGCCACUCGUAUACUCACAUGGGGCUUACUGUUUUUUAACAUUUUUAUUUUCUUUUUAAGAUAGCAUGAACCUGAUUAACUAAGCAAACUAUUUUAAAUAAUUGAAAGGAAAAGGAUAACUACCAAGUUUACCUCUUGGCAAGGCGUUCGGUGUUUUUAAGUCCUCCAAAUGGGACUCCUUGUGUUUUCAGUCGUCUUGGGAUUCGCUAGGUGGCGUAGUCGGUGGUUCCGGCGGCGCCUCCUCUUCGUGUAUAACUAUCUUCUCUCUCCACACCUGAUUCGGUGCUACAGUCUCCUCAGGACAGUUCUGUUCAAGCUAUAUAUCUUCAGACCUUAUCACUUCUCCUUCGUAGUCUACCCAUCCGUCCUUGAUGAUUUGGCUCCUCUAGUUGCGGUUGCGUCGUCUUCUUCUUGUCCUGACCUGCUUAGAGUCUUCAACUAUAUAGUUAAGGUCAGUAAAAUAGCUGCGUACCUUCUCAGAGGGGAAGUACAUGUGGACUUCUCCGGUUCCAAUGUAGAUGAUGGCCCUGAUAGUGUUGCGGAGCGGUCUUUCAAGGAUGGUGGGUGCAUCAUACUCGUCUUCUCCCAUGUCAAUGUCCUACAAAUCAUCUAGAGCUGAAUGUAUAUUGGUUGUAGGGGCAUGGUUCCAUACAGGAGCUGAUAAGUAACUGCGGCCAUUAUGUUGACGUCAGAUCCGGUGUCGUAGAGUGUCUUCUAAGAAGAGUAUCUGUUGAUUGUGCACUCGAUGCUUGGAACACCAGGGUCGUCCUUCUUGAUCAAGAAAGGUGACUUGAGUCGACGAUCUUGACCUCCUUGAGCUGCAAUGACCAUCUUAGCUGACUCGGUCCACAUUUGCUUGUUCCUGUUCCUCCUGUUGGUCCUCUUCCUUGGUUCAUGUCGGGAUUGCUCUGAAAUUUGUGUAGUCUUGUUCUUGAAGGAAAAUCUCCUUCUUCCCCUUGAUGUAGAGACUGAUCUUGGCAGCAUUAGCGUAGAUGACAGCUCUAGUGUUUAGGAAUGGCCUCCCUAAGUUGAUGGGUGCCCUCUCCUCAGUACCAGUCUCUAUCACCAUGAAGUUUGCUGGAGCGUACAAGGUACCAACUCGGACACAGAGGUUCUUCAAUAUUUCCUUUGGAAAACUAAGUGUCUGAUCUCCAUUGUGUCUGUGCUCGUAGAUCCCGGUUCUUCACUUGGUGGAAUCUGGGAGUUGUAAAACUCCUCCAUGUUUUGUUUGAAGUGUACCUAUUCAUGGAGACCAUGCAGAGAUCAAGUGCAUGAGCCCUGUUGGUGGAAAACACCAACAGAACCAAAAGUGUUUUUGUUCUUCUCUAACCUUAAGCAUAGUGAGCAAGGCAAAGUUCAUGGAUCAUGAGUGUAGUAUUUAAAACAUUUGUUAGAUCAGAUGGCUCAACCUAAUGGAAAGAUAAUCUAUAUAUAUUUAUGUUUUGUUUAUAUCUUCCAAAGAUUGAAUGUGCAAUACUUUAGCUUAUAUGAUUAGGAGUGUGGGAUCACGAAGGUAGUACUAAGAACAAAGAUUAAAGGACUAAACAUGUUGAAUUAAUUGAGUUGGUUAAUCUGGAGUUACAAAUCAUACAUGUUGGUCUCUUUAUUUUAUGUGAUCGCCAGAACCAAGGAGAAACUUAUAAAAGUGAUAGUCAAGUACCUUAAAAUGUUACCUUACUUGAAGAGUGGCGGUACAGUAUCACCUUGUAGAAGCUUUCCUUUCUUAGCGGUUGUGCAUCGUGUUUGUGGCUUCCUCCAUGGAUCAUCUCUUUAUGAUGAAUGAGCUAUGUCCUUCUUGCGCAAAUUGUUAAACUUCAUGUGUCUCCUUUAUCUCCAAUGAGUUUGUAUCUUAGGACUUCCUAGGUUGAUAUUGAAAGUUUUCCUGCAGGGGUUAGUCCAACAAAAUAUCCCAUAUCUACUAUAGUAUACUAUCGGCUCAAAAAUCAACCUAGACACCAUGUCUAAUUUGAUUUAGAAGGGCAUUUUAACCUAAGCACCAUGCUUAAUUUGAAAUCCCUUGGAAGUAAGAUCAUCAUUCCUAAACUAAGCACCAUGCUUAAUUAAGAGAUAAAUGAAAUUAUUCCAAACCUAGACAUAUACUAAAGCAAAUAAAGGUAGCAUGAGAGCAUUUAUAGAGAUCUACUUAAGUGGAGAUGAAGUAGUGUAAUUAGUAUUUAACAAACUGAGCAUGUCUCAAAGGUAAGGACAACCAACGUAGCAACAUAGCAAAGGAUGUUUUUAUGUAAAGUACUCCCCCAUGUUUGAAUUUUACAAAAUUCAAGUUUGGAUGAAUUUAAUUCAAUGUUGCAUGAUGAUUGGUUGGACAUACCUUGUGCUUGUCAUUCAUCCGAUCUUCUUGCUCCAAUCCUAGAAAGGUUAGUGGCAAGAAUACCCGAAGGAAUAUUUCUAUAAUUAUCUUUAUAUUGCUCAAUACACAAGGCAAUGUUGCAAAUAAUUAGAAGUGCUUGUUUUAGAACACUAAGCUUGUCCUUGGGAAACCAUCAAGUUAUGUUGGUGAAGUGGUUUCCCCUCCAACACCAACCUAAGCGUGCCUAUAUCAAGAUCAACGAGAUCUAGAAUAUUUAUUAUAGAUAUAUGCAUCGACAACCGCCCUUUUAAAGUUUUUAUAAAUAGAAAGGAAGAGGGGGUUGGAGAUCUCAAAUGUGGUAAGGAUGGAGAGACCAAUUGAUUGGGGAGAUGUUUUAUAUGAGCAAGGACUUGGUGAGGUAUUUAUGAAAUAACUUCCAUGCUCACUGUUGUUUCUCUCAUUCUCAAACUCCAAGGAUGACUUUUCAUGAAUGCUUAAAAUUCCUCUAGAAUUGUCUCUCAAGUUUGUUUUAUCCAUCCAUUUAAUGGUGAUAGCACAUGGAUUUUUAAUGCCCUCUAGCCAUCGAUGUUGCUCUUCUCGAUCCUCCUUCUUAUGCAUGGGAUGUCUAGAGAGAUUCAUAGGAUUAUCGGGAGGUUCAAGAGAAAGAGCAUAGUGGAAACUAUUAAGCUCAAGGAUGGGUUUGAUAGCCGAAUCAUGGGGUUGAAGUGUUUGGAAAUUGGCUAUUGAACCUUCCUUUCCUUGUCUGGGAGAUGAUUCCUUCUCUAUUUCUAAGAUUUUUCUAUGAAGACUAGUACAAGAAGGAUGUCCACGAAUGAAGACAUACCUUCCUUUACUAAUAGAUAAAGAAAGAAAGACUCUACCAAAGGUUAUAUGAUUAAGACUAAUGUGAAAAUAUCUAGGAAAAACAUGGUCUUGUAGGGCUAGGUCUAAACCAGAAUUUAUAAAAAGAUUAACAGAUUCCCUAGGUGUAGCUAAAAGUGCAUUAUCUUCUUGAUUAAAAGAUAGGACCUCGACUAUAGAAAAGGGUUGGUUUUGACCUAUUGUAAUCAACUCCGGACAUAGAUCAUAAUUACGGGCAGGACGUGUUGACUCCCAUGGUCUAUGGCUGGUCUCCGAAGGUGCAAAGAAUUCAAUAAUAGGUAUGGAAUUUAAGUUAUCCAUAAAAAUAAAAGUAAAAGAUAAAAGUAUAAAAGUAUAAUACAAGAAAAUAGCAAGACUCAAAGUUAUCUCAGCAAAUCGUCUUUCUCUCCGGCAACGGCGCCAGAAAUGCUUGUUGAUAUUUGAUAACGCAAUAAGGAAAUGAUCCGCAAGCGCACGGAUAUCGGUGAGCAUUUCACCCGGGAGGUUAUCCAGAGUUAUCGUAUUUAUAUUUUUACCACUGGGAGAAAGGGUGCAUCUGACUAACCAAAUCUAUUGCUACUAUCCCUUUAGGCUACAAAGAAUGUUUCUCGAUGUGAGUGAUGUAUAAAGAAGACUGCAACCGUAGUCUCGUUCUAACCUUGGUAAGGAUGAUCUACUGUUCUAUUGGGGAGGCUCACGGAAUCUAGACAACACAAAGGAUGUUCGACCCGCACCUAUAAACCUACCCGUCCUGCUAACAAGAUAUGGGAUACAAAGGUAACUCGGAAAUGUCACGUUCCUCGCUACUAUCAUGGUCCAGCUAGUCAGGGGAUAUCUAUGAGUACCCUAGCCUAAACACCACGUUUACGCCAGCAAUGAUUACUCUAAUACUCAACCGGAAGAGGAUUAAAGUAAACUCAUAAACCAAAGAACAAUAAAACAAGAACUUACUAGAAUUAGAAGUCGAAUUACUGAAGAAUCUUAGAAGCAAGCCUUGGGUUAGGAGACUUGAUCCCGCAGGUACAACUCGGAGUAGACACCGACAGGCCGGCCUUCCUCCGAUCUACACCUCCACUCUAUCUCUCUCAAUCUAGUAGAAACUAGAAGAUCUAUUUCUACUUACAUUGGUUGCUAAGCCUAAAAAGAAAUAUUAUUUAGAGAAGAGGUUUUCCUUCGAGGGCACCCCUCAAUCUCUAUGAUAAUUUCUUAUCUUCUCCAGGGGCCAGGGGGGUCUGCUUAUAUAGUCCUCCUCCUCUGUGCAUUUUUGGUUCAGCAGGCGAUGUGGUACUAAACUUUCCACCAUAUCUCAUUAAAAUGCACAUAGGCCUUAAUUGACCAAAAUCUGAUUUGGGCCCAAUUAAUCCCGCAGCUCUUUUAUGUGGAGUCCUUCUUUUAUUAAUAUCUUUUGAUUCCGAACUCCAAAUAUAGCAAAUAAUAUAUGCAUUUCGAUCAGCUCGACGAGAUCUUUGCAAUGGUGUACUCCAUUCUGUGAUUGGUGGAAACACCUAGGCGGGCGCCCAAGGGGGGUGGGCGGGUGCCCUGCCCCCGGGCCCGUUUGCCUUCUCGUUCGUUCCCGUGGCUUCUGGAGUCUUCUAGAUGAUAGAAAAUUGUGCGGCACAUUAAUAUCUCUAUGUAAUCCCGACGUGUGGGCCUUUCUUCCAUAUUUCCUGAUAACCCCCUGCAGAAAUAGACAAACACCAAAACUCGUUGAAUUCUGUCAGAUAAAACCCUAAUUCUAGGUGUUGGUUGCAUUUGGAUCCUUUUCUUUAUUUAUUUGAUAAUUAAAUUUGAUACUUAAGGACCGUCAACAGGGGUGCCACAUCAGCGAUCCGUGUGCUUCCCACUUUUCCACCCUUGGAUAAACCGUCAUUGUAACCGCCUUAGAUGGACGUCCAAGAUCAUUUGCACAUCUUGCCAAAGUCGGUGGAGUGUAACCGACCUUGAGUGGGCCCAUAUCAUAGGUCGGUCGACCUGACACUUUGUGAUGUGGGCCACCCUAAGCCUUCUAGAAGGUCCUGGAGGUCGGUGGAGGUGGGACCCACCAUGGCCCGGUUGGUCGACCAAGCUUUGGUGAGGUGGACCCACCAGUCUUGCUACAUUGCUGUCCCCAUCUGUCAUGGAGUGUGUCUUGUGUCCAUCUUUGGUUUGGUUCUUCUAGUAGGUCCAUGGAUCCUUGUAUCUCCAUCUUUCACCCUUGAACAGAAACACAAAUGUGAUCUGAGGGUCGAGAUGGACUUGGAUGUGUUGUCUUAGGACCCUGAAAUUGAGCUAACACAUGGACCUCCCCAAGUGUAGGCGACCGACCGGGCCUUGGUGGGUCCAGGGGCUCAUUUUCUCCCAAAUGUAAAUGUUCCUGCAUCCAAAUACUUAGAGCACAAGUGGAACCUCUUAGUGAUAAAAGAUGCCUAUGCUAUGCCAUUCUUCCACUAUUUCUAGCCUAUUGACGGUGUUUUCAUGUGUGGAUUUUAUAGCUUAUCCACCGUCAACAAGAUCCCCCAAGCUUAACCUUUGCUCGUCCCAAGCAAACAAUUGAACAUACCAAAGGCAUAAUGUACCUUACCAAAGGCAUUGCUUUUCUCACAACCUAUAGCUAAGGCUUUAUGUGGAGUUUCAGUAGGUGUGGUUGGUGGGCAUACUUCCUUCUUGUAUGGGGAUAAAUCAAAAACCAAACUAAGUUAAGAUCAAAGGAAUAUGCUAGACAGAGACGUGCAAAUGUGUGGAAUAGAUCCUAUCACUAAACUAGACCUUUCUCUCUUAGAAUAUUUUGAGACAUGGCUACCAACUUUUCCUUGUACCAAACAUUUGGGGACUUUUUGAUAAGGGUGUGUCUCUCUAAAAAGGAUACUGAGAGAAAGAUCAAUUUGAAAAAGUGGAUGGAGUAUUUUCCUAGCAAAAAUUUUGUUGCUUUCUCCCAGUAUAGGAGAAGAGCAUUUUUUUCUGGUGGAUGAAAGGGUGCGUGUUGCGCGCAAUCCUUAGUGUAAGAAUUGGCUUUAUUUGUUGGGUGCAAAGUGUGUCUUAGUCUAAACAUAUGACUUCAAUCUAAGUUAAGUUAAAUCCUUGACAAAACCCCAACAAUUUGAAGCAGCUAUGGCUAAAGUAUGUAUAUAUCUAUGGAGCAUAAAUAUUUGGCCUUGGUAGGAAUUUUAUAAUCAUUGAGGAACCAUUGUUUUUAGAUAUUUUCCAAAUAAAUUCUCUAAUAAUCAUGCAAGCUUGGAAUAAAAAUAUAACAGCUCUUGUCUUACUAUCUCAUAUCUCACAACAACUUAGACAUAGUUUUAGCACUUGCAACCCACAGAAAGAAAUCAGGUUCAUGGUUGUCUUACGUGAACCAAGUGAUCCAUACAAAGAAGAAUACUAAGUUGAGUGCUAGAUACUAGAGAAAUAUUAACAGAGCAACUAUUCAUCAUUUCCAAGAGAAAGAUGGCAUGCAUGGCAAUUUUUUUACAUGAAGCAUAGAACAACUAAAAUUGGAAUAAAUUUAAAAAGGGCCAGAAUGCUUACCUUGGUGGGGGAGAGGAUCUCCCCCAAGCUUGUCUCUUCUCAUACCUCCUCAAUUAUAUAGUGGAUAGUUAUAUGGAUAUGGUGGAGGAUAUGAGGGCUGCUGAGGAUAUGGUGGAGGAUAUGAGGGCUGCUAAGGAUAUGGUGGAGGAUACUGUGAAGAUGGGUCUUGCUGCCGCUGUGGUGGCAUAGGAAUGAAUGGAAUAUUUGGUAGUAGUGGCCUCUGAUGGUGUGCAUACAUCCUGUUCCAGCCUAUGUUUUGUUGGACUUGGAGAUCUAGGAGGGCUUGCUCGGUUUGAGUUGCAGUGUUUUGCAUGGCCUCAUGUCCAAUGCGCAGCACACGAAUUUGUUGGGUCAGCAUUGUCACAGAACCGACCAAAUUAUAAGAGUUAAAGUGCAGAAAUGAUCGACAAGCAAUCGAGUUUCCAAACUUGAGCCCACAUAAUCCCGGUAGUCAACUGAAAUCACAAAGGACUUCAAACCAACUUGCAACAAACCAAGAUCGUAAUAGUUCAACACAACACAGCGAAUGUUACAUAGUCAUUCAUUGCCGGCGAAGCGGCACCACAUCAGAGUUACUGAGUUAUUACAACACAUGUUUGAACUAGCGGAACCAAAAUAAUUACACACACUUUCCAAAGUUCAUUUCACAAGUUCUUGUUCAGCCAGGGUCUCAUGCCACCCAUCCAAAAGCAACAGGUACGAAGUAGUUAGAGAACCGUGCCCAACGGUUAGUCCUCAUCCCCACCGGGAUGGAGACAGGUCUUGCAGAAGCCAUCAUAAAAGAUAUCAUCUGCAACAGGUGGGAAAUAAACCCUGAGUACGAGAAUGUACUCAGCUAGACUUACCCGUCUAGUAAAACAUAAAAGACACCAAGGAUCAUGCAAGGCUAAAAACAAGUGGAGCUGGUUGACUCAACAGUUGCCAAAAGCUUAAAUUAUAGCUACAAUGUUGUGAGAGCAUCAUAUUCAUCAUCAUCAGCCUACCACUAGAUUAGCACCUGUACUAAAGCACUUCACUUGAUUAUUACUAGCAAUAAUAACCAUAUCAAAUUCAUCAUAUGUUCUUCCUUGCUAUCAUCAUUACCAUGAACCAAAGUUCUUUAGUGAAUGCUACGUUUGCCGCUGCUCUGUCAAGUUCUCACUAUCCGGGAGAGACCGCGAUUCGAAUCGAUUCCUAUCCAGCUAGAGGGUUAUUCCUAGCACUCACCCAAGCAUCCCCCGUCGGAGAGCCAGCGGGUCACCUUUGAUACGACUCAGGAAUUGCGGCUCUGAUCAGCGCCGCACUCCUAGGGCUACCACUCUGCCAGGGAGGUUAGGAAUUUUAACUCACCUGCCUUUGGUCUUACGCCAAUGGUCCCCCGCACACCGCACUUCCUCCGGUAGUGGGCACUUUAUACUUGCCGGUCUUCCAGCCUUAGUCAUACUACUCGGCUUCACGGUCGGAACGAGUUAUCCGGCCAACUAAGUGUUAGGCAUGCGUUCAACAAGACAAGAGGACGUACAACGGUCGGUCCUUAGCUGCCACAGACGGAGUUACUACAACCUUGCAAAACUCCGCCCGGCUUAAGUCAAUUUAAUCAGGUUCCAUCCACGAUAGCACAUAUAGUCCAUCAUGAUCCGACAUAAUCCUAUAUCGUGCAGGUAACAGGAUAUCACCCAACUUCUACCGGUUAAAGAUUGGCUAAGCUGCUACUCGAUCCUAACUCUAUAACCAGGUAGUGGUAAGAUAUCUGGACAAGGAUUGAGUAAAAUGCAGCAAAGGUUUCAUCACAACUCCUAUACUUAAAUGCAUCAAUAGAUAUAACAUAUUCAAGUAAACUUUCGAAAAUAAAGGGAGACUUAGGAUGCUCCGGGGCUUGCCUUUCACGAAUCAGGCUGGCUCGUGAUUCGGGCACUCAACUUCCUCUUCGGGCUCCUCGAGUCCGACAUGCUGGACCUCCACCUCCGGGUUGCCCUCCUGGCCUUCGGGGUUCACUUGAAGCUCGAAAGAGGCGGUCGUGUCCGGUGCACCUAUUGCAUGCUCGAUGAAUAAGAAAGUGUGCAUACUAAAGGAUGAAUGCUUGAUAACAUAAUUAAACUCACUGGACACUCAUUUACUGAGUAAACUUCUAAGUUAACUCACAAAGGAAAACCAAUUGACUUAGCAAACUUGGCAAGUCAAACUAUAAACAGCAAGCAACACAUAACAGAAGAGCUCAGGAAACAGAUCAUAACUAUUGCUAAAAAGAUCCAAAAAACAUGAGUGAGGACAUUAUGGAAAGCUUAUGAAAUUGUCUACAAAUCAUCUUUAAACAUCACAGCAAGAUUCAUACAUUAAACAAGUCAUUCAAACAAAGUUCCAGGUUCUGUCCCAGAAACAGAGAAUACCUAUUUCUGGAACCCAACUUGGAACAGCCAUAACUUUGAAACUAUUGAACCAAAGCAUCCCAAAAUUAAACCACAGCUAGUUCAUAAAGUUUACAAUAACUUUGCGUUAGAGAAGUCUCCCAGAAAACCAAGUUAUCAACAAGUAAAGGUUGUAUUACUCUCUUGCUGACCAGACAGCUCUUAACCCUCUAAUUAAUUAUUUGAUGACAUAUGCAAAAUAUAAUCAGUAUCAACCACAUGGCUUAUAAGCACAAACAUACUACAGGAUUACCAGAACAACAUAUGUUAACUCCAAAACACUUAAUAAUAAGACAUUUAUUAAUUUAAUUCUAUAAAGGAGCAUAAUUACAAGAUACUAGCAAAAGUGCUCAGAAAAAUCUACAAAAAUUACAGAAGCACAAGCAUAGCAUCAUCACAUCACCAUAAAAUUUUUAGGGCAAUUGCACAUGCCAAAUUUAAGAUAAGCACUUAACAUGUGACAAGGUACUUAUUUCACAAAUUAAGAAACAUGGCUUAUAUAGUGUCAAACAACAGAUUUCAGAUUAUUUACAUGCUAGUAAAACCAUAAGCAAUUUUGACACCAGAGUAGAGCACCAAAUAUCAUGAAAUAUUUAUCAUGGCAUUCUAGCAUCACUCAGAGACUACCAUAAAAAUUUUAUACCAAAAGGAGCAGCCUACCAACAGAUAUGAAUUUUUACUUAAAUAACCAAGAUUAAAUGCUAAUAAUUAUUUUCCCAGCCAACAUGGUCCAUUUUACAUUUUUAUUAAAAACUAGCCAUCUCAAGGAAUCCCACAAAAUUGGUUUCACAAUUUUUGGAUCUCAGGAACAAGAGAUAUGAUUUUUGCAAAAACAGCUCAAACCUUAAAUCAAACAAGGAGAAAGAGAGAGACUAGGUACUUUGCCCUCGCGAAUGGCGGCACGGCGGUUGUGCGCGGCCGCCCGCCAGCGUCUCUGGCCGGAGACAGAGCAAAAGAGAACACGGACGAGCAUCAGCAUGACCUAGCGGAGCUUUUGGGACAAGAAUGAGGAGGAAUGGUGGAUUACAGAGCCCUGGCCACGACGCCGGUGAACAUGGCGGAGCUCUGGCGAGGUAAGCUCGUGACGGAGGAGACAAUGCAGGCUUACCGAGGCUCGGCAGCUGCACUCAACUCGACGACGGUGUUGCAGGGAAGCUAGCGGAGCGAUGGACGGAGUCGCUCGGCCGGAGACCCGGAGACACGCGCGCGAGACCUACAUGAGUACUCCAACAUUGCUUACAAGAUCAAAGUCUGAUUCGGUCUAGAAUUCAAACUGGAAGAUGAACAACAUACCCUCGAGCAAACUGCUGCGAUCCCAGACUUUAAAAAUUUUCUAAGUGUUGAAAAUAGCCCCAAAACUGCCUUGUGGGUCACUUUUGAGCUAGUUGUGAUCAUUUUCAUGAGAUGGCCAUAAAACAACUUUCGUUACUUAUAAAAUUUGCUAAAACUUUGCUGUAGAAAGUUUUGACAUGCAAACAUUUUAUGAAACACUUUUUAAAAGCCUAAGCAAAAGAGGUUUCUAGGGCCUAUUCGUGUAAGUAUGACUUAAGUGAUUAUUUUGGAGAAGUGAUCAACAUGAACAUUGUUCCUAAGAUUGAUUUAAGCAUAGAUAAGCUAAUUACCAAAGCAUAGAGCACAAACACAAGCAUGGUAUACACCAACACAAGCCUAGGAGGCCUAUUUAGACAACUUAAACCACAUUUUGCAUAAAAUGACAUGGCUCAAGGUAGAUGAUGAUCAUGAUAUGCUUGAGUAAAUGAUGAUGCUCAUGUUAUGCAAGUGAUUUACGCAACCAUAACACUGGGGUGUUACAGCCCUCCCCCCUUACAAAAAUCUCGUCCCGAGAUUUGGAAGCUUACUGGUUUUCGAAGAAGGUUUUAUAAACUUCUCUUAAAUAGUCCUCUGUUUCCCAAGUGGCAUCUUUGUCCCCGUGGUUACUCCACAACACCUUGUAGAACUUAACCACGCGAUUACGAGUCACACGUUCCUUGCGGUCAAGAACCACUACUGGUUUUUCUUCAUACACCAAGUCCGACUUCAACUUGAUAUCCAGAACUUCCACUCGUUCCUCCGGAACACGAAGGCAUUUCUUCAACUGUGAUACGUGGAAGACAGGAAAAAUAGCUCGAAGCUCAAUUGGGAAUUGAACUUUGUAUGCUAUGUUUCCUUUCCUUUUGAGAAUCCGAUAUGGUCCCACAUAACAAGGUGCAAGCUUUCGCUUGACUCCGAACUUUUGUACGCCCUUCAUCGGAGACACCUUGAUAUACACAUAGUCACCGACCGCAAACUCAGUCGGCUUCCUUCUCUUGUCAGCAUAACUUUUCUGACGAGCUUGAGCAGCUUCCAGAUGUUUCUAGAUGGUACGGACUUGCUGCUCCGCUUCGUUCACGAAAUCGAUGCCAUAAUACCUUCGCUCCUCGGAUUCUACCCAAUUCAACGGGGUUCGACAUUUUCGACCAUACAGGGUUUCAAAUGGAGUACUCUCUUGAUAACUAGUACUGUAAGAGAACUCAGCUAAUGGCAACCACUUAACCCAAGAACCUUUUGAAGAGAGAGCACAUGCCCUCAACAUGUCUUCUAGGAUUUGGUUGACCCGUUCAGUUUGACCUGCCGUUUGGGGAUGAUAUGCCGAACUACGGACUAAGUGAGUACCAAUCUGCUCAUGUAGACACUCCCAAAAAUGGGCAAUGAACUGUGGUCCACGAUCUGAUAUGAUAGUUCGAGGCACACCAUACUGAUGAACAAUGUGCUCGAAAUACAACUCCGCAUAUUGAUGUGGACGAUAGUCAGUUCGGACUGGAAUAAAACGAGCAACCUUGGUCAAACGGUCUACAAUCACCCAGAUAGAGUCGUAACCCUUAACAGAAGUUGGGAGUCCAACGAUGAAAUCCAUGCUUACUUCUUCCCAUUUCCAACCAGGAAUUAACAAGGGUUGAAGCAAACCAGCUUUCAUGUGAACGGCCUUCACGCGACAACAAUUGUCACAACGAGCAACAAAAGCAGCAAUCUCCUUUUUCAUCUUUGUCCACCAAAACAGAGGUUUCAGAUCCUGAUACAUCUUGCUACUACUAGGAUGAAUAGACAACUUAGAUGAAUGAGCUUCAGAUAAGAUCUGAUUUCAUAGCUCACGGUCUUUUGGGACCCCGAGUCGAUCUUUGAACCAAAGAAUUCCGUUCUCAUCGACCCGAAAAUGCUUGAUUUCUUCUGUUGAUGCAAAAGCGGAUCGGCAAACACAAAGGGCUAAUACCCGAUUUAAACGCUAAGGCGUUCCAACCGAUUUGACCUUACUAUCGGCAAAGGUGGUAACUCGAAUACUUUGGUCCCGACAACAGCGAUGCGUCCGGAUGCCGCGGCCAAGAGGUAUUCACGCGGAACUUGAGAACACAUCGAGCUUGAGUCGAUGAAUUCCUAAGAACUCGUAAUAAAAGGAAAAAAGGUAUGACAAAGUCGUCGAAAAUAGAUGCUAGAAUAUGACUAAAAACUGAUAUUUGAUUGAUUGAUAGAUUCUUUGAUUACAAAGCCCUAGGGUCUACAUUUAUACCCUGCUCAAAGAGCUACAACCAGACACGACUAGAACUCAAAUUCCAAAUUAAACAGAAUCCGUAUGCAAAACGAUCUAAAUAACUAAGGAAAACGUAAAACUAUCCUCACGUGACAAACUAGAACACCCCCACAAGCCGAUCGGCAACUUCCAAGCUCUCCCUCCGUAUCAUCGGCAGACUUUCUUGUUAUAGCCAUUGGCACAAACGCAUCACCACCUAUGGACUUGGUCACGUUCAACCAUCCUUCCAUCGGCAAUCAUCCUCAUCGGCAACUCUGAAGAUCAAGCACUGCCGUCUUACCUUGCCAACCUACAUCUUACCAAUCAUGGACACGUGCCCAAAAACGGUGUCAACACAUGCCCCCAAUUUCGGAGUAUGAAAUCAUUAAUGCUCCGAAAUUCUCUGCAAUAAUAAUGCCUUUCCGCAAUUAACGCUCCCAAUCUGGUAACCGACAGCCUUAAUCUGAACAACUCUGAUCCUAUGCCUUUGUAGAUUCUUCGAAAUCCUCAACCUCCCAAACGGACAUUUCCACUUUAGUCGCGCAUCGGCAAUAUUACCGUUACAGGGAUUUGCUGAUGGACUGACCAGGACGUCCAUAUCUUAUCCUCCCAAACAGCUAUCCCCACUUUAUUCGCCCAUCGGCAAUACGACCGUUACAAGGCGCUACCGCUGGACCGACCAGGAGAUCUCGCACAGUAAAAUAUCUCUAGAUAAUGACCGCUUCCUUUCAAAUCGCCUGCACAAUCCCUUGAUUACCGUGCGAACAGUUACCACACCUACCUGAGUACCCUCGGAUUUCACGGAUAUGGCGAAGAGAUAAGUUAGAUUUGCCCUUGCCCGUUUUGUCCUAUAAAUAGUUCCUUCCGGGUACUCCUUCUCCAUCACAUCAUUCCACAGCUCCAACUUCACUUUCCCGGCGGCGGCACUGUUCGAGAGCUCCAAGAUCUCCAACGAAGCCCCUCCUUCACCAACUCCGAAGCCUUCAACCACACCCUUCGUGACAAGAUUCACCGUUCCUGAGGUCAGUUCUUCACUCCACCUUUUGUGCUUUUUCUCGCAUCCCUGUUCAUCCGCAAUCCAUUUUACUGAACAUUUUCUUUUUCUUUCUUUGUUUUUCCUUUACCUUCAAAACCAUUAGGAUCUGUCCAACAAAAUUGUUAUCCCCACCGAUCAACCACACCUCCAAUGCCUUGGUCAGUUAGGGAAUCCAGAUCCAAUCUCUUCAAUCGGCAACAACGCUCCCACUCUAGCUGCCAUCAUGCAUCGAGGCGUAUGCCUUAAGAAAGUGACCACCAAGAGGACCAAGACAUCUCCAUCGGUAGCCACCUCCUUCUUAGCACAGACCUUCAAGGUAAUUGUUAAACCUUUUCAUUUAUACCAAUUCCAUUUUUACAUCUGCCACACUUGUGCUUACGAAUUCUUAUUCCUGACGCAGCAUACCGGCGCAUCGGCAAGGACCAAAAGCAAAGGUGCCGAUGCCCCACAGUCUAGCCAGCAGAAGAGAAAAGGUGCCAAGAGUACCAGAGCACAAACAAAGCGCCAGAGAGUGGCAACUCCCCCUCCUCCUCCGGUAUCUCCAAUUCCGGUGGAAUCCUCUCCUUCUUCUCCAGAAACACAGACUCAGCAAGUACCAUCUCCUCCCCAAUCGCAAGAAGCGCCACAAGAGGAAGAUCCUCAUCUAGAGGAGUCUCAACCAAAAGUACCUCAACCAGAAGACAUAUUGGCUGACGUACAUGAACAAACUACCGAUCCAGCAGGUUCCAUUAUAGCAUCGGUGGUUUCUUCCAUCCAGACAAGUACUGCUCUUCCUCAAGGUAACAUAUUUUCAUGAGAUUACUGCCGAUGAAUUUAUUUUCUCUUCCUUACAAUUAUCUUUCUUACUUUCCCAGCUGACAUAGUUCAAUCGGCAGUCUCAGCCGAUCAACCUGUGAUUCCAUCGGCAUCUUCUAGUCAAAGGCGAGAGAUCGCCUUGAAGCAAGUAAGCCAUCCAGUUUCCAUCAGUAUUACUUAUUAGUAUAUGAUCAUGGAAUGACUCACUUUAUUUUCCUUGCAGGAACAAGACUCUCCCGACAGUCUCUUCUCCUUUGCCAUUGACGUCUCUGAGGAUGCAGGUGAGGAGGCAAGCUCUUCCCAAGCAGUUGGGGUUACAUCGGCAAAGAUCAGGGCAAGGCUAGAAGAACUGUCGGCUCUCCUUCAUCAAGACACAGCUCAACUAGUUGAUGACUCCGAUCUGGCCAAAGCUUUAUUCAAGACCUUGAGAGGCCAAAUCCCCGCCGAUGCCGAAGAAAUCCUUUUCCAAGCAGCACAUCUAGAGAGUCGUCAACUGCAAUACCUGAGGGCUGCCCAGCGCCUUGCCGAUAGAGCCGCUAAGGCUCGACUUUCUAAGGAGAUGACGAAAGAAAAGCUCCUUACCGAUGAGAAGCACAAAAAUAUCGGCACCUUGAAGUCCUCGGGAGAUGCUCUGAAGCAAAAGAUUUCUGACCUAUCGGCAAGAAGAGAAACUCUGUUGGCAGAACUCAAACAAAUAGAGGAUGCCUUGUCCCAAGCUCGACAAGAAGAAAGCCAACUGCCGGAGACAAUCAAACUUCUUGAGCAAGAGCGAAACGUCCAUGGCCGUAAAGCACUGCAACUGAAAAAGAAGCUGAAGCCGAUAGAAGGUUCUGCCGAUGACGACUUGAAGGAGAUAGAGGACGCCAACCAGAUCAGUUUGCAUGCCAUCUCGGCGAUCCAGGCACUGCUGAAUCCAUGAGCUCCUCAUCAGCAAUACAUCCUCGCUUCUCUGCUUUCCAGCUUUCCUGAUAUUUAGUCUAGCCGAUAGGACUGUUAUCGGCAUCUUUUGAAACAUUAAGUCCAGCCCCAGACACACUUUGAUCCAGCCGAUAGGAAUGUUAUCGGCAUCUAAACUUCUUAUGUAUUGACCCAUAUACUGGGGUACUACUUCUUCAGAUAUUUACAAUUUAAUGCUCUGGGAAAUUUGACUCCUUCGAGAGUCUCUAGAAUAUAGGCAUUACCAGGAGCCAAUCGACUUAUCCGAUAGGGACCUUCCCAAUUGGGAGACCACUUCCCAAAUUUUGAACUUUUAGUCCCGAUCGGUAAGAUUAAUUUCCAUACCAAGUCUCCAUCGGCAAAUUCCUUAGCCUUUACUUUCUUGUCAUACCAUCUGGCAACUCUCUUCUUAUUCUCUUCUAUAUUCAUCAAGGCCUUCAGCCGAUGUCCUGCCAGAUCAUCCAACUCGUCUGUCAUUAAAGUAGCAUAAUCAUCGACAGCCAAUUGAUCUUGAAAAGAUAUUCACCUAGACCUAGCCUUAAUUUCCCAAGGUAGCACUGCAUCAUGCCCAUACACCAAUUGAUAAGGUGAAACCUUGGUCGAUCCAUGAUAAGCCAUCCGGUAUGACCACAAAGCUUCAUUUAAUAAUGUAUGCCACCUCAUAGGAUUUUCUUCAAUUUUCCGCUUGAUAAGCUUGACAAUCCCAUUGUUAGAUGCCUCGGCCUGCCCAUUAGGUUGAGCAUAGUAAGGAGAAGAAUUAAAUAAUUUAAUUCCCAUACCGAUUGCGAAUUCAUCAAACUCCCCCGAUGUAAACAUGGUACCCUGAUCGGUAGUAAUUGUUUGAGGAAUCCCAAAUCGGUAGAUAAUAUGCUCUUUCACGAAGUCAAUCAUAUUGGCCGAUGUAACUUUCUUCAAAGGAAUAGCUUCAACCCACUUAGUGAAAUAAUCGGUGGCAACCAAAAUAAAUUUGUGCCCUUUGCUCGAUAGUGGAUAAAUCUGGCCGAUCAAAUCAAUAGCCCAUCCUUGGAACGGCCAAGGCUUUAUAACAGGAUUCAUGGCCGAUGCGGGCGCCCUUUGAAUAUUACCAAACUUUUGACAUUCUUGACACCCUUUGAAAUACUUAAAGCAAUCCUCAAGUAUAUUCGGCCAAUAAUAUCCAUUCCUUCUAAUCAUCCACUUCAUCUUGAAAGCCGACUGAUGUGCUCCACAUGCCCCUUCAUGGAUUUCUCCCAUCAAACUCUUAGCUUCAUCAUCACCUAAGCAUCAGAGAAGAAUCCCAUCAAUAGUUCGAUAAUACAAUUCAUCUUCAAGGAGCACAUACUUGGUGGCCUGAAACCGAACCCGUCUUUCAACUUUCUUAGAUGGGUCCUUCAAAUAAUCAAUGAUUUCUUUUCUCCAAUCAUCGGCACUGAUUGCCGAUAUUGCAUUAAUCAUAGGCUGAUACCCUGAGGCAUGCUGAGCCAACCGAUUGACCUCUUCAUUAUGCAGUCGAGGAACAUGCUCUAAUCGGAAAUCUUUGAAUUCCUUCAACAGUUGCAUACUCCUUUCGUAAUAAGUUAUGAGAACUUCACUUCGGCAUUCAUAGCUUCCAGCCAAUUGAUUUAUAACUAGCAUAGAAUCCUCGAAGACUUCCACAGCAUCAUCAUGAACUUCUCUUAAUAACUCCAAUCCUUUUAUUAAAGCUUGAUACUCAGCCUGAUUAUUCGUCGACGUGGCAACAAUCGGUAAGAAAAACUCAUACUUCCUUCCCCGAGGGGAAAUUAAUACUAUACCGAUUCCUGCCCCCCAGUCACACGUGGAUCCAUCAAAGAAGAGUGUCCAAGGUACAAUUUCCAAAGCCCCCACUGUUCCACAAUGUUGAGUUACAAAAUCGGCCAUAAACUGUCCCUUAACCGCCUUGGCCAAUUUGUAACGCAGAUCGAAUUCCGACAGCGCCAAAAUCCAUUUACCGAUCCUGCCACUCAUGAACGGCAUAGACAGCAUGUACCGGACCACAUCAUCCUUGCAAAUAACAGUGCAUUCGGCCGAUAGCAAGUAGUGCCUUAACUUAGUACAAGAGAAAUACAAGCACAAGCAUAACUUCUCAAUAGCCGAAUACCUGGCCUCAGCAUCAAUCAACCUCCUGCUCAAGUAAUAAAUUACACGCUCCUUCCCUUCAAAUUCUUGGAUUAAAGCCGAACCGAUGACCAUCCCAUCGGUAGACAAAUACAAUCUGAAGGGUUUCCCUCGCUGAGGUGGAAUUAGAACUGGAGGAUUCACUAAAUAAUUCUUGAUUUCAUCCAGAGCUAACUGCUGUUCUUUCCCCCAAACAAAUUCUUGAUCGACCUUCAACUUAAGAAGAGGACUGAAAGCAUGAAUUUUACUAGACAAAUUAGAUAUAAAUCUUCUGAUAAAAUUUACCUUGCCGAUCAAGGACUGGAGCUCGGUCUUAUUGGUAGGGGCAACUAUUUUGUUGAUAGCAUCAAUAGAUCUUCGACUAAUUUCAAUCCCCCUUUGAUGCACCAUGAAACCGAGAAACUGCCCUGCUGAUACACCAAAUGCACACUUAUUGGGAUUCAUUUUCAAACCAUGCUUCUUUGUGCACUCCAACACCUUUCAUAGAUCGGCAAGAUGUUUUGCGAAGUCUCCAGACUUAACCACCACAUCAUCAAUAUAAAUCUCCACCAGCUUACCGAUGAACUCGUGGAAUAUAAAAUUCAUGGCCCUCUGAUAAGUAGCACCAGCAUUUUUCAAGCCAAAAGUCAUGACUAUCCAUUCAAACAACCCGACAUGACUAGGACAUCUGAAUGCAGUCUUUGGAAUAUCCUCUUCAGCCAUGACUAUUUGAUUGUAUCCUGCAUUGCCAUCCAUAAAGCUAAUAAUCCGAUGCCCAGCCGCGGCGUCAACCAGCAGAUCGGCAACUGGCAUUGGGUAUCCAUCCAUCGACGUAGCUUUGUUAAGAUUCCUGAAAUCGAUGCAGACCCGAAGCUUCCCGUUCUUCUUGUAAACCGGAACAACAUUGGAAAUCCACUCAGCAUAUCGACACUGCCGAAUAAAUUUGGCUUCAAUAAGUUUAGUUAUUUCGGCCUUAAUAUCGGGAAGAAUAUUAGGAUUACAUCGGCGAGCUGGCUACUGAUGUGGUCAAAAUCCAGACUUGAUAGGUAACCGAUGUUCAACAAUCGAUCGGUCCAAACCAGGCAUCUCAGUAUAAUCCCAAGCAAAGCAAUCUUUAUAUUCCUUCAACAAAUCACUUAACUGUUGCUUACACUCAGGACUUAACUUAGCACUAAUAAAAGUAGGUCUAGGCUUAUCACCACUACCUAUAUCUACUUCUACCAAAUCAUCGGCCGAUGUGAACCCCUGGCCUAACUUUCCAUCAUCGGCGAACCUAUCCAUUAGAAACCAUCUUCAGAACCGACUGCUUGGAUCGGUGGAAUUUCAUAAUCAGCAACCUUGAGGAAAUCCUUUUCCCAAGCUUCCCUCGAAAUACACAUAGUCUUUUCAUAUGUAUCUGCCUCUGUCGAUGCGAUGACAUAAGAAGAAUCUCCUGGAACAAUCUCAAUUUUAUCACCUACCCACUGAACCAAGCACCGGUGCAUUGUAGACGGGAUGCAACAAUUGGCAUGAAUCCAAUCUCUUCCCAAUAGUAAGUUGUAAGCACCCUUUCCACUAAUCACAAAGAAGGUUGUCAGCAAGGUUUUACUGCCGAUGGUCAAUUCUACGCAGAUAGCUCCCUUAACUGGAGACACAUUGCCUUCAAAGUCUUUGAGCAUCAUAUCGGUCUUGGUCAAAUCCUAAUCUCCUUUUCCAAGCUUUCGAUAUACUGUAUAAGGCAUGAUGUUGAUAGCAGCCCCACCAUCAAUCAGAAUCUUAGUCAUCGGCUGACCAUCCACUCUCCCUUUGACAAAUAAAGCCUUAAGAUGUUGCCUUUCAUCAUCGGCAGGUUUCUCGAAGAUGGCUGUCAGUGGAUCCAGAGCCAGUUGAGCUAUUUGGUCAGAGAACUCCAACUCAUCAUCACUGGACGGCGCAAGGAACUCCAUCGGCAACAUAAAGACCAUGUUAACAUCUGCCGAUGGACCUUUCCCUUUGGGAUCUGCUUGUUGAUGAUCUCUAGACUGGCCAGAGUUUUCACCCUUGCUUAAUUCUUCUCCCCUUUUGUGCUGCAGCCUUCUUUUCUGCGUCCUGGUCAACCCCUCUGGACACCAUGGAGGAAAUUGCUGCUGCCUCACCACUGGGCGACGAUUUUCCCUUGACUCCAUCCGAUAAGUAUUGGCAUCCCUGCAAAAUAUGAACUCAUCGGGAACCCGUGCAUUAGCCAUUUCUUCAAGUCCUUCCUGGCUCCUGGGGAAAUACUGAACAUGAUCUCCAAGCCUGUCGUGCACGCUGAGCCUGCCCCCCAGUCGAUCAUGAACGGAUGCUCUCCCUCUAAUCGGCCCAUUAAAUUGUCGAUCAUUAUCACGAUAGCGCCGAUCAGACCUGUCGUACCGGUCAUAACCGUUGCACUCAGGACAAUCUCCGAUAGUGGGAAGUUUGAUAUUCUCCUCCCAACAAUGAAUGAAGAACGGGCAAUUCUAGUGAUCCCUAUGCCGAUUCCACUCCAGCUGGCGUCUUUCUUCUUCCCGGCGAUAGUCCUCUUGCUGGCGCCGAUACCGAUCUUCAUGUUGCUGCCAAGUCUCCCGAGGCCUUCUAUGGGUUAUCACAAUACCAGAUCGGAGAGGCCCCCCUGAGUUCGCUCCCUCUUGGACUAGGCCUUUUCCUUUCGCAUCGGCGGUAGUGAUUUGAUGCUGUUGACACCAUUUUUGGGCACGUGUCCAGGAUGGCAGGACAGGGUGGCAGUACGAUGCGGGUUGCUGGUAAGGAUGGUUGCCGAUGAGGGAAGGGUUGAAUGUGACUAAGUCCCCAGACAGUAAUAUAGUGCCGAUGACCAAGUAAAAGGGUCUGCCGAUGACUAUGGCAAGGGGAUUGCCGAUGACGCGAAGGAGGAGUCCGGAAGCUGCCAGUUAUCAUGUGGAGGAGUUUCGGUUUGUCACGAAGGAUAGUUUUAUUAUUUCCUUAUGUUAUUCGUGUCAUUUUGUAUACGGGUUCCGUGUAAUUUGGAAUUCGAAUUCUAAUCGUGUCUGGUCGUAACUCUUUAAGCAGGGUAUAAAUAUAAACCCUAAGACCUUGUAAUCAGGACAUCUAUCAAUCAAUCAAACACACGUUUUUACUCAUAUUCUAGCAUUUACUUUUCGACGACUUCGUCAUACGUUUUCUUUUUGUUACGAGUUCUUAGGAAUUCGUCGACUCAAGCUCGGCGUAUCCUUAAGUUCCACGUGAGUACCUCUUAGCCGUGACAUCCGGGCGCAUCGCUGUUGUCAGGACUAAAGUAUUCGAGUUAUCACCUUUGCCGAUAGUAAGGUCAAAUCGGCUGGCACGCCUUAACGUUUGAAUCGGGUAUUAGCCCUUUGUGUUUGCAGAUCAGUUUUGCAUCAACACAUCUUUUGGCACGCCCAGUGGGACCAAUUCAAGAUCAGGAUCAGCAUGUCGAUCUCUGACCUCGAUCAAGACAAUGUCAUCCCCGUGACGGAAGCCAACCUCAAGGAUGAGCAGAAGCAAGCUAUUGCCCAAGCUAUGGAAGAAUUCAAGCAGCAAUGCCUGAAGUCUUUCAGCAUAAACAGGAGCGGCGAAGUGGUCCAGAAAGAUGCACUGCCGGCGCCACGACAGGUCACUUUUGACGCCAAUCCUGGCAAGCUUCAAGACAUGGUUGACAAUGCCAUCAAUCGAGCGCUGAUCAACCAAGCUGGUGUACUGUCUAAUACGGUUUUCAACGCCAUGGCAAGAACCUUCAAGGAAGGACAAAUCCCGCCGGAUUAUGUGGGCCCUUCCCAUCAUCAACCCACAGCACCAGAGGUCACAGCUCCAUCGGCUGCCUUGACGAGUGCAAGUGCACAGUCUGCCGUCCCUCCAAGUACAUUGGGGACUACUGGCGCACUAUCUAUGCCGAUGGCGACCAACCCACAAAUUUCAGUUGGGCAGCAUAAACUGACAACAGAUAUGUUGGCAUCGGCAAUGUCGGGGUUAACUCUUCCUCCCAACUGGUGGGGUUAUGGUAUGCCUCCAGAGUGGACGCCAGGAACAUCACAGAUAACUGACAUGAGGGGCAAAACUCCUAUGGCAUCGGCGCCUUCCAAUGUGCCGGUGAACCAGAGUCCUCGGUAUACCACAACUACUACUGCAAGGCCUCACACUGGAAAUCCUCAAGAUUCAAUGUUCCAGAUGCCCAACGCAUCAGCAGAGUCAAUGCUGAUGCAACAGAGGCCUAUGGCCCAGUCGGGGUAUGUCAAUUCAACGACGAUACCCAAUUACCAAUCAUCGGCAGCGCCUAUGCCGAUGAACGCUAAUAAUGGAUGGCUUGGACAGCAAGCCUUUCCACAGUCGCCCCAGCAGGGUUAUCAGACUGCGGGGUUCCAGCAAGGGCAGGUUUAUCCCGGGUUCCAAGGUCAGGGAAUUCCCAACCAGCCAAUAAAUUUUGGACAGCAACUCGGAGGACAGCCAAUCGGUGGACAGCAGUUUGGUAGUCCACAGAUUGGAGGACAAGUGGCCAAUACAAUGUUCCAUACAGGUCACGUCCCAAACAGGCACGUGGAGGUUCGCCAUCAAGUACCGGAUCCGCAGCCGCCUCAUGGGCAAGAUGCCGAUGCUUAUUGGGCCGACAAGAUUGCUGAAGUAAUGAGGGAACAAUUUGGGAUAAAACCCAAAGUCAACACUUAUUCUUACCGGACACCGUAUCCUCCAGCGUAUGAUUUGAUCCCGCUUCCACAUCGGUACAAGGUACCGGAUUUUACAAAGUUUUCCGGACAGGACGACACGUCAACCAUGGAGCAUGUCAAUAGGUUCAUCAUUCAAUGUGGAGAAGCUGGUAACAGGGACGAAUUAAGGGUUCGUCUAUUUUCAUCAUCAUUGUCUGGAUCGGCCUUUACUUGGUUCAUAUCAUUGCCUCCCAAUUCAGUAAUUACUUGGGCCGAUCUAGAGAAGCAAUUCCACAGAUACUUCUUCUCGGGGGUUCAUGAGAAGAAGAUCACCGACCUGGUCAAGUUGAGGCAACGUAAUGAUGAGUCGGUUGAGGGAUUUGUGCAGAGGAUACGAGAGGUCAAAAAUAAAUGCUAUAGCCUGGUUCUGGAUGAUCGGCAGCUAGCCGAUUUGGCUUUCCAGGGUUUGUUGCCACACAUCAGGGAUAAGUAUGCCUCUCAGGAGUUUGAAAGUUUAAGUCACUUGGUGCAGAGGAUAUCCGAUCAAGACAUCAAGCCUUUCGAGCCUAAGAGGGCAUGGAAUAAGAAGGUGUCAUUUGUUGACGAAGCAACAAGCUCAGAUUCCGACGAGGAACCAGUAAUCGGUUUGGCAGAGUGGGUAAAAAACAAGAAGCCGAUGUCUUGUCCUUUUGGGCAGAAAGAACCAGAGAAGUUUGCCUUUGACACCGCCAAAGCCGAUAGGAUAUUUGACUUUCUACUUCAGGAAGGUCAGAUCAAACUGUCACCUAACCAUGCGAUCCCAUCGGCAGAAGAAUUGAAGAGGAUGAGAUAUUGCAAGUGGCAUAAUGCAACGUCACAUGACACCAACGAGUGCAAAGUAUUCAGACAACAGCUGCAAUCGGCUAUAGAGUCGGAGAGAAUCAAGUUUGACGGUUCUAAAGCCCAGAAGCCGAUGAAGAUAGACCAACAUCCUUUUCCGACAAACAUGUUGGACGCUAAGGGGAAGGCUAAGGUCUUAACGUCGGAGACAGCUGAGAAGAGUGCAUCGAUAGAUCCUCAGCAUCAAGUUACUACCGCCGAUGCAAGAAGUAAGGGCUUGGUCCAGGAAGGGGCUAGCUCAGGAAGACUUCCUCGGUCUGGUAUUGUCAUAACUCAUAGAAGGCCUCGAGAGAGAUGGCAACAACGGGAAGAUCGAUAUCGGCGCCAGCAGGAAGAUUAUCAACGGGAGGAAGAAAGACGCCGACAGGAGUGGAAUCGGCACAGGGAUCAUUGGAAUUGCCCAUUCUUCAUCCAUUGUUGGGAGGAAAAUAUCAAGCUUCCUACUGUCAGAGACUGCCCUGAAUGCAACGGUUAUGAUCGGUACGACAGGAACGAUCGACGUUAUCAUGAUGAUGAACGACGAUUUAAUGGGCCGAUCAGAGGAAGGGCGGCAGUUCAUGAUCGGCUGGGGGGCAGGCUUAGCGUUCACGAUCGGCUCGGUGACCGUGUCCAGUAUUUUCCCAGGAACCAAGAGGAGCUUGAAAGAAUGGCUGAUGCGCGGGUUCCCGAUGAAUUCAUAUUUUGCAGGGAUACUAACACGCAUCGCAUGGAGUCAAGAGAGAACCAACGCCCGACGGCAAGACAAAGGCCACUUCCUCCAUGGUGCCCUCAAGGAUUAACCAAGACACAGAAAAGGAGAUUGCAACGUGAAAGGCAGGAAGAGCUAAAUAAAGGAGAGAACUCUGGGAGUCGGCAGCCGUCAGACGCUAAGAAAGAAGGUCCAUCGGCAGGCGUCAAUAUGGUAUUCAUGUUGCCGAUGGAGUUUCUUGCACCGGCCAGUGACGAUGAGUUGGGAUUUUCUGAUCAGAUAGCUCAGUUGGCUCUGGAUCCAAUGACGGCUAUCUUUGAGAAACCUGCCGAUAACGAGAGGCAGCAUCUUAAAGCUUUGUUCCUCAAAGGAAGGGUUGAUGGGCAGCCAAUGACUAAGAUCCUAGUUGAUGGUGGGGCUGCUAUUAAUAUUAUGCCAUAUGCAGUAUAUCGGAAGCUUGGGAAAGGGGAUCAAGAUUUGACCAAGACCGAUAUGAUGCUCAAGGACUUCGAGGGAAACGUGUCUCCGGUCAAGGGGGCGAUAUGUGCGGAGUUGACCAUCGGCAGCAAAACCUUGCCGACAACCUUUUUCGUGAUCAGCGGAAAAGGUGCCUACAAUUUAUUAUUGGGGAGAGAUUGGAUUCAUGCCAAUUGUUGUGUCCCAUCUACGAUGCAUCAAUGCUUGGUUCAGUGGGUAGGUGACAAGAUUGAGAUCGUCCCAGGGGAUUCAUCUUAUGUUAUCGCAUCAGCAGAAGCGGAUACUUAUGAGAAGACUAGGUGCAUUUCAGGAGAAGUUUGGGAGAAAGAUUUUCUCAAAGUUGCCGAUUAUGAGAUUCCACCGAUCCAAGCAGUCGGUUCUGACGAUGGUUUUUAAUGGAUAGAUUCGCCGAUGAUGGAAAAUUAGGCCAGAGAUUCACAUCGGCCGAUGAUUUGGUAGAAGUAGAUAUAGGAAGUGGUGAUAGGCCUAGGCCUACUUUUAUUAGCGCCAAACUAGAUCCUGAGUGUAAACGGCAAUUAACUAGUUUGUUAAAGGAAUAUAAAGAUUGCUUUGCUUGGGAUUAUACAGAAAUGCCUGGUUUAGACCGAUCAAUUGUUGAACAUCGGUUACCCAUCAAGUCUGGAUUUCGGCCACAUCAGCAAUCAGCCCGCCGAUGUAAUCCUAACAUUCUACCUGAUAUUAAGGCCGAAAUCACUAAACUUAUUGAAGCUAAGUUUAUUCGGCAGUGUCGGUAUGCCGAAUGGAUUUCCAAUGUUGUUCCGGUUUACAAAAAGAACGGGAAGCUUCGAGUGUGCAUUGAUUUCAGGAAUCUCAAUAAAGCUACGCCGAUGGAUGGAUACCCAAUGCCUGUUGCCGAUCUACUGGUUGAUGCUGCGGCUGGCCAUCGGGUCAUCAGUUUCAUGGAUGGUAAUGCGGGUUACAAUCAAAUAUUCAUGGCAGAGGAGGAUAUUCCAAAAACCGCAUUCAGGUGUCCUGGUCAUGUUGGAUUGUUUGAAUGGAUAGUCAUGACUUUUGGGUUAAGGAAUGCUGGUGCUACUUAUCAAAGGGCUAUCAAUUUCAUAUUUCAUGAGUUCAUCGGCAAAAUCGUAGAAAUUUAUAUUGAUGAUGUGGUGGUUAAGUCUGGAGAUUUCUCAAAGCAUCUUGCCGAUUUACGAAAAGUGUUGGAGUGCACCAGGAAGCAUGGAUUGAAGAUGAAUCCCAACAAGUGUGCAUUUGGCGUAUCGGCAGGGCAGUUUCUCGGAUUUAUGGUACAUCAGAGGGGUAUUGAGAUUAGUCGAAGAUCUAUUGAUGCCAUCAAUAAAAUAGUGGCCCCUACCAAUAAAACCGAGCUCCAAUCCUUGAUCGGUAAGGUGAAUUUUAUCAGAAGAUUUAUAUCGAAUUUAUCUGGGAGAAUUCGUGCUUUCAGUCCCCUUCUUAAAUUGAAAGCCGAUCAAGAGUUUGUUUGGGGAGAAGAACAGCAGUUGGCUCUGGAUGAGAUCAAAAAGUAUCUAGUGAAUCCUCCAGUUUUAGUUCCACCCCAACAAGGGAAACCCUUCAAAUUAUAUUUAUCUACCGAUGGAUCGGUUAUCGGUUCAGCUUUAGUUCAAGAAUUUGAAGGGAAGGAGAGAGUAAUUUAUUAUUUGAGCAGGAGGUUGAUUGAUACUGAAACCAGGUAUUCGGCCAUAGAGAAGCUGUGCUUGUGCUUAUAUUUCUCAUGUAUCAAGCUAAGACAUUAUCUGUUGUCGGCCGAAUGUGCUGUUGUUUGCAAAGAUGACGUGGUCCGAUACAUGCUAUCUAUGCCGAUUAUGAGUGGUAGGAUCGGUAAGUGGAUUUUGGCGCUAUCGGAGUUUGAUUUGCGUUACGAAUCGACUAAGGCGGUCAAAGGGCAGGUUAUGGCCGAUCUUGUGACUCAGCAUUGCGGUCUAGUGGAGACUUUGGAAAUUGCACCCUGGACGCUCUUCUUUGAUGGAUCUACCUGUGACCGAGGAGCAGGAAUCGGUAUUGUAUUAGUUUCUCCUAAAGGGAGGAAGUAUGAGUUUUCCUUGCCGAUUGUUGCUACAUCAACAAAUAAUCAGGCAGAGUAUCAAGCUCUGAUCAAGGGAUUGGAGUUGUUAAGAGAAGUUCGUGCUGAUGCUGUUGAAGUAUUCGGAGAUUCCAUGUUGGUUAUAAAUCAAUUGGUCGGAAGCUAUGAAUGCCGAAGUGAAGUUCUCAUAACCUAUUUCGAGAGAAGUAUGCAACUGUUAAAAGAAUUCAAGAACUUCCGAUUGGAGCAUGUUCCCCGAUUGCAUAAUGAAGACGCUAAUCGGUUGGCCCAGCAUGCCUCGGGAUAUCAGCCAAUGAUUACUGCGACAUCGGCAGUCAGUGCCGGUGAUUGGAGGGAAGAAAUUAUUGAUUAUCUAAAAGAUCCAUCCAAAAAAGUUGAAAGACGGGUUCGAUUUCAAGCAACCAAGUAUGCGAUCCUUGAAAAUGAAUUGUAUUAUCGAACUAUCGAUGGAAUUCUUCUCCGAUGCUUGGGUGAUGAUGAAGCCAGAAGUUUGAUGGGAGAAAUCCAUGAAGGAUUGUGUGGAGCGCAUCAGUCAGCUUUUAAGAUGAAGUGGAUGAUUCGAAGGAAUGGAUAUUUUUGGCCAACCAUACUUGAAGAUUGUUUUAAAUAUUUCAAGGGAUGUCAAGGUUGUCAAAAGUUCGGUAAUAUCCAGAGAGCACCCGCAUCGGCUAUGAAUCCUAUAAUAAAACCUUGGCCGUUCCGGGGAUGGGCCAUCGAUCUGAUCGGCCAGAUCUAUCCACCAUCUAGCAAAGGGCAUAAAUUCAUUCUAGUUGCCACUGACUAUUUCACCAAGUGGGUCGAAGCUAUUCCUUUGAAGAAAGUCACAUCGGCCAAUAUGAUUGAUUUUGUGAAGGAGCAUAUUAUUUACCGAUUUGGGAUUCCCCAAACGAUUACUACCGAUCAAGGCACCAUGUUCACGUCGGGGGAGUUCGAUGAAUUCGCAAUCGGUAUGGGAAUUAAAGUGUUGAAUUCUUUUCCUUACUAUGCUCAAGCCAAUGGGCAGGCCGAAGCGUCUAACAAGGGAAUUAUCAAGCUUAUUAAACGAAAGAUUGAAGAAAAUCCUAGGCGGUGGCAUACAUUGUUGAAUGAAGCACUGUGGUCUUAUCGGAUGGCUUGUCAUGGAUCAACCAAGGUGUCACCUUAUCAAUUGGUGUAUGGACAUGAUGCAGUUUUGCCUUGGGAGAUUAAGGCUGGAUCUAGGCGAUUAUCUUUUCAAGAUCAAUUGGCUGCCGAUGAUUAUGCCACUCUAAUGACCGAUGAGUUAGAUGAUUUAGCAGGGCAUCGGUUAAAGGCUUUAAUGAGUAUAGAAGAAAAUAAGAAGAGAGUUGCCAGAUGGUAUGAUAAAAAGGUGAAGGCUAAGGAGUUUGCCGAUGGGGAUUUGGUAUGGAAGUUGAUUUUGCCAGUCGGGACUAAAAGUUCAAAGUUUGGGAAGUGGUCUCCUAAUUGGGAAGGUCCUUAUCGGAUAAAACGCUCAGCUCCUGGUAAUGCCUAUAUUCUAGAAACUCUCGAAGGAGUUGAAUUUCCCAGAGCAUUAAAUGGCAAAUAUUUGAAGAAGUACUACCCCAGCAUAUGGAUCGAUGCAUAAAAGGUUAAGUGCCGAUAACACUCCUAUCGGCUGAAUUUAAAUGUUCAAGGGCAGACUAAAUGUUUCAAAAGAUGCCGAUAACAGUCUUAUCGGCUAGACUAAAAGCUAAAAACGGAGAAACAAAGGUGUGUCGCCGAUGAAAGCUUCAGAUGUUCAGCAGCGCUUGGAUUGCAGAUAUGGCGCGCAGCCGAAUCUGGUUGGCUGUCUCUAUCUCUUUGAUAUCGUCAUCGGCAGAACCUUCAAUUGGCUUCAGCUUCUUCUUCAGUUGCAGCGCUUUACGACCAUGGACGUUUCGUUCCUGUUCAAGAUGCUUGAUGGUCUCCGGCAGUUGACUAUCUUCUUGUUGAGCUUGGGAUAGGGCAUCUUCUACUUGCUUGAGUUCAGCCAGCAGAGCUUCUCUUUUUGCCGAUAGAUCAGACAUUUUCUGCUUCAGUGCAUCGCCUGAGGACUUUAAGAUGCCGAUGUUCUUAUGUUUCUCAUCGGCUAAGAGUUUUUCUUUCAUCAUCUCCUCAGAGAGCUGGAUUUGAGCAGCUCUGUCGGCAAGGCGUCGAGUAGCUCUCUGAUACUGUAGCUGGCGACUUUCUAGAUGUGCAGCGUGGAAGAGUGCUUCUUCGGCAUCGGCAGGAAUUUGGCCCCUGAGAGUCUUGAACAGGGCCUUGGCUGGGUCAGAAUCGUCGACCAGUUGAGUUGUGUCUUGAUGAAGUAUGGCCGAUAGCUCCUCCAGCCUAGCUCUGGUUUCUGCCGAUACAGUUCCAACUGCCCGAGAGGAGCUUGCUUCCUCGCCUUCUUCUUCGAAGAUAUCAAUAGCGAAGGAGAACAAGCUGUCGGGAGAAUCUUGUUCCUAAAAAUGAAAAUGAAAUAGGUCAAUUUUAUGGUCAAAACUUCGGCAGAUGAUACCGAUGGGAAAGUGGAUGACUUACUUGCUUCAAGGCGAUUUCCUGCCGUUGACUCAGAGAGGCUGAUGGAGCUGCAGGUUGAUCGGCAAAUGUUGCCGAUGGAACGAUAUCGCCUGAAAGAGGACAGGAGGGAUUAUAAGAAUAAAUGGAAAUAAGUUUAUCGAUAGGAGUAUUGUUGGGACAUGUUACCCGGAAGAGGAACAACAGUUGUUUGAAUUGAGGAAACCGCCGAUGAUAUAACUGGACCUGCCGGGCCAGUUGUUUGUUCACCUACGUCAGCUGACGUACCUGCCGUUUGGGGUUCUUCUUGCUGAGGUUCUUCCAUCUGUGGUGCUUCCUGUAUUGAUUGAGGAGAUGGUGCUUGCUGUGCCUGGACUUCUGGAGGAGAAGGGGAAGAUUCCACCGGGAUUGGAGACACCGGAGGAGGAGGAGGAGUUGCCACUUUCUGACGCUUUGUUCCGGUCUUAGCACCUUGGGCGCCUUUCCUCUUUGGCUGGCUAGAUUGGGGGGGAUCGGCACCUUGGUGUUUGGCUUUUGCCGACGCACCAGUUUGCUACAACAACGAUAAAGAGUUUAUGAGCACAGAUAACCGAUAUAAAGAUAGUCAGCAUAAAUAAAAAGGGUUUUAACAGAUUGCCUUGAAAGCUUGCGCUAGAGUGGAAGCAGUUACCGUUGGUGAUGUUUGAGUUUUCCUGGUGGUAACUUUCUUGAGACGCGCACCCCGGUGCACGAUGGAAGCCAGAGUGGGAGCAUUAUGGCCGAUUGAGGAGAUCGGGCCUGAUGGGAAUAAGUCGAUCGGCUUGCCACUCCUGCUAACCGAUGGGGGGGUGUUGUCAAUCUGCAAAAAGAAUACAGGGGUAAGCUACCGAUGGGAAUAGUAUUAGAAAAUGAGACAACGGUUUAAAAUACUUACAGUGUCGUCAGGGACUUCGUAUUCGGGGUCGAUCAUGCCGCGGUAUGAGAGGGCCGAUCUACAGAAUAGAUUCUCCUUCCAUUCUGCCCACCAUAGCUUGUAUGCUUGAGUGAUAAAGCCAGCUGGAACCCAUUCUGACAGAUCUACGUCUGUAUCGGCAUUUGGUGGUAGCUGGGCUACUCGAGUCCACUCGAGGAGGUUAGCGAUGGGUUCUCUGGGCUUUAUUACAUCGGCAUAAGGAAGUGCGAUCGGCAAUUGGCCGAAGGCUAGCUGGCGAGCUAAUGCCGAUGGAUUAUAAAAUUCAUAAGUUUGGGGAGAAGUUUUCGUGCUGCCGAAGAAGUUCACUGGUAUGGCUCUGGGAGUCACGAUUGCCAUCAUCACCUCAUUGUCCCUAUCAAGAGCUUCGUCGAACGGAUUGAAGGUCAGAGGGAGCAUGCUAUCUGGGUCGUCAUAAGCCAGCCAUGGUCGUUCAUCUCUGGCCAGACCCUCAUACAGCGUUUCGAAGAAUCGGCCGAUCUGAUCCGGAGUGUUCCCUGAACCAGGUAAAACUAUAACAGCUUCGCCAAAGUUCAGGGGGGCACGUGUUGCCGAUUCCUCUUCACCCAACACAUGGUUCUCGGCUAUAUCUCUUGGGAAGUGCUGAGAGAACAAGUUGAGAUCGAGGCGCUUGUGCAGGUGCAGAUUGAGCCACAUAUUAAUAAACCACCAAGGACCUCCCAAGUUGACGAUAGGUUGGCCGAGCAGGAGUUUCUGGACUAUCUGGUGAAGAAGGUGAUAGACAGCGCCGAGCAAGUAACGGCCGAGAGGAAAUUGACCACCGCUAGCCAGUCUUUCUGCUGCCGAUAGAUAGACAGAAGUCGGUCCUGCCGAUCGACCACAGAAUACAAACUUGUCUAGCCACAUGUUCAGGAAAGUGGUUUGUUCCUUUAUGGUGACAGGCCCUCUCCCACGGUACUUCUGGAUGUACCCUGACCAGCCGCCGAUAGCGCGAGUCUCCACUUUGGCACUAGGGGCGGUAUCAAAAAAAUGGGUGCUAUCGGCAGAGGAUAUGUCUAACCCAGUAAGCAUGGCUACAUCGGCAAGGGUAGGAGAAGCAGGGCCGUGGCCAAAAACAAAAGCGUUGAGAGUGUCUGACCAAAAGUAAGAUGCGGCUAUCAGCAAUGACUCGUUCCUGUGCAUAUCGGCAAUGGACAGCCUAAUGCAUUGAGCUAAUUUCCUCUCACCCCAUUGAACUUCAUGAGAGUUGCUGACCCUCAAGAACCAGUCUUUCCACCCUACAGUAGGGCUAGGCCAAGAGCGAAAGGUGUCUUUCCAUAGAUCUAGAGCAAAGUUUUCAGCUCUAAAGGGAAUCCUGUUGGUUUCUGCGUUGAUAAGGUCGGUUGGAUCUGGAUCCCCUAGAGGGCCGAGGCAUUGAAGAUGUGGUUGAUCGGUAGGAAUGACAAUUUUGUUGGAUAACUCCUGGUGUUUUGGGGAAUAAAGAUACAAAGAAAAAGGAGAAGGAAAUAUUCGGUAAGGUAAAUCGCAGAUGAACAGGAAUGCAGGAAAAAGGUACGGCAGAUGAGAUGGAAGUCUGACCUCAGGGACGACGAAGCCGACGGCCAUCUUGUCGUGAAGGGGACGCUGGAAGACGCCGAAGUUGAUGAAGAAGAAUGCUUGUCGGAGAUCUUGAGGAUUGAGAAUGGCGCCGCCGCUGGAAAAGUGAAGUUGGAUGGCAGAAUGAUGUAAUGGGGGAGGAGUACCCAAGAAGGAACUAUUUAUAGGGCAAGAUGGACAAGGGCAAAUCUGACUUAUUUCUUUGCCGCAUCCGAGAAACCCGAGGGUACUCAAGUGGAUAUGGUAACUGUUCGCACGAUAAUCCAGGGAUUGUGCAGGUGAUUUGACAGGAAGCGGUCGUUAUCUAAAGAUAUUUUACUGUGCACGAUCUCCUGGUCGGUCCAUCGGUGAUAUUCUAUAACGGUCGUCUUGCCGAUGGGCGGAUAGAGGGGAAGUAACCGUUUUUGCGAAUAUCCUGGGCAGAGCAUCGGCAGAUCUUUGUAACGGUAUUGUUGCCGAUGUACGACUAAGGGAGAUGCCCGUUUGGGAAGUUGUGGAUUUCGAGGGAUCUGCGGAGGAUUAGGAUCAGAGUUGCCCAGAUUGAGGUUGUCGGUUACCAGGUUAGGAGCAUUAAUUGCGGAGAAGACAUCAUUACUGCAGAGAAUUUCGGAGCAUUAAUAGUUUUAUACUCCGAAACUGGGGGGCAUGUGUUGACACCAUUUUUGGGCACGUGUCCAGGAUGGCAGGACAGGGUGGCAGUACGAUGCGGGUUGCUGGUAAGGAUGGUUGCCGAUGAGGGAAGGGUUGAAUGUGACUAAGUCCCCAGACAGUAAUAUAGUGCCGAUGACCAAGUAAAAGGGUCUGCCGAUGACUAUGGCAAGGGGAUUGCCGAUGACGCGAAGGAGGAGUCCGGAAGCUGCCAGUUAUCAUGUGGAGGAGUUUCGGUUUGUCACGAAGGAUAGUUUUAUUAUUUCCUUAUGUUAUUCGUGUCGUUUUGUAUACGGGUUCCGUGUAAUUUGGAAUUCGAAUUCUAAUCGUGUCUGGUCGUAACUCUUUAAGCAGGGUAUAAAUAUAAACCCUAAGACCUUGUAAUCAGGACAUCUAUCAAUCAAUCAAACACACGUUUUUACUCAUAUUCUAGCAUUUACUUUUCGACGACUUCGUCAUACGUUUUCUUUUUGUUACGAGUUCUUAGGAAUUCGUCGACUCAAGCUCGGCGUAUCCUUAAGUUCCGCGUGAGUACCUCUUAGCCGUGACAUCCGGGCGCAUCGCUGUUGUCAGGACUAAAGUAUUCGAGUUAUCACCUUUGCCGAUAGUAAGGUCAAAUCGGCUGGCACGCCUUAACGUUUGAAUCGGGUAUUAGCCCUUUGUGUUUGCAGAUCAGUUUUGCAUCAACAGAUGCUGAGGAUCCACCGAUGCACUUCUUUUAGCUGCUUCCGAUGUCAAGACCUUAGUCUUUCCCUUAGCAUCCAGCAUGUUUGUUGGGAAAGGAUGUUGAUCAAACUUCAUCGGCUUCUGAGCUUUGGAGCUGUCAAAUUUGAUCCUCCCUGACUCUAUAGCCGAUUGCAGCUGUUGCCUAAACACUUUGCAUUCAUUGGUGCUGUGAGAAGUUGCAUUGUGCCAUUUACAAUACUUCAUCUUCUUCAACUCCUCAGCCGAUGGGAUCACAUGAUUAGGUGAUAAUUUUAUCUGACCUUCCUGAAGUAAAAAGUCAAAUAUCCGAUCGGCCUUAGUGAUAUCAAAUGUGAACUUCUCUGGUUCCUUGUGGCCUAAAGGACAAGACAUCGACUUCUUAUUUUUCACCCAUUCUGCCAAGCCGAUGACCGGUUCCUCAUCAGAAUCUGAGCUUGCUGCUUCAUCAACAAAGGACACCUUCUUAUUCCAUGCUCUUUUGGGUUCAAAUGGCUUGAUAUCUUGAUCAAAAAUCCUCUGCACCAAAUGACUUAAGCUUUCAAACUCCUGAGAUGCAUACUUGUCCUUGAUGUGUGGCAACAAACCCUGGAAAGCCAAAUCGGCUAGCUGUCGAUCAUCCAGAACUAGGCUAUAGCAUUUGUUCUUGACCUCCCGUAUCCUCUGCACAAAACCUUCCACCGAUUCAUCAUUGCGUUGCCUCAAUUUAACCAAAUUGGUGAUCUUCUCAUGGACCCCAGAAAAGAAGUAUUUGUGGAAUUGUUUCUCCAAAUCGGCCCAAGUAAUCACUGAAUUGGGAGGUAAUGAUAUAAACCAGGUGAAAGCCGAUCCGGACAAUAAUGACGAGAAUAAACGAACCCUUAACUCAUCCCUGUUACCAGCUUCCCCGCAUUGGAUGAUGAACCUGUUGACGUGUUCCAUGGUCGACGUGUCAUCCUGCCCAGAAAACUUAGUAAAAUCCGGCACCUUGUACCGAUUUGGAAGCGGGAUCAAAUCACACGCUGGAGGAUACGAUGUCCGAUAAGAGUAAGUGUUGACUUUGGGUUUUAUCCCAAAUUGAUAUCUCAUUACUUCAGCAAUCUUAUCGGCCCAAUAAGCAUCGGCAUCUUGCCAAUGAGGUGGUUGCAGAUCUGGCGCCUGCUGGUAAGCUUCCACGUGUCGGUGCGGUGCGCGAUCUGCAUAAAACAUUGGAUUAAUAAUUUAUCCCCCAAUCUGCGGACCACCGAGCUGUUGUGCGCCAAUCUGCUGCCCGCCAAUUUGCUGGCCUCCUAGAUGUUGAGCUCCGAAUUGCUGACCAGCGAUCUGUUGGCCGUGAUUCAUCGGCUGAUUGAUUGCCCCUUGGUUCUGAAACCCGGGAUAGAUCUGGCUUUGCUGGAACCCUGUAGCCUGAUGAUUCGGUUGGGGCGUCUGCGGAAAGACUUGCUGCCCAAGCCAUCCAUUAUUAGCGUUCAUCGGCAUAGGACCUGCCGAUGACUGGUAAUUGGGCAUGAUCAUUGAAUUGACAUACCCUGGCUGAGUCACAAACCUCUGUUGCAUCAGCAUUGAGUCUGCCGAUGUAUUAGGCAUCUGGAACGUCGGAGCUUGAGAAUUCCCAGUGUAAGGUCUUGCAGUAGUAGUUGUAGUAUACUGGGGACUCUGAUUCAUCGGCAUGCUUGGGGGUGUCGAUGCCAUAGUAGCCUUGCCUCUCACAUCAGUCGUCUGUGAUGUACCCGGUGUUAACUCUGGAGGCAUACCAUAACCCCACUAGUUAGGAGGAGGAAUCGAUCGCGACAGUGUCGAUGCCAACAGAUCUGUAGCGAGUUUAAUCUGCCCAUCUGAAGUUGGUGGAUUUGUCAUUGGCGUAGAUCGUGCAUUAGUGACUCCUAACGUGCUUGGAGGAACAGGAAUUUCCGUGCCCGCAGCGGCUGUAGCAGCCGAUGGAGCUGUAACUACUGGUGACCCUGGCUGAUGAUGAGAGGGGCCCACAUAAUCUGGCGGCAAUUGUCCUUCCUUGAAAGUUCUAGCCACGGCAUUGAAAAACGUAUUGGACAGCACACCAGCUUGGUUGAUCAAUGCACGGUUGAUAGCACUAUCGACCAUCUCUUGAAGUUUACGAGGAUUGGCUUCAAAAGUAAGUUGCCUAGGCAUCGGCAGCGCAUCCCUCUGGAUCACCUCGCCGCUCCUAUUUAUGCUGAAGGAUCUCAGGCAUUGCUGCUUGUAAUCCUCCAUGGCCUUAGCAAUAGCUUGCUUCUGCUCGUCUUUGAGGCUAUCUUCUAUCACGGGGAUGACGUUCUCCAAGUCGAACUCAGUAUUCGACAUGUUGAUCUUGAUUUUGAAUCUUGUCCCACCGAGCGUGCCAAAAGAUGUGUUGAUGCAAAAGCGGAUCUGCAAACACAAAGGGCUAAUACCCAAUUUAAACGUUAAGGCGUGCCAACCGAUUUGACCUUACUAUCGGCAAAGGUGGUAACUCGAAUACUUUGGUCCCAACUACAGCGAUGCGCCCGGAUGCCGCGGCCAAGAGGUAUUCACGCGGAACUUGAGAACGCGUCGACCUUGAGUCGAUGAAUUCCUAAGAACUCGUAAUAAAAGGAAAAAAGGUAUGACGAAGUCGUCGAAAAUAGAUGCUAGAAUAUGAGUAAAAACUGAUAUUUGAUUGAUUGAUAGAUUCUUUGAUUACAAAGCCCUAGGGUCUACAUUUAUACCCUACUCAAAGAGCUACAACCAGACACAACUAGAACUCAAAUUCCAAAUUAAACAGAAUCCGUAUGCAAAACGAUAUAAAUAACUAAGGAAAACGUAAAACUAUCCUCACGUGACAAACUAGAACAGCCCCACAAGCCGAUCGGCAACUUCCAGGCUCUCCCUCCGUAUCAUCGGCAGACUUUCUUGUUAUAGCCAUCGACACAAAUGCAUCACCACCUAUGGACUUGGUCACAUUCAACCAUCCUUCCAUCGGCAAUCAUCCUCAUCGACAACUCUGAAGAUCAAGCACUGUCGUCCUACCUUGCCAACCUACAUCUUACCAAUCAUGGACACGUGCCCAAAAACGGUGUCAACAUCUUCUUCUUUCAUUUUCCUCUUUAUAUGGUGGAUGCCAACAUCUGUUUGCUGCAAUUCAAUGACUCGAUUGCGAAGACUACUCUCCAGAGAAAUCUGGUUGAGCACAAGUGGUUGCAUAAGAUGUGACAACAAUGGGUCUUCCACCUGAACUGAGUGACAGUGCGCUUUCCGACUCAAGGCAUCCACAACCACGUUUGCCUUGCCCAGAUGGUAAUGCACUUGCAGAUUAUAAUCUUCAAUCAACUCAAGCCACCUUCGCUGCCGCAUAUUCAAUUUAGGUUGAGUGAAGAUGUACAUGAGACUCUUAUGAUCAGUGUAGAUAUUACAUAGAUUACCCAACAAAUAGUGCCUCCAGAUUUUUAAAGCAUGAACCACUGCAGCCAAUUCUAAGUCAUGAGUAGGGUAAUUGACCUCAUGCUUUUGAAGUUGGCCCGAUGCAUAAGCGAUAACACGACCUUCUUGCAUCAACACACAGCCUAAACCAAUACCCGACGCGUCACAGAAGACAUCGAAGUGCUUCUCGAUAUCAGGUUGAGCUAGGACAGGAGCUGAUGUCAGCAAUGUCCUCAACUUGUGGAAUGCCUCUUCACACCCAGGCGUCCACACAAACUUCUCAUCUUUCUGUAGUAGGCAAGUCAUAGGCUUGGAUAUCUUUGAAAACUCUAGAAUAAAUCGACGAUAAUACCCUGCCAGACCGAGAAAACUCCGAACCUCGUGUACCGAAGUUGGAACCUUCCAAUCCAGCACUUCUUGCACCUUAGCCGGAUCCACCGAUAUGCCUUCUGCAGAUAGGACAUGGCCCAAGAAAGGUACUUUCUUUUGCCAAAACUCACAUUUGCUGAACUUGGCAUAAAGCUGAUGCUCACGCAAGCGUGACAACACCACACGCAGAUGCUCUGCAUGCUCCUCUUCAUUGCAAGAAUAUACUAGGAUAUCAUCAAUGAAGACCACCACAAACUUGUCCAAUUCGGGCAUGAACACCGAGUUCAUGAGGUACAUGACAUGAGCAGGUGCAUUCGUAAGACCGAAGGACAUGACGAGAUACUCAUACAACCCAUACCUCGUCGAGAAAGCUGUCUUAGGUACAUCUUCAGGACGGAUCUUGAUCUGAUGAUACCCAGAUCGCAAAUCAAUCUUGGAGAAUACCUUAGCUUUAGACAACUGAUCAAACAAGAUAUCAAUGCGAGGAAGAGGGUAUUUAUUCUUGAUGGUUACCGCAUUCAGGGGAUGAUAGUCCACACACAUGCGUAAGGACUGAUCCUUCUUCUUCACAAAGAUAGCCGGACAACCCCAAGGAGAAGAACUAGGACGGAUAAGACCCUUCUUCAACAUCUCAUUCAACUGGGUGUUAAGCUCAGCUAGCUCAUUUGGUGGCAUUCUAUAAGGUCUUCUGGAGAUAGGAGCUGUACCUGGAAUCAAUUCAAUUUUGAACUCCACAUCCCGAUCUGGAGGAAGCCCGGGUAAAUCAUCAGGAAAUACAUCCGGGAACUCACACACCACCGGAAUAUCCUUGAUAGCCCUAGAUGUAACUGCAUUCAUAGUGCUACGAAUAUGAAUAUCUCGAGAAAGAUGCACUAAGAACGCCUCCUUGGUAUUCGGGUCUCUCAACAUCACUACACGAGUGGUGGUGUCGAUAAGAACUCUGUUACCACUCAUCUAUUUCAUACCCAAAAUUACAUCUAUACCUAAACCUGACAAUGGUUUGGGUUAAAACCGGUUUUUUUAUUUGGUUUUACUUUUGGGCUGUAUUGGUUUGGACUGAAACAGGCUGAAAAGGCUGUUGGGCCAGUUUGGUUUGGGCCCUAUUAAAAUGGGCUGAACUGGUUUGGCUGUAAAUAAUAGAGUUUACAAUGAUUUUUUAUUCUGUCUAUUUAUUUUUUUCUUUUGUUUAUGGCUAAAUAUAAACAAUAGCAUGAGGUGCCGGUGAAAUAGUGGGUUGGAAAUGUAUUUUAAUGGGUCUAGUGCAUAAGUGGUUUGGUUUGGUGUGGAUGAUUGAAGUCAUGGUCUAAUUUAGUUUGGAUUUGACUUUCACAUAUAUAUGUUUUGGAUUGGUGUGGGUUUGGUUUGGAUCUCAGUCCACUGUCAGGUUGAUCUAUACCCACACCGGGUAAAACAACCAGAUCAGCAAGAAACUGACGGUCUCCUAUUUCCAGAGUUGCCCCCAACACCACUUGAUUGGUAGAAAUAUCAUUUCCAGCAGCACUAAUGCAAUAACUGCCCUUUUGAAGUGUAAAUGCCUUGAGAUUAUGCUCAGACACAAAGUCUGAACUCACAGAACAAUGCGAUGCUCCUAAAUCAAAAAGCACAAGUGCAUCACAUUAGUUAACCAGAAACUUACCAGCUAUAACUACCUCUCCAAUAGGAAUUGCCUCCACAGUUGUGUAGUGAACACGCCCCUGACGGACGUUUCCUUGGUUGACCUUCUUUGGUGGGUAAGGACAAUUGCUCUGCCAGUGCCCGGUCUGAUUGCAGUUCCAGCACGGACGGUUGGCAGGUGGAGUCUUGGCAUAGCUGGGACCUGUGUUGCCCCUAGAAAGAGCAAUAGAGUACCCCUUGCGGAAACCCAUCUUGGCCUGAUUCUUCUUCACAGGAGGGCGAUACCGCUGGUUAGGAGUUGGAGCACGGUACGGGGGCCUAGCUGCUACUGGAGCCUUGGAUUGUGACGCCCCUGCCCCGGCCUCAAAAGCCCUCUUGCGAGUCUUGGACGCCAUGUACACAGUGUUAUAGUUCUUUUGAGUGAGAGCAUCACUGAUAAACUCAUUGUAAGUUGCACACUUAGAGCGGCCCAUAGUCUUCAGCAACUUUGGGCCAAGACCCCGCUUGAAGCUAGCAAUCUUCUUCGCCUCAGUGUUCACAAACUCAGGAGCAUACCUUGAUAGGUGAUUGAAAGCAUGCAAGUACUCCUUCAGAGUUUUGUUGCCCUGAGUCAACUGUAUAAACUCAGUAUGCUUCAUCUCCAUGACACCAGGAGGAAUGAAAUACCCCUUGAAAGCUUCACGGAAAAGAUUCCAGUGAAGCACAGUGUCGGCUGGAAGGGCUUCCCGAUACUGAUUCCACCUGAUGCCUGCCGGACCCUUCAGUUGGUGAGCAGCAUACUCGGCCUUCAGACCCUCAGUCAGUCGAAGCAAGCAGGACUUUUGUUCCAUCGUGCUCAGCCACUCCUCAGCUUGAAGAGGUUCUUCAGCCUCUCUAAAAGAUGGGGGCUUCAUAUCCAUGAAAUCCUUGAAGCUACUAUACUGGUUAGGUGUUGGCCCUUCUUGUGCAUGACGACCACCCUGAUUUGCCAUCCGGUUGAUGGUCUCAGUGAGCAUCCUCUAAUUUUCCACCAUCAUUUGCAUCAGCUCCGCUGGAUUUGGUGGUGGAGGAGGAGGGGGUGGGUUCAUGUUUGCACAUUGUUCCGCACCUCGAGUGCCAAGAGACAUGUGUAAAGACACAGUCAGUGAGCAUUGAUGAUGACAAGAUUUGCCGUAGAAGAACUUAUACUUAUGCCUGAAAGUAUUCAAAAGAAUAGCUUUACAAAAAAGGCACAAUAAUUCAAUUCCACAAAACAACAUCACCAAUCCAACACAUGACAGAGACAUUCGUAAUAUGCACAAUGCGGAAAACAUCGUCAUCACCGGUCAAACAUGAUAAGGUUAACACAUCAGGUCCAUAAAGUGAUUACACCAUCACAGUACAUGACAUGAGUCAAAGAUCAAGGUUCUGGAUUACAACCUGAUUCCAAAAGCACCACUGCUAACUGCCAAACUACAAAAGAUCCUCACAUAACAACUACCCACUACUCACUACACUCCAGGCUCGUCGUCCGAGUCAGCGUCAAAGAUCGCCUCUCCAUCCUCGUCGCUAACAGGCUCAAGCUCCUCAUCCUCCACGUCCUCGUGCAAGGGUGGUGCAGCCGCUGCUGGUCCAUCGACCUCUAAAAGCCCAAGUUUGAUUUUGGUAAUUAAUGACACCAAGUUGCUAAUGCUUUGUGUUUAAGUGAUUUGAGUUAGGCAUAGCAACACAUGUGAUGAAGGUGUAUGGUGGCAUGGAAAGGCGGCCACAUAAUCACAAAGGGAUGAAGCAUGAAGUGAAGAUCACGGUGAUAGACGAGGAGCAAAGUUAUCAAGGCAAAGGUAUAAACAUAGGGUUUUACUUUUGCCGGUCUAAGAUGAGUAGAGAAGUGAUUGACCGGGUUUAGGAUAGAUAGCCAACUAUCAAGAGGGGAAAUCACGGUCAUCUCUCGAAUCAAGUGCUACUAGGUCCAUAUCUUGAGCAUAUGCCUUAGGAUCUAGUAAAGUGCUAACUUAACUCCUUUGGAAAAUGUUUGUGAAAAGCUAACACACCUACACUUUGGUGGUGGACACUUGUUGGUGUUAGCACAUUUUCAAAGGAGGCGGAAUUCCUAGGGUUGAGAGGGGUGUGGAUUCGGCGCUUUUGAGAAAAAUAAGUGUAUAUUUUCUAUUGCGCCGGUGGGAAAUUUGGAGAUGUCGCGAGAGUGUUUUCUCACUGAGAAACACUCACCGGACGCUGAGUGCAGAGGCACCGGACGCUGGCCACAGAGUCCGGUGUGCUUGACCCUGCUAAGGUUGAGCACCGGACGCACUCUAAGAGCAUCCGGUGGUUAGUGUCCGGUGAGCGGGCGUUUUGCGACCCUCUCUGCGCAUGGGUCCGGUGAGCACCAGACGCUACCGGUGCUUAGCGUCCGGUGACCCUGCGGUUUGCGGAACUCUCUGCGUAUAAGUCCGGUGUGCACCGGACACUUCCGGUGUGGACCUGCAGAGCGUCCGGUGAUCCGCAGGUGACCGUUAGGAUCUGACACGCGAGAUUCAGGACGGACACGUGGCCAACUCCAGUGCACCGGACGCAGGGAGUCGAGUGUCCGUUGUUCACAUAGUAGCAUGUGCCCCCGAUUUCAGCCCAGUGAAAACAGCCAACGGCUAGUUUCUUUGAGGGGCUUAUAAAUUGAGGGUGGCCGGCUUUGGGAGGUUCUCUCUUGCACAUUAGAAUACUUGAGGCAUACAAUGAGCUAGAGAACACUCCCUCCACACAUCUCCUUGCUUGCUUGCUCAUCCUAGUGAGAUUGAGUGAGAUUCAAGUGCAUUGCUUUGAGAGUUGCAUUUAGUGGCACUUGAUUCUUGAGUUUGCUGCAGAUUUCUUGUUACUCUUGGGUGUUUCCCAAUGCCCUAGAUGGCUUGGAGCAGCGGUGGUGUUGAGCUCGUGAUUGGAGAUUGUUUUGAGCCUCACCAAGUUAUUUGUGAGAGGUUCUUGAGCCUUCCCCGCGGGAGAUCGUAAUUUGCUACUCUAGUGGAUUUCUCGUGGCUUGGAGGAUCCCCAUCUUGUGAGUGGAUGUGCAGCACCCGCUGAGGGUUUGGCUUUGGUUGCCAAUUAGCUCGUGAUCCAUCAAUUGGGUGUAUCGCCACAAUGAGGAGCAGCUUGCUGGGAAGCAAGUGAACCUCGGUAAAAAAUCUUGUGUCAUCUCUUGCCGACGUCUCUCUUGUGAUUCUGUACGUGAUUGAUUGGAUAUAUCUCUUCUCUACAACGUCGGUAUAACAAUCACUCUCAUCUCUUUACAUAUUUGCCUACCUUGUUAGCUUAGCUUGUGUAGCUUAGUUCUUGUUAGUAUAGAGUUGUUGUGUAGCCUUCUCUAGUUGUUGUGUUUUAGUGUUUAGCCUUCUUGCUAGACUUGUAUAGGUGGCUUGCAUAACUUAGUUGUGCUAGUGUUAGAAUAGCUUCGCCACUUAUCUUACUAACUCACUUGUUUAGUAAAGUUUGUAGAAUUUUAAAUAGGCUAUUCACCCCCCUCUAGCCAUUUGGACCUUUCAAGUGGUAUCAGAGCCGAGGCACAGUUUAUUUGAGGCUUAACAACCUACGGUGAAGAAAUGGCUCUUAGUUUGCAUAUCAACAACACCAAGAAGGCACCUUACUUUGAUGGCACCAAUUAAGCUUAUUGGAAGGUCAUGAUGACCGCCCAUCUCAAGUCAAUCAAUAGAGAAGUUUGGAAGGUGGCCGAAACAAAGUUUGAGGUUGCAAAUGAGAAUGCACCUACUCCGGUUGAAGAAAAGAAGCUUCAAUGCAAUGACAUUGCAAUAAGUGCUCUUCAUGAAGCUCUUGAUGACAAGACCUUUGAGCAAAUCAAGAACAUUGAGAUUGCUCAUGAUGCAUGGGCAAAAUUAGAAGAAACAUUUGAGGGCACAAGGGGAACCAAGACCGCCAAGGCAUACAUUCUCCAAGAAAAGUUCUCAAGCUUCAAGAUGCAAGAAGAUGAAAGUGUGCCGGAGAUGUUUCACUGGUUGCAAGUUAUAGUGAAUGAGCUCAAGGCACUUGGGGAAGAAGUGAAGGAUAGUCAAUUCUCUAUGAAGUUCUUGAGAAGCUUGCCCAAGAGAUUUGACACAUUGAUCACCGUGCUAGUCAAGACGACACUUAGUGAAUCAACUCCUCAACAAGUGUUCCAAGAAGUAAUGACCGAUGAUGCUUAUAGAGAAGAUGAUGAGAAGGAUGAGAUGAUCAAGAAGAAGAAGAAGGAUGGUGAGAGGAAGGAUGAUGAGAAGAAGAAAAGUGUGGCAUUCAAGGCCUCCACAUCCAAGGGCAAAGCCAAGCAAGAAUCAUCAAGUGAAGAAGAAGCAAGCUCUUGUGAUAGUGAUGAAGAUGAGGAGAUGACUCUUCUUGUCAAGAGAUUUGGCAAGUUUAUGAAGAAGAAGGGCUAUCGGGCAAGAAGGAAGAAGAGCUCCUCCAAGAAGAAUGACCACUCCAUGAGGUGCUUUAGAUGCCAUAGCAAGGAUCAUCUCAUCGCCAAGUGUCCUUAUGAUAGUGAUGAUGAAGAUGCUAUCAAGAAGGAAAGAAAGAAGCAAAAGAAGAAGCAAGAAAAGAAGGAAGGCUCAAACAAGAAGAAGGGUGAUGCCCAUGUUGCAACUUGGGAUAGUGAUGACUCCUCAAGUGAUAAUGAGAGCACCAAGAAGAAGGCGCAUGCUAGCAUUGCAAUUCAAUGAAAGAGCUCCAUCUUCGACACUCCAUCAUGCUUCAUGGCUAAGGCCACUAAGGUAUCAUUCGAUGAUGAGAGUGACCAUGAUAGUGAUAGUGAUAGUGAUAGUGAUGAUGAUGAACCGACUAAAGAUGAACUAAUCACUAUGUUAGAAGAUUGCACUCAUCACUAUAAAGAAACUAGAAAGGAGUGCAAGGCCUUGCUUAAGGAUAAGAAAACCCUUGAGCAAGAACUUGAUGAGCUUAGAGCAUCUUAUGAGAGUCUAAAGGAAGACCAUAAGAAGCUUCAAAAGGCUCACACUAAGCUUGAAGAAGCACAUUCCUCUCUAGUUAACAAAUGUGAAAAUGAGCCAACUAAAAUUGGAAAAGCUAAAACUUGCAACAUAGGCAUAACAUGUGAUAUCUUGAGUAAGCCUAUUGUUAUUGCUUCUACUAACCCUUCAUGUAGCACAUCUACAUCAUCCUCAUCUAGUAGUGAUGGUUUCACUUGUGACACCACACUAAAAGUUGAGAAUGAAUUCUCAAGAAGGAGGUGAAAGAGCUCAAUCACACCUUAGCCAAGGCUUAUGGUGGUGAGGACCGCUUGCUUAUGUGCUUGGGUAGCCAACAAGCUUCUCUCUACAAAGAGGGAUUGGGCUAUAACCCCAAGAAAGGCAAAGCCGCCUUUGCUCCUCACAAGACUAGUUUUGUGAAGAACAAUGGCCGGUAUUGCAAAGCUUGAAAGCAAGUUGGUCACUUAGAGCAACAAUGCAUGAACAAGAAACCCAAAGCUAAUGUAUCCUCAAUUAAGCUUAAUUCUUUCUAUGUACUUACCAAGGAUACAAAAGGUGUUCAUGCUAAGUUCAUUGGUGCACCAUGGAUGGGCUCAAAGAAGAAAGCCAUAUGGGUACCAAAGAGCUUAGUUGCUAACCUUGGAGGACCCAAUGAAGUUGGGUACCUAAAAAGAAUUGAUCUUUUCUUGUAGGUCAAUUACAAAGCCAGAGGAAGGCAUUGGGUGCUUGAUAGUGGGUGUACUCAACAUAUGACCGGGGAGUCUUGUAUUUUCAAAUCAAUUGAUACUAGUCAAAAUGGUGGCUUUGAUUCUAUCACUUUCGGCAACAACAAGUAAGGCAAGGUCAAAGGGCUUGGUAAAAUUGCUAUCUCAAAUGACAUGAGUAUAUCAAAUGUGUUGCUAGUUGAGAGCCUUGAUUUCAAUCCCUUGUCAAUUGCACAACUUUGUGACCUUGGUUUCAAGUGCAUCUUUGGAAGUGAUGAUAUUGAGGUUGUUAGUGUUGAUGGAUCAAACUUGAUAUUCAAAGGAUUUAGGCAUGGUAGCUUAUACUUGGUUGAUUUCAAUGAUAGUGACACUCAAUUGACAUCAUGUCUAAUUAGCAAAUCAAGUUUGGGUUGCUUGUGGCAUAGAAGGCUUGGUCAUGUUGGAAUGAAACAAUUGAACAAACUUUUGAGGCAUGACUUAGUUAGAGGCUUGAAGGAUGUCACCUUUGAGAAAGAUAAACCAUGUAGUGCUUAUCAAGCCGGAAAGCAAGUUGGGAAUGCACAUCCUAAGAAAAGUGAAAUGAGCACAUCAAAGGCAUUUGAGCUAUUGCAUAUGGAUUUAUUUGGGCCAACAACAUACACUAGCAUUGGUGGCAACAAGUAUGGCUUUGUGAGAGUUGAUGACUACACUAGAUACACUUGGGUGUUCUUUCUCUAUGACAAGAGUGAUGUUUGUGAUCUAUUCAAGUCUUUUGUCAAGAGGGUGAAAAAUGAGUUUGAAACCACUAUCAAGAAGAUUAGAAGUGACAAUGGUAGUGAAUUCAAGAACACAAGAAUUGAGGAAUUGUGUGAUGAUCUUGGCAUUGGACAUCAAUUGUCUCCAACAUACACUCCUCAAUCCAAUGGUGUAGUUGAAAGGAAGAAUAGAACCUUGAUUGAUAUGGCUAGAUCAAUGCUUAGUGAAUACAAUGUUAGCCAUUCAUUUUGGAGUGAAGCUAUCAACACGGCUUGCUAUUGUAGCAACCGUCUCUAUUGCCAUGGGAAGCUUGGGAAGACACCAUAUGAGCUAUUGAAUGGAAGAAAGCCCAACAUUGCAUACUUUAGAGUGUUUGGAUGCAAAUGCUACAUCCUCAAGAAAGGCACUAGAUUGAGCAAAUUUGAGAAGAAAUGUGAUGAAGGUUUCUUACUUGGUUAUUCCACCACAAGCAAAGCAUAGAGUAUGGAACUUGGCAAGUGGCACAUUGGUAGAAGUCCAUGAUGUAGAGUUUGAUGAAACCGAGGGAUCUCAAAGUGAAGUUCAAAAUCUUGAUGAUGUGAGAGGAGAUCAAUUGGCAAAUGCAAUGAAGAACAUGGAUGUAGGUGACAUAAGGCCAAGGCAAGUUGAUGAUGAUGGUGACAUUCACAUGAUCAAUCAAGAAGUGCAAAUUGAUACAAAUCAAGCAAGUACUAGUGGCUCUCAUGAUGAUGAUCAAAAUCAAAAUCAAGCUAGUGGAAGCAAUGAAUUCCCAAUACUCCAACCUACAAGCAUAACAAGAGAUCAUCCAUUGGAUCAAGUCAUUGGUGGUAUUCAAAGUGGUGUGCAAACAAGAUCAAGGCUAGCAUCCUUUUGUGAGCACUAUUCAUUUGUCUCAUUUGAGGAACCAAAGAAAAUAGAAGAUGCAUUGAAGAAUUCCGAUUGGGUAAAUGCCAUGCAUGAAGAAUUGAACAACUUCACAAGAAAUCAAGUGUGGGAGCUUGUUGAGAGGCCAAAGAACUAUAAUGUGAUUGGUACCAAGUGGGUCUUUAGAAACAAGCAAGAUCAAGAUGGUGUAGUUGUGAGAAACAAAGCAAGACUAGUAGCACAAGGCUACACUCAAGUUGAAGGUCUUGACUUUGGAGAAACAUAUGCACCGGUUGCAAGAUUGGAGGCAAUUAGAAUAUUAUUAGACUAUGCUUGUGCCCACAACAUCAAGCUCUAUCAAAUGGAUGUGAAGAGUGCAUUUCUCAAUGGAUACAUAAAUGAGUUGGUGUAUGUUGAACAACCUCCCGGUUUUGAAAAUGACAAGAAACCCAACCAUGUGUACAAGCUCAAGAAGGCAUUGUAUGGUUUGAAGCAAGCACCUAGAGCAUGGUAUGAGAGAUUGAUAGAUUUCCUUCUCUAUAAAGGGUUCAAGAUGGGAAAGGUUGACACUGUUGACGGUCCUUAAGUAUCAAAUUUACUUAUCAAAUAAACAAAGAAAAGGAUCCAAAUGAAAUCAACAUCUAGACUUAGGGUUUUAUCUGACAGAAUUCCACGAGUUUUGGUGUUUGUCUAUUUCUGCAGGGGGUUAUCAGGAAAUAAGGAAGAAAGGCCCACAUGUCGGGAUUACAUAGAGAUAUCAACCCACCGCGCAAUUUUCUACCAUCUAGAAGACUCCAGAAGCCACGGGAAGGAAGCGGAGCCCGAAAGGGGCCAGGCCCAGGGCGCCCGCCCCCCUCUGGACUCCGUUCCGGACUCUCUUCGCACACGACGUUCCACCGACCUAUUGGAUCCAGAAUAACAUAGUACCACCUCGCCUAUCGACCCAAAAACGCAUAGAAGGGGAGGACUAUAUAAGGAGACCCCCUCUGGCCCCUGGAGGAGACAAGAAAUUAUCAUAGAGAUUGAGGGGUGCCCUCGAUGGAAAACCUCUUCUCUAAAUAAUAUUUCUUUUUAGGCUUAGCAACCAAUGUAAAGUAGAAAUAGAUCUUCUAGUUUCUACUAGAUUGAGAGAGAUAGAGUGGAGGUGUGGAUCGGAGGAAGGCCGGCCUGUCGGUGUCUACUCUGAGUUGUACCUGCGGGAUCAAGUCUCCUAACCCGAGGCUUGCUUCUAAGAUUCUUCAGUAAUUCGACUUCUAAUACUAGUAAGUUCUUGUUUUAUUGUUCUUUGGUUUAUGAGUUUACUUUAAUCCUCUUCCGGUUGAGUAUUAGAGUAAUCACUUGUUAGCGUAAACGUGGUGUUUAGGCUAGGGUACUCAUAGAUAUCCCCUGACUAGCUGGACCGUGGUAGUAGCGAGGAACGUGACAUUUCCGAGAUACCUUUGCAGAUCACAUCUCAUUAGCAGGACGGGUAGGUUUAUAGGUGCGGGUCGAACAUCCUUUGUGCUGUCUAGAUUCUGUGAGCCUCCCCAAUAGAACAGUAGAUCAUCCUUACCAAGGUUAGAACGAGACUACAGUUGCAGUCUUCUCUAUACAUCACUCACAUCGAGAGACAUUCUUUGUAGUCUAAAGGGAUAGUAGCAAUAGAUUUGGUUAGUCCGAUGCACCCUUUCUCCCAGUGGUAAAAAUAUAAAUACGAUAACUCUGGAUAACCUCCCGGGUGAAAUGCUCACCGAUAUCCGUCCGCUUGCGGAUCAUUUCCUUAUUGCGUUACCAAAUAUCAACAAGCAUUUCUGGCGCCGUUGCCGGGGAGAAAGACGGUUUGCUGAGAUAACUUUGAAUCUUGCUAUUAUCUUGUAUUAUACUUUUAUACUUUUAUCUAUUUAUUUUUAUCUUUAUCGAUAACUCAAAUUCCAUACCUAUUAUUGAAUUCUUUGCACCUUCGGAGACCAGCCAUAGACCAUGAGAGUCAACACGUCCUGCCCCUAAUUAUGAUAUGUGUCCGGAGUUGAUUGCAAUAUGUCAAAACCAACCCUUUUCUAUAGCCGAGGUCCUCUCUUUUAAUCAAGAAGAUAAUGCACUUUUAGCUACACCUAGGGAAUCUGUUAAUCUUCUAUAAAUUCUGGUUUAGACCUAGCACUACAAGACCAUGUUUUUCCUAAAUAUUUUCACAUUGGUCUUAAUCAUAUAACCUUUGGUAGAGUCCUUCUUUCUUUAUCUAUUAGUAAAGGAAGGUAUGUCUUCAUUCGUGGACAUCCUUCUUGUACUAGUCUUCAUAGAAAAAUCUUAGAGAUAGAGAAGGAAUCAUCUCCCAUACAAGAAGAGGAAGUUUCAAUAACCGAUUUCCAAACAUUUCAAUCCCAUAAUUCAGCUAUCCAACCCAUCCUAGAGUUUAAUAAAUUCUACUAUGCUCUUUCUCUUGAACCUCCCGAUAAUCCUAUGAAUCUCUCUAGACAUCCCAUGCAUAAGAAGGAGGAUCGAGAAGAGCAACAUCGAUGGCUAGAGGGCAUUAAAAAUCCAUGUGCUAUCACCAUUGAAUGGAUAGAUAAAACAAACUUGAGAGACAAUCCUAGAGGAAUUUUAAGCAUUCAUGAAGAAUCAUCCUUGGAGUUUGAGAAUGAGAGAAACAACAGUGAGCGUGGAAGUUAUUUCAUAAAUACCUCACCAAGUCCAUGCUCAUAUGCAACAUCUCCCCAAUCAAUUAGUCUCUCCAACAUUACCACAUUUGAGAUCUCCAACCCUCUCUUCUUUUCUAUUUAUAAAAACUUUAAAAGAGCGGUUGUCGAUGCAUAUGUCUAUAAUAAAUAUUGCAGAUCUCGCUGAGUUAAUUGAUGGUUUCCCAAGGACAAGCUUAGUGUCCUAAAACAAGCACUUCUAAUUAUUUGCAACAUUGCCUUGUGUAUUGAGCAUAUAAAGAUAAUUGUAGAAAUAUUCCUUCGGGUAUUCUUGUCACUAACCUUUCUAGGAUUGGAGCAAGAAGAUCGGAUGAAUGACAAGCACAAGGUAUGUCCAACCAACCAUCACACAACAUUGAAUUAAAUUCAUCCAAACUUGAAUUUUGCAAAAUUCAAGCUUGGGGGAGUACUAUACAUAAAAAUAUCCUUUGCCAUGUUGCUACGUUGGUUGUCCCUACCUUUGAGAGAUGCUCAGUUUGUUAAGUACUAAUUACACUACUUCACCUCCACUUGAGUAGAUCGCUAUAAAUGCUCUCAUGCUACCUUUAUUUGCUUUAGUAUAUGUCUAGGUUUGGAGUAGUUUCAUUUAUCUCUUAAAUCAAGCAUGGUGCUUAGUUUAGGAAUGAUGAUCUUACUUCCAAAGGAUUUUUAAAUUAAGCAUGGUGCUUAGGUUAAAAUGCCCUCCUAAAUCAAAUUAGACAUGGUGUCUAGGUUGAUUUUUGAGCCGAUAGUAUGCUAUAGUAGAUAUGGGAUAUUCUGUUGGACUGACCCCUGUAGGAAAACAUUCAAUAUCAACCUGGGAAGUCCUGAGAUACAAACUCAUUGAAGAUAAAGGAGACACAUGAAGUUUAACAAUUUGCACAAGAAGGACAUAGCUCAUUCAUCAUAAAGAGAUGAUCCAUGGAGGGUGCCACAAACACGAUGCACAACCGCUAAGAAAGGAAAGCUUCCACAAGGUGAUACUGUACCGUCACUCUUCAAGUAAGGUAACAUUUUAAGGUACUUGACUAUCACUUUUAUAAGCUUCUCCUUGGUUCUAGCGUUCACAUAAAAUAAAGAGACAAACAUGUAUGAUUGGUAGCUCCAAAUUAAUCAACCCAAUUAAUUCAACAUGUUUAGUCCUUUAAUCUUUGUUCUUAGUACUACCUUCGUGAUCCCACACUCCUAAUCAUAUAAGCUAAAGUAUUGCACAUUCAAUCUUUGGAAGAUAUAAACAAAACAUAAAUAUAGAUAGAUUAUCUUUCCACUAGGUUGAGCCAUCUGAUCUAACAAAUGUUUUAAAUGCUACACUCAUGAUCCAUCAACUUUGUCUUGCUCACUAUGCUUAAGGUUAGAGAAGAACAAAUACACUUUUGGUUCUGUUGGUGUUUUCCACCAACAGGGCCCAUGCACUUGAUCUCUGCCUUGUCUCCAUGAAUAGGUACACUUCAAAUAAAACAUGGAGGAGUUUUACAACUCCCAGAUUCCACCAUGAAGAACCAGGAUCUACGAGCACAAACAUAAUGGAGAUCAGACACUUAGUUUCCCAAAGGAAAUAUUGAAGAACCUCUAUGUCCGAGUUGGUACCAUGUAUGCUCCAGCAAACUUCGUGGUGAUAGAGACUGGUACUAAGGAGAGGGCACCCAUUAUCUUAGGAAGGCCAUUCCUAAACACUAGAGCUGUCAUCUACGCUAAUGCUGCCAAGAUCAGUCUCUACAUCAAGGGGAAGAAGGAGACGUUCCUUCAAGAACAAGACUACACAAACUUCAGAGCAAUCCCAACAUGAACCAAGGAAGAGGACCAACAGGAGGAACAGGAACAAGCAAAUGUGGACCGAGUCAGCUAAGAUGGUGACUGCAGCUCAAGGAGGUCAAGAUCGUCGACUCAAGUCACCUUUCUUGAUCAAGAAGGACGACCCUGGUGUUCCAAGAAUCGAAUGCACAAACAAUGGAUACUCUUUUUAGAAGACACUCUACGACACCGGAUCUAACGACAACAUAAUGGCCGCAGUCACUUACCAGCUCCUGCAUGGAACCAUGCUCCUACAACCAAGAUACAUUCAGCUUCAGACAAUUUUCAGGUCAUGGGAGAAGAUGAGUAUGAUCCAUCCACCAUCCUUGGAAGACCGUUCCUCAGCACUAUCAAAGCCAUUAUCUAUAUUGGAACCGGAGAAGUCUACAUGCACUUCCCCUCUGCGAAAGGUACGCCACUACUUUAAUGAUUAUAUAGUUGAAGAUUCUAAGCAGGUCAGGACAAGAAGAAGACAAACCGCAACCAGAGGAGGCAAAUCGGACGGAUGGGUAGACUACGAAGGAGAAGUGAUAAGGACUGAAUACAUACAACUUGAACAGAACUGUCCUGAGGAGACCGUAGCACCGAGUCAGGUGUGGAAAGAGAAGAUAGUUAUACACGAAGAGGAGUCGCCACCGGAACCACCGACUACGCCACCCAGCAAAUCCCAGGACGACUAAGAAAACGGAGAGUCCCGUUCGGAGGACUUAAAAAUACCGAACGCCUUGCCAAGAGGUAAACUUGGUAGUUAUCCUUUCCCUUUUAAUUAUUUCAAAUAGUUUACUUAGUUAAUCAUGUUCGUAUUAUCCUAGAAAGAAAAUAAAAAUGUGAAAAAAAACUGUAAGCCCCAUGUGAGUAGACGAGUGGCAUAAAACCCAUAAGUACAUUCACUGUGGUGGCAUAAAAAUAAAAUAAAUAUUUUUCUGCUUUAUAAAAACAAAAAUAUAAAAACAGGGAGUAAUAUUUAUUAAGGAGUCUCAACAUGAUAAAGGCUAGAUAUUUAUGCUAACGCUUAAUCAGUUCCACAAGCUUUGUUGUCUAUUUGAGCUCCACAGAAUUUAAGAAUCAAGAAGACUACCAGACGGAGGACAUUCUAAUCGCUGUCAAAAUACUGCUGACUUUCAAACACACCUCUGCCACCUGCUAGCUACAUCAAGAGAAAUUACGUCAAAAUUCAGCUUGGGGGAGAGCACCCCCAUUUAUCUCGAUAAGUAUUUCUAUCUAUCUUUAUACUUAUACUAUAUUAGAAUAUAAAUACACAUAACUAUAAAAAACCAAAUAAAGAUUUUAUGCUUAUAUAUAUUUUAUGCUAAUCUGUAUCUAAUAAAACUUAAGCAUGGAUAUGAUGAAUAGUUGCUCUGCCUAAUUUGCAAAUUUGAAGUUCUCUCUCAAGUUUAGAUAUAACUGUUAUAAUUUAAGGCUUGCUCUAGACCUAAACUUGUGGGAUGAAAACUUGAUCUGAAGUCUAAGUUGUUAACGGAUACGAUAUGGGAAGGUUGAGCUGCUGUUUAUCUGUUCCUAGAGAUGCUAGAAUUCUGGAGAAUUUUAUCUUUAAAAAUCUUUAAAAUGUUGCAUGAUGAGUUCCUGUAUGAUGAGAGUUUAAAUUCCUACCACAGCCAUAUAUACAUGCUUGCUAGACCUUGAGCCACACAUUUACUAUUUACUGCUUAUGAGCAUUGAGUGUGGUCAAGCUGUGUAGACCCUUAGGAGCUUGUCAUGUGGUUAAAUCAAGAUUCACUUGCACGAUUACUCAUACAUGCUACUUCUACUCCGGAAGUAGCAUCCACAUAUAUCCACUCAUUUCUAUCUCCAGUUUUACCCAAAAUUAUUCUACUCCUAAUCCGGGAGAGAAUAGCCAAAAACAUUUUCCUAUCCCUGUUAUUCCCUAUGAAAUAAAUGCUCCAGUUAUUUUGGUUACUACCACUUGCUACAUUAUUUCAGGAGAUGAGUGCUCUAGUAAAAAAAAGAGAAAAAAAAGAAGAAAAAAAAAGAGAAAAAAAAAUAAUAUACGAGGAAAUAAAAAGGAGCAAGUGCUCGGAACCUCGAAAGAAAAAGAAAAAGAAGAGCAUCUCAUUCUCCUCAUAAAGUUUCAAAAGCAAGGAAGGUAUGUAUCCCCUCAAAGAGCAAAGUAGAAUUAGACUUCCACCACCAUUGUUAUCACCAUCAUCACCAUACACCAUUCAUUCGCCACACAUGCACAUCUUGAUUUGGCUUAUUGAUUUGUUUCUUUGGAUCCAUGGUUUGACUAUGUAAUAAAUGUCUUGUAAGUAUGUAUACUUUAUCUCCCACCUAUGAGCUCCAGAUAUUAAAGCCUUAUUAGAGUAGGGUGAGAGAGAAGACAAUGUCACUAUGCUUCAUACCACAAAUACUACAUAUUUUGAGAGAAGGCAUAUACCAUCACUGCCUUGGUAAGGAUCCAAAAAUACCACAAAAGAGAGACCUGAGAGAAUCAUACAAGGAAUUUCUGAGUUUUAUUUGAAAAUCUACAAAAACCCCAGAGCUAUAGCUGAUCAAGAAUAAGAGACAUGGCACUUGGCUAGACUGUUCUAUCUUUUAACCACUCAAGACAGAAGUGACAGUUACAAGUCCCAUGGUAAAGGUAAAGUAAGUAAGUUUUAAGUCUUGACAGUUUACUCUAACUCAGAGAUGUGAUCUUAUUUAAAAAGCAUGUGUACAUCAAUUUUUAAAAAUAUUGCAACAAUUUAUGAUCCAUAGCUGAGUCUAUCCUUGCUCAGGGACGAGCAAGAGGUAAGCUUGGGGGAGUUUGUUGACGGUCCUUAAGUAUCAAAUUUACUUAUCAAAUAAAAAAAGAAAAGGAUCCAAAUGAAAUCAACAUCUAGACUUAGGGUUUUAUGUGACAGAAUUCCACAAGUUUUGGUGUUUGUCUAUUUCUGCAGGGGGUUAUCAGGAAAUAAGGAAGAAAGGCCCACAUGUCGGGAUUACAUAGAGAUAUCAACCCACCGCGCAAUUUUCUACCAUCUAGAAGACUCCAGAAGCCACGGGAAGGAAGCGGAGCCCGAAAGGGGCCAGGCCCAGGGCGCCCGCCCUGAGGACCUAGGCGCCCGGCCCCCUCUGGACUCCGUUCCGGACACUCUUCGCACACGACGUUCCACCGACCUAUUGGAUCCAGAAUAACAUAGUACCACCUCGCCUAUCGACCCAAAAACGCAUAGAAGGGGAGGACUAUAUAAGGAGACCCCCUCUGGCCCCUGGAGGAGACAAGAAAUUAUCAUAGAGAUUGAGGGGUGCCCUCGAAGGAAAACCUCUUCUCUAAAUAAUAUUUCUUUUUAGGCUUAGCAACCAAUGUAAAGUAGAAAUAGAUCUUCUAGUUUCUACUAGAUUGAGAGAGAUAGAGUGGAGGUGUGGAUCGGAGGAAGGCCGGCCUGUCGGUGUCUACUCCGAGUUGUACCUGCGGGAUCAAGUCUCCUAACUCGAGGCUUGCUUCUAAGAUUCUUCAGUAAUUCGACUUCUAAUACUAGUAAGUUCUUGUUUUAUUGUUCUUUGGUUUAUGAGUUUACUUUAAUCCUCUUCCGGUUGAGUAUUAGAGUAAUCACUUGUUAGCGUAAACGUGGUGUUUAUGCUAGGGUACUCAUAGAUAUCCCCUAACUAGCUGGACCAUGGUAGUAGCGAGGAACGUGACAUUUCCGAGUUACCUUUGCAGAUCACAUCUUGUUAGCAGGACGGGUAGGUUUAUAGGUGCGGGUCGAACAUCCUUUGUGUUGUCUAGAUUCCGUGAGCCUCCCCAAUAGAACAGUAGAUCAUCCUUACCAAGGUUAGAAUGAGACUACAGUUGCAGUCUUCUCUAUACAUCACUCACAUCGAGAGACAUUCUUUGUAGUCUAAAGGGAUAGUAGCAAUAGAUUUGGUUAGUCAGAUGCACCCUUUCUCCCAGUGGUAAAAAUAUAAAUACGAUAACUCUGGAUAACCUCCCGGGUGAAAUGCUCACCAAUAUCCGUGCGCUUGUGGAUCAUUUCCUUAUUGCGUUACCAAAUAUCAACAGACACUACCCUCUUCACCAAGAAGCUAGACAAUGACUUGUUUGUGUUGCAAAUCUAUGUUGAUGAUAUCAUCUUUGGAUCAACCAAUCAAGGCUUUUGUGAAGAGUUGGAAAAAUGAUGGCAAAUGAGUUUGAGAUGUCCAUGAUUGGAGAGCUUAGUUACUUCCUUGGUCUUCAAAUCAAGCAAAUGAAGGAUGACACUUUUAUAAGUCAAGGCAAGUACAUCAAGGACAUGAUCAAGAAGUUUGGGUUGCAAGAAGCUAAACCAAUGAGCACACCUAUGGGCACAAAUGAUCAAUUACGUAGUGAUGCAAGUGGCAACAUGGUAGAUCAAAAGCUAUAUCGGUCCAUGAUUGGAAGUUUGCUCUAUGUCACCGCAUCGAGGCCGGAUGUGAUGUUUAGUGUAUGCAAAUAUGCAAGAUACCAAGCUUCACCUAGAGAAAGUCACUUGAAGGCAACCAAAAGAAUAUUGAGGUAUCUUAAGGGCACUCAUGAUGUUGGAUUAUGGUAUCCCAAGGGGUCUAACUUUGAAUUGAUUGGAUAUUCGGACUCCGACUAUGGUGGAUGCAAGAUUGAUAGAAUGAGCACAAGUGGCACUUGUCAAUUGCUAGGAAGAUCUCUAGUUUCAUGGUCAUCAAAGAAACAAAAUAGUGUUGCACUAUCAACCGCCAAGGCCGAAUACAUUAGUGCCGGUAGUUGUUGUGCACAAUUGCUUUGGAUGAAAGCUACCUUGAAUGACUUUGGAAUCAAAUUCAAGAAUGUGCCUUUGCUAUGUGACAAUGAGAGUGCAAUCAAGAUGACACAAAAUCCGGUUCAACAUUCAAGAACCAAGCACAUUGACAUAUGGCACCAUUUCAUAAGAGACCAUCAACAAAAGGGUGACAUUAGCAUUGAAAGCAUUGGCACCGAAGAUCAACUAGCCGACAUCUUCACAAAGCCAUUUGAUGAGAAGAGAUUUUGCAAGUUGAGGAAUGAAUUGAACAUACUUGACUUCUCCAUCUUGAGAUGAGUGCACCCUCACAUUUAUAUAUGACAUGCCUCUCCUCCAACAAAGCAAGGUAAAGUUGGUUGACAUAGCAUUCGUACUUUGCUAAGGACAUGAUUAGAACAUAUAGACAUGUUUGCAUGACAAAUAGGCUAAUUCAUAAAAAUCUAAAGAUUUUGAUGUGUGUAUGGUACCACUAUUGUUUCUAUGAUUGAUUGAUCUAGUGGUAGCAUAUGACAUGUUUGUGAGCUUGCAAGCCUAGUGUUGAAUCUAGAAUAUGAGCUUAUGAUGUGUGAUUCAACAUGGUCAAGAUAACCCUUAUACUUCAUGAGGAGUGAAAAAGCUUAUCCUUGGAUCAAACCGAAUUACAUGUUUUAAGCAAGUGAACUAGAUAUUGAGCCAUAAUUUGACCCUCACAUUGAUUGACUUAAUUCUCACUAAAAUUUGAACCUUUGUGGUCAUUGAUGACAAAGGGGGAGAGAAAGUCAUUAAGGGGGAGAAAGGUGCUUAAGGGGGAGACAAAUCUUUUGAAAAUUGAAAUGGAUAAAUCAAAACUUGAGCACACAAAUAGGGGGAGCAAGCUCAUGAACCAUUUGUUGCAUUUGUAUGUGCACUAACAUAAUGAGGUGUUGCAUUGCAAGUUUAAAUUCACUACUCUUGUUUGAUUGGUGUUUGCUAGAAAUAGAACUUGAAUGAUGUUUUGAAUUCUAGCAUAAAGCUUUAUAUUCUUGUGGUAUCUAGACAUAUAAUGUGAUCUCACGAGGUAUCUUGAGUUUUUGAUGUAUGUCUAGCUACUUUGGUGCUAAGGAUGGUAUAUUGGCAACUCCGAUUGGUAUCACGCUUCCAAGGUCCAUUCUAUAUACCUUAGCAUCAUUUUGGAAGUAAUAAAUCUCCCAAAAUUCCAAUUCAUGCAUAUGUGCAAACUUGAAACAAACUCAUGGAAGCACAUAUGUAGGGGGAGCUAAUACUACCAAAACUAAAAUUCAAAUGUUUGUCCAACCUUGUCUCUUGAUUAAAAUGCUUUGGACAAGCAAUUCAAGUUCAUUAUGAUUUCAUUUCAUAUCUUUGUGAUGGUUGUCAUCAAUUACCAAAAAGGGGGAGAUUGAAAGCCCAAGUUUGGUUUUCGUAAUUAAUGACACCAAGUUGCUAAUGCUUUGUGUUUAAGUGAUUUGAGUUAGGCAUAGCAACACAUGUGAUGAAGGUGCAUGGUGGCAUGGAAAGGCGGCCACAUAAUCACAAAGGGAUGAAGCAUGAAGUGAAGAUCAUGGUGAUAGACGAGGAGCAAAGUUAUCAAGGCAAAGGUAUAAACAUAGGGUUUUACUUUUGCCGGUCUAAGAUGAGUAGAGAAGUGAUUAACCGGGUUUAGGAUAAAUAGCCAACUACCAAGAGGGAAAAUCACGGUCAUCUCUCGAAUCAAGUGCUACUAGGUCCAUAUCUUGAGCAUAUGCAUUAGGAUCUAGUAAGGUGCUAACUUAACUCCUUUAGAAAAUGUUUGUGAAAAGAUAACACACAUGCACUUUGGUGGUGGACACUUGAUGGUGUUAGCACAUUUUCAAAGGAGGUGGAAUUCCUUGGGUUGCGAUUCGGCGCUUUUGAGAAAAAUAAGUGUAUAUUUUCUAUUGCGCCGGUGGGAAAUUUGGAGAACUCACGGGAGUGUUUUCUCACUAAGAAACACUCACCGGACGCUGAGUGCGGAGGCACCGGACGAUGGCCUCAGAGUCCGGUUGCUUGACCCUGCUAGGGUUGAGCACCGGACGCACUCUAAGAGCGUCCGGUGAGAGGGCGUUUUGCGACCCUCUCUGCGCAUGGGUCCGGUGAGCACCGGACGCUACCGGUGCUUAGCGUCAGGUGACCCUGCGGUUUGCGGAACUCUCUGCGUAUGAGUCCGGUGUGCACCGGACGCGUCCGGUGUGAACCUGCAGAGCGUCCGGUGAUCCGCAGGUGACCGUUAGGAUCUGACAUGCGAGAUUCAAGACGGACACGUGGCCAACUCCAGUGCACCGGACGCAGGGAGUCGAGCGUCCAGUGUUCACUUAGUAGCGUCCGGUGCCCCUGAUUUCAGCCCAGUGAAAACAGCCAACGGCUAGUUUCUUUGAGGGGCUUAUAAAUUGAGGGUGGCUGGCUUUGGGAGGUUCUCUCUUGCACAUUUGAAUACUUGAGGCAUACAUUGAGCUAGAGAACACUCCCUCCACUCAUCUCCUUGCUUGCUUGCUCAUCCUAGUGAGAUUGAGUGAGAUUCAAGUGCAUUGCUUUGAGAGUUGCAUUUAGUGGCACUUGAUUCUUGAGUUUGCUGCAGAUUUCUUGUUACUCUUGGGUGUUUCCCGAUGCCCUAGAUGGCUUGGAGCAGCGGUGGUGUUGAGCUCGUGAUUGGAGAUUGUUUCGAGCCUCACCAAGUGAUUUGUGAGGGGUUCUUGAGCCUUCCCCGCGGGAGAUCGUAAUUGGCUACUCUAGUGGAUUUCUCGUGCUUGGAGGAUCCCCAUCUUGUGAGUGGAUGUGCGGCACCCGCUGAGGGUUUGGCUUUGGUUGCCAAUGAGCUCGUGAUCCAUCAAGUGGGUGUAUAGCCACAACGAGGAGUAGCUUGCCGGGAAGCAAGUGAACGUCGGUAAAAAAUCUUGUGUCAUCUCUUGCCGAGGUCUCUCUUGUGAUUGUGUAUGUGAUUGAUUGGAUAUAUCUCUUCUCUACAACGUCGGUAUAACCAUCACUCUCAUCUCUUUACAUAUUUGCCUACCUUGUUAGCUUAGCUUGUGUAGCUUAGUUCUUGUUAGUAUAGAGUUGUUGUGUAGCCUUCUCUAGUUGUUGUGUUUUAGUGUUUAGCCUUCUUGCUAGAUUUGUAUAGGUGGCUUGCAUAGCUUAGUUGUGCUAGUGCUAGAAUAGCUUCGCCACUUAUCUUACUAACUCACUUGUUUAGUAAAGUUUGUAGAAUUUUAAAUAGGCUAUUCACCCCCCUCUAGCCAUUUGGACCUUUCAACCUCCAUACCAUCGUCAUCAGCCACAAUCACCUAAGGUUCCACCUCUGGAUACACGGGUACAGGGCGAGGAAUAGGGUGUAGCAAGUUGUUGAGAUGGUGAAUCUCCACAAGACCAGCCUCAAUCUAAUCCUGCAGAUAGUUCUCCCGCUCAAGCGACUGAAUCCGGUGCAUCUCCCAAGCCGGGCGCCUGUUCUCCGACACACGGAGUGCAGUAUCCCUCUCACGAGUGACCUGCACCAAGCGCUCCUGCACUGUCUCCCUCUCUCUAGCCAACUGACUCAUCUGAUCCUGCUUAUGAUCUCUCUCCCUAAUGGCCUUCACCCACAGCUACCUACGGUUCUCCGCAAUGUCUUCCCAGUCAUUGUGGUCCUUCUGAGCUUGCUCCAGGAGUCUAGCUUGCUUGCGAAACUUGCGAGCAGGCUUUUUAGCCUUCUGUUGCAUCUCCUGAGCCUGGCGAACAGCCACCAUCACCUGUGCAUAAGUGUCCUCUCGCUGACUGAACAGCUUGAGCACAGCCAUCAUAGCACUCAUAGCAGAACUAGAACUCUCAGCUCGCUCUCCCCUGCCUCGGACCAAUGCACAACCAUCAGCUUGCUUCCACUCCGCUGCUGCUGGGUCAGCACGGGGAAUGGAGACCACUGGUCCUCCUGUCAGCUCAUCUCCAAACAUCUGACAGAUGUUGAGCAGCAUCGCAUGGGCUGCAACCUGAGCUGCCUCCCAUGGGGUCUGCCCAUCUGAGUUACAGGUCCACCCUGUCCAUGCAGGCCUGCCCCCAUGUGGAGGGACAACUCCCUACACAGCAAAUCACUGCAACUCUCCUGUCAUAUCCACCUCCCACCAAGAAUACUGAGGUGGCUCAGUACACCCCACAGACUGUAGCACCCUCCAGAGUAAGGUAGGAGUGCCAAACUCGCUCAGAAAGGUGUCACUGGGUGAGGUGAAGCGGGCACGUCCAUCUGUGGAAAGGAAUAGGAAUACCAUGGGUAAGAGAAGAUUAAUCUAAGCAACAUUUAUUUAAUUAAAAGGGACGACAUGGUAAGGGAAGGAGAAGACAGAAUGUAUGUAUGAAUGCGACAUGAUGCAUGCACGAACCGUACGUCCUCACAAACUUAGAAAAUUAAUAUUCUAACAGAUAUACGGUGGCAUACAUUCGUCUCUCGAUACAAUAUCUCGCGAAUUACCCGUGCGCUGUUAGUGUACCUGCAGAAACUUCAUUGCAGCCCAACAGUUCCUAAUAUAUCACUCAAGAAAGCAGUAAACUAAGUGCACAAUGCUUAUACAUGCCCAACAUGCACAAACAAUGACACCACAGCUAUCCAAGAAAUUAAAUGCUCCCCAAUUAAGUUUCUUUCGUGGUUCCAUGGUUUUGACAUGUAACCACUCCAGAAAACCACCGCGAACACUCCCCUAGACCGCCGUUUGGACGAUCAUGCUCUCACAGCUCACACUUACCAGAGCGUAGGUGCGACGUUGCAUAAUUUAAAUCUAGCGACAUAUGUGGCUAGUUCACAUAUGAAGGCUACCUCUACCAUUAGACCACAGGGUAGCAUAGUGCGGUCAUCACACAUCCAUACCUGAGUACUGCCGGAGAUGCAUAAUAAAACCCCCCCAAGUCAGUACUUAAAUAGCCACCUAUAGUCCUUAUAUGGGCAAGGAGGAUUCGACCACUAGCAUAUCUUGAGUAUUGAUUUACACCAUUUUAUUUAAAAACUCUUUUGUUUUUAAAUACACAAAUGCUGCGUUUAUAAUGCUGAACUUGCUCCGAUGCCAGCUGUCACAGAACUGACCAAAUUAUAAGAGUUCAAGUGCAGAAACGAUCGACAAGCAAUCGAGUUUCCAAACUUGAGCCCAUAUAAUCUCGGUAGUCAACUAAAAUCACGAAGGACUUUAAACCAACUUGCAACAAACCAAGGUCGUAAUAGUUCAACACAACACAGCGAAUGUUACAUAGUCAUUCAUUGCCGGCGAAGUGGCACCACAUCGGAGUUACUGAGUUAUUACAACACAUGUUUGAAGUAGCGGAAGCAAAAUAAUUACACACACUUUCCAAAGUUCAUUUCACAAGUUCUUGUUCAGCCAGGGUCUCAUGCCACCCAUCCAAAAGCAACAGGUACGAAGUAGUUAGAGAACCGUGCCCAACGGUUAGUCCUCAUCCCCAGUGGGAUGGAGACAGGUCUUGCAUAAGCCAUCAUAAAAGAUAUCAUAUGCAAUAGGUGGGAAAUAAUCCCUGAUUACGAGAAUGUACUCAGCUAGACUUACCUGUCUAGUAAAACAUAAAAGACACCAAGGAUCAUGCAAGGCUAAAAUCAAGUGGAGCUGGUUGACUCAACAGUUGCCAAAAGCUUAAAUUAUAGCUACAAUGUUGUGAGAGCAUCAUAUUAAUCAUCAUCAGCCUACCACUAGAUUAGCACCUGUACUAAAGCACUUCACUUGAUUAUUACAAGCAAUAAUAACCAUAUCAAAUUCAUCAUAUGUUCUUCCUUGCUAUCAUCAUUACCAUGAACAAAAGUUUUUUAGUGAAUGCUACAUUUGCCGCUGCUCUGUCAAGUUCUCACUAUCCGGGAGAGACGGCGAUUCGAAUCGAUUCCUAUCCAGCUGGAGGGUUAUUUCUAGCACUCACCCAAGCAUCCCCCGUCGGAGAGCCAGCGGGUCACCUUUGAUACGACUCAGGAAUCGUGGCUCCGAUCAGCGCCGCACUCCCAGGGCUACCACUCUGCCAGGUAGGUCAGGAAUUUUAACUCACCUACCUUUGGUCUUACGCCAAUGGUCCCCCGCACACCGCACUUCCUCCGGUAGUGCGCACUUUGUACUUGCCGGUCUUCCAGCCUGAGUCAUACUACUAGGCUUCGCGGUCAGAACGAGUUAUCUGGCCAACUAAGUGUUAGGCAUGCGUUCAACAUGACAAGAGGAUGUACAACGGUCGGUCCUUAGCUGCCACAGACGGAGUUACUACAACUUUGCAAAACUCCGCCUGGCUUAAGUCAAUUUAAUCUAAUCAGGUUCCAUCCACGAUAGCACAUAUAGUCCAUCGUGAUCCGACAUAACGCUAUAUCGCGCAGGUGACAGGAUAUCACCCGACUUCUACCGGUUAAAGCAUGGCUAAGCUGCUACUCGAUCCUAACUCUAUAACCAGGUACUGGUAAGGUAUUUCGACAAGGAUUGAGUAAAAUGCAGCAAAGGUUUCAUCACAACUCCUAUACUUAAAUGCAUCAAUAGAUAUAACAUAUUCAAGUAAACUUUCGAAAAUAAAGGGAGACUUAGGAUGCUUCAGGGCUUGCCUUUCACGAACGAGGCUGGCUCGUGAUUCGGGCACUCAACUUCCUCUUUGGGCUCCUCGAGUCCGACUUGCUGGACCUCCACCUCUGGGUUACCCUCCUGGCCUUCGGGGUUCACUUGAAGCUCGAAAGAGGCGGUCGUGUCCGGUGCACCUAUUGCAUGCUCGAUGAAUAAGAAAGUGUGCAUACUAAAGGAUGAAUGCUUGAUAGCAUAAUUAAACUCACUGGACACUCAUUUACUGAGUAAACUUCUAAGUUAACUCAAAAAGGAAAACCAAUUGACUUAGCAAACUUGGCAAGUCAAACUAUAAACAGCAAGCAACACAUAACAGAACAGCUCAGGAAACAGAUCAUAACUAUUGCUCAGGAAAGCCUAUGAAAUUGUCUAUAAAUCAUCUUUAAACAUCACAGAAAGAUUCAUAAAUUAAACAAGUCAUUCAAACAAAGUUCUAGGUUCUGUCCCGGAAACAGAGAAUAACUAUUUCUGAAACCCAACUUGGAACAGCUAUAACUUUCAAACUAUUGAACCAAAGGAUCCCAAAAUUAAACCACAGCUAGUUCAUAAAGUUUACAAUAACUUUGCUUUAGAGAAGUCUCCCAGAAAACAAAGUUAUCUACAAGUAAAGUUUGUAUUACUCUCUUGCUGUCCAGACAGCUCUUAACCCUCUAAUUAAUUAUUUGAUGACAUAGCCAAAAUAUAAUCAGUAUCAACCACAUGGCUUAUAAGCACAAACAUACUAUAGGAUUACCAGAACAACAUAUGUUAACUCCAAAACACUUAAUAAUAAGACAUUUAUUAAUUUAAUUCUAUAAAGGAGCAUAAUUACAAGAUACUAGCAAAAGUGCUCAGAAAAAUCUACAAAAAUUACAGAAGCACAAGCAUAGCAUCUUGAGAUCACCAUAAAAUUUUUAGGACAAUUGCACAUGCCAAAUUUAAGAUAAGCACUUAACAUGUGACAAGGUACUUAUUUCACAAAUUAAGAAACAUGGCUUAUAUAGUGUCAAACAACAGAUUUCAGAUUAUUUACAUGCUAGUAAUACCAUAAGCAAUUUUGACACCAGAGUUGAGCACCAGCAUAAGCACCAAUUAUUUACUAUGAUUUAAUUAAGACAACAAGCUAUAGAACCAACAUAAAUUUCAUAUCACAGAUAUAGUACUCCAAAAAUCAUGAAACGUUUAUCAUGGCAUUCUAGCAUCACUCAGAGACUACCAUAAAAAGUUUAUACCAAAAGGAGCAGCCUACCAACAGAUAUGAAUUUUUACUUAAAUAACCAAGAUUAAAUCCUAAUAAUUAUUUUCCCAGCCAACAUGGUCCAUUUUACAUUUUUUAUUAAAAACUAGCCAUCUCAAGGAAUCCCACAAAAUUGGUUUCACAAUUUUUGGAUCUCAGGAACAAGAGAUAUGAUUUUUGCAAAAACAGCUCAAACCCUAAAUCAAACAAGGAGAAAGAGAGAGACUGACAGAGGGACCCCACGAGUCACCAAACCCCACAUGUCAGUGACCCGAGAGCAGAGGCGCGACUUGACUGCCAGAGAUCUCAUCGAAGGCGAGGUCUCCGCGAUGGCCAAGGGCGCCAUCGAGCUCCCCACUCCAUUCCGCAUCGAAUGGUACCCGAAACCCUAACUCUACUGGACCCUAGGUACCUUGCCCUCGCGAAUGGCGGCACGGCGGUGGUGCGCGGCCGACCGCCAGCAUCUCUGGAAGGAGACAGAGCGAAAGAGAACACAGACGAGCAUCAGCAUGACCUAGCGGAGCUUUUGGGACAAGAAUGAGGAGGAAUGGUGGACUACAGAGCCCUGGCCACGACGCCGGUGACCAUGGCGGAGCUCCGGCGAGGUAAGCUCACGACGGAGUUGAAAAUGCGGGCUUACCGAGGCUCGGCAGCUGCAGCCAACUCAACGACGGUGUUGUGGGGAAGCUAGCGGAGUAAUGGACAGAGUCGCUCGGCCGGAGACACGGAGACACGCACGCGCGAGCUCGGCGAAGCAACGGCGGCGACGCGGAGAAGUUGAUGCACUCGAGAGGGAGAGAGCCGGAAGUGGAAUGGCGCUGUCCACGCGACCGGGGGCGCCGUGGCAAGCUGUAGGACACGCUGGGGACUGACGAGCGGGACUAACGGCGACAUACGGAUGGCACGGGUCCAGACACGUGGCGUCACCGGCGAGCUCCCCUGAAUUGACGGCGACCCCAUUCAGUUUCUGAACCCGACUGAAACUCGAUUUUGCACUGCGAUUAUCUCCUUAUCCACUCGAUGAUUUUGCUGUCUAAAUGCUCUAUGCUGGAGAGCUACAUGAGUACUCCAACAUUGCUUACAAGAUCAAAGUCUGAUUUGGUCUAUAAUUCAAACUGGAAGACGAACAACAUACCCUCGAGCAAACUGCUGCGAUCCCAGACUUAGAAAAUUUUCUAAGUGUUGGAAAUACCCCCAAAACUGCCUUGUGGGUCACUUUUGAGCUAGUUGUGGUCAUUUUCAUGAGAUGGCCAUAAAACAACUUUUGUUCCUAAUAAAAUUUGCUACAACUUUUCUGUAGAAUGUUUUGACAUGCAAACAUUUUAUGAAACACUUUUUAAAAGCCUCACAAAAGAGGUUCCUAGGGCCUAUUUAUGUAAGUAUGACUUAAGUGAUUAUUUUGGAGAAGUGAUCAACAUGAACAUUGUUCCUAAGAUUGAGUUAAGCAUAGAUAAGCUAAUUACCAAAGCAUAGAGCACAAACACAAGCAUGGUAUACACCAACACAAGCCUAGGAAGCGUAUUUAGACAACUUAAAUCACAUUUUGCAUAAAAUGACAUGGCUCAAGGUAGAUGAUGAUCAUGAUAUGCUUGAGUAAAUGAUGAUGCUCAUGUUGUGCAUGUGAUUUAUGCAACCAUAACACUGGGGUGUUACAAGCAUGUCCAUGUCAAUGUGUUGAACAUGGGGCCCUGAAUCCUACAAAGAAGAACAAGACAGGCGGCCACUAUGGCCACCAGACCUGCGUCCCGACUGGGACGUCUGCAUCCCACUAAAACUUCCCUCGUAGUCACUGUCAUCAUCAUCACCUGCAGCUCGUGCUCUUGCACGUGUGGUUUGUCAUGCAUGCCUCAUAUGUCUCUUGCCCAUAUGGAGUAAUGGGUUGCCACUAUAUAUUUUUAGUUCUUCACAGGGCAACAAAAUUGUUUCAUGGGUAUAAUAAACUUUUAAGAACACUGCGAUAUUUGCUCCUCCCUUCAGAUAUUGGCCCUGGAUGUAAAAUCUUUUGUGCAAGACAACUCUAGGAGUAAUUAUGUAUCUAUCAAAGUUAUUGAGCAGGUUUAGGCGUGCACAAAAUUUUGUAAUCACAGAAGUAAAUUCAAUGGCCCACCUCCUUGGUUGGGAUGAUGCCCAUAUCCAAUGUUUAGCCAUUUCUACCACUGGUGAAAUUGGAAUUUUAUGAACGAUGGCAAAAAGGAUCCUAGUGUCAAUUUCCCUGACAAUUCUUAUGCCAUCUCGAGGGAACAAAGUGAGUCCUAUCCACUGGUUCAAGAAAAGCAAGGUAGGAUUGCAUAUUUGACUAGUACGUGGUUGCCAUCCCUCAUAAUUUUCCCCAGUGAUUUCAUACCAAAAUUCUUUCUUGUUCAUGUGCUUAGUGGCAUGGUCAAUUUUAAUGUUGGGAUUAUAAAACCCAUGACAUGUAGAGAAAACAUCCCAUGGAAGGUCAAACUCAUUAUUAAGCACUCUAAAAUAAAUUUUCUCUAUUGUUAUUCUUAGGGUGCUUAAAAAUUACAGGGUGAGAAUUUUACUUCCUUUUGUAUUAGACAAAUCCCAAAAUUCAUCGCACCCCAUUUUCUCAAAACUUCUGUGAAUUCAUCAUCUAAGCGCAUGCUUUUGAGAAAGUCAAGAGAUAUCACCUUGGUGUGAAUAAAUUCACGGUCAUGGAGUUCCUAAAGCUUCUCCAUCUCAGCGGGAGUGAGCCAUAUGCCGGUCUCCUCAUCUUGAAUUCUCUCGGGGAUGGCUUAUUCAUUAACUUGAGGUGGUGGAGAUGAUACUUGCUUCCUUGAUGCUUGACUCCGGGCAUCUUGCAUGGAGGAGUCACUAGAGCUAAAGGAAAUUCGAUGGAGCACCGAUCUCCCCCAACCCCUGACUUUCUUCAUGAUGAUGAACUCUUGGAUAGUAAGGAUAAAAAGAAAAUGUUUUUGGAUUAUUGUUUUGGAGAAAAGGAUGGUUAAGAAAUGGAGAAGAGAAUGGGUUUCUUGCUGGUUGGUUGAGUGCGCAAGAGUGUGAGUGUGUUUGGAUGAAGGUGAAGUGCUGGUGUGUAUUUAUAGAGGUCGAUCGACCUUCACUUCUGGGUAGAUUUGUUGUCUGGCCAUGGCAGCAUUGUUGUAGAAUCCAAUGCAAGCAAGUGGAUGUGCUGGGUACACCAAAGCUCGGUCGUCAAACCGGCCCCUCUCCACAUUUUCAAAGUUUGCAUUCACCAAGAGCAAAGUAAUGAGUGAUGGGUCACAAUGCAUGUGAUGGUGUCCUUCAUCAUGGGUCGACCGAGCCCUCUGUCUUCCCCUUUUGCUUUGUGCCAAAGAUGAGAGUGAGUUGAGGUCACUCCAUGUUGGGUGCAUGCAUAACAUGCUUUGGAUGGUGGUGCAUGGCAUCUCCCUUUCUUGGAUGAAGUGAUGAAAGGAAAGAAAUCAAAAAAAGGACGACAAGACAAGACUAGGAUUGGUGGCAUUUUGUGUCAUGAAUUCUCAUGGGAGAAUCCUCCUCAUCAUUUUGUGAUUUGCUUAGUGCUAAAUAAGCUUGCUUAGCCAAAAUGAAUGGUGGAUUGAGGCAUAAGUGAGGUUAGGGAGAAGGAUUGUCAUGAAAAUUUUUCCUCUAGUCCCUUGGAUUGCUUAUGGCCAAUUUGUUAAUUCUAUUUUCCUAAGCAAGAAGGUGAGGGAGAGCCAAUGAUCCCUAGGAAUUUAAGUCAACAGCCACCUGUCUUGCACUCUUGCAACACUCAUCCUAGAGCCAUAAGAUCACAAAUACCAGGAGCUGGAGGGAGGUGGGCCCAAUGUCAUGGUCGGCCGACCAUGAUUUGGCCUCCCCCAGGCUCUGGUGGCACUCAAACAGAGCAAACAUGCAUUGUGCAGUAAAGCUUCUCUACUUAAAGUCACAAAAGUUAGCAAGCUAGCUUCAUCUAGAUUCUCUAGUAGGCAUGUGAAGCAAUUGAUGUCAUGAAAUUCAGUUUUCACUUUGGCACAGACAUGAACAUGGGAUUGUGUGAUGAUGGAGCAAAAUGGAGCAGGUGGACCCACCAAGGGCAGGUCGGCCGACCUAGCCUUGGGUCCCACCUGGUGUCCAGUUGCUCAGCAUGUUAAGCAGAGUUUGAUUUUAGGUUUUAUUAUGCACAACUAUGGUCGACAGAAAAAAUGUUUUGAAUAAAGAAAAACUAAUAAUUAAUUGCUAAAAAUAAAUGCUGAAUUUUAAAUGUUUGAAAACUCACUGUGGUUUGACUUACCUGGAUGGAAGAGCAGUUGCCUUAGGUCCUUUUAUCAGGACUUCCCUCAGGUGUUGUAGAGACCUUUCUGGGUGGAGGUACUAUUUUUCUCAUCCAAAUUUGAUAGGCUUUUGCCCGUGGUUUUGAUUUAGCCUUCUUUUUGGUGUGCGUCAGGGCAAAAAUUGUAGCCAGCUUUGUAGCCAAGAUCAUGGAGCACUGCUCAACUUUUGGCUUGAAGUUGAAUUUCUCCUAAGCCCCAUUGAUGGUGAGUUGAAUUUCUCCGGAUCUGAAAGGUCCAAAUGGAUAGAGGCGGGGGUGAAUAGCCUAUUUAAAAUUUCUACAAACUUCACUAAGCAAGUGAGUUAGUAAAACAAAUGGCGAAGCAAUUCUAGCACUAGCUCAACUAAGCUAUGCAAGCCACCUAUACAAACUAGUACAAGGCUAAACACUAAAGCACAACAACUAGAGAAGGCUAGUUACACUCCUAAACAAGAAGACUAAACUAAACAAGCUAAACAACUAGCAAGGUACACAAAUAAGUAAAGGAGUGGAGAGUGAUUGUUAUACCAACGUUGUAGAGUAGAGGUAUAUCCAAUCAAUCACUCACAAUCACAAGAAAAUCCUCGGCAAGGGAUGACACAAGAUUUUUACCGAGGUUCACUUGCUUCCCAGCAAGCUACUCCUCGUUGUGGCGAUACACCCACUUGAUGGAUCACGAGCUAAUUGGCAAUCCAAAGCCAAACCCUCAGCGGGUGCCGCACAUCCACUCACAAGAUGGGGAUCCUCCAAGCCACGAGCAAUCCACUAGAGUAACCAAUUUGCGAUCUCCCGCGGGUAAGGCUCAAGAACCCCUCACAAAUCACUUGGUGAGGCUCGAAACAAUCUCCAGUCACGAGCUCAACACCACUGCUGCUCCAAGCCGUCUAGGGUGUCGGAAACACCCAAGAGUAACAAGAAAUCCGCAGCAAACUCAAGAAUCAAGUGCCACUAAAUGCAACUCUCAAAGCAAUGCACUUGAAUCUCACUCAAUCUCACUAGGAUUAGCAAUCAAGCAAGGAGAUGAGUGGAGGGAGUGUUCUCUAGCUCAAAGUAUGUCUCAAGUAAUCAAAAUGUGCAAGGGAGAACCUCCCAAAGCUGGCCACCAACUAUUUAUAAGCCCCCUCAAAGAACUAGCCAUUGGCUGUUUUCACUAGGCUCAAAUCGGGGGCACCAGACGCUACUAAGUGGUCACCGGACGCUCGGCCCCCAGCGUCCGGUGCUCAGGGGUAGGCCACGUGUCCUACUGGAAUCCCGCGUGUCAGAUUCUAACGGUCACCUGCGCACCACCAGACGCUCUGUAUGUUCACACCGGACGCGUCCGGUGUACACCAGACCCAUGCGCUGAGGGGGUUGCAAACUUGCAGGGUCACCGGACGCUAAGCACCGGUAGCGUCCUGUGCUCACCGGACCCAUGCGCAGAGAGGGUCACAAAACACCCGCACACCGGACGCUAACCACCGGACGCUCUCAGAGUGCGUCCGGUGCUCAACCCUAGCAGGGUCAAGCACACCGGACUCUGAGGCCAGCGUCCGGUGCCUCCGCACUCAGCGUCCGGUGAGUGUUUCUCAGUGAGAAAACACUCCCGCGACUUCUCCAAAUUUCCCACCGGCGCAAUAGAAAAUAUACACUUAUUUUUCUCAAAAGCGCCGAAUGCUAGGAACUCCACCUCCUUUGUAAAAGUGCUAACACCAACAAGUGUCCACCACCAAAGUGUAUGUGUGUUAGCUUUUCACAAACAUUUUCCCAAAGGAGUUAAGUUAGCACUUUACUAGAUCCUAAUGCAUAUGCUCAAGAUGUAGACCUAGUAGCACUUGAUUCGAGAGAUAACUGUGAUUUCCCCUCUUGAUAGUCGGCUAUCUAUCCUAAACCCGGUCAAUGACUUCUCUACUCAUCUUAGACCGGCAAAAGUAAAACCCUAUGUUUAUACCUUGCCUUGAUAACUUUGCUCCUCGUGUAUCACCAUGAUCUCCACUUCAUGCUUCAUCCCUUUGUGAUCAUGUGGCCACCUCUCCAUGCCACCAUGCACCUUCAUCACAUGUGUUGCUAUGCCUAACUCAAAUCACUUAAACACAAGGCAUUAGCAACUUGGUGUCAUUAAUUACCAAAACCAAACUUGGGCUUUCAAUCUCCCCCUUUUUGGUAAUUGAUGACAACCAUCACAAAGAUAUGAAAUGAAAUCACAAUGAACUUGAAUUGCUUGUCCAAAGCAUUUUUAUCAUGAGACAAGGUUGGACAAACAUUUCAAUUUCAGGUUUGGUAGUACUAGCUCCCCUACAUAUGUGCUUCCAAGAGUUUGGUUCAAGUUUGCACAUAUGCAUGAAUUUGAGUUUUGGGAGAUUUAUUACUACCAAAAUGAUGCUAAGGUAUAUAGAAUGGACCUUUGAAGCGUGAUACCAAUCGGAGUUGCCAAUAUACCAUCCUUAGCACCAAUGUAGCUAGACAUACGUCAAAAACUCAAGAUACCUCGUGAGAUCACAUUAUAUGUCUAGAUACCACAUGAAAAUAGAAAUCUAUGCUAGAAUUCAAAGCAUCAUUCAACUUCUAUUUCUAGCGAACACCAAUCAAACAAGAGUAGUGAAUUUAAACUUGCAAUGCAACACAACACUAUGUUAGUGCACAUUCAAAUGCAACAAGUGGUUCAUGAGCUUGCUCCCCCUAUUUGUGUGCUCAAUUUAAAGGAGUUUUCUCUCCCUAUCUUUGUUUCUCUUUCCUCUUUUUGACUUUAUCUUUGUUUCUCUCCGCCUUUGUCAUCAAUGACCACAAAGGUUCAUCUUUUAGUGUGAAUUAAGUCAAUCAAAGUGAGGGUCAAAUUAUGAUUCAAUCUAGAUCACUUGCCUAGAACAUGUAAUUCGGUUUGAUCCAAGGACAAGCUUCUUCACACCUCAUAAAUUAUAAGGGUUAUCUUGACCAUGUUGAAUUACACAUCUUAAGCUCAUAUUCUAGAUCCAACACUAGGCUUACAAGCUCACAAACAUGUCAUAUGCUAGCACUAGAUCAAUCAAACAUAGAAGCAAUAGUGGUACCAUACAUACAUCAAAAUCUUUUGAUUUUCAUGAAUGAGCCUAUUUGUCAUGCAAAUAUGUCUAUAUGUUCUAAUCAUGUCCUUAGCAAAGUAUGAAUGCUAUGUCAAUCAACUUUACCUUGCUUUGUUGGAGGAGAGGCAUGUCAUAUAUAAAUGUGGGGGUGCACUCAUCUCAAGUUGGAGAAGUCAAGUAUGUUCAAAUCAUUUCUCAACUUGAAAAAUCUCUUCUCAUCAAGUGGGUUUGUGAAGAUGUCGGCUUGUUGAUCUUCGGUGCCAAUGCUUUCAAUGCUAAUAUCACCCUUUUGUUGAUGGUCCCUUAUGAAAUGGUGCCAUAUGUCAAUGUGCUUGGUUCUUGAAUGUUGAACCGGAUUUUGUGUCAUCUUGAUAGCACUCUCAUUGUCACAUAGCAAAGGCACAUUCUUGAAUUUGAUUCCAAAGUCAUUCAAGGUAGCUUUCAUCCAAAGCAAUUGUGCACAACAACUACCGGCACUAAUGUAUUCGGCCUCGGCGGUUCAUAGUGCAACACUAUUUUGUUUCUUUGAUGACCAUGAAACUAGAGACCUUCCUAGCAAUUGACAAGUGCCACUUGUGCUCAUUCUAUCAGUCUUGCAUCCACCAUAGUCGGAGUCUGAAUAUCCAAUCCACUCAAAGUUAGACCCCUUGGGAUACCAUAAUCCAACAUCAUGAGUGCCCUUUAGAUACCUUAAUAUUCUUUUGGUUGCCUUCAAGUGACUCUCUCUAGGUGAAGCUUGGUAUCUAGCACACUUGCACACACUAAACAUGACAUUCGGCCUUGAUGCAGUGACAUAGAGCAAACUUCCAAUCAUGGACCGAUAUAGCUUUUGGUCUACCAUGUUGCCACUUGCAUCACUACCUAAUUGAUCAUUUGUGCCCAUAGGUGUGCUCAUUGGUUUAGCUUCUUGCAACACAAACUUCUUGAUCAUGUCCUUGAUAUACUUUCCUUGACUUACAAAAGUGCCAUUCUUCAUUUGCUUGAUUUGAAGACCAAGGAAGUAACUAAGCUCUCCAAUCAUGGACAUCUCAAACUCAUUUGCCAUCAUGUUCCCAAACUCUUCACAAAAGUCUUGAUUGGUUGAUCCAAAGAUGAUAUCAUGAACAUAGAUUUGCAACACAAACAAGUCAUUGUCUAGCUUCUUGGUGAAGAGGGUAGUGUCAACCUUUCCCAUCUUGAACCCUUUAGAAAGAAGGAAAUCUCUCAAUCUCUCAUACCAAGCUCUAGGUCCUUGCUUCAAACCAUACAAUGCCUUCUUGAGCUUGUACACAUGGUUGGGUUUCUUGUCAUCUUCAAAACCGGGAGGUUGUUCAACAUAAACCAACUCAUUUAUGAAUCCAUUGAGAAAUGCACUCUUCACAUCCAUUUGAUAGAACUUGAUGUUGUGGGCACAAGCAUAGGCUAAUAAAAUUCUAAUUGCCUCCAAUCUUGCAACCGGUGCAUAUGUUUCUCCAAAGUCAAGACCUUCAACUUGAGUGUAGCCUUGUGCUACUAAUCUUGCUUUGUUUCUCACAACUACACCAUAUUGAUCUUGCUUGUUUCUAAAGACCCACUUGGUACCAAUCACAUUGUAGUUCUUUGGCCUCUCAACAAGCUCCCACACUUGAUUUCUUGUGAAGUUAUUCAAAUCUUCAUGCAUGGCAUUUACCCAAUCGGAAUCUUUCAAUGCAUCUUCUAUUCUCUUUGGUUCUUCAAAUGAGACAAAUGAAUAGUGCUCACAAAAAGAUGCUAGCCUUGAUCUUGUUUGCACACCACUUUGAAUACCACCAAUGACUUGAUCCAAUGGAUGAUCUCUUGCUAUGCUUGUAGUUUGGAGUAUUGGGAGUUGAUUACUUCCACUAGCUUGACUUUGAUUUUGAUCAUCAUCAUGAGAGCCACUAGUACUAGCUUGAUUUAUAUCAAUUUGCACUUCUUGAUUAAUCAUAUGAAUGUCAUUAUCAUCAUCAACUUGCAUCGGCCUUAUGUCACCUACAUCCAUGUUCUUCAUUGCAUUUGCCAAUUGAUCUCCUCUCACAUCAUCAAGAUUUUGAGCUUCACUUUGAGAUCCCUUGGUUUCAUCAAACUCAACAUCAUGGACUUCUUCCAAUGUGCCACUUUCCAAGUUCCAAACUAUAUAUGCCUUGCUUGUGGUGGAAUAACCAAGUAAGAACCAUUCAUCACAUUUAUUCUCAAACUUGCUCAAUCUAGUGCCUUUCUUGAGAAUGUAGAAUUUGCAACCAAACACUCUAAAGUAUGCAAUGUUGGGCUUUCUUCCAUUCAAUAGCUCAUAUGGUGUCUUCCCAAGCUUCCCAUGGCAGUAGAGAUGGUUGCUACAAUAGCAAGCCGUGUUGAUAGCUUCAUUCCAAAAUGAAUGGCUAACAUUGUAUUCACUAAGCAUUGAUCUGGCCAUAUCAAUCAAGGUUCUAUUCUUCCUUUCAACUACACCAUUGGAUUGAGGAGUGUAUGUUGGAGAGAAUUGAUGUCCAAUGCCAAGAUCAUCACACAAUUCCUCAAUUCUUGUGUUCUUGAAUUCACUACCAUUGUCACUUCUAAUCUUCUUGAUAGUGGUUUCAAACUCAUUUUGCACCCUCUUGACAAAAGACUUGAAUAGAUCACAAACAUCACUCUUGUCAUAGAGAAAGAACACCCAAGUGUAUCUAGUGUAGUCAUCAACUAUCACAAAGCCAUACUUGUUGCCACCAAUGCUAGUGUAUGUUGUUGGCCCAAAUAAAUCCAUGUGUAAUAGCUCAAAUGCCUUUGAUGUGCUCAUUUCACUUUUCUUAGGAUGUGCAUUUCCAACUUGCUUUCCGGCUUGACAAGCACUACAUGGUUUAUCUUUCUCAAAGGUGACAUCCUUCAAGCCUCUAACUAAGUCAUGCCUCAAUAGUUUGUUCAAUUGUUUCAUUCCAACAUGACCAAGCCUUCUAUGCCACAACCAACCCAAACUUGAUUUGCUAAUUAGGCACGAUGUCAAUUGAGUGUCACUAUCAUUGAAAUCAACCAAGUAUAAGCUACCAUUCCUAAAUCCUUUGAAUAUGAAGUUUGAUCCAUCAACACUAACCACUUCAACAUCAUCACUACCAAACAUGCCCUUGAAACCAAGGUCACAAAGUUGUGCAAUUGACAACAGAUUGAGGUCAAGGCUCUCAACUAGCAACACAUUUAUAUGCUCAUGUCAUUUGAGAUAGCAAUUUUACCAAGCCCCUUGACCUUCCCUUUCUUGUUGUUGCCGAAAGUGAUAGAAUCAAAGCCACCAUUUUGAUUUGUAUCAAUUGAUUUGGACAUACAAGGCUCUCCGGUCAUAUGUUGAGUGCACCCACUAUCAACCACCCAAUGCCUUCCUCUGGCUUUGUAAUUGACCUACAAGACAAGAUCAAUUCUUUUUAGGUACCCAAACUUGAUUGGGUCCUCCUAGGUUAGCAACUAAGCUCUUUGGUACCCAAAUGGCUUAAUUCUUUGAGCCCAUCCAUGGUGCACCAAUGAACUUGGCAUGAACACCUUUUGUAUCCUUGGUAAGCACAUAGAAAGAAUUUAGCAUAAUUGAGGAUACAUUGGCUUUGGGUUUCUUGUUCAUGCAUUGUUUCUCUAAGUGACCAACUUGCUUGCAAGCUUUGCAAUACCGGCCAUUGUUCUUCAAAAAACUAGUUUUGUGAGGAGCAAAGGUGGCCUUGCCUUUCUUGGGGUUAUAGCCCAAUCCCUCUUUAUAGAGAGAAGCCCUUUGGUUACCCAAGCACAUAAGCAAGCGGUCCUCACCACCAUAAGCCUUGGCUAGUGUGUGAUUGAGCUCUUUCACCUCCUUCUUGAGAAUUUCAUUCUCAACUUUUAGUGUGGUGUCACAAGUGAAACCAUCACUACUCGAUGAGGAUGAUGUAGAUGUGCUACAUGAAGGGUUAGUAGAAGCAACUACAAUAGGCUUACUUAAGAUAUCACAUUUUAGGCCUAUGUUGCAAGUUUUAGCUUUCUCAAUUUUAGUUGGCUCAUUUUCACAUUUGUUAACUAGAGAGGAAUGAGCUUCUCAAGCUUAGUGUGAGCCUUUUGAAGCUUCUUAUGGUCUUCCUUUACACUCUCAUAAGAUGCUCUAAGCUCAUCAAGUUCUUUGUCAAGGGUUUUCUGAGUGCAAUGUUCUAGCAUAGUUAUUAGUUCACCUUUAGUUGGUUCAUCAUCAUCACUAUCACUAUCACUAUCAUGAUCACUCUCAUCAUCGGAUGAUACCUUAGUGGCCUUAGCCAUGAAGCACGAUGGAGUGUCGAAGAUGGAGCUCUUUUCUUGAAUUGCAAUGCUAGCAUGCGCCUUCUUCUUGGUGCUCUCAUCAUCACUUGAGGAGUCAUCACUAUCCCAAGCUGCAACAUGGGCAUCACCCUUCUUCUUGUUUGAGCCUUCGUUCUUUUCUUGCUUCUUGUUUUGCUUCUUUCUUUCCUUCUUGAUAGCAUAUUCAUCAUCACUAUCUUAAGGACACUUGGCGAUGAGAUGAUCUUUGCUAUGGCAUCUAAAGCACCUCAUGGAAUGGUCAUUCUUCUUGGAGGACCUCUUCUUUCUUCUUGCCCGAUAGCCCUUCUUCUUCAUAAACUUGCCAAAUCUUUUGACAAGAAGAGCCAUCUCCUCAUCUUCAUCACUAUCACAAGAGCUUGCUUCUUCUUCACUUGAUGAUUCUUGCUUGGCUUUGCCCUUGGAUGUGGAGGCCUUGAAUGCCACACUCUUCUUCUUUUCAUCAUCCUUCUUCUCACUAUCCUUCUUCUUUUUCUUGAUCAACUCAUCCUUCUCAUCAUCUUUUCUAUAAGCAUCAUCAGUCAUUACUUCUUGGAAGACUUGUUGGGGUGUUGAUUCACUAAGUGUUGUCUUGACUAGCACGGUGAUCAACGUGUCAAAUCUCUUGGGCAAGCUUCUCAAGAACUUCAUAGAGAAUUGACUAUCUUUUACUUCUUCCCCAAGUGCCUUGAGUUCAAUCACAAUGACUUGCAACCGGUGAAACAUCUCCGACACACUUUCAUCUUCUUGUAUCUUAAAGCUUGAGAACUUUUCUUGGAGGAUGUAUGCCUUGGCGGGCUUGGUACCUUUGGUGCCUUCAAAUGUUUCUUCUAAUUUUGCCCAUGCAUCUUGAGAAACCUCAAUGUUCUUGAUUUGCUCAAAGGUCUUGUCAUCGAGAGCUUCAUGAAGAGCACUAAUUGCAAUGUCAUUGCAUUAAAGCUUCUUUUCUUCAACCGGUGUUGGUGCAUUCUCAUUUGCAACCUCAAACUUUGUUUCGGUCACCUUCCAAACUUCUCUAUUGAUUGACUUGAGAUGGGCGGUCAUCUUGACCUUCCAAUAAGCAUAAUUUGUGCCAUCAAAGUAAGGUGCCUUCUUGGUGUUGUUGAUAUGCAAACUAAGAGCCGUUUCUUCACCAUAGGUUGUUAAGCCUCAAAUAAACGGUGCCUCGGCUCUGAUACCACUUGAAAGGUCCAAAUGGCUAGAGGGGGGUGAAUAGCCUAUUUAAAAUUUCUACAAACUUCACUAAGAAACUGAAUUAGUAAAACAAAUAGCGAAGCAAUUCUAGCAAAAGCUCAACUAAGCUAUGCAAGCCACCUAUAUAAACUAGUACAAGGCUAAACACUAAAGCACAACAACUAGAGAAGGCUAGUUGCACUCCUAAACCAGAAGACUAAACUAAAUAAGCUAAACAACUAGCAAGGUACACAAAUAAGUAAAGGAGUGGAGAGUGAUUGUUAUACCAACGUUGUAGAGUAGAGAUAUAUCCAAUCAAUCACUCACAAUCACAAGAAAAUCCUCGGCAAGAGAUGACACAAGAUUUUUACCGAGGUUCACUUGCUUCCCGGCAAGCUACUCCUCGUUGUGGUGAUACACCCAGUUGAUGGAUCACGAGCUAAUUGGCAAUCCAAAGCCAAACCCUCAGCGGGUGCCGCACAUCCACUCACAAGAUGGGGAUCCUCCAAGCCACGAGCAAUCCACUAGAGUAACCAAUUUGCGAUCUCCCGCGGAGAAGGCUCAAGAACCCCUCACAAAUCACUUGGUGAGGCUCGAAACAAUCUCCAAUCACGAGCUCGACACCACCACUGCUCCAAGCCGUCUAGGGCGUCGGGAAACACCCAAGAGUAACAAGAAAUCCACAGCAAACUCAAGAAUCAAGUGCCACUAAAUGCAACUCUGAAAGCAAUGCACUUGAAUCUCACUCAAUCUCACUAGGAUUAGCAAUCAAGCAAGGAGAUGAGUGGAGGGAGUGUUCUCUAGCUCAAAGUAUGUCUCAAGUAAUCAAAAUGUGCAAGAGAGAACCUCCCAAAGCUGGCGACCAACUAUUUAUAAGCCCCCUCAAAGAACUAGCCGUUGGCUGUUUUCACUGGGCUCAAAUCGGGGGAACCAGACGCUACUAAGUGGUCACCGGACACUCGACCCCCAGCGUCCGGUGCUCAGGGGUAGGCCACGUGUCCUACUUGAAUCCCGCGUGUCAGAUUCUAACGGUCACCUACGCACCACCGGACGCUCUGUAGGUUCACACCGGACGCGUCCGGUGCACACCGGACCCAUGCGCAGAGAGGGUUGCAAACUUGCAGGGUCACCAGACGCUAAGCACCGGUAGCAUCCGGUGCUCACCGGACCCAUGUGCAGAGAGGGUCACAAAACACCCGCACACUGGACGCUAACCACCGGACGCUCUCAGAGUGCGUCCGGUGCUCAACCCUAGUAGGGUCAAGCACACCGGACACUGAGGCCAGCGUCUGGUGCCUCCGCACUCAGCGUCCGGUGAGUGUUUCUCAGUGAGAAAACACUCCCGCGACUUCUUCAAAUUUCCCACCGGCGCAAUAGAAAAUAUACACUUAUUUUUCUCAAAAGCGCCGAAGUGUCCACCACCAAAGUGUAUGUGUGUUAGCUUUUCACAAACAUUUUCCCAAAGGAGUUAAGUUAGCACUUUACUAGAGCCUAAUGCAUAUGCUCAAGAUGUAGACCUAGUAGCACUUGAUUCGAGAGAUAACCGUGAUUUUCCCUCUUGAUAGUCGGCUAUCUAUUCUAAACCCAAUCAAUCACUUCUCUACUCAUCUUAGACCGGCAAAAGUAAAACCCUAUGUUUAUACCUUUGCCUUGAUAACUUUGCUCCUCGUCUAUCACCAUGAUCUCCACUGCAUGCUUCAUCCCUUUGUGAUCAUGUGGCCACCUCUCCAUGCCACCAUGCACCUUCAUCACAUGUGUUGCUAUGCCUAACUCAAAUCACUUAAACACAAGGCAUUAGCAACUUGGUGUCAUUAAUUACAAAAACCAAACUUGGGCUUUCAGGCUCCAACAUCGAUAUGCACUUUGACAGUGCUGAGGAAUGGUCUCCCAAGGAUGAGGGGGACCUUUUUGUCAACUUCCAUGUCAAGAACUACGAAAUCCACAGGAACGAGGAAGUCACAUAUCUUGAUCGGGAUGUUCUCAGCUACUUCCGCUGGAUGGGGAAUCGACUGAUCCGCUAGCUGCAAAUAUAUUGGUGUAGGGGACAAGGUCGUAUGAUUUCAUUUGUCAAAAAUUACCUUUGGCAUGACACUGACGCUUGCUCCCAAGUCGCACAGUGCAUGCUCAAAAUGCUGUGUCCCGAUGGAGAAAUCCACGGUGGGGCACCUAGGGUCCUUCUUCUUCUCUAGAAAUUUAUUCAAGAUGACUUCGCUGGAUUCUUCCAUUAGUUUAAUUACCUCAGUUUUAGGCAGCAGCUUCAUGUUGUUGAGGAUGUCUCUCAGGUACUUGGCGUAGGUUGGAACCUACAUUUCAUCAAGUAACGGGAUAUUGACAAUUCAAUGUGACAGAGAAUUUGAAAAUUUUUGCAAACUUUUUAAAACUAAACAAGGCCUUGGAUGGGUACUUCUGAUUCCCACAAUUAUCGAAUUACCUCAACAAAUUUGCCGAAUUGUUCAUCAGUCUUUUGAGUCCUCGUACUGGGAAUGGCAUCAGUAUGUUUGUAUCGUAAAACUCAUGUGGUGUGUUGGGUAUUUUAAACGCAAAUAGAAAAAUCCACAAGCGCACGGAUACCGAUGUAGCUUUCACCCGGGAGUAUUCCAGAGUAUCGAUUUUCAAUAGAGAACGUGAGUGUACUAAUUAAGAUCCAAGAUCGCCCAAGGAUAACUAUAUAAUUAUUUUUGGUGGGAACAGAGGAAGUUUCCUGACAGUUCUCUAGUUGAUCUAAGAAUCAAGAAUUACUUCAAGAUUAUCUAUAUCGGGACAUCAGAGCACUAACCACAGAAAGAGAUGAGAAGGGGGCUAGGAAGGUCUGACUACGGUCCUACAAACACCGAUCCGAACGUGGUGGAAUACGUCGACCGUUAGGGCUGUCACUACCCUAGGGCUACCACAACAAUCCGUAGGAUUGGGUGCAAUUCCAGGUAAUCGCAAGACUAAACACCACGUCUAAUCUAUUAAUUACUACUCUAGCGUUAUAAAGACUAGAGCACUUGAUGCAAGCGGGAAUCCAAUAAAUAACUUGAAUGUAAAUAAAAGUAAUUAGAGAACUCAGGAGUUAUGAAUUGAAGAUACUGGAGAACGAUGAAGAACGAACCAGUUGCUGCAAAAGUACAAUGUUGAGGAAGAUCCGACAGAUCCGGCUCCUCCUCCGCUCUCCUCUUCUCUCUCCCUAUUUUCUAGAUUACAACUAGAACUAACUAGAACUAGAACUAGAGGAACUAGAACUAGAACUAGAUGAACUAGAUCUAGAUCUAGAUGAACUAGAGGUAGAACUAGAAGAACUAGAGGGAUCCUCUCUACUUGGAUGAAGAAUUGAAACCCUAACUUUGAUUCUGUAGAAGAGGUAUGCUCUCCAGGGGCCAGGGGGCCUUGCUUAUAUAGUCUUUUCAGAUGAAUCUGGGCCAUCGGAUCAAACCGACAUUGAUCGUGUGGUUUUCCUUGAAGUAUUAGGUCGGUAGAGCAUGAUCCCUGAGCUUCACCCUGAUUGGUCCAGGGUGGAGGGCGGGCGCCCAGUGCCCGGCUCCGUUACGUCUCCCGUUCGCUCCCGUGGCUUCUGGAGUCUUCUAGAUGGUAGAAAAUUGCGCGGCACGUUAAUAUCUCUAUGUAAACCCAACGUGUGGGCCUUUCUUCCGUAUUUCCUGAUAACCCCCUGCAGAAAUCUGUCAGAUAAAACCCUAAGUCUGGGUGUUGGUUGCAUUUGGAUCCUUUUCCAUGAUUAAUUGAUGGUUAAAUGUGAGCAUUAAGGAACGUCAACAAGCUCCCCCAAGCUUAACCUUUGCUCGUCCCUGAGCAAAGCUAAAAUCAUCAAGAAAACAGGGGUUACUUUUAUGCCUUUUACUAAAGGGGUUUUAAGUUAUCACUAAGGUCUUAAGUGAUUGAAAAACAGAAUGAUCAAGUCAAGCACUAUGUCACAAGUUCUUCUGUCUUACCUUUGUUCUGGAGUAGUUUGUAAGUUUCCAAAAUAAAUCUGAGGCAUUUGCCUUCUUCUCGAAAGAUAUAUAAGUAGAGCUUUAAAAAUUUUAGCAUACUUACUUUGCAUUUUGCUAUGUCAAUGCUCGGAGCAAGGGAGAGGAAUGUCAUACUCCUAGAUCAAGACCUUUGACCUUUUUGAAGAGUUUGUCAUCUCUUACUGGCAUAUUGCUUAUUAGAGGGACCAUGGGCUAUCAUUUUUUUUCCUUUUUUUUCUCUCUUUUUUUUAGUCUCUUUUUUUCAAGUGGGCAGCAAGUACCCCUAAUUCUACUAUCGGACACAUGUCCAUUUUUUUCCACUCAGGUGGGUAUCUUUGUACCUCUAAUUCUACUUCGGACACUUGUCCAUUUUUACCUCUCAUCUCACUCUUUUUUUUCGAAUCAAAUUUUUGCAUAGUCCCAUGCCUCUAACGCAAUAAUACUUCGGAAGAGUGAAUCUUUUAUAUUUUUAAAACAAAAAGAUCUUGAUCUUGGGAGCAUGAUAAUUCUCUCAACCAAAACUACAAGAAUUAACAAUGGCUUGAACAAAGAAAGUACCCGCAGUUUUAAUAUUUAUUUCUUAUAAGACUCUAGGUAUUAUGAUCUCAUAUAUUUUUUUUAUGAAUUUUUAGAUUUUCAAAAGAUAAAAUCUCCAGAACUCUAGCAAAACUUGGAACAAGUUAAAUAGUAGCUCAGACCUUCUCAUAUCAUGUUUGUCAAUUACCUAGACUUGAAUCAAACUUUCUUUUUAUUUUAUUUAAAACUUAGUAUUACAUAAAACUGUUAUAUAUUACUCAAAACAAAAACUGUGUUUGGUUUCAUGGUUAUGCAUUUUUUUUAUUUCUGAAUACUAGUAAAUAAAACUAAGAAAGAAAAAUAAUACUUAUCUUGAUUUAUUUUUUUUUAUUUAGCAAACUAAGCAAAGAUAUAUAUAUAUAUAAGCACAAAAUCUUUAUUUGGGUUUUUAUGAUUAUGCAUCUUUUUAUUAUUUGAGUAAAGUAUAAACGUGAGUAGAACACUUAGCUGGAUAAAUGGGGGUGCUCUCCCCCAAGCUGGAUUUUGACAUAAUUUCUUCUGAUGUAGCUAGCAGGUGGCGGAGGUGUAUUUGAAUGUCGGCAGCACUCUGACAGCGAUUAGGAUGUCCUUCGUCUGCUAGUCUUCUUUGAUACUUGAAUUUUGUGGAGCUCAAAUGGACAACAAAGCUUUGUGGAACUAGUUAAGUGUUAGCAUAAAUAUCUAGCCUUUAUCAUGUUGAGCCUCCUCAAUAAAUGUUACUCAUUAGUAGGAUCAUAAUUUUAUUUUUAUAAUUUUAUUUUUAUAGGACAAGAAUAUAUUUAUUUUAUUUUUAUGCCACCACAGUGAAUGUACUUAUGGGUUUUAUGCCAUGAGCAUACUCACAUGGGGCUUACUAUUUUUAACAUUUUUAUUUUCUUUUUAAGAUGAUAUGAACCUGAUUAACUAAGCAAACUAUUUUAAAUAAUUGAAAGGGAAAAAGGAUAACUACCAAGUUUAACUCUUACCAAGGCGUUCGGUGUUUUUAAGUCCUCCGAACGAGACUCUCUAUUUUCUCAGUUGUCCUGGGAUUCGCUGGAUGGCGUAGUCAGUGGUUCCGGCAGCGCCUGGUCUUCAUGUAUAACUAUCUUCUCUCUCCAUACCUGACACGGUGCUACGGUCUCCUCAGUACAGUUCUGUUCAAGUUGUAUGUCUUCAGACCUUACCACUUCUCCUUCAUAAUCCGCCCAUUCAUCCUUGAUAAUUUGCCUACUCUGGUUGCAGUUGCGUCGUCUUCUUCUUGUCCUGACCUGCUUAGAGUCUUCAACUAUAUAGUUAGGGUCAGUAAAACAACGGCGUACCUUCUCAGAUGGGAAGUGCAUGUGGACUUCUCUGGUUCCAAUGUAUAUGAUUGCUUAAAUGGUGCUGAGGAACUGUCUCCCAAGGAUGAUGGGUGGAUCGUACUCGUCUUCUCCCAUGUCAAUAACUUCAACCUUCCGAAAUGUUUGAUCUGCCAUCUGGAGCUGGGUGUAUGUCGGUUUUAAGGGCAUGGUUCCUAACAGAAGCUGAUAGGUGACUGAGUCAUCCUUUUUGGUCAGGAACGGUGACUUAAAUAGAUGAUCUUGACCUCCUUGAACUGCAGUGACCAUCUUAGCUGACUCGGUCCACACUUGCUUGUUCCUGUUCCUCCUGUUGAUCCCCUUCCUUGGUUCAUGUCGGGAAUGCUCUGAGAUUGUGUAGUCUUGUUCUUGAAGGAAAAUGUCUCAUUUCUCCUUUUGAUGUAGAAACUGAUCUUGGCAGCACUAUCGUAGAUGACAGCUCCCGAGGUGUUCAGGAAUGGCCUCCCUAAGAUGGGUGCCCUCUCAUCAGUAACAGUCUCUAUCACCACGAAGUUUGCUGGGACGUACAAGGUACCAACUCGAACAUAGAGGUUCUUCAAUAUUUCCUUUGGGAAGCUUAGUGUCUGAUCUGCAGGCUUGGGCAUAAUGUUGACGCUGGAGCCAAAGUCGCAGAGUGCUUCUAGGAAGUCCACCAUGCCGAUGGAGAUCGGGAUGAUGGGGCGUCCUGGGUUGUCUCUCUUGACCGGCAGAAGGUCAGUAAUUACUUCCACUACGGGGUUACUCCAGUAGUUACGUCCUCAAGCAUCUCAGGGCAGUGAUUGCCUCAGUGUCCAGUAUCUCUAGUGUGUUUGUGCUCGUAGAUCUAGGUUCUUCACUUGGUGGAGUCUGGGAGUUGUAAAAGUCCAUCAUAUUUUGCUCGAAGUGUACCUGCUCAUAGAGACAAGGCAGAGAUCAAGUGCAUGGGCCCUGUUGGUGGAAAACACCAACAGAACCAAAAGUGUAUUUGUUCUUCUCUAACCUUAAGCAUAGUGAGCAAGACAAAGUUGAAGGAUAAUAAGAUCAUGAGUGUAGCAUUUAAAGCAUUUGUCCGAUCAGAUCGCUCAACCUAAUGGAAAGAUAAUCUAUCUAUAUUUAUGUUGUUUUGUUUUGUUUGUUUUUUUAUAAAAUAUAUCUUCCAAAGAUUGAGUGUGCAACAUUUUAGCUCAUAUGAUUAGGAGUGUGGGAUCACAAAGGUGGAAUGACGAAACAUAUUGAAUCGACUGGGUUGGUUAAUCUAGAUUUAUAAAUCAUACAUGUUUGUCUCUUUUAUUCAUGUGAACGCCAGAACCAAGGAGAAGCUUAUAAAAGUGAUAGUCAAGUACCUUAAGAUGUUACCUUACUUGAAGAGUGAUGGUACGGUAUCUCCUUGUGGAAGCUUUCCUUUCUUAGCGGUUGUGCAUCGUGUUUGUAGCACCCUCCAUGGAUCAUCUCUUGUGAGCUAUGCCUUCCUUGUGUAAAUUGUUAAACUUCAUGUGCCUCUCUCUUUGUCAAAAAUGUGAGUGUAUCUCAGGACUUCCCAGGUCGAUAGUGAAAGUUUUCCUGCAGGGGUUAGUCCAACAAAAUAUCCCAUAUCUACUAUAGCAUACUAUCGGCUCAAAAAUCAACCUAGACACCAUGUCUAAUUUGAUUCAGGAGGGCUUUUUUAACCUAAGCACCAUGCUUAAUUUAAAACCCCUUGGAAGUAAGAUCAUCAUUCCUAAACUAAGCACCAAGCUCAAUUAAGAGAUAAAUGAAACUACUCCAAACCUAGACAUAUACUAAAGCAAAUAAAGGUAGCAUGAGAGCAUUUAUAGAGAUCUACUCAAGUGGAGAUGAAGUAGUGUGAUUAGUAUUUAACAAAUUGAGUAUGUCUCAAUGGUAGGGUCAACCAAUAUAGCAACAUGGCAAAGGAUGUUUUUAUGUAAAGUACUCCCCCAUGUUUGAAUUUUGCAAAAUUCAAGUUUGGUUGAAUUUAAUUCAAUGUUGUAUGAUGAUUGGUUGUACAUACCUUGUGCUUGUCAUUCAUCCGAUCGUCUUGCUCCAAUCCUGGAAAGGUUAGUGACAAGAAUACCCGAAGGAAUAUUUUUACAAUUAUCCUUAUAUGCUCAACACACAAGGUAAUGUUGCAAAUAAUUAAAAGCUCAUGUUAAGAUCUGAUCAGUGCUUGUUUUACGACACUAAGCUUGUCCUUGGGAAACCAUUAAUUUAUGUCUGCGAAGUGGUUUCCCCUCCAACGCUGACCUAUAUCAAGAUCAACUCAACGAGAUUUGCAAUAUAUAUUAUAGACAUAUGCAUCGACAACCUCCCUUUUAAAGUUUUUAUAAAUAGAAAGGAAGAGGGGGUUGGAGAUCUCGAAUGUGGUGAUGUUGGAGAGACCAAUGGAUUUUGAAGAUGUUGCAUAUGAGCAUGAAGUGAAGUGGCAAUGAAAUAAAUUCCAUGCUCAUUAAUGCUUAGAGUGAAAUCCAUGUGGUAUGGUGAAAGUGAUAAGGUGAGUGUGGUAAAAAGGGAAAAGAAAAAGGAUACACGGACGACUUGGUUCGAAACUAGCACAGCUACCGUUCCCCGGCAACGGCGCCAGAAAGCUUGUUGGGUAUUUUAAACGCAAACAGAAAAAUCCGCAAGCGCACGGAUACCGAUGUAGCUUUCACCCGGGAGUAUUCCAGAGUAUCGAUUUUCAACAGAGAACGUGAGUGUACUAAUUAAGAUCCAAGAUCGCCCAAGGAUAACUAUAUAAUUAUUUUUGGUGGGAAGAGAGGAAGUUUCCUGAGAGUUCUCUAGUUGAUCUAAGAAUCAAGAAUUACUUCAAGAUUAUCUAUAUCGGGACAUCAGAGCACUAACCACAGAAAGAGAUGAGAAGGGGGCUAGGAAGGUCUGACUACGGUCCUACAAACACCGAUCCGAACGUGGUGGAAUACGUCGACCGUUAGGGCUGUCACUACCCUAGGGCUACCACAACAAUCCGUAGGAUUGGGUGCAAUUCCAGGUAAUCGCAAGACUAAACACCACGUCUAAUCUAUUAAUUACUACUCUAGCGUUAUAAAGACUAGAGCACUUGAUGCAAGCGGGAAUCCAAUAAAUAACUUGAAUGUAAAUAAAAGUAAUUAGAGAACUCAGGAGUUAUGAAUUGAAGAUCCUCGAGAACGAUGAAGAACGAACCAGUUGCUGCAAAAGUACAAUGUUGAGGAAGAUCCGACAGAUCCGGCUCCUCCUCCGCUCUCCUCUUCUCUCUCCCUAUUUUCUAGAUUACGACUAUAACUAACUAGAACUAGAACUAGAGGAACUAGAACUAGAACUAGAUGAACUAGAACUAGAGCUAGAUGAACUAGAGGUAGAACUAGAAGAACUAGAGGGAUCCUCUCUACUUGGAUGAAGAAUUGAAACCCUAACUUUGAUUCUGUAGAAGAGGUAUGCUCUCCAGGGGCCAGGGGGCCUUGCUUAUAUAGUCUUUUCAGAUGAAUCUGGGCCAUCGGAUCAAACCGACAUUGAUCGUGUGGUUUUCCUUGAAGUAUUAGGUCGGUGGAGCAUGAUCCCCGAGCUUCACCCUGAUUGGUCUAGGGGGGAGGGCGGGCGCCCAGUGCCCGGCUCCGUUACGUCUCUCGUUCGCUCCCGUGGCUUCUGGAGUCUUCUAGAUGGUAGAAAAUUGCGCGGCACGUUAAUAUCUCUAUGUAAACCCGAUGAGUGGGCCUUUCUUCUGUAUUUCCUGAUAACCCCCUGCAGAAAUAGACAAACACCAAAACUCGUGGAAUUCUGUCAGAUAAAACCCUAAGUCUGGGUGUUGGUUGCAUUUGGAUCCUUUUCCAUGAUUAAUUGAUGGUUAAAUGUGAGCAUUAAGGAACGUCAACAUGGUGCCACUUUCCCAUUGAACUUGGUACUUUCUUUUGUUGAUGGAAGCUCUUCUUCUUCUACCUUGUCUUCUUCAUCCUGCUUGUUCUUUCUUGCUGGUUUCCUUAUCAUGUUAGGAUAUGGUAGAUCACGAGUGGUCUUACCCCCUCUCGUGGUCACCGCAUUUGAGGAAUAACAAGAAUUAAUAGAAGCAGCAAUUUGAGUCAUCUGUGACUAUAAGACCUUGUUAAAGUUCUGUUGAUCCUUAGCAGUAGAAGCUUGAGAGUCCAUUUUAGAACUUAAUAAUUCAAGAAUCUUGUCGUUUGCUAACAACCUUUUAUUUAUGCCUUUGUUAAUUUUAGCUUGAUUAACAACAAGAUCUCUAAGCGUAGGCUAGCUAGAUUUUUGAAAAUUACCUUGGCCUUGGAAGCGUGGAGUCGGUCUGCUUUGUCGUGGUUGCCCAUUGUUGAAUGCAGAGACGACAUCUAAAGUUUCUUCCUGCACCUCGCACCUUUGGAUUGCUUCAACGCCAUGUGCUGAGGUGUAUUGUUGGAUGGCCUCUCAAUCUUUCUUGAAGUUGGAUGUUUCUUCUAUUUUCUUCAUCAAGAGUUCCAUCUUUUGAGAGAUGGCGUUCACCUCCUCAAUGGUGUGGGUGCCUCUCUUCUUGGGUUUAGGAUAUUAAUCAUUGCACUCUUGAUUUGUCACAAUGUUCUCAAUGUGCUUCUUUGCUUGUGCGACAUUGAGGGAUGUGAAUGAUCCUCUUGCAGCAGCAUCAAGGUGACUAUGGGCGUCUAGUGUUAGCCCAUGGUAGAAACCUUGGAUCAGGAGCCAUUCCUUGAUUCCAUGAUGAGGGCAUUCCCGAAUGUACUCCUAGAGACGUUCCCAUGCUUCGGGAAUGGUCUCUUCUGCCUUUUGACAGAAGCUGGAAAUUCUUGCCCUUAGAGCUGAUGUUUUGCUCAUUGAGAAGAACUUGUUGAGGAAUGCUGUAGCACACUCGCUCCAUGUGUCAACAUCAUUAGGGAGAGCGUAGAACCAUUGCUUUGCUUUCCCAAGCAGAGAGAAUGGGAAUAAGCGACGAUGGAUCACUCCUGCUGUGACUCUCUUGAUAGCGAUGGUGCUACACACUUCCAGAAAGUUCUGAAGGUGCGUGUUUGCAUCCUCGUGUGGUUUCCCACUAAAUGUACUAGCUUGCACCAUACGAUUAGCGAUGGCUGGAUCUCAAAGUUGAUAUCUCCAAUCUCCGCUUGCGGUCCCAAUGAGAUAUUGGUCAUAGAGUGAGAUGAGAAGUCGGCGAUGGGUUGGUUAACCAUCGACAUCCUGAUUCUUGGUGCUGAGCUUCCUUCCUUGAGUGAGUUCAAGUGUGAGCAGGAUCUCUGACGGUGGACUAGACGAAGUCUAGAAUUCCUUCGAGAUCUCUCUGAAUCGGCUAAUGUGGUUGCCUUGAACUGGAAAUCACUCAUACACUACUUGGUUUCACAAUGAAUAGAAACACAGGCAGGGGUAACUGCCUACAACUAGUUGAUCCUAAGUUGAUGAUGUUUUACCGAAUUCGUUCCUGCUACAAAUUUCUAGGCUAUGCUUUCCCCGGCAACGGCGCCAAAAAUGCUUGUUGGUAAAUCUUAACGCACACCGGCUAGAAUAAGGUGUGACAAGUAUCUAGAAAUGGUGGCGCCUAACCAGCACUACUUAUAUGCAAGCUUGAGCCGUUACUAGGAUAGGGUGUCAGGCUACCCUGAGCAACGGCUCUAGAAAUGCUAAGCAACACUAAACUCUAGUGAUGACGCAAGAUGUACCAGGGGUAAAACUCUGCAAGCGCAUAGAUACCGAUGUAGCACUUCAACCGUAGUGAGUAUCCACGGUGUCGUAAUUUAUAGUUCGUCCAAGGGAAAGCGUGCUAGAAGAGAUAGCGAGGAAGGGAAACCAUAUUCAGCUAGGAUUAACUAAGGUAGAGAGGUAAUGAAGAUGUAGAGGAAGGUUGAUAUGGUUCUGGAUAACUCUAAGAUAACUAGUGUAGUGUAGCUAGGUGGGAGGAUAACGAGUGAGAAAAGACUCCUAUGACUCUAACUUUACUCCUAUGGACCAAUCUAGUCUAAUAGCGGACACAUACUAACGUUGCAAAACUUAACUGCUUGUUUGCUGGAAGUCGACUGCAAUAGGAGGACGAAACUCGUAUCCAAACGGACUCGUUUCUUAUGGGUGCCUACAGACCGUACUCGACGUGAAUAGAACCUACUGGGAAGCAGAGGCCUGUCACGCUUCGCCGCCGCCCGCUAACUCAUUUGAUACGGUGGUAUUCUAGGGUAGGAUAUAGCCCAAGAACCACGCUUAUGCUAACUCCUACUACUCAAACUAAGUAUACGACCUAGUCCAAGCACCGUGUUAGCGGCAGAGAAAACAACCCAAGCACUUAAGACUAACUUAGCUAGUAUAUGGCUACUAGAAGAUAGACUAGGACACUACAAUAGAAUAUUGCACUAAAUAAAUACUGAAAGUAAAUACUUAGAAAAGUAAAUAUAUUAAAUACUCAAAGUCUUACAAGAGAAAAGGUAAAGAGGAAUACCAGACUCUCCAGAAGACGACUCCAAAGACUCCGAGCUUCGCUCGACUCAACUCUAACUCCCACACUAGACUAACACUAACACUUACAACUGGAAAGCUAGAGCUAACUUGAAAACACAAACUUCUCUAAGAGGGUUGAUGCAGCCUCUAUUUAUAGUUAGAGUAGAGGGUGUGCCAUGUUAGCGAUCUGUGUGCUUCCCACUUUUCCACCCUUGGAUAAACCAUCAUUGUAACCGACUUAGAUGGACGUCCAAGAUCAUUUGCACAUCCUGCCAAAGUCGGUGGAGUGUAACCGACCUUGAGUGGGCCCAUAUUAUAGGUCGGUCGACCUGACACUUUGUGAUGUGGGGCCACCCUAAGCCUUCUAGAAGGUCCUGGAGGUCGGUGGAGUGGAGCUGAUAGGUGGGACCCACCAUGGCCCGAUCGGUCGACCAAGCUUUGGUGAGGUGGACCCACCAGCCUUGCUCCAUUGCUGUCCCCAUCUAUCAUGGAGUGUGUCUUGUGUCCAUCUUUGGUCUGGUUCUUCUAGUAGGUCCAUGGAUCCUUGUAUCUCCAUCUUUCACCCUUGAAUAGAAACACAAAUGUGAUCUGAGGGUCAAGAUGGACUUGGAUGUGUUGUCUUAGGACCCUGGAAUUGAGCCAACACAUGGACCUCCCCAAGUGUAGGUCGGCCGACCGGGCCUUGGUGGGUCUAGGGGCUCAUUUUCUCCCAAAUGUACAUGUUCCUGCAUCCAAAUACUUAGAGCACAAGUGGAACCUCUUAGUGAUAAAAGAUGCCUAUGUUAUGCCAUUGUUCCACUAUUUUCGGCUUGUUGACGGUGUUUUCUUGUCUGGAUUUUAUAGCUUAUCCACCGUCAACAACAACAAAGCUUAUGGAUCUGAUUAAGCGUUAGUAAUAAAUCUCUAAGCCUUGAGAGUCUAGAACUUUCUUAUACCCAUUUAUCUUUUAGCAGGAUCAAUAUAUUUUUAUACUUUUCAUAUUUAUAGUAUGCAGAUAGGAAAAUAAAUAUGCUAAAACUUAUUUUUGUGCCACCACAGUAGAUAAGUAUGUAAGCUGUUGCAUCACAUAUUUAAUACAUGGGACUUCGUAGUUUUCUAGAUGCAAUGCAAUACAUAUUUGUUUUUUUCUAAUGCAUAAAAAAAAAGAUGCAACUACUAAUGCAGUUAAGAAAAAUAAAUAUACAUGAAGGAAAAUGUAGAUAAAUACCAAGUUACCUCUUGGCGCGGUGUUCAGUAAUUUUUUAGUCCUCUGAACAGAACCUCUUACCAUGUUAAUUCUUAGGUGCUUUAUCUGGUCGCAAAGGUGGAGACCAUGAUAGUUGCACCUCUUGAGAUGGUGUCACCUAUGUUUAUUGCUCUUCCAGCAGGUGGAGUCAAGUAAUAGUUCUGGGAGCUAGCAACAUCUUCGCUCAGUGUGCAUGUUCAUAUGUCUAGGAUCUUCACUUGUAAGAUUCUCGGGGAAUUAAUUAAAGUGUAUCCUGCUUAUAGAGACAAAACAGAGAUCAAGUGCAUGGGCUCUUUUGGUGAGAAAACACCAAUAGAACCAAAAGGUUUAUUCAUUAUACUCAAGCCUUUGGCACAUUGAACGAGAUAAAGUUGAUGUUUCUGUGUUUUGCUCAAUCUAAACAUGGGUGAUAGGAACAAAUGAUUAGCAAGCUUGCAGCACUAAAACACUUGGCAGAUCAGAUUACUCAACAUUAUGGAAGGAUGGUCUAUCUAUGCAUAUAACUUCAUGAUUAUGACUAUCAUCUUCCAAAGAUAAGAUGUGCAACAUAUCAGAUGAUUGAAUUAAAAGCUACAGGAUCAAGAAAGUGAUUCUAGGAACAACCAUAAAGAGCUAAACAUGUUGAGCUAAUUAGAUUGGAUCAAAUGAGGUUGUAAGUCAAAGCAUGUUUGGCUCUCUACUUAUAUGCAUGCCAGAAUAAAGGAGGAUAUUUUGGAAGUGACGAUCACUUACCAAGAGAUGUUACCUUUAGUAUUGAAGCAUGUUGAGGCCACAACGUCUUAUGGAAGAUUUCCUUGCUUGGAUAUCUUGUCUCCUUUGUUAUACUCCUUUCUUACCUUAUGCCAUUAUUUGUUCUCUGUCUAUUUUGUGCUUGGACUUUUAGCUCUUCUUAUUAUUUUAUCCCUGCAAAUCAUUAGUGGACAACACAUACUCGAAGGAGUAUACAAAUAAUGACAAAGGCAUUGUUGUAACACAAAGCUAAGGGUCACUUUCUAUGCUACAAAAGAAAUUGUUUUAACAUACUUAGCAUAGCACAUUUAUUAUUCACAAUUACAUAUUUCUAAAGGAUUGAUUUUAUUUUCCCAUCUUAUGUCUUGAUUCUUAAAUUUAGGCAUUAUGAAAAAACUCAAACUGUUGACACCGUUUUUGGACAUGUAUCCUUUGACGUGUACCUAGGGUUAGUAAAGUAUAGAUCGGCAGAUGAAGCAACGGUAACUAGUUUACAGGGAAGUUGUCGAUGAAGGUGGUUGCCGAUGAGGAAACAACUGGAUGUGACUAAGUCCAAAGAUGAUGAUGUGUUUGUGCCGAUGACCAGUGUCAAUGUUUGCCGAAGGCCACAACAAGAGGUCUGCCGAUGACUCUGAAGAAAAGCGUGGAGGUUGCUGAUUGAUCUGUGGCGGUGCCCCGGUCGGCUACAAGGUGGUAGUUUUAUGUUUUCCUUAGUUAUUAGAAUUCAUUUUGUGUACGGUUUCCAUUUAGUUUGGAAUUCGAGUCCUCGUCGUGUCUGGUUGUAGCUCUUCGGACAGGGUAUAAAUAUAGACCCUAGGGAAAUGUAAUGAGACAAUCUAUCAAUCAAUCAAACACAAGGUUUUACUCAUAUUCCAGCAUCUACUUUUUUGAUGACUUCAUCAUGUUUUUCUUUUACUACGAGUUCUUAGGAAUUCGUCGAGUCAAACUCGGCGCGAUCUCAAGUUCCGCGUGAUCACCUCUUGGCCGUGACAUCCGGGCGCAUCGCUAUUGUCGGGACCAAAGUGGUCGAGUUACCACCUUUGUCGAUUGUAAGGUCAAAUCGGCUGACAUGCCUUAACGUUUGAAUCGGGUAUUAGCCCUUUGUGUUUGUGUUGACGGUUCUUAAGUAUCAAUUUUAAUUAUCAAAUAAACAAGAGAAAGGACAAAUAUGCAACCAACACCUAGAUUUAGGGUUUGAUCUGACAGAAUUCCACGAGUUUUGUUGUUUAUCUAUUUCUGCAGGGGGUUAUCAGGAAAUAAGGAAGAAAGGCCCACAUGUCCGGAUUACAUAGAUAUAUCAACGCACCACGCAAUUUUCUACCAUCUAGAAGACUCCAGAAGCCACGGGAAGAAGGCAGAGGCCGAAAGGGGCCAGGCCCAGGGCGCCCGCCCUGAGGACCUAGGCGCCCGCCCCCCUCUGGAUGCCAAUCAGGACUCUCUUCGCACACGAUGUUCCACCGACCUAAAGGAUCAAGGAUAACAUAGUACCACAUCGCCUACCGACCCAAAAAUGCAUAGAGGAGGAAGACUAUAUAAGGAGACCCCCUGGCCCCUGGAGGAGACAAGAAGUUAUCAUAGAGUUGACGGGUGCCCUCGAAGGAAAACCUCUUCUCUAAAUAAAAUUUCUUUUUAGGCUUAGCAACCAAUGUAAGUAGAAAUAGAUCUUCUAGUUUCUACUAGAUUGAGAGAGAUAGAGUGGAGGAAGCCCGGCCUGUCGGUGUCUACUCCGAGCUUGUACCUGCGGGAUCAAGUUCUCCUAACCCGAGGCUUGCUCCUAGGAUUCUUCAGUAUUUUGACUUCUAAAUUCUAGUAAGUACUUGUUUUAUUGUUCUUUUGGUUUAUGAGUAUACUUUAAUCUCUUCGCGUAGAGUUUAGAGUAAUCAUUGCUGGCGUAAACGUGGUGUUUAGGCUGGGGUACUCAUAGAUAUUCCCUGACUAGCUAGACCAUGGUAGUAGUGAGAAAUGUGACAAUUCUAAGUUACCUCUGCAGACCAUAUCUCGUUAGCAGGAAGGAUAGGGUUUAUAGGUGCGGGUUGAACAUCCUUUUUGGUGUCUAGAUUCCGUUAGCCUCCCCAAUAGAACAGUAGAUCAUCCUUACCAAGGUUAGAAGGAGACUACGGUUGCAGUCUUCUCUAUUUAUCACUCACAUCGAGAAACAUUCUUUGUUGCCUAAAGGGUUAGUAGUAAUAGACCAGGUUAGUCAGAUGCACUCUUUCUCCUAGUGGUAAAAAAAUAAAUACGAUACUCUGGAUAACCUCCUGGAUGAAAUGCUCACCGAUAUCCGUGCGCUUGCGGAUCAAUUCCUUAUUGCGUUCCCAAAUAUCAACAGUUUGCAGAUCAGUUUUGCAUCAACACAUCUUUUGGCACGCCCAGUGGGACCAGAUUCAAGAUCAAGAUCAACAUGGCGAAUACCGAGUUCGACUUGGAGAACGUCAUCCCCGUGACGGAAGCCAAUCUCAGAGAUGAGCAGAAGCAAGCUAUUGCAAAAGCCAUGAAGGACUACAAGCAGCAAUGUUUGAAAUCCUUCAGCAUCAACAGGAGUGGCGAGGUGAUCCUGAAGGAAGCAUUGCCGACACCUCGGCAGAUUACUUUUGAAGCCAAUCCUGGUAAACUUCAAGACAUGGUUGACAAUGCUAUUAAUCGUGCCUUGAUUAAUCAAGCUGGUGUGCUGUCCAACACGGUUUUCAAUGCUGUGGCUAGAACUUUAAAGGAAGGACAAUUGCCACCAAAUUAUGUGGGCUCUGCCUAUCAUCAGCAAGGAUCACCAGUAGUCACAACUCCAUCGGCUACUACGGCCGCUAUGGGCACAGAAACUACUACUACUCCAAGCACAUUAGGGGUCACUAAUGUGCAAUCUACACCGAUGACGGCCAAUCCAUCAACAUCGGAUGAGCAAAUAAAGCUUGCCACAGAUCUAUUGGCAUCAGCAAUGUCGGGAUCUGUUCCACCUAAUUGGUGGGGUUAUGGUAUGCCCCCUGAGGUGAUGUUGAAGACUCCUGGGACAUUCCAAGUGGCUGACUUGACAGGCAAGGCUCCUAUGGCAUCGGCACUUCCAAAUCUGCCGAUGAAUCAGAGUCCCCCGUAUACUACAACUACUACUGCAAGACCUUACACUGGGAAUUCUCAAGCUCCAACAUUCCAGUUGCCUAACGCAUCGGCAGAUUCAAUGCCAACGCAGUAGAGGUUUAUGACACAGCCAGGGUAUGUCAAUUCAAUGAUGAUGCCCAAUUUCCAGCCAUCGGCAGGGUUUAUGCCGUUGAAUGCUAACAGCGGAUGGACUGGACAGUUAGUCUUUCCACAGAUGCCUCAACAGAAUCAUCAGGCUCCAAGAUUUCAACAAGGCCAAAUUCAACCCGGUUUCAGAAUCAAGGGUUGGCCAACCAGCCGAUGAAUCUUGGUGAGCAGAUUGGUGGUCAAAUGGUUAACCCAAUGUUCCAUGUGGAUCGUGCACCUCAGAGACACGUGGAACCAUAUCAACAGGUGCCAGAUCCACAACCGCCUCAUCGGCAAGACGCCGAUGCUUAUUGGGCCGAUAAGAUAGCUGAAGUAAUGAGAGACCAAUUUGGGAUAAAGCCCAAAGUCAACACUUACUCUUAUCGGACACCGUAUCCUCCUGCAUAUGAUCUAAUUCCACUUCAAAUCGGUACAAGGUACCAGAUUUCACUAAGUUUUCUGGACAGGAUGAUACAUCGACUAUGGAGCAUGUCAACAGGUUCAUCAUUCAAUGUAGGGAAGCUGCUAACAGAGAUGAAUUAAGGGUUCAUCAUUCAAUGUAGGGAAGCUGCUAACAGAGAUGAAUUAAGGGUUCAUCUGUUUUCAUCAUCUUUGUCUGGAUCGGCUUUCACUUGGUUUAUUUUGUUACCACCUAACUCAGUGAUCACUUGGGCCGAUCUAGAGAAGCAGUUCCACAAGUACUUCUUCUCUGGAGUUCAUGAGAAGAAAAUUACCGAUUUAGUCAGGUUGAAGCAACGCAAUGAUGAAUCGGUUGAAUGUUUUGUGUAGAGAUUGCGGUAGGUCAAGAAUAAAUGCUAUAGUCUGGUUCUAGAUGAUCGGCAGUUAGCCGAUUUGGCUUUCCAGGGUUUGUUGCCACAUAUCAGAGACAAGUAUGCUUCUCAAGAGUUCGAGAGCCUAAGUCACUUGGUGCAGAGGAUUUCCGACCAGGAUAUCAAACCCUUCGAGCCCAAGACAGCAUGGAAUAAAAAGGUGUCAUUUGUUGAUGAAGCAGCAAGUUCAGACUUUGAUGAGGAGCCAGUCAUCGGCUUGGUAGAAUGGGUGAAAAAUAAAAAGCUGAUGUCUUGCCAUUUUGGGCAUAAGGAGCCAGAGAAGUUUGCAUUUGACAUUACCAAGGCCGAUAGGAUAUUUGACUUUCUACUCCAGGAAGGGCAAAUCAAAUUGUCACCUAAUCAUGUGAUUCCAUCGGCUGAAGAAUUAAAAAAGAUGAAAUACUGCAAGUGGCACAAUGCAAAUUCUCACAACACCAAUGAGUGCAAGGUUUUUAGGCAACAACUGCAAUCGGCUAUAGAAUCUGGGAGAAUUAAGUUUGACAGUUCCAAAGCUCAGAAGCCGAUGAAAAUUGAUCAACAUCCUUUCCCAACGAAUAUGUUAGAUGGUAAGGGAAAAACCAAGUUCUUGACGUCAGAGGUAGCUGAAAGAAGUGCAUCGGUGGAUCCUCAGCAUCAGUUUACUGCUGCCGAUGCUAAAGGAAAAGGUUUGAUCCAGGAAGGAACUAACUCAGGAAGACCUCCCCGAUCUGGCAUUAUGAUAACUCAUAGAAGGCAUCAGGAGUCUUGGUAGCAACGUGAAGAUCGGUAUCGGCGCCAGCAGGAAGAUUAUCGUUGGAAAGAAGAGAGGCACCGACAGGAAUGCAAUUGGCACAAGGACCACUGGAACUACCUAUUCUUUAUUCAUUGCUGGGAGCAUAAUAUUAAAUUGCCUACUGUUAGAAAUUGCCCUGAAUGCAAUGGUUAUGAUCGGUAUGAUAAACCUAAUCGGCAGUAUCAGAAUGAUGAUCGGCGAUUUGAUGGGCCGAUUAGGGGGAGAGCGUCAGUUCAUGAUCGGCUGGGGGGUAGACUCAAUGUACACGAUAGGCUUGGUGACCAUGUCAGGUACUUUCCUAAGAACCAAGAAGAACUUGAGGAGAUGGCUAAUGCAUGAGUUCCCGAUGAGUUCAUAUUUUGCAGGGAUGCCAAUACUUAUCGAGUGGAGUCAAGGGAAAAUCGUUGCCCAUUGGUAAGGCAGCCACAGCUUCCUCCAUGGUGUCUAGAGGAGUUGACUAGGACACAGAAAAGGGGGUUGCAGUGCGAAAGACGAGAAGAGCUAAACAAAGGCGAGAAUUCUGACCAGUCUGGAGAUCAGCAGCAACCGGAUCCUAACGGAAAAGGGCCAUCGGCAGAUGUUAACAUGGUAUUUAUGUUGCCGAUGGAGUUCCUUGCGCCAUCAAGUGAUGAUGAGGAGCUGGAUUUUUCCGACCAAAUAGCUCAGUUGGCUCUGGAUCCAAUGAAAGUCAUCUUCGAAAAGCCUGCCGAUAAUGAAAGACAGCAUCUUAAAGCUUUGUUUGUCAAAGGAAGGAUUGAUGGGCAACCAAUGACCAAGAUAGUUGUUGACGGUGGGGCUGCCGUCAAUAUCAUGCCAUACGCAGUCUAUCGGAAGCUUGGGAAAGGAGAUCAAGAUUUGACCAAGACCGAUAUGAUGUUGAAAGACUUCAAAGGAAAUGUGUCUCCGGUUAAGGGGGCAAUAUGCGUCGAGUUGACCAUCGGCAGCAAAACCUUGCCGACAACUUUCUUCGUGAUCAGUGGAAAAGGUGCUUAUAAUUUGCUGCUAGGGAGAGAUUGGAUUCAUGCCAAUUGUUGCAUCCCGUCUACAAUGCACCAAUGCUUGGUUCAGUGGGUAGGUGACAAGAUUGAGAUUGUCCCGGGAGAUUAUUCUUAUGUCAUGGCAUCGGCAGAAGCAGACACUUAUGAAAGGACCAAGUGUAUCUCAGGGGAGAUUUGGGAGAAAGAUUUCCUCAAAGUUGCUGAUUAUGCAGUCGGUUCUGAUGAGGAGUUUUAAUGGAUAGGUUUGCCGAUGAUGGAAAGUUAGGUCAAGGGUUUAUAUCGGCUGAUGAUUUGGUAGAAGUAGAUAUAGGUAGUGGUGAUAAGCCAAGGCCCACUUUUUUUAGUGCUAAGUUAAAUUCUGAGUGUAAGCAACAGUUAACCGAUUUGUUAAAGAAAAAUAAAGAUUACUUUGCUUGGGAUUAUACUGAGAUGCCAAGUUUAGACCGAUCGAUUGUUGAACAUCGGUUGCCAAUCAAGUCAGGGUUUCGGCCACAUCAGCAACCAGCUCGCCGAUGUAAUCCUAAUAUACUUCCUGAUAUUAAGGCCGAAAUAACUAAACUUAUUGAAGCUAAAUUUAUUCGGUAGUAUCGGUAUGCUGAAUGGAUUUCCAAUGUUGUCCCAGUCUACAAGAAAAAUGGGACGCUUCGAGUUUGCAUUGAUUUCAGGAAUCUUAAUGAAGCUACGCCGAUGGAUGGUUACCCAAUGCCGGUUGCCGAUUUUCUAGUUGAUGCUGCGGCUGGGCAUCGGAUUAUUAGCUUCAUGGAUGGCAAUGCAGGAUAUAAUCAAAUAUUCAUGGCUGAAGAAGAUAUUCCAAAGAUUGCAUUUAGGUGUCCUGGUCAUGUUGGGUUGUUUGAAUGGAUAGUCAUGACUUUUGGUUUGAAAAAAUGCUAGUGCUACUUAUCAAAGGGCUAUGAAUUUUAUCUUUCAUGAGUUCAUCGGCAAGCUGGUAGAAAUUUAUAUUGAUGAUGUGGUGUUUAAGUCUAGAGAUUUCACAAAGCAUCUUGCCGAUCUGCGAAAAGUGUUAGAAUGUACAAGGAAGCAUGGUUUAAUGAUGAACCCUAACAAGUGUGCAUUCGGCGUAUCGGCAGGGCAAUUUCUUGGUUUCAUGGUGCAUCAAAGGGGAAUUGAAAUUAGUAGGAGAUCUGUUGAUGCUAUUGUUGACGGUCCUUAAUGCUCACAUUUAACCAUCAACUAAUCACGGAAAAGGAUCCAAAUGCAACCAACACCUAGACUUAGGGUUUUAUCUGACAGAAUUCCACGAGUUUUGGUGUUUGUCUAUUUCUACAGGGGUUAUCAGGAAAUACGGAAGAAAGGCCCACACGUCGGGUUUACAUAGAGAUAUUAAUGUGCCGCACAAUUUUCUACCAUCUAGAAGACUCUAGAAGCCACGGGAAGGAAGUGGAGGCCGAGAGGACUCAGGGACAGGGCGCCCGCCCUCCUUUCCUGGGCGCCCGCCCUCAACCAGAGUCCAAUCAGGACUCUCUUUCGAGAUAUUGCUCCACCGACCUAAAGGAUCAAGGAUGACCAUUCAAUCAAUGUCGGUUUGAUCCAACAGCCCAUAUUCACUUGGAGGGACUAUAAAACCAGACCCCCUGGCCCCUGGAGAUCAUACCUCUUCUACAGAAUCAAAGCUCGGGUUUCAAUUCUUCAUCCAAGUAGAGAGGAUCCCUCUAGUUCUUCUAGUUCUACCUCUAGUUCAUCUAGAUCUAGUUCUAGUUCAUCUAGUUCUAGUUCUAGUUCUAGUUCCUCUAGUUCCAGUUCUAGUUAGUUAUAGUUGUAAUCUAGAAAAUAGGGAGAGAGAAGUGGAGAGCGGAGGAGGAGCCGGAUCUGUCGGAUCUUCCUCAACAUUAUAUUUUUGCAGCAUCUGGUUCGUUCUUCAUCGUUCUCGAGGUUCUUCAAUUCAUAAUUCCUGAGUUCUUUAAUUACUUUUAUUUACAUUCAAGUUAUUUACUGGAUUCCCGCUUGCAUCAAGUGCUCUAGUCUUUAUAACGCUAGAGUACUAAUUAAUAGAUUAGACGUGGUGUUUAGUCUUGCAAUUACCUGGAAUUGCACCCAAUCCUAUGGAUUGUUGUGGUAGCCUUAGGGUAGUGACAACCCUAACGGUCGACGUAUUCCACCAUGUUCGGAUCGUUGUUUGUAGGACCGUAGUCAGACCUUCCUAGCCCCCUACUCAUCUCUUUCUGUGGUUAGUGCUCUGAUGUCCCAUAUAGAUAAUCUUGAAGUAAUUCUUGAUUCUUAGAUCAACUAGAGAACUCUCAGAAAACUUCCUCUCUUCCCACCAAAAACAAUUAUAUAGUUAUCCUUGGGCGAUCUUGGAUCUUAAUUAGUACACUCACGUUCUCUGUGGAAAAUCGAUACUCUAGAAUACUCCCGGGUGAAGGCUACAUCGGUAUCCGUGCGCUUGUGGAUUUUUCUGUUUGCGUUUAAAAUACCCAACAAGCUUUCUGGCGCCGUUGCCGGGGAACGGUAGCUGUGCUAGUUUCGAACCAAGUCGUCCGUGUAUCCUUUUUCUUUUCCUUUUUUACCACACUCACCUUAUCAUUUUCACCAUACCACAUGGAUUUCACUCUAAGCAUUAAUGAGCAUGGAAUUUAUUUCAUAGCCACUUCAUCUACUACAUGCACAUAUGCAACAUCUUCACAAUCCAUUGGUCUCUCCAACAUCACCACAUUCGAGAUCUCCAACCCCCACUUCCUUUCUAUUUAUAAAAACUUUAAAAGGGCGGUUGUCGAUGCAUAUGUCUAUAACAAAUUUUGCAGAUCUCGUUGAGUUGAUCUUGAUAUAGGUCAGCGUUGGAGGGGAAACAACUUCGCCGACAUAAAUUGAUGGUUUCCCAAGGACAAGCUUAGUGUCCUAAAAUAAGCACUGAUCAGAUCGUAACAUGAGCUUUGAAUUAUUUGCAAUAUUACCUUGUGAAUUGAGCAUAUAAGGAUAAUUGAAAAAAAUUCCUUCAGGUAUUCUUGUCACUAACCUUUCCAGGAUUGGAGCAAGAAGAUCGGAUGAAUGACAAGCACAAGGUAUGUCCAACCAAUCAUCAUACAACAUUGAAUUAAAUUUAUCCAAACUUGAAUUUUGCAAAAUUCAAGCUUGGGGUAGUACUUUACAUAAAAACAUCCUUUGCCAUGUUGCUAUGUUGGUUAUCCCUACCUUUGAGACAUGUUCAAUUUGUUAAAUACUAAUCACACUACUUCAUCUCCACUUGAGUAGAUCUCUGUAAAUGCUCGCAUGCUACCUCUAUUUGCUUUAGUAUAUGUCUAGGUUUGGAGCAGUUUCAUUUAUCUCUUAAUUAAGCAUGGUGCUUAGUUUAGGAAUGAUGAUCUUACUUCCAAAGGAUUUUAAAUUAAGCAUGGUGCUUAGGUUAAAAUGCCCUCCUAAAUCAAAUUAGACAUGGUGUCUAGGUUGAUCUUUGAGCCGAUAGUAUGCUAUAGUAGAUAUUAGAUAUUUUGUUGGACUAACCCCUGCAGGAAAAAUUUCAAUAUUGACCUGGGAAGUCCUGAGAUAAACUCACAUUAGAGACAAAGGGAGAGACACAUGAAGUUUAACAAUUUACACAAAGCAUAACUCACAAGAGAUGAUCCAUGGAGGGUGCCAUAAACACGAUGCACAACCGCUAAGAGAGGAAAGCUUCCACAAGGUGAUACUGUACCAUCACUCUUCAAGUAAGGUAACAUCUUAAAGUACUUGACUAUCACUUUUAUAAGCUUCUCCUUGGUUCUGGCGUUCACAUGAAUAAAAGAGACAAACAUGUAUGAUUUACAACUCUAGAUUAACCAACCCAAUCGAUUCAACAUGUUUAGCCCUUCCACCUUUGUGAUCCCACACUCCUAUUCAUAUGAGCUAAAGUGUUGCACACGCAAUCUUUGGAAGAUAUAUACAUAAACAACAUAAGUAUAGAUAGAUUAUCUCUCUAUUAGGUUGAGCGAUCUGAUCUGACAAAUGUUUUAAAUGCUAUACUCAUGAUAUUAUUAUCCAUCAACUUUGUCUUGCCCACUAUGCUUAAGGCUAGAGAAGAAUAAAUACACUUUUGGUUCUGUUGGUGUUUUCCACCAACAGGGCCCAUGCACUUGAUCUCUGCCUUGUCUCUAUGAGCAGGUACACUUCGAGUAAAAUAUGAAGGACUUUUACAACUCCUAGACUCCACCAAGUGAAGAACCUAGAUCUACGAGCACAAACACACUGGAGUAACCCUGUUGUGGAAGUAAUUACUGACCUUCUGCCGGUCAAGAGAGGCGAUCUAGGACGCCCCGUCAUCCCGAUCUUCAUCGGCAUGGUGGACUUCCUAGAAGCACUCUGCGAUUUUGGCUCCAGCGUCAACAUUAUGUCCAGGAUCGGACACUAAAUUUCCCAAAGGGAAUAUUGAAGAACCUCUGCGUCCGAGUUGGUACCUUGUACGCCCCAGCAGACUUCGUGGUGAUAGAGACUGAUACUGAUGAGAGGGCACCCAACAUCCUAGGGAGGUCAUUCCUGAACACCUCGGGAGCUGUCAUCUACGCUAGUGCUGCCAAGAUCAGUUUCUACAUCAAGGGGAAGAAGGAGACGUUUUCCUUCGAGAACAAGAUUACACAAAUCUCAGAGAAAUCCCGACAUGAACCAAGGAAGAGGACCAACAGGAGGGACAGGAACAAGCAAAUGUGGACCAAGUCAGCUAAGAUGGUCACUGCAGUUCAAGGAGGUCAAGAUCGUCGACUUAAGUCACCGUUACUGACCAAAAAGGACUACCUAAGUAUGCCAAGCAUCCAGUGCUCCAUUAAUGAAUACAACUUCUAGAAGACGCUUUGCGACACCGGGUCAAGCGUCAACAUAAUGGCCGUAGUCACUUAUCCACUCCUGUUCAGAACCAUGCCCCUAAAACUGACAUACAUUCAGCUCCAGAUGAUAGAUCAGACAUUCCGAAAGGUUAUUGACAUGGGAGAAGACGAGUACGAUCCACCCAUCAUCCUUGGGAGACUGUUCCUUAGCACGGUUAAAGCAAUCAUCUACAUUGGAACCGGAGAAGUCCACAUGCAUUUCCUCUCUGAGAAGGUAUGCUGCUAUUUUACUAACCUUAACUAUAUAGUUGAAGACUCUAAGAAGGUUAGGACAAGAAGAAGACAACGUAACCGCAACCAGAGAAGGCAAAUGAUCAAGGACAGAUGGGCAGACUAUGAAGGAGAAGUAGUAAGGUCUGAAGACAUACAACUUGAACAGAACUGUCCUGAGGAGACCGUAGCACCGAGUUAGGUGUGGAGAGAGAAGAUAGUUAUACACGAAGAGGAGGCACUACCGGAACCACUGAUUACGCCAUCCAGCGAAUCCCAGGACGACUGAGAAAACGGAGAGUCCCGCUCGGAGGACUUAAAAACACUGAACGCCUUGCCAAGAGGUAAACUUGGUAGUUAUCCUUUUCCUUUUAAUUAUUUAAAAUAGUUUUCUUAGUUAAUCAGGUUCAUAUCAUCUUGAAAAGAAAAUAAAAAUGUUAAAAAUAGUAAGCCCCGUGUGAGUAUGCUCAUGGCAUAAAACCCAUAAGUACAUUCACUGUGGUGGCAUAAAAAUGAAAUAAAUAUAUUCCUGUCCUAUAAAAAUAAAAUUAUAAAAACAAAAUUAUGAUCCUACUAAAUAGAGUAACAUUUAUUGAGGAGGCUCAACAUGAUAAAGGCUAGAUACUUAUGCUAACACUUAACUAGUUGCACAAAGCUUUGUUGUCUAUUUGAGCUCCAUAGAAUUCAAGGAUCAAAGAAGACUAGCAGACGGAGGAAAUCCUAAUCGCUGUCAGGGCGCUGCCGACAUUCAAAUACACCUCCGCCACCUGCUAGCUACAUCACAAGGAAUUACGUCAAAACCCAACUUGGGGGAGAGCAACCCCAUUUAUCCAGCUAAGUGCUCUACUAAUGUUUAUAUUUUACUCAAAUAAUAAAAAGAUGCAUAAUAAUAAAAACCCAAAUAAAUAUUUUGUGCUUAUAUAUAUAUAUCUUUGCUUAGCUUGCUAAAUAAAUAAAUAAAGUUUGCUAUGAACCCUCAUGACAAGCUCUCACAUAGAAAUGAUGAAUAGUUACUCUGCCAUGACUAGUUCUCAAAAAUUGAAAUCUCUCUCAAGUUUAGGCAUGACUGGUAUUAAUUAAGAUUUGCUCUAAACCUGAACUUGUGGGGAGAAGACUUGAUCAAAAGUCUAAGUCGUUAAUGGAUAUGAUACGGGAAGGUUGAGCUGUUGUUUAUCUGUUCCUAGAGAUGCUAGAAUUCUGGAGAAUUUUAUCUUUGAAAAUCUUUAAAAUGUUGCAUGAUGAGUUCCUGUAUGAUGAGAGUUUAAAAUCCUACCACAGCCAUAUAUACAUGCUUGCUAGACUAUGAACCACACAUUUACUUUACUACUUAUGAGCAUUGAGUGUGGUCAAGCUGUGUAGACCCUUAGGAGCUGGUCAUGUGGUCAAAUCAAGAUUCACUUGCACGUUCACUCAUACAUGCUACUUCUACUUCGGAAGUACGCAUCCACAUAUAUUCAUCCAUUUCCAUCUCCAGAACCACCCAAAAAUAUUCUACUCCUAAUCCGGGAGAGAAUAGCCAAAAACAUUCUCCUAUUUCUAUUUUUCCCUGUGAAAUAAAUGCUCAAGUUAUCUUGGUUACUACCACUUGCUAUAUUAUUUCAGGAGAUGAGUGCUCUAAAAAAAGAGAGAGAAAAAAGAAGGAAAAAAAGAAAGAAUACGAGGAAAUAAAAAGGGGCAAGUGCCCGGAACCUCGAAGAAAAAAAAGUGAGACGAGAGGUAAAAAUGGACAAGUGUCCGACAGUAGAAUUAGGGGUACAAGAUACCCACCUGAGAGAAAAGAAAAAUAAAAUAUAGAGCAUCUCAUUCUCCUCAAAAAGUUUCAAAAGAGCAAGAAAGGUAUGUAUCCCCUCAAAAGAGCACAAGUAGAAUUAGACUUUCACCAUUGUUAUCACCAUCAUCACCAUACACCAUUCAUUUGCCACACAUGCACAUCUUGAUUUGACUUAUUGACUUGUUCUUCUGGAUCCAUGGUUUGACUAUGCAAUAAAUGUCUUGUAAGUAUGUAUUAGCUGUCUCCCACCUAUGAGUUCCAGAUAUCAAAAGCCUUAUUAGAGUAGGGUGAGAGAGAAGGCAAUGCCACUAUGCCUCAUACCAAAAAUACUACAUACUUUGAGAGAAGGCAUAUACCAUUACUGCCUUGGUAAGGAUCCAGAAAUACCACAAAAGAGACUAUAGAGAGAGUCAUACAAGGAAUCUCUGAGUUUUAUUUGAAAAUCUGCAAAAACUCCAGAGCUAUAGUUAAUCGAAGAACAAGAGACAUGGCGCUUGACUAGACCGUUCUAUCUUUUAACUACUCAAGACAGAAGUGAUGGUUACAAGUCCCAUGGUGAAAGGUACAAUAAGCAUGAAACCACUGCAGAAACUCUUGAGUUCAUCUUUGCUCAGGGACGAGCAAAGGUUAAGAUUGGGGGAGCUUGUUGACGGUCCUUAAUGCUCACAUUUAACCAUCAACUAAUCAUGGAAAAGGAUCCAAAUGCAACCAACACCUAGACUUUGGGUUUUAUCUGACAGAAUUCCACGAGUUUUGGUGUUUGUCUAUUUCUGCAGGGGGUUAUCAGGAAAUACGGAAGAAAGGCCCACACAUCGGGUUUACAUAGAGAUAUUAAUGUGUUGCGCAAUUUUCUGCCAUCUAGAAGACUGCAGAAGCCACGGGAAGGAAGCAGAGGCCAAGAGGACUCAGGGACAGGGCGCCCGCCCUCCUUUCCUGGGCGCCCGCCCUCAACCAGAGUCCAAUCAGGACUCUCUUUCGGGAUAUUGCUCCACCGACCUAAAGGAUCAAGGAUAACUGUUCCAUCAAUGUCGGUUUGAUCAAAUGGCCCAAAUUCACUUGGAGGGACUAUAAAACCAGACCCCCUGGCCCCUGGAGAUCAUACCUCUUCUACAGAAUCAAAGCUAGGGUUUCAAUUCUUCAUCCAAGUAGAGAGGAUCCCUCUAGUUCUUCUAGUUCUACCUCUAGUUCAUCUAGAUCUAGUUCUAGUUCAUCUAGUUCUAGUUUCUCUAGUUCUAGUUCUAGUUAGUUCUAGUUGUAAUCUAGAAAAUAGGGAGAGAGAAGAGGAGAGCGGAGGAGGAGCCGGAUCUGUCGGAUCUUCCUCAACAUUAUAUUUUUGCAGCAUCUGGUUCGUUCUUCAUCGUUCUCCAGGUUCUUCAAUUCAUACUUCCUCAGUUCUUUAAUUACUUUUGUUUACAUUCAAGUUAUUUAUUGGAUUCCCGCUUGCAUCAAGUGCUCUAGUCUUUAUAACGCUAGAGUAGUAAUUAAUAAAUUAGACGUGCUGUUUAGUCUUGCAAUUACCUAGAAUUGCACCCAAUCCUGCGGAUUGUUGUGGUAGCCUUAGGGUAGUGACAGCCCUAACGGUCGACGUAUUCCACCACGUUCGGAUCGGUGUUUGUAGGACCGUAGUGAGGCCUUCCUAGCCCCCUUCUCAUCUCUUUCUGUGGUUAGUGCUCUGAUGUCCCGAUAUAGAUAAUCUUGAAGUAAUUCUUGAUUCUUAGAUCAACUAGAGAACUCUUAGGAAACUUCCUCUCUUCCCACCAAAAACAAUUAUAUAGUUAUCCUUGGGCGAUCUUGGAUCUUAAUUAGUACACUCACGUUCUCUGUGGAAAAUCGAUACUCUGGAAUACUCCCGGGUGAAGGCUACAUCGUUAUCCGUGCGCUUGCGGAUUUUUCUGUUUGCGUUUAAAAUACCCAACAGCUAUCAACAAAAUAGUGGCUCCUACCAACAAAACCGAGCUCCAAUCUCUGAUCGGCAAAGUAAAUUUUAUCAGGCGGUUUAUUUCCAACUUAUCUAAAAAAAAUCGCGCUUUUAGUCCUUUACUUAAAUUAAAAGCCGAUCAAGAAUUUAUAUGGGGAGAAGAGCAACAGUUGGCUCUGGAUGAAAUCAAUAAUUAUUUGACAUAUCACCCAGUCUUAAUUCCACCUCAGCAAGGAAAGUCCUUCAGAUUAUAUUUGUCUACCGAUGGAGUGGUCAUCGGUUCGGCUUUGAUUCAAGAAUUCGAAGGGAAGGAGCUUGGGAUUUACUAUUUAAGCAGAAGAUUGAUUGAUGCUGAGACUAGGUAUUCGGCUAUUGAGAAAUUAUGUUUAUGCCUAUAUUUCUCAUGUAUUAAAUUGAGGCACUAUUUGUUAUCGGCCGAAUGCACUAUUAUAUGCAAAGAUGACGUGGUCCGGUAUAUGCUAUCGAUGCCGAUUAUGAGUGGCAAGAUCAGUAAGUGGAUUUUGGCACUAUCGGAAUUCGUCUGUUUUACGAAUCAGCUAAAGCAGUUAAAGGACAGAUUUUGGCCAAUUUUGUGACUCAACAUCGUGGUGCAGUGGAGACUUUGGAAAUUGUACCUUGGACGCUCUUCUUUGAUGGAUCCACAUGUGACCAGGGGGCAGGAAUCGGCAUAGUAUUAAUUUCCCCUUAGGGAAGGAAAUAUGAGUUUUCUUUGCCGAUUGUUGCCACAUCAACGAAUAAUCAAGCCGGGUAUCAAGCAUUAAUCAAGGGGUUGGAGUUGUUAAAAGAAGUUCAGGCUGACGCUGUUGAAAUCUUCGGGGAUUCUAUGCUGGUUAUAAAUCAAUUGGCUGGAAGCUAUGAAUACCGAAGCGAAGUCCUGAUAACUUAUUACAAAAAGAGUGUGCGACUGUUAAGGGAAUUCAAAGAUUUCCGAUUAGAGCAUGUUCCUCGGUUACAUAAUGAGGAGGCUAAUCGGUUGGCUCAGCAUGCCUCAGGGUAUCAAUCCAUGUUGAACACAUUAUCGGCAAUAAGUGCUGAUGAUUGGAGAAGAGAAAUAAUUGAUUAUUUAAAGGAUCCAUCUAAGAAGGUUGAGAGGCGUGUUCGGUUUCAAGCCACCAAGUAUGUGCUCCUCGAGGAUGAAUUAUAUUAUUGAACAGUCGAUGGAGUUCUUCUUAAGUGCUUAGGUGAUGAUGAAGCUAAAAGUUUGAUGGGAGAGAUCCAUGAAGGAGUGUGUGGAGCACAUCAGUCGGCUUUUAAGAUGAAAUGGAUGAUCAGGAGGAACGGAUAUUAUUGGCCAACCAUACUUGAAGAUUGUUUUAAAUAUUUCAAGGGAUAUCAGGGAUGUCAGAAAUUUGGUAAUAUUCAAAGGGCGCCCGCAUCAGCCAUGAAUCCCAUUAUUAAACCUUGGCCGUUCCGUGGAUGGGCUAUUGAUCUAAUCGGCUAGAUUUACCCACCAUCAAGCAAAGGGCAUAAGUUCAUCCUGGUUGCCACCGACUAUUUCACCAAGUGGGUUGAAGCUAUUCCUUUGAAGAAGGUCACAUCGGCCAAUAUGAUUGAUUUUGUGAAAGAGCAUAUUAUUUACCGAUUUGGUAUUCCUCAGACGAUUACUACCGAUCAGGGUACUAUGUUUACAUCGGGUGAGUUUGAUGAAUUUGCAAUCGGUAUGGGGAUUAAAGUGUUGAAUUCUUCUACUUAUUAUGCUCAAGCUAAUGGGCAAGCCGAGGCGUCUAACAAAGGAAUUAUUAAACUUAUCAAAUGAAAGAUUGAGGAAAAUCAUAGGAGGUGGCAUACGGUGUUAAAUGAAGCUUUAUGGUCAUAUCGGAUGGCUUGUCAUGGGUUGACCAAAGUAUCACCUUAUCAGUUGGUGUAUGGACACGACGUUAUGUUACCGUGGGAGAUUAAAACCGGAUCUAGGCGAUUAUCUUUUCAAGAUCAGCUGACUGCCGAUGACUAUGCUACUUUGAUGAAAGACGAGUUGGAUGAUUUAGCAGGGCAUCGGCUGAGGGCUUUGACGAGUAUAGAAGAAACUAAAAAGAGAGUUGCCAGAUGGUAUGAUAAGAAUGUAAAGGCUAAGGAGUUUGCCGAUGGAGACUUAGUAUGGAAACUAAUCUUAUCGAUCGGGACUAAAAGUUCAAAUUUUGGGAAGUGGUCUCCUAAUUGGGAAGGUGCUUAUCGGAUAAAUCGAUCUGCUCCUGGCAAUGCCUAUAUUUUAGAAACUCUUGAAGGAGUUGAAUUUCAUAGGGCAUUGAAUGACAAAUAUUUAAAGAAAUAUUACCCUAGCAUAUGGAUUGAUGCGUGAAAGUUUAAGUGCCGAUAACAUUCCUAUCGGCUGGAUCAAAGUGUAUCUGGGGCCGAAAUCAAUAUUUUAAAAGGGUGCCGAUAACAGUCCUAUCGGCUAGACCAAAAUGUUCAGGAGUUCUCAGAGCAAAGCACGUCGUCGAUCAAAAGUUCAUGCAUUCAGCAUGGCUUGGAUGGCCGAUAUAGCACGCAGGCAAAUUUGAUUGGCUUCUUCUAUCUCUUUGAUAUCUUCAUCAGCAGAGCCUUCCACCGGUUUUAGCUUCUUCUUCAUCUGCAGUGCCUUGCGUGCUUGGGCGUUCCGCUCUUGUUCUAGGGUCUUGAUCAUCUCAGGCAGCUGACUUUCUUCCUGUUGAGCUUCGGACAGCGCUUCUUCCACUUGUUUAAGUUCUGCCAAUAGGGCUUCUAUUUUCGCCGAUAGGACAGAAAUCUUUUGCUUCAGCACGUCUCCUGAGGAUUUCAGAAUGCCGAUGCUCUUAUGCUUCUCAUCGGCAAGAUGCUUUACCUUCAUCACCUCCUCUGAAAGCUGGGCAUAAGUGGCCCUAUCGGCAAGGCGCUGAGUGGCCUUUUGGUACUGAAGCUGUCGACUCUCCAAGUAUGCGGCCUUGAAAAGGAUAGAGCCUUAGCUGGAUCGAAGUCAUCAACUAGUUGGGCCGUAUCUUGGUGAAGUAGGGCCAGCAGAUUCUCUAGCUUUGCUCUGAUUUCUGCCGAUGAGAUCCCAAUUGCUUGAGAAGAACUCGCUUCCUCACCUUCAUCUUCAGAGAUUUCGAUGGCGAAGGAGAACAGGCUGUCAGGAGAAUCUUGUUCCUGAAAGAGAGAAGAAGAUAAGUUAUUUGAUGAUGAAAUAUUGGUAAAAUAAAGAAUGAUUAUCAGAUAACUUACUUGUUUCAGAGCUAUCUCUCGCCUCUGGCUAGUUGAAGCCAGUGGUCCCACAGGUUGAUCGGCUGGAGUUGACGAUGAGACUGUCUCAGCUGAAAGAUUGAUAGAGAUAAUUAUAAAGUGGAAAGAUAGGUCGAUCGGCAAUAAUCUCAUAGACAGUACUUUACCUUGAGGGGGUGCAACGUUUGUCUAGAUCGAGGAGACUACCGAUGCUAUGAUUGAGCUCACUGGAUCGGUGGUCUGCUCGUGUACAUCGGCCGAUAUUUCUUUUGGCUGAGGUUCUUCUGGCUGGGGUUCUUCUUGUGGCUGAGGAGGAGACGGUGCUUGUUGUGUCUGAGCUUCUAGAGAAGAGGGGGACGAUUCUACAGGGAUCGGUGACCUUGGAGGAGGGGGAGGCGUUGCUGUUCUCUGACACUUCGCUUGUGACUUGAUAGUCUUAGGGCCCUUUCUCUUUGCUUGGCUGGAUUGGGGGGCAUUGGCAAUCACUUUUGUGCUUCGGGUCUUUGCCGAUUUGCCGGUUUGCUGAUACAACAAUGAAAGUUUUAUCAGUACGAGUGUAACAGGAUAUCGAUGAGGUUCUGGUUGAAAUAAUAAAAGUUACCGAUGAAGUUCCCAUGCUAGCCGAUGUGUCCUAAAAAAUUGUGUAAAUGUACGAAUGGAAUCGGUAUAAGUUGAAGAAUUCGAGAAUUUACCUUGAAAGCUUGUGCCAAAGUAGUGGCAGCUACCGACGGGGAUGUUUUCGUUCGCUUGGUGGUGAUUUUCUUGAGACGCGCACCCCGGUGCAUUAAAGCAACCAAGCUUGGAGCGUUGUUGCCGAUCAAAGAGAUCGGGCCUGAUGGAAGGAGUUCGAUCGGCCUACCACUUUUGCUAACUAAUGGUGGCGUAUCAUCGACCUGUAUAAAACAAAGAAAGUGAGUUACCGAUAUAAAAUGAGAGUGAAAGGAUUGAAACAUCGGUUAAAAUGCUUACAGUAUUAUCGGGGACCUUGUAUUUAGGGUCGAUCAUGCCACGAUAUGUGAGGGCCGAUUUGCAGAACAGAUGCUCUUUCCACUCUUCCCACCACUGUUUGUAUGCCUGAGUAAUGAAGAGAGUUGGGAUCCAAGCCGAUAGGUCGACAUUUAUAUCGGCGUUUGGUGGAAGUUGAGCUAUUCUGAUCCAUUCGAGAUUGCUGGUGAUGGUCUCCCUCGGCUUUAUCACAUCGGCGUAGCAAAGUGCAAUCGGCAGUUGGCCGAAAGCCAAUUGGUGAGCUAGUACCGAUGGGUUAUAAAACUCAUAGGUCAGAUCGGAAGCUUUCCCACUACCAAAGAAGUUCACUAGUAUGGCUCUUGUGGUGAUAAUUGCCAUCAUCACGUCACGGUCCUUGUUGAGAGCAUCAUUGAAGGGAUGGAAAGUUAGGGGAAAUCUGGUGUCUGGAUCUUCAUAAGGCAUCCAUGCUCGCUGUUCUCUGGUCAAACCUUCAUACAGAGUCUGAAAGAAUCGGCUAACCUAGUCUUCAUUACCACCAGUGCCAGGUAAGACUAUGGCAGCUUCGCCAAAGUUCUAGGGGGAGCGAGUUGCCGAUUCUUCUUCGUCCAAUUCAUAAUCCUCGGCUAUGUCUCUGGGGAAGCGCUAUGCAAAGAGGUCGAAUUCAAGGCGCUUGUGCAUGUGGAGACUAAACCACAUGUUGAUAAACCACCAAGGACCCCCUAAGUUGCUGAUAGAUUGGCCUAGCAGAAGUUUCUUGGCUACCUGGUGAAGGAGGUGAUAAGCAGAGCCGAGCAAGUAUCAGCCAAGAGGGAAUCGGCCACCCUUGGCUAAUCUUUCUGCUGCCGAUAGGUAAAUAGUGGUUGGUCCUGCCGAUCGGCCAUAGAAUACAAACUUGUCCAGCCAUAUGUUUAGAAAAGUGGUCUGUGCCUCUGCACUGAUAGGUCCUAUUUUUCGGUACUUCUGAAUGUACCCAGACCAACCACCGAUAGCGCGAGUUUCUACCUUAAAACUAGGUUUGGUGUCAAAUAAAUGGCUUUUAUUGGCGGUGGAUAUGUUUAAGCCAGUGAGCAUGAGUACAUCGGCAAGUGUAGGAGAGGCAGGGCCAUGUCCAAAUAAAAAAGCAUUGAGUGUGUCUGACCAAAAGUACGAAGCAGCGAUUAGUAGUGACACAUUCCUCUCCAUAUCGGCAAGGGACAAUCUAAUGCACUGGUCUAACUUCCGUUCGCCCCAUUGAACCUCAUUUGAAUGGCUGACUUUCAGGAACCAUUCCUUCCAUCCCUUGGUGGGGCUGGGCCAGGAACGGAAGGCAUCUUUCCAUAGAUCUAGUGAGAGGUUUUCGGCCCUAAAGGGGAUUCUAUUUGUCUCUGCGUUUAUCAGAUCGGUGGGAUUUGGGUUUCCUAGCGGGCCAAUACAUUGGAGGUGAGGUUGAUCGGUAGGAAUUACGAUCUUAUCGGCCAAAUCUUAGAAAUUUUUUAGGAUAAAAGGAAGAACAAAAAGAAAAAGGAGUAUCCAGUAAAAGGAAUUGCAGAUGAACAGGAGUACAGCGAAAGUGCGAGAAGAAAAAGGAUGAUGAACUGACCUCGGGGACGAUGAAGUUGAUCGCCAUUCCUUCUUGAGGGAAGGAGAGAUCGAAGGCUUUAAGGGUUGUUGGAGGAGAUCCUUGUUGAAGUUCCCAGAGUCCUCGAGUAUUGCCGUUGCCAAGGAAGUGGAUUUGGGGCUACAGAAUGACAAGAUAGAGAAGGAGUACCGGAGAAGGAAAUAUUUAUAGGGCAAAACGGGUAGGGGCAAAUCUGACUUAUCUCUUUGCCGCAUCCUUGAAAUCUGAGGGUAUUCAUGUGGAUAUGGUAACUGUUCGCACGGUAAUUAAGGGAUUGCACAGGUGAUUUGACAGCAAGCGGUCAUGAUUUUGAAGAUAUUUCACUGUACAAGAUCUCCUGGUCAGUCCAUCGACAGUUCUUUCUAACGGUAAUAUUGCCGAUGGGCGCAAAAAGGGGAAAGAUUCGGUUCAGGAGGUUGAGGAAUUCGAGGGAUCUGCAGGAGAAUCGGGUCAGGGUUGUUCGGAUUUAACGGCCGAUUACCAAAUUAGGAGAAUUAAUUGCGGAAAGGCAUCAUUAUUGCAGAGAAUUUUGGAGCAUUAAUGAUUUUAUACUCCGAAAUUGGGGGGCAUGUGUUGACACCUUUUUAGACACAUAUCCUUUGACGUGUACCUGGGGUUAGUAAAGUAUAGAUCGGCAGACGAAGCAACAGUAACUAGUUUACAGGGAAGUUGCCGAUGAAGGUGGUUGCCGAUGAGGAAACAACUGGAUGUGACUAAGUACAAAGAUGGUGACGUGUUCGUGCCGAUGACCAGUGACAAUGUUUGCCGAUGGCCACAACAGGAGGUCUGCCGAUGACUCUAAAGAAAAGCGUGGAGGUUGCCAAUUGAUCUGUGGCGGUGCCCCGGUCGGCUACAAGGGGGUAGUUUUAUGUUUUCCUUAGUUAUUAGAAUUCGAUUUGUGUACGGGUUCCGUUUAGUUUGGAAUUCGACUCCUAGUCGUGUCUGGUUGUAGCUCUUCGGACAGGGUAUUAAUAUAGACCCUAGGGCAAUGUAAUGAGACAAUCUAUCAAUCAAUCAAACACAAGUUUUUACUCAUAUUCCAACAUCUACUUUUUCGACGACUUCGUCUUAUUUUCCUUUUACUACGAGUUCUUAGGAAUUCGUCGAGUUAGACUCGGUGCGUUCUCAAGUUCCCCGUGAUCACCUCUUGGCCGUGACAUCCGGGCGCAUCACUGUUGUUGGGACCAAAGUGGUCGAGUUACCACCUUUGUCGAUUGUAAGGUCAAAUCGGCUGGCACGCCUUAACGUUUGAAUCUAGUAUUAGCCCUUUGUGUUUCCAGAUCAGUUUUGCAUCAACACAAACCUAUAGAAAUAAAGCAAUAGUGAAUUUAUAGAUUGCAAACCAGCAUGUGGAGCGAUGAGGAAGAACUUGGUUAGAUCUAGAGGAGUUGGCCUUUCUUCCUCAUGUCUCAGCUUCUCGACCUCAAAGGUGACAGUGUAAAACAUUACAUGCUUUUCUCUUGUCAAUCUUUUAUUGAUACCUAAUAAUUAGUGGUUGACAAUAGAAUCAACUCCAUGGAGCGAGUGCUUUGAUCAUGGAUCAUGUUUUGUGGUACUCGUCUUUCUUCUUGGCUACGCGUGAGCUAUCUCUCCCUUGUGCAAAAUUAUUGUGUUUCUUUUCAUCUCCGAUGUUAGUUCAUCUCAGGACUUUCCCAUUUUGGAUUUGAUACAUUUCCUGCAGGGGUUAUUCCAACAAAAAUAUUUCAAUAUCUACUACAGCAUACUAUCGGUUCAAAAAUCAACCUCAACACCAUGUUGUUGACACCGUUUUUGGACACGUAUCUGAGAGUUAAUGAGGCAUGGAUCGACAGGUGAAUAAAGUGGUGACUGGUUGACAGAAGAGUUGCCGAUGAGGGUUGAUACCUGUUGAUAUUUGGUAACGCAAUUAGAAAAUGAUCCGCAAGCGCACGGAUAUCGGUGAGCAUUUCACCCGGGAGGUUUUCCAGAGUAUCGUAUUUAUAUUUUUACCACUGGGAGAAAGGGUGCAUCUGACUAACCAAAUCUAUUGCUACUAUCCCUUUAGGCUACAAAGAAUGUCUCUCGAUGUGAGUGAUGUAUAGAGAAGACUGCAACCGUAGUCUCGUUCUAACCGUGGUAAGGAUGAUCUACUGUUCUAUUGGGGAGGCUCACGGAAUCUAGACAACACAAAGGAUGUUCGACCCGCACCUAUAAACCUACCCGUCCUGCUAACGAGAUGUGAUCUGCAAAGGUAACUCGGAAAUGUCACGUUCCUCGCUACUACCACGGUCCAGCUAGUCAGGGGAUAUCUAUGAGUACCCUAGCCUAAACACCACGUUUACGCUAACAAGUGAUUACUCUAAUACUCAACCGGAAGAGGAUUAAAGUAAACUCAUAAACCAAAGAACAAUAAAACAAGAACUUACUAGUAUUAGAAGGCGAAUUACUGAAGAAUCUUAGAAGCAAGCCUCGGGUUAGGAGACUUGAUCCCGUAGGUACAACUCGGAGUAGACACCGACAGGCCGGCCUUCCUCCGAUCCACACCUCCACUCUAUCUCUCUCAAUCUAGUAGAAACUAGAAGAUCUAUUUCUACUUUACAUUGGUUGCUAAGCCUAAAAAGAAAUAUUAUUUAGAGAAGAGGUUUUCCUUCGAGGGCACCCCUCAAUCUCUAAGAUAAUUUCUUGUCUCGUCCAGGGGCCAGAGGGGGUCUCCUUAUAUAGUCCUCACCUUCUAUGCGUUUUUGGGUCGAUAGGCGAGGUGGUACUAUGUUAUUCUAGAUCCAUUAGGUCGGUGGAACGUCGUGUGCGAAGAGAGUCCGGAACGGAGUCCAGAGGGGGGCGGGCGCCCAGGUCCUCAGGGCGGGCGCCCUGGGCCUGGCCCCUUUCGGGCUCCGCUUGCUUCCCGUGGCUUCUGGAGUCUUCUAGAUGGUAGAAAAUUGCGCGGUGGGUUGAUAUCUCUAUGUAAUCCCAACAUGUGGGCCUUUCUUCCUUAUUUCCUGAUAACCCCCUGUAGAAAUAGACAAACACCAAAACUCAUGGAAUUCUGUCAGAUAAAACCCUAAGUCUAGAUGUUGAUUUCAUUUGGAUCCUUUUCUUUGUUUAUUUGAUAAGUAAAUUUGAUACUUAAGGACCGUCAACAAACUCCCCCAAGCUUACCUCUUGCUCGUCCCUGAGCAAGGAUAGACUCAGCUAUGGAUCAUAAAUUGUUGCAAUAUUUUUAAAAAUUGAUGUACACAUGCUUUUUAAAUAAGAUCUCAUCUCUGAGUUAGAGUAAACUGUCAAGACUUAAAACUUACUUACUUUACCUUUACCAUGGGACUUGUAACUGUCACUUCUGUCUUGAGUGGUUAAAAGAUAGAACAGUCUAGCCAAGUGCCAUGUCUCUUAUUCUUGAUCAGCUAUAGCUCAGGGGUUUUUGCAGAUUUUCAAAUAAAACUCAGAAAUUCCUUGUAUGAUUCUCUCAGGUCUCUCUUUUGUGGUAUUUUUGGAUCCUUACCAAGGCAGUGAUGGUAUAUGCCUUCUCUCAAAAUAUGUAGUAUUUGUGGUAUGAAGCAUAGUGACAUUGUCUUCUCUCUCACCCUACUCUAAUAAGGCUUUAAUAUCUGGAGCUCAUAGGUGGAAGAUAAAGUAUACAUACUUACAAGACAUUUAUUGCAUAGUCAAACCAUAGAUCCAAAGAAAUAAAUCAAUAAGCCAAAUCAAGAGGUGCAUGUGUGGCGAAUGAAUGGUGUAUGGUGACGAUGGUGAUAACAAUGGUGGUGGAAGUCUAAUUCUACUUUGCUCUUUGAGGGGAUACAUACCUUCCUUGCUUUUGAAACUUUAUGAGGAGAAUGAGAUGCUCUUCUUUUUCUUUUCUUUCGAGGUUCCGAGCACUUGCUCCUUUUUAUUUCCUCGUAUAUUAUUAUUUUUUUUUCUCUUUUUUUUCUUCUUUUUUUUUCUCUUUUUUUUUACUAGAGCACUCAUCUCCUGAAAUAAUGUAGCAAGUGGUAGUAACCAAAAUAACUGGAGCAUUUAUUUCACAGGGAAUAACAGGGAUAGGAAAAUGUUUUUGGCUAUUCUCUCCCGGAUUAGGAGUAGAAUAUAGAAAUGAGUGGAUAUAUGUGGAUGGUACUUCCGGAGUAGAAGUAGCAUGUAUGAGUAAUCGUGCAAGUGAAUCUUGAUUUAACCACAUGACAAGCUCCUAAGGGUCUACACAGCUUGACCACACUCAAUGCUCAUAAGCAGUAAAUAGUAAAUGUGUGGCUCAAGGUCCAGCAAGCAUGUAUAUAUGGCUGUGGUAGGAAUUUAAACUCUCAUCAUACAGGAACUCAUCAUGCAAUAUUUUAAAGAUUUUUAAAGAUAAAAUUCUCCAGAAUUCUAGCAUCUCUAGGAACAGAUAAACAGCAGCUCAACCUUCCCAUAUCGUAUCCGUUAACAACUUAGACUUCAGAUCAAGUUUUCAUCCCACAAGUUUAGGUCUAGAGCAAGCCUUAAAUUAUAACAGUUAUAUCUAAACUUGAGAGAGAACUUCAAAUUUGCAAAUUAGGCAGAGCAACUAUUCAUCAUAUCCAUGCUUAAGUUUUAUUAGAUACAGAUUAGCAUAGCCACUUUAUUUAUUUAUUAAACACACUAAGCAAAAUAUAUAUAAGCAUAAAAUCUUUAUUUGGUUUUUUAUAGUUAUGUGUAUUUAUAUUCUAAUAUAGUAUAAGUAUAAAGAUAGAUAGAAAUACUUAUCGAGAUAAAUGGAGGUGCUCUCCCCCAAGCUGAAUUUUGACGUAAUUUCUCUUGAUGUAGCUAGCAGGUGGCAGAUGUGUGUUUGAAAGUCAGUAGUAUUUUGACAGCGAUUAGAAUGUCCUCCGUCUGCUAGUCUUCUUGAUUCUUAAAUUCUGUGGAGCUCAAAUAGACAACAAAGCUUGUGGAACUGAUUAAGUGUUAGCAUAAAUAUCUAGCCUUUAUCAUGUUGAGACUCCUUAAUAAAUAUUACUCCCUAUUUUUAUAUUUUCAUUUUAUAAAGCAGAAAAAUAUUUAUUUUAUUUUUAUGCCACCAUAGUGAAUGUACUUAUGGGUUUUAUGCCACUCGUAUACUCAUAUGGGGCUUACAGUUUUUUUUUCACAUUUUUAUUUUCUUUCUAGGAUAAUACGAACAUGAUUAACUAAGUAAACUAUUUGAAAUAAUUAAAAGGGAAAGGAUAACUACCAAGUUUACCUCUUGGCAAGGCGUUCGGUAUUUUUAAGUCCUCCAAACGGGACUCUCCGUUUUCUUAGUCGUCCUGGGAUUUGCUGGGUGGCGUAGUCGGUGGUUCCGGCGGCGACUCCUCUUCGUGUAUAACUAUCUUCUCUUUCCACACCUGACUCGGUGCUACGGUCUCCUCAGGACAGUUCUGUUCAAGUUGUAUGUCUUCAGUCCUUAUCACUUCUCCUUCGUAGUCUACCCAUCCGUCCGAUUUGCCUCCUCUGGUUGCGGUUUCUCUUCUUCUUGUCCUGACCUGCUUAGAAUCUUCAACCAUAUAAUCAUUAAAGUAGUGGCGUAUCUUUCGUAGAGGGGAAGUGCAUGUGGACUUCUCCGGUUCCAAUAUAGAUAAUGGCUUUGAUAGUGCUGAGGAACGGUCUUCCAAGGAUGGUGGAUGGAUCAUACUCAUCUUCUCCUAUGUCAAUGACCUGAAAAUUGUUUGAAGCUGAAUGUAUCUUGGUUGUAGGGGCAUGGUUCCAUGCAGGAGCUGAUAAGUGACUGCGGCCAUUAUGUUGUCGUCAGAUCCGGUGUCGUAGAGUGUCUUCUAAAAAGAGUAUCCAUUGUUUGGGCAUUCGAUUCUUGGAACACUAGGGUCGUCCUUCUUGAUCAAGAAAGGUGACUUGAGUCGACGAUCUUGACCUCCUUAAGCUGCAGUGACCAUCUGAGCUGACUUAGUCCACAUUUGCUUGUUCCUUUUCCUCCUGUUGGUCCUCUUCCUUGGUUCAUGUCGGGAUUGCUCUGAAGUUUGUGUAGUCUUGUUCUUGAAGGAAAGUCUCCUUCUUCCCUCUGAUGUAGAGACUGAUCUUGGCAGCAUUAGCGUAGAUGACAGCUCUGGUGUUUAGGAAUGGCCUCCCUAUGAUGAUGGGUGCCCUCUCCUCACUACCAGUCUCUAUCACCAUGAAGUUUGCUAGAGUGUACAAGGUACCAACUCGGACACAGAGGUUCUUCAAUAUUUCCUUUGGGAAACUAAGUGUCUGAUCUCCAUUGUGUUUGUGCUCGUAGAUCCCGGUUCUUCACUUGGUGGAAUCUAGGAGUUGUAAAACUCCUCCAUGUUUUGUUUGAAGUGUACCUGUUCAUAGAGACAAGGCAGAGAUCAAGUGCAUGGGCCCUGUUGGUGGAAAACACCAACAGAACCAAAAGUGUAUUUGUUCUUCUCUAACCUUAAGCAUAGUGAGCAAGACAAAGUUGAUGGAUCAUGAGUGUAGCAUUUAAAACAUUUGUUAGAUCAGAUGGCUUAACCUAAUGGAAAGAUAAUCUAUCUAUAUUUAUGUUUUGUCUAUAUCUUCCAAAGAUUGAAUGUGCAACAUUUUAGCUUAUAUGAUUAGGAGUGUGGGAUCACGAAGGUAGUACUAAGAACAAAGAUUAAAGGACUAAUCAUGUCGAAUUAAUUGGGUUGGUUAAUUUGGAGUUAUAAAUCAUACAUGUUUGUCUCUUUAUUUAUGUGAAUGCUAGAACCAAGGAGAAGCUUAUAAAAGUGAUAGUCAAGUACCUUAAAAUGUUACCUUACUUGAAGAGUGACGGUACAGUAUUACCUCGUGGAAGCUUUCCUUUCUUAGCGGUUGUGCAUCAUGUUUGUGGCACCCUCCAUGAAUCAUCUCUUAUGAGCUACGUCUUUCUUGUGCAAAUUGUUUAAACUUCAUGUGUCACUUUCUUCAUCUCAAAUGUGAGUUUAUCUCAGGACUUCCCAGGUUGAUAUUGAAAGUUUUCCUGCAGGGGUUAGUCCAAAAUAUACCAAUAUCUACUCAAGCAGUUUUUAGUUCAGUAACCAAACUAGACUCCAUGUCUAAUCAGAUUAAGGAAGGCUAUUUAACCUAAGCACCACGCUUAAUUUAAAUGCCAUUGGAAGUUUGACCAGUACUUCCAAACUAACACUUACUAGGAUAAACAAAGGUAGCAUGAUGGCUUUUAUAGAGAUCUACUCAAGUGGAGAUGAAGUAGUGUGAUUAUUUAACAAAUUGAGCAUGUCUCAAAGGUAAGGACAACCAACAUGGCAAAGGAUGUUUUAUGUAAAGUACUCCCCCAAGCUUGAAUUUUGCAAAAUUCAAGAUUGGAUGAAUUUAAUUUAAUGUUGCAUGAUGAUUGGUUGGGCAUACCUUGCGCUUGUCAUUCAUCCGAUCUUCUUGCUCUAAUCCUGAAAAGGUUAGUGGCAAGAAUACCCGAACGAAUAUUUCUACAAUUAUCUCAUAUGCUCAAUACACAAGGCAAUGUUGCAAAUAAUUAGAAGUUCAUGUUACGAUCUGAUAAGUGCUUGUUUAAGGACGCUAAGCUUGUCCUUGGAGAACCAUCAAUUAACUCAACGAGAUCUGCAAUAUUUAUUAUAGACAUAUGCAUCGACAACCGCCCUUUUAAAGUUUUUAUAAAUAGAAAAGAAGAGGGGGUUGGAGAUCUCAAAUGUGGUAAGGAUGGAGAGACAAAUUGAUUGGACAGAUGUUUUAUAAGAGCAAGGACUGGGUGAGGUAUUUAUGAAAUAACUUCCAUGCUCACUGUUGUUUCUCUCAUUCUCAAACUCCAAGGAUGAUUCUUCAUGAAUGUUUAAAAUUCCUCUAGGAUUGUCUCUCAAGUUUGUUUUAUCUAUCCAUUCAAUGGUGAUAGCACAUGGAUUUUUAAUGCCCUCUAGCCAUCGAUGUUGCUCUUCUCGAUCCUCCUUCUUAUGCAUGGGAUGUCUAGAGAGAUUCAUAGGAUUAUCGGGAGGUUUAAGAGAAAGAGCAUAGUAGAAUUUAUUAAGCUCAAGGAUGGGUUGGAUAGCCGAAUUAUGGGAUUGAAAUGUUUGGAAAUCGGCUAUUGAAACUUCCUCUCCUUGUAUGGGAGGUGAUUCCUUCUCUAUCUCUAAGAUUUUUCUAUGAAGACUAGUACAAGAAGGAUGUCCACGAAUGAAGACAUACCUUCCUUUACUAAUAGAUAAAGAAAGAAGGACUCUACCAAAGGUUAUAUGAUUAAGACCAAUGUGAAAAUAUUUAGGAAAAACAUGGUCUUGUAGGGCUAGGUCUAAACCAGAAUUUAUAGAAAGAUUAACACAUUCCCUAGGUGUAGCUAAAAGUGCAUUAUCUUCUUGAUUAAAAGAUAGGACCUCGGCUAUAGAAAAGGGUUGGUUUUGACCUAUUGCAAUCAACUCCGGACACAGAUCAUAAUUAGGGGCAGGACGUGUUGACUCCCAUGGUCUAUGGCUGGUCUCCGAAGGUGCAAAGAAUUUAAUAAUAAGUAUGGAAUUUGAGUUAUCCAUAAAGAUAAAAACAAAAAGAUAAAAGAAUAAAAGUAUAAAAGUAUAAUACAAGAUAAUAGCAAGAUUCAAAGUUAUCUCAGCAAACCGUCUUUCUCCCCGGCAACGGCGCCAGAAAUGCUUGUUGAUAUUUGGUAACGCAAUUAGAAAAUGAUCCGCAAGCGCACGGAUAUCGGUGAGCAUUUCACCCGGGAGAUUUUCCAGAGUAUCGUAUUUAUAUUUUUACCACUGGGAGAAAGGGUGCAUCUGACUAACCAAAUCUAUUGCUACUAUCCCUUUAGGCUACAAAGAAUGUCUUUCGAUGUGAGUGAUGUAUAGAGAAGACUGCAACUGUAGUCUCGUUCUAACCUUGGUAAGGAUGAUCUACUGUUCUAUUGGGGAGGCUCACGGAAUCUAGACGACACAAAGGAUGUUCGACCCGCACCUAUAAACCUACCCGUCCUGCUAAUGAGAUGUGAUCUGCAAAGGUAACUCAGAAAUGUCACGUUCCUCGCUACUACCACGGUCCAGCUAGUCAGGGGAUAUCUAUGAGUACCCUAGCCUAAACACCACGUUUACGCUAACAAGUGAUUACUCUAAUACUCAACCGGAAGAGGAUUAAAGUAAACUCAUAAUCCAAAGAACAAUAAAACAAGAACUUACUAGUAUUAGAAGUCGAAUUACUGAAGAAUCUUAGAAGCAAGCCUCGGGUUAGGAGACUUGAUCCCGUAGGUACAACUCGGAGUAGACACCGACAGGCCGGCCUUCCUCCGAUCCACACCUCCACUCUAUCUCUCUCAAUCUAGUAGAAACUAGAAGAUCUAUUUCUACUUUACAUUGGUUGCUAAGCCUAAAAAGAAAUAUUAUUUAGAGAAGAGGUUUUCCUUCGAGGGCACCCCUCAAUCUCUAUGAUAAUUUCUUGUCUCCUCCAGUGGCCGGAGGGGGUCUCCUUAUAUAGUCCUCCCCUUCUAUGCAUUUUUGGGUCGAUAGGCGAGGUGGUACUAUGUUAUUCUGGAUCCAAUAGGUCGGUGGAACGUCGUGUGCGAAGAGAGUCCGGAACGGAGUCCAGAGGGGGGCGGGCGCCCAGGUCCUCAGGGCGGGCGCCCUGGGCCUGGCUCCUUUCGGGCUCCGCUUCCUUCCCGUGGCUUCUGGAGCCUUCUAGAUGGUAGAAAAUUGCGCGGUGGGUUGAUAUCUCUAUGUAAUCCCGACAUGUGGGCCUUCCUUCCUUAUUUCCUGAUAACCCCCUGCAGAAAUAGACAAACACCAAAACUCGUGGAAUUCUGUCAGAUAAAACCCUAAGUCUAGAUGUUGAUUUCAUUUGGAUCCUUUUCUUUGUUUAUUUGAUAAGUAAAUUUGAUACUUAAGGACCGUCAACAAUACCAAUGAUGAAACAACAUAAUAUGGCCAAGUCCAGGAGUGGUGAUGGGUCUAUGUCGAUGAUUGAUGCUGAUAGUUGCUGAUAGGUAAUUUGCCGAUGGACACAAAAGGAGGUGCAUGAAUUGUCGAUCGGAUGGAGCUGAUGUGCCGAUCGGUUGUGGUGGAUAGAUUAAUGUUUUCCAUAGUUGUUAGAGUCUGCUUUGCGUACGGAUUCCGUUCAAUUUGGGAUUCGAGUCCUAGUCGUGUCUGAUUGUAAUUCUUUUGGACAGGGUAUAAAUGUAGACCCCGUAGCGAUGUAAGAAAUAUACACAAUCAAUCAAACACAAGAUUUUAUAUCUAUUCCAGCAUCUACUUUUUCGACGACUUUGUCAACCUACGUAUUUUCCUUUUACUUACGAGUUCUUAGGAGUUCAUCGAGUCAAUAUUGAUGAGUUCUCGAGUUCCGCGUGAAUACCUCUUGGCCGUGACAUCCGGGCGCAUCGCUAUUGUCCGGGCGAAAGUAUUCGAGUUAUCACCUUUGUUGAUUGUAAGGUCAAAUCAGCUGGCAUGCCUUAACGUUGAAUCGGGUAUUAGCCCUUUGUGUUUGCAGAUCUACUUUUGCACCAACACAUCUUUUGGCACGCCCGGUGGGACUCAGAUUCAUCAUCAAGAUCAACAUGUCAAACACUGAUUUCGACUUGGAGAACGUUAUCCCCAUGACGGAAGCCAAUCUCAGAGAUGAGCAGAAGCAAGCUAUGGCAAAAGCUACGGAGGACUACAAGGAGCUAUGCUUGAAAUCCUUCAGUAUCAAGAUGAGCGGCGAGGUGAUUGUCGACGGUCCUUAAGUACCAAAUAUAAUCAUCAAUAAAUAAAGAAAAGGAUCCAAAUGCAACCAACACCCAGACUUAGGGUUUUAUCUGACAGAAUUCCACGAGUUUUGGUGUUUGUCUAUUUCUGUAGGGUGUUAUCAGGAAAUAUGGAAGAAAGGCCCACAUGUCGGGUUUACAUAUAGAUAUUAACGUGCCGCGCAAGUUGCAGUCUUCUCUAUACAUCACUCACAUCGAGAGACAUUCUUUGUAGUCUAAAGGGAUAGUAGCAAUAGAUUUGGUUAGUCAGAUGCACCCUCUCUCCCAGUGGUAAAAAUAUAAAUACGAUAAUUCUGGAUAACCUCCUAGGUGAAAUGCUCACCGAUAUCCGUGCGCUUGUGGAUCAUUUCCUUAUUGCGUUACCAAAUAUCAACAAGCAUUUCUGGCGCCGUUGCCGGGGAGAAAGACGGUUUGCUGAGAUAACUUUGAGUCUUGCUAUUAUCUUGUAUUAUACUUUUAUACUUUUAUUCUUUUAUCUUUUUAUUAUUAUCUUUAUGGAUAACUUAAAUUUCAUACCUAUUAUUAAAUUCUUUGCACCUUCGGAGACCAGCCAUAGACCAUGGGAGUCAACACGUCCUGCCCCUAAUUAUGAUCUGUGUCCGGAGUUGAUUGCAAUAGGUCAAAACCAACCCUUUUCUAUAGCUGAGAUCCUAUCUUUUAAUCAAGAAGAUAAUGCACUUUUAGCUACACCUAGGGAAUCUUUUAAUCUUUCUAUAAAUUCUGGUUUAGACCUAGCCCUACAAGACCAUGUUUUUCCUAAAUAUUUUCACAUUGGUCUUAAUCAUAUAACCUUUGGUAGAGUCCUUCUUUCUUUAUCUAUUAGUAAAGGAAGGUAUGUCUUCAUUCGUGGACAUCCUUCUUGUACUAGUCUUCAUAGAAAAAUCUUAGAGAUAGAGAAGGAAUCAUCUCCCAUACAAGGAGAGGAAGUUUCAAUAGCCGAUUUCCAAACAUUUCAAUCCCAUAAUUCGGCUAUCCAACCCAUCCUUGAGCUUAAUAAAUUCUACUAUGCUCUUUCUCUUAAACCUCCCGAUAAUCCUAUGAAUCUCUCUAGACAUCCCAUGCAUAAGAAGGAGGAUCGAGAAGAGCAACAUCAAUGGCUAAAGGGCAUUAAAAAUCCAUGUGCUAUCACCAUUGAAUGGAUAGAUAAAACAAAUUUGAGAGACAAUCCUAGAGGAAUUUUAAGCAUUCAUGAAGAAUCAUCCUUGGAGUUUGAGAAUGAGAGAAACAACAGUGAGCAUGGAAGUUAUUUCAUAAAUACCUUACCCAGUCCUUGCUCAUAUAAAACAUCUCUCCAAUCAAUUAGUCUCUCCAUCCUUAUCACAUUUGAGAUCUCCAACCCUCUCUUCUUUUCUAUUUAUAAAAACUUUAAAAGAGCAGUUGUCGAUGCAUAUGUCUAUAAUAAAUAUUGCAGAUCUCGUUGAGUUAAUUGAUGGUUUCCCAAGGACAAGCUUAGUGUCCUAAAACAAGCACUUCUAAUUAUUUGCAACAUUGCCUUGUGUAUUGAGCAUAUAAAGAUAAUUGUAGAAAUAUUCCUUCGAGUAUUCUUGUCACUAACCUUUCCAGGAUUGGAGCAAGAAGAUCGGAUGAAUGACAAGCACAAGGUAUGUCCAACCAACCAUCACACAACAUUGAAUUAAAUUCAUCCAAACUUGAAUUUUGCAAAAUUCAAGCUUGGGGAGUACUUUACAUAAAAACAUCCUUUGCCAUGUUGCUACGUUGGUUGUCCCUACCUUUGAGAGAUGCUCAAUUUGUUAAGUACUAAUUACACUACUUCACCUCCACUUGAGUAGAUCGCUAUAAAUGCUCUCAUGCUACCUUUAUUUGCUUUAGUAUAUGUCUAGGUUUGGAGUAGUUUCAUUUAUCUCUUAAAUCAAGCAUGGUGCUUAGUUUAGGAAUGAUGAUCUUACUUCCAAAGGAUUUUUAAAUAAGCAUGGUGCUUAGGUUAAAAUGCUCUCCUAAAUCAAAUUAGACAUGGUGUCUAGGUUGAUUUUUGAGCCGAUAGUAUGCUAUAGUAGAUAUGGGAUAUUUUGUUGGACUAACCCCUACAGGAAAACUUUCAAUAUCAACCUGGGAAGUCCUGAGAUAAACUCACAUUGGAGAUAGUGACACAUGAAGUUUAAACAAUUUGCACAAGAAAGACGUAGCUCGUAAGAGAUGAUUCAUGGAGGGUGCCACAAACACGAUGCACAACCGAUAAGAAAGGAAAGCUUCCACAAGGUGAUACUGUACCGUCACUCUUCAAGUAAGGUAACAUUUUAAGGUACUUGACUAUCACUUUUAUAAGCUUCUCCUUGGUUCUAGCGUUCACACAAAAUAAAGAGACAAACAUGUAUGAUUUGUAGCUCCAAAUUAAUCAACCCAAUUAAUUCAACAUGUUUAGUCCUUUAAUCUUUGUUCUUAGUACUACCUUCGUGAUCCCACACUCCUAAUCAUAUAAGAUAAAGUAUUGCACAUUCAAUCUUUGGAAGAUAUAAACAAAACAUAAAUAUAGAUAGAUUAUCUUUCCAUUAGGUUGAGCCAUCUGAUCUAACAAAUGUUUUAAACGCUACACUCAUGAUCCAUCAACUUUGUCUUGCUCACUAUGCUUAAGGUUAGAGAAGAACAAAUACACUUUUGGUUCUGUUGGUGUUUUCCACCAACAGGGCCCAUGCACUUGAUCUCUGCCUUGUCUCUAUGAGCAGGACACAUUUUGAGAAACGUGAAGGCAUUCUACAACUCCCAGAUUCCAUCAAGUGAAGAACCGGGAUCUACAAGCACAAACACAAUGGAGAUCAGACACUUAGUUUCCCAAAGGAAAUAUUGAAGAACCUCUGUGUCCGAGUUGGUACCUUGUACACUCCAGCAAACUUCAUGGUGAUAGAGACUGGUAGUGAGGAGAGGGCACCCAUCAUCUUAGGGAGGCCAUUCCUAAACACCAGAGUUGUCAUCUACGCUAAUGCUGCCAAGAUCAGUCUCUACAUCAGAGGGAAGAAGGAGACUUUCCUUCAAGAACAAGACUACACAAACUUCAGAGCAAUCCCAACAUGAACCAAGGAAGAGGACCAACAGGAGGAACAGGAACAAGCAAAUGUGGACUAAGUCAGCUAAGAUGGUCACUACAGCUCAAGGAGGUCAAGAUCGUCGACUCAAGUCACCUUUCUUGAUCAAGAAGAACGACCCUAGUGUUCCAAGCAUCGAGUGCACAAUCAACGGAUACUCUUUUCAGAAGACACUCUACGACACUGGAUCUGACGACAACAUAAUGGCCGCAGUCACUUAUCAGCUCCUGCAUGGAACCAUGCCCCUACAACCAAGAUACAUUCAGCUUCAGACAAUUUUCAGGUCAUUGACAUGGGAGAAGACGAGUAUGAUACACCCACCAUCCUUGGAAGAUCGUUCCUCAGCACUAUCAAAGCCAUUAUCUAUAUUGGAACCAGAGAAGUCCACAUGCACUUUCCCUCUGAGAAGGUACGCCACUACUUUAAUGAUUAUAUAGUUGAAGAUUCUAAGCAGGUCAGGACAAGAAGAAGACAACGCAACCGCAACUAGAGGAGGCAAAUCAUCAAGGAUGGAUGGGUAGACUACGAAGGAGAAGUGAUAAGGACUGAAGACUUACAGCUUGAAUACAACUAUCCUGAGGAGACCGUAGCACCGAGUCAGGUGUGGAGAGAGAAGAUAGUUAUACACGAAGAAGAGGCGCCGCCGGAACCACCGACUACGCCACCUAGCAAAUCCCAGGACGACUGAGAAAACGGAGAGUCCCGUUCGGAGGACUUAAAAACACCAAACGCCUUGCCAAGAGGUAAACUUGGUAGUUAUCCUUUUCCUUUCAAUUAUUCAAUUAUAGUUUGCUUAGUUAAUCAGGUUCAUGCUAUCUCGAAAAGAAAAUAAAAAUGUUAAAAAAAUAUUAAGCCCCAUGUGAGUAUGCUCAUGGCAUAAAACCCAUAGGUACAUUCACUGUGGUGGCAUAAAAAUAAAAUAAAUAUUUUUCUGCUUUAUAAAAACAAAAAUAUAAAAACAGGGAGUAAUAUUUAUUAAGGAGUCUCAACAUGAUAAAGGCUAGAUAUUUAUGCUAACGCUUAAUCAGUUCCACAAGCUUUGUUGUCUAUUUGAGCUCCACAGAAUUUAAGAAUCAAGAAGACUAGCAGACGGCGGACAUUCUAAUCGCUGUCAAAAUACUGCUGACUUUCAAACACACCUCUGCCACCUGCUAGCUACAUCAAGAGAAAUUACGUCAAAAUUCAGCUUGGGGGAGAGCACCCCUAUUUAUCUCGAUAAGUAUUUCUAUCUAUCUUUAUACUUAUACUAUAUUAGAAUAUAAAUACACAUAACUAUAAAAAACCAAAUAAAGAUUUUAUGCUUAUAUAUAUUUUGCUUAGUGUGUUUAAUAAAUAAAUAAAGUGGCUAUGCUAAUCUGUAUCUAAUAAAACUUAAGCAUGGAUAUGAUGAAUAGUUGCUCUGCCUAAUUUGCAAAUUUGAAGUUCUCUCUCAAGUUUAGAUAUAACUGUUAUAAUUUAAGGCUUGCUCUAGACCUAAACUUGUGGGAUGAAAACUUGAUCUGAAGUCUAAGUUGUUAACGGAUACGAUAUGGGAAGGUUGAGCUGCUGUUUAUCUGUUCCUAGAGAUGCUAGAAUUCUAGAGAAUUUUAUCUUUAAAAAUCUUUAAAAUGUUGCAUGAUGAGUUCCUGUAUGAUGAGAGUUUAAAUUUCUACCACAGCCAUAUAUACAUGCUUGCUAGACCUUGAGCCACACAUUUACUAUUUACUGCUUAUGAGCAUUGAGUGUGGUCAAGCUUUGUAGACCCUUAGGAGCUUGUCAUGUGGUUAAAUCAAGAUUCACUUGCACGAUUACUCAUACAUGCUACUUCUACUCUGGAAGUACCAUCCACAUAUAUCCACUCAUUUCUAUCUCCAGUUUUACCCAAAAUUAUUCUACUCCUAAUCCGGGAGUGAAUAGCCAAAAACAUUUUCCUAUCCCUGUUAUUCCCUGUGAAAUAAAUGCUCCAGUUAUUUUGGUUACUACCACUUGCUACAUUAUUUCAGGAGAUGAGUGCUCUAGUAAAAAAAAGAGAAAAAAAAAGAAGAAAAAAAAACAGAAAAAAAAAUAAUAAUAUACGAGAGAGCAUAAUUAGGAGAUGAGUGCUCGGAACCUCGAAAGAAAAGAAAAAGAAGAGCAUCUCAUUCUCCUCAUAAAGUUUCAAAAGCAAGGAAGGUAUGUAUCCCCACAAAGAGCAAAGUAGAAUUAGACUUCCACCACCAUUGUUAUCACUAUCAUCACCAUACACCAUUCAUUCGCCACACAUGCACAUCUUGAUUUGGCUUAUUGAUUUGUUUCUUUGGAUCCAUGGUUUGACUAUGCAAUAAAUGUCUUGUAAGUAUGUAUACUUUAUCUCCCACCUAUGAGCUCCAGAUAUUAAGGCCUUAUUAGAGUAGGGUGAGAGAGAAGACAAUGUCACUAUGCUUCAUACCACAAAUACUACAUAUUUUGAGAGAAGGCAUAUACCAUCACUGCCUUGGUAAGGAUCCAAAAAUACCACAAAAGAGAGACCUGAGAGAAUCAUACAAGGAAUUUCUGAGUUUUAUUUGAAAAUCUGCAAAAACUCCAGAGCUAUAGUUGAUCAAAGAACAAGAUACAUGGUGCUUGACUUGACCAUUCUAUCUUUUAACUGCUCAAGACACAAGUGACGUUACAAGCCCCAUGGUGAAAGGUAAAAUGAGUAAGUUUUAAGUCUUAACAGUUUAUUCUAACUCAGAGAUGAGAUCUUGCUUAAAUGCGUGUGUACUUCUAAGAAAUGAAACCACUGCAGAAACUCUUGAGUUCAUCCUUGCUCAGGGACGAGCAAGAGUUAAGCUUGGUGGAGUUUGUUGACGGUCCUUAAGUAUCAAAUUUAAUUAUCAAAUAAACAAAGAAAAGGAUCCAAAUGAAAUCAACAUCUAGACUUAGGGUUUUAUCUGACAGAAUUCCACGAGUUUUGGUGUUUGUCUAUUUCUGCAGGGGGUUAUCAGGAAAUAAGGAAGAAAGGCCUACAUGUCGGGAUUACAUAGAGAUAUCAACCCACCGCGCAAUUUUCUACCAUCUAGAAGACUCCAGAAGCCACGGGAAGGAAGCGGAGCCCGAAAGGGGCCAGGCCCAGGGCGCCCGCCCUGAGGACCUGGGCGCCCGCCCCCCUCUGGACUCCGUUCCGGACUCUCUUCGCACACGACGUUCAACCGACCUAUUGGAUCCAGAAUAACAUAGUACCACCUCGCCUAUCGACCCAAAAACGCAUAGAAGGGGAGGACUAUAUAAGGAGACCCCCUCUGGCCCCUGGAGGAGACAAGAAAUUAUCAUAUAGACUGAGGGGUGCCCUCGAAGGAAAACCUCUUCUCUAAAUAAUAUUUCUUUUUAGGCUUAGCAACCAAUGUAAAGUAGAAAUAGAUCUUCUAGUUUCUACUAGAUUGAGAGAGAUAGAGUGGAGGUGU
rnacentral:lncRNA from 1 species